ACAACAUCAAUUUUUUAUAUAUAUAUUAGUGUGGAAUUCAUAUCAACAUUUUACUGUAUUUUUGUAAAUAACAAAGAUUCAAUUUUUACUAUUUAUAACAAAUUUUCAAUAAAAUAACGAAACUUUUAUUGCAAUAAAGAUGAUUACAACAAUUUAUUUAUUAUUACAUUGGAUAUAGAGAGAGAAAAUUUAGUCAUUAAUUUCCCUCUCAUCAUGACCAUCACUAUCAGCUUCAAAUUCAAACUUUCUUGAACAUAACAGGGAAUGGAGCAUCAUUCAAAGCAAUAACCCUCCUUCCAUUCUUGUAAAAUAAUCCCACAUCUUUGCACACUACUUUGCAAUACUUACAAACUGUUGGACAAUACACCAACUUAUAAUUCUUACCAUACUUCUCCACUUUGAACCAAUUUUCUAUUGUUUCCCGCCCCGGAUUCCCUUUCAUUCCCCCCAUCGUCACAAAAUACUGCUUCAAGUAUUCAUCAAACUUACCUACUUUCCAUACCGUCGAUAUUCCGCACCUCGUGUUCGCCUCGAAUUGGAUGUUCAAAUCUGUAGAAACUCGGACCACACCCUUUUUAGGGUUUAUGGGGGAAAACGUCGCCGGUAGACCGUGUAAAUAAUCGUAUGAUUCCGGGAGGAUGUUGAUGGGACAUUUUUCGUAUCCGUAGAUACCGCCGAUGCUUAAUCCACCACUGUUUCUGCUGUAAACUGAAAGAAUAUAAUAUUGAUCACCGGCUCGAAGCUUCUUUCCGUCGGUGUCGAGGACCGCAUCGGGGGAGGCAUCCGCUCUGCAGAAGCGUACCUCAGAUGAGGCAAUGACAAUGAAAAGAAAACACAGUAAUGCAAAGUUUCUCAUUUCUUUUGGUGAUUUUGUUUCUUAUGUAGAUGAUGAUAUUGGAAUUGAAAAAGAAGUCUAUUUAUAGGAAAUUAUAGAGAAAGAGAGAUUGAAAUUGCUCACUGUAUUGUUUCUCAUUGUAUUGCUUUCCCGGCGGGCGCCAAGCCGCCAACAGGCUGUGUUUUUUCACUUAUAUUAAACAUAUAAUAUAAUGAAAUAAUUAGACCUUUCUAUGGUUAAAAACUAUCAACUUUUCAAUACAUGAAUUUAGAUUUGUUUCCAUUGGUUUCAUGAGAAUUGAAUAUGUUAUUAUAGUUUAAUUAGUGGAUAGAUUUUUUUAGUUUGAAUUAUAAUAACAUGUGUUAUUUGUAGUUUAUGUUUUUAUAAUGAAUAUAUAUUUUUAUUAUUUUAAUAUUUUGUUAUAAAUGCAAAUAUUUAGUAUACGUACAUCUAUCAAACGUGGACCAAGUGUAUAUCACAUGUAUCAAGUUAUCAAAUAUAUAAAAGUGAAAUCAAUAGUGUCAAGUGUAUCAAAAAUGUAUUGGUGAUAUAUGAAAUGUAUAUGAGGUGUAUUAAGUAGGUUGAUUAUUAUUUUUAUUUUUUUUUGCCCUUUUUGCUUAGGUAAAUAAGUAUGUACUAUAGACCUAAUUUUGUAAACUUAUUCUGUCUGACAUGAUUGCAGCUGAAUAAUUGGGUAAGAUCACUGGCAAUUUUGCACAUUUCACCAAUCAAGAUACUAUACAAAACAAUGGAAAUAGAGAAAUCAAACAACUCUCAUUUGAUUAGCCCUAUGAAAACUUGUUCAAAAAAAUUGCCAUGGAAAGAAUUUUCCAAGUCUCCAUGGUUUCAUAAAUACUCUAGUAGAGACCAAAUUCCAACUUUUUUCCAAACCAUAAGGACCAAAAUCAAUUUAACUGUAAAAAUAUAAGAGACUCAAGACAAUAUGUUACGUGGAGACCCCAUUUUGGGAACUUCUCAAAUGCGAGCUGUUUUCGCCACAACCGAUUCCAAGUCUUCCUUUGUGUUGAUGCUGCAGCAAGUGACACUGUUGUUAGCAUGUAUACACAAAUGCAUUCAAGGAGUCACAUCUAGUUAUAUUUCUAUUGAGAAUGUCAGUCACUAAAGCUAAUAUUUCAUAGUCGAUUAUUGAAAAAAAAAAAUUAUAAAUGAACUUCCACAAAUAUUUAACCUCAGAUACUUUUUUAAAAAAGGCCUGUAGAGGACACUUGAAUCACUCACCUAAAAGUAACAUCCCCACUAAUUGUCAAUUUCUUGGAGAUCCAAUUCGGAACCAACUUUUCGAGCUGCUCGAUUCUCUCUUCCACUUCUCCUGCAAGCAAUCAAGUACGUCAAACAAAAAUUCAUAUCAAAUUAGGAUUAAUUACUUAAAAAACCCAUACAUACUUCUCUCAGUAAUAUCAAGGCAAUUCAUUAUAAUCUUGUGCACGAGCUCCUCCUUGGUAAUUGAAGAGCAAUUCACAGACUUGAAAAUGUUGUAGACAACACAAACAAGUUCAGGCAAGCAAGAAGAUGAUUCUUGACUAAUUACUUCUUUACUGGUAUAAUUCUUCUUUUGGAUAUGCUCGUCGAGAAAGUUCUUCUUUCCAGGGAUUUCAUAGCAUUGCAAACCAUCCACACCUAGACUCGACUUGCCAUUAUCACUUUCCAUGCCAGAAAAGUUGAGAAACCUUUUUGCAGGUUUACAUACACUUCCUACACUUGCAGGUUUCCUUGUUUUCACCUCUGAACUUGGCAGCAUUGAUCUCUUUGGUGUUAACUGUACCGGUGUUUGUGUCAUUAUGCUGCUAGAAGCAGAAGACAUGACAGACUUAACAAGAGGACUGUCCGAAGAAUUAGCAGUAGCAACUUGAGGAGAGAUCGUCGGAAUAUCUUCAAGCAACUUAGCUGGAAUGGAUGGUGAAACAACAAUAGAAGAUGCAACUAGUUCUGAUAUCUCUAUGCUAGAAAUGAAUUUCUUAGAAAAAUGUCGCUUGAAAGAUAAAUGUGGACAAAGUUCUUCUAAAGUCAAAUCGGAAUCGGAAUCUAUGGAUAUUGGCCGAGAUCUAGCUGAAGAAUUAUCAAACAAUUGAUCGAGAGAGAAUAUUUUUCUUCGGUUGAAGGGCCAUGGUAAUUCCCCUUCCGGAACUUCACUUUUCUGGAAGAAUAUAAUCAAAAUAUGAGCAUGAAAGGAUCUGAUUUAGGUCCAAAUAAGAAAAAUAACUACGGUUACAUUUGGUAACCGUUUUGUUUUUUUUAGAAUUAAGCUUCUAAACUCGUCAAAAACCCAAAAAACAUGCUCGUUUUGGUAUAACUUUGUGUGGUUUCGUUUGAAUUAUAGCGUAAUCAGUUUCUAAUAAUGUACAAAAGUACCUCCGGAUGCAUUGCAAAGUAUUUUGAUACCCUUGAAGCGAAAACUUUGUGUAAUGCCAGAAAAUCAGAAUGCUCAGAGUGACCUUUUACAACAUCUAACUGAAGAUUGAUUAUCAUUUCCGGUUUCAUGCACAAUGUCUUCUUGUCGUGAAUCAUCACUUUAUCAAUAUUCACUGCUUCGGGAAUGAUAUAUAAUAUCUGUGCUAGAUGUUUGUCCAAAAACAUUCUGGAACAGAAAAAGAACAAAGAACACAAAUUUUAGUUAACAAACAUUUGGGAGUGAUUUUAAACCUGACGAAAAUUUUCUAAAAAACUUAGUAGAAUUCCUUUUCCAAUUAUGACUGCCAAGGAGAAAUGUUAAGAUUAUAUUCAUUAUUUAGUAUAAGUAGUUUACUUUUGCACACCUGCUUAUUUUUCUGUCUUAACCUAAACAUUUCAUUUCAUUUUAUCUAUGCAACGAAACUAUUAAGUUAAACAAAUGCUACGACAUACCUUUUUGUCAUAAUCGACACCUGGCCGGACACAUUGUGAAAGGUAGACAUCCUUUUUCUCAUUUUAAGCAGCCUCAACGAGGAAGUAAAGCAAGUAAAGAACUCUACAAUUGCCCGGCAUCUGCAUAUAAUCCAAUUGAGUUCAAGUAAAGUCAAAUUUAUAGUGACAAAAUGUUGUUAAAAUUCUUAUUUUCUUCCAUAAAUAUUCAAGAUAAUUUCAUUUUCCAUUAUGUUUAAAUCCACAAACUUAUCAUUAAAAAACCAUUUCAACUUUUUAAGUAAAUUAUCUAACAAAAAACUAACAUAAACGUUAUGAAAUGCUUGUGAACAAAGCUUAGCAACCAACACAAAUUUUAUACCCUAAACGUUUUAGACACUCACUUUUCUUGAAGUUUGAUUCCAUCUUCUUUCAAUUUUCCUUUCAAAUACUCAUCAGCUUUCUCCGGUGUCAUACAUGCAAUGUUACUUUCUGAAUUCUCAUUACCAUAAAUCCCUUUAGAAGGAUUAGUUUCAAUGGCUGAAAGAUUUUGGCCACCAUCUUCAAAUGUUUUUUCACCCAUUCUAGAACGCAACUCAACAAGUGUCCCCUACAAAAAAAAAAAAUUAAUAGAACUUUAAUACCAUGGAACAUCAUAAAGAUUAGAAAAAAAAACAAUGACUUCAAAGAGCGUUUUGAUCAUUUCCUCAACAAUGUGGCCUACGACAAAAUCUCCCAGAAAUUAAAGUAACAACAAAUGUAAUCAAGAAAAAGCCAGUAAAUCAAUAGAUUAAUUUUCUUUUCAAUAAACCCCUAAUUACCAUGGCAUACAAGGGAGAAAUGAACAGUUGAUGGUCAAAGAAAGUGAAUGAACACAAUAAAUUACAACAAUAUUUAACCCUUUAAUUAAAUACCGUAUAAGAUCUACAAAACGGCAGAUUAAGUAAUGGUAAAAAGAAGAAUCAGAGAAGCAACUGAAGGGAAGAAAUUGGAAGAACAAGAAAAACCUGGAUUACUAGCAAGUGAGCUGAUGAGGAAAAGGGGAGAUUGCCACUAGUGAAUUAGAGGGAAAUUUUGCCUUUGAUUCGAGUGCUCAAUCUUUCCAUAAAUAUACUUUAUUUUUCUGACCGUUGUAGGCCCGAGAGACGGAGGUUUAUGGGCCAGCCCAUAAUAUGGAGGUUUAUGGGUCAGCCCAAAAUUACAGACCAGAUAAUUCAUAAAUUGCAGGGCUUUCUACCCACGAGGCUCUAACCAAAGUCCUCUAUUUCAUUAGUUGCUUUUAAAUCAAAUAUCCUAUAUAAUAUUCUAUUUACACAUUGGAACAAAAUAGGAACACAAUAUUGUAAUAAUUUUUACAAAAGUGCUAAUGAGUACAGAUUUAAACAAAUAUUGAACUUAAAUAACAAAACUAUCCAUAUUUAAUAUUAAUAUUAGUGGAAAAAAAUAUGGAAAGUAAAAAGAUUCCUAUUUGGAAAAUAUAUAUAAUCUAUUAUCAUAAAUAUUUUAUUCCCCAUUCAUUAUUUAUAUUAAAACUUACUUAUUUGGUUUGUUAAUUAUUUAAUAUAUUUUUUAAGAGUGUCAUUUAUUAGAUAUUCAAAUAGGGUGUGAUUUUAAUAAAAAAAAAACCCUCAAUUAUUUUCUUUUAAUAAUUUUAGUCAAAAUUUCUUCCCAUAUAUUCUCUCCAUUCAUUUUUUCUUAUUUCAUUCGUUUCCUUAAGUUUUUCGGUGAAUGCAUGUUUGUUUCAUUUUGUAUACGAAAUUUGUGAAUUAUAAUAUGUCGGUGAAGUUUUUCGAUUAAAAAAAUUUAUACUGAAUAAUUCAUGUCACGUACUUUCUUUCCAUAUUGUAUUGUUUUUCAUAUAUAUCACAUACUUUACUAACUUCUAUUAUAUCAAUUUUCUAUUAUUUUUCAUAUAUUAAAAGUUAAUUCAAUAAAUUCUUAAGUUGUCAAAAAUUGAUCUUGAUGUAUCCUUAUAUAUAUUUUAUAGACGUGUAUUGAAUUAAUUUUAUGAUGAGUGGAUAGGUAUAUUUUAAAUAAUACCCGUAUCGUACGUUGAUUUGAUUAUAUAUUUUACCUUUAUAUACAACUUUGAAUAUGUAUGUAUAUAAUAAUGAUCCCUAUACAAAAUUAUUUUAAAUAUGCAUAAGUGGGUAUAUUUAAUGAUGAAUGUACACUAUCAUAUUACAUUAUUUAAGUUUUUUCAAUUAUAUAUUGUAAACAAUUUUUUGUCUAAUACAAUUCCUCUUUUGAAAAUUGAUUUUUUUAAUCAUUAACCAGCCUACACAAAUGAAUCUACUCUAUGGUAUCCUCUCCAAAUUCAUGAUUCUAAACUAUAAUUACCCUCACAAAUUAAAAGCUUAAGAAAGUUAGAAAUAUGAAUGGAUUCGAAAGUUAGGUAGAAAGAUUUCAUGCUACUCUCUCUUCUUGAAUGUCUUUUUUCUUGUUCGUCUGCCUUUAACCAAUCCCUUUUAUCUCUGUGUAUGUGUUUAUAUGGUGAUGUUUUUAGAGUUUUUCUAUUCAAAUGGAAAAGAAAAGCAUAUGUUUCACAAUCAUGUGCUACAACAAAAAGUAUACAUUUGUUUCGUAAAUCUAUUGAAAUUGUAUGUUUUUAGUUUUCCUCUAUUUUUUUAAUAAGCAGUCGGCUACUUUUUUUUUUUUUUGUUCUGGGUUCUAUAAUGUUUUUGAAAAAACAUAUGGCACGUAUCCUAUAUAUCAUUCUAGAGAUUUUGAAGUUUGAAACAGAGAUAAUUCGUGACUGGGAGACGUGCUGCAUGAAACGGAAAUUCUUAUUUUUGAAACAACACUGUAAUUCAAAUGUCGGCUUACAAAAUUGAAGUUCUAGAGGCAGAAUUACCAUGGAAACGAAUAAAAGUGAAUAUUCCGACACAGUCAGUUUUCCUGCUAAGAGUGUGGAAUUUACGGUGAAGAAUAAAAAUAAUUUGUUCAAAAAGAUCUCGAAAAGAUUGUGGUAAUUCUUUUGAGAGUACUAAGGAAGAGCAUGAUAAUUCUAGUGAGAGUCCUUCACAAAAGAACAUGGUAAUUCUUUUGAUAGUUAUGAGUCCGGAGGAAAAACCUUAAGUAGAUAGCCAUCUUCAAUGGAACACACUUCCAAAAGUUUUCCACGAGACCCUAACAAGAGUGCUAUAUUUCAUUAAUGUUAGAAUUUGUUCUUAGGAAAAGUAAGCACGGGUCACUCGAACAAAAUGAGAAUUCAUAAGUUUUAGGGCCCUCACAAGAGUCCUAUAGUUUAUUAACAUUCAAAUUUGACCAUGUCUAACUUUCUAAUAAUUUUUUUCUUUUUCUAACAAAAAAAAAUUAAAGGAACAAUUAUAAAUAUUAAUUAGACUUCAAAUAUUUAUAGAUAUAGUAUAAUGCAAAAUUACUUGCAAAUAUGACAAAAUUUAGAUAUAGUCCUCGAAAUUUAUUAGCAAUAGAUCAUACCACUAAUAGAAAUCAAUCAACAUACUUUUUUUUGUUCUUGGUUCUUUUAUAAUGUUUUUGAAAAAACAUAUGGCAUAUAUCCUAUAUAUCAUUCCAGAGGCUUUGAAGAUCGAAACAAAGAUGAUUCAUGAUGAGGAGACAUGUUGCAUGAAACGGAAAUUCUUAUUCAUUCUCCAAUUUGUUAUUGUAGAAGGUCAUACGAUUGUAGAACUUUUCAAAUCCAUAAUAUCAAAAUAAUUUAGAAAGCAUCUAGAAAGUACUUUCUACGUUAUUAGAAACAUUGUAUUUCACAAGACUGAAGUUCUAGAGACAGAAUUACCAUUUAACCGAAUAAAAGUGGAUAUUCUAAUACGAUCCGCUUUUCCUUCUGCGAAGAGUGUGAAAUUCACAGCUAGGAAUAAAAAUAAUUCGUUCAAAAAAAUCUCGAGAAGAACGUGCUAAUUCUUGUGAGAGUACUGAGGGAACAUGAUAAUUCUAAUUCUUGUGAGAGUCCAUGAGAAAGAAAAUGUUGAAUAUAUUUUAGCAAUGUCAUAAAAUAGGUUUUGGAGGCCCAAAAGAUGGACUUCUUGAAAAGUAAUUUUUGAAGGCCCAAACAGAUGGGACUUCUUGAAAAGGUGAUUUUUACGGGCCACUCGAAAUGAGAAAAUUUGAGGAUCCUAACAAAGAGUCCUAUAGUUUAUUAAUACUCAAAUUUGACCAUGUCUAAAUUUGUUAUAAAAUUUUUCUUUUUCUAAGAAAAAUAAAGGAACAGUUAUAAAUAUUAAUUAGACUUAAAAUAUUUACAGAUAUAGUAUAAUGCAAAAUCAUUUAUAAAUAUGAAAAAAUUUAGAUAUAGUUAUCGAAAUUUAUCUGUGAUAAAUAAAUCUUAUAAAUGGUGUGCAUUUCAUAUAAAAUUGAGUAUUGUAAUUCGAAUGGCAAAACAAGUGUAAUUUCCAACUCAUUUUUGUUGAGUUUUAUUUCUAAAAGAUACAAAAGUUUUUUUGUUUUUCAAAAGCUAGGGAAAAGAAAACUUAAUAAAAUGAGGAAGAAUUGUGAAAUGCUUUUCAAUGGGAAAAAGGAAUGGUUGCAUAUUGCGUAUGCUAUAAGCACUUCCAAAAUCAAUUACUUUGAAAGUUUCAUUAAAAUGGUAAGCACUCAAAGAAGUGAAAUGGAAAAAGGAGGAAAAGAGGUGAAUAUAUGAGGUAAGGUAAAAUGUGAAUUUAGUUGAGCUUUUCUUUAAAGGAAGGUAAGUGCAGUGGCCACUAACAGCUUAGUGCAACCGCGUGAUUAUUACUACCAUUACAAUUUUCCAAGUUUUGCUAACGUCUUUUUGACCGUCCAAUACUUUUCUUCGUGAUGUUUUCUAAAUAUAUACACAAAACUAUAAGACAUGUAUUAAUGAAAGAAUAGUUCGAUUGACACAUCAUGUAACGGUUUUUUAACGCAACGUAUAUGUUGUUUAAAUUGUUUAUCUUUUGUAUUCAUUGAGUAUACUUUUGAAUGAUAAAAUAUUUAUAAAUAUAGUAAAAUAUCUCGAUGUAUCGUGUUUAUCAGUAUUUUGCUAUAUUAUGAUUUGAUUUGUUAUAUAUUUGAAAAUAACCUCUAACUUUUGUGUUAUAUGCUUUCAUAGGUUUUUUUAUAAAGAAAAUUGAUGUUUCUAAAUAUUGUAAAAUAAACUAGGGUAUUUUUAAAUUUUAUAAUAUAUGACGAUGUUUAUAAUAUAUUAUAAAAUUUUGUUAUAUUUUUGUAGUUUCUUUUAGAUUUCAACUAUUAACAAUCAUUUAUCUAGAAGAUAUAAUAUAUUAUUUUAGUUCCUAUAUUUUGAUUUUUCUUCUUUUUUCCUUAAUUUUCUAAUUUUUGAGUAGUUUUAUAUUCAGAUUAAAUCUUAAAUUUAAUUAUUAUAAAUUAAUAUUUUUUUUGAAGUUAGCUAUUGAAGUAAUUGGUUAAGUAAUUUUAAUAACUUCUAAACAUAUUAUGUGAAAAUAUGUAUUUAUUGAAAAUGUUCUAUUAAAUAGAACUUGAGUCUCGAAUGAUUUGAAUCGAGAUCUCUACUCUCACGAACAUGUAGAUGUGAGUUUAGUUGAGUUCAUUAAAUAUAUUUUUAAUGGAUAAUAAAAUAAUAAUAGAAACUGUAAAUUAAAGUGAUAAACAAAAUGCAUACCUCCUUUUCUGCAUAGAAAAAAUAAUUAUUUGAAAAAGUACUGACAUGGAAUAUUUUAUGGGAUUGGAUUGGAUUACACCUCUUUUUUUAUUGAAGUUAUAAAGAGUACAGUGAACUGAAACUAAAGUAUACAUUGUUUGAAUUUAUUUUAUAUUUAAACAUUAUAGUUUCAGUAAUUUGAGUUAGGAGUUGUUUAUGAACAAAAAACUAAUAAUAACAUGAGUUGAAAAUGAUAGUAUCAUCCACGUUUUAUUUAUUUAUUUAAUGAUUUAGAAAAUCAAAAGGGUUUAUUAAUAUGAAUCUAUACAUUGAAUUGAAUAUAUAUUAAUAUAUACAUAGAUUAAUAUUGGAGAAAAUAAAAUACAGAACAGUUAAAGAAUUACACAGGAAGAAACAAAAAAACUCAAACCACAUUGGGUUAGAGGAAAGGAGAGAAAAAGUUUGUUCAUCCACGGGCUUAGAAAUAACAAGUAAAAUAUUUUCGUCCUCCAUACAUAGCAUUCUUUUUAUCAAUAGUUUUAAAAUGGUACCAACAGGAAUGAAAUUUUUUACCUUUUAAAUGGCACAUUCAAAUCCAGAAGAUUGUAUGAACUUUCUGGUGGAAUCUUGAACAAAUAGAACUAGCCAUUUUUUGAUGUAACGUUUUCAAAUUUUACAUAAUUUUCAACCAAAAUUCUAUGUCAUCCAUUCAAAGUAUUUGUCACCUAAGCAAAAACUUAGGGUAAGAUAAUGCCCAAAAAUCUUCUAAAUGGCAUUUAACACUAUCCAAUUGAAGAUCAAUGUAUUUUUCUAGGAGGAAUCAUUACUUUAUAAACAUAAAUGAUACAUAUGUUUGUUAAAAGAGAAAAAGGUCUAAAACAAAAAGAAAGAAGAAAAGAAAUGGCACCCUUUUGAUUUAUUUUAGUUUUUAUCUAUUUAAAAUGUUUAUUUUAAUAUAUUAAUAUAGUUCAUUUAUUAGAAAAACUAAAUACAUGUUCAUUUCGUAUCAAUAUAUAUUUAAAAAGUUGAUAACAACAUCAACAACAACAUUUUUUUGUUUAUGUUUAUUUAGUUAUCUAAGAAAUCAAGAUAUACAUUGAAUUAAUCUAUAAUUAAAUGUACUAGACAAUAUUGUUAACUAGAUGACAUGUAAAAGAGUAUUUUAGGAGAAAUUGUUAAAUAUAGUAUUAAAAAAAAAUCACUUUUAUGAAUAGCACAAACUAUUCUCAUGACUUAUGCAUCUAAUCAAACAAUUUUCUCUCUCGUUCAACCAUUAGCAUGUGAAAACCACUCCACAUAAAAUCUCUUUAUUAUAAUUUAUGAGACUAACAUGUUUGGUUUUGAUAAUAUGUGUCAUCGGCUUCGUUUGUAUUUACAAUACACAAUCUUCAACCCUUAUUAUCUCAAUAUAUUAUAUAAAAGUUAAAUUUGGUAAGAUUUUUAAUUGAUAUUAACUUGAGCUAUCUAACAUAAUACUGAGUCUCGCCUUAUUUAUACUAUUGAGUAGUUUAUCAUUGUCCCGACAUUCUUGUAUGCAAGCAGCUCUACUUAAUAUCAAUGAAGAUGAAAAUUGAAAAAACAUCGAUUGUACGAUAAACACUUACCAAAACUUCACCACCCUUUUUUAAAAUUCGUGUUAUUCCUUUUCUCUAUUAUGAAUCUUAUGGUUAUGGCAAAGUAGCAUCCAUAACAAUAUGUGUGUUUAUUCUCUUAUGCAUGCACGUUUAAUAUAAUUCUUUUGAGUUAAAACUUGUAACAAAUUUAAAUUAAAAUUUAUACAUGUGUAACGAUAAUAUUAAAUUCUUAAAACUCGUAUCACAUCAACAAUCGUGCCUUAAAUGGGUAUAUAGAAAAAUAUCUCAUUUAUGCAUAUAUAUAUAUAUAUAUAUAUAAUAUAAGAAGAAAGCAAAAAUAUUGGCGUUGAAGAAUUGACUUAGAUUUUGCGCUGUGGGGAUCCAUGAUACACAAGGCACAAACAGUGGAUGACGUGGACGAACCCAUAAAAGCAAAUAGUGAGAGGCCCACACAUGAUUGGUGCAACGUGUCAUAGCAUCCAUCCAUUCUACACGUUUCCGUCCAACAGCAAAACUACACAUCGGCCAACCCUCACACGUGUCAGAAACUGAAUGGGUAAAACCCAAUCUCUUUUGAUUGGUUAGAUGUCGUCACGCGGUGGCCAGAUUUAAAUUACGCAACCGUUGCCGAAAACAGUAAAUUCACUUGCCGAGUCCGCCACGUGUCCAGCCUUGCACGUCACUUUCCAUAAAUAUCGUAAAUUUAAAAUUGUUUUUUAUGAAUUUAAAUUGAUUAAAAAAAGAUCCAUCGUAUCGUAUCACCGCCCACGAAGUUCAGCAUUUCAACGCCUUCGAAUGAGGAGGUGGUUCCAUUCGUCGUUUGCAUUACGACCACGUGUCGUAAGAUGACGUCAUGAUUAGACGACGCCACGUGGAAGGACGAUAGGGCCUUGGACGGUGCCGUUUAUGUCUACCUUUCGCUUUCGGAGGUCCGACGACGUUGACGGCGGAGGGACAAAGGAAAGUGCGUUGGCAUUUUCUCAUUUUUUUUUAUGUUCUAUCAAUUUUGGUAUUACGUUAAAAUUUCAUGAGUAUGAGUCGUAAGUAACAUAGAACAUUUGAAAAAGCAAAAUAGAUAGCUAACUCUCUUUUAAGUCAUUACUAUAACAAUGUCUAAUUGUUCCAUAAUUUAAAUUAAAAGACACCAUCUUAAAUAGUAUAUAAUUAAAUUUAUUUUUACCCACUAAUUUUUUUGAUGAACGGUUGUUUAAGAGGUAUUUAUCUUCAAUUGUCUAUUUUGGACUUAAACUUUACUUUAUAUCUACUUCAAAACUUCCUAUAUCAAACGAAAAUACAUUCUAAAAGUACUCAUAAAUAGUUCAAUUGAGUGUUAGAGUUUCAAUUUUAUGUCUAACAAUAUUGUUUAAUGAAAUAUUUCAUGAUAGAUAAUAUAUAGAUGUUGUACUCACUAAUUAAAAGAAUACAUGUGUUGUUUCACAACUUCUUUUUAAGGCCAAAAACAUAAAAUUUCAAAGACAUUUGGUAUUAUUUAGCCUAUAAAAAAGUUGAUGUUAGAUAUUUUUUAAAGUGUAUUGUUUGUAGUAUAACAAAUCGAGUAUAUUUAUGAAAAAAUUACAUUUUUAGUCCCUAGAUUUUGAUGAAUAUAUGCAUUUGGUCAUUAAGUUUUAAAAUUAUAUUUUUUAGUCUCUAUGUUUAUAAAAAUAGACGCAUUUGGUCCCCGCGUUUUUAAAAUGUACAAUUUUAGUACUCAAGUUUUUUAAAAUAAGUUUAAAAUGUCUCUCGAACAAUCUUAUAUACUUUUAUUUUAAAUAAUUAUAUGACAUUUUAAAUUAUAAUAACAAGUUCUAAAAAUUGCGUCUCUAUAAACUAUUUUUUAGUUUAAUUUUAAAUAUAAUAUAAUUAUUUUCUAAAAAGUUAUAAAAACUUGUUUUUCGGAGAUGAAUUAUAUAUGUCAUAUAUUAUUAAACUUCAUUCAAUUUCGACGUAUGAAACGUAUAGUUUAAAUUAUAUUUCAAUUUUAAUUAAGGAUGUUUCUCAUUUUCGAGGAAAAUGAAAAUAUUAGUUAAACUAUACUUCAUUUCUAGUCAAUUCGAAAGUUCUAUCCCAAUUGAAAGUCAUCCACAAAUAUAUAUAUAUCAAACCACAUAGAACAACUUUACAAUUCAUUAAUUAAAUUUGUUUUUUUUUUUUUUUUUUGGCGUAGGAUAUUUGAUUCUACUUCUUAGCUACUAUCGUAGCUUUACAUAUCUCUACUUUAUAUAAAUACAUCAUUUCAUUCUAUCUUGACUUAGACUUGACUUUGGACUUGUGUGUGCUUUAUAUUGAAAAAAGAAAAAAGGGAGGCAUUUAUUUACAACCAUGAUUUAUAGAUAUCAAAAUUUGUUUUCGUCUUCUUGACAUCACACCAUGGUAGAACUUUGACUUAGAUUCUAUUUCUUUUUAUUUAGAUCUAUCUCCAUAAUCUUGAAAAAUCAAAGUGUGAUAAAAACAUUAAGAAGUGCCAAUUAAAUUGAGAUUAUCUUGGUGUAUUUGCUAAUCAUUCUGACUUUUAGGACUAUUUUUUUUAAAAAUCGUCUCAUUCUUGACUAUUAACCUUACUAAGCAAUACUAUUCCUAUAUUCAUUUACAAUAAAAUAUAUCAUUUUUCAAUAUCAAAUUUGAGUUGGUUGUCAUUCACAAUAAUAUAUGUCAUUUUUCAAUUUCAAGCUUGAGUGGUUGUUGAAGUUGAUAUUCAUUCAAAUAUGAAAGUGUUUAUAACUAUUUAAAAUGAAUUAUACUUAAUUAUACCUUCUGUAUUUGCACGUAUAAUUAAAAAAAUAUUUUAAAAUAUUUUAUUACGUUUAAUUACUUUUCUUUUAUAAUAAUUUUUUUUUGAAUUUGAGUGAGUAAAAAUUUAGUUCAAGUAUAUUGUAAUGAUUACUUUUUAUUACAAUUCAACUUAAGAAUUAACUUUUACUCUUGUCAAAUAAAUUAUCACAUGUUGGACAAUAAAGUUGGUGAAAAUUUGAUUUAAGAUUAUAUUGCUAUAUCUAGAAUUAUCUUUUAUCUCUUCUUAUAAGUCAAAACUAUACACUUCAAUUUUAGUUGUUAUUAGUUGGAUAAGGCUUAUUCAAAUUUUCAACCAGAUUUGAAUUCAACAAUGUUGAUGUCAUGUAAAUAUUUUUUGAGUUUAACUAAACUUGAAAGUUUGUUUAAAUUUAAUUUAUCAUGAUUACAAAUUUGAGAAUUCAGUCAAUAAUGACAGUUAAUUAAUAUAUAACAUAUGAUGCCUACAAAGCCUUUUUAAUUUAAGGUUAUUUGCUAGUAUAAUGAGAGUUUAAGGACGAUAAUCGAAUCAUUAAAGUUUUGGAUAGUUAUAAACCAAAGUUUAAUCACAAUAAUUAAAGUUUUUCAUUUGGUAAUUUUUAGGCACCAUUUAAUAAUUAUUUUCUUUUUAAAAAGAUAGUUAAAUUUCAUAAUCAACAACUAAAAAUGGGAAAAUUGAAACAAACACCUUUGAAAUUGAAGCGUGAAGAAUGGAAGAGAGUGAAACAAACAAAACGGAAGGAGAAAUUUAAAAAGAAAUUUUGAGAAUUUUUUAGACUUCCUUAGAGAGUUUGAGGGCUUUUUGAAAGAGAUUUUAGAUUGAAAAUGAAAUUAUUGGAGGGAGAAAGUGAGCUUAUAAUUGUUAAGAUAGUAAAUAAGUUAGUCAAGAGAAAUUAAAAAAGUAACGAAAAUAGAUGUCGAUCUACCAUCACAUUCUUUAAUGUAUCUUAUGGCUGUGAAUAUAAUAAGUUUCAAAUCUAUUACUCAAAAGAAUAAAUCUAACAACAUCAUAAUAAAACAAAGGUGUCUAAUGUAAGGUAUGUAUUGUAGAAGUCAUAAAUAUUUGUUAUUCAAAUCAAUAAGACUAGGGAUAAUUAUCGAUUUGGUGAGUAAUUUUUGUACAGAAGUCGGGGUUUCAAAUCGACCUAGUGGUUUUAUACGGAGGGAAACGGACAACAAUGGGUCGGUUUUGAUCAAUUUUUUUGAAAUAUUUUAAUUAAACAGAUUACCAAUGGAUGAAUUUUGUUAUUUCAAUUUUUUUGAAUGUCUUGUUUGGUCAAUUUCGAUUGUUCGGAUUGAGUAAUGUCUGUUUGACCAUUUUAAAAAAAAAUGAAAUGAAAGAAAUGAUCGGAGUUGCAUUCGGGCGAGGAAACUCAUUAAAUGCGAUGGGCAUUUUGAUUUCGUCGGCGAGUCCAACAACAACGGCAUGCUACGCUUUUCCGACGGUAGCGACAGCUAAUGGUGCCGAUCUCUGUGAGGUUGAAUGGCCGUGAAGAAUUUUCUAAUAUCCUACUUUGCCGUGACCAAUUUAAAUUUCAACUGCUACGUGCAUUAAUUUUUCUCAAUCAAUAUCCUCCCUUUUAAAUGUAACGUGUCGUUUUGUGAAGCUUCAAUUAUUUGUUUGAUGUGAUAAUUAUUAAUAUUAUUAAUAUAAAGAAUAAGAAGAAGAAGAAAAAAAAAGAAAGAAUAUAUUUUUGUUUGAUGUUGUACUCUUUCUUUGUAAUAUUCCAAAUUCCAUCCACUAUUUUAACAAUAUGAAGUUAUUCCUUUCAAUAAAUCAAAUGCUCACGUACGUCCACUCCUUUGUUUAUAUAUGUUUUUUUGAAGUACACUUCACAAUGUCAAAUAAAUAACAAUAAUAACAAUAAUAAUAAUAAUAAUAAAUAAAGAAAGAAAUAAAAACUUUUUUUUGCGUAAAAUGAUUCAACUCUUUGUUAGAAUUUUGUUUUUUUGCUUUUUUUUAUUAAUGCAUUAAAUUUUAUACGUGUAUGAGACUUUUAUAUAUAUAUAUAUAUAUAAAUGUACAAAUUUAUGUAAGUUAUGGAACAAUGUUAAAAUGAAAUAGAUAAUAUUAAAUUAUCAUCGUUCGGGUUUUCUACUAUUGGAAAAAGAUUGAAUUCCACGUAUAUAUUGAAGAAAGUGUUAAAAAUAAAACAUUUGAUAAAAUAUGUACACUUUAUGUAAAAAAACUUAUGUAACAAACUUUGUCUUUUAGUUGUUUUGUUUUAUAUAAAAUAUAAAUAGUUUGUUAUAUUUUUUUUUUCUGUUUUUGAAACUUUACUUUGGUAGGGAAGGAUGGAUUGCUUGAAAGAUUUUAAAUGAAAUUGAUUGAAAAUAGAUAUACACUAGUAGCAUAUAAUAUAAAUUAAUAUACUUUUAAACUUUAAGUUAUAGCAUUAAGUUGUAAUUGGUACAAUUUUAAUGUCACUAAUCUUUCGAUUACAUAUAGGUUAAAGGACAGUUAUAAUAUCUUUCAACGAACAUACACAUGAAUAAUAAUCAUCGUGAAACUAUAGAGUUUAAUACUCCUUCACGUCAACAAAAUUUUUAACAUCAAAAUUAUAAAGAGGACAAAACAAGAAUUAGUAAUAAUUAGUUUAACCCAAACACUAUAAGAAUAUUAUUUCAUUCAUAUGAUAAAUAAACGUCAAUUUCAAACUAGUUAAAAUAUAGAAUCGAUAGAGUAUAAAACUUAUACUAAUUUACAUAUUUCCUAUCUCAAUACAUAUUUCCUAUCUCAAUACUUAUACUAAUUUACAUAUUUCGAAUAAACACGUUAAAUUUAACUCACUGUAGAUGUAAAUAUUAUUUUAUUAAACGUUAUUAUUGUGGACCAAAAUUAUUCCACCCUCCAAAUUAUCAUUGUUAUUAACAAAAAAUUAGUGAGUGUUUAAUUAAAGAAGUAGGUAGAAAUUAAAGAAAUGAUUUGUCCGGAUAAGGAAGAAGAAGGACUAGAGUGACGAAUGGUAAAGCAAUAUGAUAUUAUCUUGUAUCGUACAUGAACAUUGCAUUUUAAAAUGAAUGCAAUUAAACAAUUAGAGAACUUUGAAUUAAAUUUUAAAUGAAAUGGAGAGACUAAAAUAUCGGUGGAGUUAUUUUAAUUAUUUCUAUUUUAACACUAUUCUUUUGUUGUCUUCCAAUGUGGCCAAUGCUUUUUUGGAACAUUCUUUGGUGGUGGGGGGAAGAUGCAAAGCCUUUGUACAAAUAUUAAAUAAUUAAUCAAAUGCAUUAAACUUUAAGGCUACUAAAUCAAAUUAAUUUCUAGAACAUUCUCACAAUUGGGCUCUAUUUUAUAUAUAAAACAUGAAAUAAUUUGUCGAGUGAAGUAUGAAUGUUCAUACUUUUGCUAUAACUUGUAAAUAGCCAUUAAUGGCUAUCAAGAUUUAUUAUUGAUAGAAUUUAAAAAAUUUGCUAUAUAUGAUGUGAAUAUUUUUAUCAAAUUUGCUACUUGCUCUACAAUUUCUCUUGUAAAUAUAAUAUUUCAUCUAAAAAUAAUUGAUAACGAAGAAGUAAUUUAUCUAUUGGGUAAAACUUGAUUGUAAGAUCUCUUUUUCUUUUCAAUGUGAGAGAUUCAACAUUUUUUAAAACAUGUUUCUCUAAAAAGAGGGUAUGUCUCGUUACUUUAGUUUGAGAUUUUAUAGAUUUUGAUAUUAUAUUAAAGAAACACGAUGAAUCAUUUCUUAAAAUCAAUUGACAAUAAAGAAUAUGAUCUUAAUUAUUUGAAAAAUGUCUAUCAAACUUUUAAUAUGACGUGAAAUUUUCAAUUAUUCUUUAACUAUAGAAUUGUGAUGUCAUUAACGAGGAUGAAGGAGAGAAGUUUAACCCUCAAGAUUAGGAAAAAAAAGAAGUUAUAUGAUUAACAUAAGAUAUUAUUUGAUUGAUUAGUAAUUGUUGAUCACAUCAAGGAUACCUUGCUAUAAUGUUGCCAUUUUAUAUGUUUGGGUCCAUUAUGAUUUAUUUGUUUGUUUAAUAAAGGAAGUAGUUGAUUCAAAUUCUAACUUUUUUUAAAAAAAUCAAUAUAUAUCAUAUAUAACUUAAAUUAAUAUAUAAUAAACUUAAAUUAAUAUAUAAUAAAUGAAGUAGUUUUUGUUUUUAAAAUUUUUGUUUACUAAAAACAAAAAUCCUAAAUGGUAAUUGAUUUUGUUUCAUGUUUUUGAAAAAUAAAAUGUAUUUUAUGAAAACUUCUUUUUCUCAUUUUCAAUUUUUUUUUUCAUAAUUUUAAAAACAAGUUAUUACUUGUUUGAGAAACAAAAAAUCAAUUAAUUAAACAAACACACUUAUUUUUUAAAAUUUGAAAUUUGAAAACAAAAAUUGUGAAGUGUCUAAUUAAUUUGGAACUUCUUAACUUUAGAUACUCAAAUAUAGGAUGGAUAGAUAAAAUUUAAUAAAAGAAAUGUUGCUUUCUCUUUUUGUAGUACAGAAAGAUGUGAGGUUGACCUAUAUAUAUAAAGAAAUAAUGAGAUAUAUUGUAAUAUUAAAAGCUUGUGAUAGUAAUUCAUUUGUUUUCCUUUAAUAUCCUUAAAAUUAGUGAGAGAAAUUAAAAUUAAAAAGACUUUUAAAACAUACAUUUUGUUUUAAAAACAAAAUCAGAUAUAAAAAAUAAACAAAAAUUUAAAUACAUGACUUUAAAACAAAAAAAUGAAAUAGUUAUCAAACAAAUUGAUUUAUGUAAUUUCAAUGGAAUAAAAGAAUAUCAUCGGCAAAUUCAUCAAAUGAAAAAAAAACCAUAACUUUUGUUUGGUCAUUGUUGUGAAUUUCAUUGUUCUACAUUUGUUCACAAUAAGUGAAUAUUUAUAACAUAAGAUGUAAUUAACUAAUUUCUUUUAAAGUAUUAAUGAAUCUAAAACAACAUCUACAUAUAUUAGAUAUUAUUUCAAGUAUAUCAACACCCCUAGCUUUCAUCUUACGUAAAUAUAUUUGAUAAAGAAAAAUAAUUAUAAUAAGUCAAAAACAAAGGAAAACGAAAAAUAAAUAGGUAAAUGGGUUUAGUGGGAUAAGCACAAAGGAAUAUAGCAUAGGGUUAUUAUGUUGCAUUUCAGUGCUAUAUAGCAGCCCCUAGCACUACUUAAUUAACCAACAAAAUGAUAUUUAAUAUAGAUUUUUUUUUUCAUUUUAGGCAUUAGAGACAACAUGUAUGAGAUCGUGGCCGAUCGAAUAUAUUACCCCAGUGUAUGGUUGAAGUGUUACGUUUAAGUUUCUUUUUGAGUGAAAGAAAUUGUAUUGAUCAUAUAUAUAUAUAGUGAGGUGCUCUCACAUUUAGGAGGGACCUAAACAUACUUGCUUGAAGUAUGUUUCAAACAAGAUCAAGUGAAAAAGAACGAUAAUGCAAUUACGAGAAAGAUUCUCAAAUUUGAAAAAAACCCAAACAUGCUCAAUGCGAUGGUGUUAAGUGAAAUAAGUUUAUAUAUAUAUAUAUAUAAUUUUGUUAUUUUUGAUCUAUAAUUUAAAUUAUACUCACUAAUUUAAAAGAAAGAGAUGAAAAGACAUCCCAAUCUCUUUCAUGUCGAAAAUCUAAUGUUAGAAAAAUCUGAAAAGACUAUUUUUUAAGGAUGAAACAUUUUCAAAAGUAACAAAAUAAAUUAAAAUAAUUACAAAUUAUAGUAUAAUUUUUGAAUUCUAUCAAUGAUAGUCAAUAAUAUCCGAAUAAAAUCUGAAAUUUUGUUAUAACUUAUAAAUAUUUUAUCAAAUUUACUAUUUUUGAUAAUUUUCCGUAAAAAUAUUAUCUCCCAUUAUUAAUUGAUUUUAAAAGGGUCACCAUCCUAUCUAGCCGGAAGAUUAUUGUAAAUGAUAAAACUGUUUUUUAUUAUAAAUUUUCAAAUUCGAUUGAUACAAAUAGAUUUGUGAAAAUUUUCAAUUAAUUUUGGUGUAUUUAAAUUGGCAGGUCAUUGUUAAUGGAACACUAAUUCUCGUAUAUUCCAAAAAUUUGAAGUCUUCCAUAAAUAUAUUUAAUUAAUCUCAAUGUCCAAAUAAUAUUGUUAAUGAAAAACAACAACUUUAAAAAUGUUAAUUAAAUUGACAGAUAAUUCAUGAAUUAUAAAAAACCAUAGUUUUGGAAGAUAAGAUAUAAAAUUAAUAUAGUAACGCCGCGAUGGCUUUUCCAAGAAGGUGAGACCUAAUUGUAUAUUUAUAUGUUCUUAAAUAUUGCAAUUAUGGGACGUAAGAUUCAUUUAACCCUAAAAUAUCCAACUAACCAAAUAAAAUCAAUAAAUAAAUAAAUGAGGAGUUGCAAUAUUAAUUGUUAUUGCUCAAAUAUUUUUAUAAUAUAAUGUUCUGUUUAUUAUCAAAUCCUAGACACUGUAAUAUUAUUUGGAAGAUUUCAUAAGAAUGACACUUCUGUUUUUUUGUUUACAACUUUUAUUUUAAAUUUUAAAUACUUUCACUUUCAGUUCAAAAUUUAUUCAUUUGUUAUUAUUAUAAAUGAUUUAGUUAUAUCAUUAAAAUUGUAAUUUAAUUAAACAUAGAUUACUUAAAAACAAAAACAAUAAAUACAAAAACUGCUCCAACCCUACUUGAAAUCUAAACAUGACAUAAGACCAAACAAGAAUGGACGAAAAAAAAACUAACACAUCUUUUCCAAAUUAGAUUUUCUUAGUAUAGAAGAUGUGAAUUUGAUAUUCAAAUUUAAGAGAAGUGGCAGAUGCAUUUUUAGUCAUUAGAUUGUAUUUAUUGAUGGUGCAUAUUUAUAUCUAAACUUAUAUAGCCUUAGAAAAUGGACUAAUUAUAGACGUUAAUUGCUAAAUUUAAUUCAUUUGGAACCCUCUUCUUUGGGCAAAUCACUUCAACUCGUUGGGUGUAUCCUUUUAUUUAUUAGUUGACUCAAUACGAGGGGCGAACUUUUUCGAUAUAAAUGGAUGAUCAAAUCAAUGUGAUAAGUAAAUAAUCGACGUUGAUUAGGUGAAACACAAAAUGAGUAACUUUAAGCUAAGCUUCUCAAUAAAAUUAGACAGUUGCAAUGCUCGAAAUUUAAAAUGUUAUUUGAACACCUAAAAUGCAUAAUAAAUCUAGAAAUUCAUAUUUAUUCACAUCUUUAAUGAAUUAUGUACUUAUUUAAUGUUAUGAAAUUUUUAUUUAUUACAAUAGUUGAAAUGAUAAAAAUUGAAUGUCGUGUCCUUUCAUUCAACAUUUUUAAUUAGUAUAAAUAGAGUUGUAGUUUCACAUUUUGCCAAAAAAUAUCAAUAUUAAAAAGCUAAUGUCUUCUCAAAACUUGUUUUAAAUUUGAUGUUAAAAAUCAAUUCACUGGAUCAGUCUUGAUCAAGUCAAUUCUAAAGUGAGUUAUCUUAUGAUCUAAGAGUGACCAUCAUAGAUUCUAGCUCAAAUUUAAGUCAACUUUAUUUAUGAAUUUUUGCGACCUCCAACUUUUCGUGUCUAACCAACGUAGACACUUAUAACAAAGUAUAACCCAGUAGAAGGAGAAGUUAGCUUAUUUUAAUAGUGUGAAAGAGAUGAUGAGGAUACAUCAAUAGUUUAUAAGAAGAGAAAGAUUUGUUUCUAAUUAAAUAAAAAAUAUAAUUAUAAUAUAUGAAAUGAAUUAACUCAUUUUAAGUAAAAACAUAAUUAAAAAAUAAGUAAGGUUGAUAUGGUGGGGCCAAAUAAGUUAUUGGGAGCACACCCACAUCGGUGCUGUGUAUAUAAACCAUGUGAGGGUGCAAUCAGCAAUUAGACCAAAACACUAACUUUCUAGAGUCUACUUGGUGAUGGAUGAGCAAAAAGGCAUGUAAUCUUUUUGAAUAUCAAAGUUGAUUCAAAUGCAACAUAACAUAACUUUCUAUUUUAAUAUUCAAAAUUUAUUUAUUCAUUCCAAUAUAAUAUUUGAACACAAGUCAACCCUUUUCUUUUUUCUUUCUUUUUUUUUCCUUUGGGAAAAUAACUCUUCAAUUCCCCUUAAUCAUGUGGAAUUUCAAACCUAAUUAUUGAUGUAAUUUGGUGGUAAAAAGUUAGAUAAAUUUAAUUAAGUCUAAAGAUGUAAUUAAUGACUACUGUAAUUUGGAAAUGAUUGAGAGUAACUUUAUGAGGGCUAAACAUUAAUUCUAAUGGUUAAAAAUAAUUUAAUACUCAAUUUUACUUUCUUACUUUCGUUUAAAUUAAUUUAGAAUAGUUAAAAAUAUAUGUUAAAAUGUUUAUCCAGGUGAAUAAAAAUGAUUUUAAUAAUUUUUAAAUUUCACUCACAAAUAUGUCAAUAAAUAGUUGGUACAUGGUGGUUAACGACUCUCUAAAACAAGAGUUAAAAGUUGAUUUUGAAAUAACUAAAAUCAUUUUUUAUUUUUACAAUUAUUUAAAAAUAUAUUUUAAUUAUUGAUUUUAUUUAUAUUGAAGGGAACAUUUUUUAAAAUAACAAAAAAAAUUAAAAUAUUUACAAGUAAAAUUUUGGAUUAUACCCAUCGAUCAUGGUCUUCUAUCAAUCUAACGUAUGUAUGAAUGACUACUAUAAAUAAAAUUUACUAUAUAUUGUAAAUAUUUUUUAAAAUACGCUAUUUUUUAAAAUUUUUCGAAUAAGACCAGUUGAAGACCCAUUUUUUUCCAAAUAUUUUGUUUUUUACGAUUUCCUUAAAAUAAUAACCAUAAAAAUCCCAACCAGUUUCUUCAAGAAAAGCAUUUUUUUUCUCUGCCUUCAAUUUUAUAAAAUCUAAAAUCACAGUUAAAUUAUAGUAGGAAUGAUUUUCAAUCAUGAUAAAUAAAUCAAAAUAUUUACUGACAAAAUUUAGCUAAACUUAUAGAGUAUUGUUAGAUUUUAGUCAACAAUAACUUGACUCAUCUGUAUGUAUGUCUAAUAAAUUUAUCUAUGUUUGUGUAUUCAUGAGAGGUUGCGUAUAUAUUUCAAUGCCAAUUCAACUAAACUCGAAUCUAAAUUAACUUUUGUUGCAAAACUAAUAAAUCAAAAUUUGUUAGAGAUGAGGAGAAAAUGGAAGUGGGAAAGGAAAGAGAGUUGAGUUUUGAGAGACAUAAAAAAGCCAUUAUUAUUUAAGACAAAACUGCCUUGUACUCGUAGUUGAACAACAACAACAAACAACAGUUGAAGGAAUGCGUAACUUUAGAACCUGAAAUAGAGAGGAACGAAAAGAAGCAAAAGCAACCUUUCUUUCCUCUAUUUUUUUUUCUCUCUCUACUUGAUUGCCUUUGCAUAAUUUUUUGAGGUUGAAAUGGAGGUGUGUUCCACUAAAAAUGUCUGUCUACUUAGGGUUUUUCUUUUUUUGUUUUGAAGAUUGGCUUCUUCUCAAUUGACAAUUGCUGGAGCUUCGGUGUUUGAUGGUGAGGUUGAUUUCCUUGUGGAUGAUUUUUCAUUUUUGCUGUUUUUUGAAGCUCUUAAAACUGUGUGGAAUAGUGUUGAAAUCUUCAAUUCUUGAUGUUUUCGUUGAAUUCGAAACUUUAUAGCUUCUCAUUUUAAUGUAUUUUUCUUUGGCGGAGCUAUUGCCGUAUUCUUCUUCUUCUUCUUCUUCUUUUCGAAUUUUGUUUGCUGUUGCAUUUCCUUGUUUUGGUGAAUUUGUUCGUCUCUGAACUUAUCAAUUCUCAGUUAUCGGCAAUUUUCAAGUGUUUCUUCGUUCUCUGUUUCUGUUUUCGUUUGUUCUACUUUCAUCUCCUGUAUUUCCGUUUCUUCUUUUCACCUUCAAUUCUGACUUGCGGCAUGGUUUCUCAUCAAUACAAGAAACUUUUCAUCACCGAAAACGUAUCAAGAUUAUACGUGUUAGCUUAACUUUGCUUUUCUUGAACUGUUCCUUGAGCUUGCCUGAAUUUCCUUUACUCGCAAUCCUUAUUUCUGAAAGAUUUUGCUUCUCCUCUUACAAGCAUCUUUCAUUUUAUUACUUUCUCUGUAGGUUUCCGAAUUUUGUGCUACUUUAUUCCGUGAUUUUCACAUUUUCGCUUUUAAACUAUGUAUUUGCAGAAUCGGUGCAAGGAGAGGAAUUCGUUCUUUUUGAGUAAAUCAAUGCGCCGUUGCUAGCUCGUCGUCUUCUUUAUAUUCCUAUUGUUGUUGCAAGAAAAAGAACGACAAAAAAUGUAGGUAUCAGAAAAAAGUUGCGUAAGGCAACUGUUGCGUCUCAUUCCUUUCAUGUGACUCUUGCAUUUCUUUUAAUCUAAGCUCUUAAAUAUGAUCGUCUUUUUGCAUCCGUUGAACUGAUUUUGAUUAGAACCCGCCAGAAGUUUGACUGAUUAAUAAGCCAUCUGAUUAGUGACCGAUUGAGCACGGAUUUUGUAUUUCAACAAUUUCUUGCAAUUAAUAAGUGGAUUUUUAGUCAAAAAGUUAUGAGAAAUGAGGACGAAGAACUUUUUUUAGUAUUAGGAAGGAAAGAACUCACACUAAAAUUUGUGGACAAUUUUAAGAGUGGCUCGUGAAUAACCUACUACUUCUGCUUUGUUGGUUGGCAUUUAUUUGAUUAAUUUAUACAUCUGCCUUUUCUGUUGCCAUCUGGCAACUGCUCUUGUGAAAUUUAUGUUAUUUGCUUCAGCGAUUUUUCAUUACCAGCUCAUUUGUCAGUUCUUUUGAUGUACAAUUGGACUAAUUUGAUGAAUUGGUACUUAUCCCAUGCCAUAUGAAUAUAUAAAAUGCCUGAAAGUCCAGAGUAAUUGAAAACCACUGAUACUGUGUGGGCAGAAAAUUCAUAUCUGCGGAUAUGGGAUGCCUUGCUUCAAAGCCGGCAGAUAAUGGUGGAAACAGGCGGAGGCCGGGAAACAUUGGGGAAGUUUCUGUUUAUGUUCCUGGUCUGCGCAUUCCUAAACCAGUAGAUUUCUCAUUGACACUUGGCGAUCAUCUAUCUAAGAAUAUAGUUGAACGUCUAUCAGCUCUGAGAACUCGCAUUAUUGUAAUGGCUGGCCAAGAAGGUCCAACUAUCACUAGAACGCGGAGAAAAACUGCUACCCAGCAUGGUUAGUAAUGAAAAUAAUUUAUUCUUUUUUAAACUGUGUUUUAUCUUCUUUCCUUUUGAUACACCAGAUGGUACUGUUAUCUUUAGGUGGUUCAACGUUAGCUGAUCUUCAGCAGGCUCUGGAAGAUUAUUUACCUGUUCUUUUGGGAUUAGUUAAAGAUGGUAAGUCAGGUUUUAAUGAUUAUGAGUGGUUUAUAUUUCGUAAGAUAAUACCUAAGAAUAUUGCUUGUGUGCUCUACCUAGGAAACCAGCUUCAACACAAAGUACAGUUUGCGUGGAUUAAUCAGGAGGAUGAUUUGGAGGUUGUCAUGAUGCCAGAAAUACUUGCGAACGUUUGUUGGAUUCUUUUAAAAUAAUGUCAUCUUUGAAAUUUAUGCAGUUUGUUAAUAACGGCUAAAACUUAAUUAUUUUGCAGGAAACUGCCAUGUCCAACGCUUGGUAUGAGGUGCUGUCAGUUUUGCACCUAAUGGCAAUGCUAUCUUUAUCACAGGCCAACUUAUUACUUCUUCCCAGAACAUCUGCCGAUGGUUAUCAACCGAAAGUAUCAGAAGGUAUUUUUUAGGCAUAUAGUUCAUAUAGUUUUCGUUACUUUCUUUUCCCUUUUCUUUUAAAGUUUUGUAACCUUUAAUGCAUAAUACAUAUAUAUCAAAUGGGCUAUAUGCGAGUUUCAUUUGUCUCUUCUCAAGCCCUAUAAGUAUUGCAUAUAAUAUGGAAGAAUGAGUGUAUCAAAAUGUUUGUGUUAGGUAAUCGGUAACAUGCUAUUUUGCAGACAAGGCAUAUUUCUAAUUGAUGCACGACCAUAUGGCAUGUUAGUUGCAUUCAUUUUCCUUACUUUCUUACUAGUUGCUAGAAGCCUCAUUGAGAUGAUGAUGUAAUUAUAAUUUUUUUUAAAGAAAAUGACAAAAUAUUUCGCUUCAUUAAAGGAUGUAAUUCAAGCUAAAAAGGUAGGUCUCUAUCUGUUGCCAUUAUGUGGUCCAAUCUGCUUUCUAAAUAUGAAUUUAUGUAUGGUCACCAUUAUCGAAAUAUCAGACAUAUUUUCUGUGUAUUUGGACAUGUAGUUUCCAUUUAAGGCAGACCUGCAAUUUUCAAUAUGACAGGCUUUCUUUCUACUUCAUUUAAUCGUUAACAAUGCCCUGGCCUUGUUACUAAUGAACAGUGGUUUCUGUUUUUUUGCAGAGAGUAGGCGAGCCUCAAUUGACAUUUUUGUAAAAGCUGCAGGAUAUUUGGAUUGUGCUGUUAGACAUGUUCUUCCUCAGUUGCCUGUCGAAUUUAGGUAUGCAGAUUAGUAGUGAGCUUGACAUCGUUAACAUCCUUGCUAUUGUUCAUUUGAUUCAAGCAUGUUUUACUGAGCAUAUCAAACAAGAAUUAGUUGGUCAAGGAUCCGCUGAACCUGAAAAGAAAUGACAAUAACAUAAGAUUCACCUUCUAUACAAACUUGAAAAAGAACUCCAUCUUCAACAAUCUUUUGUUUUUUUCAACCCAUAUGACCUCUUGACCUUGAGUUCCUUGAAUGUUUGCAUGUCCUAUUAUUCUUACAAUUCACCACUGUAGGAGAAAUCUGCCUGUCGACCUUGCUGAAGGAGUUCUUCGAGCACUGUGCCUGCAAGCACUUGGGCAGGUAAUAUGUUCAUAUUGCUUUUAUGAUAGGCUGCUACAUUGAUUAGUUUCAUUUUUUUCCUUUGUUUUUUGGGCAUACUCUGAAAUGUUGAACCUCUUAUCAUAUAUAUCCAUUUUCCACGUAGAGAAGAACUAUACCUUGAUCGGUUUUGUUUCUAUAUUUACCGAACAGUUUAAAUUUAGUGUUCGAGGGUCUAGCUGGAUAGUGCAACUGCGCUCCUUUCAUCUAUGUAUUUCAUUCAAAUAUAAACUACGUGUUUCCUAUUACUUCGAACUUUUCAUGUGCUCAUUGCAUGCUAUAAAAACUACGUGUUUCCAAUUACUUCGACCUUUUCAUUUGCUCAUUGCAUUCUAUAAACUGGGGUACAGGGAGUUGAUAUCCAGCUGGGAAUGGCUAUCGAUAGCACCAAAGCAACUCUUGCUGUAAAGCGAAGGCUUGCAUGUGAGAUGGUAAAAUACUGGCAGCAGGUAAGUUUGUAUUUUUUAAUUUAUCACACUAUUUGAUUACAAAUUAGUAUGGAGUAACUAUUGACCUUUGAUAUCUAAUGACUGAUUGAAGUGCCAUUGAUCUGUGUUACAUGUUUAGAGUUAUAACGAUCAAAAUAUGACUAUAAACAUGUUCAUCACCUCUUAUUAUCUACUUGUAACAGAUGCAUUACAUAUACUAAGUGUAUAACAUUUCUUGGUCUGAUAUAGCAUCAAGUAAAAUUUCUAAUUGCUACAGCAUACAAUUUUAGGUUAGGACGUUUAUGCAAAUUACCUGCAUUUUCAUGCACCGUUCUAUACAAGUAAAUACUCUAAAAAAUUAUUGGAAGGACAAGAAAAUUAUGCUAAUUUUACUUGGAAUUAAAAAGUGCAAAGUAGGAAAUGUACCUGUUUUUUUCCGCUCAUUAAUAAUAAUAGUUAAUGAAUUUAUUAGGUGCCACUGCCAUGUAGUCAUAAUUGUUUGUUUUCCAUCAAAACAAUUUUGUUUUGAGGGAUGUGCCUUUUUAGUUAAUGCUUGUGCAUUGGUGCAUCCUGGUAAUGCAUGCCAGGUGAACUAGUAGAACAUAGUAAUCAAAAACUGAAAUAAACACUAAACGCUAACUUGAAAGACCAAAAGUGCGAUUUGCCCUAAAAUUAAUAAACAGUAAUUGAUCAAAAUAUAAAUAAAUAAAAGACAAUUCAAUCGAUUAAUUAAUGUCAAUUGAUAAAAUUAUAACAAAAAGAAAUUUCAAGUUUCUCAUAUCCAAGUAUUCAGUUCUUGGCUUCUUAAUACCAAUAGUUGACAUUCUUUAUUUUCGGAUAUCUCAUAUCCAGGUACUCUUUUCUCAAGCAUCUUAAUUCCAUGAAAACUUUGAAACAAACAAACCUUUAGGAACUUCACACAUGGCACGUCCAGGUAUGUUUGGAAUUUGGUCGCCUACCAAGAAAAGUUGCCUGUGACUUUCAUUGAUUGGGACUGUUAUUUUCUCCCAUAUAACUAAACGACUAGCCCCGUCAUGAAUUAGUAACCCAACGUGAACACCAAGUGUUCUAUUGGUACAAAAUGGAGAAAAUGCACAGGAGCAAGACCCAUCUUUCUCUUGCAGUAGAAUCUUGCUGAAACAUCCAUUAACCAAAUGCACUUCAUGGACCUUUGUUGAUUGUGCGGACAUGGAUGAAUACCCAUUAAUGCAAUGGUUCUUGCUUAUGAGUUUCAAGUAUAGUUUUACAAUGUCAUGUAGAACUUAUUUCACAGUUCACUCGGAAGCUAUUAUAUUCUAAUUACUUGCACAACUAGGCUGCCGUUUUCGUUUAGUAUGUUCAUAUAUCGACCAAAUUUCUUUUCCGCAAAUACUCAAUUCUGAUUUGGCUUUGAUGAAUUUGAUGAAUUUGAAACGAUGUCCACUAUCUAUUUGCUCAAAUAGCCAGCUCAUAAUAUUCUCUCAUUGCUUUGCAGGCCCAAGAUAACAUCAUGAACCUUCCAUUAUCAAAUGGUUGGGGAGAGAAGCACCGGCUCUUCGUUAAAUGGAAAUACAUUGAAGCAAAGGUAUGAUUUGAUUGAUAGCCUAAUUGAGUCUUCACCCAUCCUUUCAGCUGAUUAAGGAAACUGGUGUGUGCACUCAGUUGUUCGUCUUAAGUAUUGCAUAUUUGGUUCUUAGUUAUCUCGAUCUCCAAGUACUUAAAACUGCACUCUUUCCUCCAUAAAUAUAACUAAUGGUCGUUCAUUUAUGUCGAUUAGCGUGUAGUCGGUAAUGUCAUAAGGUAGCAAACGAAGCUAUGGAAAACUAAGUACGAUCGGUUUUGUGUUAUUAUAAACAGGCUGCAGCAUACUAUUAUCAUGGUUUGAUACUUGACGAGGGAAACACAGAGAAGUCCCAUGGGAUGGCUGUAGCUGCGUUGCAAGCUGCCGAUGAAUAUUUUAAAGAAAGUAAAAAGGCAUGCGAGGCAUUUAACUCUGCUCCUCCAUUAUCAAGGUACUCCUUUUUCUCUUCACUCCUAUUUUUCCUUUCCAACUAUAACAUAAUAAGAAUUUACAAAUAUAGCAAACUUUAGAUCCAGAUUUUGAAAUCUAUCAAGCUAAUAAAUAGGAGUUUAUUAGCAAUAAAAUUUAUCAUUAAUAAAAGUUUACUAUCGUUAGAAUUUAUUAUAGUUUACAUUUUUUAAAAAAUGUUAUCCUUUCGAGUGUUGUUUGUUUACUGCAACUACCCUAAAACGAAUUUUAAGCUAAUGUUGUGUACUUAAGGUCCAAGUAAAAUGCAUCUACACAUCGUUUUGUUGUUAUAUUUCAUACAUCAAACCCUCUUUCUUUCAAAACUCUACCUAAGUUUUCGGUUUUAGGGUUCCUAUAAAAAAUUUGUUUUUCUUAUAUUUCGGUCUAUUUAGUCUUUAAAAUCUUUAAAUUAGUUCUUUAACUUUUGAAUUUCUUGAAAAGAAAAAAGUGAUUGAACUCCUAGACAAAUGUUUGGCAUAGAAUUCAAAUUCAUACGACCUUUGAUCAAUUAAUUUAGAAAAAUUUUAAUUUGACAUAAACAUGUUAGACACAAAAUGAAAUUAAAAUUAAAAAUGUAAGAAAUCAAGUUUAAGAACCGAUAGUUUAAACAUCAAAUAGUUUGUUUUCACAUUAAUUUAGUUUUGUAUCAAAAACUCAGAAAUAGAAAUAGAUAUGAUAUAUGCUUUGCUUAAAAGCUAGCUAAACAUAUCAUUUCUUAAAUAUGUAGCGUUAGCGCCUUUCCUUAAAUAUUUACUUAGUUAGCAAAUUUGAAAACGUUACCCCCAACUAUUGCAAUAUUUUCAUGCAGAAAUCCGCCGCUCUUUGGAACCAUGAAGUAUCUCUCAGAAAAAAUUCCAAAAGAUGCUUCAAGCAAAGUGCGGAUAAACCGUGACUUAUACUCUUUCGAAAAGUACGUUUCGUCUUUUUUUUCCCUUUUGUUUUACUUCUUUCAUUAAUAAUACUGAUAAUUCAGCGUUUUAAAUUCAGAAUCGUGGAGACUGCACCGACAUUGCCCGAUUUCGCUCUAGCUCUGAAGCCAGACGAAUUCCAACUUCCUGCAGUGGAUCCUUCAUGGAACGAGGAGAAUAUAGUAAACAGAGGUCAAGUUGUUGCCCCUAAACAAUUAAAAAGUGAUCAAAGAUAAAAAAAAAAAGAAAAGAGAAGAUAAAUCUGUGCACAUAAUUACAUCGAUACAUGACUGAAGCCGCACUAAAAAACGAAUAUGUAAAUGGCAAGGGAAAUCUUCAAUCAUAGUGUGUAUUUUCAUAGGUUUUCGCUUUUUCUUUUUUCUUUCUUUCUUUCCUUCCUUUUGCUUUAUUAAUAAAUUCAUGUUUUCCCUUCUUCUUGAGGUUUGUAUUUUGUGCAAGAAGUGUUCUCAAGUUCCUCUGAAUGUAUUAUUUUCUGCCCUGGAAGCAGGCGUUUAACCAUAUUUGUUUCUUCCUAUAGUUUUAGUAUCAAUGGAAUUUUAUUUAGCGUUAGUUAUACGGCAAAUUAUAGAUACCCUAUAGGUUGCAAUUUUAUUUUUCUCUACUUCUAAAAAGUGUUAAAAUUAGAUCUAAAAACAACGAAAACUAAAUUCUCAAUAUUGUAUAAUUCAUAACAUACCUAUAUAAUUUUGUUGGCUCAAUUUUAAAUUUAGAUAAAAUAAUUUGAAAAAAUUGUAAAAAAAAUAAAACAUUUGACAAAAAUUUUACACAUAAUAAUGAAGUUGCCUUCUAGUAGUUUAAAUAGUAAAUAUAAUUUUGUUGGCUCAAUUUUAAAUUUUAGAUAAAAUAAUUUUUAAAAAAUAGUAAAAAAAAUAAAACAUUUGACAAAAUAUUUAAUAGUGAAAUUGUCGUUUAGUAGUUUAAAUAUAAAUAGUUUGUUAAAUUUAAUUUUUAAUUUUGAAAGUUUAGUGGUAGUAGUUGCAAUUUGACCUAAGCAGUAAAAUACACCUUGUUUUUCUCUUACGGAAUAAAGAAAAUAAAAUAUAUAAUAUUUUCUUUCGAAAGGCAAAUCUAUUAAAAAGGAGUUAUAGAGUUAUAUAGAGGUUUUAUCAGAAAAACAAAUUAAGAAUACAAUAUAACAUAGGAAAGACAAAUUAAGAAAAAAAGUUUUCACUAGAAGGGAAGAUACUUGGAACAGAGAGAGGAAGAAGAACAUUAAUUUAGAAAGAAAUAUAUUGAGAGGAAAACAGAAAUGCGUCGGGAGGAAAAAAAAAGAAGUAAUAUUUUGAGUAACUAUUUAAAACUUAUCCUCCUGAGAAAAACCCUUGCGUACUACUUUAUAAAAUACUUUUCAAAAUAUUAAAUAGUAGAUAGUAAAUAUAAUUGGAAACUUUGUAAAUACUUUUUUAGAAGUUUUGACAUUUACAAUAAAUUUUCAAUAUAAUACUGAAAACUGAAACCUCAUUCAAACAGCAUCCAAAAAUGGAAAAAUCAAAAGCGUAAAAGGUAAUAGUAAUCAUAUAAUCACCUUUUACUUGCACAUAUGCUUGCAGUUCCGACGUCAUCCGAACUGCCCCAACACAAGACAAAGUGAAGUGAAUGAACCGUGGAACAUAUGCCAAAUUAAUGUGUGUCUAAUAGAUUAUAAAAUGAAGAAGAAAAACAACGUAGAAGAUAAAGUGAAAUACAAAGUUAGUUUUAGUUUAGGUAAAUUACAAAUCACUAUGCAGUAUGAGAUAUUCUAUUGGAUGUAAUGGUCAAGGAACACACAAUGAGCCACACCAUAGAUAAACUAUAAAUGUAAAGUUUUGCAACUAAGAAUGUAAAGUUGCAAGCCAGAAAUGCCAUUGCCCUUUAAGGACAAUUUUCUCCAAGCAUGUCGAUAUAUCGUGAAUAUUACCGUGACUGUAACAUCAGAGAGCAUAUAAAUUGUGGGAAACUAUCACUCUGCACCAUUUUCGUCAUUGUCUCCUUCAGCUGCCUGCUUUUGCUUUUCUUGUUCCUCUACACAGAAUUGAACAAGCAAAAAGUUCAAAAAGGCAACCAAACAAGGUGCUCUGAAUGUUUUAACCGGAUCCGUAAUUUCAGACUUCAAAUAAUUUUCUAGCAUCUCUAUGAUACACAUGAUAACUACUCUUGCAACUUUCAAUGCAUAACUAGCUAACUAGGGUAACCUACAUCAAUUUGAAUACAACUAUAAGACAUGUAAUGCCUUCUAAAAAAUAUAGGUUCAAAACCUCAUCUCCUAUUUGAAGUGUAAUGUCCCAAGUAAAUGAAUAAAUAAGAAACUCGCUUAUGCCUUCUAAAAAAUAUAGGUUCAAAACCUCAUCUCCUAUUUGAAGUGUAAUGUCCCAAGUAAAUGAAUAAAUAAGAAACUCGCUUAUACCGACUCUAAGAUCCACAACUACUCUUGAUACCAAAAGAUCCCUAUCCCCCAAACUUUUACAGCCCAGCCAAGUUCAAAGUUUCAAGAUUGAAGACAGCUUAUAAUCCCAGCAGAGACAAGUGCAAUGACUUCGGUUGGAAAAUGUUAGAGAAAAAUGUUGCAACCAACAGUACAUCACACAUGUUUAACCUCAACACAAAUGCUUGAAGAAGAUAAUCAAGAUCUCUUAAUUGUUCAUAACUGCAGUGGUGCAUAGGAAUUUGCUCACAAGUUAAAUACAUCAAAGAGAAACAGAACCAGCAAACAAAAUGGUAUUAUGUAUAUGCCAAUCAUCCCGAGAUAGAUAUCUUCUCAGACAAACAAAGAAAAUAAAAUUCAAUCCAUAGUCUAGCUACACUACAAGAAAAGGCAAGUCAAAGAACGAGCAUAGUGUAAUGACCUAUCAAGUUAACCUUUAAUUGAAUACUUCUACUUACCCAUAAGCUUGAAUAGUGCUUUCUGUGUGCGUCUUUCAAGCUUAUCAAGCUUCUUCUGCACGUCCCUUCUAAGGUCCCAGUUUGGUUUCUUUGGAGCGAUAUUUACAAAUGGGUCCUAUAAUUUUAACGAUCGAGUAUAAUUAAUAGAAAAGGAUUCAAAAAGUAUGAUUGUAGGCCAGUUUAAGAACAUAUAAAGGCAGAACUGACAAAAUUACCUCUUUUAGUUGUGGAGGUUCAGAAGUAACAGGGUCCUCAAAUUUAGGCAAUACAGGUGGGGCAAGCUUGCCCUCCUGAAGCUCUUUAUCAUGAGGAACAUAGUUCCGAAAUUUCAUAUUGAGAUUACUGCAAAAGAACAAUUUAUUGGUGAAUCAAGAACUGAAGAGACACGAGGCAUAAAAAAAUUCAACAUCAAAAAAUACGUUUGUCUGUAUUUUGCACUCUUCCAAGAGGGAAGUUUCAUCGUAAUUGAGUACAUAAAUUUUUCAAGUGAGUUUGGAAUGAGAACAGCAUCAAACAAAACACAUAUUCAAUGGACAAGAGAAUGUUAUUUAUAUUGAACGCAUUUUCCCCCUCAAGAGAAAACAUAUUGGAAAACUUUUGAAGGUAAACAUGAGAACAUAUCGCCCCGAAAAAAAAAAAAGCAAUUAGGCUGUAUGAAGCAUUGCAAUCAAUGGGACCACCUCGCCAUCAUCCUAAACUCCUACAAGCACAAAUGUUAUUAAAAACUAGAAAGGAAAAGAGAAAACACAAAAAAGAAACAGAAACAAAAACAAAAACAAAAGAAAAGGAAAGAAAGAAUUGAAAAGUAAAUGAAAGGAAAAAAAAAAGAAGUAAACAUCUUAUUGAAGGGAGGAUAACUUUAUGAGCAUACUUCACAUUUCACAUGCUUUGUGUUAACAUAAGCUUUACAGGUUAGUUUCUAGUACUAUUCUAUCAUAUAUUUGGUUUUAGUCUUAUGCUCUAUAGCUUUUGUGGCCAUUUUGCGACUCUAGUCUGCAAAAAGAAAGACACAUUUUACUAAGGAAACUAAGGCAACUUUUGUCUGUCCUGCCCCUACGCAAAUACUAUUGCCAAUGCUUUUGUUUGUAAUAUGCCCCAAUCCAAGUUCUAGAGAGCUUAGCACACUGGCAACAGCAUGCGUUAGUAGCCUGUAACAUGUUUCAAGCCAGAUUCUAGAAACUUGGCUCACUAUGCUAAGUAUGUAAUUUCAAUAUAGACUCCCGCCGUACAAUAAAAGAGAGAAAAUAAGUCAGAUGACAGACACAAAGAUAAAAAGGAUGGCUAAACGCUAAAGGAAGGGAAUGAGAAAGAAAUAGUUAAAACAGAAGGAAAAUAGGUCAGGCAAUAAACACAUAGACAGAGAUAAAAGAGAUAAAGAGGACAUUCAAAACGAGAUAUAAAAGAGAGUAGCAUGAAUUUGGAGAGAUACCACAGAAUAGAUAUUUAAAUGAGAAUACACUCACGUUUCAUCAGAAUCUUCAGUAGCUCCAUUCUCUUUAUCCUCUCCUCCAGAAUUCUUCUCAUCUGAAUUGUUUAACAAUUCCUGAGCAGCUCUUAGAGCUUUCAAUCUCUCUUUACGUGCUGCAGCAACUUGUUCCACGGAGUCUUCUUCAGUAGCCAUUGCCUUUGUGCGUAAAAUACCUGAUACGAAAAUAACUCUGUCUAUGAUUUCAAAAAUGCAUACGCAAUUAACGACUUCCGCAGACAGCGGUAGAAGAAACAUGAAGAUGAGAAAACACAACAUACGCAAUUAAGGACUUCCGCAGAAGAAAUAUACUUACAGACAAAGUAGACAGGAAGCUUCGAGCAAUGGCGGGAGGGAGAAAAACGAGUGUUUCUUUCUUGCGCAGAAGCCUUUUUGACGCAUUUCUCUUUGGAAUGAGAUAUAUAUAUAAGGCCCGGAUCGUAAGAGGCCCAUCAAGAGUUCAAUCGGAUCCGCUCAUGAAAUUUUGUUCCUCGUCGGGUUUUUUUCUUCUAAACUAAAAUCUAUUUUUUCAGAUUUCUAAAAUUAUAAUUUAAUAUUUGUUUUCCUAAAAAAAAUUAUUAUCUUUAUAAAAUAUAAUAAAUAGUCUCAAUUGAUAAUAAAUCUAUAAAAAAAAUCUCUACUUUUAAUUUCUCUAAAUCUUAAGAUCAAAACAAACCCUAAGAAAUUCCUUCAUCCAAUGAACCAAAGCAUGUAAAUGAGAUAAAUUGCCCCAAAACAAACCCUAAGAAAUUCCUUCAUUGAAUGAACCAACGAUACGAUAUUAUAUAUUGUCGCUUAAAUUUUGCUAUUUCAUCAAUCAUAGUUGGAUGUACACAAAGUUUUUCCUUAAACAAAACUUACCAUGAAAUGUAAAUUGCAACGCUUUUAAGUUAUAACGUUAAAGAAUCAUCAAGUUGGUUGGUUGUACACUGCUCUCAAAGAGGACGGUUGAUUAUGUGUUCUGGUUCUAUUGUAACUUUGUUCUAAAAAACGAAAAACAAAAUUCAAGGAAUUGCAAUGGUUGUCCAAUUAGAUGAACUUAGGAAACUAUGGAUACAAUUAGUCAAAUUCUAAGGUUAAAAUUGAAGCUUUAGUAUUACAAACUACAUAUGCCAUUGCGGACACCUAGACUUACUCACUGAAUCAUUAUUUGAACAACUACCUAACUCUACCAAAAUAUUCAACCACAAGUAAUAAACAUCUCAAGUAUUUAAAUUCCAAAUAUUUAACUUUCAAAUAUUUAAUAAUAUCCAUAAGCAUCAAAUAAUACUCACUAUCUAAGCAAAGCUGUGAAAGGUGAUGAAAGAGGUUAAAGCCAAAAAAAGAACCGAUAACAGCUUGACUUGUUUUAGUGGAAGCUUCUCAUAAUAAUAAUAAACACAAACUCAUUGCUUCCUGCUCCAAUUAGUGAAUCACAGGUUUGAGAGGAUGAGCUCUCAAUUUGGACAAGUCUAGAUUAGAAUCAAGUUCCUCGUCUAGCUCCCCAACAAUGCUUCUGCACAAGAUUAACUUCAUGAGUUUCAAAACAAUAAGUUUCUAGUGAAAUUAGGAAAAAGAAAUAUAACUCUAAACAAGAUCAUGUUUUUUAUGAUUCUUUUCUCCUCGAUUCUACAAUAUGCUUGCAGGAGAGGAGGUAUUUGAGCCUCUAACCUCUCGGUUAACUCCUUGAAAAAAAAAACGAGAAGAAAAAAAGUGAGAUGGUAGUUACAUAUUGUCGCCUCGGAUUAUAUAUAGACCCAAAACAAGUUGUUGAACGCCUUCCUGCAGAUCGAGAAGUAAGUAUUGAGUUAAUUCAAAGGAAAAAUGUAGAGUUUUAAAUCCUUUGAAAGCCAUUGCAUCAGAAAAUUCAAGGAUCCAACAAAUUCAAAUGAAAAUUUAUCCGUUCACAUAAUUUAAUGAGUAUAGACAUUUCUGUCUGAAUGAAAACUUUUGAUCCACAUGAAAAUGCUAGUACUUGUUAUUUGAACUAUGGAACUGAUGAACAAAAACAUUAUACAUAUAGUCAUGGAAUCAGUUUCCCACAACAAAGGCCUACACGGUGAAUAAUUGAAAUGAAGAUAAAAUCAGAAAUGAAAACUAGAUGGCUUACUAUCCAUUUGCAUAGAAUAGAGAAAGCAAACUAGGGCAUGCUUUUGAAGGAGUAAAUUUAACUCAGCAUGAAGGCAGAAUUAAGCUAAUGUGGUCAGUUUUGGUAUCUGUUGAAAAACAUGCUUUCCUCAAGGGGAAAAUUUUGUACUCAAGAUCUAACUUCAGUCUUCAAAUUUAAAAAACAAAAUUUUCAUGUAUCAAUUGAAAGUAUAGAACUACCACUUCUUAAUCAUCAUAUUAUCCCCUUGUUGCUUCUACUCCUUCUCACAUCUCAUUUGAUAUUUUAGCAGCUCGAAUCACAUUAAUCUAACCAAUGUAGAAUCAUGUUUUCUAAUUUAAAAUAUAAACAAAAAAUACAACGACAAUCAGCCAAGUAUGAAAAAUUUUGUCCGAACCAGCAUAAUAGAAAUGCAUCAACUAAGGUGUGAUAACAGUCAAAUCAUAUAAAUUAUUUUUACAUAUUGAAAAAAUUCUCUCUCUAAACUAACAGUCAACGGAAGAGCAAUAGAAAGUAGAAAAUUCCAUCUUAGUUAACAACGGUUAUUGUACAAACCUUGGUAGAGUAAACACGUUCAUGAGAUUCAUCAAGAAUAAUAUUUGUAGCCUGGUCAAACCCUUUCAACACUCCCUGCAUAAAGUAUUAUUAAAUUAAACACAAUCUGGGUGGAUGAAAUAUCAGUUAACUAGAUGAUAGCUCACAACCAUACCACUAUAUUGCGGCCGUCGUUUGUGAUAACUGAUAUUGUUUCUAAAAAAAGAAGUUAAGAGGAUGAUUUUAGUGCAAGCAAGUGAGAAGAUUAAGAACAGUAUAUUAGACAAUAACAUAGGAUUUCAUCUUAAAACCAAUCAACAAUAGAGGAGAAAUCCAUAUAUAUCUUCAACAAAGUAUAACAGGUUACAAAGAGGUUCUUUUGAAUAGCCUAAAACAGUUCAUAACCAGCUCAAAAGGGAACAAUCUAUUCAACUUCCACCCUCAAGAGUUCAGUAAUAUCCUCGUUGGAUCAAUUACUCCGUUUUCACACUGAAUGAACUAUAGAGACUGAUAUAUGUAUAAAAACAAACAGUUCGAGAGAAUCUAAAUAAAAUUACUUACGAUCAACCAGAGAAUCAAGUCCAGGUCCACUUGCCAUAUUGAAGACCCUUACAAUAAGCCGGGAGCUAUUCUAUGUUAUCAGCUCGGCUAGAUUCUGCCCAAAACAACAAAGAAAAAUAAGACACAAUAGAUUACAAGUUAGUCCCAGAAGAAGAACAAGAAGCGUUAUAAGCAUUUCAGGAACCAGGUUUCAUACUUAUACAUCAAUACUUAAAGCUUAAUUUGAAUGUAAAUAUCUGAAGUAGCAAUUUCCUUACCAGAAAUGAACUAGCCUCGAUUUUUUCCAAUUUCACGCUUGCGGCUGCAAGUGAAUUCUCUAAAUCACUUAAACGAACUACAAAGCAUAAUAUAAAGUUCGUAAUUCCAGCAAAAUUUAAAUUGGAAAUUCCAAUUUUCUAAACAGAUUAAGUGUUUUCUUCUCUCCUAUAGGUUUAUAAUCUGCCAAUAUAUACAUGGUUGGAGUUGUUCUGUCAAUCAAAACAACUCCUACAUGCUAGGGAUCAAAAGAGCAUUGGAUGACACGAUAGAUUACUUCAACUAUUCUACAUAAAAGAUAUAAAGAAGAUCAAAGCCUCAACCGUUCGAAAACAUCCAAUUUGCCACAACGGUUUCCAUUUUCGUUGCUACUCUGCUAAUGUUAUAAAAUAAUCACAAAUAACGAUAAACAUCAAAACAUCUCUUCUCCUUCGUUAGACAAUUCUAAUUUGAGUUUUCAAGGGAGAAGAAAGACAUAGAUGGAGAUUUUGAGCAUACCUUUAACAGUAGCAAGAGAGAGUAGAAAGUCAGUACAACAAAAGGAAGGCUGCGGCAGGACAAGGAGAAGAAAACGCCGCCGGCACGAGCGGAAGAAAGACGGGGGCGAUACUGAGCUGCUGAAAGGAAGAGCCGGGGGUAACUGUGAAGAAGAAGAAGAAGGUGUAGUACGUGAGAGUCAGGAAGACGAAAGGGUUUUAGGUUUUCUCUCUCUUUUAUUUAUUUAUUUAUUUUACUUGACGAACUAUACCUUGAAUACACUAGAUUGAGUUUUUCCUCUAUUUUUUUUUUAAAAUGGUAUGGUUUCAAUUUAGACAAAGAUUUUUUUAAAAAGUAAUAAAAGAUUAUUACAAUCGAAAAUUUAAUAAAAAGAUUUGAACCACAACCUUCAAAGGUUGGUUGUAGUUUUUAAUCCAUCAAUUUACAAACUAAUCAAUCAAUUUACCUUUUAAAAGAUAAAUUAGUUUAUAUUAUAUAUUAGAUUUUUUAGCAUUAAUAGAGUUGAUAUGUCAUAUGGAGCAACUUCACAUAGGAACUCGGAGUGAAAAAUGAACGAUGAUACCUUUUGAAGUGCUAUGAAGUUAUGCGGUGUCAAGUGAAUGAUUCAUGACUCCUUUAUGGGUACUCAUGGAAGGUGAUAAACUUGAUUAAAAAUUGGUGAAGAAUAUAGUUGUAUUGACGAGAAGGCUACUUACACACCAUGGAGGUCGUUAUGCUAUUGGGUUUUAAAUUAUAUUAUAGUCACACACCAAAUAACUAUUGUUUCACCGAUUUGUUUUUGUCCAAUGUAAGUAGUAUUUAUUGAAUAAUAAGAAUAUUCCACAAUAGUAAAAAUUCCUUUUACUUUAUAAACCACUUUCACCAUUCUUUCAUGUAGUAAAGAUGAGAAAGUACAAUAUGUUUCUCCCUGUUUGAAACUAAAAAUCCUAAUUCUCAUAAAUCGGAAAACAAAAUCGUAUUAUCUCCAUUUUCAUUUGUACCCUUUGUUAAAUCAAAUGAAAAACGGAAGAUAAAUUAACAAUAAACUAAGGAAUCCAAUUUUCACCCUACUUACUUAUGGGACUUUGCCAACUUCUUCUUUCGUUUCUUUACAGCCUUUGGGACCUUGUUCUUCCGAGCCUCUCUCUUCUCUUCCUUCACCUUCUUUUUGUUCUCUUUUCUCGCAGCUUUUCUAUCAACUGGUGUCUGCGUAGUCUCGGUUGAAGAACCCGGUUCUCCUUCUGACUCAUUCGAGCUCUCUUCAUCUUCCUCUGAUGUUGAUUCGGUCGCUUUCUCGCAAGAGUUCGACAAGCCAGUUAUACUUUCGGAUGGUUUGAUCAUGUCUGCAUUGUGUUCUUCCUCAUCUUUUAGAUCUGACGUAGGUUGAGCCAUUGGAAGGGCCUGUUUUAAGCCUGUAAUGGUCUUAUAGUACAUAUCUUCAGUGUCCUGACCACUUGUUAAACGUAUUACAUCCUCCUCGGCAUGUUUGACACUAUCCAGUGUCUUCGGAAUAUAUGACUGGAAGCAGGGGGAAAAUCGAUUAAAACAUAUCUUGCAAUAAUCCAAGAACUUAAAAAUCAAACCAAUACUCAGUCGAUCCGGACAUACACAUGCUUGAUAGCUGAAAAUGUUAAGUUACCUGAACAAAUACAGAAUCUGCAAUUUCAUCCUCAACAGAUAUAUCACCUCUAGCCGAGAUUUUCUCUUGCAUCUGGAAAUUUGAAGAAAACAUAGUAAAAUAAACAGAUAUUUUCUAAAUUUAAUAAUAAUAAUAAUUAAAAAAUAAUUUCUUCAAUAACAAACCUCUUCUAGAUAAUUAUCCAUCGUCUCAUCAGUGAGGCAUGGAUCAACUAUAAAAUCAAACAGUUCUCGUAUUGUCAUUACCGCUACACCAUGUUUUUUAAAGAAAUCCUGUUUGUCAGUACAAAGUAGCCUCUCAAAGUCACUUCACCAAAUGAUCAAAUUGCAUUAAGUUAAGAAAAGAAGUAGGAGAAUAGAACCCGAGCUUAUUUGAGCGUGAUUUUGAAAUGGUUAAGAACACUUUUGUCAUGUGGAAAAUCACUUUGAAACACAUGGAUCAUUCAAGAUCAAUUUAAUGUUUGAUUUCACACAUCAAAAUGUGAUUUUCGUGCCAUCAAAACUGAUAUUGAAUCAUUAAAGGCAUGCACUUUUGUCAUAUUGAAAAUCACUUUGAAAAACACAGAUCAUUCAAAAUCAAUUUAAUGCUUGCUUUGAUUUCACACUUCCAAAUCUAAUUUUCAAUCCAUCAAAAUUGAUUUUGAAUCAUUAAAGGCAUGUAUGUAUUUGAUAGAAGUGAAUUCAACCAUUUUAUAAUUACUUGCAAACAAACAAUGUCCAAAGACUUACAGAAACAUGAAGACAAUCUUCACGAAGGAAAUCGAGGGCAUGAGGGUGGUCGAGAUCAACUGAUUGAGAAACAUCUAUAAUAUAAAGAUGACCCUGUCAUGCAAGAGAUAAACUUGCAUUAGUCUUUCCAUAAUGCCAUUUUGUCAAGUCGACAAUAUUAGAAGUCACAAACCUCAAAAUAAAGUAUGUUAUAUUCACUAAGAUCUCCAUGGACUAACUUGCACUUCUGGUAGAGGGUUCGCAUCGUGAUGAUUAUCUGAAAAAAUGAAAAGAAAAUUACAACAUUGAAGCCAUGCAAGCAAUGUUUGCCUUGAAUGAAAUAUUGAAUUUUAAAAACUCCAGCAUUAAUCAGCCGCGUCAUGUUGCUGCAGAAGUUAGGGGCUAAAGUGCAUGCACUAACUUUUCUUUUUAACAUUAAUUAUGUGCAUAGCUAAUUCAUUUAUCACUAAAGAGGACUCAACAACUCCAGCACUUGACAGUCUCUAUGAUUAGCUUCGGUUUUAGAAAAAUUGUGGUGGAAACAGAAUAAUGCAGGUGUCUGAACUUUGGUGAUAACAACCACACAUACAAACAUACCUCCAAAUAACUUUCACGUAGCCUGUUCAAGGACAAGGCAGCAUCCUUAAGACGUGGUGCAGCCCAACCUGUCUUGCCUACAUAAGAGGAAAAGGACAAUGUUAGGCCCCGAUAGUGAAUACAUAUGUUAAGAGCCGUAGAACUGAACCAUCAUGGAUUGACCUAGUGGUAAAAAAGGAAGUAUAGCCUCACAACUAACUAAGAGGUCAUGGAUUCAAUUCGUGAUGGUCAUCUGCCUAGGAAUUAAUUUCCUAUGAGUACCAAAAUGUUGCAAGGUCAUGUGAUUUUUCUCGUGAGAUUAGUCAAAGUAUGCGUAAGCUGACCAGAAUACUCACAGAUAUAAAACAAAAAAAGAACCCGCAGAACUAGUAAUAUUUGAGGAUCCUUUGUGUAUUAGCCACCUUAGGGGGAUACUGUUCUAGUUAUGUUGUUUUGAUAUCUACUUUGUGUGUACUUUUGAGGAAUCAUUUGUGUAUUAGCGUGUGGUUGGUAUAUCGCCCUCUUGAAUCAGUGGUAAACUUGUGUACCCCUAUCCAUAUUUUGUGAAUGAAAGUUAAAUCUCUCAUCUAAAUAAGGAGUAUCCUUGCUGGAAAAAUCAAUGACAUCUUCAAGAUGCAACUCAAGAAUAGAAGCCAGUCAUACUGUGUUAGUUCGUUAGGUGAAAGUACUCACACAAAAUUAGAAUGAUUUGGACAUGUUGAACAUCCUAAAUACUAGUGAUUCACAAACAACAAAAUCUCUCAUGCCAUCUAUCCAAGUUAAAUAUCCAUUACCGAAAUCAGACAGAGAAUACCCACUUGUUCUUCUUUUGCUAGAUUAUCAAUUUAAUAAUAGUGCAGAAGUGUUUACUUUUUCGUUUUUGGCACUGGUUGGUUCAUGCAUCUCUCAAUGCAAAACGGUUUGUUCUCUUUACAAAGUGGAUCUUGUCAUAAAAGAAAAGCUGUUGUUUUGCUCAAAUACAAUAAAAAUAAAAGUAAGAAAAAGUACACCAACAUCAAGAACAUUUGUUGUUCAAACCUAAUGACACAAUGAACCAAAAAUGAAGAGAACAUCUGACAUUAAAUGAAAAUUAUUGAUUAUUCAGGAACAUAAGCUCGGAGAAGGGCAUAUGUACCAAUGAACUCCAUGACCAGCACAUGCAUUCUCAAGAGAAGAGGAGUAGGACAUCUAAUUCCAGCAGCUUUUAACCUGAAAGUUCAAGGUAGCAAAUACUAUGAUUCAAAAGAUUGCAUAAAAAAUUGCCGUGGGUGUAAAAUUUGCAGGCAACUCGAAUGAUUCAACCAAUUAAUGCAUAUUUAAUUUAAAAUUUAAGUUUAUAAGCACUGCUUAUGAAUCAUGUGUUAACAUUUUUUUUAAUCCAAUUAUUACUCAUAUUUUCAAAAACCAAGUCAAGUUUUGGAGAGGAAAAAAAAUAGUUUUCACAAACUCGUUUUUGUUUCUAAAUUUUGAGAACUCAAGUGUUUCAUUAAGAUUUUUGAAAACCAUAACACUUGGGAGGAACAAGCAUAAUUUCAUAUUAAAAAGAUAAAACACAACACAUUUGUUUAAAAAAAUUCAUAAAAUAUUUUUAUCUUAAAAUGUUGGUCCCAUCUUGUACAUCAAGAAACUGAGCCCAAUGGAGGUCUCUCUUAGGAACUACAAAUAGUUGGCGUGGUUACCUCAUCAAAUUCCUCAUUUCCUUCUCAGCCCAUGUCUUGACCAUUUUCCUUGGAUUAUGCCUGCAAUAUCCGUGUCUGAAACGGUAGUCACCUUGGACAUAGCGAUCCCUGUCCCUGAAAUUGACCAGAAUAAUAAAAUAAGCUCAGACACUGAUGCAUAUAUAAGUUUCAAAAUGACAAGGCGAGGCCCUCUUAGCUCUGUUAUAAUCAUUGCUGAACAUAGUUGGUAAAACUUUUGAAUGAAACCAAAGCAACGAACACCAAAUCAAAUUCAAUAGCCUUAAGACAUACUUAAACACCAAAACUGAAGUUUUGUAGAUUUUGAUAGCAAAUUCUUGACCAUCGGAUUUCGUUGCGUGAUAAACAUUAGCCUGUUGAUGAAAGACAGAGAAAGACAAAUAAAUAAAUACAACUCGGAAUAACCUACUAGACAAAAGCAGAAAAUUGUAAAAAGAUUUUCAUACUUCAAUUAGUAAAUAAAUAACAUAAUACAUACUUCUUUUCCAGUAGAAAUGCAGCCAUUAAUGUCAUGAAAAACACCUCGGUUGAGCAUCUUGAAUAAAACCAUUCGAGUUCUAGGAUCAAUUGCCUACAGCAGUCGUGCAUUCGACCAUAUAAGUACUUAUAAUGCACAAGGGAAUGGAUUGUUUCAAGAGAAAACCAAUUAAAUGUUAUAGCCACCAACCUGUUCAACAGUUGCACGAUCAGCUUUCUCUGUAGUUUUCGUCUUUCCUAUAGCCAUUUCCUUGACACUGUCACGAAUGGCAGUGGUAACAGAAUUUGACAUUCCCACAUUAAACCUCCCUUCCCAUUCCUACAUUAACAAUCAGGAUAAACAAUUAAGGUGUCACUAAAUUAUAUGGGAUGAAACUUAUAUUAUUGGCACAAUAGUAAACACCACCAGCAGUAGGAAAUCAGAAAAAAAAAAAAUUAACAAUGAUAUACCGCAAGAGGUGAAGCUCUAAUGUGAUUGGUAAACUUUUGGUUCCGAUUUGAGAGAGGUUGAAGAGUUGAGGAAUUAUGACGAGAAUAAAGCCCACCAUGGGCAUUAGGACGCCUAGCAUUGAGUGAAAAAGUCCCAUCGACUGUUUCUCGAUCUUCCUUCGCAUCCAACCAGUCCAAUGCAUCUCCAAUCUCAGAGUCUGAUGACCAUGAAAGGUCCUCCUCUCCUUCAUCUUCUUCCACCGAUUCAUCGUUAUUCAUUAUUGAAGGUUCGACUUCAUCUACCUUCUCUUCCACAGCAGGCAUGCCUGCUGCUUCCAUCAGAGGUGUUACUGUAUAUCAAAACUCAAAACUCGCCAAAAGAAUCUUUAAAUAGAUCACCUUAGAAACUUCCGAAAAACCAUUAAGUAAAAAAAUCCUAAACACAACCAAGAAUCUCGCGAAGAGUGGUGGCUCACGGAGACGUUUCCGGCGAGGUACACAAAGGUGUCGGUUUGCUGAUGAGCGAAGAGAACGGUGGCUGCGCUGGAAGACUGGGCAGUAAGGGAAGAUGUUGAGAGUGACGAAGAGAAGCGGAGAGAUAAGAAAACACGUGGGUGUAGUGCGCGACGAAGACCUGCCGGUUUACGUGGCUGUCACCGCUGCUCGUGGGUUUGCUGCGAUCGCCGACGGAGGAGAAAAACCGAGCAGGAAGAGAGGAGGGGUCGAUGAUAAGUGGAAGAAGCAGAACCCGCGUAGGGUUUUUCUUUUUUCUCUUUUCUUAAUCUACUUAGACAACUUUUACCCUCAACUUUUAACUUCGUUAAAAUUACUUUUUACUUGGGAACUUUUUCAAAUUCUACCUUAAUAGUAAUGAAUUUUUUACCUUCAAAUAGUAUUUCUGAUUGUUGUUGCACAAAUCCAUGUAAUAUCGUGCCACACACUAAUAUUUAAGUAAGCAAGUAUAACCAUGUUGAAAAAUGUAAAACCAAUCCUAACAAAAAUUUAUUGGCUAAGUAUUUCAUAUGAUUUCAAUCAUUAUUUUUUUAUUAGAAUCCGUUUGCAUUUCUAUUUAGGUUUUUUAUGUCUUUUCAUUCCAUUUGUCAAUAUAACUUUUUAAUACGGUAAAGAUGAGGGAUCAAACAUUCCACUUCUAGAAUGAAAGAUCAUGUCAAUUAUUGUUGAACAAAUUUCACUUUUGUAUUGACUAUGUAUUUAAAACUGAUAGUUGACUAGUACCGUUAAACUUGUUAUGCAACAACAAUGAUAUGUCAAUGAUAGUCAUGUCACGUAUAGAAUUCUAAAAAUUGAAGUUUAACGUAGAUAUUAUUACGAUUGUCACAAUUAAAUGAAGGAAAACAAAUUACAUUCAUUUUUUUUUUUAUCAUGAAACAUCAUCAAAUAUAAUAAAAUGAACAAAAGAUGUUUACAAAAUAGAACCUAAUGAAAUUUUACUCUACCUUGAACAUUUUAAGCAAUUUUACAAUUUACAUUUAUUAUUUUGCACUUUUUUCUAUAAUAUUCUCAUCACUUCUAUUAUAUCACCAAAUUGGUUUCCAAAAAGCAGAAUUUGAAACAGAAAAUGGGCCUUGGACCUUGGGCCUGAUUAGUGUAUUGCAUAACGGAUCAGGCAAAUGGGCCACAACAUCGGAAACAGGUAAGACGAAAGGAAGGAAAGAAAAUGGGGGAAAUGCAUCAAAGGCUGGAUAACUUCGGAAUGUAUCUACACUGUAUAUCUACACAUCGUCCGAAACGGAACAGCUCCAAAACGUCCAAACAAAUCCAAAGCAAGGGAAAAGAUAAGAGAGUGUGAUUUUGUGUUUGGAAUCGAAAUUGAAGAGCUUACACAUAUCAUUACGUGUCACCCCAAAACCACCACCUAUUUCCACCUGUCUCCCUUCUCUCAACCCCCCAUUUUCCCCCUCAUUUUAAAAAUCCCACAAUCCUACAUGCAAAUUUGCAAUUUCAAGCUCUCACACACCAUAAUUUUCCACCCUCAGGUAUUUCAACAACCAAAAAAGGGAAAGGAGACUUAACUAAACACUCUGCUUCGUGAGGAAGUGUUUUGGUUUUGGUGAUCCUGUUUUUCACCGCCGUUAUGCCGCCGAGACGAUAUGCUUUUGGACGGGCCGAUGAGGCCACCCACCCCGACUCCAUUCGUGCUACCUUAGCUGAGUUCAUUUCCACUUUCAUCUUCGUCUUUGCUGGCGAAGGCUCCGUUCUCGCUCUUGGUAUGACUGUUUUACAGUUAUUUUGAAAGUAAAAAAUUGACUAAUAAACUAAUUUUAAAUAAUCAACAACGAUUUGACAAAUGAUUUUUUUUUUUCAAACAUGCAACCGCCCAAACUUGAUCUUAUUAAAAAAUUCAAUAUUGUAUUUGAAAGGAUUUUCUUUUAAAUUUUUUUACAAACAUUUUCAAGUACAUGCAUGCAAGAUCAAUGGAUGGAUUAUUAAUUUCUUGGUUUUCCAUUUUUGCAGAUAAAAUUUUCAGGCCAGCGGAUUAUGGAAGUUAUGGUCACGGAAGUUAUGGGCAUGGAAGUUACGGCCGAGGAGGGUACAGUUAUGGUCACGGUUAUGGUAGAAAGGGGACCGACACAGGCAGAGCUGCGUCCGAUUUAGUAGUGAUAGCGAUAGCACACGCGUUUGCGCUGUUCUCGGCGGUGGCAGCGAGCAUCAACAUAUCGGGUGGGCAUGUGAAUCCUGCAGUAACUUUUGGGGCCCUUAUCGGAGGGAGGAUAUCUCUUAUUCGUGCAUUCUUCUAUUGGGUUGCACAGAUUUUGGGUGCCAUUAUCGCUUCACUUCUCUUGAGACUUGCAACGGGUGGCAUGGUAAAAGAAAAACACUCACAUAUAACUAAUGCUUUAGAAAAUGUAGCCUUUAAUUUUUUUUUUCUUUUUUCACAAUUAUAUGAAGAUUCAAGAAUAAAAAAGGUUAAGAAAAAAAAAACAAAAUACUAAAGAUCUUGAACUCAUUAUUAUUUUAAAGUACACAUAUAACUUUUGUGUAUGUUUCCGAAGUAUCUAAUCAAACUUUUAAGAAGGAAGAAAAAAGAAAUGUUUUUAUUUUUUUUUUCAUUUAACUUUUAAUUCCACAAUUUCGUGCAUACUCAAACUGACUCUCUCUGGUUUCACCAUCUAAGUUCUGUAAACGUAAGAAAAGAGCUCCAAAAUUUUGGCUAAGCAUUCAAAGCAAUUGAGGAAAAUGUGCUUAAUUUUUAAAAACUAAGAGGCUUCCAUCUAAGUCUCUCAUGCCAUGCUUCAUAACCCUUUUAGAUUAUUGUUUCUAGUAGAGGCGCUCAAGAUAUCCAUCCCUAAUUUUUACUUUCCUUUAACGUCCUUACUUCCUUUGUUUAUUUUAUCAUCUCUUUUUUUUUUUUUUUUUUUGUCAAAUUGCAGAGGCCUAUGGGGUUCUUUGUUUCAUCAGGAGUAUCGGAAUUGCACGGGUUUCUACUAGAGAUAAUCCUUACAUUUGCAUUGGUCUACACAGUUUACGCAACAGCAAUAGACCCAAAGAGGGGCAGUUUGGGAACAAUAGCACCACUGGCAAUCGGGUUAAUAGUCGGGGCCAAUAUUCUGGUGGGUGGGGCCUUCGAUGGGGCCUGCAUGAACCCAGCAAGGGCAUUUGGGCCUUCUUUAGUGGGCUGGAGAUGGGACAAUCAUUGGAUCUAUUGGAUUGGCCCAUUAAUCGGAGGUGGGCUUGCGGCCCUUGUAUAUGAGUACUUGGUCAUUCCCGUUGAACCUCCUCUACAUACUCACCAGCCCUUGGCUCCCGAGGAUUACUGAGUUUUUUUUUUUUUUUUUUUAAUUUGUAAAAACAUAUUCGAAUGUGUGUUUUGGAUGUGAGACUGUUUUUCUGCUCUAUAUGUUGUAGGGUUUUUUUUUCUUCUUUGGAAAAGACUCGAAGCCUUUUGUUGGCCAAGGGUGGUUUGUUGUCUCCGUUUGGGGUUUAUUUGUGGUGUUUAUGUUCAUGAAGGUAAUAAAUGUCAUACAGCUUACAUCUUUAUCUUUUCUUAAAUUCUAAGGUGAUGUUUUCUUUUCUUUUCCUUUUUAAAUCCAUUUGUGAUAAGGUCAAGGUUCGAUCUUAAAGGUUACCCCCUAUAUUUUUUAUAAAUCCAAAUACGGUGACAUUUUCAAACGGAGAAUUCAAUAAAUUUCACAACAGAGACAAAAGAGUUGGAUUAGGUUAUGGAAAUACCAUGAAUAGGUCCAAAGUUUUGCCCUUAAUCCAUAUCCUUGUCGUCCUCGUAAGUUGACAUUUCAUUUCCUGUAAUUUCAAGACAAACCAAAAAUGGUCCUUCAAUCUUUUGUCUUUGCUCUCCAUAUUCAUUUUGGUCCUUAAUACUAUUGACACGAAUUAUAAACUAAAAUAUAGUCAUCUCUGUAAAAAAUGAAUUAUAUAUAUCUGAAAUUGUGAAAGGAAAAAAGGAUAAACAAGGAGAAAAUGAAACCAAAACCGACGUACAAAAGAACAACAUGACUUAUGACAGUACGUAUACUAAAACAAUAAACGCAAAAAAAAUAUACAAAAAUAGGAUUGAACCUGAACAGUUCUUUCAUUUCAUUUUAUAGUAUUUGGCAACCCAAGGAGCAAGUUGGGUGUUGUGAGGUGAUCUUGGAUUGGAUGCAUAAUAAUCAGACCAGUAACAAGGGGUGAGUUUAUGAGCGAACCUUCCGUUGGAAAAAAUGCAAAAAGGAAGCCAAUCUUCACCGCCAUUCAUCCUUUUCUUGCGUUCUCUGGGAUAAGCCAAUGGCGCCUGGACAUACCUGAAAAUAAAGCAUCUCAGCAAUCUUCUUAUGAUCAAACAUAUAAGCACAAGUUCAUGCGUAUAAAAAGGGUCACACAAUGAGAAGAAUUCAUUGUCUUCUACUCCUUUUCAUGCUCUAAAAUUUGAACUCGAAGGUCAAGGAAAAAUUUUGCAUUUUGCAAGUGAAGUGAAAUGAUUUAACAUUACCUGAUGCCAUCAAGUACUAGAUCCCAGCAGAAAUGGGUAUGACCAAACACAUGACAUGCUGAUGUUGUUUCUUUACUCCCGUGUAUUGAUCUUAUACGAUCCUCGAGAUAAUCUGAGCCAAUGAUUUUAGGGAGUUUUGGGUAGAAUAGCAUCCUCUUUUCUGGACAUAGCUCUGGCCUAUGAACACAACAAGCAAAGCACAUCAUUAUAUUAACAAAAAUGACAAACACAAAGAAGCUAUUGAUAAAAAAGUCAUAAAUCAUCAUAUGCUUGACUUCGUCAAACGUUUCAGUAGCCAUGCUUUCCCGUGAUUAAGAAGCGAUCCUAGUGGUAAGAGUAUAGGAUGUUUAGUGAUAAGCUCCAAGAUCGUGGAUUUAAUAACUUCAUUAUUUUAACCCUAGAAGCUAGCUUUGGAUCGGCGAACUUUCUCUUCCAAAGGUUAAUUGGAAUGGGACAUGAACAUAUACAUAAUGAACAUAAUCCAUGGAGUGGGGUCCUCCUAUACCCCUGUUAUUUAAUAUAAUUGGCAGUUAUCAAAAUUCUAAAAAAGAAGAAGUAAUCCAAACUUGCCCUCUGGUUUGAGUCAGUGUUUGAUUGGGUUCAGGAGAAAGAAUGUAAAUCCAACUUCAUUUAAGAAUCUAAGUGCCAUAAAUGAAUCAUCACACUUGUUGCUACUUUAUAUGCAACAAUAAAGUGUGGACCAAAUACCUCGAUUAAAUAAUUGCAUUUCCAAGGCAACAGCAUACGACAUGCAAAUUGAACACUGUCUAUUGACAUAAACGAUCCAUAAUUUAACAACAUAUAAAAGAUGCACCAAAUGCUCUCCAUAGAAGACCGUGAUAUGAGAAUCAGUUUGUAAAACACAAUUAAUGAGUUGGGUGUUUGCGCACGUAUAUUUACUGACCUGGGAACAAAGUGAGAAAAUGUAAUUAUCUGACUGCAGGUUCUUCGAAUCUUCUCGAUCAUUAUAUUAUUCUUUUCAUUCAUUGCAUCAAAGAACAAUGCUAGUGAAGCACCUUCAUUUGAAAGAUCUCCGGGCCAUUUACAUGCAUGGAAGUCUUUACAUACCUGCCAUUAGCCAUUUAAAACCAAUUGGUCCAAUUCCACGAGUUUUCAUUUUCAAAUCAACGGAUUCAAAUAAGAAAAUGAAGUUGCAAAAAUAACCAAAAUAAAAUUUCGUGUAAAAGGAUUAAAAAACAGUACGAAGACACAACAAUAAUCUCGAGCCUUCUUCAAACACAAAUAAUAUAACUACCAUGCGUGAACAUCUACAAUAAAGUAACUAAUUGGGAGAAUUGUUCACUCAAUAAAAUUUUAUCACAGCAGAUAUUAUAAUGAGAAACGAAAUGGAAGUUGCCAGCAAGCUAUAGGUACAAAACAUUGAAAUUUCAAAGCUCAACUGUAGAAGAGAGAAAACUCCUUAUUCCACCAACACAAGUUUUGAUCAUUGCUCAAGGUAACAUUCCAUGAGAAAUCAAAGAAACAGGAAUCUUGAAAUAAAUACACAGACAAGUUGAAAAGAUGCAGCCCACAUCAAACGAACCAAAAAAGACAUUCAAAAUGCAAAAAUUAAAAGGGAUGGAGGACAAAAGGCAAACAAAUUAGAGCUCUGGAAAUGGAAUUAGUUCUCCAUGAUACGAAGAACUAAUUUCAUUUCCAUUUCCAUUUUCUAUAUGUAUUAUUCAAAAGAAAACAAAAAUCCAAUGAGACCAUUGCAAGAACCUUGAAUAAUAAAUAAAAAGAUUAACAUGAAACUAUACCAAAGGCGUUAUAGAUACAGAAAAAACCUGAUAUUAAAACUAGAUCUAAAGACUCUUACUAGGGAAAAGAAAGUGAAUCACCAUCUCCAGAGAUGGAAUGCGGAUACCCUGUAAGUCCAUUUCUCUGUCAAAACUCUGAUGCAAAAACAUCAAAUAACGCACAAGGAUGAGCAUUAAUAUCACUAGAACUGAAAGCUACAAAGAGAAAGUAACAGUCAAUCACCCACCUCGUGAUACCAAGAGAACAACGGAACUAUUCCCAAUCCGUUCAAGAUUGCCGGAUUGGUAUCAACUCCAAGAUCUCUACACGCAUCAAGAAGUUUACUCAUCUUCUCAAUAGAAUCGAGCUGAAAAAAAGAAAGCGUGUAAUGAAAUAGCUAAGAAGGAAAAUCUAAUGAAAAUCACAAUGUAUAGAUGCUUCAAAACUGGUAAGUCAUCCUAAAAAUAUAAAAACUAAGAAAUUACGAGAGAGCUUACAGCACGAAACCUAACCUCCAACCACUUACAUAAUUGUCUUCCUCCCGACGGCACCACAGAUCAUGAUUCCCAGGCACAAAGAAGACGCGCUCAAAUCUAUCCUUCAACAUAGCCAUUGUCGAAACAAAAUUACUUAUCGUCUCGGCUACAUCUCCGGGGACAAUAAGAACAUCGUCUCUAUAUUUGUCCAAUGACAAGGAGUGAAUCCAGUUCAUAUUUUCGUCGUAAUCCGUAUGUAGAUCAGAGAGCACAAAGACUCGCAGGCCACCGUCUUCUCCGAAUGCGGAAGGCAGAAUAUGAGGCCUCGCAACACCGAAACAUUUCAACUUCGCGCCUCUCUGAUUUUUGCGUAGAGGUGCAAGGAUCGAAGGGGGAUUAGAAGGGCGGAGUUUUAGUGUAAAGUUCGAACAAAAAGGAACAAACGUAGCCACCAUGAGGCAUGAGCGGUGUGGCAAUUGGCCGUCCGACUGGCUUCGUGAAAUGCGAGGAGUCGGGAUUCUCGCCUCUCGUCGGAGUUAAACAAAAAAAUAUGGAUAAAAUGUGGCGCCUAAAAUUAAAUAGAAAGGUUGGGUUACCUUCUCAUAAUCUUUUCAAAAGUUGCAAAAAGAUUUAUAUUUCUACAUUUUGCUAUUUAAAAUAAUUUCUUGUUUUUAUUAAACUUAAAUUUAGAUUCUCUUUUCACAAUUAUUUUUAAGAGAUUAUUUUAGCAAGAAAGAUUAUAGAAAUUAAAUGUUUUGGUUUAUUUUUUAUAUUUAAAAUUAGUUAAUUAACAAACGGGUCUGAAUUAGAGGAUAGUGAGAUCAUAAAAAGUAAAAGAAAAAAUUAAAAUAUUUUAAAUAACUUGAAGAGGCUUAAUUUAAAACAAUUAUAUAUUGAGCCGAGAUUUCUAUAAAUAAAGAUGGCGUUGUCAGGUGUGACAGAACGAUGUAGCAGAUCCAAAUUUCGAUGUCCAACAUUUAUUACACUUAGAUUUGUAAAAUAUUUUAUUUUUUAUAAUUUCCCUUAAAUUAAAUAAAAAAAUACAUUUUUAAAAAUAGCAAAAUAAAUUAAAAUAUUUACCCGCUAUAACAAAUUUUUGGAUUAUAUUAACGAUAGAAACUAAACUUAUAUCAAUGUCUAUCGAUACGUAGAACCAUAUAUCAAUGUCUAUCGAUACGUAGAACCAUAUUAACACCUAGUAGACUACCUAGACUAGCUAAACAUGCAUUCUAAAGAUUGUAUUCUAUUGGAACUACAUCACUAAAAACAUUAACAAAGUAGAGAACAACAAUGUAGCUUAUGAUAAUGUCUUUCAACAAAUUGCAAAGGAAAUGGUCUUUCAACAAUGCAGCUUAUGAUAUUCUAUUGUACUGGUAGCUUUGCAGAGUUUAUAUGGGAUACCAAAUAUAUGUUCGAAUUCAAGUUCUAAACUCCAAGGUAUGGUUUUUCUAUUAUUACCGUACAUUGCAAAGGAAAUGAUGGAUACGACACUGCCAACGUAGAGGAGUGGAUAAGAAAUGGAGAGGUCCGGUGAAAACAAACCUGAAAUCGAAAUGGAUGGAAGUGGAGAAGCGUCCGCCGGAGUUGAAGUCGAAAGUAAAACAGAGACCCGUGCAGAAGAAAUGGAGACGUUCGGUGAACAAGUUGAAAUCGGAAAAUAUAGCGGAGAGUCGUGGAGAAGAAAUGGACGGAAGAGAAAAACGUUCACCGGAGGCGGGAGAGAGUUGAAGGGGGUAACUGCAAACGCGGGAGAGUUCAAAUACUCUGGUUUACGUUUUUCUUUUGAACGGCCUUCUGUCUUUGGGUUGAAGAAAAGGAAAAAGAAGAAAGGGAAAAAGAGGCAGGAAAAUAAAAAAGGUAUUUUCGUCAUUUCACCUCCAAUUUAUCCUAAAUUUCAACUUUUUUACAAUCAAUCCUAAAACUCUUUUUCUACCCAUUUUUGGCCUAUUUUUGUCAAUUCCCCGAUAUUUUUGUUACACGAUUGUCCAUGGGUUCUUUGCCAAAGCAAUGGAAGAGCGGUGAAAUUAAUAGACAAACAAAUGCAGAUUCAUAGGUUCUCUUCAUCUUCCACCUUGAUUACCAAGAAGCCUCUUUAUCUAUGGAACUUGACGAUUAGAAGCUCUGUCAAUGGCGGGUUUUUCGCCCAAUCUCUUGAAACCUACUCGUUUAUGCGCCACUCUGGAAUCCAUGGCAACAAUUUCACCUUUCCUCUCCUCCUCAAGGCUUGCGCCAAUCUUGCUUCGAUCGGUGAUGGCACAAUGCUCCACGCUCACCUCAUCCAUGUAGGCUUUGAAUCAGACGUCUUUGUUCAAACCUCGCUCGUUGACAUGUACUCCAAAUUUUCUAACUUGCGUGCUUCACGCCAAGUGUUUGACGAAACGUCUACAAGAAGUGUCAUUUCUUGGAAUUCUAUGAUUGCUGCUUAUUCUCGUAGUUUUCGGGUUAAUGAAGCUUUAAAGCUAUUCAGAGAGAUGUUGGGGGGUGGAUUUGAGCCAAAUUCCUCAACUUUUGUAAGCUUAUUGUCAGGUUUUGCUGACCCAACUCAUGGAUCUCUCUUUCAGGGACGUUUGCUACACGGUUGCUUAACCAAGUUUCAACUUCAUGAUGAUACGCCUGUCGAAAAUUCUCUUGUGCAAAUGUACGUAAACUUUGGUCAAAUCGAUUCUGCUUGCUCUGUUUUUUAUGCCAUCAGCGAGAAGACAGUAAUUUCUUGGACAAUAAUGCUUGGUGGUUACUUGAAAGCUGGGGCUGUUGCCAAAGUAUUCGAAACCUUUAGCCAAAUGAGGCAAAAUAAUGUCGUAUUGGAUAAAUUUGUUUUUGUAGACAUAAUCUCCUCUUGUAUACAACUAGGAAAUUUGUUUUUAGGUUCUUCACUUCAUUCCCUCCUCUUGAAAACUGGGCUCAAGUACGAGGAUCCUAUUGGUUGUUUGCUCAUUAGCAUGUAUUCAAAAUGUGGAGACCUCUUGUCUGCUCGAGCAGUAUUUGAUUUGUUAUCUGAAAAAAGCAUCUAUUCAUGGACAUCAAUGAUAAGUGGAUAUGCCAAUGCUGGGUAUCCCAGAGAAGCAUUAAGUCUAUUUUCAAUGGCAACACAAAAUAAUGUUAGACCAAAUGGAGCAAUGCUAGCUACUGCUAUCUCUGCUUGUGCUGAUUUAGGAUCAUUGAGCAUGCGUAGGGAAAUUGAGGCAUUCAUACAGCAGGACGGUUUAGCAUCGGAUAGUCAAGUUUCAACAUCGUUGAUACAUUUGUAUUGCAAAUUUGGAAGUAUUGAGAAGGCAGAAAAAGUUUUUAAUAGUAUGAUACAUAGAGACUUGGCAGCUUGGAGUUCCAUGAUGAACGGUUAUGCCGUGCAUGGGAUGGGAGAAAAGACGAUGAAUCUGUUUCAUGAGAUGCAAAGAUCAGGAAUAAAACCAGAUGGUUCUGUUUAUGCAAGCAUUUUAUUGGCUUGCAGUCAUUCAGGUCUAGUGGAAGAUGGACUAGAGCAUUUCAAGAACAUGCAGUUGGAUUAUGGAAUAGUACCUACCAUGGUACACUACACUUGUUUGGUAGACAUUCUAAGCCGAGCUGGUCAUCUAGAAUUAGCUUUGAAUACAAUUCAAGAGAUGCCUACCCAAUUUCAAUCUCAAGCUUGGGCUCCUUUCCUCAGUGCUUGCAGAACUUAUUGUGAUGUUGAACUUGGAGAAGUUGCAAAUAGAUGUCUAUUAAGUUCAAAUCCUAGAAACCCAGUAAAUCAUGUUUUGAUGGCUAAUUUAUACACAUCUAUGGGUAAGUGGAAAGAAGCAGCCAAAGUGAGAAGUUUGAUUGAUGAUAAAGGUUUGGUCAAAGAACCAGGAUGCAGCCAGCUUUAAAUCUAUGGCCCUAUCCAUAUCAUAACCGAAGAACUCCAUUUUGUUCCAUUGAUAUUUCCCAUUAAAAUGUGCUAAUCUUCAAAAAAAAGCUUUGUGAAUUGGUGGAAAAUGACAAGGGGUGGCUUGGAAAUGAAGGGAACAAAUAAGUUUAAAUGGUGGCAGCUUCGAAAAGCUUCGAUAUCUAUACAAUGCAUUGGCUCUCGCCUAAAGAUUGCUCAGGAUUUUCAAGUACUUAAGAAACUGUGGAACCGAAGGUUCGUCAAAACAAAAGUAAACAUUACAACCAUAACUGUUACAAUCUCAAUAUAAGAAAAUUAACAUUCCAAGAAGAUUUUGAAACAUCUUCGUGAAAUUUGUACAUCCCUAAUUGUGACGGUACGUUUGUUAGUGUUCAAGUAGUGUGUAUAUAUCUUAACAAAUACAGAGAAAUUACUUUACGUAUUGAUAAACUCCAUUUAUUUGAUUUACUUAUGGCUAACCAAUGUUCAUGAGGACUAAGCUGUAAUGUAUCUAUACAGAGAAAAAUGUCGAACUAACUCAUGAAAACAAGAAUAUCACAUCUAGGGUUUCCUAUACUCAGGACUGGACCAAUACAAUUUGAAUUGCCUCAGCUCCACCUGAAUCAAAUUCUAGUAUUGAGAGAGAGAAAAAAAUGAUUGCAAAAUUUGUACUCCAGUUGCUUCAGUAUUUGUGGGUUUGAAAGAGACGAACCGUCAUUUGCACUCUGAAUCACAUUCACAUCUUCUAUCGCCCAUCUUCAAAUAUUGAUGUUUUGUAAUAUUUAUGCCUAUGGUCCUCGCAUUUUCUCAACAAUAUUCCUACUCUUUUCUUCAAUAUUACGUCUCUUUUCUUCUAGUUUCUCCCCCAUCUUCUUCCCUAUCUCUAACAUUCUAGCUCUUCUUCCUAUUCUUUUUGGCUUUUCAUCUUCUUCAGCGUUAUAACUUUCCUGCCCGGAUGAUAAGCUGCUUGUAGACCUAGAUGGUGAAUGAUUUUCUUGGGCAUACUCUCUAUUACGUUGCUGGAAAUUUUCAACUGCUUUGUCAUUUUCUAAUAAAGGGACUUUCAUUUCAUUUUCGUCCGAUGUCUUUUUUGUAGCUCGAGCUGGAUUAGUAGUACUUGAUGAAGGCUUUGAUGCAUUGGACAAGUCAGAGUGUGAUUGAGAAGAUUCAGCGUUCUUAGGUCUUUUGUCCUCAAUACCCUGCUGGUCUGUGGAGGUGGUUUUAGUGGCUUCAGAUCUAUUCUUGGCCUCAACAGGAUGGGAGCUUUGAUUUUCACAUGAAGCUUUAUUGUCAGAAGCUCCUUGGUUAAGCCACAUAAAUGGUGCAAUAUCCCUUGGAACCCAGUCAUCCUUCUCUGCCAUCAUAAAUGGGAUGUAAAUACUUUCACUGUUGGGGAGCACUAAAGUAUCUCUUAUCACUGCCUGUAUAUUUGGUAACAAUGGCAGUAUCAGCAGUUGGACAGCAAUAUUGCUCAAAUAUGGGUUGUAGAAAAGAUAUCAUCAGACAUGAGUUCAACUUUUCAGUUACUAAGUUACACGUUUUCAUGGUCAUGUAAAUUUCAAUUUGAGUCUAGUUCAAUGAUAAAAAAACUUGCAUUCCUUAAGAAUAGGAGUUCAAGAUGGAGUUCAAAUUCCCAUAUCUCCAAUUGUACUAAAAAAACAGGAUAAAUUAUGGAAUGCUGUGAGCGCAAACAAAUUGACGUACUUGAGGCUCAAUUUUCUAUUUGAAAACAUCACAUGUGAUUCUUUGUUAUCAAUUGCUUCCUCCUUUUUCAUACAAAAACAAAAAUAUCCCGACACUUUCAUUCAAAUAUCUACCUGAACCAACAUUUUCCAAGUGAAAAACAAAAUGAGAAUGAACAAUUAACAUCCUAAUCAUUUAACAUAAACAAUAUAUAUAUAUAUAUAUAAAACAACGAAAAGCCAACAUGUUAUGAAUUAUGAAACACAUCUCCAUACCUUAAUUCGAUUGUUCAAAAACUGAGCAACAUGUGCACUAGUUAUCUUAUGGUCCCCGAACGAUGAAGCCAAGCGCAACUCCAAAUAAGGCAUGGAUGUAAAACUGUACCAUAGUUGAUCAGAAGGAGGUGGCUUUAUAUGUAACCGAAGUGUCCCCCGAAGAGAUCCAACCUUUAUUACCAAGGAGAUAGGCACCUAUAAAUUCAUGAACGAAAUGAGAGAAGUAUUAGACAUCUAACAGUGGUUUUUUUAGUUUCAAGAUACACUUCUACUUAACUCUCAAGUGCAGAAAUUCAACAAACCUGAGAAACCUGUUUAGCAAUGGAAUUCAUUAAAGAUUUCCACCUGGAUCCACUAGAGGACGAGGACGAGGAAGCAGGGUUCUUAUUGUUUCCUGGCCCACCUGCAACCGAACAUUGUAUCGAACUUUUAACUACUUAGUAAAAAUAUUUGUCUAGCAUUUUCAUGAUGAGCAUAUAAGAACCUAAAAUCAGAAUUCUCACUGUAUAUUUCCAAAUAUACAAUUUUAAAAGCUCCCAUCAUGAAAAUUAACUUGAGAUAAAUCUUAUACCAUCUAGACAGCGUAGAAAUUUUAAAAGCUCAAUAGUUCCAAAUAUACAAUUUAACUUGCAGAUAUGUGCAGAUUUACGAAGACCACUUUUUUCCACUUCCGAUAGUAACAUUAUAUUCAUUUUGCUUUGAGAUAAAUCUUAUACCAUCUAGACUUUGUGCAGGCAACACAGUAUAAGUAGAAACAUAAGCGAAAAGAAAUCCAUGUUCAAACACGUCAUGAAAACCAUCUAUUUGUUAGUCAGUCACCUUCAUCGUUCUGAUCUGUUCCUUCAGAGGAACUGAGCUGCUUUCCAAGAUAAUCUUCUAGAAAUGAAGAAACCUCCCCAACAUCGCUUGAAUCAGAUUUUGAGUCUACUGCGUUUUUUUGAAGAUCUAAUUCAUGAACUUCAAUUCUAGUUUCAAUGUCUAAGGCAAACCCUCCAGAGUAUUCAAAAUCGACCUCCAAGGCCCAUACCUCAUUCAAUUCAAAGGGAAGAACCCUAAUAAUAUUAAUAUUGGGCGGGAGAUUUCCAGGAUCAACUUUAGUACAGAUAAUUUCACCAAUGUAACUUGGAGUCCUCAUCUUGGACAACAUCCUCUGCCAUGGAAAAAAAAAAAGUAACAUGACCCUGGCAUGAACUAGAACAGUAACAACGUUUAUUCCAAGAAAUGACAGUCCAAAAGGAUGUUAUCCUAAUCAACCAACUAUAAAUGACUUGAUACAACCAUAAACGUUUACAAGGUUUGCAGUUGACACCAUUAUUUGGCGAAUAAAUAUGUGUUCCUCCUUUUCCCAGUAACAAAAUAUAUUGUAUUUAUGGAUUAAAAUUCCAAACAUUCAUCAAACAAUGGAAGAAAAUAGUGACAGGAGUAUUAGAAAGAUAAUUAACAAAAAUCAUCUACAUGCCUCUGACACUACUUAAAUUGAUUCAACAUGCCAAAAAAGAAAAAGGAUCUCUUGGGGAAAGAAAUGAACCUGAAUUCGAUCAUGUAAAGAUUUCAUUAGCCCUUCAUUGCUUGUGGCAUCAAAAAAGAAUCUCGACAUCAACAAAUUCCAACAAAGCGUUCCUUCAUCAGUCCAGAAUCUGUCAUCAGUAUCUGCAUCAGAGACAACGGAGGCAUGACUUUGGCUAAUUGAAUGAGUCAAGGUUGAUGGUGCUCCCAUAUCUUCCUCAAAGAAACUUUUAGUACUCUGCGCCUUUGGAAUUCCCUUUACUAAGCCUGCUGAUGAAAUGAAAUCUGGACCGGGAUGAUACCUCUCGCUAAAUCUUUUUUCUUCACGCAAAGAAGAAGAAGGAUUUGCUAUGUAAUCUGAAGCAGCCUUUGAAGUCUUUUUUGCCAGCUUUUUGAAAAAUUGGCGAACCUUUGAAGGAGGAACAUUAGGCUUGAUCUCCUUAUCUAUUGCUUCAGUAUGGUGCCCUGUAGAGGGCUUCAUAAAUGAAGGAUACCCAGUACUUAAUGAAGAAAUAUAACUAUGGAACUCUUUCUGCAAUUUAGCAACCGACCGCAGUUUUUCUUUGUCAACACAUGAGGCUAAACGGAGGGCUUUGCACCAUGAUUCCUUCUCCCAGGAAGUCUCAAGAAAAAUGAAAAUUCUUUUACUUUCAUGAUAAAUUACAGAGGUCCUAUUUUCCAAUAUUAAAGGGAACCUUUUCACCCUGAAAUACCAAUACUCAAAUUAGAAAGAUGGAGUCUCAGAAGAAUAAUAAAAGGCAAAACUUGAAUUCUCAUCAUAUAACUCAAAUUUUUGCCUUCAAGAUAACAAAACAAAUAUUUUGCAGGUUCCACACAUCAGGAAUAUCAACACGUUAACCGCUAUAUCGUGUAGAGUCAAUUUAGAAGAAUGAUUAUGCAACAAACAACAAAAAAUAGUGUGAAUUAAAAAAUAUAUAUAUAUAGCAUUUGAUACAAGAAGGUAAUGAUAGGACUAGCUUUUGAAAAGAUCUGGGUCCCAUAACAGUACACACUACUAAUUUUACUUGUAUGCAUAGCUGCGAGCUACUACAAAUUCAACCAUUUCUUAUCAGAAGGAAUUCAGGAAAUAGUGCAACUUAAUUUCUUCUGGGGAUAAGCACUAACCAGCUCAAAUUCAUUUCAAGAUUUAACUAGUUUGAUUAAUCGUGGAAAACAAAAGUUAUUGAGAGAAUAUGGGCAGUGACCAGGGUCGAAGUUAUUAGAAUUAAUUCAGCAUCUCAAGGACAAGCAAUUAGAAUGAAAGAAGCAUAUGUAUGCAAGACAGUUUUGAGCAUGAAGUCAUCAUUAUCAUUAUAUUCUUGAGUGUUAUCAUUACAAUUCAACCAAAAUACUCAAAGUCCUUCAGAAUCAAGUUUUUGCAUCAGUUUUAUGUGAUUUAAAUCUUAUAAAAACAAGAAAACAAGAGAAAUAUGAAAGAAGCUACCAUUUUCUGGAAGGCAAGUCUGUUGCUGAAACAGCUUCAACUGUGCAGCCAUUUAAUUGAAUUGUUGUUCUCUUCUUACCAUCUAGUUCCGUUAUCACUAAUGUGUGGUCCUUGAUUCUUGCAUACUUUUUUACCGGAGUUACCUCCAAGAAAUCCUUCCUUUUCUUUUGCUCUUUGGGUCCUUUCUCUAUGAUAUCUUCUAACACAUUUGAUUCUAAUAUCCAAACAGAACCCUGAGGAAUAAAGAGCACAUUUACCAUACCAGCUUACUUGGCAAUGCAAAGAAUCACACAAGUAGAAACAGUACAUCUUGUACUAAGGCUACACAAGAAAAGCAACUUAAAAUAGUUGAAACCUGUCUUCCUCUUCUAAAUUAAUACAAAUUGAACCAUUAUGGCGCAAUUGCAGCGGAUCAAGACCUGGAAACAAUCUUCUCAUACCAGAGUUCAAGGUAACAAGAAAACCAAACUUAUUUCAAUAGAUCUUCCAAUUAUGAAGCAACCCCAGUGCAAAGUUAAUACAAACACAACGUAUGCAAGUAAAAUUCAAGAAACUAAACUCCAAGCACCAAAAUCCCGAAUUAUUAGUCAAUUUAGUAAACUCAACAACCACUACAUACACAUUUAUUAGUAACACAACUAUAUAAUAUUUCAGUCAUUUUUCACACGUUUGAAGUCCUAGACGAAACAAGAAUACAGAAAACCUGAAUUGAGAAUUACCAUUACAUAUUUCCAAGAUUAGAAGCACCAUUAAAUACCUGUUUGUUCGAAAGAAAUUCAAGGGAUUGAAGAGGAUCUAGCUCGGAUUGGUCUAACUUGGCAUUGGCUUUAGCUAAAUCCUUUUGAGACCUCUUACUCAACUUGUUCAAAAUGAUGAAGAUUCCAAAAGCCUCCGCCCCAACGAUUGCCACAACCCCAAAAACAAAACCAAACAAGAACGUCAGAAUCAAGAGCGACCCCAUUUCAAAUUUGCGAAAUUGCCGACGAACUCUGAACCAUCAAGACUCGCGAAACUGGGUUGCGAAAAAGUCGAAGGAAAAAAAUGUGGCAAAGAAACCCCCAAAAUGGAAAAAUAUCAGAAGAAUCAAAAUCCGGUACUGCUUCUGCUUGCUUCAAAGUUCAGUGUCAAGAUAAAUUGGAAUUAAAAUUAAUAGAAAUCACCGGAUUAAGGCUCUUGGGAUCUUGUAACGCAUGAGAUUCUUCAUCCAAUUCACUACUUAUCACCACAUCAAUAGCUAGAAAUAUAGAAAAUCACAAAAAUUUCUGCAGUUUCAUAGACGGUUUAAAUGAAAAAAAAAAAAUGAAGAUUGAUCGCUACAAUGGCGACAGUUGUGAUGGGCCUCAAAACUAUUGAUUUUCGUUUUAUAUUUAAUUUUAUAAUUAAUGGGAAAGUUGGAUUUUAAACUUUCUUCCAAACGAAGAUAUUUACAGAUUCUUUCCUAACAACUUCGUUUUCCUUUUCUUAAUCAUAUUUUUGAAGUGUGUUUAAGUGUUCUUAAUCUAAUUCUUAAAUGAUAGUUAAUUCCCUCUUGAUGAACAGUUUUUCUUUCCCAUUCCCACAUUCAAUGUAGUUUUUUAAGAACUUAAAUUAAAUUAAUUACAAACUCGAGUAAUUUAUUUUUUUCCAUAUUUAUUAACAGCCAAAAAUUUGAGCUGAAUUCCUAUUUCCCUCUUCCUAAAGUUAGAAGAAUCAUUCAAAAUCGUUGUACUGUUUUUUUAAUUAAUUAAAUAGACAAUAAUCACAUUUUCUUUUUACAUCAAAGAAGUCAAUAUAUAUGUGUGUGUGUGAUUUUCGAAUUUUUAUACUAAAAUAAAUGAAGAAAUUUUGUUUUUAAUUUUUAAAAUUUUAAGAAGGGAGGCGGGAGCUCGAGGAUAAUUACUUGUUUGCAUCAAGUUAAUAUAAAUGAUAAAAUUGUUAAAAAUAUUUAUAAAAUACAAUAAAAAAUAAUUUGUUAUAAUCGUGACAUAGAUAAGAGUAUAUUAAUGUUUAUCAAUAAACUGGUGGAAGUCUAUUAUAAGUAUCUAUUAUCUAUAGUACAGUAUGAAAUUGUGUUAUAUUUUAUAAAUAUUUUACUUAAUUUACUAUAUUUAAGAAUAAGUAUUAAAAACCAUUGAAGUAACCUUUUGUUUUAAAAAUGAUAUUUCAAAUAUAGAAUAAUUCUAUGAAAUAAUAAUGAAAAGUGACCCUUUAAAUUCUAAUCGUACCAAUCAAAAAUUAGAAUAUACCUUUUCAAAAUGUACCAAACAUACCCACCAUUUCUUGAAAAAAAGUUACAUUUAAAACUAAAAAUAUAAUAUAUAUUUUAAAAAUGUACAAAACAAACAAAUUUAUAGUAUACGUUGGUACAUUAUUCUUUAGAUAAGUGAUAAACAAUGAACGGAGGUAGUAUAAAAAUUAUUUCUAUACUAUAUAAUGUUUCAGAAAUUUUUUUCUCAAACUAAAUGUUGUAUUAUUGUUCAACGUUUGGAGACUACAAAUGUAAUUUUUUAUCGAUAAUUUUUUAAUAAAGAUUUUUCAAUAAUUAAAUUAAUUGCAAAGGGAGAGUAAAUUAUUUAUUGUAGUCAAUUAUUUGAUACAUAUGAUAUGGUAUUGUUGGCAGUUUACCUAUAAAAGAGAACCAUUGGGAGAUGACUUUCUUUUCUUGAACUAGAAGCGAGAGAAGAAUGAUUUUCUUAAAUAAAUUACAUCAACGGCAAUUAAGAAAUUAUUAAUGUCUAAUUCCAUUAUUUACGAGUAAGUUAAAAUAAGAAGUAAUCAUUUUUAAUUAAAGUUUUAAUUGUAGUGAAGUACAGGGGAUUUUUAAAGAGAGAAAAAAAUUGAGAAAAUAUAAAUAUUUUUUCAAGUGUUUUAUUUGUUAUUUAUUUUUUAAUGGAUCUUUUUUUAAAAUAAUGUAAUAUUUUUUAAUGUACACGACUUUCGUGACCCACAUUUUUUUAUUUUCUCAUUAUUUAUACAUGUGAGUCUCACACAUUUCAUUUCUUCUCAUUAUUUAUAUAUAUACUCACAUAUAAUAAUACAUAUAUUAAUCAUUCAAAUUCUAAAAAUAUAUUUCUUUAUUAAUUUAAUUUAUUUUUUUAUUUUUUUCUUUAUUUAUAUUUAAAUAUCUCAAUCCUCAAUUUUUCUUAUUAAAUUUAUUUUUUUAAUUUAAUUUAAUUAUUACUUAAUCGAAAUUAUACAUUUCUUUUCCAACUUUCAAUAUGUUUUAAAAAAAUAUAUUAAACAAAUGAAAAUAAUAAUAAUUAGUAGAAGUUCAAGUCACUCAAAAUAAUAAUAAUAAUAAUAAAUGAAUGCACACUACUAUUUGAAUAAAAAAAAAUUAAUGUAUAUAUAUUAAAUAUCUCGAUCUUCAAUUUUUCUUAUUAAUUCAAUUUUUCUUAUUAAUUCAUUUUUUCUAAUUUAAUUUAAUUAUUUCUUAACCAAAAUUAUAUUUUUUUUUCUGAUUUUCUGUUUAAAAAAAUACAUAUAUUAACAAAAUAUGUUAUUAAAAAAUAUAUUAAACAAAACAGAAUAAUAAUAAUAAUAUCUUAAGCUUACUCUAAUAAUAAUAAUAACAACAAAUUUGCAAUCGAAAAUUAUUCGUUAAGUUUUUAAUUUGUAAUCGAACCAAUUCUUGUUUUUUUUCUUUUGGCAUAAACAUGAUUUUUUUUAUCCAAUUGCCAAUGUGUAUUGGUGGCUACAAAUGUUAUUAAUUUUUUUUUGGAGUAAUUUCAACUUCUCUCAAUUAUUAUUAUUAUACUUUUAUUUAUUUGAUAUAUUUUCAACAACAUAUUUUUGUUAAUAUACAAGUUUUUUUAUAAAAAAAAUUGAAAAUUGAAAAAAAAAAUGUAUAGUUUUGAUUAAGAAAUAAUUAAAUUAAAUUAAAAAAAUAAAUUUAAUAAGAAAAGUUGAAGGUUGUGAUAUUUAAAUAUAAAUAAAGAAAAAAAUAAAAUAAUUUAAUAAUUUAAUAAAGAAAUAUAUUUUUAGAAUUUGAAUAUUUAAUAUAUAUAUUAUUAUAUGUGGGUAUAUAUAUAUAUAAAUAAUAAAAAAAAGUGAAAUGUGUGGGACCCACGUAUAUAUGUAAUUAGAAGAUUAAAAAAUGUGAGGUCAAAGUAGUAUAUAUAUAAAAAUAAGAAAAAAUAUGAGAGGUGGGAUUCACUUCAUGGAAAUCGUGUACGAGACCUCAACUCACCUAUUUUUAAAAAUAGUUUUGCAACAACUAUCUUUUAAAUAUGUUUCAAAUUUUACAUUAUAUUUAAAAAAGAUCACGAUAAUAAUAAUAAUAAUAGAGAUUUUUUUUGGAGAAAUAUUUGAUUUUAAAAAUAAAUUUAUGUUAAAUGAAUAUUCCUUGUUUAAUUGAUUAACAAAGUAUUAUUAGACACACUACAAAACAAAACUAGUUGAAAAUUUUAAAAUACUUCAUCAACCGUAAUAAAUAUGUUAUAAUAUUUAUAGCAAACGGUAAAAAAUAGAACAUUUGAAAAAAUAUUUAUUUCAUAGACAAAUUAAGUGUAGUAAAUUUUGUUCCGUGUAAAUAUCUUAUCAAUUUUUUUUUACUUUUGAAAAAAUCCUUAUAUAUAUUUUAUUUAUCAACACUGCAUAAGUUUUCCUUUCUAUUGAAAUUAGAAACAAGCAUGAAUUCCAAAACUUAAAAAACAAACCUCGUUCUUAAUCAUGUGUUAAUGCUCUUGUUCUUAAGCUUGUUAAUGCUUGUAUGUCCCUUUAUAUUUAUAGUCUAGCAUUAGUGGAAAAAACUAUGGUUGUUUUUUACUUUUAUUGUUGAGAUUGACUAUACAAAUCUAAAGGAAAAAAUAAUCUAACCUUCACGUGACAGUAAAAAUAACUUUAUCUGGAGGAGAAAGAAUGUGACCUGCAAAAAAGAAAGAAUGUGACCUGCAGAAAGAAAACAUGCUCUGAUGUUUAAGUUAGUGUGUAAUACUUUAAAAGUCUUAAGAUAUGGGAGUAAGAAUCAACUUAAAUUUUCUUACCAUUAUAGUAUAUUUUAUAGAAGUCGAUGAUCAAAGUUAUUCACAAUAAAGUUUCAAACAACGUUAUAAUAACCAAGCCUCUUUUAGUCUGUCUCUAAAUUAGCACUCUCUCAUGCCCAUUUUGGUCCAAAUGUGCUAUCUUAGGCUCGAAUCUUGUUACUUCAUUUGUUUAUUAUUUGUGGAUCGUAUCUUUUAAUCCAAAAUGGUACAUAAUGAUUAUUAUUAUUCAAGAAGGGAGGGGAAAAGGGUCAAGAGAUAACAGCAACAGAAACUCACAAAACAACUCCACCAGAUUAACAAAUUAACAUUCGGUUACAAAAACAACUCCCAAUCAGGCAUGUCUUAAAACCAGCCUACAUGUCUAGGGGAAGUCCAGAAAACAGUGGGGAGACAAAAACUGAAGCCUGAAUCCAAAAAAGAAAAAAGAAGAAAAAAAACCUCCACCAAAACUCAGUGGGAAAUGCCUCUGCUUUUAAAAGCACAACAAUGUUCAUCAUUUUUCCAGAGUUAAAAAAAACUACGAAAGGGCUGCUUCAUAAUCAAACCCCUUGGGCUUUCUAACUUUAAAAAAAAUGAACUGCUGUGGGCAGAGGCAGAGGUAAAGAGUUUCUCAUGUUGGUUGCAAAACCAUGGACACAAACAUACAACCUGCAUGAAGGAGAGUCAGUUAGGCAGCCUACGAAAUGGAAAAGAAAAAGCUGAUUAUUUACAAGCUUGAGUGAAGAGAAAAGAAGUUAAAGUCGUGAUGAUGGACGCCAAGUUGCUUCAACCAUGAAUCGGCAGCAUGAUAGAGAUCGACGAUUCUUUCGUAAUCAGACGUCUCUGGCAUCAACCAUAGAUCUCCCUGCAUUCUAUAAGUGGCCAGACCAAAUGGGGAGAGGCAAGUAGAAGUAGAAGCACUAGUUUUGGCAUAGGUUUGACCCCCGGUUUCGGUUUCGGAACCACUACAUCCAUCUUGCCCUUCAUGAUUCAUAGAGCAAUCUGCAGUCAUCAAUCAAACAUUGAUCUUAAGUAUUAUGACGGGUAUAAGGUUUGUUACAUUUCUGGAAAGAAGUGUAGAAAGUUCCACACCUUGGAAAGAUGAAGACAAUGUAUGAUAAGUUAGAAAGCAUGUUGCGAAAUCUUUGUCGUUUUUCUGACUAGGGAUGUGAUAAAUAGGGUACCUGAAUCAACAGUGAACAAAAUCACUAAAUGGAAACAGGAAGAGAGGAGAAAAUAUCAACAGCUAAGAAGCUCUCGUGUCGUUAGGUAGAUAGAAGAAGGCUAUUUUUACCAAGAAAUGGCCAUCCAACUAGCUGGAGAAAGAUCCACACUCCUAAGUGUAGUUAGUGCAGGAUAGGUUUGAGUUAGCUCUGUUAUCUGAAAUGGAGAUUGUCUAACGUAAGCAAAGAAGAAGAUUUUGAUAAUGUCAUUUUACACUUCUUCUAUGCUCCUAUGUAUACCUCAGCCUAAUUUUUUCAUCUGAAUAUCAAAACUUUCUUUAGAUCUUCUACCAAGGCUUAUGAACAGCUCUAGAACUGUUAAUUUGAAACAAUAGACUAAAGAUUUUACCUUGUCCAUAAAAGGCACUCUCCAAUAAGGAGAAGACGUCUCCAUAUAUUGUAAGGAGAGGUAACCAAGUUUUUCCCUCAGCGGCCACGAUCCCUCCUGGUCGAAGCUCGAAUCUUCAGAAACCGCAUCCCAUGUUCUGCUAGAGUUGUUGCUCAGGGAUCUUGACAUGUUAUCACUCCAGCUAUCGUCACUCCAAGAAUCGCUUUCACAUUCUGCCAUGUCACUAUCGUAUCUUCGGUUUCUACAAAGAGAAUUCGAACAAAUAUAACUUACAUGCACUGCAAUGCAAUCAAAUCCAAAUUGUAUUUCAAACAUUCCCUUUAAAACUUAUUCCGAGUUGUAUCGCACUGCCCCAUUCCAUUAAACAAUCAUUUAUCAAAUAGAAACAGAGUUUUUCAAACUCAAAGGACAACAUAAAACAAAGUUACUUCAGUAUACCUGGAAGGGGCAACAGGCUUGCUUGUAUAUAUCUGAAUUGCAGACAGAUAAGGCACGUAGAACUGCGUAGCAGUUUCCAAAUCAUUCAGUUGUAUAGGAAUACCGGCACCGUAUGCACUCCAUUCGUCGUAGUAAUCCCACAGCUCACCAAGUGUGAAGUAUUGAACGGUAUCUUUAUCAGGUUGUUGCCACUGACUAUUGAGAUCAUGAAGGCAGCUCUAUAUGGAAAAGAAAGCUGUUAAGCUAAGAGAAAGUAAGAUGCUCUUGAUUUCUAAACCGAAGUUAAUCAUGUUAAAAUACCACUAAACUCAACUUUUAUUUUACAAUCAAGUAGUAAAUUUACAUCAAUCCCCUGUAGUUUUCAAGAGAAAAUGAUAUAUGUAAAUGUAAUAAAUUUGGAGCCAAGUGAGGAAACUAGUCAAGUAUUAAGAAGAAUAAUAUUUAAACCUGGGGUCAUAUAUCUUGACAAGUAAAAAAAAAGGAAUGAAAUCAUGACAACAUCUUUUUUACACAUAGCGCCAACAUAUGAUGAUGGCCCAUAAGUUGUAAGUUCUGUGGAUGAGUAUGAAUGAAAUUCAAUUUACAAAAAGUCAUGCUCUUGAUUUAUGGAAGGGAAAACAAGAAAUUAGAAGUUUAAACCAAUCAAAAUGCCACGUGACACAGAGGGAAGACUUCUAAAGAUAAGACAUAUGAUAACAUAUUAUAUUAUACAUACGUCGUGUCUAUUUAACUCGGGACCCGUCUCUUAGGCACGUUGCUUUAUGGCCACUCUUGUAGGGUAAGUUCAAAAUAUAAUUUCAAAUUUCAUUUUCUUUUUUGUAUUUUUAAGCAAAUGACAAACAUGGGAAGUUUUGAAGAUAAGGUGGGGACGACUUCGACCCAACACUAAAUUUCUUUAUUUCUGUCCAUUAGUUUCAAAACAAUUAUGCUCUAAGAAAAAUACAAAAUUAGUUUCGCAAAAUUUUCAACUUGGGUUUAUCACUAUUUAUUACUAAUAAAAACUAAAUAUUUCAAUUGAUUUUUAAAAGUUGAGGCUAACAGACAUAUAGUGCUUACAAUCCAUCCUUGUUGUGGACCUCAUAUUCUUAUGAAAUAAGUGAAUUACUAUUUCAUGGUUAUGAGAUCGAACUCUAUAGGUAUUAGAUAUUAGAGAUCCUAAAGAUCAAAUAGGUAUUUGAUUCAAUAAAAUAAAGAAAUGGUUUGAGAAUAAAGUGGAAUUCGUCGUUAUUUCAUUCUCAUCCCUCCGACAAAAAAUAGAAAAUUUAUCCUAACGUUAUAGUUAGAAUUAGUGGAUGGGACCUUAUCUUGGAAAGAAAGAUUAAAUUCAAUGAAUUAUAUUUGAAGUUUUAUACCUUCGUGUUUUUCACUAGAAGAAAAAUCGCCAUCUCAAGCAAGAGGAUUAAAAAAAAAUUAUAAGUUGAUUUGGUAAAUAAUAACUAAAAAUUAGUAUUUUAAGAGAGAGGUAUAUUCGGAGUAUAUUCUCGGAAUUAUAAAAGCAAUCACCAUCCUAAUGGACCCAUAGAGUAAAGAUAUCGGCCCAUUAAGGGCCCAUAGGUAAUUUACACGAAAGGACAGGAAGUGUGACUCAGCCAGUUUAAGGAAAUUAGAAAUCUAUCCGCCACGUUUUUGUAUUAUUCCAAACUCUUUCAAUUUUUUUAUAAAAAAGAAAUCUCUCUAUAUUUCUCUGGUCAAAAUAAUAACAAUAACAAUAAUAAUAUAAUAAAUAUCUAUGAAUUUCAGAAAUGGUAAGAAAAUUAAGCAUCGCCAUUUUUUUCAACACAUUUCCAUUAAUACUUUUCAAUUUAUACAAAAAUAAUGAUAUCAAAAAGCUGACCAUGAAAAAUUAGAAUAUUAACAUUGACGAUGAAAAAUGAAGCAAUUUUAAUUUGUUUUAAUUUAGAGACUGAUGGUAAAAAUUCGACAAUUUGGGUUGAGAAUUGGAUUUUUGAAGAAAACUACGGUGGAAAAUGGGGGGGAAAAUGACCCAAAACGUGCAUCACAUGGAUUAGUCAUUAGCUUAAACAAGUGCAGAAAUGAAUCAAAGGGAGAAUGUAGGAAUUGUAAUGAAAAUUAAAUUAAAUUAUAAGAAAAAGAAAGGAAAGAAUUACCCGAGGAAGAGUUCGCCAAGGAACAGAAGGAGUAACGCAAUGAAGAAAGCGCUCCAAAUUGGAGGUAGUUUUAUGGUUAGUGAAACUAAACGGCGUCGUUUGAGCCAUCGGUUUUUCUCUUUCUCCUCUCGUCUUCUCCGAUCUAAAUUCCGGCUUUGGGAAUUUUUUUUUUUCCGGUGAUCGGUUGAAUAUGUGGAGGAAUCCGGGUAGUGAAAAGGGAAGAAGGCAAAGGCAAAUUCAGCAGCUGAAUGAAAAAUCAGAGAGAGAGGAAGAAGAAGAAGCAAAACAUGGUGGUUGAGCUGUUAAUUAGCAGUAAAUGGUUGAGCCAUUUGGGAUUCAGAGGAUUUAUAAGAAGAAGAAGAAGAAGAAGAAGAAGAAGAAGAGAAGGAAAUGAAGAAAUGAGGAUAACGGUGGGAUUAGGAGCAGAGGUUUUGACUGAGAAUUUUGUAAUGAGGAAACAGAAAGGGCAUCUCAGAGGCACAGAUUCAUUGCAUUAUUUUAAUCAGUUUUUAUUGGCAAUUAAUUGAAGUAAUUGGGUGAAAGGAAACUGAUUCUUUGGCUGUGCCAAUAAAUAAAUGUCUGGGGAGAUAAAGACUAGAGAAUUUUAGAACAAAUAAAAAUAAAUAAAGUUUCAAGGGAAUUGGGGGAAAUUAAAGUAAUAAUUUAAUAAAGUUGGAGGAGAGGGGGUUAAAGUGGAAAAUUGUGUGUUUUUAAGGGGGUGUUUUGGAAAUAAGGAAAAGGUUAGAGAUUUGUAUUGUAGUGUUUUUGUGCGUUUGGCCGCGUGUAAAAGGGACGCAGCGGCAAGGCGAUGGAGGGAGGGAAGAGACAGCGCUGAGAAUGGUAAGAGGAGGGUUUAGCAAACCAACACGUUUGCAAUCAAAGAGUUUUGUUGAUAGGUCACUUCGACAACUCAAUUUCUUCUUUGUUCUUUUCUUUGUAAUUUUCAUCUUUUGCUUUCUUCUCCUUUUAAAUUCACAAAUCAUGCCUGACUUAAAUUACUCAUUCUUUAUCUACAUACAUGAACUACCGUUAUUCAACAAAAAAAGCUCUUAAACAUGACAUGUUGAGAAUUCCACCUUAAGAUUUCUAGAUGCUAAUUGCUUUAAAAUGUAACCUUUCAAAAUCUUAAUUUUUUUUUGUUUUUAUUUCGUUUUUCUUUUUACAGUUUAGUUUUUAUUUUGUUCAAUGAACUAAAAAAUUUAAUAGGUGAAUAAAUAAUUUUGAUAUCAUCUUAAAUCAUCGAUUGACCCAAAAGUUUAAGUGAAUGAGUGGAGACAAUUUAAUAUUAUAUCAUUAACAUACUUCAAAAACGUUUUUAACUAUUUAAAAUCAAUUUUAAUUGUAAUAAAAUGAAACUGUGCUUACGAGGAUAAGAAUAAAACUUUGAAUGGAUUAAUUUGUUAUUGAAAACUAUUUUAAUUAUAAUUAAUUCAAUUAUCAACUAAAGUAAGUAUUAAAAAACUAAGGCUUAAAACGUGUAGGAUAUAAACGUAACAAUUUGAAACUUAUGAACUGAUGUUAAGAGUUAAUACACUCGAUAGAAACUUAGAAACGUUGGUUUCUCUUUUCUAAAAUAUUUAGCAUAACUAUUUUAAGAUUGUAUUUGGAUUGAAAUUGCAAACAUAAAAAAUGAUUAUUAGAAAAUUCUAAGGAUUUUAAGAUAAUUUAAAUAAAACCAUUGUUCAACUAUAUGUUGGUUUGUAAAAUUUAGAUUAGUGGAGCUUUCAUGAAAACUUUUCUAACAAAAGAAAAUUCUAUUUUAUUCUACACUUGAUAUUAGAAUGAUAUUCUAAUUUUUAGUUUUUGUGUUUAAACUUCCUAAUUCUCUCUCUCUACCAUUCAUUUGGUGUGUUAUUCUCAUUUAUAUAUGUGAAUGGUUGAAACGUUCGUUAGCCAUGAACAUAAAACAAGUUUUUGGAGGUUCUUUUGGAUGAUGGUAUUCAUUUAGGUCAUUUUGAAACUUAUUUUGGUUUUUUUAUAAAAAAUAAAUGGUUUUGUUUUCUCGCUAUUUAUUACUCAUUGAUUUCAUAUGUUGGGGCCACAAACAUUUGAAUUUUUAGCCUUUACAAAAAAAAAUUGAAUGCAUACGAAAACAUUUAGAGAAAAAAACAGUUCAUAACAUAUUUUUUUUUGCAUAUUGCAUACUAUCAAGAAACUUAUCAACUUUUAAAUUUAAUAUAGUUAUAUGAAUCAUAUUAUCAUAAAUAUUUUUGCAAGCAAAUCUUAAAAAAAAACCCCUUUUAAAAACUAGUUUUUAUUUUUUUAAAAAAAUUAUUUUAAAACACUUCUAAUCUUGAAAGUAAAAACACAAAUAAAUGAGGUUAUUCAUAGGCUUAUUUUUUAAAAAAUAAAAUACUAACAAAUAAAUGGUUAAACAAAUUUAUGUUAUAUAUAUAUAUAUAGUUUGUGGACUUAAAAAUUUAAAGCAAUUUUUAUUAUUAAUAUAAUGAUUUAAUUUUUGUAAUUUAUGAAUCCUUGAUCUCUAAUCAAUCUUAUCAUGAUCUACGUUUAUAAAUAAGAAAAUUGCUUAUACAUCCAAAAAUAAGAGAAGUUUCAUGUGAGAAAAAAAUAAGUUUGAGAAUUUUUAAAAAUUAAACUAUUAUUUUAUCUCCACGUGAUAGAUUACAUGGAGAUAGAUGUCGUGAGCUACAUUCGAGUAUUAUUAUUACUCCAACUUAAUCUAUUGUUAAACCAAAGUGAGAUUAACAUAUAGUGGUAUUAACAUGACUUUCGUCCCUAAAAAUCAAAGCUUCAACUUUCAUACACUAACAAAAUUUAAUAGUGAUUGAGAAUAAAAUAAUCUACGUUAAAAAAUAUUAUAAUAAACAUUUAAAUGGAGUACACGUUAUAUUUUAAAGAAGCUCGAUGGAUAUGAAAACAAAAUUAUUUAAUAAUUAUGCUUUUAAGUUUAAACAACGUUUCUAGAAAUUAAUUUAAUUUAAUUUUUAUAUUUACAUAAAUGACAUUCACACAAGUGAUAUAGUUGAGUUAAAUACAAGAUAGAAUCAUUUACCACCAAUCACUUUAAAUUAUAUAUAAAUGUAUUUAAAUUUACAACGAAAGGAAAAGUUUAUUGUGAUUUGUUUAAUUAAAAUAAAGUUAUAAAAAUCAUAUAAUUAUGUUAUAAUGAUUCUUAAAAAAUAUAAAAGAUGAAGAAAAAAGAAAAAUGUAAUCAAAUGAAAUAAUGGUAAAUAUAUAAUAAUAAUGUUUUUCAGAUCUUCAAAAUCAUCCACGUUUUUCCUUAUACAUUUGUAUGAAUAAAUUAUCAAAUGAUAGUAUAAUAUUUUACAUUUUAUACAUACACAAUUUGAGAGUAUUUAAAUUAAAUAUUGAUUGGAGACCCUUUCAAUUGUGUCAUUUGUUAAAUAUUGUUUAAGGAAAGUGUUUAUUAGAUAAAUUGCUUUUUUCUUAUUGACAUUUAAAUUAUUGAAUAUGCAUACUUGUGACUUGUGAGUGCUAGGCUAUAAUAAUAAUUGGCACAUUAAAAAUUUAAUCCACCUAUCAAUAAAAUAAACUAUUCUAUUCAUAGUUGUCAAAUAUAAUUUUAAAAGUGGUGGUAAUUAUAUAAAUAUAUAGAUACUAUUGGCUAAUUAAAUUGUUGCUUUUCAAAAUAUAUAUGACAAUGAUGAAUAUCUUAUUUAAAAUGGUUUAUUUUAUUGAUAGGUCGGUUGAUAUAUAUAAACGUAUACUUAUUUUAGUCCGUGCAUGAUAGUUAAAAUUUCUUAUAUAAUCAAAAAUGUAUUAGACCAAAUCUAUGACCAAAUAAAAAAAAAUUGAUGUCUAGUUUUAGAGAAGCUCUUCAAAUAACACACCAUUCUAUAUUCAAAAGAUAAUUAAAAAUUCCAUACUACAAUUCUCGUGUGAUGUUUAUAAUUUUACGUAAAAAUGGAAUAAUUAAUUAAUUUUAAAAAUUUUGUUUUACACGUAUAAUGAAAUUAUUUUAAUAUAAAUUUGUAUAGAAAUUAAUUUAUGUCUAUUACUAGAGUGAUACAUGUCAAGCUACAUAAGUUUAUUAUUGUAGAUAUAAAGUAAGAUUAUGCUAUAUUAUGUUAGUUCAUUUUACUAUAUUCUCGUAUGAUGGUUGAGCCAUUUUGGAAGGAUUGGUUGAUGUUAUCUAAAUGGUGGACGAUAUUAAAGAAUAAAUAAAUAAAGGGGAAAAUAAAAUGUUAAAGGGAAUAAAUAAAUAAAUAGAAGGGAAGUUAGGUUCGUAAAUAUUAAAUUUGUUUAUGUAAUGAAACAUUAUAUAAUUAUUUAUUAAAAAAGAAGAAAAAGAAAAUAGGAAUCUUUGAAUUUUCAACACGUUUACCAUGCGGCGCAGAGACGGUGGAUGCUGACCUUGACACCUCUCUUGUCCUCUUAUUCUCACUCUCUCUCUUUCAUUUUUAUCUCUUCAUUCUCAUUUUCUCCCUUUCGUUAUUUUACUUUCUUUCCCUAUUUCACAUAAAUCUCAUUUUAAAAAAACAAAAACAAAAUUAUAAUUUUUAUGUUUAUGAAUAUAUAAUUUUUUUCAAAAUUACUUAAAUUAUCAUUUUAGUUCUUAAUGUUGGGAGAAAGUCAGAGUUUAGUCUAUUGUUCGAUAAAAUUUUAUAUAUAGUUAUUAUGAUGUGAUAACCUUCAAGCUAUAUGUUUUUUUUUUUUUUAUCAAACCAAAAAUAUUAAAAAUUAUAUAUAAACCAUACAAGACUAAAUUUAUCUUUUUAAAAUCAUACGAACUUCAAAUUUUAUAUAAUUAUUAUUUGUCUAUUAUUAUAUAAGUUGUAAUAGAUCAUGUAAUAUAUAUUAUAUUUAUAGAAAAAUGAGUUGGAUUAUAUCUAACAGUUUUUAUAUGUAUUUAAUAUAAUGCUUCCUUUUAAAAUGUAAAACUCAAAUUUUGGAUAUAGAAUAAAAUAUAUAAAAAAAAUCAUAUUUUCAAAAUUUGUACUAGUUGGAUCACCUAAUCUCAAAACAAUUUUCGAAAACGGAAUCUAUAUUAUAAGUUAAUUGCAUAUGUGUUGAACUUAGUAAAUCUAAAAACAUAAAACGAUAUCCAAAUUUUCUGCUAAACAUAUUUCAAACUCUCAAAACUUAAAGCUACUUGGAUGAAACGUUAAUUAUUAUAGUAAAUAAUUAUAUGUUAGUUUGAACGGUUAAAAUGUAAAUUGUUUUUAAUUUAAAUUAAAAGUAGUUAUAUCAUAGGUAAAUAAUGAAAAUUUUUAAAUAAUUAUGUGGUAGCUAAAUAUAAAUUAUAAUUAGAAACAUUGUAAUAGGUAACCCUUUUAAUUUAAAUUAAUUAUUAUAUGUAAGCAAAAAAAACUUCUAAAUAAUUACAAAUAUAAUAAAAUUUAGGAGUGAAACUCUAUUUUGAUGGACUCUCGUUAGCAAUAGAUUACGUUGUUAAUAUACUUAUGCCAGUGAUAUUUAUUAUUGAUAUGUUUUAUCAUGAAUAUACUUUAAGACAACGACGGAUUUAAAGAAAAUGCAAAAAAAAAAAAAAAGGACUCCAACUAAGUAUAAAAAGAAGCUAAACCCUAGAUUUACCAAUAAGGUAACUAAUAAAGCUUAGUAUGGUUAUUUAUUAAUCUUCUUAAGCAAGUAGAUCAUAAUCAUACGGUUUAAUUCACACGUUUAGACAAUGCAUAAUGUAUCAUAUCAUAGUUAAUUAAAAAUGGCAAAUGAUUAAAAUAAUUUACUAUAUAUUUUCUCCCUUAUUUAAUUUAUUUUUGUUUACAUAUUGUGUCAUUUACUAAGAUUAAUUAUCAUAGUUACAUUGAUCCUUAUUUCUUACCCAAUUUUUUUGGAAAAAAAUUAUAAAAUUUUAAAGCAUUAAGUAUUAGAAGAAGAAAAACAUCUACAAAAGUCCUUUUCAAAAUAAACAAAUAAAUAAAAUCUACAGAAAAAAGAAGAACAUGUGUUCUUAUUUGAUAAUUGAUAUAAUAUUCUAAUUUAAGAUUUUUAAUUUCGCAUUCGUUUAUGGAAAAAUAUGAAUUUUGAAGUUUGUAUCUAUUAAAAUUCUAAAUUAAUAACAACAUCAAUUCAAAGAAAGUGACAAAUUAAUGACCUUAUUUUUAUUGGUAAAAUUAUUUAAAAUAUAACAAAAUUAAAAUAAAGAGCAACAAAAACUAUCAACUUUUAUAUUUGUCGUUUAAAAUUUGUACUAUUUAUAAUCAUAUUUUUAAUAUUUAAACCUUAAUAUAUUGAUCAUAACAAAAAUGAUAGUUGUAUGGAAAUAUCAAUAGUCUAAGAUAAAGAUAGGAAAGUAAAACGAUUAAGAUAUAUAACUAUUAUAUAUUCAUAAUAUUUUUUCAUUUUUCUAAUUGCUAUCUUAAUAAGAUAUUUACUUUUUUAAAAAAUAGAGAUUCUCCACGCGUGGGAAAACCUCUCCCUAUUUUUCUUUUUAAAAUUUUCGUUUUUAGUCCAAUCAAAAUUUGAUGACAUUUUCUUGGGUUAAAAAUAUUUAUAAGAAUAUAUUGAAAAAAAUCUACUAAUUUUAGAGUUCGAAAAUAUUUGUUCCGAUUUUUAAAAUGUCCAGUUUUAAUAAAUUUAUUUUUAAAAAUUAGAACUUAUUUGGAAGCGAUUUUGAAGUAUGUUUAACCAAAAUACAUGAAGUAUGUUUUUAAUUGGUGGUAAUAUAUAAAAAAUUGUUUUAGAAAAUAUAAAAUAAAAUUUAAAUAAUUAAAAAUGUUAAAACAAAAGUGAUGUUAAUGUGAUGGAAAAAUAUGAUUGGAAACCAUAUUAUUUAAAAACCCGAAAUACUAUUUUUUUUUCAAAAAAAUAUGAACGAAUUGGAUAAGGUUUUCCAGUUUGAAAGAAGGAGUAGAAAGGCCAAAGGUAUAUUUAUAUUAUAUUAUGCUUUGAAGAAGUAAAAAAGAAAAAAGAAAAAGAUGGUUCAGAUGAUACACAAUAUUAGAAUAUACCCUUUUCUUUUGGAGAUUCGUACUUUAAAUAAAGUAAUUUUUUUAAAAAAAUUGACGAAUUAUUUACAUUAUAUAAAAUAAUUAAAUCAUACUAUUUGCAUUAUAUAAAAUAAUUAAAUUAUAAAGUAUUUUUUGGAAGUAUAACAAAAUCCACCAAUUACAAUUAAAUCAGACAAAAUUCAGGAUAAAUAUUCUUUUUUUUUAAUCAUUUUUCUAAAAUAAAAUAUUAUACACACACAUAUAUAUAUAUAUAUAUAUAUAUAUAUAUAUAUAUAUAUAUAUAUAUAUAUAUAUUUAUUUAUUUAUUUAUCCAACACCUUUAAAAAAGUAAUUAAAAAGUUAGUUCAUUUUAAAAAACAAAAUUAUUAAGUUAUGUUUUCUGGCCUCUUUCUUAAUUUUAUGUCCCGCUCAUAUUUGAUAUAUACAUUUUAGAAUGUUAAAUUUAUAUUCCUUAAUUUUAGUAUAGUUUUAAUCAAUUUAAUUGCUUAACAUUAAAAUGUUAAAAUUUAUAUUUGAAAUUUAAUAUAAAUUUGAAGGGUGAAGUGGUAAUAUUUUAAAAUUUGUAGAUUAAAUUGAAAUUUAAAAAAUUAGGUUCAAAUAAAGCUAUACUCUAAAUAUUAAAAGAAAAUAAUAUUUUUUCUUUUAGUUUUUGUACUUUUAUUUCUUAUAAAUUUAGCUUUUAUUAUUAUUAUUAUUUUUAUAACAAAAAAAUAGUUAAUCAAUUUAGUUCAAGAAAAAAAUAUUGCAUUUAGUUGCAUGAUGAUGAUCAAACUUCCAAUCUCUAAAAAAGAAAGUCAUAAUAUUGUUGAACUAAGUUUACAUCGACAAAAUUCUUAACAUCUUAUCAUAUUUUACAAGACCGCCAAUAAAAAUUAUAUAUAGUAUAUAAAUAAACAAAAAGAGAAGUUUUAAAAAAAUAAUCAAAUAUUAAAAUUAUUCACAUAUUUGAAUUAUAUAUAUAUAUAUAUAUAUAUAUAUAUAUAUAUAUAUAUAUAUAUAUAUAUAUAUUAUAUUUUGGCAACGAGUUAAAGAAACUGAACGUGUUAAAUGUUAACAGUAUCCAUAUACAAUUCAGACAUAAAUAUGAGAGAGCUCAUUUAUUUUUCAAUUUAUUUAUUGUACACUGUUUUUUAGAAUAUAUUAUUUCUUUUUAACUAUAUACAAACAAAAAAUAUAUAUUUAUUUAAAUGAACAAUUUUGGAGUUUAGUUGAAACCAUUAUAAAUCUCACAUUUUUUUUCAAUUAUUAUUUUUUGCAGAAUGUGUAAAUUGAUACAAAAUGUUUAACAUAAGUUUAGAAUUUUAAAAAACACAAAUUGAUGUUUUUCUUAAAAAAAACUUAAACAAAUAAAAUGUUUUUAUUAAAUAGUGAUUGUUGUUGUUAUUGACAAGAAUUGGAAUAAAAUAAAAUACACUAAAAAAAGCCAUAAUUAUAAAAGAACAAAAAUAUGAAGAUAGAUGGGUGUAGCCCUAAAAUAUUUUUAUAAUCUUACAUAUAAAACUAUAUUAACAAGUCUUUUAAAAUUAAAAAAAAUAGACCAACUAUUUCUACCAACAAAACACUGAAAAAAACAAAAUUUAUUACAUUUUUUUUAUAAAUAAUAAAUAUUUUAUCAAAUAUAGAUAAUUUCUCUUUUUAUAAUUAUAAAAAUGAAAUAUGUUUUAAAUAUAGCAUAAUUAAUCAAAAUAUUUACAAGAUAUACCAAAUUUUUAUAUUCUACCAAGUUCUAAUACAUCGAUAAACAUCGAUAAAAGUCGAUAAAUAUUUAGUAUUGCUAGACCUUGACAAAAGUCUAUUCUUAUUUAUUAGAGAAGUUUGAAAAAAAUAGCAAACAAAUUUAUAAUAAUAGAGUAAAUGUCAUUACAUUUUCAAAAUUACAAAAAAUAACAAAUUUAAAAGCAGAUUGUCCUUAGAUUGCAAUAUGCAAAAAUAGGUAUUAUGAGCUGUAUUUUCUAACUUUUGUUGUCAUCUAAUACAAUUUUCGUAUUUAUUAUAGAAACAUUUUUAAAAAUAGCAAAGUAAAUUAAAUAUUUACGAACUAUAACAAAAUUUUGUAUUUUAUCCAUGUUUAUUAUGAAUAGAAUGCGAACGAAUCUUCUUAAUUAUAAGUAAAAUUAAAAUUUUAAUUAUAUUUUGAUGGGUUUCGUAAUUUUCAAUAAUAUUUUAAAAUUAAAAUGGAAAAAAAUUGAAAGGAAGGAAAGAUGUUUAAUUUAGAAUUUGCGUAGAGAAGAGAAUUUAAAAAUGGAUAAAUAUUUGGACAAUUCGUAUUACAUUAGACUAUUGAAUUCAAAUAAUACCUAUCUAUCUAUAUCAUAUAAUUUUAUUACCUAUUUCAAUGCCAAAUAUUUAGUAUCCAUUUUAUUUAGCUCUCACCUAAACAUAGUAAGUUCUAUCUCUAUCUUUUUAUCUCCAUUACUCCAUUUCACACACCAACAUAUAUUUUUGUUCCUUCAAAAAGUCUUUUCAAACCCUCUCUGCUUAUCCACACACCCAAUUUCAACUUUUCAAACUUUUUUUUUUUUUUUUAAAAAAUUUAUCUUUUAAGUUUAAAUAAUAGAGAAUGUAAUGUAGGGUUUGAAGACUUGACUAGAUUUGGUUUUGUUUUCCUUUAAAGAAAAUCUUUGACAAAUGGAAGGAUGCUCCAAUUAGUUAUGAGUGUUGGAGUUAAUUAAUGUGUAUUUAAAAAAAUAUAUAAUUGAAAGUAUAAUCAAUAAUUCAUAUACUAAAGUGGUAUGUUAUUAAUUUAUUUCAUAUAACAUACCGUAGGAUUCUAAUUGGCUUAUUGUGUAUUUAACGGUUCAAAAUCAUCUCGUUUCACAUAUUGUUAAAGUAAGAAAUAAAUGUUUGUUUAAUUAUUCUUUAUAUUUUGUUCAUAUCGUGAAACUUCUAUAAGGUAAUAUUUUAUUUUGGUUAGAUAAUCAUAAAUGUAUUUAAAAUAUGGAUUAUUUCAAUUAUACUCUUAAACGUUGAAAAUAUUAAGAAUUGUAAAAAAUAGUAUAAAAUAUUUACGACAUAAUCAAGUGAAGUGGAUUUUCAUGGCAAUAAUUAGUUUUUUUUUUUUUUUUUUUUGAAAAAACUUCAUUUUAAUCAUUGUAAAUUAUUGUUUUUCUUUUCGAAACAACUUUACCUUUAAGUUCAUCGAUGUAUACACUCACACGUUGCUUGAAUAGUCAAAUCUAGACACAUACGGAAAGUAAUAGUUGAAGGUUAAUUAAGACUAUCAAACCAACAGCUAAGAGAAAAGAGUUGUGUGAGAUUGAAACGGAGAAGAGAAAUAUGCAUGGUUCACGCACUAGAUUUUCUACGACCAAUUUUCUAAUUUUGUUUUAUGCGUGCUACCAUCAAUUUUGAAAUAGAAAAACAUGAUAAAUUUGGACUAUUUUAAAACUUUGUCCAAUUCUUUCUUAUAUCUUUAGUUUUGAUCUCUUUUUUUUUUUUGUUGUAUCUUUAUGAGUAUUUUCUUUGUUUCGGUGUACUUUUGUGUGGUUUGGUUGGAUGUUUUAUGGAGUUCCUCAAAAAAACGAGUUUUUGAGAAGUGUAUGAUGAGAGCAUUUCAUAUGCUUUUAUUUGUUUUUACGGAGUGUUUAGAUUUGUUCCCAUAAGUAUAUACAAAGUUUACAAAGGUUAUUUCAAAACCCGGCCAUAUUCAAAAGAAUAUUCUUUGUAAUUUAACCAUUUUCUUUCUAAAGACAUUUGUGCACCAUGUCACGUGCUUUGUACAUAUCUAUAAUAUUGACUACAUUUUAAAAGCGUUUAAUUCUAUUAUGAUAAGUUGUUGUCAAAAAGUCAAAAUUGUUAAAAAUAACAUUUUUUAAUUUAAACACUUUAAAAAGUAUUCCAAACACUAUUGAUAUUUGAUUAAGAUGAGAAAAACAAUUUUAGAAAACAUUAAAAAAACAACCGCAUGUGAUUCCUCAACAUUCACUUGAUAAGUGAUUUUUUUAAAGGUAUUGUAAAUACAACGCGAGUGGAUAAAUUUGAACUUGGAACCUUUCGUUCUCGAGUACAAACAGCAAGCACCAACGGAUUCAAUAUAGGUUAUCUUGUAAAAUUAAUUAUAAGAAAUGAUUUACCUUAAAACAUUACUGGUGAAAUAAACAAGUGUAGAACAAAAUACUGAAAUGAUUGUAUUGAGAUCAGUUUUACAAAAAUCAAUUUGGAUAAAGUCAAUUAUUCUAAAAUUACCUUUAGAUUCGUUUGGAUUGACUCUUAAGUGUUUAUAAAUAUCCUUUUCAUUUAAAAACACUUAUGAAACAUUUAAGGCAAAAAAUCGGUUAUUAUCGUCCUAUAUCAUUAUAAUUUGUGCUUGGAGCGUAAACUAUUUUUUCUUUUAUUAUAAUAGUAUGUGUUUGAGAUAUAAACUAUUUUAAUAUGAGAAAUAAAUAGUAAAUAUUAGAGUAAAUGAAACGAAAAAGUAAAAUAGUAAAAAUUGGGGAGUACAUAAUAGUAUUUAGCUAUUUAGGCGUAGUGUAUAUUUUCUUUUAUAAAAGGUUUGUUUAGAUUUUUGGAGGUUGAAUUGGGCCUUUGUUGAGAAUGAGGUUAGUCGCUUUGAGGCCUGGUAAUGGGCUUGGGCCUCCACUCAUGAGGCCCAUUAUGUUUUCCAUUUUCUUUUCUAGAAAUAUAAUUGUUUUCGACUCUCCAUCUCUUAAUAUCAUUUUCAAGUUAAUUAGUUUAUUUUCUCAAACUAUUUUUCUUUUGAUAAAGUCGAUUCUAUAUCUUUCUUUUUUUAGUUUAAUGCAUUUGCAUAUGCAUCUAUGUAUUUUUACAUAAAUUUAAAUUAAUCCGAGUAGUAUGAUCAAACACGUUUGUCCAAUCCAUUUCAAGUUCCGUUUAUUUAUUAUUAUUUUUGACAAUUCUAACUUUCAUUUAUUGUUAUUUAAGAACUCUUGUUUUUGCAUGUACAUAGUAAUUUGAAGCCCAAUAAUUUCAAAACACAAAUACAAUAUAUUUAUGAAGUUAAAAAAAGGUUUACAAUUAGAAAACGUGUGAGUUAUCAAAGAAAAGGAAAAAUAACUAAGAGUUAAAUUAAGAUUAAAAAUAAACAUAAUAGAAUCUCAAUUGCAAUAAUAAAAUAUUUAAUUUUCAUUAAAAAAAAAAGAAAGACUAUCACGAGCAUUUAAUAACUUUAGAGUGUGCCACGUGACAUUUUUGUUUUAGUUUUAAAAUAAAUUUCAACCUUUUUUUGACAAGAUAAAACAAUAGGUUAGAAAAAAUAAUGCAUACAUAUAUAUAAAAAAAUGUGAUAAAAAAAUUGAAAAAUUUAAAACAAUUAUGUGUUGAGAACAAAUGUUUGGUAAUUAAAGUAGAAGUGAAGUAGAUUUAAAUAGUAAAAAGAUUUUAAUGUAAUAAAGAUAACCUUAUGUUGAACAAUAAUUAUUAAGAGGACGAAAUUUCAAUCACCUUCAUGAUGUAUGGUGUUAGUGUUACAUAGGAUGGGGAAUGGGGUAAGGUUAUGAAUUUUAAUGCAAAGCGGCUAAGGUUAUUAAUUAGAGGCGGAUGAAUUAAUGGUUGGUUGUUGUGUGGCUUAUGAGUUCGACAGGACGGACUGCAAUACCCAUCUUCUUCCUCCUGCUGCCUGCAACAAAACUAACUGCAAUUAAAUGGCGGUUGACUCUUUUAUAUAUCCAAAAUUAAAUUUGGGAAAUUGUUUUUCUUCAAUAAUAAGUGAGAGAGUUGGGUUUCUGUUCACAUCUAUGAUCUAUUCAUGUAGUUGAGUUGCUGCUGAUUUAAAGAGAAAUGUCACUGUUCCGCCAUGGAAGGUAGGAGCAAGCUGUCGGCCUUAGCAAUCAAUGCUCCUACCAACAUCUACCAGUUCUCAUUAAUUACGCAUUUGAAAUAUGCCUUCCUCUUCUUCUUCUUCUUCUUACUCUGUUUUCUCUUUAAUCUCUUCGAAAAUUUUCAUUUCAUCCUUCAUACGAUUCGUGAUCUUUUGUUUUUUCAGGCUGUUUUCGCAUGGGGUUUUCUUUUUUUCUCCCUCGAAUCUUCUCAGUCUAACUCACACGAUACUCAUUUCACUAGUUGCAGUCAAUCUCCCACUUCUCUCUCUCUCUUUCUCUCAUUUAUAUAAAGGGGGAAACAGAGGAAAACAGAAGGGUGUUGUGUGGUGGUGGUGGUGGUGGUGGUGGAGAUGGAGAUUGAGGCGAGCAAAUCGACGGGGAAUGGGGCUGUGGCGAUUGGGUUGAGUCCUUUGAGUGAGACGCUAUGGCGAGAGAAGACGAACACGGAGAUUGUUGGGGACGUUUCAGCAAGAUUGACAUGGAAGGAUCUGACGGUGAUGGUGAGUUUAAGCAAUGGAGAAGUUCAGAAAGUUUUGGAAGGAUUGACUGGUUACGCUGAGCCUGGAACUUUCACUGCUUUAAUGGGACCUUCUGGUUCUGGAAAAUCUACUCUUCUUGAUGCUCUUUCUAGUCGUCUUGCUUCUAAUGCCUUUCUUUCUGGUACCAUUCUUCUCAAUGGACGCAAAACUAAGCUCUCCUUCGGCGCUGCGGUCCGUUCUCUUCUAUUUUCCUCUGUUUUCAUACUCUGUUCUGCUUUACUAUUGGCUGUUUUGAUAAUCUAUGGGGUUUUGGGUAAUCAUUUCCCAUAAACAUGAUUAAGAUUGUGUAUUUAGAGAAAGGGUUUCAUUAUAUUGAGUUAGUAUUACGUGGGUCUUUCUUAAAUGGAUGAUUAACUUUCUUUCAGCCGAAUAUAAGACGGUUGGGAUUGGAAACGUUUUUUUUUUUUUUUGUUUUUUUCUCGGGAAACAAACAGAAAUUUUCUGAAGUUGUGAUCUCUUUUUGUUGUUAUGGUUCUUAAGUUUUCUUCACUCUCAGGCUUACGUGACUCAAGAUGAUAACCUGAUCGGCACAUUGACGGUGAGGGAGACGAUAGCCUAUUCAGCUAGGCUUCGUCUCCCGGACAAAAUGCCAUGGGAGGAGAAACGAGCUUUGAUAGAGAGCACCAUCAUCGAGAUGGGUCUUCAAGAUUGUGCCGAUACAGUCAUUGGGAACUGGCAUUUACGCGGAAUCAGUGGCGGCGAGAAGCGGCGGGUUAGUAUCGCCAUUGAAAUUCUCAUGAGGCCUCGAUUGCUCUUCCUCGAUGAACCUACAAGUGGACUCGACAGGUACGUUGAAAGAAACCUAACCCUAGGAAUAAAAUCACUAGAAAAAAAUUGCUUGAAUUUGUAAUGUGGGUUCUGUGAUUUUGGUAGUGCUUCUGCUUUCUUUGUUACUCAAACGUUGAGAGCUUUAUCGAGAGAUGGAAGAACAGUGAUUGCCUCAAUUCAUCAGCCGAGUAGUGAGGUUUUUGAGCUAUUUGAUCAACUUUACUUGCUGUCGGGUGGCAAAACUGUGUAUUUUGGUCAAGCUUCAGAGGCUUAUGAGGUGAGAAUUCUUCCAUUUUUGAGCUAAUGCGCGUUACAGAGGUGAAUCUUUUCACCAUUGUUGGAGGUUUUGAUAUUGAAUUGUUGAUCUGUGCAGUUCUUUGCUCAAGCUGGCUUUCCCUGCCCCGCUCUGAGGAACCCUUCUGAUCAUUUUCUUAGAUGUAUCAAUUCAGACUUCGAUAAAGUCAAGGCCACUCUCAAAGGUUCUAUGAAAUUAAGGGUAUAACUUUUUCUCCAAUGAAGAUUCUAUAAGUUGAAUAUGAUAGCAAAUGGUGUUUUUCAUAAUUAAAGUUGCUUAGAUAAACAAGGACAGCCAGAAAGUUGAGGCUAGGUCAUGCAUUUCUUUGUCUCUAAACCUGUGUGCUAAUUUAGUAUAUGGGAAGAUUUAAUCAUUUACUGUCCCCUGCUUUGUUCAAGGUUGGUUGCUAAGUAAGGACAAUCAAAAUCCUUUUACUAAAUGCUGAUUGCUAAUUUCUAAUCCAUUUGCGUUGUUCAGUUUGAAUCUAGUGAUGAUCCUUUGGAAAGAAUUACCACGGCUGAAGCAAUGCGAACUCUUAUCGACUUCUAUCGUUCGUCACAACAUUGUUAUGCAGCAUUAGAAAAAGUUGAGGAGAUCUCUAAAUAUGUAAGUCUUCAACUAGCUAGUUUUUUCCACUGCCAAAUUAUUCCCAUUUCAACAUUACUGACUCUUGAAGUUUUAACAUUCUUCACAAUCUCCAUCGUGUUGCAGAAAGGAACCGUGUUAGAUUUGGGAGGGAGUCAAGCUAGUUUCUUUAUGCAAGCGUUUACAUUGACAAAACGUUCCUUUAUCAACAUGUCAAGGGACUUCGGUUAUUAUUGGCUCAGGCUUGUGAUUUACGUCGUUGUUACAAUCUGCAUUGGAACCAUCUAUCUUAACGUUGGAACAGGCUAUAACUCCAUUCUGGUAUUUGAUUUUGUUUACUGUGUUUUGUGCCUUCUUUUUCUUUACUUCCUUAUAUUAAGUGCCAAGAUUAUAUUAGGACAAACAAGUCUGAUUGUUCUGUUCAAAAGACUAUCUAUAUACACAAACUAAUGAUUUCAAGAAAUAAAUUCAAAUUCAUUGUUCAAUGCUAACAAGUUCACCUAUCUUGAUCUGCUAUAAUAUGGUGCAGGCUAGAGGAUCUUGUGCAUCUUUUGUCUUUGGUUUCGUUACAUUUAUGUCAAUCGGAGGAUUCCCAUCCUUUGCAGAGGAUAUGAAGGUAAAAUUCAUAGUGAAACACUGAAAAUUUCGCAUCAUCUUGAUUAGAAGAGAAUGAUUUAAACUUUCAACAUGAAUAUUUUCCCCCAGGUUUUCCAUAGGGAGAGAUUGAAUGGUCAUUAUGGGGUCGGUUCAUUUGUCAUCAGCAAUACUAUCUCAGCCAUGCCAUUCCUUCUACUAAUCACCUUCCUUUCUGGAACUAUUUGUUACUUUAUGGUUCGCCUUCAUCCCGGCUUCGAGCAUUACUUGUUCUUUGUGUUGUGUCUUUAUGCUAGCGUCACCGUAGUCGAAAGCUUGAUGAUGGCUAUUGCCAGUGUUGUCCCCAACUUCCUUAUGGGCAUUAUCAUUGGUGCUGGAAUUCAGGUAUUUUUUCAUGUUGUGUUGUGUAAUCCUUUCGAUUUCUUCAUCUUACAUUUAUUGUAUGAUCAAUGGCAGGGUAUUUUUAUGUUAGUUUCUGGAUACUUUAGGCUGCCAAACGACAUUCCGAAGCCAUUUUGGCGCUAUCCAAUGUCAUAUAUCAGCUUCCAUUUUUGGGCAUUGCAGGUAAAACAAACAAACAAACACAUCAAAAGCAACAAUUCUCUGUUGGUUUUAAAAUAAAGUUUCAUGAUUGAUUGAUGUAUAAACAAAACACAAUGCAUUCUCAGGGUCAGUACCAGAAUGAUCUACUAGGCUUGUCAUUCGAUAACCAGUCACCACUUCUUCCAAAGUUGCCAGGCGAAUACAUCCUAAAAGUAGUGUUCCAAAUUGACUUGAACCGAUCGAAAUGGGUGGACCUCAGUGUCCUUUUUGGCAUGAUAGUAAUCUACCGUCUCAUCUUCAUCAUAAUGAUCAAGAUUAAUGAAGAUGUGACUCCCUGGAUCAGAGGAUACAUAGCAAGGAGAAGAAUGCAACAGAAAAAUGGUAUUGUCAACACAACAGUUGCCCCAGAUGGUCUCACUCAAUCCCCUUCUUUAAGGAGUUAUGUCGCUAACCAUUCAACGAGACCGAGUAGGAGGUAAACCCGUUCUUUUUUAACGGUUAUUCAAUUAAUAUGACAAGAAUUUGCCCUCUUUAGUGCAGUUUCUUGCUACAUAUAAAAGAAGUUCAAUGUUAGGAUUUGAAGUGAUUUAUAGCAAGACUAUUGGUUUUUAUAUAAAGUGCUUUUUCACAUGGAAGCCACCCAAUUUUUCUUCUGUGAUCAAAGAUACAACAAAUCCCACCGGAAUUGUUGUUAUUAUUAAUAAUUUGUAAUUAAGAAAAUUUAUUUCCUAGAAAAGAAAAAGAAAAUAGUGGUUGGAUCAAGAUGUUGGUCAACUUGAAUAAGACAGAAAUGGGAUUGGGGGGCAACGAACUCAACUGUUUUCCUUCACUUAUUUAUAUAAUUUUGAGUUUGAUUCUUGAUUAAAUUACUUAAUAAAUGAAUACUAGAAAUGUAAUUAGUUCCCGUUCUUAAUUCUUUCUACUUAGAUUAUAAAAAAAUGUCAUGAUUAAUUUGUGAUGGAUCCAAAAAUUUUAUGUAGGAAGCACCAACUAGUAUAUAAUAAACACAUUCGACGUUUAAUCGCUACUUCAAUAAUAUUCACUACAUUUGUAACAAUAAAUAAAAAUCAACAAUUUUAUAUGAUUUUUCGUAAUGUAAAUAUGUAGAUUAAAAAAUUGCAUUAAAAGAAAAGAAAGAAAAAUACAAUUUUCAUGGAAGUUUGGACCAUCUGCGUAAUAAAUGAGAGCUAGAAAAUAUGACCGUUUUACAUUAUAUAGUUUUUUUUUAUCUUUUUAAAAUUUUACGUUCAUUUUAGAAAAAUAAGUUAUCUUCCAUUUAGAAAAUAAUUGAAAUUUAGGAAUGGCAAAAAUAAUUAUUAUUUAACUAAAUAAAAAUGACGUAGAAGAGUCCAGACUCCAAAUGAAUGAAAACGUGAUUGAAUUGGUCCCGACACUCUUCGGGACGGAAUGGAAGAAGGGAGGAGAUUCUCGAACGAGGAAAAGGAUCCAAUGACUUCGAAAGAAUUGAAUGAGGAGCCGUAUGAGGUGAAAAUCUCACGUAUGGUUCUGUCGAGUGGCAGUAAGGGUGACUUAUCUGUCAACUUUUCCACUAUCACCCCCAAAAAACCAAACUCUGCCUUACGUAAAGUUGCCAAAGUACGCUUAACCUCAAGAUUUGAAAUCACUGCUUAUACGUGGUAUUUGGCCAUAAUUUACAAGAACAUUCCUUAAUAUAUAUUAUAAUUUGAUGCUUUAAAAUUAAUAUUGUAAAAAAUACAAAAAUUGGGAAUGCGGGAAAGUGACAGAGUCCCAUUCUUUGAAAUGAUCAACCAUUUUCCAAAUAUAAGUCCAUUUGAUAAAUAAAUUACAAAAUAAACAUUCAACAGCUUUAUCCCAUUUAUGCAGUUGAAUUUCAUUUUUUUUGGUUGUCAUAUAAUAAUAAUUUUAGUAUUAAAGAGGUAGGGUUCUUCAAAGGGGGACUCAAAUUCAAUAAUGGAGGUUGAAAUAAACUAAUAGACGAUCAAAUUACACCAUUUCUUGUGAAAUAGUACUACUUUGAGAUAUGCAUUUUUACAACAUUAUACAAAAAAAAAAAAAAAAAAAAAAAAAAAAAAAAAAAAAAAAAAAAAAAAACGAAAGACAAAGCAUCUGUGAACGGGGCAUUUCAAGCCACCAACGAUUAUAGCCUCAAAAUUCAAGGUGCAUCCUAAAAUUAUAAAACUAAGAUUGUCUAUUCAUUUAAAUAACUUUUUAAGUGUUUGUUUUAAAUACAAUAUUUUAAGCACUUAAAAAGUCAUUCGAUAUGAUUGGUAAUAGUAAGUUGAGGUGGAUAUGAUGAAUUUAUUCCUCAAUGCAAGAGAAGAGGACUCCGAGUAUCCGUAUCAAUGAGGCUAUUUCCAACUCCACAAUAAGCUUUGAUGGCACAAGGAGAAUUUUGACCUCUCUCGGUGCUGUAGAAACGAAGAUAGUCUUGAUGAUCAAAGGGUUUAAACAAUUGUGGAUGUUUGUCAUCAACCAAUUCUUUAGGAAUUUGAACAAUUCCAUUGUUGAAUGAAAACAAUCCAACUGAAUAUCUCUCUUUGUUUCCACUCAUUAUCACUCUGUGUGGUGGUGAGUAGAUCCUGCCAUUGCUCCAUGCCUGCCAACAGUUAACCAUUCACUAAUUAUUAGUUUGGCUUUAAUGAUCUUAAUGUCAAUCUUAAUUUGAUGAUGAUGAAGAAAUUAAUUAAUAAAAUGAGAUGGAACUUACAAAGAAAGCAUCUCCAGCCAUGACAAUGAAAGAUGAGGUCGAAGAAGAAGAAAAAGGAUGAUAUUGAAUCCAUUUGUUAUCUCUUGUUUUGAUCUGUAAACCAUUUACUUCGUUUUGAUGAAGAAUUGUGAGAAAGCUCUUAUCAGUAUGAGGAAAUGCUCCCAAAUUCAUCUCUUUUUCCUUUGGGACUCGGUAUUUUAUCAUUCUCAUAAGAUAUUUUGUGGAUUCCAUAUGGCUUCUUAAUGCAUUCCCAACCCCAUAGCUUUCAAACACCAUGCUUUUCACCCUUUUAUCCAAUUCCGAUACCAAAUUCGCAUACGCUGUCACAUUCUCACUGCAUAAAUUAAGAAAAACAUUUAGGAUCCAGGUACUAUUAUUAGAUGGUAGUUUAGGUUUGGUUUGAAAAUGAAGCAAAAUGAAUUACCGGAAAGAGUGGUUUCCACGAGAAGGCCACAUGAGAUUAGUGAAAGAGUUGAUAUUGGUGGGGAGAAUGGGGUGUUCGAUUCCCAUACUUUCAUGGAUGGGCAUUAGAGGGUUUUGACCAAAGUAGCCAUGGUAUGGCUUCUCAGAAACAUUCUGAAGCUUCCUCUCCAAAGGAACUUCAUCAAACAACUCUUUUAAAGAAUCAAACAUAUUGGAACUUACUUCUGCUGAAACGGUGUCGUAUAAUGCUACGAAACAACCAUAUUCCUCAAGAGCUUCCCGAACUUUCUUCGUUGUGGAAACCCAUUCCUCAGUUCCACUCUUCAAAUUCUGUGAACAAAACUUCACAACUGGGAGUUGUUCAUCACUCAUAUUUGUUGCCAUUCUCAUCAUCUCUUCUUCUAAUUAAAUGUGUUUUCACAAAUAAUACAGUUUGUUUGGUUUUGAUUGGAUCUGCAAAAUAAUGGCACCACAACACUCUUUUUAUAGCCAAAUAUUUCAAAAUAAAAUAAUAAUGAAUUGGAAUGAAGAAGGGAGUGUGCUUGUUUAAUUGAUUUAUUUAGAGGGAUUGACUUAGAAGAGAGAAAUGAUUAAUUAAAUAAUGAAAUUAGAGGCCACCCCCCAUUUAUUCAAAUAUUAUGAUAAUACAAACCUUUGUCAAACCAAAUAAAGAAAAUAGUUAGUUUUUUUUUUAGUUGAUUAGCACACAGUUUCAGCCGUCCUGUUUUUGCUUUGAAUUUAUAUUAUUGUAUUACUAAAUACUAAUUAAAUUCGAAAUUAAUUAAUUAAUCUAAUUUUGCUUUUGCUUACAUUUUAAUCCCCGCGUUUGACUUUCCGUUUUAAGAUAAUGUAGAAGUAAGAACGAAUUUAGCUAAUGAAUAAUGUUGGAUUAAUAUGGAAUUAGAAGCACACUUUUGGUAAUAACCCAUGCAAUAAUAAUAAUAAUAAUAAAUGAAUAAGUAUAUUCAAUUUGAUUCACUUAUCAUAUUGUUGGUGUUUAAUUCAUAUAUAAAUAUAAAUCUCACAAACUAUUUUUUUUCAAAUGGAAAGCAAUGUAAUUAAAUGGGUACACUUAUAAAAAUGUAUGUGUCUUAAUGGAUAUAUAUGACCUUUACCCUAAAAUUUAAAGGUGUAAAAUCAAAAUGGAUAUAUGUUUCACUCAAGUUUAUCUAAAUGUAGGAUAUUUAUAUUGUUUUUUAAUAUAUCAGUUGAAUAAUUCAAAUAGAAUUUAUUGUCAUUAAAUAUCAUAACAAUAAAGCUUAUAUUAGUUGUACUUUAUAUUAAUAUAAGUAUGUUGUAUAUAAUAUAACUACUUCUUAUUGGUGUAACUUAUUUUAAUUACUUUUCAAAUAUUACAAUAUUAUUUUAAAAUUAAAAAUAAUUCCACCAAAUAAGAUAAUAUUUUAUUGACCAUUAUUUAGUGAUACAUUUUAAUUUGUUGUGAACUAAAAUGAAGAGUUCUAUAUAUAUAUAUAUCUUCUCCAGCAAAUUUCAAGCGUAUUUCAUUUUCAGCCAUGUCAUUGGCAUUAUUCUAGCAGUAUUUAUAACUCAUAAAAUGAUAUUAGUACUUGGAGAGUCAUUGAUUUGGUAGACUUUACACAGUUUAGUAUUCAAUUAAUUAAUUUCAUGCAUCAUCGUUAUGUUAUCAAUAAAAUAAAAUUAAAUUAAAGGUGUUGAUAUUUGCAUUUCAUCAUUCACGCUUUUGUUUGUAGUUUGGUCUCGAUUGUUCCCUAAAUUAGUACAAAUAAUGUUUGUUUAGUUAACUAAUUAAGUACAAAAGAAGAACGGUGUUCUCUUUUAAAAAUUAACUUUGCUCUUUAACUCUCUUCUUACAACAAGCAACAUACAUCGGCAAUAUCAAAGACGUUUCUUGUGCUCAACAUAGACAAUGUCAAAGACGUCUCUAUCACGGUAACUCUAGCAACUUUAGCAACUUGAUCAUUUUGAUCAUCAUUGUUAUACCUCAAAUUCAAAUAAACACUCGAUAACAAAAUCAAAAUCAUGACCUUCAAACAUUCCUUUUAAUUGUUUUCAUCACUUUCCUACACAUUUAAUUUAAUUUUGUUAUUCUCUUACAAGAAAAGAGAAGGAUUCCUAUUUGAUCAUCAUAAAUAAUAAAUAGAAUGUACAAACACAAAUUAAAAUAGUUGUUAAUUAACUAAAGAAAAGGUCAAAGUGUGGAUGCGUGGGUAACCCUAACCGUCUCCCACCCCGGCCGGCUUAAUUAAAUUUGUAUUACUUAGUUUAGAGUUAAUUGUAUGUGAAUUAUUUGAUUAUAAAUUUAUAAAGAGUAGUGAAUUAAUGUUUUAAUUUCCAUUAAAAAAACAGAAUUAGGUUCACGUUCAUGAAUACAUGAAACCAUAUCUAAUGAACUAUUUUUUUUGUCACCGACUGCAAGAUUUUGUGGAACUAUAUAUUAUAAUGUGGCCUUCAAAAUAAGUUAUACACAAUGAAUCAUGUUGCUCUUCUUUCAUUUUUUAGAAUAUAAUUCAUUCAAAUUUUAUUUUAAAUCACAAUACUUCCUCUCAAAAUAUUUACAAUUUAAAUAUUGUUUAUCGUAUACGAUCGGUUUAUCAUGGUUAAUCGUAGGUAGACAGUCAUAUUUCGCUAUAUUUUAUUAUACUUAAAAAUAACUCUAAUUAAUUUUAAAUAAUGAAUAUAAAAUUUAUAAUGUGAGAAUUUUUUUGAAUAUUUUGAUUGAAUUUGUAGAGACUAACCUAAAAUAAAAUAGAUAAAACAAAAAGAAAUUUGAAGUUUGAAACUUCAUCACCAUACACUUGAAUUUUGAAAGCGUUGAAAGACAUAUUAUUUAUUAUGUUUGAAGAAAAAUAAAUACAUUUAGAAUAUAGUUUGAAAUUUUGCAUGGAGACUUUAUGAAAAAGACAUGAUACCAUACGUACCAAUACAUAUACUUAAAAGAACGAUGCCCUAUACAGCUAUACACAGUUUAGAGUCAUGUUACAAACCCAAAAGUAUGUACAAUUUAAUGUUGACUUUAUUAUAAAGUUUUACCCAGUUGGUUGAUUUGUGUAUAGUAUACAAUUUUUUAAAACCCAAUAACUUUUUUUAACAAAUCUGAAUGAGUUUAACCAUAAUUGCGAACAAAGUAAGAAAUUGUUGAAGAUCUCAAAUGGAAAAGAUUGAAGGAAUCUACAAUCUUAAUAAGAAGAUAUAUAAAUUAUAUACUCUUUCUUAUAACCAAUUUGAUAUAUGAGAUGGAACAUUGGUUCUACCAUAUUGUGUUCAUAUAAUCUUCUACAAGAGAAAUGAUUUUAGUUCCAAAGUCAAAAUAACCAAAUUUUAGUAACGAAUGAGCCUUUUUUGGUGCAUUAUGAAUUUUGUAUAACUUUUCUUGCAAAAAUAUUUAAAAGGGACGAAAUAAAAUUCUAUGUUAUCGAAUGAAUUGUAACCUAUAAUAAUAUACUACCAUAAUAUAAUUUUGACGACCACCUUAUAAUAAGAUACAUUUAUUCCAUUGAUUAAAUAGCAAAACUACUAAUCUCAUGUUAAUUAAAAUAAAUACUAAGAUCAAGUUUAAUUUCUUGAGGUGAAAAUUGGGAACAAUGAAACAAGUUUUAGCAUGUAUUAUAUUAUUAACAAGGUUUAAAAAAUGAAAUUGACCCAUAAAUUUAGCCCAAAUUUAAGCAUUUUUCCCUAUGAAUAAUUCUAAAAUUUAUAAUUACUAUUUUAGAGGAAACACAUUUUGUAAGGAUCUCUAAUAUUAUUAAUUUAACCCAACAUCAUCAUAAUUAAUGCAUGCUAUCAACAUUUAUUUUAUAGGUCAAAAUAAAUUUAGUUAGACCUAAUUAGUUAGUUUAUGAAUUUAUUGAAGAUCGUCGACUUUUUAUUUUCGUAAUUAUUGUACUAAAAAAUUUUAAAAAAUAAUGCAACCAUAAAAUUCAAGAUGCUCAACGAACUCGAUUUUAUUUUAUUUAUUUCGACAACCAAACUAUUAGAGUUAGGUGUUUGACAAUUGAGAUUCAAAUCAAAUUAAAUGUUUGAUAAAAUUAAAUAUGUCAACCUUUCCCUCAAAUGAACAUAUAUUUGUACAUCUGCUGAAGAUAAUUAAUAUUAAAGUUUAGAUUUUACUGUAUCACAUCUUUAUUCUCAUAUAUAUUUCAUUAAUUCUAGUCUCUUUUUUUUCACUAUUCAUAUUCACAUUUGAAAACGGUAUAUUAAACAAAUCUACUAUCCGAUCAUGAUCAUGUAGAAAUGAAGUUAAUUAUUAUAUUUUUUCAUUGUUUCACGACGUUUGUUUUUUAUAUACACAUGAAUGAUGAUGGCCUAACUAGCUUAGCUCAUUGUACUUUGCUUUGUCACACUUAGCCAAAAUAUUGAUAAGAUUGUGAUUAAAAGAAUUAAUGUAGAGCACUCUUUCAGGUAUUUAGUGAGGUAUUAAGUCAUUUUCAUGAAGUAUGCAAGCAAAAAUUCAACUAUAUAAUAAUCAUGUAAACAUUCCAAUUAAUUAAACAUAGAAUAAAAUGUGGCCUUCAACACCCUCCAAAAAUCCAAUUAUAUUCCAUUGUUGACUUUUGAGUUUUUAUUAGCUAUACAUCAAUGCCACGUUUCACUUAAUAUGAUAAUUAAUAUGAUAAAUGUAAUGCAUAGCUCGUUUCAAUUUAAAAGAGAUACAUGUAAUGAUGUAAAUUUACAUUAAUAGAGAUAAUUGUCCAUUAUAAUUAUCUCUAUUCCUAAUCAACGUGAAAUAAAAUGAAAUUCCUAAUCAACGUGAAAUAAAAUGAAAGAAAACUAUAGUUAAAAUGAAAGAAAACUAUAGUAAAUUGUUUGAAAAAUAUUUAUAAAAUAUAGUAAAAUUUUAGAUUAUAUAACUAAUAGAUAUUGAUAUAAAUAAUAAAUAUUAUCAAUAAUUUUAUUAUUGAUUUUUAUUGAUAGAAUAUAAAUUGUGUUAUAUUUUUUAGAUAUUUUGGUUUAUUAUACUAUAUUUGAGAAUGCUUCAAAAUUAUUCUUGAUUUUUUUAAAAAAAGCCUUUUACUUGCAUCUAAUACUAAGGAUAACUAUUUUUAAAAAAAUAUUUUUCACUUUAAUAAAUUUCUAAAAGAUUUUUGUUAAACUUAAAAAAUAUAUACAUCUUCAAGUUACAAACCCCAUAGAUUUUUAGUAUAGUAAAAUGUAUUUAAAAUAUAUGUGUAUGUAUGUAUAUCAAAUACCUUGUAGAAAAAAGUUUAUAUAUCAAAUACACUUCUUACUCUAUCAAAUAAUUAUUGAUGGCGUUUAAUUUUUGAAAAUCAUUAAUACUCCAAGGAAGAAUAGUAUGUAUUAUAUGUAUAUUUGUGUGUUGUUGUCGUCGUCACACUUUGAUUUGGGACUAAAAAAUGUAUAUAGGACACAUUUUGGUUUGUUACUAAAAAAAUGUAUAAACUCCAUUUUUUUUUUUUUUUGAAGUCAAGAGUUGAAUAAUUAUGUACAUUUCGAUUCUACAUUUUCUUAGCUUUAACGGAGUAAAUAAUGUGCCAUUCAACAUUGAGUUUUCUGUUUAUAUAUUGGAAGUGACUCAUUUCGUAGUGAUUAACUAAAUAUUUGUUUGAUGUAUAACAUUUAGGUUAACCGAUAAGAAGUAGUAGAAGAGCUGAAAAUAGAAAUAUUUUCUAAUAAUUAUAAUAAUAAUAAUCCAAGUCAUUACUCAUUAGCUAAAUUCGUUUUAGAUUAUCUUAAAGUAGAAUGUCAAACCCGGGGAUUAAAUUAAAAUGUAAGCAAAAUAUAAUUUUGGAGAAUUUAUUUCAUAUUUUGAAUAUAAAACUGAAACAGGACGGCUCAAAACUGUGUGCCCAUUCCCUAUAACUAUAAACUAUAAACUAUAUAACUAUAACUUUCAUAUUUCUUUAUUUUUCUUUCUCAAAGCUUUCCAUUAUAAUAAUAUUUGAAAUUUGCUUGGUCGGUUAUUUUAUUCUUUAUUUAAAUCACAUUCCUCUUCUAAGUCAAUUCCCCUCACCAUUUAAUAAUUUAAAAUUAAAUCAAACAAAAGCACACUCCCUUCUUCAUUCCAAUUCAUUAUUAUUUUAUUUUGAAAUUUUAGGCUAUAAAAAGAGUGUUGUGGUGCCAUUAUUUUGCAGAUCCAAUCAAAACCAAACAAAUUGUAUUAUUUGUGAAAAGACAUUCAAUUAGAAGAAGAGAUGAUGAGAAUGGCAACAAAUAUGAGUGAUGAACAACUCCCAGUUGUGAAGUUUUGUUCACAGAAUUUGAAGAGUGGAACCGAGGAAUGGGUUUCCACAACGAAGAAAGUUCGGGAAGCUCUUGAGGAAUAUGGUUGUUUCGUAGCAUUAUACGACACCGUUUCAGCAGAAGUAAGUUCCAAUAUGUUUGAUUCUUUAAAAGAGUUGUUUGAUGAAGUUCCUUUGGAGAGGAAGCUUCAGAAUGUUUCUGAGAAGCCAUACCAUGGCUACUUUGGUCAAAACCCUCUAAUGCCCAUCCAUGAAAGUAUGGGAAUCGAACACCCCAUUCUCCCCACCAAUAUCAACUCUUUCACUAAUCUCAUGUGGCCUUCUCGUGGAAACCACUCUUUCCGGUAAUUCAUUUUGCUUCAUUUUCAAACCAAACCUAAACUACCAUCUAAUAAUAUAUAGUACCAGGAUCCUAAAUGUUUUUCUUAAUUUAUGCAGUGAGAAUGUGACAGCGUAUGCGAAUUUGGUAUCGGAAUUGGAUAAAAGGGUGAAAAGCAUGGUGUUUGAAAGCUAUGGGGUUGGGAAUGCAUUAAGAAGCCAUAUGGAAUCCACAAAAUAUCUUAUGAGAAUGAUAAAAUACCGAGUCCCAAAGGAAAAAGAGAUGAAUUUGGGAGCAUUUCCUCAUACUGAUAAGAGCUUUCUCACAAUUCUUCACCAAAACGAAGUAAAUGGUUUACAGAUCAAAACAAGAGAUAACAAAUGGAUUCAAUAUCAUCCUUUUUCUUCUUCUUCGACCUCAUCUUUCAUUGUCAUGGCUGGAGAUGCUUUCUUUGUAAGUUCCAUCUCAUUUUAUUAAUUAAUUUCUUCAUCAUCAUCAAAUUAAGAUUAACAUUAAGAUCAUUAAAGCCAAACUAAUAAUUAGUGAAUGGUUAACUGUUGGCAGGCAUGGAGCAAUGGCAGGAUCUACUCACCACCACACAGAGUGAUAAUGAGUGGAAACAAAGAGAGAUAUUCAGUUGGAUUGUUUUCAUUCAACAAUGGAAUUGUUCAAAUUCCUAAAGAAUUGGUUGAUGACAAACAUCCACAAUUGUUUAAACCCUUUGAUCAUCAAGACUAUCUUCGUUUCUAUAGCACCGAGAGAGGCCAAAAUUCUCCCUGUGCCAUCAAAGCUUACUGUGGAGUCGGAAAUAGCCUCGUUGAUACGGAUACUCGGAGCCCUCUUCUCUUACAUUGAUAAAUAAAUUCAUCGGUAAUCCAUAUUAGUUUAUAACUGUAGUUCGUUUAAAAUGACUAAUUUUAAGUACUUAAAAAGUCAUUCUAAACAAAUAGAUAGUCUCAUGUUAAGAAUUUAGGAAGCAUCAUCGUAAAAGAGGAAGUUUUAGUCGUUAGUGGCUUGAAAUGUCCAUUUUCAUAUGCCUUUCUUGUUAUGUGUAUAAGAUUACGAAAGUGUGUAAAAUUAACAUUUAUUUGAGAAAGCAAUUCUUGACUCCUCAAAGUAUCGAUCUUAUUCUAUAAAUAAAUACAAUAUCUUUUUCAAAAUGUAUUUACGACAUUUAAAUUGUAUGGAAUUUAAAUAUAUCUUAUUAUAUAUAAUUUUGUACAAAAUAAAUAAACACAUACCAUACAUUAAAGUUGUUAGCCUAAUGAUAUUUAAUGUAAACUCUUCCAUCUUAAUUUAGAUAUUUGAUAGUUUGAUCUUUCAUCUCACAAAUCUUCAUCCUACCUAUCAUGGAUUGAAUCAAUUUUUUAAAAACUAAUUAGUUGUUUGAAGCUUAAAAAAUAUAAAAAACGAUCAUUUAUUAACAUUAAUGAAUUGAAUUAGCAAAAGUCAAAAUUAAUAAUUUUGAGUUUGCUUUAAAUAAUGGAAGAAGAAAAACCGUUGAGUUUGUUGUCCCCCAAACGCAUUCGUUUAUUAUUUUAUUGUUUUGUUAUUAUAUUAGUUUCAACCAAAGCUUUUAAUCUAAUUUAAAUUUGAUCAUAAAUUUAAAUAAACGGGUUUUUUUAUAGAAAAAUAAUCGAAAAAACAAUCUAUUGAACUGAUAAAUAUUUUUGUUAACUUUCCUAUUCUUGAUAAUAUGGAGGCUUACAAAUUAAUGAAUAUUUCUAAAUUCCAUUUUACGAAAUUUGAAUCAUUGACUAUGCUCAUGUUUUGGAUAUAUAUGAAGUAAUUUUUGGGAAAUUUAGUUGCAUAUGAAGCCACGGCAAUGCCCCAACCAAUGUUUACUAAUAUUCAAUCAACAAUUUCAUCGACACACCACGAGACGUCAAAAUCCUCAAACAGUCCAAAAUUCUUCUCACCAGUACUGACAAGAAAAAGGACGAAUAUGAACAAGAAGAAGUUGCAACCCUUUUCAAUGGAAUAUAAUAAUAAUGUCUAGCUAACAAUUAUUCCAUUGGAUUAAGCCAUGCAGAAGAGCUGGGGUAAGCCAUUAAUGACGUCAGGUACAGAUACUAUCACAUGAGGCCCAAAGUGAAGGCUAAUAGAAUGAUUAAGAAAUAUGUUGAGUUUGUAGUUUUCUUGGAGGGAUUUUGACUGAGAUUAAUUGCUACUGUUUUGAUUUUGAUUUUGGGGUUGUUGGUUUUGCAAUAUCGUUUCUCUCUGUGUUUGUAAUAAUUGUCCUAAGUUGUUUGGUACUGAUAAAAUCAAUUCUCUUUAUGUGUAUUGUGCUUAUUGCACACCAUGCAUCAGAGUGGUGAGUGCGUGAUGGAUCUAUGAGAACGUUAAGACGUGAGGAAGUGCAAUCUUGGUGGUUCUAGAGAGAGAUGGACGACUAGCGUACAUUACAUACACGUAAAAGAAAAGAGUAAAGAAGAAAUGUUGGGCUAAAAUUAUGCUAAAGCCCAAUAUGAUAUCUCAAUUCUCAACCUAGCUCAUGUUUUGAAGCCUUUACCAAUUUUGCUAGUCCAACUAUGGCUUAAUAACUUGCACUAAAAUGUUGGACUUGGGGUGUACGUGAGUGGGAUUGGGCCGAGUUGGACGAAAAUUAUGAAUCAUUUCAAAAGUAUUUGACUUGACAAAAAAAAAAAAAACUAUUUUAUUGAUUCAAUAGGUCAACCUAACACAAAAAAAUUAAAUUCGAACGUUGGUUUAGGGUUGUGUUUUCUCUCUUUUAGACAAAAUUUUCAAAUUACUAUUCAGUAUGCAAAUAGAACAAAUUAUCAUUCAAGAUGCAAUGUGACACAUAUAUAUAUAUAUGUUACACAUUCAAACCUAAAAGCCAAAACCUAAAAUCUCGUCCACUCAAAGAAUUAUAUAGAUAGAGUUAUAUAUUAUAUACAUAAUUGAGUCAUACCUUUUAGUUACACAACUUAGAUUGGAUAAUCGGACGACUCAACUUUUUUUCUCCUCAAAUUUUCUAAUCCAAUUUGAGUUAGGUAUUUCGGGAUAAUUGGAUUAUUGAUUUUUAUUUAGAGCGAAAGUUUCAACUAUAAAUUUAGCUUAUUAAAUAUCUGAAAAAUUAAUUAUUAAUUCUGUCCUUAGUUAGUUUUGAGUCGUACCCUUUCAAUUUUCAAACUAAUUAUAUUAUUAUAUCACAAUUAAAGCUCUAAAGUUUCAUGAGCUACCUACCUAUUCUUAGUUGAAAUAGUUAGAGAUUUUAAUCCAUGAAUUGAAUGAUGAAAAAAAAAUGAUAAUUUACCUAAUAAUCUUUCAUGCUAUAUGGGGUUGGUCUCGAGUUGAUUUUAAUCUAUUUUAAAAAUGAAGAUAUACUCCUAGUUCAUAAUAAUUUGCAUAUAAUUAUUAUAGAUUUUAUUUUAUUUACAAAUGAUAUAUGAAUGUGAAGAAUACAUAAUUUAUAGACAAAAUUACAUAAAAACUUUAAAUGGUAAACCAAAAGAAGGGAAAAAGAAAAAGAAAAAAAGAAAAAUUGAGGUCCUUUGAACAUGGUGAUUACUUUAUAUGACCCCAAGUUUGUUCAUGUGGCCAAAAAGAUAAACCAUUCAUAUUCAUAUUACUCAUUCUUCUCUUCCACUUGCUAUGUUCACCCUUCCAACUACACCACAAAAGUUAUCCACAUAUAUCCUACCCAAUUUUAAUCUCUAUGUCAACAAACUAUAUAAGAUUAAAUUAUAAUAUUCUCCAAAUGAUAGCAAUUAAAAUUGCAAUUUAAACAUUACAUUAAUUCUUAAAAUUGUUUUUAAAGAAAGAAGAGAUGAUUAAAUUAAUUGAAUUAAGCUAAGUAAUGUAAAUAGAAGACGUGGCUCAUAGGUGCUGGACUUUAUGAAAUAAAUAUAACACCAUUGAAAACUCCAAUGAGAAGGGGCAUUGAAAAUGACAGGCAUGUGACAAUACCAAAUUCAAUAAACAAUUCUAUUAUGAUGUAGCAAAUUAACUUAAUCAAUCAUAUAUACUUACUUAUACAUUAAAUAAAUCAAUCAAAAAUUGAAUAAUAAUACCUCCACCAAAGUGCUUUUUUUCUCUGCAGUUGGGGGUGAAAAUUAAAUAAAGUGGUUUCCAUUGGGGCCUUUCAGAAGAAGAAGAGAACUCAAGGUAGCCAAGGACGACUUGCCGCCGCGCCGCCCCACAUUCACGCCGGCGAUAUACAUGAAUCGCCGGCAAGUCAUCCUUGGCUGCAUUCAACUCCCUACUCCUUUUGGAAGGCAGUGGAACCAAUAAUUAAAUUAAAGAAGAAGAAGAAGAAGAAAGAAAGAAAGAAAGAGGAAUUGGUUUUGUAGUACAGAGAGAAAGAGGGGUUUAUAUUCAUAUAUAUAUAUAUAAAGAUAGAGAGAGGGAAAAUUUAAGAAAUCAAAUUCAUGAAAGUUCUAUGUAUGUUGGGAUAUAUAUAUAGAUUCUUUUAACGCUGUAAAGAGAUGUCAAUUUGAUUUUCACCUCAAACACAAAGAGAGGAUACGUCCUAGUCAUGCGUGUAAUUAAACUUCUAAUGGUCUCUAUGAUUUUAAACACACAUUUACGAGAGAAUUUUGAUUAAACUUUUAAAUGGGAAUGGAUAUAUAUAUAUGUUGAAAAAAGUAUAAUAACAUUUGAAUUAGUAAAUAAGUAAAAUGAGUUUUAUUUAUUUUAUUUUCUUUCUGGGCAGCAAUGGACAGACUGAAAAAGGCACCGCCCAACACACAUAAUAAUAAAUUCCUAUCUUUGUUUCGAUAUGAUCUCUUUUUCCCAUCCCCACCCCCAAAAAAGAGAAUUUCGUUACUAUAUAAUAUUAAUCAUAUUAAUAAUAUAUGCUCAAACAAAUACACCUUUUUCCCUAUGCCAAAAUACAACUGACCCCCAGGGUCUCUGUUUCAUGUCACAUCCCCCGUCUAUUUUAUAAAAUAAAAACAAAAUUACCUUUAUUGAAACCCGUAUAAAUUAAACCUUCAAUAAUAAAAAUUAAAACUCUAAACUACUUAUACAUAAUUGUCAAUAUUAGGGUUUAAUCGUAUAUAUAUACCAUCAUAGACAAUGGUUUAAUUUUAUCCAUUCGAUUUAGUAUAGAAAUUUUACUAUAUCAUUUAAGGUUUGAAGCGUAGUUCACCAUUGUUGAAUAUGUUACUUAUAAAGAUUGUUAAAUCGUAGAAGAAUCAAACGUACAUGUUUUGAUAUCAAUAUGUUAAUAGUUGAAUAAGAUCAAUAUCUUAACAAAAAUUUGUUUGCAUUAAGCUAAUUUCCCUUAUGAUGAUGUAACCAUGGCUACAAAUGACCAUCGACUAAUUAUUUCAAUUUAAAGAAAUUACAAUGUUUCUUUCUUAAUAGUUGUAUAGGCAUUUCCAAAAACCACUAAAAAAUGAAUUACAACUAAGUCAUCAUAGAUUGAUAUAAAGUUAGGGGCCUACUACAUACACGUAGCUUUCAUUCUAGCUAUAGAAACAAACAAUCAUAAUAAGAUUCGAUAGCUAGAUAUUUAGUUCCAUUUAAAAACAUUUUAUAACAACAAGAAUCAUUUUUUUAACUACAUCAAUAACACUAAAUAUCAUAUGAUCGAUGACUCACAACAACCACGUUCAUUCUAUACUAUAUAUGUAAUAUAUAUAUAAGGUUAAAAGAGAUUUAAUGUGGUCCUAUUGUAUAAGAAAGGAAUAUGCAUACUUUUUGUUUUAACUUUACGUACAUUUCUAACUCUUUUAAGAAAUAACCCCAUACCAUGCAAGUGUGUGUGCAUGUGCAUGUGCGUGUCGUUGUAGGUUCCUUAAAGGAAAGGGUUUGUAGGUAAUAAAAGGAUAGGACAAGAAGAAGAAGUAAGCAGCUAGAUUUGUGAAUUGAUAUAUUAUAAGAGUGAGAGAGUGUGUAUUUUUUCAAUAAAUAAUGAUAAUAAGAUAUGUUAUUUGUCAAAUAUUAUGAUGAUUGGUUGUUGAAAAGUGGUUUGAGAAAAAGUUGAGAGAUUCAAUGUUGAAAUAUAAGGAGAGAAGAGAAAAGAUAAGGGGGAGUUUGCAAAGAUAAAAAGGGGGGAUGUUGGGUAUUGAUACUAUGAAUUGAGAGCAAAGCGUGAUAGGAAGAAAAGAGAGAAUAUGGUUGUGAUUAUUAUGUUUGAUGUCGUUUGAACUUCGAUUUUUGUGUAAUCGUGUAUUUGAGAUUUAUAGUGAUUUUAAGCAUGCUUUUGGCUCUCAAAAUCAUUAUGUUUUUUUUUCUUUUUAUAACAAAGAGUAUUGACGUUGGUGUUAAAUCGGUUCGAUAAUUUGGUUUUUAUUCCUUUUGAAUUUUGAAUUGGUUUGAUUAUGGUUAUUAUUAGUUUUAGACUUUUAGUUUAAGUGGGUGGAAGGAGAGCAAAACGUUGGAAUUUGUAUAAAGUUUUAAACGAAGGUUUAGCUAACUUAGAUUUCCUUUUUAAAAUUACGUCAGUAACGUUUGGUAUAGGAGUUGAGUCGUGGAGAAGAUUUGCAUAUAAUCCUGGAAGAAUGAUGUGCCUUCGUGGUGGCAAUUUUCAUAAUUUGUGAGGAAGAGUACUCAUACACAUAAACUUCACGAUGAGACAAUUUCAUACCAUGAAAGAGUGAAGUGUUGACUACAUACUACUAGUGGAAACGUUCACUCAAAACAUCGUUUAAAGAGAAUUUUGAAAAAACCCUAAUGAUAAAAAUAUUUUAACGACAAGAUCAAGGCUAUCUUUUAAGGGGAGAAAAAAGAGUUACCAUUCUGAAAUUUCCUUUUUGUUUUCGAAUCCCAAAGAGAUAUUUAAAAGGAUAAUUAUAAUUAACAACAAAUUUAGAAAUAAUAAUUAAAUACAUAACAACAUUUUAAAAAACCUACAAAUAUAAUAAAAUCAUCCGUGAUAGAAAUCUAUUACUGAUAGACCAUCAUAAUGUAAAUAUUAAAUCUAACUGUUAAUUUUUUGAAAUUUUCUCAACUUCUUCCUGGUCGACACAUACUACGUAUUAGUAUUAGUUAAGUUAAAUUGAGUUAUUGAUUAAAAGGAUUUAAAAGGUGGGACGAAUAUAUUGACUAGUUGAUAAAAAAAGAUAGUGAAAAAGGGUAUGGAUAGUAGCAAGUACCAAGGCCACACAGCCGACAAGAUCCAGCCGCAACAACUCUCUACCAAAUUGCUUUUCCUUUUCUCUUUUCUUUUCCCCAUUGGGAUUCACUUCAUUUCAACUUUUUUUCUUUUUUUUUUUCUUGUAUAGAAUAUAAAAAUAUCAAUAUUAUAUGACUACAAAAUAAGGCCUCCAAUCUAUAAAACUGUUGUUGUGAUAUAAUAUAAAAUUGGUGUAAUUAAUUUUCUGAUCACUUCUGAUAUUUCUUUUUUUUAUUAUUAUUAGUAUACUUAAAUUUACCAGAAGCUUCCUCCAAUGGUUAAAUUAUUACUUAAUUCUUUUUAAAUAAAAUAUACCAUAAAAGUAUUGUAUUGGACUAAUGUGCUUUAUAUAAUAUUUUAUGUAGAGUAUUUUAAAUUGUUAAUGAAUUUUGAGGAAUAAAUAAAUCAAUUAUUACAACAUAUUUGUAAGAAAUUUACAUUUCUUUUGGUCUAAAAGUAUCUCUGGAUUUUAUUUAUUUUUUGAAACGAAAAAAAUUAGUGGGCUUGUACUGGGCCUGAACAGUUGGACCUCAUCACUACUCUUCUCGGCCCAGCUUAGGAUUUCGCCUUGAUUUAUCAAUUCUUACCGCAAACUUCCAAUUUUUUACACCAAAACUUAAUUUGUAAUCUUCAUGUUUAGUGUCCUCUUUUCUUCUAUCACCUAAUAUUGAUGAAAUAGGAAGAGAUUGUAAUCUUCAUGAUUUUGAAUUUGUACAAUAUAUUGAUCCCUCAAGGCAAUAAUUUAAGUGCAAAAUUUGGACAACAUCCAAGUUCUUGGUGUCAAACCAUGGAGUUAAAAAUGAGCUCAUUGGCUAACAAACUAAUAUGAAAAGGUUUAACAAUAGAUUCUGACUGAAGAUCAUCAAAGAAAGAACUUUAUUGUUAUUUCCAUAUCCACCAACCUCACAACCUCACCUACCACCAAAAUCCCAAAGCCACCAGUUCCAAUGUUUGAAAUCUGCAGAUUCUUCGCCUCUUCAAGGCUGAUUCAAUACAAAAUUCUUCAUAUUCCAGCUACAAGAUUUCCAUCUCAAUUACUCUUUCCCUUUCCUCUUCGAUCUCACCAACAUGUCCUCCUCGUCUUCUUCUUUCCCGGCGGUUCUUACUUGCAAAGGUAACAUUUCUCCAAUUUUUUUUUCUUCUAUUCUACCUUCCUCCCGGCCUCUUACUCUAUUUUUCCUUGUUCGAUUGAAGCCGCGGUCGCUUGGGGACCUGGACAACCAUUGGUGAUUGAAGAGGUGGAAGUCAGUCCUCCUCAACCUAUGGAAAUCAGAGUUAAAGUUGUUUCUACUUCUUUGUGUCGCAGCGAUCUCUCUGCUUGGGAAACUCAGGUUCUUGCUUCUUCUAUUCUAAGCUGAAAUGGGUUUUUGAUUUUUGUAAUUUCUCUGAAUGGACUGUUGUUGACCCAUGUUAAUUAGUAGAGGAAUGUGAUUGUCCUGUGAUUGGUUUUGUUUUGUUCAAUGUGUAUAUGAAAUUUAUAGUAACAUUGUUUGUAUAAUGAAUGGAGACAUUGUACCAAAGUGAAUAUUAGUGAAACCGCAUUAUAACGAAAGUGAACUAAAGUCUCAUUUGAAUUUGAUAUUUCAUGGUGAAGAUGAAGAGUUGAAAGUUCUAAUGUGAAUGCUUGUUGUUUUUGUGUAGGCUAUUUUUCCUCGCAUAUUUGGCCAUGAAGCAUCAGGGUAACUUCUUCUAACUGAAUUUUUUAUUUCCUAAUUUUGUGGUUGAAUCCUUCUUCUUACUGGCUGUUUAUGGUUUCAAAUAGUUUGAAAAAAUAUUGAAAUUUUAGUUGUCACAUUGUCUUAGAAAGACAUUCCUUCUAUAAUGAAAAACCUGAAGAAGAAGAAGAAGAUGAUUAAUGGGAUUUUUCUUCUUCUUCUUUUGCAAAAGAUACCAUUUUUCAAUUUAAAAAUAAUGCUUAAAGAUAGAAACUUCUAAGAUGGGGAAAAAUGAAAGAAAACCUAGAAGUGGUAACCUACAAGAGCAAAAUUCUUGAUAAGGAAACCCAUGGAAAAGCAUGGAAGAGAAACACCAAAAAGAGGCCUUCGAUUAUGCCACUUCCGCCAAGAUUACUUUCAAAAAAUCUUUGGAUGCAAUCCCACGAAAGGUCUGGAAAAAAAAAAGCUCAGCUUUGCAAAAGCCCAAAAAGAGCAAAACACAAAAAAAGAGCGGUGCUUCUUGGAACACAAAUUCAUUACAUUUUAAAUUCUUUACUUCCUUAGAACCUUCAGGAUAAAGCAGCUGUUAAAUUUAUUGUCUUUGGAUAGUAGUGAUUUUCAAUUUUUUUUUUUUUCAGUGUUGUUGAGAGUGUUGGCCCUGGAGUGACUGAAUUCAGUGAAGGUGACCAUGUGCUUACACUAUUCACUGGAGAAUGCAAGACAUGUAGACAUUGCACAUCAGGUAAAAGCAACAUGUGCCAAGUUUUGGGACUAGAGAGGAAAGGUGUAAUGCAUAGUGAUCAGAAGACCCGCUUCUCUAUCAAAGGCAAACCAAUUUAUCAUUAUUGUGCGGUUUCAAGUUUCAGUGAAUACACCGUGGUGCACUCAGGGUGUGCUGUCAAAGUCAGCUUGGCUGUACCUCUUGAGAAAAUAUGUCUUUUAAGCUGCGGGGUGGCCGCAGGUAUACUUGAUUUUUUCCAUUUGAUUUCUUCAAUGGGGUAGAGCGUUUCAAUGACACAUAUCACAUCCUGUCACUUGUUACUAUGUAUUUAUCUAGAACAGAAUACCAAAAAAAAAAGGUGUAAGAAAGUUUAAAGGAGUUACAAUCUUUUAUCGAUUGUUUAGCGUGAUCAGUUAUAUAGGAGUAGUAUUUAUCAUUGGCUACUUCAGCAUAAUUCUAGAGCCUUUGAAUUUGGAGUCGAAAUAUGACGCUGUGUAUCACACUAUAUUUGGUCUUUCCAUUCUCUCCUUUGUUUAAACUCACUUCUGUAGAUUUCAACUAAUUCAGGCUUGAAUUGGAGCAGGUUUUGUUUUUCCUUUUUAAUUAUUGAAUUAUAGCAAUGUUCUGUUAAACAACAGUUCUAAGGGCUGUUACUUAUAAGAUGUUCUUUCUUCAGGUUUGGGUGCCGCUUGGAAUGUUGCUGAUAUAUCUGAAGGUUCAACUGUGGUGAUAUAUGGUCUGGGGACUGUAGGCCUAUCUGUAAGCUUUAUGUUUUGUGAAUACCUCUGUAGUAACUUCAAACACGUCUCUUAAGUUUUGUCUUACCAACAGGUUGCACAAGGUGCCAAAGUUAGGGGUGCGUCGAAAAUAAUUGGUGUUGAUAUUAAUCCUGAAAAGAGUGAAAUAGGUACUUCAUAUUUUCUCUCGAAACUAUGAAAAUUUGUUAAAACACGUAUUGACUAAGGAAAUAAUUCUAUUCUUGCAGCUAAAACUUUUGGAAUUACUCAUUUUGUUAAUCCGAAGGAAUGCAGUGAAUCUAUUCAACAGGUACUUCUUGUUUCUACAACCUAAAAUCUCAAUAAUAAGAGAUUGAAAUGGGUUUUUUUUUGUGAAUUUCAUCUAAUUUUCGUUUAUUUCUCUUAGGUCAUUAAUCGAAUUACUGAUGGAGGAGCUGAUUAUGCAUUUGAGUGUAUAGGUGACACAGGAAUGAUUACUACUGCUUUGCAGUCAUGUUGUCAAGUAAGUCUUCUUUUACUCCCUGUUCAUUUGGUAAGUUUCUUACAUGAAAUUGUUUAAUUUCUUUCACCAUUUUGUCAUAGGGUUGGGGUCUGACUGUUACACUAGGUGUCCCAAAAGUGAAUCCAGAAUUAACGGCCCACUAUGGAAUACUUCUUAGUGGAAGAACACUAAGAGGAUCCCUUUUUGGCGGAUGGAAACCAAAAUCUGAUCUCCCCUCAUUAGUAGACAUGUAUACCAAGAAGGUAAAAAUAGCUUUAAUCUUUAUUUCCUUAAUUUUCCUUCCUAAUCAAUGUGGGAUUUUGUUUGCACACCAAACAUCAAUCCUCUUAAAUCAAAAGCAUGUGUUUGAAUGUCCAAAUCUUUCUUGGAGCCAUUAGAUUCCAUGUAAUUGUAUCGCAUUCUCUGUUAUAUUCGAUGCAUAGCAUUGACAAAAUCCUUUUGCAGGAAAUUCAAAUUGACGAGUACAUCACACACAACAUAUCCUUUGAAGAUAUCAACCAAGCUUUCACUCUCAUGAAGGAAGGGAAGUGUUUACGUUGUGUUAUUCACUUACCAGCAUGAUUUUGAAUUAAUUAAAUCCAUCUUGGAUGCUUUUGGUGAGCUCAAAUUCUUGGUUCUCUAUGUGGGAAUAUAAUUGGUGUGAGUUGUGAUAUCUGUACCAUUGGUUAGAUUGAGAUAAUUGAAAGCUUUAUCAUUAUUAUUUUGGCAGUCCAUUUUGCUGUUGGUUGCAUGUUGAUUACAGAUUUUUGCAGUAAACCUAACAUUUCGUUAUGAUUACGUAACACACGUAAACAACAAACGUAAUAAACAGUUGAGUCAACAAUUGCCCAUUGCCACUGUCAGAUUUGAUUUGCUAUUAAACGCAACUCGCAAGAUUCUUCAUUUAUCAUCUUUUGAUUAUUAAAACGAAACGUUCUUGGAUGAAAGUGGAUGUUAUAAAGAAUUGUAAUUAAACUCAAUCACGUCCUCCACGAUGGUUGGAUGAAGAUCUACCAAUUUGUUUGAUUAAUCAUAGGCACUCCCAAUAGUAAUGAUUUUAACUUGCCUAUGCUAUUCCAAUUAAAUCAAAAACACUGACCAAUGGUUCUGAUUAUCUUCUCAUCCAAACUACCCUCUCCGUAAAAAAAAAUGCCACCAAUGAAAAGCCUCCGUUUGGCACCCAACGAUAGACUUCUAUUAAUUUUGUGUAUAUGAUUCUAUUGGUUUUGUGGAUAUGAUAGAUUUCUAUUGGUUUCAUAUAUCAUCGAUAAACUUGUAUAAGUUGUAUCAGUUCAUAAAAAAGCUUCCUAUCCAAUUUUAAAUUUUGUUAAUUUCCAUCUUUUAUUUGUAUUUCUUAUUUCUUUAUUCAUAUAUUAUUUUCAUUUACCUAAAAGAAAAUUAGUGGAUGAAAUAUAAAAACAAUAAGAUACUCUAAAUACUUAUUAACUCAAUUCAACUCAUCUCGUUUGUAAUAUUUGUGUUAAAAUCACGUAUUAGCUAGCGAGUUUCUUCAAGCAUUCCUCUUCCUCAAAAUGAAAUGAGCAGCCAAAAACACAUAAAAUAAAGCAAGAAAAAUGUUGCAAUUAUUUCUAGUUUUCCUCCUAAUGGCAUCUCUUUUAGCUUUUAGUCUCUUCUCUCUUAUUGUUGCCUUGUCCAGACCAUUUCUGCAGCCUUCCUGAAGUUUCCUCUACCUGCAAUAAUAAUCAUUCAACAAUCCCCCCAUUAACAUUGCUUUCCCUACAACAACUAAAAAUGAAAAAUCAUUUUACUUUCACUCACUUCUUUCUUCCAGUUGGUUUUGUACAGAACAAUCAGCAACAUAAUCGUCUGCAUUGCAAUCCCGGCUAUCAUUCCACCCCAAAGCCCCUACAUGUAACCAAUCGAUUUGAGUGAGUAACUGACAGUGUGUUAGUUAUAUCUAGAAAAUACUAUCUUGAUUUGGUGCUUUUUGACAUACCUUCACUCCAAAGUUUGCUACAUAACCUAAGAUAAUCCCAAGAGGGAGACCAAAAAGGUAAUAGCAGCCUAAGUUUAUAUAAGCCACCAAUGUCUGCCAUCCAGCUCCAAUGGCCACACCUGAACACAAGAAUACCGCAGGAUUUGGUCAUUCAAAAUUAUAUCUUCACCAACAUAUAUAAAUAUAUAUAUAGAGAGAGAGACAGAAGGGGAUGGGGGGAAUGGAACUUUAGUUCUUCACCUGAUACGACUGGUUGGACACUGUUGAGAACCAUGGUUAUGCCAAGAAGAUAGGCUAAUUUGGAAACAUAUUUCUGCACAGUUACACUGCUUGUGAAGAUGACAGCAAAAUGAUCCUUCGCAAAGAAUAUUGCGACCAUGAAAAGGAGACCAAGCAGAAGAGACUGUACGACCGUCACAUAGACAGAGUACUCUGCAGCUCGAGGCCGUGCCUUUCCGAGUUCAUUGGAGACCCUAACACUGAAACAAAUAACAGAAAACACGCAUUCGUUACCCUGGGCCUAAGUGGAUCCUAUUGAUUUUGAGAUGAAAAGAAGAGGAUCUAAGGGUCGUUCGACCCACUAACUGAAGUUAAUAUGAUAGAGAUAGUAAGUUUGUGUUUGAGGUGUAGGAUUGUUGGAUGAAGUUUUUUGAUAAAGACAGGGUUACUGGAUAAAUGUGCAAAUUUUAAAACAUCAAACGGCCCUAUAAGAUUUUAAAUAGUACUAAAAGAUCAGAAGAUGUAAAGUUUCAUUACCUCAUGGCUACAUUGAUUCCAAUGAAAAUGAUAUUUUCCCAUCCAUCCAAGUUCAUGCUGAGAAAACCAGAAAGAAAUAAGCCAAAGAAAAGUUCAGAUCCAUAGAAAAGCAAGAACAUAAGAAACAAACAUCCAUUGAUAAAGAACUCCCAAUAACAUACCAAAUGGAAAGAGAAUCAACAGAAAUGACAGCAUUUGGAAGAUGACCAGCAAGAAUAAUGAUAGUACUCAUGUACCAAAUCUCCAAACAAAACAUAAUAGCAGAGGAAAAUGAGAGCUUAACAAAUCCCCACAAAUCUUUGAAAGCCAACCAAGAGAAACCAUGCCAAGCAUCUCUACACCAACCAAUCACAUAAAUGCAUUGAGAAAUGGAAAUCCCCCAACCAGAGAUGUUCAAGGCCAAAGCAGCCCCAGUAGUUCCCCAACCAAACUGAAAAAUGAAGAGCCAUAGCAUCAAAACAUGAGCCAAAAGGGCCCCAAAGCCAAUCCAAGCCAAUGUCCACACUUUGCUUUGUGCUUGAAGAAACUUUUGGGUUGGAAAAGCCACAACAAAGGAGAACAGUUGUGGGAGUAUGAGCAAUGAGAAACUCCCAGCCAGUUCAGCCACAUCAUCUUGUUGCCCCAAAAGCUUCAAAAUGGGAGUGGUAAAAACAUAAACUGGUGUGAUUAUUAAGGCACAUAAGAACAUUAUAAUCCAUGAUCUCUGCAUAUAAACUCCCAGCAUGUCGAUUUGUCCAGCCCCAAAUGCUUGCCCACACAGCGUUUCUGUUGCACUUCCCAUGCCAAACUGUCAACAAUUUUUAGACACCCACAUUAGAGAUAGAAAUAAUCACCCAUCUUACAUAAAAACUUCGAUUAUCCAAUAAAACAAUAAAAAACUCAAUAAGAAAAUGAAGUUCUAAUCACCCAUUAAACUAAAAAAGUGAUGUAAUACAAACUCGGGGUGGAAUGACAGACCCAACUCAGGAGUCGAGACACACUCGGGGACCGUUUUACUAUUUCUAUUAUAGUUGUUGUUUCAACUGUUUAGUUAGACAGUCAACAACUAACUUGUAUACAUUUUCCUCGAGAGAUAAGAUUUCAUUCAAACAAAAGAUUAGGCUUUGGUUACACACAAAAAAGAGAGAAAUAAUCAAACAAAGAAGAAGGAAAAGACAGAAUAUACAGACCAUGAAGCCAAAAGCAAAAGUUGCAAUAACAGAGAUGGCAAUGGAAACUCCAGAGAGCUCUAUUUCUCCAAGUUGACCCACAAAAAUAUUCGUAACAGAGUUCGUUCCGUACUGACAAACGAUCUGAAAUAUCACCGGACCGGAGAUCGCCCAAGUCUUCACCGUUUCACUCCAUACCACAUCCUUCAACUCCCGAAAUGUCUUCACCGGAGGAUAGUCUCCAUCGUUGACGCCGAGAAAUGGCGCCGUCGCCUCCAUCUCCGGCGAAACAGAGGACUAGGCAACAAUCAAGCUUUUAAACAGUACAGAUAUGUUGUAAUCACGUUAUUCGGUGAUCGCCGUUGUCACCGUCGGAUUUAUUCAAAAUAAGGGUCAAGACUCUUCGGUAUAUAUAUAAUGCAUAUUACAGAAAGAUCAUUCUUUUGGGUUAAACGGAAAACGAUGCAUAAAGUGGAAAGUUUUGAGUAUUGGUUCAGAGCAGUGUCCAAUUAAAAGUGGUAGAAUCUGUAAUUACCUCAACCACGUGCUUCACGACGGAAUAUAUAACUUAUCCUGAAAAAGGUGAAGGUGGGUUUUUAAAUCUUCAAUAAUUUUGUAUGUAUAUAUAACAUACAUACAUUAUUUAACUUAACGUCUUAGACAAAUAAUCCAAUUACGUUUUCACUUUUUUCUGAUUAUUACUCUGCAGUAGCCUAAUCUAUAAAAAGAGGCCAAAAGAAGCACACACACAGUUGUCUCACUAAACCCACGAAAACAGAACUUCGGUCUUCUUCAUUUGUUUCAUUGUCCAGUUUGAUCCAUAAAAAUAAAUGAGUUCCAAUGGAGUUUCUUCAUCCAUCUCCAAAAGGUACACAUAUAAUUCUCUAAUCUUAAUACUUAACAUCGAAAUUAAUCAAAAGUUAACUCAUCAUUUCCUUCAUCUCUGAUUUUGUGUUGCAGAUUGGCCGGAAAAGUGGCUUUGAUAACCGGCGGAGCAAGUGGAAUCGGCGAGUCGACGGUGAGGCUUUUCGUGGAGAAUGGAGCCAAAGUGGUGGUUGCCGAUGUCCAGGAUGACCUUGGCGCUGUUCUCUGCAAAGAGCUUGACGACACUGGCUUUAACGUUUCCUAUUUUCAUUGUGAUGUCACCGAUGAAUCUGAUAUCUCGAAUGCAGUUGACUACGCUGUCGAAAAGUAUGGAAAGCUCGACAUCAUGUUCAACAAUGCUGGCAUUCGCGGUGAUGUAGGCUCCACGACGUUAACUGCAGACAUGAAUGACUUCAGGAAAGUCUUUGAUGUCAACGUGUUCGGUAGUUUCAUGGGAGCUAAACAUGCCGCCAGGUGACUUUUAUUUUUUAUUCAUGAAUUUUACAACUUCGUCAAUGGAUUCAAGAAAUAUAAGUUAAUGGGUCACUGAAAAUGUUAUAAUUUAUUCAUAUUCUUUCAAUAGAGUGAUGGCUCCAGCGAAGACAGGGUGCAUUCUUUUUACGUCAAGCAUGGCAUCGGUGAUAUGUAGUGGUAACGCACCGGCAUAUGCAGCGUCGAAGCACGCAAUCAUAGGACUGAUGAAGACGCUAGCAGUGGAAUUGGGGUCACAGGGAAUUAGAGUGAACGCUAUAUCACCGUACGCGACGGUGACGCCGAUGCUGGUGCCAUCGAGGAACGUGGAGGAGAAGAAGGCAAUGGAGGCCUUCAUUUCGUUAUCAGGGAACUUGCAAGGGGCAGUAAUGGAGGCUGAAGAUGUAGCCAAAGCAGCUCUAUAUUUAGGAAGUGAUGAGUCCAAAUAUGUGAGUGGAUUGAAUUUGGUGGUUGAUGGUGGCUUUAGUCUUACUAAUCCUAGCUUUGAAUUGAAUGCCAAAAUUUAUGCACAAUGAAUUUAGCUUUAUGUAAUCUCUUCAAACAUUUAAUCUAUCAUACCUUUUGUUUCUUUGAUGUAUUGAUUCCUUCAUCUCUUAUAUAUUAAAUUUACAAAUAUAUAACAAAAUAUUACUAAUGGACAACAAACCAAUAUUACUUAUCUAAACUAUGCGAUUAUAUGUCAUGAAAAUCAUAGGGAAUAAUUUAAAAGUUAAUUACAACAAUGUACAAUUACAAUUACAGACCCUUUUAAAAAUGGAUUGAAAAUAUAUAAAAUAUUAAAUAAAAUAUAUUAGUGAGUUCUAACAAUAAAGUAAAUUAUUUGUACAUAUAAAAACAGCAAUUAAAAAGAUUUUCUUGUUGAAAAUUAAACACUUUGGCAAAAUUAUUUUAUGAUAAAUCUGUAAAUUGGUGAAAGUGAUUUUAUUCUUCCAAAUAUCAUGAUUCACGUGGAAGGACUAAUAAUUCAUUUAUGUUAUAGACUAUAGUUUCUUUGUGUGUAUAGAAGAAUUAAUCAUUUAAUUUGUAUCGGUUUCCAACUUAUAUGAAAAUUGAGAGAAGAAAAAGAAUGAAUGAGCAGUUUGUCUUAUAUACCAAUAUUCAUUAUUGGUAGGGACACAAACAACCCUACUAUAGUACGUUGAAUAGUUUUAAAUUUACUUUAUUAUACGUGUGUUCUUGACAUCACUUAUUUUUGUACAUCUCACUAAAUUGUUUUAUAAUUCGUCGUGUAACAAAAUUUACUUUUUUAUUUUUCUAGAAUAGUAAUGUAAGUAAUAAAAAACAAUAAACAAAAGUGGGUAUAAUGUCAAAAUGUAACUGAUUUUUAUUUCAUAAGUAUUCUUCUGUCUAUCUCCAACUAAUUUAUUUUUACAGAUUUUUUAAAAUUGUUAUUUGAGAAAUGAUUGUGGGUUGAUAUCAACAUGAAUUACUAUUGUUAUUAAAAAUGACAGUGGGGAUAUCCAUAUCUCAUAUUGCAUUGGGCAGCACGUGAAACACGUUAUUAUGUGUUAUAUCAAUACAAAAUAUGAGUACUAUUUGUUGUACUCAAAUUCCAUCCAAACAAAUAAUAUAUAUAGUCAAAUGAUGAGUUUAGCAUAAUGAUAAUUGAUACGGCUUUUUAUUAGAGGAAAAAAAUGUAGAGAAACGCGGUUUCUCAAUUAACAUUACAAAGACAUAAAUUAAAGACUUACUAUUAACUUAAGAGACUCAUUGGGGUUUUACAUAACAUAAAUAACUUACCUACGCUAUUAUAUAUUUACAAUAAAUAUUCUAACCAUGAAGAGAUAAGAGGUUCGAUCUCUCAUCUAACAAUUGUUGUACCAAACAAAGUGGAUGAUUUUUUUUUCUUGUAAAUUUUUUAUCCUAAACAUACUUUUCAAGGUGCGAGAAGAUAAUGGUUUGCUAGAACUUUAGUUAUAUAUAGUUGUGAGAUAAUGGUUUGCUAGAACUUUUGUUUUAACUUUUUUGUCCCCUACGAAUUAAAGGCCUCUUUGAUUAUAAUUUAAUUAGGAUGACUCGUAUAAUCAUAUUUUAGUAGUGAAAUAUGGUCACCCGUGUUUAAAACUUUUGAUAACAUGGUGAAACGAAUCUCUAUUGCAUAAAUUGGGAAGUCAAUUGUGCGAGACUAAUAAUGGAAAAAAUUUGUUGUUGAACACUUUAUUUAUUCAUGUUCAAUUUUUGGAGUUGUAUGAAACACACACUAGAUAUGUUUAUCAUAUUGUUUUGUUGUCUUUAUUUUGACUCCAAAUCGUUCUCAUGAAAUAUGUUUGUACGAAACCUUUAGUAAAUUUUGUCUAGAGCUUUUUUUUUUUCUGUCUUGAAAUACUUGCAACUUUGCUAGAUGCUUAUAACCUAGGUGUAAGGUAAAGUAUCACCUAAAAGAAAGUAUAUACACGUUAUUAGUAUAUUCGAUGACAAAAAUUUUAACCUAAAGUGUGACAAUUAUAUUUAAAGUGCAUGUGCACACAUAUUCAAUGUAUAUAGGUGUGUAUAUAUAUUACAUGUUUAUGGAAUAAAAGUCUUUUAUCAUUACAAUUGUUUGCUAACAUGAGAUAUCUCCAACAAAAUGAAGUAAGAAUUAAACUUUUAGAUCAAUAGUAUAAAAAAAUGAUCAAAUAUUACUUCAUAGUGUUGGAUUUUGUUUACAAAAGUCUACCAGUAACAGUGGGAUAUGAAGAAAAAAAUAUUUUAUAUGUAUAUAAAAAUUCGACGUUGUUAACACUUGUAUAUCGAUUGGAUUAACAUGAGAAAGUAAAAAGGUAUUUUGUGUUUAUAAACACUCGUAAACAUGUACACUAAAUAGAUACCAAACUCAAAAUUUAAUAACACGUCGGAAAUUAAAAAUAAAAUGAAAAAUUAGACUCAAAAUUUAACGAAAAAAAUGUAUUAUUCACUAAAAUAAUCAUAGAGUCGAGAUAUUAAAAUAUACAUUUUAAAAGUUAGGAAUCAAACGUAAAUUUAAAUUAGGAAAUCGAAAGCAUUAUUAUCUUCAAGUCCUUUCAUAAAUGGCAUAUCUUUUAUGAAAAAUGAAAAAAUCAUCGGAUAAAAAUAUGAUAUUAACUAGUAAGUGUAGUAAUUGUAGUUAUACUCUCUUAACCUAAGUUUACCGCAAUAACAAUUAAUAAAAGAUGAAAAGUUGUAUCAUUUGUUGAAUUAAUUGAAUUGACCUAUUUUUUAAGUUUCUUAAAUUAUUCUUUUAUGAGAGGAAUUAUUAUUUUGUGGGGAUCCAUGCAUGAAUGAAUAUAUAUAUAUAUGAAAAAGAUGGGUGAUGGAGAAGAACCCAUUUGAUGUUGCAUUGGGCAGCACGUGAAUCACGUUAUAAUGUGUUAUAUCAAGAGACGCAAAUUAUAUACUAUUUGUCUUUAAUUUGACUCUCCCCCUUAUGUUAAUUUGUAUUAGAAUAAUUAAUAUAUACACACACUACCUUUCUUUCUAACCUAUUUCAAACCAAUUUUCGGACUAAAAAUUCUUUAAAUUUUCAUAUCAAAAUUAAUUAUGACUUUUUAUAUAUAUAUAUAGUGUGUGUGGUGAUGGUUUAAAAUGCAUCAAGGUCCAAGCUUUUAGUCUCGAGUUGAUACUUGUAUAAUUUUAGAACACAGUCUCUAUUUAAAACUCUAUCGCGAGUUUCUACUUUGAAAGUAGUUUUGAAAUGUCUAUGAAAGAUUAAUCUGUUACUUUAUAAUUUUUUAUUUCAACAAAUCUAAAAACAUAAAACAUAAUCUAGAUUGUUUUCCUAAACCAACGUUAACUUUUAUUCUCGGUACGAGAAUAACAUCAAUGUAUUAUCAAUCAACCUUAUAAUAAUAAAUAAAUAAAUAAAUUCAAAAUUCUAUCAAAAAUGCAUUUGUGUUAUUCACUAUUGUACAUGAAUAUUAAUAAUUUCAUUAAUUGAGGUGCAUUCAAUCCACCCAUUGGUUAUAGUAAAAUAUUAAUAUAUUUCAAAAUGAAAAAAGAAUAGACAAAACCACAACUCAUCCUUCUAAGUUCUAACAUCGUGAAUCAUGUUUCUUUUUCCAAUUUUGCUCAUUAAUUAAUUUAAAAACCGAUUCAUUUAUUUUAUAAUCAAUCUAUAGAGUUUUAUAUUAUUUUUCUUUAAUUUCAUCUAAUUAAAUAUUUCUAAAACAAUGUAAUGAAGUCUCUAAACAGUUUAAUAUUUUACAAAUUUAAAUUCUAGAAAAUCUUAUUUUGUAUAUAUUUUAACUCACACAACCCUCUCACUUAUACUAUUCAACAUCAUCUAUAAAAGCCACUCCCAUAACUUCUUCUUCUUCUAUCCAUUCCUUUCAAUAAUUUAGCCUCGUCAUUCCGAGCUCGUCUUUUGAUCGGAAAGUAAGAUAAAGAUCACAAUGUGGACGAUCUUGCUCGGUUUGGCGACGUUGGCAAUUGCCUACUAUAUUCAUUGGGUUAACAAAUGGAAGGAUUCUAAAUUCAACGGAGUUUUGCCGCCGGGCACCAUGGGGCUGCCCCUCAUCGGAGAAACCAUUCAACUUAGUCGCCCUAGUGACUCCCUUGAUGUUCAUCCUUUCAUUCAACGCAAAGUUAAAAGGUAUUCUUUUAUUGUUAUAUAAAAAGUAUUAUAAACAUGCAUAUAUAUUAUUUUCACUAGAGAAAACUGUGGACGAAGUUUUUUUGGAUUUAAAUUCUACAUAAAUAAAUUUUUAGAUAUGGACCGAUCUUCAAGACUUGUUUGGCGGGAAGGCCGGUGGUGGUUUCAACGGAUGCAGAGUUUAACCAUUACAUAAUGCUCCAAGAAGGAAGGGCCGUAGAAAUGUGGUAUUUGGAUACACUCUCUAAAUUCUUUGGCCUUGACACUGAAUGGCUCAAAGCCCUUGGCCUCAUCCACAAAUACAUUAGAAGCAUUACUUUGAACCACUUUGGUGCUGAGUCCCUUCGUGAGCGUUUCCUUCCUCGUAUCGAAGAAUCCGCUCGAGAAACCCUUCAUUAUUGGUCAACUCAAACCAGCGUUGAAGUCAAGGAAUCAGCCGCUGCGGUAGGGAUACGUUUGAUAAUUAAACAUAUCAUUUAAAUCUAUAUGAUUUUAAUUGUUUAAACAACUUAACAAUUAUUCUUUUAUGUGAUUUUUCAGAUGGUUUUCAGAACUUCGAUUGUUAAGAUGUUUAGUGAAGAUUCUAGUAAAUUACUGACAGAAGGUCUCACUAAGAAGUUCACAGGACUUCUCGGAGGUUUUCUCACCUUGCCUCUAAAUUUGCCUGGCACUACCUAUCAUAAAUGCAUAAAGGUAAAUAAUCAAUUUUUAAACAACUAAAAAAGAGAUAUAUGCAUAUACAUGUAUAUCAUUAUUAUAAAUAUAUAAUUUAUUUUCUAUUGACAUUAGGACAUGAAGCAAAUCCAAAAGAAGCUAAAAGACAUUUUAGAGGAAAGAUUGGCUAAAGGGGUUAAAAUUGAUGAAGAUUUCUUGGGGCAAGCCAUUAAAGAUAAAGAAUCUCAACAAUUCAUUUCAGAGGAAUUCAUUAUCCAGUUGUUGUUUUCCAUCAGCUUUGCUAGCUUUGAGUCCAUCUCUACCACUCUUACUUUGAUUCUCAACUUCCUCGCCGAUCACCCCGACGUAGUGAAAGAAUUGGAGGUAAGACUCGAAAAACAUACAAAAAGAAAAUUAUUAUUUAAUGAGACAACUGAAACAAUGCGAUGGAUGUACGAUGAGAAAAUAAAAUCUAAUGUUUUCAUUAAAUUUUACAUCUAUCGAUUACGAACGGACAACGUCGUAAAAGUCGUAUUCAAUAAACGAUUUUAAUUAUAUAUUUUUGUGUUGAUUAGGCUGAGCAUGAGGCUAUUAGAAAGGCAAGGGCAGAUCCAGAUGGACCAAUCACUUGGGAAGAAUACAAAUCCAUGAAUUUCACACUCAAUGUAAUUCUAUAAUAUUAUAUUUCUAAAUCUCUAAGAACACACAUUAUUAUAUAUUUCAAUUUACUUCUUGUCCAUAUUCCUUUUUUAUUUAACAUAAUGUGAUGAUCACAUUGUUUUCCUUUGGUCUAUUUUGGAUUUUAGGUCAUCUGUGAAACACUUAGGUUGGGAAGUGUAACACCUGCUUUGUUGAGGAAGACAACCAAGGAAAUUCAAAUAAAAGGUAAAAUCAAAAGUUUAUAUACUUUGUCGUAUAAAUUAAUCGUGAAGUUAUUAACUUAGAUCAUUUAAUUGAUGUUAUAGGAUACACAAUUCCAGAAGGAUGGACAGUAAUGCUUGUGACCGCUUCUCGUCAUAGAGAUCCAGAAGUGUACAAGGAUCCCGAUACCUUCAAUCCAUGGCGUUGGAAGGUAUAUUAUAGCAUAGAAGAAAAAAAGCUCUUAACUAAAUUGUGUUAAUUAAUUAAUUGGAUAAUUAAGUUUUAAUAAUGGUGAUUAUGAGUACAUAUUAUAGGAGUUGGACUCAAUUACUAUUCAAAAGAACUUCAUGCCAUUUGGGGGAGGCUUAAGGCAUUGUGCUGGUGCUGAAUACUCUAAAGUCUAUUUGUGCACUUUCCUUCAUAUCCUUUUCACCAAAUACAGGUACACUUUAUAAAUCAAAUCUACUAAUUAUUUUUAACAUAUAGUAUACUAAUUAAGAGAGUUUAAUUAUACAAUAAUCUUUCUUUUUUAAUUCUGAUAGAUGGAGAAAACUAAAGGGAGGAAAGAUUGCAAGGGCUCAUAUAUUGAGGUUUGAAGAUGGGUUAUAUGUGAACUUCACUCCCAAGGAAUGAUUGAAUGGAAUUUGUUGCUUUACUAAAAAAGAAAUGUUAUUUAUCUAAACUUUAUGAAAUGAUGAACUACUUGUACUAGCUAGCUAUCAUAUUAUGAUCAUAUGGUUCAAUAAGACCAAGUUCUUCUUCUUGUAUUAAAGGCAAUCUUAUGUAAAAUCAAGUUCCAUUAAUAGCAUGGUUUCAUUAAUGGCCUUUCAAAUUUAACCUUUUAAAAAUAUAUUCGAGUAUAAGUAUUCUUUUUAAAUAAUAAUAAUAAGGUUUCAAAUUUGAGUGAGUGUCAUAUGAUCUAUUUAGGGUGCUAUUUGAUUAUUAAAAAAAUGUGUUUAUUUUUCUUAGAUUUAUUUAUCUAAUCUCUCAAUUAUAAGACCAUUUCUUCCAAGUUUUUGUACAACACUUGUGUCGUUUUAUAUGAUAUUCUCAAACUAGAUGAUAUAAAAAUAAAUUUUAACUAACGAUAUUUAACGCACUUAAAUUUAAAGUUAGAAAUAAUUUGAAACAAAUUAAACAUCUUACAAACGCAAAAAAUAUUAUAUUAUUAUAUUGUUCAUUUGUAAAUUUUCUCUAUUUGAUUCAUCACUGUUUUAACCCUCUUUAAAUUCUAAGUUAAUACUAUCUGUUUAUGCUUCAAAAACUCAAACUCCAAGUUAAAUAAAAAUGUGGUUUGUAGUACUCUUUAUCAACCAAAAUAGGGAAAUAUAUCCUUGCUAUCACAGGGGGAAUAUGAGUCUAUAAAUACAUAAAAUAUAUAUUAUGAGACCUUAACCUUGUAAUUAUAAAUAAUUGAUCAUACGGUUUCGAGUUUUCUAAAUUAAUGUGUUGCUUUCUGCAUAGCAAAUUAAUUAAUUAAGUACACUUCUAUAUGAAAAAUUAAGAACAUAGGUAAUAAUUGAGAUUACCGGAUAUGUUUAUUAAAUAGUUUAAAUAUAUAAGUGCUAUAUAUUUUUUAUUUGAUGCACACAAAUCAUACAUGAGAAUAUUAAGAAAUUGAGAAAUAAAUAAUGAUGAAUUAUGAAAUAAACUUUAACCGAUUAUUACGUAAUGAAUCGUAAAUAAAUAUAAAUUAUGGUGUUACACAUUAUUCAAAAAGGAUGAAUUGAAACAUAUAGAAUACAAAAUUUAAUGAUAUAUCUAGCUUACAAACAAUAGGUUAUGAUCGAUUUUUCAAUAGUCGAGUUAGCGCUAGCUAUACGUAAACUAUUCAAUCUCUUUUUCAUUGGGCUUCUUUGUAGCUUCAUAAUCGUCGUAUCGUAGGCGAGAUUCUUCUCUUUUCAACUAAGCUUAAUUUAUUCAAAAUUAAGUUCUUUCCGCCACAUAUAAGUCACUCAUAUCAAAAUUUCCCCUCAUUUUUUAGGUUGGCUUCAUCUAAGCUUACAACAAACGCUUUUAAGAUAACAUUAUUAUAAUCACUUUCAAUCUUAACUUUAACACUCAGUUUGAAAACAACACACAACUCGAACUAAAUUUUAUUAUUAAAACAAGAAAUGUACUGAACGUUAUCACGACGGUUUACACUAAAUUAGGACUCUAGGGUUUACAGAAGCAAAAGAAAGCAACUCAUCAUCAUUUUGAAAAGAAGCCAUUUCAUCUUCUUUCAAAGUGACCCAAGCUUCAAUUCCUUCCCCAUCUUUAGUGUCCAUAAGAACCACAAAAUUCAAAAACAUAAUACUCCCAAUGCUCACCCAACCCGGUUUUCCCCACCCGAAAUCCAUCUCGUACAAACCGAACCGGGUCCAACUACUACAAAUAUAAAAGGCCACGUCAUCUCUCAUAAACAAACCCCCACCCUGUUGGAGCCCUUCAAGUAUCUUCGCAAAACAAUCUUUCCCUUCGUAUCUUCUAAUCCCAUUUUUAUUAAAUUCUUUAACCCCAUCUCUCAAUAACUCCACGAGCCCCUUCAAGUCUUUCUCCGACGCCGGAAUUGGGUCAGUGACGAAGUUGCCGACGAGGUUACCGAUCGAAUAAUCCGGCGAUGGUGGGGUUAGUCUUUUGCGUAAAUUAACGGUCUGGGACAUGACGGAGAGAUUUGGGGAAAAAGGCUUCGUUUCUUGAGUUGCUGCUUUCAUUGCACAUUUCCAAAUGAGAGCCGUUACGACCUCCACGCGGGUUGGGUUUGGUGUGAUGUCAGUCGCGGCUUUGGAUUUUAGAACGGUGAUUUCUUGGCCGUUGAAAACUAACCUUCGGCUACUGCAUUUGACUUUGCCGCCUAAGUCUGUUGGUGGGACGGCGAUUGGAAUUCCCUCCGGCGGUGGUACCAAAGAUGCUUGAAGAAACUCUGGCUCCACCGGGUCGGAGCCUAGCGCCGCUGCGGACCAGCAUUUUAAGAUGACGCUAAUGGAGGAUGCAUCGACUAGUUUGUGAGAGAAGCUUAUGCCCAUUGCCAUUCCUCCGCAUUCGAAUAACGUCACCUUAUAAAUACAUAAAUUAUUAAUUAAAUCAACCAUAUUAUUAUUAAAUAAAUUCUGGUUGUUAACGAAAAGUCAUAUUACCUGAACUAAGAGCAUGCGUCCGCCGUCGGCGGCCUCGGGGGCUUCGGUUUUAAUUGGAAGAAACUGAGCGAGGAGGUCUGGCGUGGGUUCCUUAAGAAAAUCGGAGAGAACACAGUUGGCUCGAGCUUCGACAUACUCAGCGCCGUCGUCGUUACAAUCGAUAUAGCUAUUCUGUCUGGGACGGCCGGCGAGUGGGUAAAAUCGAGUCAAAGUCUCCGCCAGUGACUUCUUUAGACGGUGGGAUCUUUCGUGGAAAGACGGCGCUCCGUUGGAAUUGGGGAAAAAGAGAAUGACAGGGACGUAACCGGCGGUGGAGAGCUGGUCGAGGAGAGAGAUAUUGAAACGAUGAAGAUGAGAAGGGGUUGGAGAAGAAGGUUUGAUGAUUUCUUUGGUCAGAAUUUGAAGUUCCAUUGUUGGGAUUUUUGAAGCUCUGUCUUUGAAUUGAAAACUGAAUGGACAGAACUAAAAAGAGUGGACGACGACGAUGAUGAAUUGAUGUAUGGUUUUAUGUUUUAAAUAAUGGAUAUAUGAAUAUGUAUAUGAUGGUUGGCCAAAUGAGAUCCCGUUUGACGUGAAUCACGUGAACUUUCCAUUUUACUUCCAAUGAUCAUUGGAUUCUUAGACUAAAAAUAUACUUUACCAAUCAAUUAAUUAACUUUGUUUUCCUUCAUUAAUAUUGUCUUUGAGACAGAGGAUAACUAUUUUAACUAAUCAUUUGUCUAAUUUCAAUGUUGAUAAUAUCAGUACUAUGUUAAAUUAUGACUAUUUUUUAAUGAAUUGUUAUGAUUAAAAAUAUAUUUUAUCAAUAAUCUAACUUUUAUAGAUUUUGCUAUAUUAUAAUUUUUUUUAAUAUUUUGAAUAUAUUUGUAAUUUUAAAUUAAAAAAAGUACAUGUACGAAAUGAAAUUGGAAAGUUAGGCCAAUGAGAAGAAGUCAAUUCGGAAAGGCCCAAAUUAAGGAGUUGGACCGAUCCAUAAAGAGCCCAAAUUCAUAUCGGAAAGCCCAAAUGUAUAGCAGCUCAAUUUGCUUCGGUUGUCCGUCGUGAAUUCGUAAUCAUCGCCCCAGACUACAUUCUUGAACAAAAUGUCACCCCGUCGACAUGUAAACGACCAUUCACAAUCAUAACAAGCCGAGGGCAAAUUUCGGUACCCCAGUCGUUGAAUAAAACAGUUAAAAAAUGGAAGAAGAUAGUCCAAAUCCCGUCAUCCAAACCCGCCGUUCUUCAAUUAAGACCCAUCCUCGUUACAACAAUCAACAAUCAUGGAAGCAGAAGGUGAAUUUUCUCUUUGCUCGAUGCCUUGUUCUGUGUUUUUUUGGCGGGUUUUUGUUUAAUUCGAAAAUUAAAGUCUACUAUUGAUAGCUGAGGGAAAACUGUUGCAAGAGAGUUAGAGAAGGAAGAAGCCGCUUGCUCUGGAAAAUGAGGUUGCCCAUGUCCUCGCCCACUUAUUCCCAUUCUCUCAACAAUCGACAGCAGGUCAAUUUUUAUAAUUUUUUGUUUUUUCAUUGCAAUUAAUUGAUGGGUGUUGCAUAAUUUGUGCUCCAAAUACUUCAAUCCUUCUUUUGUAAUGUAAUUUGUGUCUGUUCUUUUUGGGUAUUUUGUUGGUUGUAGGAUUUGAUCAAAUCUGCUUUUCAAGACAUCUUUGCUGAUGAGCUGAAAAAGAUUAAAGAUGAAUCUGUGAAUGACUAUAAUGAGAAUUUACCUUCUGUCCCUGAGGCUGCUGAUGUUCUUUGGGAAUAUGAGGGGAUUCAUGAUGCCUAUGAAGGUGAUGGUGAAGAAAUACUGUUGGAAAUGCAAAGGAUCUUUUAUGAGGAUCUGAAUGUUGAUCUGAGACAAAAAGGUGAACUUUCCGAUGCUGUUUUAUUUUCUGAAGUUCAUUAUCUCAAAGUUUGUAUAUUCUGUGGCUUUCUUCCAAGGACUAAAUGGUUUGUCAUUCUCCGGGGAAACUGUGUUUUUUGGUAGUCAUUAAUUUGGAUUGAUUUUCAUUAGUUCAGUGCAUGCAGCAAUAGUCAAUGUCAAGUAAUAAUAAUAAUUGAACUUGUGUAUUGUUUCAUCUGUUCUUUUAAUUUUAUUGAUGUUACUGCAGGUUCUGUUGUAAUAUAUGGUGAUCGAUCUUCUCUGUUAUUAUUUUAGCAUUUAAAAACCCUAUUUUGAGUAGGAUGUUUACUCAGUUUUUUGCAGAAUCUGAAGACCCUAUUGUGACAUGGGAAGAUGAAGAAGAUGAGUUCUUAGCCCGUGCAGUUUAUGAACAUAUGCAACUUAGUAAUGAGAAGGUUAGUUUUCAUCCCUACUUUUGAGGGUUGUGAACAUUUGUCCAUGCAAAUUACAAAAUCUUAUGCCUCCUACAAGAGUAAUUAUCUUGAAAUUUUGUAUACUUUCGGUGUUUUUUUUAAUCAUAUCUUACAUUUACAUUGGUUAGGCAUGAUUUAUUCUUAGUGUAAUCAUAAGCUUACAUGUCCUGUUUAAAAUUUCACGUUAGAUUCUUGAGAAGUUCUGGUGCCCUAUGUGUAAACAAGGAGAGCUGCAAGAGAACAACCACUUCAUACAUUGCACUCAUUGUGGACUUCGGCUUAACAAAGGCAAUGAGGUUUUCCACUUGAUCUUAAGACCUCUUAGUUGAUCAUCCUCUUCUUAAUCCCAUCUUUUACUCCAAGGUCCAUAUUAAGUUAUUAGGCAGUUGCUAUUACUUGAGUGAGUAUCAAUCAAUGGUUGUUGUCUUCUUAACAUGUCAGAUUAUUCUUGCAGCUAAUAUGUUACUUCCUGAAUGAAUUAUGAAGACCACUCUCAACUUAGACUGGAAGUUGGUGCCUAUAUUUAUUGUCAUUUGGUCAUGGGACAGAUGUUAUAUGAACUUUCCAACCCUCCCCCCCAAUAAUAAAAUAAAAUAAAAAGAGAAAAGAGAAAAACUAAUGAAAAUAAAUGUCUUUGGAAGGUAAAUUUGAUUAUCUUGUGCUGCGCUGUGGUGUCCUACUGGCCAUGUCUGGCAUAGAAUAACUGUGUGCAAUAAUAUCAGUAUAUGAUAUUGAAGUCGUAAUUCGUCGAAAUGUUAACUUUGCAAUUUUUUUAUUAUUUGUCAUAUGACCUUUCAGGUUACUCUGGACCUCCUCCGUUGCCGGUUGGCAGAUGUGCAUGCUGAACAUCUCGAUCGGGGCUGUAGAUUGAAGCCUAAGUUUUGUGUUGAGAGUAGAUUUAACAUUACUGCAUUGUACAUCUCUUGUGAAGGUUGCAACACAUUUGAGGUUGUAAUAUAGCAUGUUAAUUAAGAAUCACCUGUCUCAACGUUUGUGAUUAAAAUGAUUUUUUAUUGGUUAUGACAAAAGAUGAUUGUGACACUCGAGGUUGUGAAUUAAUUGUAACAUACCAUGCUAAGAAUCAGGUACCUGAAAGUUUAUCGACGAGAUUCUUCGUACUUAGAUACGACAGAAAAAUGAUAACACAUUUGUGUUUAAAAUAAAGGCUCGUGAAGAAUUUAGUGACUCAAAUUUCACAAUUUAAAUCAUUUUCAUUAGAUUAGAAUCAGUUUGUUAAGGUUGUAAACAUGCUUAUGUGUUGGUUAUGCUGCUUGUCAAACCUAUCUGUUGAGGUCGGAUCGAUAUCUUUUCAAAUUUUUAGUUAACUAAAUCGAAUUUAGUUUCUAGAACUGAAGUCGAAGCUUAGUCUGAAGCUUAGUCUAAAACCAGGUCCAAUAUUUAUCGAAUCUUGCCCUAAGGUGGACAUUUCUUCAAAUUAGUUGAUGUUUUGUUGAUAAAUUAAAAGGUAGCCAAGUAUCCCUAUAUUAUACAAAACAUAUGAUUAAAUAAAGUGGACUAAGAUGGAAAGGGAAGAAGUUGGAAGAAGUUGGUAAAUGAGAGGAAAAGAAUACUCCACAUUAUUUAUUCAUCAAAGAAGAGAAGAAUGAGCUGCCAUGAACUCAUAUUUGAAAGGUGAAGAGGAAAGCUAAUACAAUGGAGUGGAAGAAUUACUAUUUGGAUGUUAUAUUGGUUCCUCUUGGUCUUCUCCUAACCUUCGUUUAUCAUGCUUGGUUAUGGUACAAGGUUAAAACUCAGCCACUCGCCACCUUCAUCGGAGUUAAUGCCACGGUUCGCCGCCAGUGGAUUUCCCCCAUUCUCGAGGUAUUUCCCUUUUAUUUCAUAUCAAAGUGUCAUCGUUGUUCAACCAAUACCUUCUCCACGAUCUAGGUCUACUCCUAUGUUGUCAUCUCUUUCAUAAUCGUCCUAAUGAAAAAGGAUGAUGUUAAAAUAUGUUUUUGGUCCUUGCACUAUGAAUGUUCAAAUCUAAUCUCAAUCGGCAAAUCUUAGUCUUCCUAACCAUAAACUUCUAAUAGAAAUUGCACAUGAAAAUUAUAUUUUAGGUUGGGAAUGCGAAUACAUGGAUAAGGUCUGAGGAUAAGAUAUUUGCAAUAUUGUAAUAAGUUUUCUUAGAGCAACCAAAAUUUAAAAGAUAAUAUAUGUUAUGUUGAAAAACAUCAAAACUAUUGUUCUGACAAAUGUAUCAUAUUAUAGUAUUAGUAUAUGGGUAAGAAGUUAGGCAAGGUGGUUUAGAAUGAAAAUUUGGAGUUGAAUGGUGCAAGUUUUGCCCAGCAUAUAUUAGUAUAUAUAGUUGGUUCACUUUUACCAUAAGUAAAUUAUUCUACUUCCUAAGAAAUAAAAAUUUAGGCGUGGUCUGAAGUGCACUCACUCUCACUAAAAUAAUCUGCUAUAUGACAUAACUAUACAUGAACAAGUGAUAAAUGAAAUAGCUAGUACAACGUAGACUAUAUCUGAUUAUUGUUCAUUUAAUCUAAGAUUUAUCCAUUGGUUAUUAUAAUAAAAAGACAUGUGAAUGACAUAAAGAGUGUGUAUAUAUAUAUUAUUUCUCAUAUAAAUGAACUAUAUAUACAUUUCUUUGUACUAAAUUCUUCAGGACAUAGACAAGAAGAACAUUCUUGCAGUCCAAACCCUAAGAAACAUGAUAAUGGGUUCAAGCCUGAUGGCUACCACCUCGAUCCUUCUCUGUGCCGGUCUGGCCGCAGUUCUCAGCAGCACGUACAGCAUAAAAAAGCCGGUGACCGACACUGUGUAUGGCGCACACGGGGAGUUCACGGCGGCUCUAAAGUUUACAAUAACCCUAACCAUAUUUGUGUUCUCAUUCUUUCUCCACACGUUAUCUAUUAGGUUCAUGAAUCAAGCCAGCCUUCUAAUGAGUGCCCCAUUGCAGCCCUUGUCUGUGCUAACAGAGAGCCAUUUGGUGGAGAUUUUGGACAAAGGUUGUGUUCUAAACACAAUUGGAAAUAGAAUCUUUUAUUUGGCUCUUCCAUUGGUGCUUUGGACUUGUGGACCUUUGCUUGUUUUCUUGGGCUUUGGAGUGAUGGUUUUCGUGCUUUAUAAUCUUGAUUUUGUGUGUGAUAAGAGGAGUAGUAAUAAUAAUGGGAAGAUCAAGAUGAACCAUGAGAUUGUUUGAAUCUGUGUGGUUGAUUAUUGAAAAUUUAUAACGUAUAAGACUAUUUUUGUGAUUUCAAUUGUGUGGGGAAUGGGAAUGUUGUGGCUGAUGUGUGAGUAUGAACAACAUCUUCUUUCUCUUUUUCGUAUUCAAACUAGCUUAAUCACAAAUGGAUUAAUCAUACGUGACAACACAACUUAACCUAAUCAAGUAGGUAACCACCAUAGAUUGAACCCACAACAUUACGAAAAAAAUAAUUGUCAAUGAUAUGUUGGAUAUUAAGAUCACAAUGUCACAUUUAAUAUUUUUACCACUAAAUAAAUCAACACUAAUCAAUAAAGAAAGAGGAAAAAAUAAGAAUUUCAAAAGCCAUCUAAAGCUUCUUCAAAAUUAGAAGACAGAAACAGCCUAAAAGAACCCACCCAAAACCAAAAGCAAAUUUGAUAAUGUUAAUGUCAAAUUAAAGGACUCAAAUUAUAAAAACAAUGAAAAUCAGCAUUUUGCUUGCCUUACAAAGAAUCGAAAAUUUUUGAAUUGUCCAUUCACAAUCACAAGUCUCACCCAUGUAAAUUGAUGUGAACUCAAACACAACUUCAUGUUAAAAUUAAUCAUAAGACAGUCCAAUUUUAACAAUGAGUGAGAAGUUGUAUUUUUAUAGAAAUGGCAUUUGGAGUGUCGUCAAUUUGUAAUGGGUGCCAACAACAAUCACGAAUGAGCAUCAAGGAGAAGUUACCAUUGAUUGGUGCUUUAUGUGAACGUAAACAUGGCAGAAGGUUGUUAAUUAGUUAAUUUUUAUUGUUUCUAGAGCUUCAGUCAUUGGAAAUUAGCAGAAAAAACCCACAUAUAUAUUAUCUACUCGGAAGUGAAAAGUUUGAAUCUAGUUGAACUCAAAAAUAUAUAUAUAUUAUUUAGAAAGGGCAAAAGGGUUUAUCUAAAUCAUCCUUAUGAGAAGGAAUGGUAAAAUGUCUCAGUCUCCCUUCUUGUUUAACCAUAUAACCUUCGCAUAAAAACUCCAUUGAGAACUUAUCUUCCACUUCUCUAUUCACAUCAUGCACAAACACGUCCGUACUUCCUCCUUCCUCUCUAUUCCUCGCCAUCAUCCCUGCCGUAUAAAUCGCCGUCAUCCUCCCCGGCGCCUCGUCGUGGAACCCCGUUGGCGCGUCCACCAUAAUCAAAUCCCAUUUCACCUCAUACACUUCCUCCGGCAAACCUUUAAUCGCCAACGGGCAAACUGAGUAUUUCGGGUCUCCGACUGCAGUACACUCUGGCCCCUUCCCGACAUCCAUCAAACCGUCGGCCUGAUGGACCUUGCUAUCAUAUAUAACGUGACGAGACUCAAGCAUCGGAAAACGACGACUUAUUUGUUGGAUCCAUGAUUUGUCUUCUUCAAGGAAUAAUGUCCGACCACCGUGGUUGAGAGUGGCCCACAUGAGGCUGUCGUGGCCGAGGCCGAAGACAAGGAAGUUGCAUGGGGAUCGGUUGAGGAGGACGGCAGCGGCGACGGAGAUUUCUUUGAAUGUUUGUUGUGGGGUUAUGGAGGAGGUGGAGUAAUGGAUGAGAGCGUGGGAAAAUGAGGGAGGGAUUUUGUUGCAAAAAGAUGGGGAGGAGCAAUGAGUUAACUUUUGUGAAAAAGAUUGUAACUUUGGAGAUGGGUUUUGUGUGGGUGAGUCAAGAAUGUUAGAUUUGAAGAGGAAGAUGAGAACAAAUGAAAGAAAUAGAACUAAGAGGAGGGUUUUGAGGUUGAGAAAUUGAUGGAUGGGGUAUGUUUUUUGCCUCAUUCUUAUUAUUAUUUUUCCUUUUGUUGUUGAAGAAGUAAAGAGAUUUGAGAUUUGGGAUAUGGAAAUUUAAAGGCCAUUUUUUUAAUUUUUGAAUAUGUAUAGCUUAGAGUGGAAGAGAGAAAUUGGAAAUAGGGUGAGAUUUUGGUUGGGGGAUUGUGACAAGAAAUCAACUAAUAUUUUGAAUAAUGAAGCAACAUAUAGAGUUAUAUAUACAUUGCCCCUUUGAUGAUAUUUGGUGUGGAGUUCCAUCACAAAAAAAUUUCUUCUUUUUCAUUGCUUCUUUGAAACUUAAUUUAAUAGAUUUAUAUAGAAGGAAUUAUAUAUAUAUAUAUAUAUAUAUAAUAUAUAUAUAUAUAUAUAUAAUAUAUAUAUAUAUAUAUAUAUAUAUAUAUAUAUGGAGAUUAGAGUGGGAUAAAUUGGAUGAAUUCUCUUGAAAUUUCAAAUGUGGUUUUCAUAUUUAGGGUUUGCCUCCCUCAAAAGUUUGAUUUUGAAUUCAUAUGUUCAAAUAAAAUUCCAACUUGCCUCAAACUCAUCAAAAUUUUGAAAGAAAAACAUAUUUGGAAUAUAUUUUUCAUAUUUCUGAAAAACUUAUUCCGAUCUGAAUUUAUCAACAAGAUGGUUAUUUUAUACACACAAACAAAAAAUAUAAUGUUGAUUACUUGAUUAGGGUUUUCACUUCAUUCUUAAUUUUUUGUAUUAUUCGUUUACUCUUUUCCACACUAACUAGGGUAGCUAGGUUAAUGUUUAUAUGCUUUUAUAUAUUUAAUUUGUUAAUAUAUUAGGGUGUAUCUAUCGUUAUCUUUUACAUAUUCUUCGUGAAAUAUUAAAUAAUUCAAAACAAGAGCUUGAAAAAAGAAGAAAAAAAUCGACUCUUUAAAUUAAUGAUGAAUCCUUGAUAAUAUUUUUCGUUAAUUAUCAAUCUUAAUUGCGUAGUUAUGUCCUGAUGUAAACAUUGAACCGUGAAGUUUUUUUGUUUUAUCUAAAGGAAAGAAAAAAUUUGUGAAUCAAACAAUCAUAUAUUUUUGAAAAACAACAAAUAAAUAUCCGUAGGUCUUUUUUUUCCAAUUUGACAAUAAUGUGUCAAUCAAUAUGAUUAAUUUAAAAUUGGACACAUGUUUGCAAAAAAGAAGAAAAAAAGGAAAAGAAAUGAAAAAUUGGCAUAUGAAAUAUAUGGAAGAAUAUUAAUUCAUUUAAUUAUCUCAUUCUAAAUACAUCCAUUGACUAAUUUUGUUAAUUAACUUUUGAAAGUAUGCAAAUCAAAUACCCUAUGAAACCUUAAUUAAUAGAGUAGAGACAACUAUUGCGCGUGCAUGUGUGCGCGUUGAAUUUUUUCAACAAAGUAUGGAUACUUUUUUAAACAAAAUGAAAUUUUGGAACGGUAAUUUUCUCUCACAAAUUAAAGAUAUCACGUAACACUCCUAAACAACCAUAAAGUCAAAAGCAAAUGAUCAACAUAAAGAGAAACAACGAUAACAUCUAAAAGUUGGUAAUUACCGAGAACUACGCCUAAGAAUAAUAUACCGAGAAAAAAUAAUCCAGUUAAGUGAUUACAACCUGGAUAGACAAUCAUAUGAUUUUAUUUUAAGUUGGGAAGAAUCCACUAAACCUUUUCCCACGUGGUUUUGGGGGAAAGAGAGUUCAAAUAAAAGAAAUUAACAUCUCCACGUGAUUUUAAUAUUGCAUAAAAUAAACACAAAAUCAGUACUUAAUAGUUAUUUUUCAUUUUAAUUACACCAUCAUAUCCCUUUGAUUCAUAUCUUUUAUUCAUUAUUAUCUUCUUCUUUUAAUUAAAAAAUCAUUACUAAUUUUUUCCUUUUUAAUAAUUAAAAAAAAAAAAGAUUUUCUGGCUGUUCAUGACUCAUAUGCACACAGUACUGACUCAAAUUCAAUUUUUGUAAUUUAAUUAUACAAUAAUCUUUAGGAUUUUGAUUUUUUUUUUUUUGAAGCAUUGAAAUUCAAAUAAAAGAUUAAUUAAGGAUUAAUAGAACCCAUUAACAUCUUAAUCCAAAUUAUUAUAGUAUAUGGGGAACAUAUAGAGUCUAAUUAUAAGUUUUUAUCUACCAAUUUUACUUAAUUUUCAUUUUAAAAAAACAAUGGAAAUAAACUAAAGGAAUAUACUUCUUCUAUUGUUAUUUUUUAAAAAGUGUAAUCUUCAAUUUUAACUUUAUCUCCCACAACAUUAUUGAGUAGAUUGAAAAUUAUCAUAAAAUCUAAUUCUAGCUGGAUUGACUCGAUAUCAAUUUUUUAAAAUUAGAGAGAUUUCUUUUUCUAUUUUGUCAGAUGAUAUAUAUAUUAAAAGUAGAGGAUAUGUUAUCAAUAAUUAUUUGCAAACUUUUGGAUAUUUAAACUUCAUAUUUUUAGGUCAAUUUGAAUAUAAUUCAACUACUAUUAAGAUUAAUGUUGGGCUUUAAAUUAUAUAUUUUUUACAGAAAAAAUAAAAGAAAUUAUUUUAGUAUUAUAUAUUAUGCAAUAUUAAUUUGUAUAAAAUGAUAGCAUAUCUAUUACUUUGACUAUUUUCAAUAAUAGUCCUCGUUUUAUCGUUUUCAGUCAUGUGCUCAUUAUUAAUUAUUGCAAUACAUACAUACAUAUAUAUAUAUAUGCAUGUUUAUAAAAACUAUAAUUCAUCCAUUUAUGGGAAGGGUAUCUUCAAAUAUACCCAAAGAAACUAAAAUUAUUAGUAAAAUAAAUUAAAUUUUCUAUAUACCAUUUAAGUAUUUUUUUAUAAAUAAUUUUAAUAUAUCUUAUAGCUAGUGUAUUCUUUUAAUACGGUAAUUAAAUUAUAUUUUUAAUUCCUAUAGAAUAUGUACAUGACAAAGAGAAUUAUAAAUACAAAAAUUAAUAAGUUUAUAUUAUAUGUAUCAUAAAGUCAAAAAGUUAAUUAACAAAGUUGGAAUAAAAUUUAUAUGAUAUUAUGAUAUAUGUCACAAUAAUUUAGAGUCAUAAAUUAGAUUAGAAUCUAAGGUUUUUAAAAAAAUGAGAGAGUUGGUUGUACUAUAAUUUUCAAACACAACCAAUAAUAAUAAUAAUAAUAAUAAUAAUAAUUGUUUAUUUGGAAUUGAAAUGUAAAUCACUUGUAAUAGAACUCAAAAAAAUUAGAAGUAAUUUAUCUAAUAGAUAUAGAAUCAAAUUUAAUGUCUAAUGUAACCCAUUAUGUUAAGUAGAAUUUAUCUAACAUUAAAUUAAAACUUUUAAAGUUAUUUUAUUUUAUUUUAAAAUUGCACAAAACUAAAUGUAAAAUUAAACUAUAAAAACUUAUUAAUAUUGUUUAUGAUUUUGAUAUUUUAAUAUAGCAAAUUUUUUUUCUAAUAAUAUAAAAAAAUAGAAAUAAAAAGUUAAAAAGAAGAAUGAAUUAGUGAACAUUAAAAUAGUUAAUUAGAAAAUUAGAAAAGAAAAAUGAAAUUUAAGUAUAGGAUUAUAUCAUGGGGAUUCGAAAAUAGAGGACGUGGAGGCAUAAGCACGUGACAAUGAACACAAUAAAUAUUUUUCCAAAUGCCAACCAAAAUCAGAUCAUUCUGCCACAAGAUUUCAUUGUCAUCUUAAAAUCUUCCUUUCUUAAUACAUACAUAUAUAUAUAUAUAUAUAUAUGAAUAUUUUAAAAGCUUUUUGAUGUUAUUUAACUGCAAAUGUUCUAUGUUACGUAGUCAACUUGCUCUCAACUUCCAACAAUUAAUGGAUACAUACCAUAAUUAUAUAAUCUUUACCCACUUUAAUAUAUUACUAAAUUAAAACAAUCACUUACAUAGAUCAAGAUCAAUUAAUUAGUUACAAUGUCAAAAACUAUAUAUAUAUAUAUACUAUUAUAUUAACUUAUCCCCAUGCGUAAUUUUUAUCAUUAAGCCUGUUUAUAUCGCUUCUAAAUCGAAAGAAAAACUAAAAUUUGCUUAAUUGUUUUCUUAAAUGAUAAAAAUAUUAUUAUUCUUAAUAAUAACGUGUUGGAAAUAUAAACUUGGAAAAUAAAUGAGAAAAAUAAAAUUACCAUGUGCACCCCCUGCUUUUGGUAAGUAUGAAAAUAAAAUUGUUGUUCUAAAUAAGGUAAAUUAAAACAAAAACGUGGAAUUCUCCCCUUUUAUUUAUAUAUAUAUAUACACGUAAAUAUCAAAAUUUCUUUUUUAAGUAGUAAUAUUUGUAAUUUCUUUUGUUUGACUAGAAAUGCAUUAGGAUUCACCGUCCACUAAUAUAUAAAAUAUCAACGUAACAAAAGACAUUUUUUAAAAGAAUAUAUUAUGUACUUGUUGGAUCGUAUUUUUUUUCUUUUUCUUUCAUAUGUAUAUAUAUAUAUAUAGAAAAGAUUGAUGUGUGUAUUUAAAUAGGAUAUUUAUAAAAAAGAAAGUAGUAUUAAAAAAAGUCGGUGGGUAUGUAAUGGAUUAUAUGUAAAGUAUGUUAUGGAGAAGUUUGGGGUGGGCACGUUGUAAAUCUGGCGAACAUGGAUGGAACUGUAAGCACUUAUCAACUUUGACCGGUCAACUCAUUUAUUAUUCUCUCCGCUACCGAUUCCUCCACGUAGGCACCCAUUUCCCCACCUUCCUUUUCUUUUUCUUUUUCUCAUUCAUUUAUGCUUUUAAACCUUUUCAACUUUUUAUUUAUCAAAUUUACUCAAUAUUUAAUCGUGAUAUUUUGUUCUAAUCUUAAAACUAAUUUUUUUUAUUUGAGAAGUUUGCAAAAAAAUAGCAGCAACAAAAACAUCACGAUAACAAAGUUUAUCUCACCUAUAUUUUUAAAAUUGCAAAAAUAGUAAAUUUAAAAAUAAAUUAUCGAUUACUACUGUAUUUGUCAAAUUUACGGUAUGUAAAAAAAAUGUAUUUAUGAGUUAUUUCUUUUUUUUUUUUGUUAUUAUUAAGUUUAAUGACGAGAUCUUUAGUUUUUUUUUUACUAAAUACUGAGGUUGGUAAUUAAAUAUUUGACGUGGAAGUUUAUUAAUUAAUUUAUAGUUCAUGAAAAUGGUUGAACUUAAUUAGUUAUAAUUUCUUUAAAUCUUAAAAUCUAUUAAUUAAAUUGAGGGAGAAAGAAAAGGUUAAUUAAAAGUAUAAUAUUUUAAAAUUUUAAAUAUGAAUGAAUUUGUUUGAUUUUAGUGUUAUACUUUCUAACGUUUAAUUUUAGUCUAUAGAGUUUUAAUAAAUUUUAAAUUUAAUUUAUUUUCUUAAUUUUAUUUUUUAUUAGCAGUUUUAUUGUGAAUUUUAAAAUUAUAUUCACAUAUAUUACUUCUUUGUAUGAAAAUUAUUAUAAUUAAAAUUACUAUAAUUAUUUAACUAAUUUUAGUAUAAAGUAAUUUUAAAAGAUUAAAUUUAGAAAUUAUUAAAAAUAUAUAGAUUAAAAUUGAACCAAUCUUAAAAUAUUGAAAUUAGUACUAGAAAUAUUUAUAUUUUCUCUAUUAUUUUAUGGUGUUUUUAAGUUCAAUACAAAUGUUGAUAAAAGAAAUUAAUAAGAUUUAUAGAUUUUUUUAAAAAAUUUAGUAAAGAAGAAAAUUGGACAAAAAGAUAUAUAAUUUUAAAAUGUGAAACUCAUAGAUAUAUAUGAAAAAUAUUGAUACGUCGGACAAAAAUUGUGAUUUUUUAUAGUUUGAUAAACUCCAAACUUUCAAUAACUACUUGUCUACUAAAUCAUUAAUUUUUUGAAUUCUAAAAUCACCCAAUAAUUAUUCUUACAAGUCAAUAUUAAUUUGUUCAUGAAUUUAACUUAUUACACAAAGUCCAAUUUUUUUUUCUCUACAUCUGUCCAUGAAUUUAUUCUGUUUCUUAAAAAAAUCUUAUAAGUAACAGAACUACACGCAAACUUCAAAAUUGCUUCCAAAUUUUAUUUGACAAUUCUUCUUUAUUAGAGACAAAUUUGAAAAUUAACCUAUUUUUAAGAGUGUUCCGUAAAUAUUUUCAGUCCAUUUUAGGGGUAUUUCAGAAUCAACUCAACCUUCUCCUACCCUAAAAAUAUGGUAUCUUUAGUCAUAUUUUCGGGUUGGCAACCCGAAUGGCCAUUCACAACCCUAAAAAUAUUGAUUGGGUUAGGUUAUCGGUUGUAUAAUUUUUUUCAUUUAUAAUAUUUGUUAAAUUUUAAAAACAUUCUAACAUCGUAUCCAUAAAUAAUUCACGCAUCCAAAAUCAUCAUAAAGUACAACAUUAAUAUAAUAACACUUAACAAAAAGUUCUAAAACGUUUAGUAUUACUCAAGAAAAGUCCAUUCCAAGCACGGAAUAUAAACAUAUAUAAUACUAUUGAUUCGGAUUGUGUUGAAUCGAAUUUUUCAAACAUCUAUAAAAACGAGUGUUUUAUAAUAAUUUUUUAAGUGUUCCAAUUUUUUUUACCAUUCAUGAAAAAUUGGUGAUGAGAUCAAUGUAGGAUGAUAAAGAGAAUUUAGAGAGGGUUAAGGUAGGUUUUAUUUAGGUAAAUUGCUAUAAGAUUUAUAGUAACAAAAAUAAAUAAAUGGAGCAUUCCUAGACAUUCAUUAUUACUAUAUUUUUUUUUUCUCUUUCUCAAAAAAAUAAUAAUUAAAAAAAAACCUAUUUAAAUAGAGCCACAUAGCCCAAGCCUUUUCCCCAUGCACCUGCCUUCUUCUUCUUCUUCCCUCUUCACAUUCUCCAAACUCUUCAUCUUUUUCCUCAAUACCCCUUUUUAGAUUCCAUUUUCAUAUAGCUCAACAGAAUUCAAAAUCCCAUCCAAAAAAACAUAUAUUAUUGUUAUUAUAUAUAUAUAUAUAUUAUAUCAAUAUGUCUGGUAGAUCUCGUUCAAGACAAUCAAGUAGUGUAAGAAUCAGUGACGAGCAAAUCACUGAUCUUGUUCACAAAUUGCAGCAACUCCUGCCUGAGAUUCGUAAUCGUCACUCAGACAAGGUGCAUGUAUUAUCAAAAUCUAAAAACUUAAUGUGGUAUUGAGCUUACCGCUUGAGUUUUUCUUUUUUUUCUUCUGUUGAGGUUUAUUGAAAGAUUUUUCCUCUUCUUAAUUGUGUAUAGGUUUCAGCAGCAAAGGUCUUGCAAGAGACAUGCAAUUACAUUAGAAGCUUACAUAGAGAAGUGGAUGAUCUGAGUGAAAGACUGUCGGAGUUGUUGGCCACAUCGGACACAGCUCAAGCCGCCAUUAUUAGAAGCUUGCUCACUCAGUGACUCAGUACUCAUGACCAUAUUAUAUUAUAUAUAUAAUCAUAUCAUGUGGUUGUUAUAAAUAAUAAAUCGAAGUUUUCUUUGUUUAAUUAGGGUUUUCUUUUCUUUUCUUUUCUUUUUGUUUUGCGUAUACAUCUUUCUUCUUCCAUAGAUCCAUCACUAAAGUUUGAAUUAAGGUAAAUUAUGUGCAUUUUUUUAUCUCAUGCAAAUCUUAAAAUGUUAAUUUACACAAAGUCAAUUGAAUAUACUUAAAAUCAUAACAAUUGUAGAUCAAAUUCCAAUAAAAUAAGAAAAUACACUGUAGCAAAUGAAAAAAGAUACAUAAAUAUCGACACAUUUUAACACUCUUCUUUUAUCAUACUCGAGACUUAUGAUGAAAAGUAUAUAGACAAAUCUCAAAAUUAAGUGUUGUUUAUGAUAUCAUGUUUAAAUUAUCACAUAGAUACGGUUAAUUGAUCAUAGGUAGCGAAAUUAUUGGGCAAUGAUUUUAUUUUGUUCUUUUUUGAUCGGAAAGAAGGGAUAUGGUGUUGAAGUGAUUUGAGAGAGAGGAUAUAUGGGGCAGUGAAAGGCAAUGGAUUAAUGUGUGUAUGGCUAUAAAUUGCAAAGGGAAAGCAUGGGAAAAGAGAUAAGAAGAAGAAAGAAGAGAGUCAUACAUACAUACAUAUAUAUAUAUACACACACACACAUACAUGUAGGGUUGUAGUUUAUGGCCCAUAUUGGGAUGUACUCGGAAAUUCAUGUGGGGAUGCCCUAAACAAAAAAUUUAAAAGAAGAAAAUGAAGAAAGAACAGAUGCUGCUCAGAAACCACGCGUGAAGAGCGUUCAACCGCACAAACAAAUCUCAUUUUAUAUAUAUAUAUAUCCUAUAGACACUCACUGUUGAGUCUAUGACUCAGUUUUGUAGAAUUCUAUGCCCUUUUUUUAUAAUAUAGUGUAGGGUUUCAAAUUUAUAUAUAUAUAUAUUUCAUAGUUAUAAUAAUGUAUUUAUUAGGAUAGUUUGAGUUUUGAAUUAAAUAUUAUUUUAAUUUAGGUUAUAAUAAUACAUUUAGAUUAUGAGCUAUUUUCGUGUAAGCAAGAAGUCCUAGACAUUCUAAUAAAAAAAAAUAAAAGAAGAAAGGUAAGAAGUAAAAAUAUUUUAUAUUAUAUCGUAGAUAACGGUCAUACAAACUUCAAAUUCUAUUUUUUAAAAUUUAUAAUUUGAAUAUUGAUAUACGAUAGUAGAUCAUACAAUAGAGAUACGUACGUGAUAAUAUGAUGAGGAUGAGAAUGAAGAUGACUUUUCGAUCUUAUUCUCUUAACGUUCAAUUUUUUUUAUAAAAAAAUAAUUGAAGUAGUUUUAAGAAAAUUAUUAUUUGUGAAAUUAAACUUCAAUUAAAUGGUUGCUUAUUUUUUAAAUAAAUUAAUCUUAAACCCCUAAGUGAAAGAUAUAUCACAUUUAAUGAUCCAUAAGUAUGAAGGUAGUAAUAAUAAUUGGAGUAUGUACUUUGCUUGUGAAUUAUAUAUUUUUCAAUUCUCACGUGAUCAAUGCAACCCUAAUCAAUGCAAAUCCCUCUGCUAAUGCAUAGAAAUUAAUACAUACAUGAUAUUAUUUACAACCACAAAUAAAAUUAACACCAUUAAUUAUUGUUACCAUUGACAACAUAUAAGCUUCAAGUAUAACUAAAAUUUCAACUUAUAAAAGAGUUGGACUUCAAAUUGAGUCUAAAGGAGGGUAAAAGAUCAAUUUGCCCAUUGAAUCAACUAAUAGUAUUAUUGUAAUAUUAGUUUUUUUAUAUAACGAGCCUAAAGUUAAAGAUACUCGAGUCCUCCUAGACCUAGAUUGAAUUCGUUGGUAAUCUUUGAUAACGGCUAGCUAAGAUUGACGUGAUCCUAACCAGAGUGUGAGAAAAUUGUUGAAUGAUUUUAAAUGUAAAAUUACACAAACAUAGUUAAGGCUGCAUGCUGUGCUUAAUAGAUUUAAUUAAACCCAAGUUUUAUUUAAUUAAAAUUCUAAUUAAUUUAAUAAAUAUUAUAUGUCAAUUCAGUUAUCUAUCUCUAAUUUAUAUUACUUUAGGAAUAAUUACUAUUGUAUGAAAUUAAAAUUGCAUUGCAUAUAUUAUAUAUGCUUUGAUCAUUAUAAUGUUAAAUUAUGUUGAUAUUCUUUAAUUAAUUUUAAAUGUCAUUAUUUCUUGGCGUUAUGUUUCUGUUUUAUACUAUAAGAAAUUAAUAAUAAAUAUCCUAAUUAAUAUUGAAGGUACAAUAUGGUUAAUAAGUUCAAAUUAUUAAUUAAUCCAACCACCAUUGUUAUGUCCACCAAACCUAAGGGCAUAAAUUUAAAUGAUGAUAUAAAUUUUGUUACUAUUAGGUGUUAUGUCACAAUACGAAAGGGAUCCAUACAUUGUUAAUACUUUUUUGUUGCUAAAUAUUCUUUUAAAAUAUUGAACCAAAGGUCUACUCUCAUACACUUGCUAAUUUAUCGAAUUGAAAGUAAAUAAAUUAAGUCGAGAUUAUAUUAGAAUUUCUAACAAUCGUAAUUAAGAAUAAAAUUGAAUUUUACUUGUUGGACCCACACGUGAGUAAGGGAGGCAUAUGGAUCGAGCGUGUUUUUCAUAAAAGGAAAAAAAAUCAAAGUCUCGAGAUUUGGACCAAUCAACUCAAUAAUCAUCUCUAUAUAUGUUUUGGUGUCAUUUGAUCAACAAAAUUAUUGCCAUAAUUAACUUCAAUAAUGAUAUCGAAGUUUAAUUGAUCCUAACAUAUUACUCAAUUUGAACAUACAGUAAUGUGAUUCGUCGUUUUCUUAAGAUUCGUAAUCAGAAUUUGAACAGGUGUGAGCACAUUGAUCAAGAAAACGUUUAUGAUGACGUAUGUUAUAUUGUUUAUAUGUAUCGAUAAAUAAAUAUAUACUAAGAAGGUUUCUAUCCAUCCCAACUUUUAGGUUAAACUAAAAACAACAUAUAAUUAUUAAAUGAAAGGUGAAAAAAUGAAGGAUAAAAAUUUAAUACCUCUUUAUAGCAAACUUUAAAGUUCUAUUUAACUAUCUUCAUUAAAUGUAUCAUUUUCAUUUUCUUUUUUUAGUAAUGUUAUCCAUCCAAAAGAACUUUGUUAUUUGUGAUACAUUUCACUGUCCCCUCUACUUUAUAACUAUAAUUUGAACCAUGAAAAGAUAAAAAAGGUAUCAAAUCUUAAAGGUUAAUCAUAUAUUGUUUAGACAAAUAUUAAUUUGUGUAUCCUUUAUAAUACUCUAAACCAACCAUUAUAUAUUAAUUGAACUUUAACCUUUUCUUUAAAGAAAAAACAUUUUGAAACUUUUCUAAAAGUAAUAAUUUACUUAUAAUGAUUUAAGUCUUCCAACUUUCAAUUUUGUAUCAAUUUAGUUUUUGAAUAAUUUUUUUUUAUCUAUUAACACUAUUGCAUAGCUUUAUAAUAUUUAAAAAUAAUUAGAGAAAAAAAAGUUAAAUUUAAUGAAAACAUUUAAUUUUGUGAUUUAGAUUAGUUUUUGGAAUUAAAGAAGUUUGAUACAUAAAAGCUUACAAUACAAAAUUUAUAUAACAUUAACGGAAUUCUCAAACAAUAAAAAGAACAGUAAUAAUUAUUUAACGGAAUUAAAAGUGGGGGUAUUUUAGUAAAAGCAGGAGUUAACGGAGUUGCUUCUGUCAAAUGCUAAUGUGUUCUUGUGGUUCCACGUCAGCAAUUAGUCAUUUUUGACAUCAACAUUCUCAUCUUUCUCCUUUUCGCAUUUAGCAACCGAAUUUUCUUUCUGCGUCGCUAUCACUGUUUUGGUUUUUUCAUUUUUUUUUAUAAUUAUUAAUCCAAAAAAGUGAUAGUAAUUUCUUCUUUUGAUUUGAUGUUUGAUGCUAAUCUCGAUAACUAAGAGAAGAGAAGGAUCAGAUGCUGGAAGAGGAGCGAGAGAAGCGUCGAUAGAACGAAGAACCAUUCCAACUUCUCUGCGAAUUUUCAGAGAGUGUUUUCUUAGUUCUUUUGUUGCUUUCUCUUUGCUUUUUUCCUUUCUCUUUUACAAUGGGUAAUUGCCUCGAAAAAGCUCGUUCUAAGGUCGAUAACUCUCUCAACUCCCUCCCUAAUUCAGGUAAUUUCUUCCUUUCCCCUGUUUCCUUUUUUUCUUUUUUUUCUUUUUUUCUUUUUAUUGUCGUUGAUUCCAUGGACUCCUUUUCCCCUUUCUUUUUGUCUGGUGGGUUUGUUUCUUUUGGGUUUUUUCGGUGUUUUAACUUUCUGGGUUUCUUUGUUUCGGUGUGUUUCCAAAUGGGUUUUCUUUAAUGAACCCUUUGUGGGGAUUUUUUUUCUCCCAUUUUUCAACAUUUUGCAACUUGGUAAAACCCCACUUAAAGUACAUCCUUGGAAACUUUGUAUUAUUGGAUAUUGUAUUGUGUUGAGUAAACCAUCCAUGGUACUGAGAGGUCCUAGUGCUCUACUUGUAAACCCCAUGAAGAAAUUUUCUGUUUUUAGGGCAAGUGGAUUUCGUUUUAAGCUUGAAUUGUUCUAGUUUCUGAAUAUCAAGUUAAUGUAAAUUUUAAAUGAUGGGAUGCUUCUAUCGAUGGAAUAAAAUUUGUAUAUUACCUUCAUAAUUAAACACAAUGUGUAUCCAGUCUUGUAAAUGGAUUGAUGUAUCAACUGGUGGGUUGAGAUUUCUUUUUGAAUGUAUUGGUUUAGCAUUUUCAUUUCGUGAAUGCUGUCUUAGGGAACGUGGUAUAAAUACCUAUUAACCACAAUGAGAUUUUUUAUUGAUUAUGAGCCUGAUGCGGAAGGCAUUGAAGAUGAUGGUAUGAUGAUAAAAUUUGGAAGUAAUAAAUUGGGGUUGGUUUGAAGAUCACAAUGAGUGUAGAAGGCAGAGACAUUGGUGGGUGUUGGACGAAUGGCGACGUUCAGUAAAAGUCUGCUACUGUCUCCCAAGUUUAUCUGGUGUAUGGAAAUGCAUAGAGAAUCAUAUUCCUUUCUUAUCUUUAUGAACCUAACCUAAGUUAUAGCAAUGAAGAAGUUUUGGAGAAAUCUGAUACAAAUGCUGGCUUGUGGUUGAUGUACUGGAGUUUCAGAGAUGAUUGAGUGUAAAUUGAUCGCCUUAUGAAUCUUUCUUUGAAUGAAUAUGAUAGUGAGCAUAUUGCACGAUAUACUGCAAGCAUUGGAGCCUGGUGGGAUUUGACCACGUGAGUAGAUUCAGAGUUUUGGUGUUUGUAGGAGUAACUGUGUCUUACUUUUUCUUUUAUGUCGUUAUAUUUUUAUAAACUGAAUGAAUCUUACUCUUAGCUGUAUCCUUUUUAUCUCAAUUGUGGGACUUUGUUUGUAAGAUACAAUGCAGUAAUUACUUGUAUAAAUUAAAAGACGGGAUUUGCACUGGGGAUCUAUGUGUUUGUUAAUGAACUGCUACUUAAAUAUCGUUCUUUGAGCUUCUGCAUCGAUUAUUGCUUGUCAGUGUAAUCAAGAUUAGUUUAGUUUGUUCAUUAUUAAGCUAUUGUGCACUCUUAUCCCAUGCAGAAGAUCCAAAAACUCAUGAUAGGAAAGGUCAUUCAUCUGCUUCUUUGAGAUCUCCAUCACUUGGGGGGAAUACACCAUCUAGAGGUCUUCAAGUUCAUAGAACUGAAGGUGAAAUAUUGUUGUCUCCAAAUCUGAAAGCCUUCACAUACAGUGAGCUUAAGAAUGCUACUAAAAACUUCCGCCCUGACAGUCUAAUUGGAGAAGGAGGUUUUGGUCAUGUUUACAAAGGAUGGAUUGAUGAACAUACACUUGAAGCUGUGAGGCCUGGAGCUGGAAUGGUUGUUGCAGUGAAGAAGCUUAAGCCCGAAGGUUUUCAAGGACACAAGGAAUGGCUGGUAGUUCUCCAUUUCUAUUUUGCAGAUCCUGUUGACCUUUCUGGCUUAAUAGUUGGCUUUAUAAAUCAGGUUGCUAUUGAUUGCAGUCUGAAGUAAAUUACCUUGGUCAGCUUCAUCAUCCUAAUCUGGUUAAACUAAUUGGGUUCUGCCUUGAUGGGGAUAGCCGACUUUUGGUCUACGAGUAUAUGUCCAAAGGCAGCCUUGAAAAUCAUCUUUUUAGAAGUAAGUCAAAUGUUUUGGCUUAACUGAAAUCCUGCUGCAAUCACUAACUUUUUUCUGGCAUUGUUUUUACUUUAGUAAACAGGCAUGAUGAACACGUUAAGUAAUUAAUUAGGUUUUGAAGUUUGGUUUCAAUUUUCUUAAUUAGAUCUGUCAUUACACUAAUGUAGGGGGUGCGCGACCACUUUCUUGGGCAAUAAGGAUCAAAGUUGCUAUAGGUGCUGCUAGAGGACUUACCUUUCUGCAUGACUCCGAAGAACCAGUUAUCUAUCGUGAUUUUAAGGCAUCGAACAUCCUUUUAGAUUCUGUAUGUCAUUUAUGCCCUUCAUGGCAAAGACUUCUGUUAUUUAGAUCUUGUGAAAAUCUAAACAAGUACAAGUAAAUGAAAUACAUAGAAAAAGAGUGACAGAAAAGCAAAGAGUGUAUACACUAAGAUUAACUUUUUUUUCCUUGUCCUUCUAAUCUAUUAAAUACAAAUAAUCAAGAAUUAAGGUCACGAGCACAAGCUGUUAUGAAUGUAAAAUUAAAAUUCAUCUGUCUGACUAUUAAGUUUGAAAUUAUUGUACACAGGAAUUCAAUGCAAAACUUUCAGAUUUUGGUUUGGCAAAGGCAGGCCCAACAGGUGAUCGGACUCAUGUGUCCACUCAAGUUAUGGGUACUCAAGGCUAUGCUGCUCCAGAAUAUAUUGCCACCGGUUUGUUUUCUCCUCCAUAUUUUAUAAAUCUUUGGUUUUCUUGAAGUGGUUAUUCUAGCAAGAAAAAUAAUAUAAUUUGCAUAAAUAUGUUUUGAGUUGAUUCUAAAUAUCAAUCUGAUGGGUGGAAUUACUGUAGGAUAUGUACAAUUUAAAGGUUGCUAUAGUCAUUGGUUGAUGGGGAUUCUAGAUCGUGGGAUGUCCAUCAUCCAUUCUCCUUAACCCUAUUAUUUAUUCUCAUAAUUGCUCAACUUCUUGCUAGAUACAUUGAGCUACCAAACUAAGUUAUUUGAUGUUUUUUUCCCCAUCUUCUGUUUCAAUAAAUCACUUAAAUGAAUCUGCCUGUUUGUCUGGUAGAUGAAAUCUAAUUACAAUAAAUCCUCUUAGGGGAAAUCAUUGUUGGUUUUUCUCUUGAAGUGAAUUGGUUAGCAAAUUCUUGAGAAGUUUUCCAGCUAGUAGGAUAAGAUUAACUAUUACUUACCUUGAAAUCUGUCUACACACUACAGAUCUCUAAAAUUUAAUCAUAGUAGUUGAUGAAUAAAUGUCUGGUUUCAAACUACAGUGCUUCAGGGAACCAGGCAAAAGAUGUUCAUUUUAGAGCUUCCCAUUAUAUAUUAAAUUUCUAAAAUUUUAUUGUUAACAUGAUGGAUAUAUCUCUAUACUUAUUGCAGGUAGGUUAACGGCUAAGUGCGAUGUGUAUAGCUUUGGAGUUGUGCUGCUGGAGCUCCUCUCGGGACGUCGUGCUGUUGAUAAAACUAAAGUAGGCGUUGAACAGAAUCUUGUGGAAUGGGCAAGACCUUACUUGGCUGAUAAGCGCAAGUUAUUUCGGAUAAUGGACAUUAAGUUAGAGGGCCAAUACCCUCAAAAAGCUGCUUACAUGACUACAGUCCUUGCAUUGCAGUGCAUUCGAGAGGCAAAAUUCCGACCACAGAUGUCUGAAGUUUUAUACGCUCUCGAACAGCUCCCCCUGGUUAAGCAUGUUGAUACCCAAAGAGCAAACAGUCCAGGACCAAAGUCCCCGCUAAGACAUAAGUACCCUUCACCUUUAAAUUCAAUGACACCAAAACCGAGUUCGCCACUACCAUCCAAAUGAAAAUCCUAGAGAACCUUUGAGAAGGGAUGGAUCAUCUUUUUAACGAUCACCCAAGUGAAUAUAUAUCUUUGCCCUCGGUGUGUUCGGUUGGUAGACUGUAGCAGUCGGAAAAUCCCUUUCCCUCUUUCGUCCUCCCUCUCGUCUUCGACUUGCGAAGGAUGAUGAUCUGUAAAUGGAGAUUGAGUUUGUUUGGGAGGUGGGAAAAGGUUGGGCAGCUGCCACUAUAAAUUUCGUAGAGAUAAUAUUUUACCUUUACACAGAAGGGGAUUGAAAUAAUGAGCAGCAGAGAGAUGGUUUAGUUUGGCAUUUUACUCCGAGGGAAUUUGUACUGAGAAUUUGUGAUUUGACAAUCAAACCUUAAAAUUUAAAUGGAAGGUUUCUGUUGGCUUCAUAAUAUUUUAUGUUGCCAACCAACCAAUGUUUUGGUUUUUGUUGUCUUUGUUCAUUGACUAAUCGCAAAAGAUUCUCACACCAACUCACAAUGAUUUAUCGAGAUUAUCUCAUUUGAUUUUGUUUAUUAACUUGUAUAGCUAAAUAGCUUCAUUUAAUGUUCUUUAUAAGUGCAUUAUGUGAUUGAAUUUUGAAACUUCCAACCUAAAUUAAUAAAAAAAAAAGAUAGGCAGAACAAAAUAAAUAAUAGAUAAGAACUCAAUUCCAACAAUAUAAUCACCAUCAUAUACAUGAAUUAUUGUUAAAUAUAACUAAAAACAACUACACCAAACACAACCAAUAUGAAAUAGAAUAGAAAAAUGAAAUGAAACUCAACCAAACACACCUCUCCUUUGAUGAAGUUAGUUAACAUAUUUCAUUAUAUAAAGAAAAAUAAGAAUCUGUUUCUUAGCUUCAAAGCCACGCCAUUACUUCUACAUUACUCCAUCUCUCGAUUCCCUUCCAAUUAUUUAUUAAAAUUCCUUCCUUUUUUCUGUUUCUCUCCCAAAUUCUCCUCUAAUUAACCAUCUAAAAUCCAUGUCCACCCCCGCCAUCUCCGGCCUCCACUGCGAGGUCUGGCAGCCCCAAGACUUCUCCGAACCUUCCUGUUCGUCUUCUUCUUCUUCUUCUCAAUUUCAACCCCCUGAAUUCUUCAUCGAUUUCUACGUUUCCUCUUACGCAACUCAUGGCGACGAAGUCAUCAGCACACUCCGUUACAAGAAUUUCCGGCAAAGAUGUGACGUUCUAACUCAAGAUUCUUUCUCUUGGUCUGCAAUUUCCUCUAUGCUUUCAGAAACCAAUGUCCCUUAUCAUCUUCAACCUUUUUUCAUUCACCAAAUUUCUACUAGAGCUCGUGGAAUCGCAACCGAACCCAUUAACGCUCUCUCCCGAACCAUUCCGAUGGUCGUCGAGCUGAUACUCCCCGAAGACGCCAUGGAAGAUUCCGGUUAUGGGUCCGAACCCCACAUGGGAAUUGGGUCGGGUCGGGCCAGUAGGGCUUCGAUUCAGGAAAUGGAGAGAAUUGAAAUUGAUGGGGUUUUGAGUGAUUGUGUGAUCUGUUUGGAUGAGAUUGGUUCAAUUGGGUGUGAAAUUGAUGUUGUUCAAAUGCCUUGUUUACAUGUUUAUCAUCUAAAUUGUAUUCAUAAAUGGCUGGAACUCAGUAAUCGUUGCCCAUUGUGUCGGUUUCAGAUGCCAUUGGAAGAAGAAUGAAGCUCUGUUUUUUUCUUUUCUUGCUCCAUUUUGUAAACAUAUUUACCUUUCUUUAUUGUAUUUCUUUUUUCAAACCUUCCUUGGAAAGAUUAUGAAUUCAAAACCCCAAAUUUUCUAAAGAUUACUAAUGUAAAUGAUUUGUCAACACUUAUAUGAUAGAUUGAUCUGUUUUGAUUACUUGUUUCUUAUAUGAUUUUGAAACCAUUUCUCGGUACCAAGAUUUCCCUUAUAAUUCAUUCAGAGUUGAGCAUUAGUUCUUGUGUCAAACUAACCUGGAUCAUAAUGAAAUUCGGUUUUUCGGUACAUCGUACUCAUCCAUUAAAAGGAGAUGAUGUGAUCAUCAAGGAAGACAAAGUGUAAAUACUGAAAAUGAUGAUGUUUUGGGUUUAAAGUAAGCUUUGUAUAAGUUAAAACAAUUUUGAUUUUGUAUUUGUUGUAAAGAACCUUGUGAAAGAUGAUUUAUAGUUAGUUGACAUAUUGACAAAAUUUGGUGGGGUUUUUCUCUUUUUUUCUUUUUUGACAAAGGAAAGUGACAAACAAAGUAAUUGAAUUUAAAGUAUAGGUUAUAGUUUUGUAGGAUUCAAAGAUUGAUGAUUGUAGGUAAAGCCUUAAAAUUUCAACCUUUUUAUACAUAAACUUUUAGGUUCACCACUCAAAAUGACUCCUAAAUUAAAGUUUUAAUUUCAGCAGUAGGUUUUAAAAGAUGUUUAGAGUUACAGACUGUUUUUUGAGUGAGUUCUACAAUUUAAAUGUAUGCAGAGGGUUUGAAUUUGUGGCACACUAUUCAAAAUUUUAGAGUUCUUAACCAUUUUGAUUUUUGUUUUUUAAUUUUUAAAAUUAAGUUACUCAUUUUUGUACUUUGAACGUAAAAAUAAAAUGAGCUAUGGAUGAUUCAAAAAGUUAGAAAGAAAACUGUGAAACUAUUCGUUUGUUAAAAGAUAUCUUUGUUGACGUCAAAUUUGAGUAAAAUUACCAAAAUAUAUUUGAUUGCAUGCGAAAAAGCAAGCCCGUCUCAUUUGGUGUCGCUCUUGUUGAUGUCGAUCAAUCUCACACAUUUUGGUUGGCAUUACUCUUGUCUAGAGAAGAAGAAGAAAGAAGAUAGAAAAAAAUGUGACUGGCUGAGAGGAGGAUGAAACAAAAACUCUAAAUCAAUAUUGAGAGUAAUGUUGUAAUUUCAUGUGAGGAUGUGAGAUUUGACAUUAUUAAAAAAGAAUUGAGUGGAUGAUUUGUGAUUGUAGACCUUUAAAAUGGGUCUUUUAGAUAAUUAAAUCAAAUAAAAUCCACCUUUUAAGACAUCCUAUUACUCGGUCUCAAAAAUUAAAUAAUGUUAAAUAGAUUCAGUUACAAAAAUGAAAUAAUUAGAUUGCCAUUCUCUUUUAGAAUUUUGAAAAAGAGAAAGCAACAAGAAUUCAAGAAAGCGUAUGUGAAGACUUGGCUGAAUUAGCAACUUUGAUAAAGACGUCUUCUAAAGUGGUAUCAGACAAACCCCAAGCCAAAACCGUAAAUCUGCUUUUGGCCUCUUCAACUGCUAAAAACACUUCAGCUAUCCGAACAUCAUGUUUUGGAAGCUCAAAUUUUUGUGUUCCAGAUAAAUGGUAUAUCUUCUUUGCUCCAGAGGCUAAUCGCUUCACCAUGUCCUCAACAUAUCCCUCAUGAUCAGAGGAUGUUGUCAUUGUAAAUACAUAAACCCCACCAUAUCUGGCUUUAAGCUGUCCAAAGAUUUUCCAAUUUAGUAAAAUACUUGUGUGUGAAGAAUUCACAUCACAGCAUGCAGAAGGUAAAGAAAACAACACUAUGGGUUGAAUGGAAUCAAGAUAAAGAUAAUGCUUUUUCAUGAACACUCCUCUGACAUGUGUGUGUGUGUGUGUGUUUCUCUAUUUAUAAGAAAAGCGUUCUUUUUUCCUUCACCAACUUUGACAGCAAAAUCGGAUGAAAAGCAGUGUGAGAGCAAAGGGAAGAGGGUGAAAGAAAGGAAUAAUGUAUUUGGAAGGGAAGUUGGAAGAUAAGAGAGAAUCUAGGAAGUUGCUCAAGGAAAUCAAACUAGGAGGUCCUCAUCGGGUUGAUAACAUUGAAUUUUCUUUUUUUUUGCGUGCUCUUGCACUUGUUCCUCUCUAUACUGAGGGAAACAAGAACCGACAGGCGAAAAGGUUUAUAAUAGGUUUAAUGACCAAAGUUAUAUUAUCUAUGGCUCAGAGAUCAAAUAAGUUACCUCUUUUGGAUGUCCAACACAUUGGAGGCAUCCAUCUACAAAAAUUCCUAUCCGAUCGCAUAAGACUUCUGCCUCUUCCAUAGAAUGUGCUGAUGAUAUAAAUAAGUUUUCUUCAAUAUUAGAAUUAGAGAGGAAACAUGGAAUAAGGAACCGCAUGCGAUACAAAAUCUCAAGUCGUGUUAUGAUUAAGUUCUAAAUGCAAAAUGAGACUGGAAAGCGAAGGGAAGCAUACUAGUAAGGAUGAUUGCUCGAUCUUUCUUUGCACGCUUCACAGCAUUCCAUAAAGUUUUUCUUGAAGCUGGAUCUAGGCCAGUGCUUGGCUCAUCCAUAUAAACAACCUUCACAAUGAUUUUUAAAGGUGAUUUCAGAUAUAGAAAGGGAAUUUUAAGAUAAAGAAUGAAAAUAGAUCGAUACAUUACUUUAGGAUAUCCAAUUAGUGAUAUAGCGACACUAAGCCUCCUCUUCAUACCUCCACUGUACAUCCCAGCUUGUUUGUCUGCUACUCCUCCUUUGAAGAGGUUGACAUCCUUGAGAGAUUCUUCCACUGCCUGAAGCAGUUAAAGAGCAAUGAUGAUAACAUAAUAUUUCUUUAUCUAAUGCAUCUUCCAUUGUUUUACCCAGCAAAAAAAAAAAAAAACAAACAAACAAACAAAAAAUCUCUACGUUUCAGUCUUUGCAUGCAUGCUCACUUUUCUAAGAGUUAGUGACAUAUAAAGAUAUUGGAUCUACUAUACCCCAUGACAUACUUACGCUGGAAUGCUAGUACAUUAACGUAAAAUGUGUUUCCUCAUAACAUAAUGACCUCAUUCAUUGUGAGGGAGGUACAAUUUUAUCCUCGUCUUCAACUUUUAUACAUUGAUCUUUUUAAAAAACCAGUCUAUAGGUGUUUCCUCAUGCUUACUCUUUGUUUUACAAUUUAUCAUCUGUCUCUUGAGUUCAGGUUCAAACCUUCACUAAUAUAUGAUAGUCUUUUAAAAAUCUUUUCGAUUAUUUAAUAAUUUCUGUGAGUUUUUAUGCCAAUUAGUGUCCAUCUCAACUAGAAAACUACUGAGAUAAUUGUAUAACUCAACCAUAUUUGGUUGCCAAGGAAUAGUCUAAAAAAUUUGUAGAAUAUUAAACCAUAGAUAGAUGGUCGUCAUGACUUGAACCUAUCUCCUUCAAGCCUUUUUAUUAUUUACGACAUUCACUCUUAUUGACCGCUAAAUAAACUGACAGCGGUUCUAAAAAGCUUCUCUAAACUUUUUUCAUUUUUUUUCCUAAGAAAAUUUUCAAUGUUUUUCAAGUAAAACAAAUGAGAACUUUACUACUUUUCUAAAUGGUAAUUUCUUUGGGUUUCUUUUUAGGAUGAAAGGUGCACAUUCUGUUUGAAGAACAUACGAAUGUUAUGAUCCCCAACUUCAUAGGAUUGACAGUCUUUCGAGCCACACAAUAGCCUGAAAUUCCAUGGUAUCAACAAGGACGAUGAUUUCAGUUUAAUAGUAUGCUUACUUGUACUAAAGCAGAACCUUCUAAGUUCUUGAGUCUGCCAUAAAAGAGUAGGUGUUCCCUUCCUGUUAAGGUUUCCCAUAGCAGGCUACAGAAUUCCAAGAAAUAAAAAAUAAGAAUAUUCGAUUUAAGAGUCAGCAUAAAAAUGUCCAGCAGAAUAUAUAUAAGCUUACUCGUGCUGUGGACAAACGCCCAUGCUUGCAUAUACGCCAUUCAUCUCAGUCCUUAUGUCCAGACCUUCAACAAAGGCUGUUCCAGCGGUUGGUUUUGUAAGACCAAUCAUCUGAAAAAGGAUCCUCGUGUGAGAAAUUUACAAGUAAAAAUAAGAACUUAUGUGUAUCCUCGUAUGGGGAUUCAUUGGCAACAAGAAAGUAAAAAUUCCAAAGAAAUAAGGGAAACAAAUAAAUAGCAAAUCGGCAUUCACCAAAGACGAAAUACAAAGGAGAAAUUUUAGCUCACCAUACUGAUAAAGGAGGUUUUUCCCGCACCAUUAGGACCUAGCAUCCCAAAGCAUUCUCCUCGGUCUAUAGCAAGAGACAGUCCUUUAACUGCAAACUUCUCGGGGUUCCCAUCCCUUCCUGGAUACACCUUUUUGAUAUGGUCACAUAUGAUGCCAUGACUUGGAUGUCUAUCCUUUAUCAACUGUUCGACCUUCUCCCUCUGGAAGGAAAAGAAAAAAAUUGACAUAAGUCAUAAUUCAGGUGGUAAUGAUUCAGCUCUCUUUCAAAGAAAAUAAUCCAUAAAUUUCACCUUAAAAUUCAGAUAUAUUACAAUAAAUAAAUCAUGCAAACCUCACAAAGAGGAUAGUACUCAUUGAACAGGCAGCUAUACAGUUGCAAUAUGACAAAAUAUAUUCAAAGGGCAGUUUGACGAAGCCAUUUACAAUAUUCGCAAUAUAGAAUCCCUCUUGAAUCAUGAGGAAGAGAAAUACUUGAUAAAAAGCAAAAGAUGAAUAGAUUAUGAAACUCAUCAGAAGCAUGCAUACGUGAGUACUUCAAAAUGUAACAGUAAAAUAGAUGGAAGUAUCAAGAAAAAAGUUACCUCUGCUCUGACAUCAGGUUUAUCAAUCUGAACCACAACUUUUGAUCCUUGCCUCUCCGGAACAAGAUUCUGAGGUGCAGGUUUUUUGUCGUGUCUUUGAAGGAAAAACAAUGGAUGCUUCCAACUUCCCGAUGAUAUAGCUUGAUCGAUAUAAUAUCCAACUAGAAGCACCACUAUCCACUCAAAAAACAUAAUGACAAAGACUUCUCUCAUUCCAUUGGUACUAUCAAUGAAAUCUCCCCAUCGCAUCCCAGAAGUCCCUACUUGAUUCCCACUGGUAGAAUAAAAUGCAAACUCAUACAACCCACGAUAUAGCAAAAAUCCAGGAUAUAACUCCAUCAAUAUAAUCCAGCCAUCUAUACCACAAAGAAUGGAUAUCAGAAGCAAACAUUAGAUGGACAAGCUUGAAUUCCAUACAAUUGUGGAGAGAGCCUUGCCAACCAAUAUGAGACCAUGAGGAUCAUUAUAACAUAAAAAUAAAAUAUUAUCAGACGUUAGUAAAAAUAUAAGAUUCCAUCAAGCAAUUAGAUAAAGAUGACUUCUAGACAUUGAGAAUGUAUUGAUGCUCGUAAGACUUAGUCCUCAGAAAGCUUCCAAGCAUCCUAGUGUAGUUUUUUUUAAGCUGAAAAAUACUUAAGUAGUUCAAAUUCUCUAACUCCCUAUCUAGACAACCUAAAUACUACUGAAAGAAUUCAAAAGAAGUUUGAGUGGACUUGAAUUCUUAGAACCUCUCAAAAACAAUAUAAGACAGUUCGUAACAGUAAUUGCUCAAAAUUUUUAGUCCAAAUGAAACCUGACUUGAGGAAUUUACUAACGUGGGAAUGAAGGAUCUUCAAGAAAAAAUUGGAAGAGAAAUCCACCUAAGAGCCCUGUUCCGAAGACACAAAUAUAUGCCGAAACUGCAAAAUGAUACACUCGUGUGUCAGCUUAGAGUUAAACUGAUACAAAGUCCUGUUGAUUUAAAUAAAACCAAACCUUCAGCUGUCUUGACAUCUGAAAACGUGCUAGCCAUUAGAAAGGCAAUGGAGACUUGCAAAUUUAUAAACAAGAGAUAAAACACUAACUGGAUACUGUAGUCAUUCAUUGUAAAAAACUUUAACCCUGCAAGAAAGUAAAGUUUAUCAAAGCUUGGAACCAGGAAGGUAUGUAAAGUUAAGAGUGUCAAAAUAUAUCUUACCUACAACUGAACCAAACAACACGAAAAAAAACAUGUAUAAUGAAUAAAUUGCGAGAAAAUAAGCAUAUGAAAUCGCCCAAUAAGGCCCAUCACCAAGCCCAUGCAUUUUCAUCAUGAUUCUCAGUUUCUGUUGCUUCUCAGUUACCAACGAUGUCAAGAUAACCUGACAAGAUAGAAAUAAAAUAUUUUUAAAAUUAAAUAAAGAAAUGAAGUGAUCUUCCUUGUAAGUUUCAACGCCCAAAAUGUUGAACCAAGGACAUCACUAUAUGCAGCAUGAAAAGUACCACUAUUAUGACAGUGUUGACUAAGAGGGUCGUAUACUUAGAAACUUCUUCUGCGGAGAUAUUAAACACUGAGGUUAUUAUAUUCUUUAAGUUCCCUGCAACUAAACAGAUGGAAUUCUGUGGUAGAUGUGACAGACAGUAAACUUCGGUGCUUCUGAGCGGUGAAAAUGCACAAACAUUGAUCUACUUACUGGAAAAGGCUGGAGGAUGACCCACGUAAAAAAUAGUGCACCAAGUUGAGAAGAAAAAUCCGACUUCAUCUUUGUCUCAUGUUUCGGCAUUUCUUUGACAAACUGAAAGGGCAUCUCUAUGCGUGCUCCUAACUUAAACUUAAGAUAGCCAUUGGAUGCCUAAGAACAUAGGGAGAGGACUACCCUUGUCAGCCUUCAUCAUACUAGGAAAGUAGAAAGGUAGUGACAAAUGAGAUAUAUGUAUGUAUGUAUAUAAAAUUAAAAGAAACAUUAAGGAUGCAAUCACAGAAGAGGUCAUCCAUUUACACAAAGUUUGGUCAUUCAUUAUCCUGAUAGCCUUACUAACAGCGUAUAUAUGUUAUUUACUACAGAAAUUCACUACGUACUCCUGCAUAGGCUAAAAUUAAAGAAAUGGGAACAAAGUUGUAAUUAUGCAUAGAUGUUCUAUUUUCCUUCAGUAGAAAUAAACUACAUGUCGCAAAUCAGGAAUGGAUCAAAAGAGGUUUGGAAUGGGGGGAUAAGGUGAGGGAUCCUUCAACAGUUCACAAGUUUCUCUGUACCAGAUUAACCGAGCGUGGCACCCGCAACAGAACGCUCAAGCCAGAGCCACCAUUAUAAGAUGAAUUAUACCAUAUAGUCACAUUAAAGUUGUUCCUAUCCGAAUUUAAGAAAUCAAAGCCUGCAAAAUAGAAAGUCGUGAGCACUUGGAAUGAAAUGAAAACAGCUCAAAUCAAGAUUAAAGGUUUAAUGAACCUGAAAGAAUCUUCCUCUCAUAAAAAUAAUAAUAAAUAUUUGAAAAAAAAAAAAAAAAAAGAACAAACCUGAAAGAAUCUCAUUGAUUUUCCCCUUGGGAUUCCCGUUUACGUAACCUUUGUAUAUCUCAUCAUUCACCUGUGAAGCACUAUUGCGCCACAAUUGUAGGCCUUGAACACAUGCAACUGGAUUCGAGAGCAAAGGAUGAUUAAACUCUCUUAAUUAUGACUCAAUUAUAGAUUCAUACACAUCCAUGUUGACCCACAAACAUAAAUCUUAAUCUUACAUAGUGAAUGGGAGACCUAGAAAGUUUGUAGAGGAUAGGUAGUCUAUGACAUACUACCUUUUUGUUUGCUUUCAAGAGAGUAUAGUGAAAGAGGAAUUGACAAUGUCGAGCCUGUCGCACACUGACGUUGCACAUAAUAUAAAGGAAGAUUUGAAAAGAAAGCGAAAUCAAUAUAAUUUUCUGUACCAGGCUUCGUUUCUGAUCCCUGAAACAUUAGACCACACAAUUACAGAGAAAGUGAAUGAUAUGGUUGCAUCGAACGUUGAAUAAACAAUGUAAAUUGGAGAGAAAACUGCAACAACAUUAGAAAUAUAGACCAGGAAAGAGAGAGAGACAGAAGUUGAUGGAGAAGAUAGCUUACCAUAACGUUAAGAGAUACAGCAUUCAGAGCAUCAGAAGAAUUCCAAAACAAAGAACUUGGGACCAUAUUUCCAGCCAGAACUACCCACAUGAGCAAAAUAACCUUCAUUACCAGUUAAAUUCAACAAAUCCAAUUGAAGCAGACAGCACAAAGAUAACUUCAACACCUUAGUUAAAAUGUACUUGGAAAAAAAAAUGGGUCAUACUAUUUCCAAGAGAGCGAUUCUUUCCAGUGAAAAGCAUAGUAACAGGACAUGACAUUGACUCCCUGCAUGAUUCAUUUGGCAAGUCUGUGUAUGGAGAAAAAUCUGUUCUCACAGCCCGGAAAUCAGGAGCAGGCAUUUGCAAUAUAGGAGCCCAUUGUGGAGGACUUGGAAUGGGGCAGGAUGAUGCUUGUAACGAACUUGAGUACUCUACCCCACAAACUUUCUCACAUUUACCGUCUCCAUUCGUAUCAACACAAGCACAACCACAUCUGAUAAACGGGUCAUCCAAGGUUCUAUCGACUAUUGUCUGAAUUACACCGAGCAAUGAACAGAGGAUGAAUGGGAAUAAAAUCAGACGAGAAUUUGUCCUCAAAUUUCGUUUCUGAGUGAAAAAAGAAGUAAAGUUUGACCAUAUUAGACAAAUGAGAUAUCAUUUCUUGUCUCUGGUCCCUUUUAUAUUAGCAAUAGUGAUUGAUUGCAAUGAUCAUAAUAUAAUAGGUAGAAAUAAAUAUGGAACUGGUGCAUGAAAAGAUUGAUUACUGUUAUAAAAUAUUUUGAGUCAAAUAAAAUACCUGUAUAUUGAUUUAAACAUAGAGUGAGAACUAUAUGUCCAUGAAUCAUUUAAUACUAACCAUAAAACAACUACACAAAUCAAAUCUAAUCUGAAAACUAAUGAUAUACUUCAAAAAAAAAAAAUCAUAACCAAAAACAACCAAAUAACAGUAUUUAUACCAUUUCACAAUUAGAUUUCAAAAUCUAGACAUACCCAGUAUAAAAAGAAAACAUCAAAAUUAAAUGAAUCAAAUCCAAAAGGAAAUGAAUGGAGAGUACCUGUAAGGAUUUCUUAAACAGAAGCUGCAAAGAGAAGGAAAGGGAAGGAGAAGAAAGACCUGGAAGGUUAAGUUUUUUCUGAGAAGACCAUUUGCUUGGGUCCAGAAGGUCGUGGCCCUCGUUGGUGUAUCCCCCAGGCGUUUGAAACCGGAAGUCUGCAUGGAGAAAACGAAAUUCCUUUUCCUUUACGUAACCCACAAGGAAAAUUCUACUACAAGAUUAUUGUUUUUCUUUUUCCUUUUUACUUUUUGAAACUUAGAAUUUCUCUUUGUUGUUAUUUAUGGUUAAAAAUAAAUCUAACUAACUUUCGCCCUUUUCUAACGUACAAUCUUUGGUUUACAUCACUUAAUCGAGCUCACAUUCUCUCUCUCUUAUUCUUACAUCAGAGAAUAUUUUGAUAUGAAACUUAGGUGAAUCAAAUAAAAUUUCAAUAAUCUUUUCAUUUUUAUAUCCCUUUCUUCAGCUAGGCUAGUCUAUAGAAUUACUAAUUUUACUCUUUACACAUUUAAAAUAUAAUCUAUAGAAAAAAAUUCACAAAUUUUGUACAGUACAUAUAUAUAAAAUCACACUGCCCAUACCCAUACUAUAGUAUUACAUCAACCUCAAAAAAAAAAAAAAAAGAGUCAAUAGACAAUUAAACAAUAUAUAUACUAAAAAAAUUAGACUAUGCCAAAAUUUAUUGGAACAUUUGUAAAAAUAGCAAAAAAAUUUAUUAUUAUAAUACUAAUGUCAUUACAUUUUCUAAAUAAUCGUUGAUAUAUCUAAUUACUUGUCAUAUUUACAAUACAAAAAUAAAAAUGUUAUGGACUACAUUUUUCUAAAUAUUUUUGUCAUCUGAUUCAAUUUUCUAAAUUUAUUCUCCUUCAUUGUAGUUAACUACUCAACGUAGAUACUAAUAAUGAUCACAAAAGUUGAUAGUUCAAUCUAUAAAAAAAAAUCAUUUAUCAACAUCACCAUCACCAUCAACGUUUCUCAUGGUCUAUUACUCUGGUUCCUAUGUGUAGUGGAAUGAGAAAUCACACCAAUCCAUCUAGAAUGCAAAAAAAUACCUCGACGCCAAGAUAAUAAAAAACUCAACACCUCUAAUUCUUAUUACUUUUCAAUAUCAAUACAAAAAACAUGAAAAAGUCAUCUUAUUCAAAACUACUACUCCCCCACUACUCUCACUUCACACAUUGGAACGCACUUUUCUUACAGAGUAACUAGAGAGAGGAAAGGCUCCUUUUCUGAGGGUACACCCAUGAACAGAUCAGUGAAGAUGGAGUGGAAUCUAUGGCUCAAAGGAUUAUAGCACGUGGUUACGAACCACGAUGUCGAGGUACAAAUCCCUCCUCAACCAAAAAGGGAAGGACUUUUCACCUGGGGUAGGAAAAUCAUAUUUGUAAAUUUGCAAAGCAUUUUAAAGAAAAUAUCAAAUCUGGUUAGAAGCGAUGGUGGAACAGUAAACAUUUCAAAGAGAGAAGAAUGGAAAGAAUCAAGUUCCAAUCCACUUGGUGAAUAUAUGCUACUUCCACUUUUUACUUUUUCACUCCAAAGAUAAAAAUCAACGAAAAUAUAUGAAUCAGAAUCAUAGAGUAAGCUGAGUGAAACCCAGUGAAGAACAGCAGAAAGUUAUUAUUUCUAGUAAAAGAAUGCUCAAGUAGAACUGCCAUGUUCAUCCAUGGAUGUAGUAGAUAAUGUGUUUGCAGUUUCCAUGGCAAGCAACUUUUAUCAGGAGUAGAGGCAAUAAGCAUUUGCAAAUUCACAAAAUAAUAUCCACGAGACCAACAUAAUUAAGGUGUCCAUUGAACAUAAUAAUCACAACAGAUACAGUAUAAACAACCUGUAAUAGAACAGAGUACCUUUAAAUAAUCUGUAAUUGCAGCAGCAUAAAAAACUCGGGGGGAAAAAACAGAAAACAAGAAAGAAAAAAACUUAAAACCUAUGAUGUACAUGCACUCAAACAACCAAGAUGAAAGGAUAAUCAGAUAAGACCAUAUUGGCCUCAGCAGCCCCUCCUUGAGCAGAAGAUGGACUCAGUCACUGAAUAGGUGAUGGCUGAUCACAAAUGUAUGAAUCAAAAAGCCUUCAGAUGAAAUUCACCCCUCAAUAGUUUUUGACAUCUGAGAACCCAAAUUUACCUUCUCCAGUCUGCUUGGAUUACCUUUCCUACAUAAAAUAUCAGAAAUAUGGUGUUUCAGCGGGAUGAAAAGACAAAUUAUUUUGGAUUCUUAAUGUUAUUUUCAAAUUGAUGCAAGGGAUUAGUGUUAAGAGGAAAUUACAUGUCUAUAUUCAUGUUAAAGAUUUAACAUUUAGAUUCAGAAGAUGAGGAGUAUUUAUUCAGUAUGAACGACAGAGUUGUAGGAUGAGGAAAAGUUAAUUCAUCUCUAACAGGUAAGGAUACAAACUCACUCAAAAGGAUCAUGAUGUGCACAUGCUGUCAGGCUAGUUUAACAUGGAUAUAAGAGAAAAUAAAGUUUAUAUUGAACAGAAGAAUGCUUACCAUUUCCAUCUCUUGAUCCCAGAAGUGCCUUGUCAUUUUUAUUUCCUCCUUUGCCACCCGCUUGAGUGAGUCUUUGUGUUCGUGGAGACUGUGAGCUAAUUUUAGCAUUAGUGGGCGACGGUAAAGAAUGACGUCGGUUGAGGUUACUUCUUUCACUAUCCUGUCCAAAUCUUGGAGAUCCUUGUGCUCUCAGUUUUGCCUUUGCAGAUUCAGUUGCUGCCAUGUAGCUAGGUAAGGUUGGACUGUGUUGCAACCCAUUCUCUACUCGCUCUUGCUUGGCUGGAGUAGAAGAUUUCCUACCAGAUUUCGGAUUCUCGUUGUUAGUAUAAUCUUCUUUGUGGUUCGAUUCCCCAUUUGGUAAUGGGCUGAUUUCAUCUUGAGGGUAGAUCUCUGUCAGAGGCUUAGUCUCCACGGCAGCCUCAUCUCCUGUAACGCUCUUAUCUAUGUUACUGCUCUCAAUCAAAGGUGGUGAAUCUACAACUGGAUCAGUAUUAGGUACAUUAAUGAUCUCUUUCGUUGGUAACUGUUCAGGCGUUGUCUCCAAAUCAGGCUGGACAGGAUUUGUUGAGAGUGCCUCGUUUUUCAUCUUCUCAGAAGAAUUACUAGUACCUCUUGCCAAAAGGUCACGGCUUAGACCAUUAGAAGCCUUCUCUAAACUUUCCUUGGGCUUCUCAGCAUCAACUUCUGUUUGGGCAGGAUUCUCAACGACGGGGCUAUGGACCUUUCUCAGACUACGCUUGACCUUUUCGAGCUCCAUCUGGGGAUUCUCCUGAACCUGCUCGGCAGCUGAAUGACUAGAGACCUUUCUAAAAUUCCGUUUAGGUUUCUCAAAUUCGCUAGAUGAUUGGACUGCAGUACUAUCAUUGUUUGCAUUGUUUGCUGAAGAAACUCUCCUUGUGCGCUUUGAUCUCACGGUAUGUGCCUCUCCUGUUUGACCAGUGCUCAGCCUUCUUUGAGUUUUAGACUCUGGGGCUUUUUUUACUUGGGGAAUUGGUUUCCAAAACCUAGAAUUGGACCAGCGUUCUAACCAUUUCAAGACUGAAUUUUCAUCUUCAGUAUCAAAAUAGAGUUGCAUAGGUUUUGAAGUUGUAGAUGAAGCAAGCUACAAGAACAAAUCACAAAUAGAAAUAGAAUCAUAUGAAGUGCAGAUUAAGAUAAGAAAAAGCAGCAAUUGUAAAUCUUUCAUGAAAAAAAAAUGGCAAACAAGCUUCUGAAGCUCCCCCCAAGCUCAAUAGUUAGGUAAUAGGCAUUGGAUGAGAAUCAAAUAUAUUUCUUAAAAAUAGCCAUAAAUUUUAUAAUCAUUCUCUACACUGGAAACUAUUUUCUGAUUAACAGAUCUCCAUGAACCAUGUAUACUGAAAACAAUGAACAUACAAAAAGAAAAGCUUUAAGACAGUAGGUUCAUGGGCCUCAAACAGAGAGACGAUAAAAGCAUAUCAAAUCAUACAAUUAUCACAUUCUAACAACAACCAUGAUGGUCACUGCAAGUGACUGCGGGAUACUAGGAAUAUCUUUCCUUCGAGCAUAGAAGAGUUCUACUCGAUGCUGAUUAAAGUGAUGUAGAACCAUGUCUGGAGAGUGAUGUAAUGGUAAACUUACCUUGAUAGUGAAAGCAUUUGCAGAAAGUUUUGCCAUUCGUGUAGAGAGACUUACUCCAGCAGGAUCCACUAAUGGUUGAUCCUGAUGUUGGAAAGAAUUGAAAAUGAUGAGAAAUUGGUAGAUUUGUCAACUACUUUUCUAAGUAACAAUUCUGACACUCACAAGAGAAUUACAAGGCGUCUGCCUAUUUUUGUAUGAAUGAGCUCACUUCAAAUAUGCAACUAUUGUCUGUUCUAAAGUCACUAGGGAAGUUUCUUUUCCAUAAAUAAAGUCCAUAUAUUUAUAUACAUAGCUCGAAAACAUGUACAGUGCAUCAAAUAUGGGAUUAAGAUGAUUGUUAACAUAAUGUGACAUUUAAACACCAAUAUGUUAGAUAAAGGUGUAUGUUUAAAAAUCAUAUGAGAAUCUGAGAUAUCAAAAUCAUUACAAAAGGAAUUGGAGAAAGUAGAAAACCAAAAGAAAUUGUGGAGGCAAUAUGAAAUAAUUCGGUUAAACUUGUACACAAAAUGGAUGUUGAUUACAGUAACAGCGUGCUUUUCUGAAGUACCUGUAUCUGCACUAAUCUACAUUUUUUCUGCACUUCGAGCCCUACAUCAGAAAGCCUCACGCUUCUUCCCCGAGCAAUAGCCUGGAACUUAACAAUUCCAAGCAUACAACAUAGAGUAGCAGCAGCCUGUCUCCUUACCAAAUGACCACGAAUAAGCGCCUGCAACCUAAUAAUACCUUUGAGGGCCCGGAAUGCACGGCGAGCCUUCAACCAAAAUUCGUGUCAGUAAAAUUCUCAGUCUAGACAAACGAAUGAAAAUAGACCAAACACAUUGUACAAGACAGCAUACAAGAAUAACAGUUAAGCCUCUUGUCUCUGUCAGUGAGAGAGAUAGAUUAUUUCAUCGAGUCCCAAUAAAGAAAGAAAAAAAAAGUCAUAAUAACACCUUAAGGCAGCUUGAACCUUGGUUUUCAGGUCCUUCGAACUUACCAAAUAACCCCUAAAAGCAGCCUGGGCCUUAGUUGCAGCCUCCUCCUCACGGAUUCUCUCAGGAUCAGAUGGUGCAUCUUGGCAGGUAGAUCCUUGAACUUCCGCAUCUUGAUUUCCUGGAAUUGAUAUUGAUCUUUCAUGCAACACAUUAGCUGCUUCAUUGUUGGUAAUUUUUGGCACCCCCUCAUUUGUAUCUAUGGUAUUUGGGGUUGGAUGUGAAGCUACAGGAUGACUAAUAACAGUAGUAGUUUCUGAUGCCUUGGCAGAAACCAAUACUUCUUUCUCAUUUCCAUUUCUCUACACAAUAUCAGGGAGAAAAGUAUUAAACAUUUGGUACUCCAAUUUAAUCAAUACUAUCUCUAUCAAAAAUACCCUGUCUGAAAAUCAUACUGUUCCUUUGCUGCCACUAAAAAUAUAUAGUUGCCGGAUGCAGCUGGUCACGCUAGAACCUUCGGUUUUCCUACACAAAUUGCUUACAUGUCUAUUCCAAGUACAGUCUAAGUUUCUCAUGCUACAUCUAUCAAAAACAGUAGACCAAAUAUUCUUACUGUUGUAAAUACAUUCAAACACCAAAUGAGUAACAGAUUCAGAGGCUACUUUACCAAAGAGAUCAUCAACAACGACAGGCUCAAUCUGCAGCCUUGAAUGAAACUGAAAGUACGUUGAUAAAAAGUGAAAGUUCAACUGAAGGACUUCAAGACACUAUCUAGCUAAAAGUUAUAAUUUCACUUCUAAUGUUCCAACGACCGUGCACAUAUUUGCAUGAUCCUAUUAGUAGAUAUGCUUGAUCUUCUGACAAGUACACUUUUUAUAAAAUGAGGCAGAGAUUAUAUGAAUGCUUUACAAUUGAGAUAUAGGCUCACAACAAAUACAACCAGACGGAUCCACAGAUUGAGUGUAUAUAGAAGAACCUUAAAGAAAAUUAGCGGUUAGAUACCUACAUUAUACUGAAAAACAUUUGUACAACAAUAAAUUCAAAAUCACCUCUCUGCCCUUAGAAAGACUAGAUUUCGAAGACUUCUUCCCAAACAAGAUGGUCUUGAGCCAUUUCCCUGGCGACUUCCCCAUUGCUGAAAGAUUGAGCUCUGCAAAGAUAGAAUCUUAGUGAAAAAUAGAAAUGUGGAGUCCCUAAAUAAAAAAUAUGAAACAUCAAACUCAAGUCAUUUAAUUUGAAUAAGAAAACUUCAAUUACGCACUCCAACUUCACAACAUUACCAAACUAAACAUAAUUGGUAGGUACUACAGCUAAUGUACAGUAAAUAUUCUACUAGAUCAUCCUUAGACUAACAUUCUCCCUCCCAUGAGCUACCACGUUCAAAGUAGCACAAACUAUUCAAUCCUCUCACAUUCCUAGUCAAUGAUCUUAGUUCACUUCACUGGCCCAGAAAGAAAUAUCACAGUGACUUCAAACAUUUCCAAGCAACAGAUCAAAGCAUCCAAAUCCAAAGUCUCAAAGGGUCCAAAUGCUUCAAGGACCCAUCACAGAACUCAAAACAAAACAAGUUGUCGGGAAAGAAAAACCAAGAAAACUCCACAAAUCACAAUCACAAAUGAUCAAUAUCAAACAAAACCCAAUUCGCAUAGAUCAAGACCACACACAAAAAACAACAUUCUAAGAAAACCCCAUGAAGAAAAACAACCAACCCAAGAAUCUAAAAAACCCUACCAACAAAAUCAAAAGUUUCAGUACCCAAGAAAGCAUCAGAUCUGAAACUUACCCACCUCACUCAAUACACCCACUUGAAAAGAAAAAAGAAAAAAGACCCUAUUCUACAUUCCUGAAAAGAAAAGAAAACCCCAAAGAAACAAGAUCAUCAUCUUACCCUGUAAACCAAAGUUGCAGCCUGCUGUAAGAAACAGCUGGAAAAACAAAGAGAGAUCUACCCAGUAGCCAAGAAAGUAAAAAAUAAAAAAUAAAAAAAAGAAACAAAUAAAAAAAUUCAAAAAAGGGAAGAAGGAGAGCAAGAAAGGAAAGGAAGCGCGAGAAUGAGAAAUGGGUAAAGAGAAAAGGAAGCUUACAAACUAGAAAAAACGUGAACUUGAAAGAUCCAUCAAUUUAAUUUUUUCUCAAAAUUUGCCCCUUUUUUUCUCUUUAGCUGCUGUGGAUUAGCUUUCUUUACUCUGCUCUCACUCUGACAUUGGUGAGUUCAAAAACAAUAAUAAAUUUUUAACCAAAACAACAAAAGAAAAAACCGCUACAGUCCGGCACUAGACCAUCAUAACACAGUGAGGAACAUUAACAUGAAGCGUUGGAUUGGAAUAAUUUAAUCCUGGUUUUGAACCAAGGGUUGAAAAAAAUAGAGAAACAGUUGGGUUUAAUAAAGAAUUGGGAGGUGAGAUGAGGUGAGUGGCCCCCAGGGGCAGUUACUUCGGAACCAAGUGUAGUGUAAGAAGAAGAGAAAGGGCUUCUUUAUUCGGAAGCAUAGGAGGGAUGGAGGGGAUGAGUACAUGAAAUUACGGAUUUAGGGUUUAUGAAGCGGUGCUUUGAAGAAGACGCGCGAGAAAAAGGAGAAAGAAGAGAGUAGGUGGUGGGUGAGGGUGAGGGUAGUGAAGGUCACAGACAUCGUACACGCCACGCGCGUGAUACUGCGCCGGAGGAUCUCGGGUUGUGCACGUGGAUGCUCGAGAGGCUUUCCAUGCGGGUCACGCUGGGAACCAACACCUACGCUCUUUUCAUUUCACUAAUCCUUAUUUUUUGUUAGUUUAUGAUUAAAACUUUAGAGUGUGACAUCACAUUCACUUACUAAUCAAAUACAUUUCCUACUUAUACUCUCAAUUAAUAUCUAAGUUUAACGUAAAACUACGUUAACAUAGUCCAUGUAUUAAACCUCCAAAUAUUUGUUACUUCUCUUUAAAUGUUUGAGAUUUCUGUAAUAAUAUAUAUGAAAAAUAAAAGCAAUAGGUUUCUCUUGUUAAAUUUCAUCUCCUUUAAUCCCUUUUCAUUUAUUAUCUAACUAUCUAACUACACCUUCAAAUUCACAUUCAUUUUACUUUAACUUCAAUUACUCUUCACUAUAACUAAGGUAGACAACUUACAUACUCUAUUCAAAAUAGAUAACCAUUCCAAUUUUGAUCAAUGAUAUACAUACAACUUCUACUUAGAUUCUAAAAAUAAUAAUUACAUUUUAAUUGUCUAUUUUCAAGAUUUUCAAACAUGGGUUUGGUUUUUUAAAACAUUCUCAAAAAGAAAACAAAUUAAAAUAAUAAUAAUAAGUCGGAGUGGUCUAAUAGGCUUAUUUAGAGGGGGAAAAAAUGAAAUAAAGUUGCAAGAAUUCAAUAAAAUCAACACAAUUUAAAGGAAAAAAUGGUAUAAAUUUUAAUUUGAUAAUUGUCUAGUAGUCUUGUUGAGUAAUUAAGGUUGGACAUAAUAGUAUAAUACCAUUCUUUCAUAUGAUUUGUUCAAUACACAAAAUUGAGAUGUAUUUUCUUUCUUUGCUUAUCACUAUUAUUGUUUUGAAAAAUUGAAUGUAUAGUAUAAUGGUAGCUGUGGGGGCAAGAUUCUAUAUUAUUAUUAUAUGAUGAUGAAGGAUUGAAUGUUAGUUGGCAAAGACACCAAAAGGCAUUGAAAAAAUUAUAAUAACCUAAAUGGGGUGUUGGUUGCAACUCAAUAAUACAAAUAAGAGAAAUGAAAUGGUUGUUUUGGUUGGUGGGAAAUUCUAUAUUUAUAAAAUAUAAUUAAUAUAACCCAAUGUGUAGCUUUUUUUUAAUUGCAUGGGGUCCUUUUUUGUGGAGUAUUUUGUACAUUGCCAAAAUAAUAAUAAAGAGAGUGUUGUUAUUAUUAUUGGUUGAUAGUAAUUAAUCAUUGUAAUUAUAUAUUAAAUGUAUGUGUAAUGCAACAUUAAAGAAUGUCGAGACAACCUAAAUUUAGAUAAGUGAAUACAUCUCAUCCAAGUAUAAUACAACUUUACAAUACCAUUUUUUUUAUAUAUAUAUAAAGUGAUUGAACAAAUUAUAGUCAAGCUCUAGCUAUCUCAUUGAUCGCAAUCGUUUGACUAAAUAAAGUUGUGUGUUUGAAAGAUUCGUAAUGCUUAAAAGAAAAUCGCAUAAUUUACAAAGAUUCUUCGUUAUCUUUUGUUUUUCAUGAUCGAUGGGGUUUCAAAAUUUAUAAGUGCACACGUUUGAGUUACUAGAAAAAGAAAUCAUUACUUUUUUUAAAAUAAUUUUAGGUAUAAUAAUCAAAUAUAUGUAACAUUUUUUAAAAGUUAAAAAUAACAUAGUCCAUUUUCUGCAAUACGGUAUAUCAAUAAUAAAUUUGAAGAUUUUUUACUAUAUUUAUAAUUUUUUUAAUAUAUCGAAUAUGACAAAAUUAGUGGUAUUAGACGAUAAUUAUAGGACUACUUUUGUAAUUUAGAAAACGUAUUUGAAAUGAGUUAUAUUAUAUAAAAAAUUAUAAUAUUUUAAACGUGUUUGUGAUAUUUAAUGAAAUACAGAAAUUGAGAUAAAUUAAAUUGAGAAGGAAAAGAAUAAUAAUGUGGAGUGGAAAAAUUGAAAAAAUGAAAAAAAGAAAGAGAUUUAUUUAAUAAAAUUAAAGUAAAAGGGGAAAUUAAUAAUUGAAUAAUAAAGUGCUUUUUAGAAAAGAAAGAGAGUGAUUUAAUGGAAUUAAAAAUAUGUGUUUUAAGUAUAAACAUUCUUUUGGUUGGGAAAAAAAGAAAAAGAAAGAGAAAGAGAAGUGAAAGAAAGCGUUAAGGAGUGUGAGUGCAGAAAUUAGAACGUGGAUUGUCAGCUUCUGUCGGCUAACGUAAGCAUCUCUAUCUUAUCCUCCACUCCUUUUGGCCCAACUCCCCCCCAAGGCCCACUGGGCCCAUUCCCUCCCCCCUCGUGCUUUUCACGUGAUCCUAUUUAUUAUCUUCCCCCAUUUUUAUUUUCUAUUUACAAAUAUUGUCAUUAGUUUAUCCAAUUUUUUUAUUUUUGGAAAAGCAUAUUUUAUUAAAUAAGUGAAAAUAUACUUUUUCUAGUAAUGCAAAAAAUUUGUUUAUGGUCAACACUUCUCAUAAAAAUAAAAAUUGAAAUCAGAAGGAAAAUUGCAUGGGAAAAACACUAAAUAUUUUUAACAUAAAAUAUAUAUUUAAAAGGAAUAAUGGUUUUAAAAUUAUAAGAUAUAUUAAAUAAUUAUUAUUAUUAAUUUUCAACUCAAACAUAGUUAUAAAGCAUUUUCAAUACUAGUUACCUUGACUAAUCUAUUAAAACGAUUCAUCUAAUUUUAUAAAAUUUGACCUCUUAAUCUUUUAUCGAGACUAUGUUUAGAAUACAGACUUAUUUAGGAUUGUGUUGGCGAAUUAGGAGUUUGACGUAAAUUGACAUAUAUUUAUUAGUUUUAAAAUUUUAUUUGCAUAUUUCAUUAUCAAUGCCUAAAAACGAAACCAAAACUUUAAGUAAAAGUGGAAAGUAAAAGAAAACAAACAAAUGAAGUUAAGAUGUCAAAAUGGCAACACCGACACUUAGAAUUCUACUUUAUAUUAAAUUAUUGGAAAAUCUGAAAACACAACCAAACAAAAGUAAAUUUUCAUUUUAGAAUUCACAUAACAUAUGAUUUCGAAUCAAAAAGAAAAGGAGGAAUUAAUAAAUUAACAUAAGGUUGGUUGAAAUGUCACUGUCCUAAGUCCAAACCAUAUUAUAAAUUUCAGCUAUAUUAUUAAUUUGUAUAAGACAACACAACCAAACUUUUGGAGAUCGCCAACAAUCCAAAACAUAGCUUUUGUGUUUCCAACUUUUCUUUUGUUUAUAGAGAUUCCAUGGUUUAGUAGACGGCACUUCGAUUACCAAUCUUAAAAUAGAUGGUUUUGAUUCAUCAUAUCACAGUUCUUAUACUUUAUAUGAACAAAAAAAACUAUAAAAUCUCUUAACUGACUUAUCGAUGUUGAAUUUUGUCGAAGGAACACUUUGCACGAUGAUGUGUUUUGUACUAAGCUAUAUAGGUAGUGAUCAAUUCACCUAAUUUCUUAAGAAAGUGGACAAAUAUAUAUACCUUUAAUUUUAAUACAAGCAAGAGCUAAGCUUGUUGUAGAUGAUGAUCUAAAUAUAUAUUCAAACCUUAUAAACGUAGUUAUGUCAAAAUAGUUAAUGGAGACGAAAGACGAAUUGGAGAACUAUAUUAUUAUUAGGUGAUUUGAUUUAAUCCAGGCUCAAAAUAAUUUAUAUAUCAUGAAUUUAUAAAGACAUUCUAAAAGGGCUAACUUCUCUAGUCCUAAUAAUUACUAAUUAAAUAACAAAAAUCAUGUUACAUGAUUGUUUAUUUAUAUCAAAAAAUAUAUAUAUAUAUAUACACCAGCUGCCACAUUACUUGAUAUUGUUAUAAGAUGGGAUGUAAUUGAAAAAUAAUAAGAUUACAUUAAAACUUUGGUUAUAUAAUUUCUCUACUCAUUAUGGAUUUUAAGUAUAUAAAAGGAAAGAAUACAACAUAAUUGGCCAAUGAGUACUUUCCCACCUAAUUGAAAGUCUCCUCAUGUUGCUGCAAUAAUUUUAAGAAAACAAUAUAAGUACCAAUAUCAUUAAUAUUAAUGUAGUUAGUUUUUCAACGAAAAUGGAUAGGUAAAUGUUUAAACUAAUCUCAGCUAAUGAUAGAAAAUGAAUCGUUAAUAUCAUUAGUGGGUCGGUUUGGAUCAAUUUGAACCUUUGAAAUUUUUUACAAAUGGUUGUCGAUUAGGAUUUUUUCCAUACGAUCAAGGACUAAUCAGUAUUUUUACUUGUUAAUCUAUUUAAUUAUUGGAUACAUGAACUUAUACUUGAUAAUACAUCCCAAACAUGUUUCAAAUUAUCCAAAAUAUUAGAGAGGGAGUGAGACAGUGAGUAAAUUGAACUUUUUUACUGUGCAAAAGUUGUAAGAAAAUGGUGAGUAAUGAAAGGUUAAUUCAAUUUUAUUUAUUUCACAAAUCAAUAAAACUCAAAUUGAUUGGGAUAAUCCAAAUAACCACAAAAAAUUAUGAAAAAGAUCAAAGAGGAAACAAGUGAUUUAUAAUGAAGUGAGGAUUAAGAAGGAUGAAUAUAAUUUACAUUUACAAAGACUUUGAUUAGAAUUACAAUUAAGAAUUGCUUCCAAUUCCAAUCAUCUCUAAAACAAAUUCCACAAAUGUUAACACAUAAAUGACUAAACAUUAACAAAAUGUAUCAUUUCCCACUGCCUAAUGAUCCUAAUCCCCUAUUAAUCAACAACUUAAUUAAUUUCACUUUAAACAUAUUUAUUAAUUUACACUUUUGUAUUACCAAAAAGAAAAAAAUUUCCUAAAACCCAACAGAAAUCCAAUCAAUCAAAUUAAUUGGUAAGAUCAAUAUGAUCACCUGGAGAAGCCGAAGCACUUUUCGAAUUCGAAAACGGCAACGAAUUUGUUGGAACAAACACCAUAUUCCCCGUUGGUGGUGAAUUACUUGUGGUGGUCGUCGUUGUCGUAAUGUUGUUCAAAAAGCUUGUCCCACAUCCAUUUCCUUUAUUUGUAGUAGCUGCCGUCGUCAUCAAUUGAAACAAUGAUUGUUCGCCUCUUCCUGACAAUGACUUGGUGAGUCCAGCACUUGCACUAGCACCCCCGGUGCCAAUGAUCGAUGUAAGAGCGGCAGCGAGAGCAGAUUGAAAGCUCGGAUCGGCCGUGAUGGCCUUGGUAGCGGCAGCAAUGGUGUCAGGUAAAGGUGGUUGUUGAUGUUGUAGUGAUGUGGUGGGGUUUCGUUGUUGUUGUUGGAUGUAGUUUUGGUAGAUAUUGUUGGCCGUUGUAGUAGUAGUAGUAGGGUGGUUAUUUCUGUUGUAACUAAGAAGACCGUUAUUCCAUGAUAACACGUUGUUUCUAGAAGAUCCAAAAUCGAGUUGUCCAGUAAAAGGGUAACGAGAAUUGGGAAAAUUAGAUGUGAAUUUACCAAAAUGGGUUGAGGAACUUGAAGGAGAGGAAGAAGGAUUUGAAGUGAGGUCUAAAGUGAUUGUGGGGUGAGUUGGGGAAGUGGAUGAAAUUAUAGAGGAGUUACUGUUGGGUAAGUAAAAAUUGGGUUUAGAAUUAUUUGGGUAAAAGUUUAGGCCAUGGAGACUAUUCGAGGCGGUGGACGAGGAGGAGGCCGCCGUUGCGGAGGUGGUGGAGCCAGAGAGGAGCAUGGAGGCAGCAGCAGAGGUGGUGGAGGCCAUGGCGUUGGCGGAGGCAGGUAAUGGAUGGUUAUGAUUACCUUCAUAGGUGGUAAUCAAAAUCGACAUGUCGUCAGCGCAUCUUUGGACUUGUUUUCUUACAGGACAUGUUGGCGAACCUGUGCAACGAUAAUAUGCUCGUGGACAUGGAUUUCCUUUUGCUAUCUUUUGCCCAUAUUUUCUCCAUUGACAACCAUCGUUCAUCUGCAUCAAUUAUUAUGAAAAGUCAAACUUUUGAAAUAAUUAAAUAAAUAAUAAAAACUAAUAACUAAAAUUAAAAUACAUAUUUUCUGACUUUUUAACUUGCGGGUUACUAAAUAUUGUUAUAAACGGCGGCCUAAAGCCGGGAUGCAUGUCAAAUAAAUCAUGACCUAUUAUGAAAUAAUCAAACCUCAAUUUAAUUAGCCUAGAUACGUCAAAUUAAUACAAAUUAAGGACUAAAUUUAUAAAAAAUAAUAACUUAACAAAAAUUUGGAAGAUAUAAAGAUUAAGUUAUAAUAAGACCAAAUCAUAAGAGCACUAAAUUGAAAAUCAAUACAUUGAUACAAAUUUAAUGUUAACAAUAUAAUAUAACAGUACUAACCGUGGCGGUUUCACAUCGGGCUCUAACGCAAACUCUAGCACGUUUGGGUGGAUUCUGCGGUGUAACAUCAUCUUCAACACUUCUCAUUGUCUUCCCACCUUUAGAUGGCCAAUUUGUCUCUCCAGCUUCUUCCUUCGUCGACUCAUGAUCAAAACUAUUUGGAGAAUCGACUUCUUUAGCGACGGCCAUCAUUGAUUCUUCCCGUUCAAAUUUGCAGUUCAAACCGAGAGAUAAAGCCUCUUUACAGGCGGCUUCUUCGUUGUGGUCACCACCGAUGAUAUUCAUACAGCUUUUCUCAUCGACUAUUUUUUUCUUCUCCGACACCGGAAAUCUCCCCAGAGAAAGUGAAACCAGCUCGAUUUGAUCGUCAUCGUGUUGUUGUUGUUGUUGUUCCUUAUUCACGUCGUUGUCUUCGUCUUGUACUUUCUUACAGUCUCGUCCAACAAUCCCCAGGAAUUGCAUUUUCAAAGCUUCAUAAUCCUUCAUGAUUUGGGUUAAGCUCUGCUUUAGUCUUUGGUUUUCUUCUCUUACUUCCCCCAUUUCUGCUCGAGCAGAUUCCAAUUGAUCUUCCUGAUCAACCAAACAAAAUAAUAUUAACUUUUAUAUAUUUAUCUAAAAGCUAAAUAUUAUAUUUUAAUUUUUCACUCAAAAAAAUCUUUCAUGGAGUUGAAAUGAUCUUUUUUAGAAAAAAAUUAUUAAAAUUACUUUAAAUUGUUUUUUUACAAAAUUUGAUCCGAAUAAUUUUUUUUUUCAAAAAUAAAAAAAUUAACAAACUAUUAGGUAAUUAUUUUGUCUUAUAUUUUUGACAAUUUUUUUAAUUAAAAUAUUAUUAAAAGCAUGUUUGCAAGAAUUAAAAUUUAACUUUGUUCAAUUUAAUUAUCAUCAAUUACAUAUAAAUAUCUAGUAAAUGGAUCAAAAUUCUAAGAGCCAAAUUUUUAGUUUGAAAAAAAAAAUAUAUGGAUUAUGGUAAAUUGUGGUUGAUUGUUGUUUUAAAUUUGUUAUCGAAGCUUUAAUCUUCAUUUUUGGACAUUUAAAUACUAAUAUUAAUUGUAAUCUACAAAGAAAUGGAAUCUUAUACCACGUGAUUAAUAAAUUAAAUAGCUACAAAUUUAAUUAUUUAAUUGUGGAUUGAUUUAAUUUGUUACCCUUUGUUUAUUUAUUAUAAGAAGAAAUUAAAAUCUCAAAGUCUGAGAUAUAAAUAUUAACUAUUCCCAAUUGGUGAUUAUUGUAAGAAUAAUUAGGGGUAGAUGAGAUGAGAUCUUUUUACUUUUUUUUUAAUCUCAUAUGUAUAUUUGACCGUUUUAAUUAAUUAAGUAGUAAUAAUAAUAAUAAAUCGAAAAUAUAUAUUACAGAAAACUUUUAUGUAAAAUAUUAUCAAUUUUUCUUAUAAAAAUAGGAAGAAAAAAAACUAUCCCAGUCUUUGUUCUUUGUUUAUACAUAAUGAUUUAUAUAGGCUGAAUUAAACUUGAAAUGAAACAAAAGAGAAAUUAAGCCAACCUGCAGUUUGAUGCAGCUCAAAUCCUUUUGAUCAGAUGAACAACUUGUUUUAUCUUCAGUAGUAUCAUGUUCUUGUUUUGCAUGGUUGUUCCCUCUCUGAACGAACAAACGAAGUAUUAGAAAUUUCGACUAUAAUUUUCCAUAAAAGGAAAAACUGUCUACUUUGAGUUGAAAAUGCGAGAUCUAUCUAUCUAUAAAUAUAUAUAUAUAUAUAUACCUUAACGAGGAGAAGUUGUUGUUGUUGUUUAGAGGGAGAACUCCGAUCGUUGUCACUAAGGUCGCGAAGGGGAGGUUUCUCGGUCUUGACGACAGGCCUUGGACGGCCAAAAGCAGCAGCAGCGUCCAUGGGAAGAAAUAAUAUCCGUAGUCUUCUUAGUUUUUUGGCUUGAAAAGGGGGGUUUUCCUAAUUGAAUGAAGUCUAUGGGAGUUGUAGAGAAGAUAUAUAUAAAGGGAAAUGAAAGAGCAAUAGGGAAGAGGUUUAUUAUUUUGACUUAGCCAUAUACCACAUUUUUUUGCCAAUCACAUCUCUAAUUUUUGGGGUUUCAUAUUUUCAACGCACCCCCUUUUCUUCUUUAAAUGUCAAACCCCCCCAUUUCAAAGCCCUCAACUUGCAAAUAUAUAUAUAUAUAUAUAUAAUUUCAUAUUAUAGGACGUAGAGAAAGACUUUGUUUUUAAUUCACUAUUAAAUAUUUUGAUAAUCAAAACCUAAACAACCUCUCUACAAAGAAUUCAAACGUCAACUCUUUGGAUAAAAUGUACCCAACAACAAGUCUCUCUAUUCUCUAUUCCUUUUUUUCUUCUUUCUUUUUUAUAGUCCAUAUAUUUUUCCCCUUUUCUUAUUCGACAAGCUAAAGACGACGACGACGACUAUUUAUGCCCCAGUUUUAGUUAUUAUUGAAAGUUGUGUUAUGUUUAUUCAAUCUUUCAAUUCCAAAAUGUGUCCACCUAGUAAGUAUACUAAUAAACUUUCAACUAUUAGAACGACUCUUACAUUUAAAUUACAAAAUUUAAGAAAUUUAGUAAAUACAAUGUUCAAAAUCAAACCCUAUCGUACACAAAAUUAGAAAAAUAAAUAACUAUUAUUAAAUGUAAUGUUUUGGAACUUCAAGAUUAAGAUUAUAGACUUGACAAAAAACCUACGUCGUCAUUUAUUGUAAUACAAAGUCGCGCCUUCGAGAAUGCGUGAAUCACAUCUCUUUAUAACAAUUUAAUUCGUACAAGAUAUUUUCGACAUUAUAUUAGUCAUCAUAUGUAUCAAACUUUAAAAGCAAAAUUACGUCAAUUAUCAAAUACAUAUAUACAUACAUAUAUGUCAAACACACAAGUGAAAGAGUGAGUGUUAGAUGAUGUAAAUAUCCGCUUAAGCUCUUAGGAAUCAAAGGUCAAUAAUGCAACAAUAUAAUAUAAUCUAUAUUCACUAACUAGUAAUUAGGGAAGCUAUUUCAAUACAUACAAUAGUUGUAGAUAAUGUGUGUAUAUAUAUAUAUAUAUGAGUAUAUUCACAAAGUAAAUGGUUGAAUUAUAGUUUUUGGAAUAGUGAAUUGAAAAUUGAUUUGUUUUGUGAAGAAGAGAGAAGAGGGUGGAAGUUUCGUACGUAAAAAAAUCAAAAUACAGCACUUUAAUAAUGAAUAAUAGAGAAGUGAGAUUGAGAAGUGGAUUUUUUUAAAAUUAAAGGGUCAAAUGUGGGAUAUAGAUUAAGAUUAGCCACCGGCGUGCUACCGUCGUCCACCUCAUUCCUUUUCUUUCUACAUUUACAAAAUUUAUUAACGGUAAAGUCAAAUUUUGAGUAUGGAUUUAAUUAAGAACCUCUCUCAUUGGUCCCUUCAUUUGACUUUUAUUACUUUUUUUUUAUCAUAAUGACACAUCAAAUGCUGACAUGUACACCAACUUGUUGCUUCCCUUCCACCCUGGCAUUUCAAAAUCAAAUAAAAAAUCACAGUCCAAUUGUCGUAAAUAGAAAAUUUUACAAAACAUUUAUCGAAGUUCGUAAAAAUGACAAAAAUAAAAAUUAUGAUAAUAGAGCUCAUGUCACUUACAAUUUUAAUAGCGGAUCAUUGUCUUGAUUUGUUAAAUUAUGCUUCUAUUAGUGAUUAAGAGAUAGAAUUCAAAAUUUACUAUAACUUGUAAAUAUUUUAAUUUAUUUUAAUAUUUUUGAAAAUUAUCCUUUUUUAUAAUAUAAUUAUUAUCGUCGUAAUUUUAUCUUCUAAUUUUUUAAUUUACUUUCAUUAAUUUGUUUAUAAGUUUCAAAUUUUUAUUAAUUAAAUUUGUUUUGUGUCAUAUUAAAAUUAAUCGUCUAUACGUUCACUUUAUAAUUAUUGAAAGUUAACCAUAAGAAUUAAAGUCGAGAAUAAAAGUAUAAAGUCCAUAAAUUCAACCACGAAAUGAAAGCUAAUUAAACUAUAAAAUUGAAGAUAAAUAUAUAAUAGUUUGAAAUUUAUGAACAAGCAAUGACUAAAUUUAAAAAAACAAAAGAAAGAGUUUUUUUUUUUUUUUUCUUCGUAUUAUUGUUAUAAGCAAUUUUCUCAAAUUUCAGUCAUUUUCAUUGAAAAAGAAUAUUAUUAGUCUCCUCUCUCUUUAUUAUUAUUUUUCUUUUUUUAGGUAAUCUUAGAAAGAAUAAAAAUGAAAAAGAAGAAUAUUCGGAGAGACCGAAUUAUAUAUGAAAAUUUCAAUGGCAUUUUCGUAAAUUAACAUUUAAUUUUUCUCUUCCAAGAAAAAUAAAUUUAAUUUCAACGUAUGUAGAGAGAACAUGCAUGCAAAAUUUGUAAGAAUUUCUUUUUUUUUUUUAAGUAAUUUUAUUACAACUUUAAUUAUAUUAAAGGCACACUAUAUUAUAUAAUUAAUUGUAUAAAUAUCAAAGUGAACACAUGAAUAACAUUAUUUGAGCUUAAAGUUAGAGCUUUUGACUUUAAAAUUAAGGCCAACUAGCUUAACAUUUACUUUCUUGUUUCUUCCUUUAUAUAGCUGUGUUACCAAAUGAAUUGAGAAGACUUUUCAUUCAUCAAACAUAUCUAUGUGAGUUGUACACAUCAAUCACAUUCAUAUAUCUAUAAACUAUAAUCUAUAUUAUUAUUAUUAUCAUCAUAUAUAUAUAUACUUUCCAUUUCAUUUCACAUUUUCUUUCUCUUUAUCUUUUUUUUAUAUUGUAUUUGCAAGGCAUGUUUGUUAAAUGUAUGAAAUAUAAUUGAGUUGUGACUCGUUUAUAACUAUUUAGUGAUGUUUUUCACUCAAUUAACAAUUUCAUUUUAUAUGUUAUAUGAUGUAGAGAUUGUGUAAUGAAUUAAAUAUGCUUAAUUGCUAUUUUGUAUGCAUGACUCGCAUUUAGGAAUUAAUUAUAAGUAAGUUCAAUGUUGACGUUUUUCUCGUUAACAAAGACUAAUGUUCUUGUAGUGGUAUUUGAUCAAUAUCGAUAUUGAUGUUAAACGAGUCAUAUAACAUACCUUUCGCUUUGUAUGUAAUUUUAUGAUAUAUAUUAACAACGACAUAACACAUGAUCUACAUAUAUAAAUGCUUAAAAUUUGUUAAAUGUUUAUGCGUGGAAUUAUUUGAGUUGCGAAAACACAUGGAAGAAACACAAUAAAUAAAUAAAUAAAUAAAUGAAAUUAAUUGAAGUGGGCUGUCAAAGUUCAAUGAUUUAGGUCAAAUUCAUACACUAAGUUAGACUUUAUGGAAGAAAUGAGUGAAUACUUUUAAGAAUAUAUAUUUAUAAAACCUAGAGAGCCCUUUUUUUCCAAUUACUACAAUAUAAAAUUAUUAUUUCCAAUUUCAACUUUACUCAAAUAAAAACAAAAUUAAAUAUAUAUUUUUUUCAACAUCACCACUUAAUUGGUUCCAUUAACCUUAGUUAAAACCCAAACAAAAUUAAUUAAAAUUUCAAAUGGUAUGGAUAGCAAAUAUGUGUCUUUCUUUUUUCCUCCAUUCAUAUAAAUAAUAUUUUGAUUAGGUCAAUUUAAUACGUCCAUGUUUAUCUUUUCAUUUUGACAUGCUUCCUUUUUCAAUGGUUGGUUCAAAAUAUUAUUCUAAAUAUUAAGAAAAAUGUAUAUAUAUAGAGAAAAAAUGUCAAAACUUUGGAUAGCCGAAAUUUAUGCAACUACCUAGCUAAAUCCUAUAUAUAUAUAUUUAUUUUAUAAAUUGUGUUUUACCACAAGGUAUUUAAUUUGAUUUAUUUUCAUUUUUUUAAUAUGGUCGAGUUAGAGAGAUUGGAUAUUUCAAGGCAUCCUACUCACGUCAAUACAUACAUUAUAUAAAUAUGUAUAAUAUAGUUUAAUAUAAAUUGAUGUGUUACUAGAAAUUACAUCAUAUCUUUAAUAUACCUUUAGAUUGUCUUACUUUAGCAAAUUGCUUAGUUUAAUAAGAACAUGAUCUAAUACAAAUACAUUAAAAUAAUUAAUGGUCAAUACCCGUCAUAUUUUUAUUAUCAAUCGGUCAUGCAAACUACGAACUCUAUAUUAUAUAUAUACCAUAUAGUUUAUAUUUUAAUACUAAUGAAUCAAUCAACUCUAUUUCAAAGUCAUUGUAUUUAAAUAUUCAUGAAAACAAAAUUAAAGUUGAAAUCGUACACUUACAUACCCUCUUUUAAUUAAAUAUGGUUCUUCCUCCAAGAUUUUCUUAAUUAUCGUCAUUUAACUAUUUAAUUAAUCACUAGUUGCCAUUACAUUAGAUUUUCUUUCUUCGUUUUAAAAUUGACUAAAAAAAAAGAAGAAAGAAUUAAUUUAGGUUUAGAAUUGAUUUAACAAAUUGGUAGUGAUAAUUAAAUUAUAGCAAUCGCUAUUUUGGUAAUUACUUCAAAUUAAUCAAUCUUAAUUAAAGUUGACACUUACAAUUUCAUCAUGUUGACUUUGAUCGAGUAAUUGUUUAAUUUAACCAUAUAUUCAAUCUUAAUUUUUUUUAUUAUACAAAAUUCAAUAACAAAAUUAAAACCUUACGUACGCUAUGAAAUUUUGAUCGUCUAAUUAACCUAAUUGAGUACAAUUCAACAAUAUGUUAAUACUCAUCCUCGCGCGACGACGUGGUUAUAUAUAAUAACAAUAAUAUAUACUAAAAUUAAAUGUUAAAAGUAGCUAAUUAAUUUUUGAAAGGAGACAAGUCUUAUCUCUAUGCUUUAUUUUUAGAUUCAUAUCAUCACAUGCACACGUCAUAAACCCUAAUAACUAAGAAAUUAAAUGAGAAAUAAGAUUGAAGAAUAAUAAAAUUGAAAAGAAAUUCAAAGUUAAUAAUCAACUUGGGUAUUUUAUUACACACCAAUUGGUCUUUUCUUUUGUCUCAAUGCUGACCCUGGCCCCUUGGAGGGGGUUUUAAGCCAACUUCAAUUCAAUUAUUGACAAAAUUAAAACACUUGUAUUUUAAUUAAUACAUACCAAAUGUAAUUAAUUGAAAGAAAAAAAAAAAAAACUAUAUAGAGUUGAAAAUUAAAUUGUUUUUCUUUUCUUCUUCUUAUAAGUACUGCUGGAAUCCCUACAUAUUGUGAAUGAAUGGGUCUUGGAAUAUCCUUACAUGAUUUGCAAUUUGAUUUUUCUUUAAUUGAAUAAUGCAAAUCAUACGUGUAUAUAAGAACGAUAAGUAUAGUAACGAUAAAUAAUUAAUUUGAAUUUCUUUUGUUAGAUUGAUGAAUCGUUCAAAUUUAGCUUUCGAAUUUGGGUGUUGAUAUGGUUUUUUUUUUCUUUCCCUUUUGUAAUAAAUAUAGGACAAAGUAUUAAUGGUCUAUAGAGUGGAAAAGUUGAUGAAAUGAGGUUAAGAAAUGACUUUAUGGAAAAGUUAUAAUUUAAGAAAAAAAGUCACAAAGGCAGCCAAGGUGUUAAAUUUUUUUAAUUUUUUUUAUAGAACGUGAAGAGAGAAGAAAAUAAAAGAAAAAUUAUAUAUAUUUUAAACUUUUUUUUCCCUUUAAAAAUAUGUUUUUUGUUUGAUUAAUUUAAACUUUAAGUUGGAAGAAAAAUAGAAGUAUUAAUUAAAAGAAACUCUUGGGACAUGAAAAAGGCCAAAACUUAAAAGUAGUUGAAAUUGUGAAUUGACCAACUUGGAUUUUUUAGAUAAAUAAUAAGAAAACUUCUUCUAAGAAAAAAAAUUAUAAUUAAAUUUUUAUUCACUGACAUCAAACAUAAAAAUGGUAUCGAUUAAACUUCUAAAAUAUUGUUGAUAUAACGAUAAUUUAUAUCAUUUAAUAUUGUUUUUGAAAGUAGUAGAGUUGAUAUGUGGAUGAUUCUAAAAGACAAUAGAAGAAAAUUCUAUUGAGAGAGUCUAAAUUAAUUGUGAGUCUCACUAGAGUGUUUUUCGAAGAAAAUUUAAAUUGAAGUAUUUUCUUAAAUAAUAAAAAUAGCAUAUGUACAAACGACUUAAUAACAAACAAAUAUUUUAACAGUUGUGUGUUACACAAUAAUCGUGGCUAACUAGGAACUAUUUCGUUUAGAUACUAUUUUGAUUUUGUUAUUAUUUCUAUACUUUUAAAAAGUGAUUAUUUUUUUUCAUUUGUUUUUAUUUAUAUUCCAUUUUGAUGGACUAAAAUUGUUGCUUUUUAAAAGUAUAUGUAGACUAUAAUUCAAAGUUGAAAUAUAAUUAAAACGAAUCAAUGUUGUAAGUCCAGUGGCCUGAAAUAAACAUACUAGUAUUUGAAUUAUAUCAUUUCUUUACACUUUGUUUGACCAAAAUUUAAAUUACUACGGUUGAUUGGUAAAAUAAAAUAUUUUAAAUGGAUCAAACACAACUCAACUAGCUAGUUAAGAUACUUUUACAUUUUACGAACAAAUUAAAUGUUUAAAUUUAUGCUAUUAUUACUACGUACCAAUGAACUAAAAAAACGAUAUUGAAAUUAAAUAAACUAUGCUCAUAAUACCAUACUUAAUUCCCCUACCCUUAUUUUUAGAGUAGGAUAGAUAAGACACACUCAUUGUCUUGAUGAGAUUUUAUGUUUGUUGUAGGCUCAACUUUUAUUAGUAUAUACAUGUUACACUUUUUUUCAUUGAAAUACUAACAAGUAAAAUAGAAAAACAAAUGUUAAAUAGUCUUACGAAAAUCGCAGCUUAUUAAAAGUUUUGUUGACACGUUUUAGAUUUAUCGGAUAUUUUGUUAAUUUCUUGAAGUGAUUACGAUUUAGGGAGAGGGGAUUCAAUUGUGCAAUCGUCAUUGGUGGGUGAUGUCUUACCAUAGUUGAUGGCAUUACUCAUUGGGCAAUGGAUGGGGUGGAUUCUCAUUUAGGUGAAAUUGUUUCACUGAUACAACGUUAUGCUUUCAACUCUAUGAAGUAAAACAACUAGGAAAAAGGAAAAAAAAAACAAAUGGUUAGUAAUUUUGAAAUGAAUUUUCUUUUUCAUUUUGGUCCAAUCCAUUCUAACCCAUUCACUGUUAGCCCAAAAUUUUGGAGGUCCAACCCAAAACACAUCCAUCAUUCAUCACAGAAUACUAUAGUUAGUUGUUCAUCCAAGCUAUACUUGGUCACCUAUACUUUUUGUAUAUCUAAGUUAUUCAUGUAUUCUACAAUCGUAAAUUUUUGGUAUUCAUAUAAUCCACCUCCUACUUAUCGUUUAUCUAUAUAAAAAGAGACUUUUAGAAGAUCUUCUCUAUAAUUUUACUACAUAUUUUGUUUUGAAUGAAUGAAUUUUUAUUAACUAGAUAGAUUGGAUUUAGUUUGUGAUUUGUUGGAUGUCCUAAAAAUAGGAUUUGUGAGUGUAUUGGAUGAUUUCAAGUCACACACGUAUUUGUAGGAGAAAGAUAAGACUAGUGACUAGAUCUUAAUUCUCAAUGCUUGCUUCCAUAGUUUCUUUUAAGAACAAACAAACAAAACAAAUUUGUCAUAUAAUUUCCAUCGAGGAGCUGUCAAAGAGAGAACCAUACUCAAACUCAAAUAAGGGAAUCACUGACUGGGUUGGUCUCAUUUUCCCUCUCUGACACUACCUCGAAGUGAAGAACUCAUCUUUUCAUUUGGGAUUCUCCCAUUUCUUGCUCUUUGCUUUGAUUCUUUCCCUUUGUUAUGGCGCCGGUUUUAUCUCGGUUACUUCUCCGACGGAAUGUUCACACACCAUUUCUUCGCACCUCCACCACCGCAUUUAACUUUUUCAGGUAAGAUCGAUCUAUCAUUUUUUAUGCAGAAUUGUGUAGCUUGGAAAAACCCGUAUCCGUUUUUGUCGAAAUCUUGACUGCUGAUGAUGGUGGGAUUUUGUUUUCCAUGAUUAUGAGAUUGUUUUGGAAGUGGGUUUAAUCUAUUGUGAUCACUUAACUUGAAUUUAGAAUUAAUAUCAUAUGGGUUCAGCUAAUACUCAGAUAUUGUAGGGUCUGAUGUUUGUUCUGUGAGAUAAGUCUUAUGGGAUUGUAUUGGAAUGGAAAGCUUAGGUGCAAAAUUUCAUUAGGAUAUUAGAAUUGCUGUAAAUUACUUUCAAUCUGGUUGAACGUUUUCCUAGUUCUUGUUUUCAUCCGCAAAUUGAAUUGUUUUAAUCUAAAUCAAAUCUAUAUGUAUAGCGUAAAAGGGUUUAAUCCAUUAUUUUCAUACUUUGUUUUUGUGAUUACAGUUUAUAAUAAAUAAACAAAUAAUUAUUUAUUUUAUUGGGAUCGUAUGUUAUGUUCUCUUCAUGUUGUUAUGUAACCCUUUUCUCCUUCUGAAAGCAGAACAAUUCAUUCUACGGUUUUCUCCACUGUAGAAGUGGACCAAAUAUCAGGUUCUAAGCCAGGAGAUGUUCUCAACUUGGGUGAGUAAAGUUGCUGUAAUAUCUUUUACGAGCUGCAAUGAUCAAUAACGGUUGUUUAUUCAUUUUUUUAUUUGUUAUCUUAUACUAAAAUUAAUGUUGGAUAUUGUGUAUUUGACUAAACUUAUUCAUUGCAUAAGAAAAGGAAUGUUAACACAACAUGUUUUUAUUUUAGUGCAGGGUAAAUGGAUUGGAUCUUCCGGUUGGAAUACUAUUGUAGAUCCUCUAAAUGGAGAACCAUUUAUUAGAGUUGCCGAAGUCAACGAAACAGAGAUUCAGGUACUGCUACUAAUGGCUGCUUAUUUCUUUAAAAAUCUGCUUGCCUUUACUUGGUGGAUUGCUUUUGCAGCCAUUUGUGAAGAGUCUAACCAAAUGCCCCAAGCAUGGCUUACACAAUCCUUUCAAAUCGCCUGAGAGGUUCUUAUAGAUCACUUUGUAGAUAAUCUUCUUUAGUUUGUCUCUAAUUUUUGUCUCAUUGGUCCUUUGCUUGAGUGAGAUUGUUAAUUUGACACAAAUAUUCUAUUACAUUUUGUCAUAUUUGCAGAUAUUUGUUGUUCGGAGAUGUAUCUUCCAAGUCUGCCGACGUGCUUUCCAAGCCAGAGGUGUGAUGAACAUUUAAUUGUUUAACUCUUUCCUUGUCAUUGUUUUCUUACUUCUCUUGCCCUUUGUGAGGUGGCAUUCUUUUUUACAAUAGUUUACUCAAACAAAACAUGGUUUUGCAGGUGACUGACUUCUUUGCAAGGCUGAUUCAAAGAGUUUCUCCAAAAAGUUAUCAGCAAGCUUGUGCUGAAGUAAAUGUUACUGUUAAAUUUCUACGGAACUUCUCUGGCGAUCAGGUAAGGUUUAAUGAAAGUAGUUGGUCAAUGGUGUUUGUUGUAAUACUGCUUAUUUGGUUACUUGAACAACUCUUUUGAGGUCAGCCUUAAGGAAUGACCAUGUUGGCUUAGGUCUAAUGAACUAAACUUUUUAGGAAAACCCUUGAUGUCUCUAAAGUUUGGCUCUUGGACAGGCACAGACUUUUUAUGAGAACUCACUUAAAGCCGUUAUUUCAAACAUAAUGCGUGAGAAAAUUGACUUGAAAGAAACUAUAGAGACCCUUCUAAGACUCCUAUGGACGAGUUAGGAAAUUUAGUAUAUCAUGCACUUAAGUGUAACUCUCCCUUUAUCUUCAUCAAUGUAAUUGUGUUGGAGUUGUUUGUGUAUAUAUAUGUAUGUACAUACUUUUUAGCAAAUAAGUAAGAUGAAUCUUAUGAAUAUUGCAUUUAUUACUAUUUUAAAAACAUGAUUGUAGGUGUUGUUUCAUGCUUUAGUGAUCUUGCUUGUAAGUUGUAACUACCUAUUUUUUACAAAGCUUGCAAUGUGAUCUCUGUUCACGAUCCAAGGAUUGGAAUGUACUUAAAAGUUUAAACAAUUAGUUAAUGAAACCAAAUAGAGUUCUGUCACAUAGAAGGUUUCAUAACAAGUUGUUCGUGUGAAGAGUUUGUUGACUAGUUGUUUAUGGUGUUUAAAUACAGGUUCGCUUCCUAGCAAGGUCCUUUGCAGUACCUGGAGAUCAUCUUGGACAACAAAGUCAUGGUUUCCGUUGGCCUUAUGGUCCCGUAAGACAACUUAGAUGACUCCUCUAUAAAAUCAAAAAAAUAAAAGAAAAACUGUUGUUAUUGAGUCUCUUUUGAUAAAUGAAAUAUUCAUAAAAUACGUAUAGAUGGAUAUAAAAACAACAUAAUUAAGAGAUAUAUAAUUAAAGUAGUAAAUGAUUAGGUUAGCCUAGCUUUUUCUUACGCCGGAUAAGGUUUGUCUAUAUUAAGUAAUUUCAAGUAGUUUUCAAGAUAAAGUUAAAAUGCUCGAUAUGUUUUAUGUUCUUAAUUUUUUGUGAUUGUGUAUUUACUUUUCAAUGUUUAUAUUUCUGCUCAAUAAAUUGUGAACAUUUAUAGGUUGCAAUUAUCACUCCUUUCAACUUUCCAUUAGAAAUUCCUGUACUUCAGUUGAUGGGUGCACUUUACAUGGGCAACAAACCCGUUUUAAAAGUUGAUAGCAAGGUAAUUUUCUAUGGUUGAAUAAGAAAAUUAAAUUACGGUAUACACAUAAAUUUAUAAAUAUUUUAAUUUUAACUUAUAAAUAAAAUAACUACGAAUUCUUUUUAAUAUGUUGUAGGUUAGCAUUGUUAUGGAGCAAAUGAUUCGAUUGCUUCACCAUUGUGGACUACCUCUAGAAGAUUUAGAUUUUAUAAAUUGUGAUGGGAAGACCAUGAACAAGUUUUUGAUGGAGGUAAAUUUAUACUUGAGUGCUGUUAGCUCUUUUAGUUUGAAGGUUUUAUUUCCUCAACCUUAUUUUGACCAUUUUAUCAUAACGAACUUCUUUCAUCAUGCAGAUAUUAUAUACGUGUGUGUAUAUAUAUUAUAAAAUCUAUCUAUCUAUAAUUUUUCAAAUAUUGUUAAUAUACAGUAGUGCUUGAAGAUAUGCCAUAAUUAGAAAGAAAAAAAAGCACUCAGUGUUCUUUGUUCAUUCUACUUUUGUUGAACAAAAUAAAUGAAUCAACAUAUUAGAUUUAUGGCCUAAGUUAUCCUACGAAUUUUAUAGGCAAAUCCAUCCAUGACUCUUUUCACCGGUAGCUCAAGGGUGGCAGAUAAGUUAGCUGUUGACUUGAAGGGCCGCAUUAAAUUGGAAGAUGCAGGUUUUGAUUGGAAAGUCUUAGGACCAGAUGUUCGAGAGGUCAUUAGCUCUAUCACACCUCAUACCAUUUCUGCACCUUCAAUACAAAAUGUCAAUUUUAUUCCUUAUCUUUUGUGGUUACUAAAUUGCAGGAAGACUAUGUUGCAUGGGUUUGUGAUCAAGAUGCUUAUGCUUGUAGUGGCCAAAAGUGUUCAGCACAGUCGAUACUGUUUAUGCAUGAGGUUUAAUGUUUAAGUUUUGUUUUGCGUACUACAUCUAAAUAUUUGUUUUGUGUUAUCCUAUUAUUAUUCUAUGGGAUUAAUUGUUUUUUUUUUCUUAUACUUUUUAUUCUCCAAAGUCCAAUAUCUUUUCUAACGAUAUCAUUUUGUUGCAGAAUUGGUCAACAACUUCGCUUAUUUCGAAGAUAAAGGAUCUUGCAGAGAGAAGAAAUUUGACCGAUUUAACAAUUGGCCCAGUUCUUACAGUAUGAUACUACCCUUUUUGUUUCAAUUCAUAUUAUGAUCCAUGUGAUAUAUAUUCUUAUUUUGUUGGUUGUUGCAGUUGACAACGGAAGCGAUACUAGAUCACUUGAAUAAAUUGAUCAAGAUACCAGGGGCAAAGUUGCUCUUUGGAGGCGAACCUCUAAAAAACCAUUCUAUUCCACCCGUAUAUGGCGCUAUAAAACCCACUGCAUUAUAUAUUCCACUUGAAGAAAUGAUGAAAGAUGAGAAUUAUGAACUCGUGACUAAGGAAAUUUUUGGACCAUUCCAGGUAAAUAUGAAGAAAAGAAGUUAUUUAAAAGUUUUUCUAAGUAGUGUCUAAAUAUGUUAUGAGAAUGACAGAUCUAGUAAUUUUUUGUUUGUUUUUUUUUUAUUAAUUGAAUUUUUUUCGAGACCAACUCCGUUUAAAUUCUUGUUGCCUUUUACCAUGAUUAAAACAAGCACCUUUUAUAAUCCAUUUAUUGCUGGUGUUUGCAGAUUGUUACGGAAUACAAGAGAGAUCAACUUUCGGUUGUGUUGGAUGCUCUUGAGCGAAUGCAUGCUCAUCUAACUGCUGCUGUUGUUUCAAAUGACCCUCUUUUUUUGCAGGUGAGUUUAUAGAUCAUUUCCGUAUAUUGUCUAGAAAAAGUUUCUGUCAUGGGCAGUCAUUCAUUCAUAUCGGUUAAUACGACUCAAAAUUCCUUGUUGUCAAUAGUACUUUGAACUAGUUGUUACUACUAUUUUAGGAGUUGUAGAUUAUAGUAACUUGUGGAGUUGUUUGCAGGAAGUUAUUGGCAACACUGUGAAUGGAACGACAUACGUAGGUUUAAGAGCUAGAACAACGGGAGCUCCACAAAACCAUUGGUAAGCUUUGAAUAAGCUCUUUCUCCUAUCAAACCUUAGAAGAUUAUUGUAUUGAUAUUCUUGAUUAUAGUGGCUAAGAAAAUGUCUUGGUAUAAUAGGUUUGGACCCGCAGGAGACCCUAGAGGUGCAGGUAUUGGAACCCCGGAAGCCAUCAAACUCGUAUGGUCUUGCCAUAGAGAGAUUAUAUAUGAUAUUGGCCCAUUGCCCUCGCAUUGGACUGUUCCAUCGUCAACUUGAAUAUAUGAGAGUAUAGGUGCUUUGCUUCGUUGAUCCACCCACUUAGGCCAACCUAACUUCGCCUAGAAUCUAAUGUCAAUUUUGUAGUUGCAGAAAAAGAAGAAAAAGAAAUAAAGUUCAUUCAUAAAAAAUCAGUAUAUGGCAAAAACCAUUUUUUAGUUACUUUUUCUUUCAUUUUUAUCUCUCUUUUCAUCAUAUGCUUCUUUUUUAGGAAACAUCUCAUUCCUAAUUAAUAAAUAUCCAAUCUCUCUUCAUUUUAGUUAGUCAGCCUUCAAAAGAUAUGAAUGUGUGUAGUAAGAUAUGAUGCUGUUAAAAUAAUAGUCAUAAACAUGUUUUACCAACACUACUUGUCAUUUUGUAAUAUCAACAUUAUAUCAGUGUGUGGCAAUGAAGGAGCUAGGAAUAGGAAUAACAUGAGGACAAGGAAGUUAAAGGAUGAAUAAUCUUAGUGUUAGUGUGUGAGACAGGGAGAGCACUACCAUUCAUGAAUUUUGACUCAAAAGUUUCAUGGUUCACCAUACUCUAAUUAACACUUGUUUGAUCCCCAAAUAUUUCUCUAACCCAUUAAACUAUAUGUCUAUGUGAAUGUGAAUUUAGAUACACAGAAACACAAUCCAACAUAGGUAUACUAAUCUAGGUGAUCAACUUAGGCUAACCGUAUAAAUAAACUAAGUGAAAAUCUCAAUUUUAAACUUGUAUUAAAAUGAAAUACAUAAUUUGAGUGCAAUAAAUAUAUAAGUGGAUAAAUAAAUGGAGUUGGAACGACAAAAUGCAAUGAAAUUGGAUAGCACAACAAGAGACUCAAUGGUAACUUUCCACCAUCACCACAAACUUGAGCUAGCACGAACUCAAUAGAUUUGUAUAAAACAAAAGAUAAUGGUAAGUGAAAAUGGAUGAACUCGAGUUGUUGUAUAGUGUGUUGAGUCCUCGAUAAUUUUUUCCAUUAUCAACUACUCAAUUUUCUUCUUUAAACACCAAAAUUAUAAAUAUAUACAUGGGUGAUCUAGAAAUCAACAAUUAAUCCAAAAAUAUUUUUAAAGUUUUUUAAUUUUAUGAUUUCAAAAUCAUUCUUUUUAUUGAGGUAAGAAAGAACAAAUUUAUUUGAAAUCUAAAAAUAAGGAAAGAGAAGAACCACAAAUUACCUUUGAAAAGCAAUAAAAUUGAUUUGAAUUUUGAUGCUUCGACUAAUCUGUGAUGAAUAUAUAAUGUGUAGUCGCUUGUGCCAUUACAUAUGUUUUCCUAAAGUUUUCUCGCAUGGUCUCGCCCUUCUUCAUCUUCUUCACUGAGUCAAAACCAAAGAGCAAUGACAUUCUAAAACCCUAAUUCUUCACUGCCCUAAUCUGUUUUUGAGUUUUCUUUUUUCCGAAAUUGAGUUUCAGAAUGGAUCAACAUCUUCAUCAUCCUCAACAAUGGCAUCCCAGGCCAAUCCAACCCACCGUCUGUCCAAUUUGCACAAUGUCCCACUUCCCCUUUUGCCCUCCCCAUCCUUCCUUCAACCAAAACCCUAGAUAUCCCUUCGGACCCGAUCAUUCUUUCCAAACCUCCGGUUUUGACUCUCAUCGUUCACCCAUGAGGAUGCCACCCCCGUAUAUGGCGAAUCCUGACGAUGGUUUUGCAGAUCAGAGGCCGUGGAUAAGGAAUUCUGCCAAUUCGUAUGGGCAUGUUCCGUUCCACCCUCACAGAGAAGGGUUUUUCCCGCCACCGUAUGAUUAUGGCGGGAAUGAGUUUGUGAACGACGCUGAAAGAAGCUACAAGAGGCCGAGGGUUGAUGAUGUGGGUUCGGAGGGGGGUGUUCAUGAACUUAAUCAGAAUCAGGAUACCGGUAGGAGUUCGUUCGAGGAUGAGCGUAGGUUGAAGUUGAUUCGGGAUCAUGGAAUUGUACCGAGUGGACCGCCUGAAGGUGGGUCUAAUUCCUUGCCGAGAAUGAAUUUGGGUUCUAAUGGCGAAGCUAACAGACGCAGUCUUGAAAAUUCAGUAGGAUCUGGAGACCCAGAAGAUGUCGGUAGCUCUAGAAUCUUGGAAACCAAUAACUUCCACGAUUCGGGUAAUGGCAGUAAUAAUGGAAGAACUCAACACUUUCAUGAGAAUGGUAGAAUUGACAAGCGGUGGCCUUCCCAAAAUGAAGAAUUUUCACAUGCUCGUUAUGAUCAGGUUGGAGGAAGCCAUUGGCAUCCUCAACAUAAGCCGCACUCUGUUCAUCCUGAAGCCACCGAAGACAACUAUCUUGCUCAUAGACACGAAGUGCAUUAUUCUGAUGAUCGGCAAGCAUUUUCCUGGGUGGAUGAAAGAAAUAACAGCAAAAUGGCCGUUUUUGAUCGUGAUUAUCAGCCACCUCCUCGCUCUGAGAUGAACCCAAUCCAUAUGAGAUCGUUUUCAUCGCACGGAAAUGCUCAUCACGGUACUCGAAACUUGAAUUUUGGUGCUGGAUACGCUCCACGGCUUUCUGGGGGUGGCAGAUUCUUGGAAAAUGGAAGCUCAAUUGAAGAUUCUCGCUUCUUUUGUGAGCAACCUCCUCUUCCUGCUUCUCCACCCCCGCCUAUGCCUUGGGAAGCACACUUGCACGCUUCGGCAGAGUCUGUAGCUUACUCUUCUCAAGCAAAACCUCCAUCCCUGUUUCCUGUUCCUGUUAGUACCUCAACAAUAACAUCAUCAGCAUAUUCUUCAGCUCCUGAACACCGUUCCUUUCACCACCAUAAACCAAUGCCUCAUGUUUCUUCUAGCCCUAUGAUGGAGGUUCGAGGAAUUAGAUAUAUGUAUCUUUUUAAUCAUGGAUUGCAGCUUUUUGAUAGGAUUUUUAAGGGGAUAGUGCAUGAAUUUAUUUUAUUUUAUUUAUUUGUAGGAUUCCCUGGCAUUGCACCCAUACUCUAAGAAAUUUGCUGCGGAUGGCAAACCUUUUGGAUUGAAUCAAUUGCCUCCACAAAAACCCAAAGUUAUUGAUGCUUCGCAAUUAUUCAAGCCACCUCAUCGGUCUACUCGUCCAGACCAUAUCGUGGUUAUCCUUCGAGGACUUCCAGGUAUCAUUUUCUUGUUUGCACCUGACUACUUAGAAUUGAACCGAAAGCCAGGCAUCUUACUUUAGUUGUGAUUUGUGAUGCAUAGAAAAAUUGUUGUUGUAUUUAUCUUCAUGCUCACAUCCUACACUCAUGGCUUCACAUAAUCAUUGGCUUCCUUUGCUUCAUGGUUACUCAGAAAGUUCAUUCGAAAUAUUUUCUCUUGAGGAAAUUGAUUGUGACAAGAUGACUCAUCUACUAAAUCUAACUGUGCAUUUCAUCUAAGUCGUCAUAUGUUUUGCUGAUAAUAAUAAGUAAAUAUUUCUUUGAACGUGGGAAUAGAAAAUGAACAUCAAGAAUUGCUUUUUUUCUUUUUUUCCAGGUAGUGGAAAGAGCUAUUUGGCGAAGAUGUUGCGUGAUGUUGAAGUUGAAAAUGGUGGUGAUGCUCCUCGUAUACAUUCAAUGGAUGAUUACUUCAUGACAGAGGUGGAAAAGGUAUGCUUGAUUUAUAUUCCCUUUUAGUUUGCUUAUAGUGUGGUUAUUAUUAUUAAGUGAUAUAUAAUUAAAUUUUCCUUCACCCAUCAGUUUAAGCUUUUGGGUCAAUUAGUGAUUUAAGAUGAUAUUAGAGUAAGUGAUUCCGGAAGGUCUUGUGUUUAAGCCCUUGCAUCAUUGUUUCCUCCCCAUUUAAUGUUGAUUUUCACUUGUUGGGAUUUCCUAUAUUGAGCCCACGAGUGAGGGGAGUGUUAACUGAUGUAUAUAUAAAUUUGUCUUCACCCAUCAACUUAAGCUUUUGAGUCCAUUGGUGAUUUAAGAAUUAUAAUUCUUUUCAAAUUAAAUGAUAGUUGAUUUAGGUUAUUAUUCAUAUUUAACACCUCUUUUUUUCUGACAGGUUGAUGAAGUUGAUGCCAAAUCAUCAAAUUCAAUUAAAGGCAAGAAGCCAAUCACGAAGAAGGUCAUGGAAUAUUGUUACGAACCUCAAAUGGAGGAGGUAUAUGUAAUGGUUGAUAUAGGGAGUGCCAUUUUGUACACACACACACACAUGUUCCUUGUGUUUAUUGGAUCCCAAGAGACAUAGUAUUUUGGGUGUCUUGGUAGUUUCAUUUGAUUGCAGUUGCUUUGUAGAUUAGGAGCAAAUACAUUUUCAUCAUCCAUUUUGGUGUGGCACGUUAGCUAACAGCACCAAUGUCAAUAGUUAAUGAAAGACCGUUGACAUUGGUAUAUAGAGCUAUAUUAUACCUGUGCCCCAUAAGAAAUUAAAUGUAUGAUCGUUUGUAGGUGGUUUCUAAGUACUGCAAAGCAUUUUAGUUUUCCAAGCAUCUUUCUGAGACAGUGACUUAUGAUGAUAUUUUUUGUCAGGCUUAUCGGUCAAGCAUGUUGAAAGCAUUCAGGAAGACCCUUGAGGAGGGGAUUUUCACCUUUGUAAUCGGUAUGAUCUCUGCUCCUAUAAGAAUCUCUGAAUGAUUGUAUGAGGUCCUACAUUUUCCUUAUCAUUCUAACUAUUUUUAAGUAUGUUUUUAAUGUUGAGGUCUUUCAAAGUGAAGCUAGUGGUCCUAUAUUGUGAAUUUUGUACUUAAUGUGAUGACUUGGCCUUUUCUUUGUGAAUUUUUGUUUCAAAAUUGUUGGUGCCUAGUUUAGCAUUCAGCUUAUCAUUCCCAUGCCAGUGGUAGCAUAAAAAGAGGUGGGAUGGUUGGUGAUAGUCUAUACCUUAGGUAUCUAAAAUGGUUAAAAAACGAUAACAAUUCUCAUAGUCUCAGUAAAGACAUGCAUUAGUUAAGUGAUCUAAGUUUGAUUUUAGAUUUAGCGGUGAUGCAGUGCCAAUGCCACUGCAUUCCUUUGCACUAACUACAAUGCAGUUUGUUCGGCAAUUGAUCCUUUUGUUGGUGGUAUAUGUGCCUCGUCUUAGUGGAUGACCGCAAUCUGCGGGUAGCUGAUUUUGCUCAGUUUUGGGCAAUUGCAAAGGUAUAUUCUCAAUUCUCUCUUUCUUACAACCCUAGCCGUCGUGUACUGAAGUGGCGACUUAAAUGUGGGUGGCAACAUCAUUUAUUUAAGUUUUGAGUUAUCCAAUGGGAUUGUGCAUGGUGACGUUAGUAAGUAGUUUGGAAUAGAUAGUGAACGGGGUUGAAAGCAUAAAGGACAGAGAUGAUUUCUUCAGAUCCGAUGUUGAUGUAGGCUAUAUUUUAUUUCAUCUACAUUUAAAUCUUGGUCACAAUAUUUCCAUGCUGUCGAGGCUGCAUUGAAGGUUGUAGGGUUUUGUUUUGCUUUUGCUUUUUUGUUCUUUUUUUCUUUGCUGCAUGUGUAUUCACGCACCAACCAGUUCUCAUGUGAUGUGGCUUUUGCUUUGGACCCAACCCAAGGGCCUGAAAACAUUCAUUUAGAAUUUUAAAUGUCCCUAUGCACACUUUAAUAUGCCGUUGGCUUCUAUCAGAGUUAUUUUGGAUGCCUGCAUUUGAUUCCAUGCAUCUUGCUGGUGUAUUUUUAUGGUUUUGUGAUAGUAAUUGAGUCCAUCUAGGGAGCUUUUACGAAAACCUCGUGGGCGUUUAUGUGCAUUUUGUCUAUAACUUCUCACUAAGUUGAUGAAGCUGGCUUUUUAUGCGACAAGAUUGUGAUUUGGUAUUUUACUGCUCUGUGUUUUUACACACACACACACGCACAUAUGUAAAUUUUUUUACAUAAUUAUUCCAAUAUACUUGGGAUGCUCGUGGUUCUUGGUCUGCAGUAUUAAUGUUACUUUCACUGCUUCCAGUUGUUAAACAUAAAUCUUGUCAAUUGUGUAAUGCUCAAAUGCUAAUGCACUACCUUCUAUUUUCCUUGCAAAUCUUUGGCUUUUGGAUUUGUUUCGGUAGUUUCCAAAUAGUGUCAUGUUAGUCUGUUUAUGAAAGGUCACAGGAGACCAACUGAAGUUCAUAAUGACCUUUCUCUACGUGACUUUUACUGCUUCUCUUACAAGGAAAUUUGGCUAUUUUCUGAGAAUAAUAUUGAAUGAUGUUUCUUUUUUAUUUACACUUGGCAAACUGAUCAGCAGAAUUAUGAUGAUAGACAAUAACUAAAAUGUGCAAUGUCUGACGUUCAACAAGCAUAGUUUUUAUAGAACAGAUGUGUUACGUAUUACAUAACCUGCCAUGGAAUUUGGAAGCCUAGUUAUAGUAAAUAGCCGAGAGUGGUAAUACAAGGCUUUGCUGUCUGUUUUUUUGUUUUCUUAUUUAAUCUUUAUUUAUCUCUUGCUAGAGUUCGGGCUAUGAAGUUUACAUUUUGGAAGCUACGUAUAAGGACCCUGCAGUAAGUCCUUUUCUCCUUCUAUCUGUUGUUAUUCACUGGUGUUUGUCUUUGACUUUAAGAGAGUACAAAAGUAUCAGCAAACCAAGGUCUAACAUGUUUUUGAAAAACUGGAAAUAAGAAACAAGAAUGUUAUGAAAUGGGCCUCAAUGUCCCAUUUAUUUAAUUGCUAGUUUCAAAAUUAAAAUUAUUUUUUAUGACUCUGUGUUCUACGCUACUAGAAUUGAGGCCUUGUCAAUUGAAAACUAGGAAAGUUUUUCCUUAAGAUGUUUUCUUCUAUGGCGCAUUAGGGCUGUGCAGCAAGGAAUGUGCAUGGGUUUAACCUCGAUGAUAUACAAAAGAUGGCUAGACAAUGGGAAGAAGCUCCGCCUUUGUACUUACAAUUGGACAUCAAGGUUUGUUAGAAUUAACAUGAAGUUGAUCUGUUUUGAAUCUACUGUGCUUUUAGUUGGCAUGUGUAAUCCAAGAAAAAUAAAAACAUUCAAAUUUACUUUUGAUGAGAAUAAGCUAAAUUUUGGGAAGGAAUGGAAAUUACCAUUUUGUAAGGUGGUAAAAGGAGAGAAGACUAAACCUGUAAUGAUAGUUUUUCUGUUUAUUGUGAUGACUUGCAGUCUUUAUGUCAUGGGGAUGACCUUAAAGAAAGUGGAAUUCAGGAGGUAAUUCUUUUCUUAUUUUUUUUUAGUGAAAUUUUGAAAUAACCUUAUCUAUAUUAAUGCGAUUUAUGCGGGUCAUGUCCAUCUGCCAGGUUGACAUGGAUAUGGAAGAUGAAGACGAUGGUAGUCCUAGUUUUCAAGAAACGAUGUCAGAGAAGACUGCAUUACCUUCUCUAAGACAUGAUGCUUCUGAAGGUACAGUAAAAUGAUUGAAAAAAAAUAAAAAUAUAUGCAUUUUUCAGGAGUUCGUCCGGUACUUCAAUAAAUUUUUAGUUAGUGGUAGGCUAACAGCACAUCAUUACCUGCUUUGGCACAUCUUCUGUCAUCUCAUUUAGUUUUCUUCGGCUCAACAAUAUUCAGAUUUUGGUUUCUCACAUCAUAUUGUUCUGCAGAUGAUGAGAAGAGAUGGGAUGCAGAACCGGACCAUCUGAGAGAGGAAGUAAAGGAGUUAGGUAGGAGUAAAUGGUCAAAUGAUUUAGAUGAUGAUGAUACAGAAAGAACUGAUGGCCGGAACGGUCACUCAAAUGCUCUUUCUGGUCUGAUUCAAGCUUAUGCCAAAGAAGGAAAGUCGGUUAGCUGGAUGGACCAGGUUUGCAUUGAACUUAUUUUCUCUCUACUGUUGGGCCACCUGGAAUUUUCUUUAAUGAAAAGCGUGUCAAAUGUAUGAACUCUUCAUGUACACAAGUUUGCUUUUCCUUUAAUAUUAUGCUGCUCCUUUUUCCAGGUUCGUAAUACCGGAUUCUCAAUCGGUGCUGCAAAAAAGGCAAACAGAUUAUCUUUAGUAAUUGGUCCUGGCCCUGGAUAUAACCUGGUUAGUCAUCUGAUUGCAUUCUGAUGAAAACAUUUGUGGGACUUAAAAUAUUUUGGUGUUGUGGAAUUAUGAAUUAGUUGCCUAUAGCAAGAUGAACUUACUAUGAAGGAAGUAGUUCAAGAAUGAGGUACAUGUUGUAAAAGUGUUCAUUCUCACUUGAUAUACAAUUGCAGAAAUCCAACCCAUUAGCAGAAGAAGAAUAUCGUGGUUCAACCCAAAACAGUAACGAGUCAAAGAAACACAGCAGAUUUGAGGAGCGACUCCGUGCAGAAAGUGAAUCAUUCAAAGUUGUCUUCGAUAAAAGACGACAAAGGAUAGGAGGACUUGAUUGGGAAGAGGAAUAGGGAUUGGUCAAGAAGCAUAAAAAUUUAGAUAUGGAAGCAUACAUUUUUUUGUACACAUUUUCUGAGAGGAGAUGUUGAUCUCAAUUCAGAAUGGUAACUUCUUUUUGCUCCCAAUUUAAACAUCAUUUGUUGACCAUUUUGCUGGUCCCUUAGUUGUUGUAUAACGAAUAAUACUAAUUAUAUGCAUUUUUGUAAGGAACCACUCAAUUAUAAAUUGAAAUUAGAUAAAUGAAUAUUUUUUUCUUGAAUUUUGUUCUGAAUGACUCCGAUUUAAAUUAAAAUGGAGCCAAGUUUUAAUGAUGUUUUUCCAGUUUCACAUUAUAGGAUAAUCAAGUCAAAACACGAGUAAAUUUUUUGAUAACCAUACUUUCAUGAUCUCACUUUCUUGGUGGACUUGGCCUCUUGUACAUUUUUAAGAUAUAGUCCUCAACAUCAAGUAGUCAUUAGAUUAUUUUGUGCAACACAGAGUAAGGGCUCAUCUCUUUCACAAUCUUUAUUACUAUUUUGAAUUAUAGAUUACCAAUGAAAAGGUUUGAGAUCGAGGUCAUUUUGCAUGGUUUCAAAGUUAUUAUUAUUUACUUUUUCUUAUUUGUUUUUAAAAAAGAGUUAUUAUUUGCUGAUGUCAACUGUGAUACAACAUACUAGGUUAGAUGUUUGAUUCUUUAGGUUAGAUGUUUGAUUCUUUCAUUCUACAUGUUAAAAAAAAUGUUAGUCAUAUCGAGAUUCUUCUUUUAUUUCAUUGGUGCCAUAUAUAUCAUUUCAAUCAAACGUUUCCUAAAAUAUCUCACAUCAUCCUUGGUCAAGUUCACCACAAGAAUGGAAAGAAAAUAGACAAGAAAAAUAAACAACUUUCAAAAGAUGAAUAACCAAUAUUAUUUCAGUAGGUAAUAGUAAUAUUCACAUAAGUGAUGCAUAACUUCACAAAGGCAAAAGCUGCCAUAUUUAUGUAGGUUUAUCUUCUAUCUAAAUCUUUAGUACUAAAAACCUCUGCUGAUUACAGGGUUCAUUUGAACUUUGAGUAUUUUAUACACAUCAUAAUUUGAAGGUGAUGUAAAGAAUUUCACUAACAGGGUUGAUUCUUUUUACAUUUCAGAGGACCUGCAAAUCGUGUAAGCCUUGUGACGAAGGUCCCGGGUUUCGAAUGGAUAACAUCUUUCUUGGAGUAUCUUUUGAUGGGGUUCCCAGAUUGGAUGAAGAAAGCUCCAUUCAUCAUCAGAUCUCCCUCUGACCUCCAGUUCCAAGAUCUCCAUUCGCUUUCCGGUGCAUACACCCUUUUCGUCACCUACAUCGGCCAACAAUAACAAUUUCUCAAUACAUUGCUAAACAUUUGGACAUAUGUAAGAUAGGGAGAUAUUGUUUCCUGUGUAGGUUGGUUUCAAUGGAUAAUACUCAAGAACCCAAUUAAGAGCAAGCUCUUUAGGAAUGGAUGUAGCUGUGUGAUUAUAAGUGAUAUUUGUCUAAUCUUGUGUUCUUCAUACCUCUUUGCAAUUUGGAUUUGGUGGAGCAAUGAAACGGUUCCCCUGGCUGAUAAUGGUGGGGUUGUGGCUGCCGCCGAUGGCGUACAUAAGCCAGUGAGUGUAGUCAUUAUUGACUACAUGGAUAAAUCCCCAUCGACAUCUCGGCAUCCUUUGCACCAACCCUUUACCAAAGUGAUUAAAUGCAAGAGUUACCUGCAUUAUCUGAUCAUUCGAGUAGCCAUUACUUGCACCUAAUAAAAUCACCUUCACCCACAAAAAGAAUUUUGUCAGUUAUCAGCAUCGAUAUAAAAGAAAUGGCAUCCCACCUAAGGAAAACAUCAACUACCAACAAGUUAGAUGUUCAAAUCCCUUGAAAAGAAAUAAAUCGAAGGCUUUGAGGGGCUUACAUCAUUAUGGUGGGUGAAGUGGCAGUUGGAAAUGGUAAUGGCAGUAGAUGCCAUGACUGCAUCUAUUAGUCCAUCUUGACAAUUAGACAUUGAAACAUGAUCGAUCCAAACCCUCGAGGCUCCGAACAUCGAGAUUCCAUCACCAUCACUCCGUGUUCGGAAUCCAUAGUGGCUCACCGAAUCUCUUAUCAUGCCUCCAUUGCCAGCCUUGAUGUCAUGAAUGUGAAGAUUAUGGAUGAUUAUAUUCUUCACAAAUUGUAGAGUAAUUUGACCACCAUUAGCAAUGUGCACAUUGGCACCUCGCCCAUCUAAUGUUUUAUCAUCAGUCACUAUAAGCUCUUCACUUAGCCUAAUCACCAUGUCAUGAGCAAAUAUAAUCCAAAGAGGUCUCUCCUGAAUCACAGCAUGGCGCAAGGUUCCUGGUUUAGGAUUCACCAAGUCAUUAUCACUUGAAUCUCGGACCACGUAAAUCUUUCCAUCUUUGCCUCCGGUCGUUCGACGACCGAAACCAAGGGCACAAUCAGCUAGUUUCUUACGGUUUCUAGCCCAAUUUCUAUCGCAUCUCCAGCAUCGAUCAAUCGGAUUCGUGGCUAAACAUGGACCAGUGUACUUCCUCAAAUGUCUCCUUGUGUUAUUUCCACCAUCUAAAGAUCUGUCUCAAUUAAAAAAAAAAAUCCAGAAUUACAUACAUACAAAACAUAGAAUCAUUAAUUUGCUAAUGAGAAAAUGGGGUUAAUUACCUAUGAACUUGCUUGUUGAAAUUAUUAGUUUCUUCUUCUGGAUGGGGUUCGUAGGCCUCAAAGGAAGCUUUUUGUGCUUCUAUAGCUCUUUUCUGCCAAACUUCAUCAAAAUCUGCAAUAUUAGCCUUUAGUGUUGGAAAUAUCAUUACAAAACCAAAUAUCAUUAGAAGUUUAAUCCCAACAAUGGUGGUUUUUGUCUCUCUCAUUUUCUCUAAUCCUUUUUAGGUAAUUUUUCUUUGUAAAUUUUUCUGUUAAUUUAUCAACAAUCCAUUUGAAUUUGGAAUGAUUAUCUAACAAUGAUAAAUUCAUAGCUUCAUUAAAUAAGUAAAAUGAGAAAUGAAGAGGAAAUAAAGGGGAACCAUAAAUCCCCUUCAAUGGUCAACCCUUUGUUUGCUUUCUUUAUCCGUUUUCAAGGAAUUGUGUUCUUUGAAAUUAGAACUAAAUUAAGAAACAAUUACUUAUUCAUUCAUAAGAAAUUGAAAAAUGAUUAAUAGUUAUAUAAAUAACCACCUGAAUGAAAACCAAGUAGUAAUUACAAAGAUCUUCGAGACAUGAAACCUAUUAGUCUCCCAUGAUUCUCUCCCUUGUUCUUCUCGGUCCCUCCAAAAAUCCUAUGAUUCCUUUCAAACCAAAUCUAUAUAACAACGAAAAGAUAAACUCGUGUAAGGAUUUUAGCCUUCUUCACCCCAAAGGGAUAAUGUACCGUUUUGAACUUCAUUUUCUCCUAAAUUUAGAAUGCAGAAGCUCUAACAGCAAUCAAGGUUUAGUUCUAACAAGAAUACAGAAAACUACGUAUUAAGCAAAGAAUGUUUCUAAAGUAAUAAAAUAAAAGUUGAAGUAUGUUCCAUUCUAAACAAAGAUUAACCCACGAUUUCAAUUCAGAGAAAAUUUCAGAUUUUGAAGAUAUCAUCACCAGCAAAUCAAUUGUCCUCUACAUUAUUCUUUUUUGGAGCCAAGAAAGAGCAUAAUUUUGCUAUUGGACAGAAUUUUGUUUAAAGGCUAUUGGAUACAAAUAAAAAAAGCAAAGGAAUAAAAUAAAGCAGAGAUAUAGCCUUCUCAGCUUGUCCCAAACACCAUAAGAAUUAAUAAAAUCAAUAUUGAUUUGGAGGGUUAUUUUUCAGAUAAUGGCAUAAAUCUACCUUUUUCCUUCAAAAGGGGGAAUUUUUUUUAUUCUCAAAAGAAAUUUUUUAAUAUAACUUAUGAUAAAAGGGUGCUAAAGUAUAAACCAAACCAGAAUAUGGCAAUGUCAUCCAAGUAAAAUAUAAUUACAAAUGAAAGCUUUGUAGUACGUUGGUGGAAGAAUCAAACCUCUAACUUGCAAUCGAUAUUACGAAUUUUAAACUAAGCUUAUUUCGGCGAAUGAGAUUUCUAUUUAGGGAUAAGGGAAACAAAUGGAUUUACUUUUCAUAAUCUAAUAAAAAAGAAUCUUGAUUAAGUUAAUAAAAGAAAGAAAAUUCUUUGCGUGAAACAAGUGAAAAUCUUGUUGAAAUAAGACUGUGUAUCCAAUAAAAGAAAUCACAAAAUGAUGGGUGAAUCAAUCUUAUCUUAUUGGAGAACAUAACAUAAAUCAUAGUCAAAAGAAACAAACAAACAUCACCAGAAAUUUCUCCUUAGGGUAAUGCACAGCAAAAGAAAGAAAUGGAUGAGAUAUAGUUAUUGAAGAUAUGUACAGAUUUAUGUUAAAUCACCCAUCAGUACUCCUAAAACUUAAUUGUUCCAACCUUUCAACACUCCUCCUCUUCAUCUAUGGGCUUAACAAUUAGAAAGAAAAAUGGCAUUUACAUAAAUUAAGAGUUCAAACGUUGGACAUCUUGCUCUAAUAAACAGUCAAUCAAGCUAUUGCAUUGUUAUAUCUACUCAAUUAAUACUAAUUUUCACUAGUUGAGUAUUUUCUUCAUAUUUCAAACCUUUUAAGUGAGGUGAAGUUUCGCACAACUGAUUUCAGAGUUAGCACAAGCAAGAUGGAACCCAACUGUCUUUUUCAAUGGGAUAAACAUAAAAACCAGAGAUAUGGAUUAGAGCCCUAAAGUUAAACAAAUUUUUUUUUUGGGGGGUGGGGGUUAGGGUAAUAUUGGUCAUAGAAUGGAGAAAGUUGAAGAAAAACACAUCCUUUUUCACACCCAUUAUCAUAUAAUAAGAAGCAUUGAAAUGAUGUCAUGGACAAAAAAGAAAAAGAAAAAGAAAAUAUGCCAAAAGACAGAAGAAGAAGCAUCAGUGAGAAAAGAAAAUUACUUUUCUAUGAGAUGAGGGGGAUCAGAUACUCACCACAAAGUCCACCCAUUCAGAAAGUGCAGAAUAGGGCAUGACAAUGGGGUUGAGACUUGAGAAGAGAAGCUUCUUCCACAAGGGGAAAAGCUAAUAUUUACAGUCAACACCCUCUGUUUCAUCCAUUGCAAAGUUUCUGGUGAAUAUUGGCAUCUCCAUUGAAGAAGAAGCAAAAGAAAAUGAAGGGUUAUUGAGUGAGUAGGAAAAGGGAAGAACUUGGGAAAAUGGUUAGGAAAAGCUUUCUCCAUUAAAUCUGAGUUUUUAUAUAUAUAAUUUUUCAAAUUUUACACUUUUUUUUUUUCACAAAGUUCAAAAAUUACAGCUUGAGAAAUUUUUCAUUUGAAAAUUACAAAAAAGGUAUGUAAUUGUAAAAACAAGAACUAGGAGUUAAUGUGAACAAAAAGAUUGUUUUUUUUUUUCUUUAAAAUGAGAUCAAAAGGGUAUAGAUGAAAUUAUUUAGGUAAAAAAGAUUAUGUUCUUGUAUAUAUUAGAAUAUAUCUUUUAAAAAAGUUAGUAUAAGACUAUAUACUAUUUGGAGAGACUAUAUAAUACAUUAUCAAAAUUACUACUAUAUAAACCCAAAAGAGAGAAAUAUUUGCUAUGCAAACUAAUUAUUUUUUUGCAUGUAGCCUCUAACAUUUAUUUUUUAAAAGGCAACACCUAUGUAUAAGUUAAAAGUAAGUUAAUUAAGUAACAAUGAAUGGAUUAAUUAGUAACUACAAGUAGACAAUUACAAAAUACCUCAAUAAUACUUUAUUUAUUGCUAUACAUUAUUAAAAUCCCUAAUCUUGCUUAUGAGAGAGAAGAAAAAACAUUUCCAAUUUAAUAUGAUGUGUUGGAAGAAAAAUCUCUUGGAAGUUGGAAUCUAAACACUCAUACAUUUCCUCUCUCUCUCUCUUUUAUUUUACAUUUUCUUAGUGUAUAUAUGUAUAUAUAUACAUAUAGUAGAAGAAUAAUAUUUUAUUUGUUUUGGAAUAAUAUGAAGAGAGAAAAAAAAAAAAAGAUAAAAAGAAGAGGGAAACCCAAAAAGUGGAUUCAAAACCUUAAGAAGAGAGAAUGGAAUCUAAUCUCUCCACCCACACUUACACCUCACCCCCUCUCCCCUCCCCACUCUCCAAACAUUCUUAUUCUUUUUUUUUUUUUUUUUACUCUUAGGAGAAUCUUCCAAAUACUAAUAACAUUUCAAUUGAUAUAUGUAUUAAGAACAUAAAACUCAUUUAAACUCUGUUUGAAAUUCCAGUUCUAUUCCAUUAUUUUGGUUAUUGAAAUGAUUCAUUUGGUAAUAACGAAAUAUUGGUAUGAGUUAAGAAAAACAAAAUAAAGGAGGGUGGGGGUGGGGGUGGGGGUGGGGGGGAGAAAGGUGAAAAGCAAAGGGGCAUUAAUAUUCAAUACAUUAUAGCAAACUCUUCUUUACAGUUUCAAUUCCUUUUGUUUUUGCUUCUCCGCUAUUAACGCUUUCUCUUCUUUUCUUCUUCUUCUUCUUCUUCUUCUUCUUUUUUUUUUUUUGUGGUUUAGUUUUCUCUUUGCUUUGUACGAAAAUGAGACCAUGACGACGACGACGACGCCGCAGCCACAGUCACAGCCACCGCCAUCGCCAUCGCCAUUGCCGCCGGCGCUGGUCAAAACAGUUAGAAAGCUUGUGGUCGAAGUUGCUGAUGCUCGCAACCUUCUUCCUAAAGAUGGCCAAGGAAGCUCCAGUCCGUAUGUUGUCGCUGAUUUUGAUGGCCAGAGGAAGCGUACCGCCACUAAGUUUCGUGAGCUUAAUCCUGUGUGGAAUGAGCCGCUGGAAUUCAUUGUCUCUGAUCCUGACAAUAUGGACUACGAGGAGCUUGAUAUCGAAGUUUUCAAUGAUAAGAGGUAUGGCAAUGGGAGUGGCCGGAAGAAUCACUUCUUGGGGAGGGUGAAGUUGUACGGAAGUCAGUUUGCGAAGAGAGGGGAUGAAGGUUUGGUUUACUAUCAAUUGGAGAAGAAGAGCGUGUUCAGCUGGAUUAGAGGCGAAAUUGGGCUUAGAAUCUGUUAUUACGAUGAGUUGGUGGAAGAAGCUCCGCCGCCGCCUCCGCCGCAGGAGGAGCAACCACCUCCUCCAACUGAGAAGCCUAAAACUCCGGAAGCUGUAGUCGAGGAAGUGAGGAUGUUCGAGCUUCCGCCACAGGGGGAGGUCGGUCGCGAUGAUUCGAAUUCACCCCCGGUGGUGGUCAUAGAAGAGUCGCCGCGGCAGGAUAUGCCGGUACAUUCUGAGCCACCGCCGCCGGAGGUAAAUGGUCCUCCGCCAGGGGAGGGGCAAUUUGCACCGGAAAUGAGAAGGAUGCAGAGUAACAGAGCAGCAGGAUUCGGGGAAGGGAUUAGGGUUUUGAGAAGGCCGAAUGGAGAUUAUUCUCCGAGAGUAAUCAAUAAGAAAUACAUGGCUGAGACGGAGAGGAUUCAUCCAUAUGAUCUUGUGGAGCCGAUGCAGUACCUCUUCAUCCGUAUUGUGAAAGCUAGAAAUCUCGCUCCUAAUGAGCGCCCUUACUUACAGAUUCGCACAUCAGGCCAUUUCGUGAAAUCGGAUCCAGCUAAUCAUCGGCCUGGUGAGCCGACUGAAUCGCCGGAAUGGAACCGUGUCUUUGCCCUCCGUCAUAGCAGGCUUGAUACGGCAAAUACAACGCUGGAGAUUGCCGUCUGGGACACGUCAUCGGAGCAGUUCCUCGGCGGCGUUUGCUUUGAUCUUUCCGAUGUACCAGUACGAGAUCCGCCCGAUAGCCCUCUGGCCCCUCAGUGGUACCGCCUCGAAGGCGGCGCCGGAGACCAACAACCAUCCAAAAUUUCUGGCGACAUUCAGCUCUCUGUUUGGAUCGGAACUCAAGCCGACGACGCAUUUCCAGAAGCUUGGUGCUCCGAUGCGCCACACGUGGCUCAUACACGCUCGAAGGUCUAUCAAUCUCCCAAGCUAUGGUACUUGCGAGUAUCAGUGAUAGAAGCGCAGGAUCUUCACAUUGCUUCAAAUCUGCCUCCAUUAACGGCACCGGAAAUCCGAGUCAAAGCCCAACUGAGUUUUCAGUCGGCUCGGACCAGGCGAGGUUCCAUGAACAACCACAGCGCCUCAUUUCACUGGAACGAGGACCUUGUCUUCGUUGCCGGUGAGCCUCUUGAAGAUUCCCUGAUCUUACUUGUUGAAGACCGAACAAGCAAGGAGGCCAUACUCCUCGGCCACGUCAUGAUUCCAGUGGACACAGUGGAACAACGGUUCGAUGAGCGAUAUGUGGCGGCGAAAUGGUAUUCCUUAGAAGGCGGCAAUGGUGGUGAAACAUACAGCGGCAGAAUCUAUCUCCGACUCUGUUUGGAGGGUGGAUAUCACGUGCUAGAUGAGGCGGCACACGUGUGCAGCGAUUUCCGGCCAACGGCGAAGCAGCUGUGGAAGUCGGCUGUUGGAAUUCUGGAGCUGGGGAUUCUCGGAGCACGGGGGUUGCUUCCGAUGAAGACGAAAGAUCCAGGGAAGGGGUCCACCGACGCUUACUGCGUCGCAAAGUACGGGAAAAAGUGGGUCCGAACCAGAACGAUGACGGACAGCUUUGAUCCACGUUGGAACGAACAGUACACGUGGCAAGUUUAUGACCCUUGCACUGUUCUCACCAUUGGCGUCUUCGACAACUGGCGAAUGUACUCGGACGCGUCGGAGGACAAGCCCGAUUACCACAUUGGAAAAGUUAGGAUUCGGGUGUCAACCCUUGAAAGCAACAAAAUCUACACAAACUCGUAUCCUCUGUUGGUGUUGCAGAGAACAGGGUUGAAGAAAAUGGGUGAGAUUGAGCUAGCCGUCCGGUUCGCUUGUCCGGCAUUAUUGCCGGAUACAUGUGCAGUUUAUGGCCAGCCAUUACUUCCAAGAAUGCACUAUCUCCGUCCUCUAGGGGUGGCUCAACAGGAGGCUUUACGCAGAGCCGCCACAAAGAUGGUGGCAACUUGGCUAGGCCGGUCGGAGCCACCAUUGGGCUCGGAGGUGGUUCGAUACAUGUUGGAUGCAGAUUCACACGCUUGGAGUAUGAGAAAAAGCAAGGCGAAUUGGUUUAGAAUUGUGGCAGUUUUGGCAUGGGCGGUUGGAUUGGCCAAAUGGUUGGAUGAUAUCCGAAGAUGGAGGAACCCCAUCACCACAAUGCUUGUUCAUAUACUGUAUUUAGUGCUCGUUUGGUACCCGGAUUUGAUUGUCCCAACUGGGUUUCUCUAUGUGUUCUUAAUUGGAGUGUGGUACUACCGGUUCAGACCGAAGAUACCCGCUGGAAUGGACACUCGGCUGUCGCAUGCUGAGGCAGUGGAUCCAGACGAACUAGACGAGGAAUUCGACACAAUUCCGAGCUCAAAGCCACCGGACAUAAUCCGGGUAAGGUACGAUCGACUAAGGAUACUAGCUGCUAGAGUUCAAACAGUGUUAGGGGAUCUUGCUACUCAAGGGGAGAGGGUACAAGCGUUGGUCAGUUGGAGGGACCCUCGAGCCACAAAGCUGUUCAUUGGGGUAUGUUUCGCCAUCACAUUGAUCCUCUAUGCGGUGCCGCCCAAAAUGGUGGCAGUUGCACUCGGAUUCUACUACUUACGUCACCCCAUGUUCCGGGAUCCUAUGCCAUCGGCGAGUCUGAACUUUUUCCGACGACUUCCGAGCCUAUCGGACCGGUUAAUGUAGGGUAGAAUAGUAAAUGAAGUAUUAAAAAGUGUAUUUUUUUAUCCACCUCUUUGGGUGGGGUUUUCCAUAAUUAGAACCCCAAAUUGAUGGGGCGAUUGAGUUCGUCACUUGGUGACCGGUAGGGACAAAAAAGAAAAAAAAAAGAUCAACUGGUUGAGUUGAAAAAGAUGUCCCAGAAAUAACAUGGUAAAGUGUGAAAAAGGAGUUGGGAAAAAAGUAACGAGCUGUCAUCAUGUUCUUUUGUUCUUGGAGUUGGAAUUCGAUUGACUAACACUAUUUCAGAUUUUGAAAUAAGAGACGGAAAUGGUGGGAAAAUAGAGUAUUUGAUUGGGAAGCAAAGUCCGUAGUCUGUUGUAAUUGUGUCUUGAAAAGUUAGAACAUCACAAAUGAUAUCAUCCUCUUAACAUAUCAGGUUUUCUUCUACUAUUGGUAGGCUUUGAAAAAGAUCAGAAUAAUACGAGAGCUUUUCUUUCUUUCUUCUUUUUUCUUUUUUCUUUUUGUUUAACUUAUUGUUAUGAGUAUUUCGAUUAUUUUGUUUUACACUUAGUGUUGAAAAAUGGCUUUUAAGAAAUGAGGGCCACCAGAUAUGUGAUUACCAAGUCAUGUGGCUGAAUUCUCGGCAACCUACAGCAAUUUCUGGCCAUUGGGUUGCCAUAUUUAUGGAAGUGAGGCGUAGAUCCAAUAAUUGCACCAAAUUGUUCGUUCAGUUUGCCUUCAAUUCUGUCGUGGAAGAGAGUAACUAUUGGUACGGACCUCACUGCAAUUACAGGUUUUCUUCUCUCUCUCUCUCUCCACUAUUUUAAUAGUUGAAUGAAUUGGCUCAUGUUCUGGAUCUGAUUUACUUUCACUCUAAUUUCUAUGAAUUCUCUUCGGGGUUUCAUGUUCAAAACAUUGAUCUCUGAUUCCCUCAUCAAUGAUUUAUGCCAAUUAAUAGUUGAAUGUUGCCUUUUAUUUUAAAAAAAAAAUUACUCCCACUUUGACAUUUAAUUAAUGUUUCCAAACUGAUCUCUGUUUUAAUAAAAAUUGGUACUUAGGAGUACGAGUAUGGCUUAGAAAUUAUAUGCAUUACUAUCAAAACGGCAGGGACCAUAACAUAUAUAGUUAGCCGCAUCUUACGUAUCAAAGAGGGUUUUGAAAUUGUAGACCACUGUGGUCUAUUUUUAGGAAUGGGGGCACCAAAAUUCAUAAAAGGUGGGUGUACAAGUUUACAAAUUUAAGAGUUAUGUGAACUAUACAUGACCCACAACGCUCGUGUUCGCCACACCCUACCUAUUAAAGAGGUUUCUCUUCCUAUACACUAUUGUUGUUUUUUUUUUUAUAAAGAGUGGGGCAUAAACCUAGUAUCAAAGUGGUAAUUCUUUAAACGGAUUUCUAGUUUUAGAGUAGUUUUGAAAUGUUAAUGUAAAGUUAAAUGGAAAAGGAUAAAGUUUAAUUAUAAUUUAGCUAAUAUGAAAGUGAGUCAUCUAUAGGUAAAACAUCAGUAACACGUUUUAGAACGGUUGGAAUGUUUGACAGAUUAAAUAAUGGGAGAAACGUCAGAAGAGAAGCACGAGGGUGAGGUCGAGAAGAAGGAGAAGAAGGAGAAGAAGGAUAAAGAGAAACAUGGAGAAGAAGGAGAAGAUGAAGAGAAGAAGAAGAAGAAGAAGAAAGAGAAAGACCCUGCAGAUAAGAAAGAUCCUACAAAACUAAGACAAAAGCUUGAGAAGCUUGAAGUCAAAAUGCAGGCUUUGGCUGUCAAGAAAGAAGAGAUCUUGAAAUUGCUCCAUGAAGCUGAACAGAAUCCACCACCUUCCUCUUGAAUCCUUUCCUUCUACACUUUCAAUUUUCAGCCAUACAUUUUUUUUCCUUUCAAGUCUAUCUUGAGCUUAAUAAAUACAUUUGUUCUUUUUUGACAAAGUGCACUUUCAUUACUUUUAUAUGAAAAUAUGGUAUCUUAGUUAUAUACUAAUGUGAGAUUUUGGUCGCAAACAAAAUAUUGACCAGAAGAUUAGAAAUGCAUGAACUAACAAAAAAAAAAAAACGUCCCAUUGAGUUAUUGAAUAAUCAUGUGAAUUUACUAUUAAAAAUAAACCAUAACCGAAAAGAAUUCUAUGAAAAAUGAAAUACAAAUUUGAUCUAAUGUGAUUUAUAUAUAUAUUAUAUUUAGUAUUAAGUUCAUAUAUUAGUAGUUCCUACCAUGUUAUUAAAUUGUAUAGAAAAUUUUACCAAAUUAUAUAGACUAAAUUCUAUCUUUUAAUUUUUUCCAAUCUUUGAUAUCUCUAAUCACCUAGAUAAAGAGGGAAAUACACAUUAUAAAGCUGAUUUAAUUAACACCAUAUUUAUUUUCAUAAUUACACAAAAAAGACAUUUAAAACUAUCAUAACACACCUUCUUCAAUCAGCUUCUUGCAACCCACCCAGCACCACCGAUCCAACUAACAAUCCGGCAGCCCCAAGCGCCAAUCCACCGCCGACCACCGCCUGCAACGCCACAAGGGCCACCGAAUCAUCGGGAAUUACAACAAUGGCCACCAGCGCCGCAACCAAAAUGGGAAGUGCAAGAGAAGCCAAAGCGGAGGGAGAAGAACUCGCAACUUUCUCAAGCAAGCUAAGAAGCCCUAAUUCUUCAGCUUUAGAGAAAACCCCUAACUUCUCAAUGGAGGAAAGCGUAAACCCUAAUUCCUCCGCCUUCGAUAACAACCCUGCUUUCUCAACAUUGCUAAGAACUUUCUUAGUCUCAAGCUUCUUGAACACAUCCACUUCCACAUCCUCCGCACUCUCGUAAAAAAUUCCAGCUCCAAACCAUUUCUUCUCCCAAGCAUCGUCGUAUUUGUUCACCUGAAUCCAUCAAUUUCCAUAUAAUUUUUUUUUUUUUAAUCAGCCACUAGCGUUGAUGGACCGAAAGAGAAAUUAGAAAGAGUUGCAGUGUACCUUCUUCUGAGGGGCCAUGGCGAAGAUGGUGAGUGGAUUGGAUCUGGAAGAAGAGAAGGGGCGGCGGCGGGCAUAGUUAGAGAUGUGGUGGAAUCUGGAAAUGGAGAAACGGUUGUGAAGGUGAGAGAGAGGAGCAGUGGAGGAAGAUGGAGAUUGUGAAGUGACCGCCAUUGUUGAAGAGGAAAGGAAGCUUAGGUGUUGUUCAGCUUCAGCCACGAAUUAGUGGAGAGAGGAGAAGUUUUGACAUUGUAUGAUAGAGAGAGAUCUCCAAGUGUAAUCUGCUGUCCAUUCAUCUCCACCAAUCAUAUCCUCCAUUGCUUUAUCUCAAUUUCAAAUCAAAUUGAAGAGAUUUUGUAUUGGGCCGAUGAAAGGAACAGGCCCAAUUAAUAUGCACCGAUGACGAAUACUCUCGGCCUGUCAGAUUCAAGGCCUAAACGGCCCAACGGUAAGGUCCAAAACCCACAUUUAAUGAACCUGAACAAUGCCUCCUUUUUCUCUCCUCCCACACUCUCAACAAAAACAAGUGUGAGAAUUUAUAUUUUGUACUAAUGUAAUUAACUUGACAUUUGGUGAUUAUUCAUGAUUUUAGUGAAUUACACAUACAUAUAAUCAAUGUAUCAAUACUCUAAAUCUUUUAGAAACUAACCUAUCAUAUCUUAUUGUAACAAUUGCAUAGAAAAAGUUCAACGGUCCAAUUUGUACUUUAGAGGUAGUUUUUGGUAUAGAUUAGAGAAAAAGAUGAAAUAAUAUUAUUAGAGAAUGAAUACAAUGAACUUGAACGAGAAGCAGAAGCAGUUUGUCAAAUUGUGAAGGAAUUCUAAAAUAUACAAAAUUUGAUUUUGUCAUUGUUGAAAAUUAUAAGGUCACAUUGCAAUAGCAAUUCCAUGAAAAUGUGGUCCUCCUCAUCCCACUUUAUUAUUAUUCUUAUUAUUAUUUUCCAACUUUGGAUACUUAUACUCAAAGUUUCCAUUUUAUAUUUAUUAAAACAUAUAUAAUUAUAUAAAAAAAAAUUACUAUUGUAAAAGAUUAAUUGAGAGUUUGAUAUGAUGAUUUUUAAAAGUGUAUGUCUUUGUUUUGUUGUGACUAAAGAGAGAAUUUUAUCUUUAUCUAAUUGAAACUGCUUUUUGAAUUCAUCAUGAUGUUUCUUUGAUCCCAUCAAAAGUGGUUUUCAAAAUUGAUUAGAAAAUUAAGACAUGUUAGACUAACUACUAAAAAUUAAAAUGUUUCUUUCAAACUUUUAAUUUGGAUUUUAUUUUCAUUGUUAAUUAAAAUCUUUCAGACCUAUUGAUUUCAUAUAAACUAAUUAGCAUCCCAUAUUAAUAUACAUUAGUCUAAGAGUUUCAUGUAAAUUAAUUUUAUCAACAUUUGUAACAUAUUGUGUGUUGAUUAUAAUUACCAUUGAUGAACAUUAUGCUUAGAAAAUGAUAAAAGGAAAUAUAUAUAUAUAUAUAUAUAUAGCCUAUAGGGUAAUUGAAUAAAAACCAUAGAAUAAAUCAAAAGAAUAGCUUGUCCCCCUCACCCACACAUAAUUUUAGAUAACAUCAAAUCUCGAUUUAAAAAAUAUAUAGUUUAUUCUAUUAUCAUUUCAAAUAGUUUAACAUGUUUAUUAAUAUACUACGUUGGAACGUAUGCUAAACUCACAUAUAGAUUAUCAACUUGAGUAUCAUUCAACUGGUUAAUACAAACGUCUUCAAACAAAAAAAAUAAAGGAUUUGAAUAAUCCAACUGCAUAGAUGUUGAACUAAAAACUUUUACAUAUAAAUGAACUAGGAUAACGUAUCAGACGAUACGAAUCUUGCAAAAGAUAAGAAAACAAAUGAAGUAGAAAAGCUUGAUACGAGUGGAUAAAGAUAAUAGAAUAGACGAAGUAGAAGAGUUUGACUUGGGUCCAUAUGUGUUCAUUCAUAGUCACAUGAGUGUCAACCAUUUAUAUUACACAUUUUUAGCUAUGUUAUUUUUAACUGCACAUAUUUUUAUCUACGUCACAUCAAACAAAAUUUACUUUUAAAAGUUUGCAAACGGAUAUAUAUAUAUAUUUUUGUUGUCCUAAGCUUUACAAAAUCAUAUCAAUAUAAACUUUUAGUUUUUGUAAAUAUAUCAAUUUACGUUCUUUUUUAAAAGCGUGUUGUUGUAUUUUUAAUAAAUGAAUUAAUUUUAAAUUCUUCUUUGAAAAUCACACUUGUUAAAAUCGUAAAAGUUUUAGUUUAUAUAGAUAUAAAUUAUAGAAAAUUAUUUCAGAGGUAAAAACAUAUAAAAUAUAUAUAAUAGAUUAUUUUGUCAUAUUUAAAAAUAAACAUAUAAUUAUUAACAAAAAAAACUUAAAUAGGGAAAUUUUUAAAAUACAACCCAAAUAAAUAAUAUUUAUGGAAAAAUAUAAUGAGUGAUUAGAACUAAAAAUGGAAAAAGAAAAAAAAAAGAAUGUAAAGGAAAAUUAGAAGGAUAGAAAAGUUAAAAAUGUGGAGAGGAGAAUGGGAAUUUAAAAAGGAAAUGUGUAGAGGGAAGGGACAGGUGGAGCCCUAAGCACAUGACGUGGACCAAAUGGUAGGACCACGUAAGAUGGUGGGCAGCCGAUAAACGAGUGACAUGUGCCCCUGACUCACCCUUAUUUUUCUUUUCUAGAGAUGAAGAUGAUGAACUCGGCCCCAUGACUCACUCCGCCAAAUCAUAGAAAGCGACUGAUUGGACACGAUUCCUUUGUUUUCUGCCUCACCUUUCUCUCCUUUGCCUCGUUGUCAUCUCCAUCCCCUCUCUCUCUCUCCUUUAUUCCCUCAAUUUCCCUUUCUACCCCUCUUCUCUUCUCUUCUCUUCUCUCCCUCCAAACACAUCAAAUUAUUCAUACAUUCAUACUCUUCGUUCAUGUGUCUCAUCCUAAACUCACAACGUUAUGUAUAUAACAUAUUGAAAGAAAUCCCACGUAUACAUCUUUUUGUAUAUAUAUAGUAUAUUAGUUCCUUCAUAAAUGCUCCAACAUCGUGUGUGUGUGAGACUUAUACUUUGAAUGCAAACAAGAGAAAAAAUAAACGUAUUGUAGAGAACAUAUGUAUGUUUGUAUUGAACUCAAAGUAUGUCGAUAUUUCAUUCGAUUAGGGUUUUAAUUAAAUGGGGAGGGAAGGAUUGAGAAGGGUUUGUAUAUUUCAAAUGGAUAAAAGAAAGAAAAGGGAAACAUAUAUAGUAGUGAAAUAUAUAUAAUAAACCAAGAAGUUUGAUCAUAAAAUGGGCAUAAUACAAAAUGUGAAAGGGACCAAGAAAAAGAAAAUGAAGAAAGUUGUUUCAAUGGUGUGUCACAUGCAAUUAUUUUUCUAUUUAUGCAUAAUAUCAAAUGCUUGUACUUUGCACUUUUAGUUUGAUGGAGUAGAUACAAAUACAUCUUUAUUUAUUGCAUUUCAAUAUUGAUUCUUCUUUUUAAAGGGUAAUCUUCACAUGAUUCUCAAUAUAUAUAAUCUAUCCGUUUUUAAAAAAUAAUUAAAUAUAUAACAAUAUUUUAAAAAUUUACUAAAAAUUUAUUAUUAAUAGAUAUAAUUUUUUAAAAUAUUGCUAUAUAUUUAAUUAUUAAUUAUGUUUUUUUUAAUGAAAAAUCAAUUAAACUAGGUAGAAGUCAAUGUUUUUUUUAUUAAGGAAAAAGUUGCAAAAUUUCAAUAUAUUGUACGAAAGGAAGAAAUUGGAUAAUUGAAUUUAGAAAAACAAUCAUUUCAAAUCAAUGGAAAAGAUGGGUGGUUGAAAUUAAUUAGAAUUUAGAAGCAACAAACACUCUUUUUUUUUUUUCUUUUCAUCUUUUUCAAACAAUGAAAUUUUAAUUAAUGAGAAAAAAAAUAUGAUUAAAGUAUAAGGAUAUUAAUGAUAUAUUCAUUAAUCUUGAAGCAACAAUAUUAUUGUCAAACAAUAUCUCUUCCACAAAUUAUAUCAUCAUACAAAGUUUAUAAAAGAAAACUUUUUGUAACACCUUUUCUUUUUAGUUUUUAAAUUUCAGACGGUUGAUCAAAUAUAGAUAACAAAAGAAGAAUGUUGGAAGCGGAAAUUACGUCCGUAAACUUAAUUUUCUAUAAAGUGUAAAUAUUUUGUUAAAUGUUCUAUAUUUGACUAUUUUUCUUAUUAUAAUUCUUUUAAAUUAAUUAUUAUUAAUUAACAUUUAAGACAAAAGAACGAUUAUUUAGGAAAAAUUGAGGCUAAUCAUGUUUUAUUUUUGUAGUCUAUAGAUCAAAUCGAAACAAAACUUAAAUCUUAAAAGGUAAGAUGGUAGCAUUUUGAAUUCUAACAAGUAGAAGGACCGAAAAGAUAUUUUGUCGAAAUUCAUUUAACAUAUUUUCACUUUAUUAAAAAAUAAAGAUUUUAUAAAAAUUCAUACAUAUAUAAGUUCAAUAUUUCCAACCUAUGAUAUUUUUCAAAAAAGAAUUAUUGAUUUAACGUAAACAUGGUUUCAAUUUGGGUAUAUUCUCUUGUCGUCCACAUCGAGAUUUGAGGUUUGGUUCCGCUACAUCACACAUUAAAAACAAAUACCAAACACGAAGUUUGAUUCCCUUUAUCUUAUACUUCGUGAAAGAAAUUAGUUAUUUAUUUAGAAUAAUUUAAGUUUUAUUAAUAUCGAAAUAAACUUCACAUUUUUAUGUAGAUAAAUCUCAUUAGGACUAUAUUUUGUGUUGAUAAUUAAAAUACAUGUAAUAUACUUUAUUUUAAAAUUUAUAUAUAGAGGGUAUUAUGAUCAUCUCAUUUGAUUAAUUUGGGUUGAAUGUUAGGUUGGCAAAACAUAUAUUAUUGGGGAAACAUUAUGCUUCUCUCAUGCCAUUAUUCACUCUACCUCAUGUUAGCUCCUUUGACAUGCAUUAAUCAACAUUCACAUUUUCAUGCAUAAUUCUUUUUCUUUUUCUCUCUUUAAUAACAAUCAUAAUUAUUUAUUUUUCAAUAAAUACACCUAUACAAUUAUUCUCAUCUCCUAUUAUUAUUCUCUUUUUUCCUCUUCUUUUUUUAGAAAAUAAUCUUCCAUUCUAACUAUAUUAUGGAAUCAAAAUUCUAUAUAUUUGAGUUAUAACGUCACCAACAUAGUUAAUAAUAGUAAAAAACACAUGUUCAUUUUCUUUGAAAUUGAAAUCUUGAUACUUACAUUUUGUUGUAUACUAAAACCAAAAUUUGACAUUAUUAUCGACUAAAGUUUAUAGAAUCUAAUUUUAUUGUCAUCUAAUUAACCGGAGUCUAGUAGCGUAAAAUCUUACUCAACCGUCACUCACUUAUUGUUCUUGUUUUUAGAAGUACAUAUGACGACAUUUUUUCUAAUUUUGAUAGUAGAAUAAUCGAAUAUCUAUAAAUUUUAUGUCAGUUGAGUUGUGCAUGUUUGAGUUCACAGUAAGCGAGAUGUUUUGGUCGUGUUUUUAGUAAACAUUUAGUUUUGAAAUUUUAAUAUUUGAAAUUAUUGUUUUUGUUUGAGACAAUAAAUUUAAUUUAAUAGAGAGAGAAAAAAGAAAAAGAAAUUAGUUGUGAAGUAGAAGAAGCAAAAAAUGGUUAAUACAAAUAGAAAUAAGGAUUGAGGCACAAAAACAAACAAGAAGGGUAUUGUGGUAACUACAAACUUGAUCAGAAGCUUUCUGCUGCUGCCAUUAAAAGCCCACCAAGUUCAUCGUCCUACGAAGAGAAGAAGAGGGAAGGAAGAAAAAAAGAAGAAGAAGAUUCUCUUUUGUUAUCCUACAAACCCAUAAAUCAUUUCCUCUCAAUUUUCCAUUUCAAUUUUUGUAAAAAACUCAUCUCUUAAUCGUUCUUCUUCUGAGUGAUGGGUGUGAGCUGCCGUUGUUCCCACACUUCACACAUCACUGAAAUCAUAAUCACCAGCUUUUUUCGCCAUAAGCCUUAAGAUUAACCCGCACAAUUACAGACCCACUGGAUAAAUUUUAUCCCUUUUUCUUGAUGGCUGUUUGAAAAGAAGGAAUCAUUUCUUUUUAUUUAGGCUUAUGGCGGGCCGGAGAGUCUACGGCGGCGACGACGGUGGUAGUAUAAGUGGUGGUUCUUCUAAUCAUAGUGUUUUACUUCAGAAUCGUUGUGGGUCUUUUGCUUCUGAGCCUCUUAAUGCUCUGUUCCUUUCUGGGUCUUCUUCUUCUUCCUCCCCUUCUCUGCUUGGUAACUCUCUUCUUCUUUAUCUUUUCAGUUCUUGUCUCUGUUUCUUUGAUUUCUUUCAUGUUUCUAUGUGGAAUUUAUGGUUUUGUUUACUCUUUUGGUUUCUCUAUUAAUUAUGAUUGAAAAAAAAAAAGCUUUGUAUCUGUUGAAUUUUCAAUGAUUUUUUGGCUGUUUGAAUUGGAUCAUUAAUCUCUGAUUUUGAGAGUAAAUGUAAUUUCCUUUUCCUGAGUUUCUUUCUGAUUUAAGUUUGUUUUCUGUUUGUUACCUCUGUUCAAUUUUGAAGCAGAAUGUGUGAGAUUGAUUGAUAUCAUUUGACUUGUAUCACUUGUUGAGUAGAACUUGUCUGCUUGUUUUGAGAUGAUAUUUGAUUAUCACUUCUAGUGUUUUUAAUGUAAAUUAAACAGAUUCUGUUGUUAGGCUGAUGUAAAUGGCGCAUUAAAUAGACGUUGUUCGAUUACAUACAUGCCCAAGUUGAUCUUCUUGACAGAUUGUUCUGGUGCAGGUUCAAGAUCCAUGAUGAGUUUCGAAGAUAUUCGUGGAGGAAACGGAUCGAAUAGAUCGUUCUUUUGCCCGUUAGAUAGUGAAGAUAAUGGGGAUGAAGACUUGGAUGAUUACUUCCAUCAUCCUGAAAAAAAGAGGCGAUUAACCGUUGAUCAAGUCCGGUUCCUCGAGAAAAGUUUCGAGACCGAGAACAAGCUCGAGCCAGAAAGGAAAGUUCAAUUAGCGAAGGACCUCGGUCUGCAGCCUCGUCAGGUUGCUAUAUGGUUUCAAAAUCGCCGAGCUCGGUGGAAAACUAAACAGCUGGAGAAGGACUACGAGGCUCUUCAAUCCAGCUAUGGAAGCCUUAAGGUUGACUAUGAAAACCUACUCAAGGAGAAGGAUUCACUAAAAGCUGAGGUAAAAUUUUAAAAUGUUCUUGAAAUUUCAAAUUUCAGUACCAUCAUUACUUAUUAAGCGCUGUUGGGUUUUCAUGAUUACUAAGAAACAGUAAUUACAUGGAUAUAUAUUGCAGAUUCUUCUCCUAACAGACAAGCUGCUACACAAAGAAAAAGAAAGAGGAAACUCUGUGCUGUCUGAAGUUGACAAAUUUGGUGAAGAAUUACCACACAAUCUGGUUGCUGAUUCAAAUUUGGAGGAUGAAGUUUCCAAAUCUUCAAAGCUGGGUUGUAAGCAAGAGGAUAUCAGUUCAGUCAAAAGUGAUAUAUUUGAUUCAGAUAGCCCACACUACACUGAUGGGGUUCAUUCUUCACUUCUAGAGCCUGGAGAUUCUUCCUAUAUUUUCGAUCCUGAUCAGUCCGACUUAUCGCAGGACGAAGAAGAUAACUUGGGAAGGAAUCUAUUGCCUCCUUAUAUCUUCCCAAAGCUCGAAGAUGUCGAUUACUCUGACCCGCCCACAAGUUCUUGUAAUUUUGUAUUCCCCAUUGAAGACAAUGCCCUUUGGUCCUGGUCUUUGUGAGUCUUUUUCCAUGUGCUUUCCUUUACCAUCUUCAUUACCUAAAACCAUGUUUUUCUAGUAAUUUUAAGUCUAAAUCCAAGCAAUGGUAGCUCACGGCCAUAUGUCGAUCCUAGCCGAGCCGGGUUUAGUUUCUGUCGACGAUUUCGAUCCAUCCUGUAAUCUUCUUGGGUUUUGGUCGAGGGUGGUUUUUAUUGUUAAAUAAUCCUUGUUUCCUUUUGAAUGUGAUUAAAUAAUAUCUUCUCAAUUAUGUUGCCACCUUGAAGGGAUGCUGUUCAUUCACCCUAUCAGCUUGUUGUUGCUUUUGAAGAUGUUAAGGUUUUUCAAAUUGAAUGCCAUUAUUUUCACUGUAUUUUGAGCCCCAUUUCAGAUGUUUGCUUGGGUCUCUCUUUCUAGACCUUAAAUCUGUAGGCUUUUUGUUCACAAUUGUUAGAAAUCACAAAUCAGAACAAGCAAAUAAUGGAUGGCUAAGGAGGCAAAAUGAUGAGAAGAAAAGGCUAAAUAUUUUUCUUCUGUUUUGUGGAGCAGUGUCUCCACAAACAAAAUGAAGACUGAUCUGAUACCUUAUGCUAUUUGAUGAUUUCUUUUUGAAGCAAUGUAAUGAAGAGAAAAGCUAGUUGACUUUAUCAUAUGCCAUUAAUGGGUAGCUUGCAGAAUCAUGUCACUAAUAAAGUUUCUUGUUCUGGUGGGGAUUGUUCUUUUUUUCUUCUUUUCUUUGAAGGUGUUGGCAGUCAACUUCAAGAUCCAAGCUUUGCUAUUGGACCAAAAUCAUCUUUUGAGUAUUGCACUCCAUCUAAGUCUAGUGACACAGUGACAACCACCAAAUAUAUACCCAAUACACCUGAAGAAUUUACAUCUUUGACUCAUCAUUUUAAUAGAAAAAAAAAAAUUAAAUUUGUAUAUGGAAUUAGUUUAUGGGUAUAUGACAGUAAACGUCCAUACAUUUUCACGAUAACAUGCUAUUGUAUACUUCGUGGAUAAACAUUCAUGGUGAUUUUGUUUUUUGUUACGUUUCACCUGCAAUUCCUCAUUUCUAGAGGAGAUGGUUGUUUUUUUACAUAUAUGCCAACUAUAUUCUCCUUAUCUAGCUAAUACAAGAUUUUGUUUACCUUUUCUGACAAAGUUGAUGUCUCAUAAAUCGAUAUAUAGUAUGUAUAAUUCGUUUAAAUGAUUUUGGACUAAAAAGAUAAAUUGAAUAAAAUAAAUAAGAAACCAGACCGAUCGAGACAAGGUCAUGAUUGGCUAAGAGAUGUAGGAGCAAGACUUUCAGGCCUCUGACCUCGGCCUAUGUACGGCCAAGGAGCUGAACUUCACACAAAGUGUGCUCAACACGCCUUCGAGACUAAGAAUCUUACAUAAGAUCCGAUCAGGUUAUCAGAUAACCAGAUUGCGAAAUGAAAUAGGUCUCAUUUGUAAAUGUAUUGUUAUAACUCUACGUGAGAUCAUUUGAAUCUUAUUGACUUCCACAUUUUAUCACUGACUUAAACAUCAUAGUGUGUACCCUAAACCCUCUCCUGGAAACAAAUUCAUUACAAAUGUGAAGUGAAUGUGUGUUCUCAUGUUUGAAUUUCACCAUCAACAUAAAAGAAGUAAAAUAUAAAAUUAACCAUUUCAUAGCAUACAUACCGUUAGUAAACUCACAUAUCAAACACAAAUUUCGCUUCAUAACUUCAUUUUUGCAAACAAAACGAAUCAACCCAUUGGUGAGUAAAAGUUUAGAGAGAAAAUGAAGGGAAUAAAAGUAUAAAAAGAAAAGAAAGAAAGAGUGGAGAGGAGAGGAGAGGAGAGGAGACAAAGCACAUGGUGAAGUGGUAAAGUUGAUCAGAAUCUGUAUAGUGUUGUUGUAUGAUGAGGCAUUAUUUAGAGUGGAAGAAGCUGUGUGUAUGUGUGUGUGUGUUGCAAUGGAACACAAAAUCACUUUAUUGUUAUAAACAUAUAUAUAAUGGAUGAGAAGAUGUAAUUAAAAUAAAUUGGAUAUUUCAUUAAUAAUAAUCAUUCUUAGCUUGAAUUUCUUCACUUUUUUUUUUUUACAAAAAAGGAAAACACAACAACAACAACAUAAUAAUAAUAAUAAAUGGUCCAUUUGAUGCUGAUUUCCCACUUACAUCCCAUUGCCCACAUAAAACUUUUGAGCUUAGUCAAAUUAUCCCAUCCAAUUCAAAUUAAAAAAAAAAGAAAACAAAAUUUUCUACUUCAAUAUAACCCAUACAUUUUUUCAAACUUAUUCCCAUCUUUUUCCUUACUUUCUCCAAAAUAUGAUACAACCAAAUUCUUAAUCCCACUCUGAUCAAACCCAUUCUUGAGAUCAAAUUCACAUUUACUAAUUAGAAAGAAGGAUUCACAUUUUGAUUGGCAGUGUUGUGAUGUAUGGAUAGAUAUGAUAGUGAUGAAAUUUGAAUAGACUUAUCAAAAUAAUAAAACAAAUUUAAGGGGGAGAUAUUAUAAAAUUAAGAAAAUAAAAAAGGGGGUACGUGGCGGGGAUUUAUUGGGGAAUAGAAAAGGUCAAGGAAACGGCAGAGCUACCUUAUCCGUUGACUGUAGAGAAUGGAGAAGAAAGUCGAAUGAGAGAGGGACGCGUGUCAGGUAAUAACCGGAGGUAGCCGGUACCAUGAAAGCCCGGAAGUGAGGGGAUUCGAUGGAUUAAAGCCACGUGUGCAUAUGAUGGGUACGAUCUUGUGAGAUUAAGGUUUUUGGCAAAAGGUGAGUUUUAUUAAAACGACACAACCGUCACCAUCAACGCGGGGACAGACAGUCACCGCACUAUGGUAAAAUUACAAAUUAUAAUUUUAAAAUAAAUAAAACCCUAAAGCCUCGUCUUGGAAUCUCCAUCGUGCUUGGUCCCACUGACGUGGACGUGCUUGACCACCUGGCAAACGAUCCGUGACUAGAUCAGACUCAAAACACCACCACCCCCCUGCCCCCACCACUUCCACCUAUUUAUUUCUUUUAUAAUUACAUACAUUAUAUAUAUAUAUAUAUAUAUAUUCCAUUUAUUAAUAAACUUGAGAAUGAAGUUUUGUUAUAUUCAAUUUUAAGUACAACUCAAUUGAUUGGAAAGGUGUGUAAUCUAUGGUAUUUCAAAGGUUAUAAUGUGAUCACAAACUACAUUAGUUUGGAAAGGUAACGAAGCAAUGGAAUGCAAAAUUCAUUAAAUGUGUGGACGUCACACGUGUAUUGAAGUCAUGACGUGUACCUCCUACUUUGUGUUGGGUUCUACUCCACGUCAUAUCCACAUAUUUCUCCAUCCAUCUUAUUUUGUCUACAUAAUAUUUUCAACAAAUUCAACCCUUAUUUCUUCCUUUCCUUUCCUUUUAUAACAUUAUUAUAUCUUAUCUUAAAUUUUAUCUACCGACGCUAUUACAUUCAAAUGUUUACACGUAGUUCCUUAUUAAUUUUUUCAGGAUCAUCCAACUCAAUUCAUGAACGUUUGUACCAAGUUGUAUCGCAUUAGGAUACAUACUACUGCUACUAAAUGCUUAAUAAAAACCGUUGUAUGUUAUAUUUUUUAAUUGGUCAAGGUGAUGCAUUUUCGAAAGAAUUUCUCUAUUUUCAUGUAUUUUUUUAAUUAAGCAAGUUCAUUUUAUUUAUAAAAAAAUGUCUCCAUUACCAUUACCAUUACCAUUACCAUUACCAUCUAUCGUUUUAAAUUUAUUAAUUGAAAUGUUAGCAAUGACGAUAAAACAAACAAUUUUAAUUCGAUAGUUUUGUUAUUUAAUUUUUUUUAAUAUUAAUCACUUUUAGUUUUUAGAUUUUGAAUAAAAGUGUGAUUGAAAUAAAUGGUUUUUGAGAAACUUCUAAAUAUAAAUAAUGCAAUUGAACAUGACAUAAGAACAAUAAAAUUAAUUUGUUAUAAAUUAAAGUAAAAAAAUGGAUUAGUAUUAAUUUUAAAAGUUAUAAAUUUUGUAUGAGUUUAAUUGAUAAAAUUAUAAAUUUUGUUAGUUAUUUAUGUAAACAUAAUGUAAUGAGGAAUAUAAAUGGAUCAAUCUACCAAAGUUUAGGAUUCUUUUUCUUUUUGCUACAUUAGUCAUUUUCUUUUGUAUAGUAUGGAUUAGUAUUAAAUUUAAAAGUUAGAUUAUAGAAAUGAGCAAAAUAUGAGUACAUCCAUCAACAUUCAAACUACCUACGUUUUGCCCAUACACAUAUCUCAAUAGUCAACAAUAUUCAGUAUGGAUGUCACCAAAAACAUUGCAUCAUAUAAUAUAUAUAUUAUAAAAUUAAAACUUAUAAACCGAAUAGUUACAAAAGCAUUCGAUCUCUUGAGACGGAAGUCAUAUCAAUAUCAUCACUAAGUCAAACUCACUUUAAUCAUAAGUGUAGUUGGACUCAUUUUGAGGGAAAAAGAACGCUUAUCGCAUCAUACUUUCAUAACCCAAAGUAAAAUGCAACGAAAACACAAAGUAGGGAUGGUGAGAGAUUAAAUUUACAACUUUAACUUAAGCAUGAAGGAAGAGGCAAAUUGAUGGAAUGUGGUGUGUUUGAGGUUGAAUUUAUGAUGAAGGGUCCAAAAUAUUUGGUUUGGGGAAUGAAUUAGCUUUUCUCCAUCAGAUCAUAAGGCUAUGGGAGACCUUCAAUAAUGGCCGUUUCACUCUUUCAUUCACACCUUAAAAUUUGAUCUUCUCCUUCAACAACACCACUAGCUCUUGCUGAAAAGAAAGAACAAAACAACCAUACUUAUGUUAUGUAAUCAUUACAAUUUUGAAACAAUGUUCGAUUUUGUGUUUAAUGAAUUCAUAAUUUUUUUUAUAGCUCGUAGUAAAGGUUUUCAAAUAACCCGAUAAUCAGAAUAACUCAAUCUAUCCAAUUCAAAUUGUAAGAAUUUGGUUGCAUUAAGUUUUUUAUGUUUUUCUCGAUUCGAUUGAAUUCAAAUUAGCUUUUAAAUAGUCUAAGUUAAUCCAAUCAAACCCGAAUUUCUUAUUUUGUUAAUAUAUAUAUAAAAUUAACCCAACGAUCCAAUCCAUUUACACUCUAGCUCGUAAUACUACGAUUCUCAACAUCACUAACUUCAUAUUUAUUACUCAAUUCAACUUUAAUUUAUAAAAAUUACGAUUAUAACCUUAUUUCUAUUUGGUUCUUAACUUCUCAAAAUAAGACAUUUGAUCAUAGAGAUUAAGUUCUCAUAAUUCAUUAUUAGUUUCCAAAUGUAAUUUUAAAUCGUUGGAUUAUCAACGAUUAAGAAAAUCAAAAUCAAACUCAUCUAGAUUUUAUUGGGGUGAUUUUUUAAAAAACAAAAUUUAAAGUUAUAUAGAAAGUAAAUUGGAAUCUCAAAAACCUAAAGAGCCAAUUUGAAAAACAAUUGCCUAUAACUUACAAAAAGAGUAGUAAGUAUAGUGUUAGUAUUGCUUUGUCAACUUUCUUAUUUAAUAACAUAUCAAUAAGUAGACAUCUCAUAUGAAAUAAAUGGUUAUAGUUGAGUUUCAUGUAACAUCCAAGGCUACACCCCUAUCAUACCAUAAUUCAACCAUUUAAUAAUUGACACUUUUGACUAAAAUAUACUUAUGUCAUGUGUUGAACUCAUGAUCUCUUAGUUAUCGAGAUUCUUUAGCAAUAUGUCAACUCAAGAUGGUUAAAUCAUCUCUAAAAUAUAAGGUUAGUUUAUUAAACCUUCAAACUUUCAGUGAUAAAAAUUGAGCACUAAAACUUACGUAAUCGAACCAUCAAAUUUGUAACAAUCUUAUAAAUGCAAAUAUUCAAUUUUAAAACUAUGUUUGUUUUGGUAAUUUAGAAAUAUGAAUUUUAAGUGUUUGUUUAGCUCUUAGAUUAUGAAAGCCCACUCCAUGUUUGCUCCACCGAUUAUCAUAAUCCUAGAAUUAUGACUAUUCUACAUUUUUUAUUUUAUUUAUCGAAUCCUUCACUCUCCCUUUCACUAUUCCUCACUAUUCUUCACUCCCUCUUUCACGGUCUCCAUCUCUCUUAUGUCACUAUUUCUUACUUCUCCAACAGAGAUUAUAAUAAUUAAAACUAUAAUAAUCUGUAUCCAAACAUAAACUAUAAUAGUCAUAGAUUAUAAUAUCUCACUUCAUGCCCAAACUUGUGGUAGAAUGUUAGGUAAAGGCACCCUAAAAUGUUAGGUAAAUCAGUAAGUUAUGAAUUAUAUAAUGAAUUAAAAAAAGAAAAGAGAGAGAGAGCUUACUAUUAAGCAAAGAAGAAUACAGCCGGCGGCACCAGGAAACAGAGCGUACCAGAAAUUGAGCUGUUGCAUCUUAGCUCCAUCGAUGAACAGUAUCGGCAAACUUGCAGCUGUUAACAUUACAAUAAAAAAAAACAAAUUCAUAUCUAUAAACAAAUCACAAACGAACACGAACAUUUACAAAUUGAGUGGCUUCGUUUUAACCUGGUGGGUGCGUCGAACCAGUAUAGAUCAUAAACGCCAUUGAUGCAGCCAAAGCAGAGCUUCUAGCCAGCCAUCCAGGCCCCAACAAAGUGAACGCCAAAACCCCAAUUGCCGCACACCCAAUCUGAGCCAGGAAAAUGUUGUAUUUCUGCGACCAAAAAAAGAAGAAAAAAACUCCAUCUCAGCAAAGAAAAAAAAAUGAACUUUUGGGUUCAAAUUAAAGAAAUUGCUAGUACUCGAGCUGCAGGGGCUGAGGGUGUUGCGAACAGGACAGCACAGACGGCUCCUAAUGGUGCAAUUGUCAUAGAAAGCCCCUUUGGGGCUAGAAUCUGAUCCAUUUUUCCCAGCAAUGCCAUUGCUGCAAAUGCUCCUGUUUCAUCAAUUACAAUACAAACAUUACCCAUCUCGUUAUUUUUCGUAUCGAAUUUCAGUUCCCCGACAUGGGUUUCAUGGAAAAGUUCUCAUAGAUUAUGAUUCAGAAGGAGCCUUCGAACCUGCAGAAGGCCAAAGGAUGUCACUGAGGGGAGGAGAAACAAAGCCUUUCUCUGGUUUUGACCCAUCUGAAACCGGUGUCCCAGCAAUGCUGGACGCCACAAUACUCCGGUGACCGAUUCGGUCGCUGCCCCUGUUUCGCCUUCUUCUCCAAUCGUUGAAUAGUCCCAAAGACCUAGCGGAAAUCCCUCGUUUUCCAUUCAAUAAAUGACAACUCGGCAGCAAAGAAACGAAUGAAUGGUUGAGCAUACAUCCCGAUGGAACUUGAAUAUUUUCUAUGUAACUGGGUUGAUACGGCUCAUUAUUGUGACAAUGGCGGCCGCCAUAGUGGUGGAGGUGGUGAUGAAUUGGCUUCAAUUGCAGGCUCAUUCCGGAUUCUACGCUUGACCCACCUCCAACCCUCUGUACUUCUAUCUCAACCAGACGUUUUGGAUAUUUGGCGACAAAAUAUAGGGAAGAUCGAGAAAACAGAGAAAGUAUGGGAAAAGCCGCAAAACGAAGUUUGUGAUAUACAAUAAAAAAAUAUAGAAAAUAGAAUAUUGUCAAUAGAUUAAUAGCAUGCAAUGUAAAUUCAAACGCGAAUCUGACAAAGACACCAUUUGGAGAGGAAUGAGAUUUCGGGAAAAGUUAUGAAAGAAUGGCAGAGGCUUGAAAAAAGUACUCGAAGCUGAGUUGCAGACUUGACCUUUGAAGACGUCCAAAGGUCAUUCCCAUAAAGAGACAACUCCAUUUCUGUAUCUUUGCCACUUCUCAAACAUUAGAAAAAAACCCCAAAAGCUAAAUCACAUUAAUAAUGGGAAAAUGAAUAAACAAUAGCAGCCUCUCUAUUUUUCUCUGUCCCAUCGUGCUUGUCCUUAUCUAGGAUUACUAAAAAAAUCUUAAGCACCCAAUCAAUGAAAUUGGAUUUAAAGUCUAGUUGCAUUUAAAUCACUAUUUGAAGUGAACAGCGACUGAAAGGGUCAGGAGUUUGACGAGGAGAAUCCUUUUGCAGAAGAAUUUGUCAACUCCUGAUACAGAUUUGACUGUCUUGAAAGUAUAUAACAGUAGAGAAAAAAAAAACUUCAUUUUUCUGUCAGGAAUGUCUAGUUGUAUAAAAGAAAUUAUUGGUUUAAAAUUUAGAGGAAAAGGAGACAGCAGAAUGUUAGUGGCAGUAGGUGGCAAAGUUUGGUGGCUUAGUGUUUACUUAUUAACGUGACGUUGAAACUUAACUGCUCUUUUGCCACAGCUUAAACAAAUAAUAAAAAUUAAUCAUUAUGAUGACAGCUUUCCUUCUACAAAACCAUACAUUAUCGGUAACUUCCCAGUCAAGACACGGUGAUGUUAAACUAUCAAACUCCAUGAUCUGUAUAUUUCAUUGAGAGAGAUGAAACAUUCAAGUGCUGCAAGAGAGUUGCAGAAGAUUAACGGAUCUGGGGUCAAAAUAAGCAUUUCUUUUACAGAAAGUUUCAAGAAUAAUCAGACUGAGACUCGUAGAAAUCACUAGGACAAGGUGACAUGACUUCUUGCUCAAGAAACUGUAAAACUUGACUCAUUGAUGGCCGAUUGUCUGGGUCGGCAUCCGUGCAUUUGGCUGCUAUUUCGAGAAUUGCUUCUACAGUAUCGGCAUCAACGUCCUUGCACCUUUUGUCAACUAUCUCAUCCAUUUUGUUUUCUCCCAAUAAUAUGUGCAUCUAUAAAAUAUCAACACAUUGCAACAGUGAAACUUUUGCGGCAGAAAAAGGAAACAAAUUAUGCACGUGAAUGUAUGUGUCUGUACAUGCGUGUCCUUGAACAUUACCUAAACUAAUUUUCUCGAAUAAAAUUCUGUCGAAGUUUCACUUGAUCUUAUUCAAUGGAUUUUAUCACUGUGAUUUUAGUUAGUGUUUAACCUGACUUCUCCUAAAGAAGUGUGCCACACAUUAAUUAUGGAACCGUGUAGAGUAAUGUUUUGGGCAGAAAGAACAGAUCGUUUUUAGAGCAUACCCAACCAACAACAUUUAGGCCUCGCUUUACAAAUGAUGGAUCCGUUGGUCUCUUCCCAGUCACCAGCUCCAGUAAUAAGACUCCAAAGCUAUAAAUAUCUGAUUUUUCAGUUGCCCUCCCACUUUGCAGAUAUUCUGCAUGGAAAUGAAAAAUUCAGCCAUUCAACAUACCAAGGAAAUAUUCUAAAUCAUUCAUGAAUUAUCGUAUCAAGCCUUUCUUUUAAAUACAGAACUAAUGAGCACUUGGAGCCAAAUAACCAAAAGUUCCAGCAACUACAGUUGUGACAUGAGCAUCAUCGUCAACCAAAAGCUUGGCCAGUCCAAAGUCAGAUACAUGGGGCACCAAGUUUUCAUCAAGUAGAAUGUUACUCGAUUUAAUAUCACGAUGUACGAUCUUUGGACAACAAUCAUGAUGCAAGUAUGCAAUCCCCCUAGCAGAGCCAAAGGCUAUCCUAAGACGAGCUCUCCAAUCCAAAGGCUGUCUUUCUGGUCCAUGUUCUGCAUGAAGUGCAAGAGAAAAGGAAAAAAGGAAUCAAUAUAAUCUGUUAGUAUUUUCAACACAUAUUGACAGGACAGUAUAGAUGGAUUCCUACGUCAUAUAGCUCUUGGCAAUAAACCAGUAGAAAUACUAGCCUAAAGAUCGAAAAAAAAAUAGGCACAAAAUCUUUCAGAACCACUGUAUAUGCCCAUGUUAAUGUCAUACCAUGCAAGAAAUCAUCUAAGCUGCCCAUUGCUAGAAAGUCAUAGAUAAGAAGCUUUGAAGUUGGAAGACUACAGUAGCCCCGCAAAUUGACCAAGUUUAUAUGUUUGAUGCAACCCAAAAUCUCCAACUCUCUCUCGAACACUUGAUCUGAACCUUUUCUGCUUCCAUCAAUCUUUUUCACAGCAAAGGUUCCACAAUCAUUCAUGACCAUCCGGUAUACAAUACCAAAUCCUCCUGAACCGACAACAUCUUCUUCAUCUAGUGACUCCAGCUUUUCUAUAAUCUCACAUGAUGGGUACGGUAGGUCACCAUGAAAAGUAAUAAGUUUUGUGCCUGUUGUACAGUGAACGUUUAGCAUCAGUUGGACAAUGCUUGAGAAGAAACAUAACCUGUCACAAGAACUGAGAAAAGAGGAUUACUUGGUUCAUGAACCACUUGUUUUUUUACUUCUGUAUAUCUCUUGACAGCUCUUUCCUUCUUUGAUAGCCACCGUAUCCACAGGAAUGGAACAAGCACUACAAGUGCAACACCCAUAGUGGACAUUGCACCAAUUAAUACCCCUUUGAUGUAGUGUGAAGACUUUUUCAUAGGAACUACAGAAAAUCAUGAGCAAGUAUGUUUAAGCAAGAUAUUUCAAGUUUUACAAGGCAAUAAAAGUGAUUCAAGUUGAAAUGUCAUUUCUCAGCAAACUAACCAGAAGCUUCAUCGCUUUCAGCAUGGGGCAACACUGCAGGGAAUCCCAGUGAGGUUCGGCAAGCCUUGUUAACUUGAUGACCACAGAGAUCUAGAUUUCCAAUGAACCUGCAGUAACACACUUAACUAUCAACACAACAAGCUUAGAAUCCUCCUCCAAUUGAAAAGGAAGGAAGAAAAUGGAGAUAAAAUUAAUGGAAGUAAUAAAGUAAAAUAAAAUAGACGGGCAUUAUUAGAGAGAAAAUGAGGAAGUAGAAAAUCCACAGCAAGUCUUCAAAUCAUUUAGUACCCUAUCAGAACCCUCGGUCUCGGACUCCCAUCCUCCAAUUUUAGGCAAUACCCCAUCGGUAAUAGUCCACUAUUGGAGUUCGGACUCUGAGGAAGAUAACAUUUUUUAAAGAUGUAGAAAGGGAGUAAGAAAAGUACUAGAUCCUUUUUAAAUUACUGCUUCAACCAGUGCCAACUGGAGGCCAAAUUUAUAAUGUCCCUUCACCCUGGUUAGAAGGAUGCUCUGUACUCCAAAGUUCCUAACGAGUACAACAUCCAUCUCGAUUAUUACAGUACAACUACACAGUUUCUUUAUAGAGAUGAUGAAAAUAAAUCCUAACUCUAGACUAUUUUUAGUAACUACCUGAUGAGAACAUAAAAAAUAAGUCCUAGAGUUAGGAAUGUUACUUGAUUAGACCCAUGCUAGUAAGUGAAAUCAUCGAUGCCGAUCGGCAAGGUGCAAGAAAUAUAGAUUGUCCAUGACAACAGGAAAGUCUCUUUUGAAUAACAAAAAAACACUUCAAAAGCCUUGUUCACAGUUCUAAAGUUUUAAAACUUUAGGAGGUUCAAGUUUUAGGUAUAGCCGUAUAGGAUAUCACAUUUUCAUAUAUGAUUCAACAACUUAGUAUGGGAGCAAAUUUAGGAAAAUACAUGUGACUGGAGUACUCACGAAUUGCUUCCAAAUGUGCUUAGAACUCCGAAAUCAGGUAUUUCCCCAGAGAAAAAGUUUGUGGACAAAUUCCUGUGAAUGAUAUGAAAACGAUAAAAUAACCAUAGGUAGAAGUGUUAAGUAAACUCUUGUUGUGCCACAGCUGCAGUUCAACUUACAAAUGACGCAAAAGCGAGAGUUGACCAAUGGAUGAUGGAAUAGCACCCUUUAACGCAUUGCUUGACAAAUCCCUAAUUUGAACCUCAAUAUUAAGAAAACAUGCAAUAAUGGUAUAAAAAGAGAAGUCCCUAACUUACUAAUUCAGUACAUACAAAUAGUGCCAAAAAGAAGAUCAAGCAACAUUUCGUCAAACAAAUUCAAUAUUAACAAAAUGUCCCCCAGUCAACUACGUGACUUAUAUUGACUGAACCAAAAUCUCAAAUAGAAUAUAAAGACAGAUUCAAAAAAUGCCAAACGAUUCAGGAAAACUUACAGUAUUGUAAGAGCAGAAAGGCUUCCGAUAUCAGAAGGUAUGCCACCUUGAAGAUAAUUAGACCUCAAAUACCUAUGAAGUUGGUAAAACGAUGCAUGAGGAGAUUGAUGAAUGUCUAUAGACUAUAUGAAACUAAUAGUUACAACACUCUUCACUUACAGAGCUCUGAGCUGAGUACAUUUGGUGAUUUCGCUAGGAAUAUUUCCAUGUAAGCCAUUUUCAUGAAGUGCACUGGUAUGGUUAACAUACAAAAGACAAUGAGAGAGAAGUAAGAUGGAAUCACUUUAAAUCAGAAAGUUUCUAAACUUCAGCUUCUUGCCCAUCAUACUAUUGGAGGAGGGAAAAUGUGGGGGAAGAAAUGAUUCGGUAGGACUUACAGUCUCUGUAAUCUACUGAGUUUACCAAUGCUGGGAGAAAUGAUCCCUCCAAGUUGCAUGUAAGGUAAGUUACUGAAACAUCCAAAAUCAAAAAAAAAAAAAAAAUCAACUUGGAGAAGAAACAAUCCGAACCUGAAAUAAAGGAACAAGGCAAAUCUGAAAGGUGACACCAUUACAUACAUUGAGCUAACCCGUUGGUCCUCUGGAUGACAAGAUAUACCAGGCCAUUUACAGGGAAACUCAUCCGAAGCUUCCCAAUCACCAAGGAGGUUUUUGCUAUCAUUAAACGCUCUUCUAAUUUCCAACAACGUUAAGCCUGUGAAAUGAGGAUUUAAGAACGCAGAAAUUUGCUUCGUACUGAUCGAAUCAUACAAAGGAAAAAGAAAACAGGCCUCAACAAACCAUCAAGCUACUCGUUCUCGUUGAUUAGUUCAAAAGCAUGAACGUAAUACCAUUUUCCAGCAUACCCAAAUGAAAAAAAAAAAAAGUGAAAAAUUAAAGAAGUGGAACAGGGGAGAAACGGAAAAUGAGAUUUACCAUCUGGGGUGAGAGCAAAAGUACAAAUGCUGAAAAGGGUUGAUAGUAAAAGCGAUGAAACAACCAAAACGAGCACACCCAUUUGAACUUUCUUUCAAAUUGUGGUUGCUGGAGUUGAGUUAGAUGAGGGUUUUGUUGAUAGUGAUGAUAAAAAGAGAAGAGUUGGAGUACGAAGGAAGGUUGUGAUGUGUGGUAAAAUGGAAAUGAAAGGAAGAAGGCGCCAUUAUUAAACCAAAUAAUCAUUUGAACAGAUGAGAGAGAGAGAGAGAUUUUAGUUUUCCUGCAAUUCAUGAGAGCAGAGUGGGCAGGCUUUUUGUCAAAGUGGGCAUUGAGAGUUGUGCAAUUGAAACGCAAACGAGAAAAUUCAAAAGUUAAUUUUGAGAUUUUUCCCUCAAUCGAUCAUCCGUCAGCACUUCGCUCCAAAUAAGGGACACCUGUUUGAUGGAAAAUUGCUUAAAUCAUAUGUAUACAAUGGAAACAUUCGCAGUAUAUUCCUACCACUUCUAUUCUUUUCAAUAUUUUCAUACUUUACCUUAUAGUUUAUUCAUUCUUUUUUUGAAAAAGAAACUUACAUAAAAAUCAUAAUCGUAACUUUUUCCAUUCUCCAGAUGGAAUUACUGUUCACAUCUUAAAAGGUUAAACUUGGAACUUUAAUUUUGGUGAAUACUUUUAUUUAUUUUUUAUUAAUCCUAUGUGAGAAAUUGCACAAAUCAAGCUUUAACAAUGGUAAUAGAAUUAAUUUAUAACCUAAUUUAAUCCAAAAUUCAAACAAGUCUAAUAUUUGAGAUGUAUUAUUGAUUUAAUUAGACUUCUACACAUCUUUUAAAUCGUACGAUAAAUUUAAGUAUUCUAUUUGUUCGCUUAUCAUUAUUUAAGAAGAGUUAAUUUAAUCAAUAAAUAUAAAUCAUAUUGUGAGAAACUCAAUUAACACAUAUAUAACGAAUAUAUAUGAAUAGAAACUCGUUGUAUAUGACUAAUAGAUGUCGUAGGUUUAAAGUGUACAAAACGAAAAACAUGCAAAAACAUCAUUUACAAUGUGUCACGUACACAUUAAAUUUGAGUAUGUUAGUGGGAAAACCAUGUUAAUUUUUACAUAAACAGAAAUCUCAUAUACUUUAAUUUUGUGCAAAAAGAGAAGAAAUUAAGGAAAUGCUAACUAAUAUGUAUACCAUAAGAAUAGGUGUGGGAGAAGAAGAGUGAUAGUUGGGGAUAGGGAAGUAGAAAACGGGAAAAUAGGAUCAAUGCAAAACAACAGCAUAUACCCAUAAAACACAAUCCUCAACAACUACCUUCUAUUUUGGAGCUUUUCCACCAUUCCUAAUUUCCUCCACUCCUUUUGAUACAUCCUCCUUCCACACCUUCCUACAGUCUUUACACAGCCACCAUGGAUUUGGUAGCUCCUCUUCCCUCCUCCCACCCUCCUCCGCCCCCUUGCCAGAAACUUGGAGGAUGGCGUGCCGUCAAAUACAUUAUCGGUUUGUAACAUUCAUUAUUACUUAAACAUCAUACAUGACAAACUGCUUUGUGUUUUUUCCUUUGGUUUUGAAUAUAUCUUCUUUUGAAGGGAACGAGUCUUUUGAGAAGCUGUCAUCCAUGAGUUUGAUAUCUAAUAUCACUGUGUAUCUCAGCACCCAAUAUAAUGUCAAUGGAACUUUUGUGGUUAAUGUGGUUAACAUAUGGAUUGGAACCUCGAAUAUUGCCACUUUAGCCGGUGCUUUCAUUGCAGAUACUCGUCUUGGCCGCUACCGCACUCUCCUAUAUGGCUCCAUUGCAUCAUUCUUGGUAUUGCUUUUACUAUACCCUUGUUGAAUUCAUCAACAUUUAUCUCAUAAUUAAUCUUCUUUGUCUUUGAAAAGGGAAUGGGGACUGUUGCUCUCACCGCAGCUCUCCACCAGCUCAGGCCUCCUCAUUGUAAUGCUGAUGAUUCAGGCCAUUGCCCACAGCCACAUCUUUGGCAGCUCCUUGUUCUAUUCACCGGUCUCGGUCUGUUGUCGAUUGGUGCUGGUGGUAUUCGUCCCUGCAAUGUUGCAUUUGGAGCUGAUCAAUUCGACACCACCACAGAAAAGGGAAAGUCUCAAUUAGAAAGCUUCUUUAAUUGGUGGUACCUUUCUUUCACCAUUGCUCUACUUAUAGCUCUCACUGGUGUUGUUUAUGUUCAAACCAAUGUAAGUUGGACCCUCGGAUUUGCCAUUCCCACCAUUUGUUUCUUCAUCUCCAUCUCGAUUUUCUUGCUGGGUCGGCAUACUUACAUCAUCGUUAAGCCCAGAGGAAGCAUGCUUACGGAUGUGGCCAGAGUCAUUGUAGCUGCCUAUAGAAAACGAGGACAUUCGAUUUCAUCCAGCUCGUUUUAUGACUCACCAAUGGAGGAUUCUACAUGCGGGGAAAAGCUUAUUCACACAGAUAGGUUCAAAUGGCUGGAUAGAGCUGCGAUUAUAGUAAAUCCAGAAGAGGAAUUGGAUGAACAGGGAAAACCCAAAAAUUCAUGGAGGUUAUGCAGUUUACAGCAAGUGGAAGGAUUCAAAUGCCUAGUGUCUAUAAUUCCCGUUUGGAUAUCAGGAAUUGGGUGUUUCAUAGUAUUCAAUCAACCAAACACAUUUGGGAUUCUUCAAGCAAUACAAUCAAACAGAUCAAUCGGACCCCAUUUUAAAUUCCCACCCGGCUGGAUGAGCUUAGCCGGUAUGAUAGCUCUAUCUAUAUGGAUCAUAAUCUACGAGAGGGUUCUCAUCAAACUAGGAAAGAAAAUCACCGGAAAAGAAAGAAGACUUACAAUGGAACAGAGAAUCACAAUAGGGAUCCUCCUGUCGAUUUUCAGUAUGAUCACCUCAGGGGUCGUCGAGAAACAUCGAAGAGACGCUGCUUUGAAAAACAGAUUGUUCAUUUCACCAACAAGUUUCGCAUUGCUGUUACCGCAACAUGUUCUCACUGGUCUAAUGGAGGCAUUUGCAUUGGUAGCCAUAAUGGAGUUCUUCACAAUGCAUAUGCCGGAACAUAUGAGAACAGUUGCAGGAGCCAUCUUCUUCCUCACAAUCUCAGUAGCGAGCUACUUAAGCUCUUUGAUAGUUUAUGUGAUCAAAAAAGUAAGUGCCAAAAUUGCAAAAUCGCCAUGGGUAGGGGGACACGACCUAAACCAGAAUAGACUAGACUACUACUAUUUCACAUUAGCCGUGCUCGAAACAUUGAAUCUACUGUACUUCGUGAUCUUCGCAAGGCGUUUUGUGAGAGGUUAUGAUGAUAAAGUGAAGUUGACAGAAAAUGUUCGUCGGAAUGAUUUGCCGGUGAAGGAUGAAGAAUGUUGAAAGCACCAUGGCAAUAUCAGGUUUCCCUCCAAUACUUUAGUUUUGUACACUAAAAUUAGGAUUCUUUACCAUUAUUGUUAUUUUGUUCAAUUAUUAGUUUAAUUUAUAGAAUUUUUUUCUUCUUUUUGAGAGUUUAGUUUAGGAGUUAAACAUGUUAAUUAUUAUUGAACUAAACUUUGAAUAUUGUAUCUAAGUGGAUGUAGAAUAGUGGGUAGCUAGGUAAUAUAAUUGGGCUUUUAGUUUUUACAUUCAAGGUGUAUGAAAAGAACAUUUGAGAAUGCAAAACUGUUUCUACCAAUUCGUAAUCUUUAAACCUAUCAUCUUCAUUGAAUUGUUCAUCCUAUACAAUUGGUACAUGUGUAAUCGAAGGUGAAUGAUUGUAGAUGAAACCUGUUGAAGAAGAGGAAUCAAAACUCAUAUAAUUAAGAGAAAAUGAUAAAUAUGGUUGAUCUCAAAUUAAAGCAGUAAAAGAAAAAGUGGAUAUUUGGAAAAUGGAAAACCAAAUUUCGAAAUUCAUUCAAUGCACUUUAAGGAUCAUUCCUGUAGGGUUUAAUUGCCAGUAUCAUUUACUAUGUUCCCAUAGUCCAUCAAACAUAUGGAGUGUUUCAAGCUCUUCUGGUUUCAAGAUACCGGCAGCCUCCUUCUACAUCUUAACUCAAGAAUUUUCAUACCAGCUCUCUGGAAACUCACUGGAAAAGAAAGUGGCACAACUCUUCUCCAAAGGACGAGUGUUGGUUUGGUACUCUAACAUGGCAGUCCUUUUUCUCUCUGCUUUUGUUGAGUGUAAGAGAAGGCAUUUGGCUCUUGAGAAACCAAUUGGGAUAGAAUUUGGAAGAGGUGCCAUUUCUUCAAUGUCUGGUAUGUGGUUGAUACCUCAGUUCAUUUUGAUAGGCAUUUCUGAAGCUUUCACAUCUAUUGCUCAUGAUGAGUUUUACUACAAGCAAGUUCCAGAGAACAUGAGAAGCAUAGGAGUGUCUUUCUUGUUUGUUGGGUAUGCAAUAAUAUCUAGCUACUUGGGCAAUUUCUUGAUUAUAAACUUGGAUUAUAUCGUAGUUCUUAAAGACGGAUUCUUGUUAGGCAGUAUCCUAAAACAUCUUUAAUGGAGCCAGCAGCUUCACGACCUCGAUACUUACUUUGACCACUAAAGACUUAGGAUUUGCCUGUGCUCACUGUCUCUAUCUCACACACUCUAGUGUUGAUUCUCCAUUAAAUUUUAAGUUGAAAAACCAGAAGAUUAAGACAAAAGUACUGGACAUAUCCUUCAUUUUUUGUUUCAAUUUUUUGUCUCGACCAUCGUGGUUUCAAGAUCCUAGCAGCCUCGUUCAUCAUAUUUACAAUGAUUAGACAGAAUCCCUGACCCAACUUUCUCUAGAUUCUCUGCCAAAUUAAGUGAGAGCUCUUUUAGUAAAGGAUGAGUAUUGGCAUGGCACUUAACAUUGUCCCCAUGCUUUUUUCUGCUUUUGUUAAAGGCAAGAGAAGGCAUUUUGUACCUUUCACAUCCAUUAAUCAGAUUUUCCCUUUCUAAGAAAUCCCAUCAGUGGGUCGUCUUUGUUUGUCUGGUAUGAUCUAUUUACUCUAGUAGUUUCUUGAUUUUAUUUGUUUCGUAAGAACUGAGAAGACAAAGGGCAGUGCCACUGGAGAUUGUCUGUUGAAGGUCUUUUACAAAGAAAGAUUGGACUAUUUCUACUCCCUAUGAGCGCUACACGCUCUAAACUGUGUAGUUUUUAGCUUUUAGAAAGUGGUAAUAUCCUAACCCAACUCUUAUUAAUUGAAAACUCUCUUGUGAGAACUUUACCAUCAUGAAUCAUAGUAUAAAUGUGUUGACAGAAGCUAGGAGACAAGUAACGUAAUCUCAAGAACAGAAUCGUUUUAGUAGUUUUGCUUCUUCAUGAUUUAGAAAAUUACCAAAUUCAAGGGUGUGGAGGCGUUUUGAGACAAGUAGAAUUGUGAACUUAAACUCACAAUAUAAGGAGCAAUAACACAUGAAACUGAAAUUUUUUAGUGGUAAAACCCACAAUCACUUUGAGCCAAACAAUCUCCUAAAGUUCAUUGGGCCAAAUACUUUCGUAUGUUUGGUUCACUAUCAAUCUUUCAUUAACACUGAGAAGCGAUGAUAAUUGGUAAACUCCAUGAGAAUCCAGUAGAAAAAGAUCCAGUAAGUUAGGAAUGAACAUAAAUGACAUCAUUUCAUAAAAACUUCCUCUUGGGGACGCAGUGCAUUACAACUUACAAGAUAUGCCAAGUCCGGCAAUAGAAAAAAAAAAAAGACUAAUAUAACACAGAAAAGCGUCAAAAACGAUAGUCCUAUAAUAUGCUAAAAGACCAAAAGCCAAAUACAGGUGUAAACCGUUGUUUCAUCUUUCUUUAACUUCCAAGCAGCUUGUGCCAAUUGCAUAUUCUAAUGCCAGCAGUCACCAUAUAACUACAAGACAGUAUAUUACAGUAUUGAACAUCCCCUUACACGGUGUAUGCUUGUUGGAUCGUUUCAAUAUCGAGACCCUUCAAUCUCACCACUGACUCUACAUGGCCUUUCAGUGUAUGGAGUUCUCUCAAUCUGCAAGAUUUAUGAAAUGAAACCAAAUUGGUAAUUGCAGAAUGAUAACUUAAACCAGCAAUCAGUUUCAAAUAAUGUCAAACCAAAAAUGAUGUUUUGCAACAUACCUAGCAAUUUCAGCUCUCCUUUUGGCUUCUUCAGCCAUGUGAUUGAGUUCUGUGAAAUGAGUUCUCUCGGUGAACAUCUUAGUAUCAGGCGGUUGCAAACCAUGCAGGGUUCUUUGGGCGUGAGCCCAUUGUAGCUCACGUUGUUCCUUACCAAAAUCCUUUUGUCUUGUGAAAGCAACCUAUUAAAAGAAUACAAGUGAAUAAACCAACUGAUGCAUAACUUUGACAGGUAGAAUGCAGGCAACAGUGUAAAUUUAUACCCUUUGCUCAAGCAUGAGAUCCCAAGCCUUCCCACUCAAGGCAUAUCGAAUAGCAAACUUUAUGGGAUCAAGAGGAAUAUAAAAGAUGAUGUUAUAAAGCCAAAUUACACCAGCCCAACCCCAACCAAUUCCUUCAAUGGCAGCAAAACUCCAAUUAGCAUAGACAGCAAUCAGAGUAGCAACCUGUUCAAUAUCAAACUUAGUAUUUUCUUCGAAAGUAUAAUUGAAAAUACAAGUGCAACAAGUCAAACAAGUUUUGCCUUACCAGUUGAGCAAGAAUAAAAGCCACUACAAGAAAUAACCCAGGACGCUCAACGUAGGACCAACUUCGAGAUCGCGUAACAAAAAUGAGAGCCUGGCUGAUGGUGCUCACUUGCAGAUAUAUAGCUGAGGCUAGCUUCCGGAAAUCAUCAUGAGCUGUUUUUUCAAGGGUUGAUACUCCAAAGAUUCGCUGAAUUUUACACAAAAUGAGACAGAUCAGCAGAAAUCAAAAGAAUUGCAGGGGCUACUAGCAAGCUAAGUACAAGAGAAUUAAAAACAAGGAGCAGGAAAAAAGAGUUUAUUAGAUAUUAGAUUACAGAACACAACAUAAACAAUGGUUCCAUCUGAACCCACCAUUAACAGAUUAUUACUUAGUAUUAAGGAAAUUGGAUUGUCUUACAGGGAAAAAGUUGGUUUUAUACGACGCCCAAAAAAAUAUGACCGUCAUCAUUGCCAAGUAACUACCAAGUACAACGCCAGUAGUAAAAAUUUCAGCCAGCUUCCAACUAUCUGGCAGAGGAGACGGUUUAACCCUAUCCUUCGAUAUUGUCAUGAUUGUACCUACACAUUAAUCAUUUGACGAGUUUUCAAUAAACAGUGGAAAAAGAAUCACAUUGAUUUAUAUGAACUUCAAAUAAUCAGCAGAUCAGAUACAAGGAUUUAGAACAAACCAUCAUUAAGGAUAGCAAUGAUAAGCACCAUAAAUGGUGGAAAAUCAAAUUUCCAAAUGAGAGCCAGCAACAUGAAACCAAGCUGCAACAAACACAAUCAAAAGAUCAGUAACAUGACUUGUCAUUCGGGACAUGGAAGAACAGAACAGCAAACCUUACAUAUAAUUAAUAUAUAUUCUAACAACUUACCACAAUACGUAUUGUGAUGGAAACUGCAUAAAUCUGACAUGGGCAAAAAUUAAACGUGAGUCAGAAUAGGCAAACAAAUCAGAACUUCAAAAGAAGAAAGGGAGAUGGUAAUAAUGCAAUCUCAAAGGCUGCAACUUGAAAAACCAACUAUUGAAUGAAGAGAUUUUAAGGUCAAACCACAGGUUACCGUGUAAUUCUUCAUUCUCUGAAAUAUUGCUCUACUAGUCAAGACAGCACUGAUGAUAACACUGAGACCAGGUUCGGUAAGAACAAUAUCAGAAGCACUCCGAGCAGCAUCAGUUGCAUCUGCAACAGCUAUACCUAUGUCUGCUUUUUUAAGUGCAGGAGCAUCAUUCACUCCAUCACCAGUCAUACCACAGAUAUGUUUCAUAGCUUGCAAGCGUUUUACAAUCUCAUAUUUGUGCUCUGAACCAACAAAAAAUCAUGGUGAGCCAGUAUCCUAAGACAAGAACCGAUUUUUUCUGUUCCCCAAACUAACAUUUUGAGUCAAUUACUGGAAAAAUACCAGGGAAUACACCCGCAAAACCAUCUGCUUUCUCGAUAAGAUCGUCAACAGGUAAAGCAGCAAUUGACUCAUCCUUUUCCUGUCCUAGCAAAGCAGAUGAUGGAUACAUGUUGGUUCCCAUCCCCAAUCGACGUCCUGUUUCCUUGCCUAUAGCCAGCUGAUCUCCUAUAAAAGAAGCAAGGUAAAUGAACUAACAAUCUAGAUAAAUUCAGCAAGCUUAAUAGAUGUGGCAAUGUUUUAGCAAUCUCUAGUCAGAAUCACAUAAGAAUAUUUGUGACAUUCCAUACAUGGAGAGCAUUUCUACCAGGCAUGUAAAAUCUGAAACGUACCGGUAAUCAUUUUCACGUUUACUCCAAGAUUUAAAGCUCUCCUAAUUGUCUCUGCACUAUCAUGUCUCGGUGGAUCAAACAAAGGCAAGAGGCCCAUGAAUUGCCAGGGACCUCCAGGACUUUCUUUUCUUCCUUCUGGAACUUCCUGAUAUGAAUCCAAUAGAUGUCAUAAGACUUAUAAUCAACAGUACUUUAACUACUGGACUAAAGAAGAUGCAUAGCGGUCUUAUUAACGAAGGGAUCAAAAAAUCUACAAGCCCAUGUUCACUGACCUGGUAUGCUACAGCAAGCGAACGCAAACCUCGUUCAGCAAAUUUAUCAAUCACUGCAUGAACUCUUCUCUCAAUCUCUGACUUGUUGUAUGCAAGAUUUAGAAUCUAAAAGUGAAAGUUAAAACAGGAACCUAUAUUCAGUAGUCUGUUCUCAGUUAAAACAGAGACAACAUUUGCACAAGUUCAAAUGGAGCAGCCUUUUACCUGUUCUGGAGCACCUUUACUGACUCUGUGCAUCUUGCCCUCGUGGUCAAUAUAAGUCAAAGCUGUUCGCUUAUCAGUAGGAUUGAAAGGAAGAAAAUGUACUUCCUGAAUCCCAGCACGUGCCUUUGAAAGCAUGGAAGAUGUGAUGAACAUUUUGAACUUUUUGAUAAUCAUUUCAAAAGAGUGGGGAAAUAUGGUUAAUGACCACUUACCUCCUUUGGAUCAGCUAGCAUCCCAACAAUGGCAGUAUCAAUAGCAUCUUGAUUCUCAAUUCUUGAUGCUCGAGCAGCCAUUAGAACAAUAGUGUCUGCAUCUAUACCUUUACCGAAAACCUGAAGUUAUAUUUAGACACGAAAUUAGAAAUAAACAAUAUAAAUGCCUCUAGGAGGAAAAAAUAUCCCAUUAACAAGCAAGAAGCAACUCCUUGCCAACCUCAACAAGAUUUUUGUCAACAGUUAACUUGUUCAAAGUUAGGGUUCCCGUCUUAUCACUGCAAAGGACAUCCAUGCCUGCCAUUUCUUCAAUUGCCGUCAUCCUCUUCGUGAUGGCACCCUGAAAUAACAUUAUAUGAUCCCAUUGUUUAUUUCAUAACUCAUGUCAGACAAGAUGCAACAGGAAACCUUCUAAAUAACUAAGCUAACCUGUUGGGAUAACCUAUGAGAACCAAUAGCCAUUGUCACAGAUAGAACUGUAGGCAUGGCUAUAGGAAUUCCUCCAAUCAAUAGCACAAGGAGGUUAUCAAUUCCAGGACGAUACUCUCGGUCCUGAAUUGGGUACAUUACAAUGAUCUCUAUUACCAUUCCCAAAGCAAUGGAACAUAUGCAGAAAUUCCCUAUGGCUGUCAAGACCUACAAACGAGGCAACAGUGAUAAAAGUAGACGGUUAAAGGAAAGAAAUUGCACAAACCGAAAAUCAAGUAAUACAAUGACACAUCUUCUUGCCUUUUGGAAGUGUCCCACUUGGUUGGUGGUGUCAACAAGAUGAGCAGCUUUACCAAAAAAGGUGUGGACACCAGUAGCAAUGACCACAGCUUCAAUCUCUCCUUGCUUGCAAGUAGAACCGGAGUACACACCAUCACCAGGUCCUUUCGUUACAGGAAGAGAUUCGCCUGUAAGCGCAGACUGCAAAGCCAAAAGCCAAACUUAGUAAGGAAAUGGACAGUUACAACAUGAGGAGCGCAGGGAUGGUAGGUGAGAAAUCAGGUUAAAAUAUCCAGGUAUCAUGGUUUUUUACCAACCUGGUCAAUUUUUAGUGGAUCCCCAUCCAGAAGACGAGCAUCAGCUGGAAUAAUGUCCCCAAGUUUAACACUGAUUACGUCCCCAGGAACUAAAAUGGAAGCAUCUUGCUCGCUCCACCUUCCAUCUCUAAGAACCUUGCACAGAAAAUCAAAAGCCAAACAAAGAAAUUCAAGUACAUAUCACCUAAAAAUUGUGGUUCCACUAAACUUUAAGCAUCUCAAAGACAGACGAAACUAAGCCAACAAGGUACAGUUUCAAGCAAAAAUGCAGCACACGCAAUAAUUCAUCUCUAAAACCUUGGCUUUGGGAGCAAGACGAGCCAUGAGAGCAGCUGCAGCAUUUCCUGCAUUGUUUUCCUCAAUAAAACUGAUUGUAGAGUUAAUGAUAAGCAGGGUGAUGAUACCAACAAAAUCUUGCCAAUCCGGGGGCUUUCCCUGCAAGUAAGUAAAUAGUACUUAGAACAAUGAACAGCAAAGAAGAUAUGGAAGAAAGAAACAUAAAUAACAAUCCAUGUAGCCGGGCAUUUACUCCUCCAUUUGCAAGUGCAAUGGCCAUAAUUGCAGCAGCUUCCAUAACCCAUGAUAGAGGAUUCCACAUGAAACCCAAAAACUUCAAAACUUUGCUUUCCUGAAACCAUACAACAAGAAAAAUUCAGACCAAGUUAGCAGAGUUAACCACAAUGCUACUACUAAGUGGAGCAUUACCUUCUUUUCCUCAAGCUUAUUGUGGCCAAAAAUCUUCAGCCUUUCCUCAGCACCCUCACUAGUAAGACCCUCUUUGCUACAUCUCAGAUUUUCAAAAACCUCAUCAAUGGGUAUAUUUUCCUGCAGUUAAACAAAAUGAGAAUAAGGCAACCAAAACAAACAGCCAAACACCAAAAGGGCUUUAAGAUGCUCAGAUCUGUUACCAAAUCCACAGCUUCCUUCAACACAGCCUCCAGCACUUCUGGUUUUUCCCCCAUUUAUUCUUUCCACUCCUUUCUCUUCUCUCUAUGUAUAUCUCACUAUUUAUCCUUGCAAGCACAUUCAAAUCCUAACUCGUCAGAGAAAUCCCAAGAACGAGCUCCAAAAAUAUGCACAACCGUAGAACCAAAUGCCAAAGAGUUGAUUUUGAUUAGAGCAUAGCAGUUAGGAGCGCAAAUGAGGACGACCCACCAACAUCAAGUUCCCACAAAGCACAGAAAAUGAACAAAGAUGAGCGUUUUGGUUUUGGAACAGUGAGAGAGUCAGUUACAGUUCGAUCCUUUCAUUUUGUCUCUCUGCGCCAAAAGAGAUAAAGAAAAAGAAAAAAGAAAAGAAAAAAAAACUCCAAAAGUUUAAUUUACUACUCAAUAAUGCACAUCCUUGCUUUAAAGGAGUCGCCUUUUAGCAAAUCUCGUUUACCAUGAAAAAAGGAAUCUCACUACUUUGGAUAGUAUGAUAUAGCUCACUGGUUAAAGCAAUACUUUUGUCUCGUAAGAGAAACGAUGGAUCAAUUUCAACUUUUAAGCACUCAAAAUUGGUAUAUAAAACCUGUUGCUUUCAAACUUAACAGCUAUUAAUAACAUCAACAUCCAAACAAAAAUUGCAGUCAUACUUUUUCUUGUUUGACACUUACUCUGAAGUCUGAAUAUAAAUUGGGCUAUAAAAUUUGAAUUGGAUUAAGAAAAUCUUGAGAAAUAAAGAAUAAAAAUGGAAUAUAAAAUCUUGCAAAAGAGAUAGAAUAUCAAGUUUGGGAUUCAAACUAAUUUAAACAUCAAGUUUGUACAAUCUAAAUGAAAACGAAAGAGCUAAUAAAUGUAUAGUUAGUUACCUACGUACAAACAUGUUUUAAACUAAAUUGUACGUUGUGACAAAUAGUAAUGUGCUAUUUAGUGAAAGAGAUCCUCUUUACAAAGUUGGUUGAGGGAAGAACAUGGUCUUCUUAGUACUCUCCUGGCAAAAAGCAUUACACAAACUUUUAGUUGGAUUGAUCACACUGUCCUUUGCAAAUCAUAUUAUGGAUCAAAAUUACAAGUUUUAUUGUGGGAUCGAUUACAUAACCUUAGUAAGCACCCGUAGAAACAUAAUUGAUGAGCCUUACUUACGAUUUGUUAAAAAUAAUUUUCCUAAAGAAAGAAGAAAAAAACUCUCUCAUUGCAAUAUUAAAAGUGAAGAAAAAGAACAGAAGUGGUUAGGUGGAUUAAAGGAAACACGUGACUUUGAAAAAGGGAAGUUUUAAUCAUAGAAUACAUUCCUUUUUAAUUAGUGGAGUUGUUAUCUCAUCAUUUGAUAUUAAUAAUAUGGUUUUUCUUAUGAACUAAUUAAACUAAUAUUUCUAAACCCAUUAAAUUUACUUUCUUAAAUUAUUUGCCUUACCUCAAUAAUUAAUUAGUUGGCUUAGGUCGACGUGUCGGUUUCGUUAUAAAAAUGAAGAAGAAGACGUGCUCACUACAAAACUUUCACAAAAUCACAUAUCCGCCCCAAAAUAUCUCAUUAAUACGUUUGGUUCCAUCCUUUCUUUACAAAAUUAAUUUAUUGAACCAAUCAGAUUUAUAUAUAUUGAAAAAUAUAAUAAAAUUAAAUGUGCUAACCACACACAAUUUCUUUAAAAAAAACAGUAAAUUUUAUCAAUAAUAGACGCUGAUAUGUUUUUAUUCUAUCAAUGGUAUUGAUAGACAGUAAUAGAAAUCUAUUAGUUUCUAUCAUUGACAGAGUCAAUAAUUUUGUUGUAACUUGUAAAUAUUUUAAUUUAUUCUGUCGCUAAAUUUUAUUUAUAAACAAUAAAUAAAAAUAUUGAGUUAUGGUUUACUUCAAGUAGGUGGAAAAUAAACCCAUCAUUGAACAAUAUUUUUGGAUAAAAAGAUUAUGUGCAUGCAAUAAAUAUGAAUUUGAUAUCAAUUGGGAGAGGUUGGUUAGCACUACUAAAUAAAAAAUAAAAAAUGUUAGAUAAAUCUAAUACAGGUUUGAAGAAUGUAUUCCUUGGAAAUCGUAUGAAAAUAAAUUAUAAUAUAAGAGGAAGAUACUCUACAUAGAUUUUAUUUGACCAUGUGUAUAUAUAUACAUAUAAUACCGGUCUUCAUAUUUCAAUACUUCAAUUAUAAUUAGUGGUGAAUCCACAAAGAGCUUUAUAAUUCAGUGAAAUAAAUAAAUAACAACUUAGCUAAAAAAAAAUAAGUUGAAGAUUUAUAAAAAUUAUAUAAAAAAAACGAAUGGAGUUGGAAAGCCAAGAAGAUAAAUUGUAUAAAUAAGAUUCAAACCUCACUGAAAAGGAAGUUAACUAACCGAGUAACCACUAAGCUAAUUACAAGUAUAAGAAAUUAACUAGUUUUCUUUAUAUAUAUUGUAUAAAGACGAUAAAGUAGAUAGGAGCUCAAGCCUCAUCUGAGUCUAUACUAAAUCUGUCGAUGAUUACAAUUUUAAUAUAGGUGAUUGAAGUUGAUAACAAGUUUUAAGGUUACGGCGUCGUAUUCAGAAAUUAAAAUUUGUUAUGUACACUCCCAAUCCCAUCAAUUCACAAAGCAACCAAACGGCUACGAAUAGAGUCCUCACAUCAAUUCCAUACACAUAUUAUCAUUUCUUCAUCAUCAUCAUAUAUAUAUAUAUAAAGGUGUAUUUUUGGAGAAGAUAUUUGUCACCUAUUUUUAAUAUUAUACAUAUAUGUAUUUGCCACCAAUUGCAUUUAUUUCGUCAUUCAUGUCUUCUAGGGCCACAUUCAUUUUCGAAAAUGAAAUUAAUUAAAUACUUUUCUUUUUUGUUUGUUUGUUUCAUAAAAAAUACAUUUUUAUUUCAUUUAUUCAAAUAUUGCAUUUCACAAAUGAUUUUGAUUAGUGAAUGGAAACAACUUUAAGGAAAUUGAACUUUACGAUCAGAAGAUGAUAUAAGGAGAUUACGUAUUUAGAUAAGCUUUCAACCUCUUCACAGAUGACAUUAGCCUUCAAUAGUUUAAUCUAAUAUUAAUUUAACCAACAGUGGAUUUAGGCGCAAGUGAAAGAUAUGUAAAAGAGUCACACACAAUCUAUAUCCAAAUUCUUCAUUUGUAGGAUGGGAUUUCAAAAGACGUAGUUGAGUUUUUACAUUUUAGUUAAGAACUCAUAUCUUUAACAUAGAAAAUCAGGAAGCUUUUACUAAGAAAAUCAAAUUGUUACCGAACACGAAUUUGUUUUUCAUUUUUUUUAUCGUUAUAAUACAACAAAAGAAAUUAAUUAUAUUAUUUGUUGUUUUCUCUUUCAAACUUUAAUUUGGAACCACAUCACUACUUAGAAGAAUUAAGGGAAAAGGUAUUUGAUGAGUUGGAAAAUUUUGAUUGGUGGAAGUCCACGAUGCCACGUUGUGUUUUAUCUUCUUGUCACGUCAUUUUACAAAAUUCCACGUCAUAUAUAUAUUUUUGAAAGCGAUCACUACCCUUUUCUAACAUGAAAUAUUCAACCAAAAAUAGUUUUAAAUAACAUAGACACAUAAUACCUCUAAUUUAACAUUUCCCAAAAAUAACAUUUUUUGUUCCACAAAAUUUCAUCAUUUAUUAAUUAAUACUCUAUUAAUAUAUUUGGUUAUAUUUAUAAAUAUUUUAGUUUAUUUUUUAUAUUUAAAAACAAUCGUAUUUUAAAUGUCGUAUUUUUUAAUAAAUUUUAAAAUUAUUAAAAAUAAGUGUUAGAAAAGCUUUUUGGCGCAGUACAAAGUUACCUCUAUUGUUGUUCCACAUUGAUAAAGUUAGAAAAGACAAAUAAGUAUAAAUAGUUAAGUGUCACUUUAUCACCAUGCGUUUGAUAGUUUUUUUCUUUUAAAAAGGCAAAAAUAGUAGAGUAAUAAGCUUUUCGCAUAGCGAGACAACUUAAAUAUUCAAGACAUUUUUGUUUGUGUGAUAAGGAUGGAACAAUGGUGAGAUUUGAGAUAUGAAAACUUGAAAACGUAACAUGUUUAAUUAUAUCAAAGUCUUAAAGUAUGAAAUUUUGAGAUGGAUAGAAUAAUGAUAUAUCAACGACAAAUUAAGAUCAUAUGAGGUAAGAAACUUUGAAGAAGUGCAUAGGUCCAUUGUGUACCUAAAGCAAAGAGUGAAAAGAAAAGAGAAAGGGGAAAGAUAUGUGUAAAGGAAAAAGAGAGUGGAAGAAAGGGUAAGGGCAUGAGCAUGUGGGGAAAGUUAAAGGGAGAAUCAAAAUGUGAUUAUAUAUAUGUUUUUCUUUUUAAUUUACUUUUUUUUAAAAUAAUAAUAAUUUUUCAUAUACCAACUAUUAAUUGAGUGUAUUAGAUCAACGGCACAAAUAUGAGCAUAUAACUUAAAAUGCAUCUAAAUAUAGUUUAAAGUUUGUUCAAUUUUAUUAUAAGUUUAUCAUAAUCGCACAUGCACGUUUGUACUAUGCCGUAGCAUUCAUAUGCCCACCACCACUCAUCUCUUUAUGCUUUUUCAAUUCAAUAGAAUCUUAGUCACCCAACUUUUCUUUUGUUUUUUUCUUUAUUUUCUCUCUUUUUAACUUUUCAUUACCCAUAGUUUUCAUAUGUUGAUGUUAAAAAUUCCAACCUCUACUAGAUUCAAUCAUCAUCUUUUGAAUAUAGAGAUCACUAGUUCUUUUAGUUAUUAUGUCUCGAUAUUAUGAUAUUUUUGAAAAAAAACUAACAUAUAUAUAGUAUUCAUAUCUUGGUUGUUUUAGUAUUAUGAUGUGAUAAACAAAUUAAAUGAUUGAAAGAUGGUAUAACAUGGACAAAGUGAUCUUCUACUUUUUAUUAAGUACUAUAGUUGUCAUGUUUCUAAUAUUAAUUAAUUUAAUUGUGUUGUUUUUCAUUGUUUCGAUAUGAUAUAUAUAUAUAUAUAUAUAUACAAACAAUCUAUCGAUCUCUUAAGAAAACAUUUUGGAAAAUUGUAGACUAUUUAACUAUAUUUUUGCAUUCCACCACUCAAUUAUUCAAUCAUAAUUUGUAGUGUUUGUAAUGUGACAAAUUUUUUAUUAUCUUUUAAAUUGAAAUGAGUGUAUAUACUUAUUUUGUCAUGAUUAGUAUAGGAUGCAUGAAUAUUGCAAUUGCAUCGAAAGUAACAUUGGUUAAAACAUUAAAUAGUAUAUUUUAGAUUAGAGUUACUUUAUUUACCGACAAGACUAAAAUAGUUUAAACUACUACAAUCCAUACUAAAUUAAAAUAAUUUAUACUUUAACUACGUGAAUAUUUAUAGCUACUUGCAAACUAUGAUAACAAACUCUCACACAUCUCAAACGUCCGAAAAAUUAACAACAAAUUGAUUCUUGUAAUUAUCGUUGUGCAAUUUCAAGAAAGACGAACAUAUAUAUAUAUAUAUAUAAUAUAACAUAUUGAAUACAAUUACAUCAACAAUGUAUGGUGGGGUGAAUUUGUUGACUAUGUGGAUGACAUUGCUCUUAUCCCAUAUUAUUGAAAGGUAUCUUUCAAAAGGGUUUUAGAGAGAGAGAGAGAAAGAUUUGGAUAUGUUUAGAGAGAAAGAGGGGGGGGGGGGGGGGGGGGGGAGAUCAUGGCUAGGCUGGGGUUAGGCAGCUCACAUGUGCUGUUUUUUUUAAAAAAAGAAUUCAUUUCAAGUUUUCCCUGCAGCCUAAGCCCUUCCAUUUAUGAAACAAUAUCAAAGCCCAUGUUCCCAACCCAUAAAAAUGAGAGAGAGAGAGAUGGGUCCUCAAAACAAGUACUGCUUAUUUCUUAAGUACUCAAUUUAAAGCUCAGUGCUUUUGGCAGAAGCACCUACACAUGUGUGUAUGUCAUCUACAUGCCAAUUUUUUUUUGAGGUUUGAAAUAAGGGGUGGAAUAGUAAACUGGAAUAAGUUAUAGAGUUUGAAGAGUUGGAGUCGUGCACUACCCCUAACACUCACAGCAUGUGUAAAGAAGUAAUAAGGUAUAAUAUGAUAAUUUCUUUAGUAGUGACGCAGAUAAAUUUUUUGGAUCAAACAACUCUACCUUUUUCUACUCUUCUACUACCCAAAACCCUUUGGUCCAAAUAUACCCCCAAAGAAAAAUACUUAGGGGUACAACUUUAUCUUUGUGCAAUUCAGAUUGCUUUCCCAUAGAACCGCAUGUGACUUUUUUUCUAGUAAAAGGAAAGGGAAGCAUGAAGUUGGACACUUAGUCCUUGUUCAAUUUGUAAUACCACAAAAAUGUACUGUUUUUUUAUUGUUUAUGUUGCAUAUAGAUUUGUUUUCACAAAUAUUAGUCAACUCCACGUUAUUAUCUCCGUUAUAUAUUUAAUACUAUGCCGAUGUGACACGCAAUAGCGUGAAAAAUUUUACGUACCAGAAAAUUUUCUUGCAUUCAAUAAGCCCCCACCCACUGACAUUAGUGUAGGGUCGAUCAACUAUAGUAUAAACAAAUAGAGAGUAUGCUACGGUCUAGUUUUCUCUCUCUCUGUAUAUAACUACUUAUCAAAGAACUUUUUCCACUAUCUUUAUUCAUAAAUUUUUAUGAUUUUCUUUUCUUCUUUUUCUUUUGGGAAAGAUUAGUGGAUCUUUUGAGAUUUGAGAACAGAGAAGAACUGUUUGGUGCUGAAGAAAAAGAUAAAGAGAGCACAUGAAUUGAUGAAAUAAUUGAUAUGGGCAAUGGUCAAUCUAAAUGAAGAUGAAGAAGAAACAUAACAUCUCUGUUUUCUGAAAUUUAUAUUUGUUGUUAUGGUAAAAGGUGAAACAUUAUCAACUGUGAAGGCUGCAGGUUUUGACUGAUUUUUUUUACUGUUAGUCUAUUUCUUUCUUACAAUGUCUGAAAACAUACCAUAAAAAGCAAGCAGUGUUGGACUUUGUUUAACCUAAAGAGGACAAAGCAAUUCUAUCAGCUUGGAGAUGUUUCUGGCUAGCAUGGGAGAAAGAAAAAAAAAAUCAACUUUUACCCAUAGAUUUGUGUAAGUUGUAUCCCCAACUUUCAAACUGUACGCUCAAAUUUAGUACAUAAGAGAUUCAAUUCACACAUCUUUUAGUUAGUUGCUAACACAUAUUAUAAUUUAAUUAUUAAACUAUCAAAUACAUCGUCACUAUGGUAUGGAAUAUGAUAAAAUUUAGAGAAAAACAAUAAUAAGGAUAAUUUUUUUUUAGUUUAUAGUCAAGCUGUUUUUUUUUUUUUUUUUUUACAAAACUUUAUUUUAUUGAAGUUUAUAAGUUUAGUAAUACAAUUUGAAUUUUCCUUUGUUAAAAUUACUAUACAAGCUUGUGAAAAUUUGAACGGAUGACUAUUUAACUUUUAGGGCUCAAUUUGGUUAAACUUAAUAUUAUGGUUCAAAUUGAUACAAACUAAAGUCUAAUUUGAUUCAUUUUGGAUAAAGUAAGAUAAAUAUGCGUCUUAUUUUUAUCGAAUCAAGAGUACAUUUAUAAUAUAACAAUGUACAAAAAUAUGAUCUAAGUACAUUUAUAAUAUAACAAUGUACAAAAAUAUGAUAAUGUCUCGAGAGCUUUAAUAUAGGAAAGUGGUCCUCCAAUUGGGAGAGUCAUUAGGCAAUUGGGGACCAAAACAUGCCAUUUAUGGAUGUUUUUAUUAUCCUUCGAAACUACACGAACCUAUUGCCCUACCCUAACUCAUCAAUGUUAAUUGUACUAGUACGAACAUAACAUAGAGAUUCAAAUAUUUGAGAGGUAAUAUACAUGUUAAUCAUGGUUGAGUAUACCCAUUUGAAAAGGUAAUGAAUUUUUUACUUUUGCUUUUUCUUCGAGAAGGGACUCCAACCAUACAAAAUCAAGUUCAAAAGAUACUUACAAAACGACGACUUUGGACUCAAAACUCUCAAAGCAAAUGAACCUUUUACUUUCAUACCUUUCAUCACAUCAGCCUAUUGUGUUUCCUCAUUUACAUUUGGAUACCAAAAUUCAUGUGGCCUCUAAAUUAUAAAUUAAAAAGAAAGUGUACCGAACAAAAUUUAAAUUUAGGUAACAAGAAGGAUGUAUGAUAGAAAGAAGAUACAAAAUCGAAAUGGGGUGGCUCGUUUGAACAUGAGAAAUGUUAAUUAAGUCGAUUAGAACAUAGUAGUUUAAAAGCUAAAAUUAAUAAAUUAUUGCUAAUUUGUCUUAUUUUGGUAAAUAUAUUAUAAGAUUCAUCAUAUCUUAAUAAAGUAUUACAAUGUAGAUUCUUUGACAUAUAAAGUUGAGGAUGGUGACAGAGAAUGAGAGACCUAAUGAUAAUGACAAAAUGAAAGGAAACAAAGUGGAAACAAUGAUAGGAUCAUUAUAAUCAAUAUCAAAUAUAUAAAACCACCCAAUUACACUUCAAGUUGGAUAUAUUCUUCAUUCCCAAAGUAAAAUAAAAUAAAAUAAACAAGGACUCUCUCUCUCUCUCUCUCUGAGAGAACUUAAAGAGGUCUAUCAAAAUUCAAUUUCAUUAAAUAGAACUCCUUUGAAGAUUGUAUAAGUGGUGAAAUCAACCUCUUUAGAACUAAGAAACAAUUGGACAAAUAAAACAUCUAAAAUCAAGCUGCAAAACACACAGAUCCCAUAAAAAAAAACCAAACCCAAAAGAGGAAAAAAAAAAAAAGGAGGGAAAUGGCGAUUUCACCACUUAUUCAAGUUCAGAGUUCAAAUUGAUGAGAUCAAAAUUUCGAAGUUAAAAGUUGUCACACAGCUAAGUACAGAGCAAAAACAAAUUUCCCUCCAGAAAUUAACACUAAAGAGGGAAAGAAAAACACUACUCUGUCAAAAAUCAUCCCAGAUGACAUACCCAGAAAUAAUAUAUACUGAUCUAUUGCCUCUUCUAUGCCUGCCAGUAACCAAAAAAUUCCAUUCCCCCACCCAAAACAAAGAACAGACUUACCAACAUUUCACAUUCUUCAAGAUCAUGCAGAGUUUAUAUUUACAGGGAAUAAUAUGCUAUCUAUGUGUUAAUAUGGGCAACUCUUUUGUUUUGUUCUUUUUUUACCAAGUGGGUGUGUUGUGCUAUGAAACUACACCAAGGACUCUUAUUAGAUCAGACUUCUGUUCUGUUGUAAGUCUUGAUGGAUAUUUGACAUCAAAUUUGAUUCUCAAAUUUCCCUUCUUCCCAGGUUCCUUUGAGAUUGGCAUUCCUUCAUUUGCCAGAACCAUCUCAUCGCCAGGUUUGACAAUAUCCGUAAUAGGGAUCGUGAGAGUCCUCCCAUCCAGAGAAGUAAGUUCAAAAGUUUUACCUGUGAGUGAUUCCAGGAGCGUUAUUUCAUGGUUCACCACUAGAUCAUUCCCAUCUCUCCGGUAUAUAGCAUGUGGUUUCUCAUCCACUACAAAUAUAAGAUCUGCUGGAAUGAUGCCAGGCUCCUGAUUUCCUUUCUGAGGAAAAGUGAUCUUUGUCCCCUUCUUCCACCCUGGCUUUAUGUCUAUUGUCAAUAUCUCUUCAACUGUCCGGAACUUGCUGCAAAAGAACCCACUCGCAUCAGAUAUAAACCAUAAGGAAAAUUCUUUCACAACGGGAUAAAGAAAAUGGCAUAACUAAAAAGAACCAGCACUUCCAAGUAUUGGUUUCAAUCAGAUUCAUAACCAUCUGAAUUCCAGAUACAUUAGAAUGAAUCUGAAGGAAAUGAAUGACAUUUCUAAACCUAGUUGUGGUGGAAGGGAGAUGUCAAUCGAUGGCCUUUCCUGAACUGUGCACGUGAGACAAUUGCAAGGCCAAAAAGGCUUGAAAGUUGGAAUACACGAAAUUAUUCAAGAACAAGAACUUGUACCUAUACUCCAGACACAUUACAGUGGCUCCCUGCCUAUGCAUCGGGAUGAAUAUAGACACAACAAAAUCAACAGUUCAUACAUUUGAAAUCAUACCCAUGCUAUAUUUUAAAACUAGAAAGCUUAUCUUAAGAAAAAACAAACAACCGAUAUCUUUUAUGCUCAAAAUCAGCCUUGUUAUGGAAUCUGGUCAUCUUCUAGAUGUUAUCUAAUAAUAACAUCCAUCUAAAAUUUGAAUACUGAGAAAGGGAACCUAAAAGAAUACAAGAUGACUAUCCCUAACACUUUCAAAGGCUGAAGGCAGCCUUGAGACUUUCUUUCUCUAAAGUGGCGAGGCAUAAGCCUCAACUUUAUUUUCUUUUUCUACAAAGAACAUCUAUGCAUAUCCGCAUAUCUUAUUAGAAAGAAAUUAUAAUCAAGUAUUGUUAGACAUAAUAAUUAUAUGAAAGCAACACAAAAAUUAGAAUGAUUUGUAGUUCCUUCAAUGAAAAGUCUAAAGUUUGUCAACAUGAGCUCGUCUCAACUGGCACAUGUACGUACAUGAGAAUGUAAGGUCUCGUGUUCAAAUCCUUUCACCCCUAAAUUGUUAUAUGAAAACUUUUCAAAACAAAAAAAAUAGCCUAAAGGAUCAUUCUUAAUAGCAUUCGUUUAUACUCCUCUAGAGGAUUAGGCAAUAAAUUAACUUUAUUCUUCUGACCACUAUACAAGGUAUACCUACAAGGACAUUCAAAACCCCCAAGCCUCAAUGUGUUCUUAAGGAGGCACAAGCUUCUUCCACAAGAGGCUAUAUAUGGUCCAAAAGCAUAAGCUUCAAGGCUAAAAAUUUGUAGCAAGCCUCAAAGAGAGGUGUAAGCGACUACUUUUCAAAACAUCAUUAUCGUCAUGAAGUCUUUUAGGAUCAAGAGUUAUGCAUCGAUGUAUGCAUUCAUAAUAGCAGUUUUUCUUUUUUUUUUUUUUGGAUGAAAUGUAUUCAAAAUAGCAGUUAAAACCAACCGAUAGCCUAUUACGAAACAUUCUACCAGAAUUAGAAGGGAAGUAAAAGGCAAGCAGAAGUUAACAUUCUUUCUGUUAAAAUUCUUCAAUCUUCUUUGUGUUCGAACACAAGGAAGAUUGAAGAAUUUGUACAUGAGUACACAGACCCGAAUCCAAGCAGCUCAGUAACCAAAUACAAUUCACAGAAGACGGCAUGCAAUGAAGAACAACACAAAUAUCAAUAAUCAAAACAAUACAACAAUCAAUUAAAUUUGAAAGAAAGAAACCAAAAACCCACAUACCCAGAGACAUCAUAAACAUUUCUUGAAAUUCUCAUCUUCUUUUUGGCGCCUUUAAAUAGCUCCUCCAAGGUACAAGGCAACGCACUCUCAACCGCAGCCGCCUUCCUCCCUUUAACACCACUCCCAUUCUCCAUCCCAUUCUGAAACCUAAAAAACUCAUCCCUAACCCCUCUACUCUUCCCACCCCCAUCGACAUUAUUACUCCCGCCACCGCCCUCGGAUCCGAAAAAUUCCGCAUAAAUAUCAUCCGCGUUCCUGGGAUUAAACUUAAACGUAGAAGUAUUGGGAUGCUGGCGUUGAAACUGCUGAUAAACGGGAGAAUAAGCAGAUGAAGAAGUGGCGUGAGGAUUGGGCGGCGGAAUCUUGCCGGACUUGAGGGUUUCUUCCCCAUAAAGGUCGUAGAUCUGACGCUUUUGAGGAUCGCUAAGAACAUCAUAAGCUUCAGAAAUUUGCUUGAACUUGGCUUCAGCUUCAUGUUUGUUAGAAGGGUUCUUGUCAGGAUGCCAAAACAAAGCUAAUCUUUUGUAAGCUCUCUUCAAAUCUUCAUCGCUAGCGCUUCGGCUUACUUUGAGUAUGUUAUAGUAAUCUUUCCCCAUAGCUUUGUUUCUCUGUAACAAUGAAAGAAAUCUCUUCCUUCUUCCUUCUUCCUUCUUCCUUCUUCCUUCUUCCUUCUUCCUUCUUUUCUUCUUUUCGCCGGAAAAUGGGAAGAAGAAAGAAUGGCCGUCGGAUGAGUAACGGAAAAGAGAAUCCAGCUCCGAAUCUGACGGUUAUUUGGAAAGAAUUCGUGUAAGAAAGGAAUAUUAUGUGGACUCGGAUCUAACUUCCCCUAACCCGGAUCGUCGGUGACCCGACCCGGUUUCCCCUUUAAAACCAUUUAUUGUCUCCAAAUAUUUCUUAAAUGUGUAAUUUUAGUUCGAAUAAAACUUAAAACAUAGUAUUUUAAAGUUAAUUUUACAAUUAGUUAACACAUAAUUAUAAUUUUCAUAUAAAAGAAAAAGGUAAUAUGUGGAUGUGUUUUGAAAUAUUACAGUAAAAAUGUUAAUAGAUGAAAAAUAAAAGACAAUACUAAAUUUAUAGAUUUACUAGAUUAUAUGAAUACUUAGUAAAUUAGACAUUCGAAGAGAUAGAAACCAAAAUUGAACAAAUAUUAAGAUCAAAAUGGUACUAUAACAAUAUUAUUAAAUUUUCAUCGACAUGUGGAUAUUUUCACGUUUUUGUAGGUUUGAAAUUGACACAGGAGAUGAAUCGAUAACUUUAAUGUAAUGUCAAUCAUAAAAUGAUUAUUUAUAUAUAUUUCUUUUCAUUUUUGUUUUUCUUAUUCUUCCAAAAAUAUAUUUUAUAUCUAAAUUUCUUAAAAUUAAGACUAAAAUAUUUUUGUACAAAACCUACUCUAUGAUUGGCAUUAUACUUAGAUGUUAAUUUAAUCCAAAGAAGUCAUUUACAAAUCAAAUAAUUAACAAAAGGAUGGCUUCAAUUUACAAAACUGUGAAAUACACAAUAAUUAGAAAGAAAACAAAGACGUAUUUUUUUUUUCUCCUCUUGUUUUCUUAGAAAUACUCUCACGUUACGUUAAUUUAAUGUUGUUUUUUUAAAAAAAUGUAAUUAUAUUGAAUAAUCAUUUUAAAAAAUAAUUAUUAAAUGUAUAAACAAUAUUUAAUAUAGCCUAUAAAGUCUUGUAAAGUUUUAACACAGUGUAUUAGACUUGAAGACCUAAAUAAAUUUAAUUAUGAAUAUUUUAAAAUGUAACAAAUAUAAAUCAAAAUAUUUAGAAAAGUAAGAUUUUAGUGUAGUAUGUAAUUUUUGUUGUAAUUACUAUGGUUUGAAUGAAAAGCAAGUUUCACCCACAAUGGGUCACCCUUCUAAACAGUGUUUGUGCAUAAAGGAAUGAAAAUAUAAAAUAACAUAUGGUUGGAAUUUGAUUGAGUGUUUUUUGGUUGAUGUAUUUUAUAUAAUAAAACUAGGUAUCAAAUUUAACUUUAUAUCCUUUUAGUUAGGAAAAAAAUGUCCAUCAUGAUUUGAGAUUAAAUGAAAUUGAACAAAAAUCACUUAUUAUUUGGAAGGGAAAUUUAUGGUACAAAGUAGGAAGUGACAAAUAUCCACCAGUUUUAGUCGGUGAGCAUCUAAUGAAAGUGAUUGAAAUAUCAAAACUUUGUAUUAAAAAUAAUCAUUAUAUUUUAUUGAUUUCACCCAAUAUUAGAAACAUUGCCUUAACCUAACAUUACCCACUUGCAUUUUAUUUUAUUUAUUAAGUUAAUUGAUCAUACAAACAAUUGCUUUAUUCCUUUCUUAUCUUUACAUACAAUCGAUUAAUUCAAUGAAGUGGGUCACAAUCUAUCUAUGACAAUGAUAUAUAUAUUUUUUAAGUUAAAAGUUAUAAUCUCUAUUUUCUUUUUUUAUUAGUUGAAAAAGAUUAGAAAAACCUUUUUUAAUCUCUAAAUUUGGUCGAUUUUAAUCGGUCUCUAAAUUUUAAAAUGCUAAAAUCUGCCCAUUUAAUUUGUAUGUUUUGAGUUUUCAAUUUUGUCAAAGUUUCAAUUCAUUCAAUAAUCUCUUCUUGUUUUUCAUCACAAAACAUUAACACUAAUGAUUGAAAGUGUACUUAAUGAAAAAGAAAAUUGAAGCUUAGUGUGUAAAUGUUUUGUGAUGAAAAACAAGAAGAUUAAACCCAAAAGGUAUUUUUGCGAUAAUAAAUUAGGUGUGACAUUCUAUUUUCUUAGAACAAAGCUCCACAUUUUGGUUAAAAAUGUCAUCCAAGAAGCAAAAAAUUGGAGUGUUCCCAAUCUGUACAAACAGAAACCAUUAAAAUUUCCUCAAACUCAAAUCUCAACAAGCAAUUCCACCAUCAACUUCUUUUUCUCUAUGGUGUUGUUCCUUCAAAGUUAUGGAAGGCCAAGUAAAAAUCAUCACAAACAAAUAAUAUAAAAAGAAGAAGAAGAAAAUAUACAAGUGAAGAGGAUUUCAGUAAUAAAAGGCCUAUUUACUCUACCUCCCUCCAUAAGAUCCAUGAGAAGCUGUAGCAAUUUCUUGUUUCAAUGCUGUUGUGCUCUCACUGCAAACUCAAGAGGGUAACUAAUGCGAAAGGUGGCGGCAGCAGCAGCAGCACUUUGAGAAAGCUCGUCCUUGAAAACAAACGUCGUUGCCGCCCCCUCUGUUCGAAACCUCUCAUGCUAUUCUAUAACAGGCUAUGUUUGGGAUAAAUGGAAUGGAAACACUACUACACUCAGCAGGAUAAACAAAAAAACAACAUUCAAGAAACGAAUUCCACUUCACACGACUACGGCUUGUCCAGUGAGACCGUCAUGAAGUUGCAACGAUCCGUCUUUCAUUAGGUUAAGACUCAAACUCUUGAACCUCUCUCGAGAAUACUGCCUUGAUGCCUUUCGCCAAUCCGUUCCAGUUUUCAUCAUCGCCACAAACUCGUCGUAACUUAUUUGUCCGUCCUGAUAUUUAUUGGUUUACAAGAAAUUGAAACGAGCUUAUUAGGAACAGAACCAAAAAAGUACAGCCUGAACCUAUGGACCAUAGUUCAUCCUCUCUUGAUCUUUUCAAUGAAUAUCAAGUUGUGCAGUAGUGGAGUGGAGUAAUAGAUACGUAUUGUAAUUUUAGCUCUCCGUUGAUUUAGCUAAAGUAUUGCCAAAACGGGGCCUCUUUUAUUUUAUUUUUAUUUUUUAAAGAAAAUCAGUGGACUAGAAGGUCUCACCUUGUCUGUGUCAACCUCGCGCAUAAUUUCAUUCAGCACAUCACUAUCGGUUUCACCUGCUUCAUCAGAUAAGGCUACCCGUAGCUCAUCUAAUUCAAUGAAUCCACUUUCAUUUUUAUCAAAAAACAUAAAUGCUCUGCGAAAAUGCUCGUCAUUUUCCAUUCUCUGCAAAUGUAUUGUAACUGCUACAAACUCUCCAUAAUCCAGUACACCAUUACCAUCAACAUCAGCCUGUCGAGAUCAGACAAUCAGUGGAAAGAAUUGACAACAUGUAAUACCAAAGUUAGUGAAUCGAAAGUCUUCAAGUUCCAUUCAGGCAGGCAGGCAGCAUUACUUGUUAAAAGUCAGGGUAAAAAUGGUUCAUGAAUUCAUAUCCAACUGAUUAUUAAGAGAUAGCAUAGGAAACAAAAUUGCAAUUUGGAAACAAGAUAUGAAGAAAAAGGAUUGGGAAUGCUCACAAAUGAUUUAAGUAAAAAGAGUAAUAAGCAUGUUCAGCGGUAAAUGAAACCAUAAAGCAAAAUUUCAGUCUGAAUUUGUGAACAGUAGAAACUUACCACUUCCAUGAGCAUUUUCAUCUCGGGCUCAGCCAACUGUGAGCCAACCUUUUUUAGUCCCGCUUUCAGUUCCUCAAAAGAUACUUUCCCAUCAUUGUCGGUGUCCAUCAAAGAAAACAUAUCUCUGAUCACUUCAACUUCUUCAACAGAUAAAUGCUCUGCUAUCACCUACACAUUAAAGAAGUUCAGGUAUUCCUGGUUGUCGUGAAUUCCAUCACUGUAAUACCCAUUCAGUAAUUUCACUUUGCUUUUUUUUUUUUAAUUUAUUUUUUUUAGCACACCAAUGUUUGGUGGUGAUUGAACAUCUAAUGUUAAGGUUAAGUUAAAUGUAUACAGAUUGACUAAUUAAGCUAUGUAUCGUUUAGUAAUUUAGAAGAUAAUAGAUCACUUUAAGGCUUACCCUUAGGGCUUUCUUUUUGAACCUAUUCAUAACAGAGAACUGCUUGAGUCUCAUUCUUACAAUAUCUCCAAGUGGAACAUUUGGAGCUUUUUUUGCAUUUUGUAACCAAGGAUGAUCUGUAAUUAUGGUGAAAAAAACUGUCAGAGGACAAAAAUAUUGAAUAUACGCUGUGAAAAAUUUAUUCAAAGAUCCAUUAUUGAUCAUGAACUUCAGGAAUAAAAAGGACAAAAAAAGGGCAGGGUCAACAUGUAUUCUUUCUAGCCCCCCCUCCCCCACAAUGCUAGGUUACAUUAUUUUGCUAAAUACCAUGUUUGUUAUGCUUGGAUAUAGUUCGUCGUGAAGCAAACUUCCAACUCAAGGAAAAAGGCUAGAUAUAGGUAGAAGUACCAUCAUUUUAGAAAGAGAAACAGAUACCGAACACGAUGAUAAUGCAAGAUUGGAGCACACGAAUCACAACUAUGAAGCAAAUUUCAUCUCCAGGAAAAAAACAAAGAAACAGAUUCUCUAGUCUCCAAAUAAUAGAGAUGUCUGAAAUGACAUCAAAGGAAGCCAAACGUAUCAUGUUCAAAGAAAAUAUGGACUAGACAGGUGCCAGAGUGAUUCUGAGUUCCACCAAUAAAUCAAUGUUACUUUCUUGUUUCUGACCGUAAAUUUCAUUGGGGCAAAGAAACAUUAAACCGACUUUUUGUGUAUGCCAAUGAAUCAAACAGUACUCAGAGUUGAACCAAUCAGCCCUUAACAGCACCCACCAACAACUAACUGAAAUUCAAAAGGCAUUUCAGCCUUAAAGAAUUAACCCAGUACAGUAAAGAGAACCAGCAGUAAACUACUCUUUUGGUUGUUAAAUCACGUAACAAUUUGUAAUGAGUUAAUUUUGUCAAUAGAGUUAGAAGAGAAAUUCUAACUAUACUUGGCAAUUUCAUACUUACAUCACAAAUGUUAGAGAACAGUUGAUAGAAUGAAUCAAUUAGACUUCAUGGUAAUUAAGAGAGAUAAUCUGCCCUGAUGUCUAAAUAUCGUUCCACGACAUUCAAUGUAUCAAUAACAGAAUAGUAAAAUUGAAAAAAUUUCGUCACUUCAAGCACUAAAUUGAACUGAUCAGUACGUCAUUCUCAAUAAUGAUACUGAAAUAGUGAAAUUUCACUUGAAAUUGAAAUUGAAACCAAAUGAUAAAAGCCAAGAGAAAAAGUAACUAUAGGAUUCAAGUAUCCAUGAACUCACUCAUGGGGUUCUUCUAUUUAAGCAGAUAAUUUAAAUGUCAUUGCAACUCAGUAUGAUAAUCUUGAGAAUGCUAUGCUUUAAAAAUGAUUAGUGUGAUAAUCUUGAGAUUGCUUCGAAAUACAAUGCAGUCCACUUGAAAUCGUUGUUUAGUUCAAAAAAAGGGUGGAAAAUACAUAUUACUAUUUGAUCCAGGGACCUAGCAGAUACCAGCUACACUUACGCAUAACUCAUACGGACUAAACCAAAUGAAAGGGAUAUCACACAAUUCUCAGUUCCAGGCACCCAAUAUUGAACAAAUAGUCCGUUAGGAAUGCCUAAAGAAGUAAUUUUAUGUGCAAAAACGUAUUUUUAAACCUUUGGAAAGUCAAUCCAAACCAGUCAAAAAUUUAGAAUAUCCGGGAUAGAAAAAAUACACUAAACCUUGCAACUUUGCACUCAAAACUUAAAGCACGUAGCCGAAGAGCAAGUUGCAUUGACCCAUCUUUGCAUAACACCCCACCCCAAUCACGCUGUAUAAAAAAACCCAAAAAUAUUUUUAUAAAGAAGAGAAGAAUUUGCGUGCGAGAAGCAGUGGUUGGGCAAUUGGACAGAUUGCACAAAGUUAGGUGCAACCAAGAUGCAGUUGAGUAUUUUAUGUCGGAAAAUAACUACCCAUGAGCAGUCGAGCUACUUACCAAGCACCUGCUGAGCAGUUAAGCGCUUCUUAGGCUCCGGCUCCAGCAUCUGCCGGACAAGGCUUUUAGCACUCUCUGAAAUCUGUGGCCAUGGUUCCCUCUUAAAAUCAAGUACGCCCCUCAAAAUUGCCAGAGCUACUCCUUGUUCAGUCUCUAAUAACAGAAUCCCAAAAUAGUAACAAUCAAAAAACUUAACCAUUAAACUGAUCUUGAAAUCAAAUUAACUUAGAUUUAGAUUGAUCUUAAAAUAGCAAAGGAAAACCAUAUUACCAGCCCAGAAUGGCGGAACACCGCACAAUAAAAUAUAUAAUAUCACACCCGCACUCCAAAUAUCAACCUCUGGUCCAUAGUUUCUUUUCAAUACUUCUGGCGCCAUGUAGUAUGGACUCCCCACUAUCUCCGAAAACUUUUCACCUAAAAUUAUUGUUGAAUAGAAGCACUUAAGGUUCAACCCACAAAAUCAUUAAAAAAAAUGCCAAUGAAAUUGAUAGCCACAGCUUCCAACCAACAGAUGAAAAUGGAAACGAAGAAACUUAAAAAGACAAUUGAAUCAAGCUUUACUGUACUUCACGAAGGGGAAUCAAAGUCUUAACGAACUUACCAGGCUUGAAGAACACAGAAAGACCAAAAUCAAUCGCUUUGAGAGGCGAAUGUUCCUUCUUGUUCGCAAACAAAAAAUUCUCAGGCUUCAAAUCUCUGUGCAUAACUCCGUUAGCGUGACACAUCCUCACCACUUCAGCGAUUGUUCUCGCGACGUUCGCAGCAGCACGUUCGGUGUAGUGUCCUCUCGCUACAAUCCGAUCGAAAAGCUCACCUCCCUCACAAAGCUCCAUAACCAGAUGAACAUUCUCGUUAUCCUCGUAAGUCGCUUUAAGCUUCACUAUAUUCGGAUGUUCAGGCAAAUUUGACAUUAUAGCAACCUCUCGCCUCACAUCCUCUAUAUCCACCGCAGUUCUCAGCUUCCUCUUCGAUAUCGAUUUACAAGCCAAAGCCUCUUUCGUCUCUCUAUCAGUACACAAAUACGUGAUCCCAAACUCUCCACGGCCUAGUUCAAGCCCCAGUAUAUACUUGUCGCUGAUUCGCGUCCGGUGACUGAGCGGCAUCACAUCUUUCAAAACCCUAAGCGGAGCCGGCGACCUAGUAGCAGUCUCCCGCGUAUAUGGGUUGGAUUUCCGCUCUUUUUCAUUCUUCUUCCGAUUAACCGACUUCUCGUCCUCUGUAGUCUCUGGUCUCACACACGCGUUACAAUUCCCCAUACUCCAACAAGAAUCCCAAGAAAAAGUUCCUUCUUCUCGAUCUCCGUAGAAAACCUCGAGUCCCCUAGAGUCGUAGCCGUGAAGAAGAUAGUCGCCGGCGGCGAGGCAGGUAGUUAUCGGCGAGAAGAGAAAUGUAGGGGAGAAAAGAAAACGCGGGGUCGGUUGAGAAGAAAAGAAGGUAUUUUGAAAAAAUCAUGGUAAUGAUAUCUAAUUAUUAUAAUAUUGAUUCAAAAGGGUAAAUUAGGAAAACGACGAAUUAUGAUUUGGAGUAAUUAAGAAAUAUAAUUGGGUUUUUCUAAUCAUAAGAACUUUCAUUAAAAUAAUACGAUUUUUCUGUCCUAAAAUUCUCCCAUUUCUUCCCCUUUAUCCACUCCCCAAUUUUGUAUUUAAAAAUGUUUUAACAAAAUUUGUAUUUAAUAAUAAAAAAAUAUUUCCCACUUUAAUUAAAAUACCUUUACAAAAAAAAAAAAAUCUAUUUUCAUCUCUUUUCAAAAAAUAAAAAUAUAUAUUACAUACACUUUUUUUUUCAUUCUACAUUUGUCUUUAUGAUUUGGUCAAACAUUUCUUAUAAACUUUCUAAAUAGUUUUUUACAAGUUUUUAGUUCAAUAUAUUAUUAAUGCCUUUUAAGUUGUUUUUUUAAUAAUAGUAACUAAAUUUCUAAUUCAAAAUUUUAAAAUAUAUAAAAAAAAGUGAAAAUUUAUUAAUAUAUUAUAAAUUUAACCAUAGACAUUUUAAUAAAAUAUAGUAAAGUUUCGUAUUUUAUCCCUAAUAGAAACGGACAAAUUUUAAAAUAUUAUUGUAAUUUGUAAAUAUUUACAGCAUUUUGCUAUUUAUGAUAAUUUAUUGUUUAGUUUAAUUACAACUUGAGAUACGUGAUAAAAGGGUUUAUUAGAUUCUCAUUGAUUAGCCUUCAUUACUUGUAAUCAAUAAUUUAAUUAUAUUACAUUAUUCGGACUUGAAUUCUAGCUUUAAUUUUAUUUAUAUUAACAUUGGAUAGAAUUUUCCAAAAACAUAUAAAUUUGACAAAAUAUUUCCACUUCCUAAAACGAAACCAUAAACAUUAUUUCUUUUAAUUAUUCAUGUUCUACUUUUUACUACAAGCACACAAGAACAUGAGAGACCGAUUGAUUCCUAUAAACAACAUUCAUGUUGAUCCACAUAGCUAACUAAUAAGCCAAUUCUUUAAAUCGUCGAGAACCAAAUAAACAACGGAUGUUUUUUCUAACAUAGCAUGAAUCUAGGUCAUCUAAAAUUCUCAAUUGGGAAGUUAGAAAAAAUGAUAGGCAAUAUUAGAAAGUAUAAUAUUUGGGGGCCUAAUUAAACAACAUAGUGUUUAGAGCAAAGAGUCGUAUUCUCAGCCGUUGAUAUUUCAAACUUUUGUUGGUGAGGUUGAUGGAAGGUCAAGAUUUAAAGCCAAUAAUUGUUGAAGUUGUUCACCAGCUGAAGGGAUUGAUGUAUUAAGCUUUGACUAAUUCGGCUUUGCCUAACCCAAAAUCUUAUUAUUAUUAUUAUUAUUAUUGUUAUUAUCAUUAUUAUUAUAUGGGUAGUUUUGUCCACAACAUUUUGGAGUCUACUAAAAGCAUAAUCACCACAAUUUCAUAUUAACCUAAACCUUAGUUAAAUCUUUUUUCUACAUAGUUGAAUAAAAUCGCUCUAAAUUUCCAAAACCCUAGAAAUUCGAGACAAAAUCAUAAAUAUAUCAUUAUUGAUUAAUAGAAAUGUUUGUGCAUUAUUUUUUGGGUUAAAAUUAAUUAAUUAAAACAAGCGACCUAGAUGAAAAGUCUUUUACACAUUACUUAGUUAUUUCUUAGUUGCUAUUAAGUAGAAUAGAUGUCCGAGUGGAAGUACAUACCAAAAGUACGUCCCUCAUUUAUUUACUUUUGUACUUCAUAUUCAAUUUAAAUAAAGUAAUAUAUAUAUAUAUAACAAAAUAUCAAAGUUUAGUUGUGAUAAAUUAAGAUAAAUUACUAUAUGUGUGAUAAUAUAUACAUGUUAAGUUAUUUUAGUAUAUUAAAGAUAAAUUAUGAUAUUUUGUUAUAUUUUAAUAAUUUGUUAAAAAGAAAAUAGAGUUUAAAAUAUUGAGGAAAGGAAGACCACAAGACUUAGAGAAAUAAUGGAAUGAAGUUAGGUGAAGAUUUAGCUUGGUCAAUGAAAUGAGAAACUAAAGACUUUGAAGGUUGUAUUUUCUUCAACAUCAAGCCAAUUUAGUUGAUUUUAUUUUAUUUAUUUGUGUUUUGUAAAGUUGUAAAACCAAAGUCAACAAAAAUAACGAGGCUAUACCUUUUCCCAUCUCCUUUAAUUAAUCUCCACACCAAAAAAAUAAGGAAACAAAAACUUACACCUAUCUCUUUCUUGUUUUAUUUGUUUUUCUUUUAAAAAAUGUCUCACAACUCUUUUAUAUUUCCUUGUUAGAAGUUGUUUACUUCAUGAAAAGUCAAUAUUUUUACUGUUUUCACAACUCGAUCAUAAUUAUCGUAAAUAUAAAAUGUUUGUGUAGGAGCAUCUCAAAAUUUUAGAUGUAUUAUUGAAUCUUGUGUUUCUUAACGUUUAUGGCAUUCUCUUUUUAAAUUUAUUUUUAUUUUAUAUAAUUAAUGAACGAAUAUAAUGAACGAAUGAUGGUAAAGUAAUUCUUAAAACAUUAGUACAUUUUUUAUGUAUAACUUCUACAAAACAAACACAUUAUGGAAGUAUGCAUAUUUAUCUAUAUGAAAGAAUCCCACAAAAUUAACAUAGUUAUCUACAUUUAAAAACAAACAAACAAAUAUUCUCUAAUGUUAUAAUGCUUUUUUAAGGCUUAGAAAUACAAUUCUUAACGCAAUACCAAAUAAGUUGUGUACAAACAUAUUUAUUUAGAAAUUAAAAUGAACACAAAAAUGUUCAUAUAUAUGAAAGCAUUUAAUUAGGUUAUUUAAUGUGAAAACUAUGGUUGGUUAGGGGGAUGUGUGUUUUAAAAAAAUGAGAUACAAAAAUGGAUAUUCUUGAAAUUUGAGAGUGGCGUUGGAAUUGCCACGUGGUGCAAUGCCGAGAGAAAAGAAGACGUCUUAUGGCGAUGGUCCCCUCCUUGACUUUUUCUUCCUCUUUUGUUUAUUUUCAAAACUCAUUUCUUUUAUAUCAUUUGAAUUUAAUUUAUGCUUCACUUUCUCUUCUUUGAAAUUUGAGAAAUUAGAGUCAUAAAUUUUCUCUAUCAUAUCUUCUAUUCUCAUAUUUCAAUUUUGUAUUUAAUACAUAUUCAUAUAAGCUUUUAAAAAAUAUGUUAAUGUGAUUUCACACCACCAAUUCCGUUGAAAGUAAUUAAAUAAUAUAUAACAAUAUUUUUAAAUUUCUUGUAAAUAUAGCAAAAUAUGUCGAAGUCUAUCACUGAUAUAUCAUAUUGCGAAUAUUAGUCUAUUACUGAUGGACCGUAAUAGUCUAUCAAUGAUGAAGAUAGAGUUUAGUAUAUUUGUAAUUUUUUAAAAAUGUUAUAUGCUUAAUUAUUAUUAAAAAAACCGACACUAAUUAUAAUUACCCAAAUUAGAAAUCGUAAAACAUACUUGGUGUUUUUAUAUUUGAGUAAUUUGUAAAAGUAGAUGCUCCUAAGAGUGUGUGUUGAGGUUUGUAUUUGUUUGUAAUGAUCAACUUCUCACUAAGUCGGUUAGAAGGGUGUAGAUCUUGUGAAGAAUGAAUGCGACCAAAGUCAGAUAUGUCGUAGCUACGUAAUGGAAUGACUACUGGUUUAUAAGAGAUGACAAUUACAAAAAUUUUGAGUUAAACAAAAAAAAAAAAACAAAGUUAAGAGGAUGCAUGUCUAAAAUGAACAAUAUCAUAUUAUUGUAGAGAUAUCUAAAGGUCGUCAUUUGUCUUUAACAUUAACACUUGGUACAAACUUGCAUAAUGACUUCAAACGAGAAAAAGAAAGAAAAUUGUACAAUACUCGAUUGAAGACGGACGUAAACCCAUGAGCUACGACAACUCCAUGAAUAUAAAUUCAAGAGAUUAAUACAUUAUUUUCGACCCUAAUAUGUCAUCAUAAGAUUACAAGAGGUUUUUCCUUUUGGUUUAGGUGAACAAAGGUUCAUAUAAUAUAAAAGUAGUGUUAUCUUUUAAUUUGAUGGAAAAAGUAGGUUUGAAAUGUACAAUUAUUUCAACAUAGAUAGGAAUAAUGUUAUAAUAGUUCCAAGAAGAUGUACCAAAAUGAAAAAACAUGUUAAGAGGGAGAGAGGGGGCAGAUUGCAAAGUGAAUUUGUAAGGUAGAGGGAAAGUGGGGAAUAAUAAUAGAGCAAAAAAGGAAAGAAAAAGUGGAAUUAGGGACUGAAAAAAAAUAUUAAUUUAUAUUUUAUAUAUGGCCAAAAGGGAAAAGGGAAAAGGAGAAAGGAAAAAAAUAAUGAUGAUGAUUGAAAAGGUGAUGUUUGAAAGUGAGCAUAGGAUACUUUAAAACCUGGCAUGCAUGAAUGAAUAGUAUGCCUAGAUUAAAAUAAUACAACAAGAAAAAACAUCUUUUAGUUAUCGACUUUUCAAUCUGUAUUUCUAAACGUUGCGAUUAUAAGAGCUUUGUUUUGUGUUCAAAUUGAUUAUCUAACGACAAAAAUAAAAUUAAAAUCGAAUUCAAAGUUUAAAAACAAAUAGAAAUUAAAUCUAAGACGUAGGAAACGAAAGAUGAUUUGUUUUUCGUAAUCAUUUUAAGAAAUAAAUAACCGAGAAAAAGGCAUGUUAAAUCCCAUCAUGAGGCCAUGUGCCCUUCUCCUACCCUUCCUUCCACGCCUUCUUUCUCUUUGAACCCUAAGCCCCACCUUUUCCAUUUCUUCCUUUUUCUUCUUUUACUCUCUUUUAAUUAUUAUUCAUUACAUUUUUAUAUACACUUAAAUUAACAUUUUUUUUCUUCAACGUUAAACAAGAAAAUAAAAUAAAAUGUUACCCGUGUCAACUUUCAAUUCAACAAAGAAAAAGUGAUAUGUUAUUUUUAAGUAUACGGGUAAUAUUUCAUUUACCCGUAUAGUGAUAUGUACUCACGAGUUGAUUGAUGGAUUGACUUUCAUAUAUCAAUUGGUAUUUGGUGAAUAUAAAUGUUGGUGGUGAAAGGUGACAUAAUAUUUGACAGGUUUACGAGUAAAUUUUAAAUUUUUGUUUGUUUUUUCUCUCUCGAUAUUUAUUACAAUGGUAUCUCUUUUUAGUCAAUAAAAUAAUUUAGUAAAGUAAUAUUUUAGAUUUAUUAACUAGGAAAUUUGGUUUUUGUUGUAAAAUGAAAAUGCAUAUGCAAAAAGGAAGUCAAUAGGUUCAUAUUAAAGUUGUAUAAAAAAAGAAAACAACUGUGGUAUUAAAUUAAAAAAGAAAAGCUUUAUAUACUUUGUCAAAAUAAAUAUCUUCUCCUCUACUUUUAUUGUUGUUAUGUGAACCAAUUCCCUUCUUUCACAAAUACCUCUCAGUUGUGUCUUUCAUCAUCAUCAUCAUCUUCUUCUUCUUCUUCUUCUUCUUUUUUAAAUGUUAUUAUAAAUAUCAUCUCUAUUACUAUUAAGCAACUCAUUUUGACGAAAUAGUGAGAUUUAAACUUACGACUUCGAGGACAUAUAUAUAUAUAUACACACCUUAACGAAUUAAGAUUUGUUUAGAUUGUUAUAUAAUUUUUUAUUUUAAAUAUUUAAAUUCUUUAAAAGUGAUGAGGUGAUGUGAGAUGUUUGAAAUUCUUUUGAAACAUUAGUUAUUAUAAUCAAAGCUUGAUUGUAAGAAGCACUAACGUAAAAAGAAAAAUUAAAUUAACUUGAAUGGUUAAAGAUAAAAUUAAUUGCAAUAAAAUUCCUCCCUUAACAAAAACGACGUAGUUCCACAACUGCAUAAGCAGAUUAAGCGUAUUGUUACUAGGCCCAGUACGUUGAGGCCCAUCAUGAGAAUGGCCCAAGAACAGAACCAAAUAUUGGGCCAUGUCACUGAGGACCAAAUAAAAGAGAGGAAAUAGCCCAAUAAGAAAACUUUUAAAAUUACAACCGUUAGCGAUUUUAUGAAUAAAAUUUGAAGAAAAAAAUUGGGUCAUGAGUUGGGUUUACCUGACCCAAACCGAGUAUAUACGGAAGUCGGAAGAUAUCAAAACAUAUUAGACAAAUGACGACAUGUCGUGCUCUCAUUUAGAAAGACGAUGCGUCGUUGGAGUUCAAUAAAAAGAAUUUCGACGAAGAGAGCGAUGUUCCAUUGACGCCUUUAUCCCCUCUUCUCUGUCGCCUAAAAUUCUGGUUUCCGCUUCUAAGAAGAACGACACUACCAAUCUAAGAAGAAGAAGAAGAAUAAAUAUUUUGAAGCCAUAGAAUUCACGAAAGAAAGAGAGGGGUGAAGAUGAAGACGACCAAAGGAGGUAAGGUGAUGAACCCUACGGAUGCUUAUCGAAAGGAGCUUCGCAAGAAGGAAUUGAAACGGGUACGUGUUCUUCCUACCAUUUAUUUUCGCUGGUCAGUUAACUUCUGGUUCCGCCACUUUAUUUAAUCGUUGCCGUCUUCGAACCCCAUUUCCGUCCUUCUUUUAUCAUUGCUUGCUGUAGUGCAAUCGAAUUGGAUGAGAUAAUUUACUUUUUGGCAUUGUUAUACGUGAUAUGUUGCAUGCGAAUACUAUUGAUUCUUCAAUGAAAUAAGAUAUAGUGGCUUGUUUGGAUGCGUUUAGGGACCUGGGUUUUUCUUUUAUAUAGUCUUCUAACGAGGAAGGGUUGUUACUGGAUUUGGAUUUAGGGUUUUAGAUUAGUGAGAUAUCACAGGAGUCUUGUAACUGAUUUGGGUUGACUAAGCCAUCAAUUUUCAUUUAGGAUUCAUUGAGUGAUAUGGGGACUGAAUAGAGACUCUUCUAAAGAAGUGGAUUAUUUAAUGCAGUUACACUUGAUUCAAGUUGCUAUCUCUUAAGUUCUUACUUAAGUCCUAUAAUAUAUUGUGAAACUAGAUCUUUCAUUGUGAAUAAUGAGAUUCAGAAGCUUAUUGAGUAUUUCUUGUGGCAAGGAGUAUGUAAAUAAGGAGAUUGACAUCUCAUUCACUGGAAAAUUUUCAAUUUUCUGUUGGAAUUGCGGGGCCUGGAUAUUGGCUUGGUAUCCACAGUCCUACUCCUUGGAGUCUAAACAAUUUAUGAGCUUCUCUUUUUCUGAAAUGAUUAGUGAUAUGGAUGGAUUACAACUAUGUAUCAACCUUGAAGAAGCUCAUUCCCGUGGACCUGUAUUCCUAGAUUCCUAUGGUACAUUUUUGUGUUCCAAGUCGGGAAAGGGUAGGAAGAUAUGUCUUAGAGGUUCUUGAUAUCAUGACAUUAACUUUUGUGCAUUUUUGGAAUUUAGGAAUUUAGAACUUUUGAGGUGGAAGUUUUUUGUGCAUAUCAGUGCCCAAUUCUGAAAAAAGGUUAUUUGUGCAUAUUAGGAUAAACUAAUAUUCUUUUGAGUUAUGUAUAUUUCUUUCCUUUUGGCCUUCUUUUAGUUAUUAGUGUUUUUGUGAUGUGAUUGGUCAAUGAUUGGAUUCAAAUCCAUAACCUCUAAUAACAGAUGUUAUGUGUGCCUACCAGAAUAAGAAAGAGAGAAAAAAGGUAAGAGAGGUGGGAAUUUUGAAGAAAGAUCCUGAUGCAAUCAAGGAGCAAAUUCAAAAGUUGGAAAUGAUGAGUAAGUUGCAAUGCUUAUGAACUUUAUUUACUUUACUGCACAUGGUUCCAUAAGUUUUCUUUGUUGAUUUGAGAGGCCUAUUUCAUUAUCUUGAUUCUUCAUGACCAACAUCAAGAAAUUUGAUCUUUGCCCUUUGCUUUUCCAAUUUUAAUGACGUGAGCCUUCUAUUUUCUAUUUUCUUUUGUCUUUUUUGUAAAAUACACGUUGCUUUCUCAUUUCAGCCUCUUUUUUGUUUCUCUCUGUUGUCUUAUGCAGAGGCUGAUGGUGCCCUUGAUAAAGCUAGAAAGCACAAGAAAAGGCAGUUAGAAGAUACUCUUAAUCUUGUAUUAAAGAAGAGAAGGGUAAUUUUUCAUUUUGUAAUUUCUUGAGAAAUCUCUGCAAGCUUUGUUCCCUGCAAUCAUAUUGAUUCUCUCUCUUGGACAGGAAUAUGAAGAUAAAAUGAAGGAGAAGGGUGAGGUCCCAGUUAUGUUCAGGUAUAAAAGACUCUUGCUCAUUGUUGGUGUUAUUGCUCUUCAUGCAGUUAAAUUAUUUUUCCCUUUCAGAAAUAUACCAUAGUUUAUAAUUUAUAUUCAAGCACUGUAUUCUAUCUUCUGUCCAGUCAUUUGGGACCUCCAAAAAGACGAACAGCUGAAGAGGAAGAAGAGAGAGGGAAACAUCCAAAUCCUGAAGUGAGAACUCUAAUUGAUUGUCUGUCCAACUAUAUUAUUCCUUAUAUUGCAUUUAUGGAUUUUAUUUGAAUAUUUUCUGCCACUUUAGGACUCUGUCUACCACCAUCCCACACUAAAUCCCACUGGAGCUCCACCACCUGGGAAACCUCCAAUGUUUAAAUCAUCAAUUGGUAAGUUAGUUUCCUGUUCAAUCUUGUAGUAAAACAAAAAGUUACAUGUGUGCUUUUAUAUUUGUAACUUCCACUGAAGUCUUGUAUGAAUGAAAACUGUAGGACCACGAGUUCCUCUAUCCGAUGCUUCUACUAGUGGUGCUGCACCAUCCUUGAAUAUGGAGCCGGAGGAUGUUCCCUUGGCUGUACCUCCACCUCCCCCACCACCUCCUUUGCCAGACUCUGCUAAGUUGGGUUCUGCUGAUGGUCCUGCUCUACCUGAUUCCUUACCUUUACCUCCUCCACCUCCAUUGCCACCUAAGCCUGUAGCAUCAAACUUGGGUUUACCAUUACCUCCACCACCUCCUGGACCUCCACCAAGGGAACAAGUUGCAGGCCGCCCUCCCUUUUUGUUGCCUCCAUCUUUGCAGCAGUCUACCAUGAUGCUCCCUUCUGGAACCAGUGAAGGUGAAAAGGAGAGAAGUCAACCGUCUGCAUUUUUGGAUGAUUCAACUUCCAAGAUGCCAGCUCAGGUAAUAUCUCUAUUUAACUUCUCGUUAACAUGGAAUGAAAUUGUACAUGGCUGAGGCUGACUACACAGUAUGAGAUGAACUACACAUGCCUGACAUCCUUGUUUUUUUAUUUGAUUUGUCUGGGGAAGAAAAAAUUAUAUGAUGUUUGAAUGUGUUUGAUUACAGAAACUGUAGGAGUGAUUAAUAGUCAAUGUUAGCAAGCUAACAUUCUUAUUUUUCUCAUUCAUUUAGGUACCUACUACUCUCCCGCCGCCUCCCCCCCCACCUGGGAUGCCACCAAAGGGUGAUCAGUCUGAAGGUGUGUCAGGUGAUGAGGAGGCAAAUAAUUCUUUAGUGAUUAAAGAUGUUUCUAAACUGGUUCCUCCACCUCCACCUCCAAGACCUCCUCCGGGACCUGGGCCUUCAUUGAUACCAACCUUGCAGCCUGAUGUAUUACCCCCUGGAAUAUCUCGAUUUCCCCCACCUCCACCUCCACCAGAUAUGCGACCAACAUUAUCCGCACCUGGAGUUCCACUCCCACCCGGAAUGAUGGUUCCGUUAAUGCCACGGCCACCAUUUGGGCCUCCUCUUGGACCUCCACCCAUGAUGAGACCACCUCUUCCUCCUGGACCUCCUCCAAUUUUUCAUGAAGAUGACCAUAAUGCACAAAUGCCACUUGUCCCUCAAAAGCCCUCAUAUGUUAAAUCUGCAGCAUCUACUGUUGUUAAGCGUCCGCUGGCUCAACACACUCCAGAACUUACAGCAAUGGUAAGAUGACUUAAUAUGCUAUUCUAGUGCAAUUUGAUUUUAAAAUUUGAUGUCAUGGUGGAAUGUUAAGAGUAUUACAAACUUGUCCUUCAUUAUCAAGUUUAAUAUAAAAUAUUCCAAUCUGGCAGAUGUUCUAUAUAGCUGGCAUGUUCUCAGGGGAAGGGAUAUUAUAUGUUAAGGAUGACAUUCCAUGAAAAAAACAAAUAGUGGACACACACACGCACACACAUGUUAAGGAUGACAAGGGAAUAUAUUUCGAGAGGCUAACUAUAAUUUUUUUAUUAUCAGCCAGCUUUCUUUUUUCUUUUUUAGGUUAGGAAUAUUUAACACUGUAUAUUCAUCCAAAAAAGAACACAUCCUAAAAGUCUUAGGGGUGAGGAUUCCCCAAGUCUGAUUCAAAGGAUUGACAACAAAAGACCUUCCUUCUUAAUUAAUCAGAUAAUUUUGUGUAAAGCCCACCACAUAGAGGCUAUAAUUAGUACAUUUCCUCAAAAAAGCUAGAAGAUAACUCAUUUAAAAGAAAACAAUAUUCCUUCCAAAAUGACCAUACGAAGAUGUUGCUUGUGUCGUAUGCUUUGCCUCCCUGCUUGAAUCUUUGAUGUUCAAACCAACUUGAAGUAAAUUUCUUAUAGAACUUCAUUAUUGCAUAAGGUGAGUGAAUUGGAACCUGGUGAAGGAUAGUCUUAUUCUUUCACGCCUGAAAGAGAAAUGCUCCUGAAAUUCUCCUCUUGAAUUAGUUUUCUAGCUACCUUAGCAUGGAAUUAGGAUAAGAUUAUGAUGAUGUUUGCCUGUAUUGUACAAAUGCAAAUAUACAAGUGAUCUAUAAAAUAGCAAGAUAUAGAACAACAAUUCUCAAUGUAGUUUGAUCCCAUGGCAUUUGGGAAUUAGAAAAGCUCACUGUACAAAUUAGUCUUAUUCUGCUCUAACCACAGAAAUAUAUCAACUUUGCUCUGACAUUCUAAACUUAUAUCAUGCCACUAUUUCAGGUUCCUGCAUCAGUUAGAGUGAGAAGAGAGCUAGCAGCACCGAAGUCUAAGCCAAAACCUUCACCAUCAACUACAGCAGCUCCAUCCCUGCCCACAGCUCCUAUCGUAGGGAAGCCAGAGUUGGUCAGCUCAUCAUCGGCCCCAAAGAAACAGAGUAUUGAUGACUCAUAUAUGGCAUUUUUGGAGGACAUGAAAGCUCUUGGCGCUCUUGACGAAUGAGAUGUUGAAUUGGUUUAUAUGGGAAAUUGUAGGCAGCAGUUGUAAUCGAAAAGGAGGGGAAACAAAUGGCUUGCACUUAUCAAGAACUGUCUUCAAUUUGGAGAUGAUCGGAUUAUUGCCUUCAAGGUUUGCUUUGCUGCAUCAAAGGGUAGCCAUUAUUUACUCGCACUAGUGGCCCUGCUGCAUUUCUUGAUAAUAGCAUUUAACUUAGAGGCCUUAAAUUGUGUCAUGUUGACAUUUUUAUAUUUUGACAAAAUUGGAAAUUGUUCGUCAGAUUUAUCUCUGAAUAGAUGUCAAGCUGAUCCCCUUAUCCUUACUUUCAAAGUAAACUUAGCCUUUUCUUUUUCAUUUUUUCUUUUCCUAUGAAACUGUGCAACUGACCAUUGAACAUUCAAAGCAGCUCCGGGUUUCUUUAUUUUUUAGAUUUGAAACAUUUAUAUAGCUAAUGUUUUUUCCAAAAAGAUGUCUAAUGGAAAAUAAAUUAAUGAUAAUUUUAAAUGUGAGUUACAUAUGAUUAUGUUUGAUGUUAUUUACUACUUGUGUUCUACAUCCAUAAAACUGCAAUUUGAUUAACUCGUGCAAGGUGAUCAAUUCUUAUUGUUUGACAAAGAUGAUAUAAGUUUAAUUAAUUCAUCCAUUCAAUUUGUAUAAUGAACCAUUAUUGGCUUAUCAUGACGAUCUUAUGGACCUCACAAAAGAACAAGGCCACUAACCUUAGUGCUCAAUAAAAAAUUGUUUGGUCACAGCUCAAACCGUCCAAACUAUACAAAUAUUAAAUGUUCGAAUUCUUUUGUAUAACCCGAAUAAUUAAUAUUUAAGACAUUUCUACUAAUCAUGCUGUUUAAAUGAGAAAAUUAAGCAGUAAUAGAACAUUGUCAAUCAUAUUAUGGACAAAGAGUCACAUGACAUGAUGUUUUCCAAUCCCCAAAAAUGAUAAAGAGGCAAAGUCAAACUGUGUAAUCUUUUGGAAUUGGAGCUAUUACAGAGUAUAUCUAUACUGAACUUAAGAAAAAAUAUACAAAUUUUUCAUAAGAAGAAGAAAAAAAACAAUCCCUUUAAUUUCAAACUAUUUCUUUUGACAAUUUCAACCAUUCGUCACGCCUGAUGUCAAACCAAUAGUUGAAAUUGACGAAUUUCCCUAAUAAUAAAUCCAAGUGGGUUCCUAUAAAGUUUGAGACUUUUGUUAUUUCUUUUCACUUUUUGGUGAAGUUGGUUCGGGGGGAAGAAGAAAAUGGCGAGUCGUAUCCAAAUUCAAUUCCCAGCUGAAAACCACUGGUUUUCUCAACAACCCUAUUCAAUUAUACACAAGAGAGUGGAGGGAAAGUCAACGACAGACUCUUUUCCCGUUAAUUUAAUCCUUUGGUCUUUAAUAUAUUAUUCGUAUGAGGUGAAAGGAAAUAUGUUGAAAUCUCGAUGAAGGGUUUGAUUUAUAAUUUGUAAUUUAUCAUUUCUGGAGAGAGACAGCAAGGUUUGAAUAUUGGUUUACUACCAGAAGCUGGAUUAAACAAAGUCCAAAUGGUAAGAGAGAUGGAAAAAUGAUGUAGAUGGGUUUCUUCUAGUGAGAGAAGAGUAUGAAAAUUUGAAGUCAGUCAUGGCCACCAUGUUGAUAAAUUUCAACUUCUUAUGCUUUCACAUUGUUUUCUUUUAGCUUGAAAUGCUGACAUCCCUUUUUGAAGCCUAUUUACAAUAGGGUUUUUCCCGAGCUUAUCCGGAGAGAUGAACUGAAGAAAAUCUCUCUCUCUUCCCCCUCUCUUUUUGUUCCCUUUUCCUUUUGUUUAGUGCUAUGGAACGUUUUACUGGGGUCAUCCUCUUCCUCUGUGGGCUUCUGCUGUUAGUUCAUCCUACAGUUUCACUUCCCUUGUGCUCUGAUUCAAGUAGGUUUUGUUCUUUUUUACUUGGUUUAAUGUUUGCUGAUUCUUCUGUUUCAACUCUCAAUACCCUUUUUCUGGUUUGAUGCUUCAGUUUUUUGUUGAUAUUUUCUUGUGAUCUUCUUUCUCUGUAGCGGCUCCCUUUACUUUAAACACUACAUUGAAGUUCUGUCCUUAUAAUGGGAGUGUUUGCUGUAAUUCUACACAAGAUGGGGUUAUACAGAGACAAUUCCAAAGGAUGAACAUUUCUGAUCCUGCUUGUGCUUCUCUAGUCAAAUCCAUUGCCUGUGCGGUAAGACCUUAUGAUCCCCAAAAGAAAACACAAAAUCUCCCCCUUCUUUCUACAUAUGGCAUAGCUGAUUCUUCCUGUUGUUAUAACUUGUAUCUCGUUUUUAACUGUUGCUGAAUAAUAAAAUCUUGUUUGUCUGAAGCUUUUGAGGAAGUACUGUAGGAAUUCUGCCAUUUGUUAUAUAUUAACUCAGGCUCGGUUUACUGUUUUGUUUUUGGUUUUCAAAAAUUAAGUUAGUAAUCACCACUUUCAUAUAUUGAUCCGUGUGUUUAGUUAUUUACAUUUUAGGAGCGUUUUUAAUAUCCAAAGUAAAAUUUGAAAACUAAGAAAAGAUAGUUUUUAGUUUUGGAAUUUGGUUAAGGCUUUAUAUGUUUACAUAAAAUAUAUGAAAAUCAUGAUCAAGAUAUUAUGUGAAAUAAGUACAGUUUUCAAAAACCGAAAACCAAAUGAUUGAUAAACGGGGCUUAAAUGAUUUGGGAAGAGCAGUUGGUUUAUGCAAUCUCUCUUUCCACCUCUUCUUCUAUCGGCCUUACUCUUGAAAUGUAUAAUUCUUGUCUUUUGACAAUGAUAUGAGUGUAGAUGAUUUUUAAUCCUAGAUAGAAACUUUACAAGUUAAAUGACUUUUACACCUGCUGAACCAUCAUCAAGUUAAGAAGACACAGCUAUUCCAUACACUUGAUGUUACAGAAGGACAUCAAAAGAAAGUGUUAGGAUGAAUGCUGUGAAUACAAUUUUUCUACUUUUGUUAACAAAUAAGGACUAAUCUUAGCUUUUUAAGCCUUAAUAUGGACAUUAGUUUAAAUGGUUGACUUCUUGCACUUGUUUGGUGAUCAUCUUGCAUGCUAUUUUACUUGUGAUACCAGUAUCUCAAGCCUUUAUCAAUUUUCUCUUCCUUCUUAUGAUAUCUUUAGAGGUGUGAUCCAUUUUCUGGAGAUCUGUAUCAAGUCAAUUCAACACCUAGGCCAGUUCCUCUUCUCUGCAACUCCACUUCAGAGAAAUCACCACAAUCGAACCAAGCAGCUACUGACUUCUGUUCUACAGUAUGGGACACAUGCCAAAAUGUAACCAUAGUCAACUCCCCCUUUGCCCCUUCGUUACAGGGUCGAGCUGGAGUACCUACUAACUCGAGUACUAGCAAGCUCUCAGAUCUAUGGCAGUCAAAGGCUGACUUCUGCAACGCAUUUGGAGGAGCAUCUUCGGAAGAGUCAGUCUGCUUUGUUGGUGAACCUGUGUCACUUAACAAUACUGAACUUCCUAGCCCUCCACAUGGCUUAUGUCUUGAGAAAAUUGGGAAUGGAACUUACCUGAAUAUGGUGCCCCAUCCUGAUGGAUCUAAUCGUGCAUUCUUCUCUAGCCAAGCAGGCAAGAUUUGGUUGGCAACUAUUCCUGAGAAGGGAUCGGGAGGAGUCUUGGGGGUCGAUGAAUCUAAACCUUUUGUAGAUUUAACCGAUGAAGUUAACUUCGAUACUCAAUUUGGCAUGAUGGGCCUUGCAUUUCAUCCAAACUUUGCACAAAAUGGGAGAUUCUUUGCUUCUUUCAAUUGUGACAAGGUUAAGUGGCCAGGAUGCUCUGGAAGAUGUUCUUGUAAUUCUGAUGUUAAUUGUGAUCCUUCCAAACUACCAGCUGAUAGUGGAUCCCAACCGUGCCAACAUCAAAGUGUAGUCGCAGAGUACACAGUCAAUGGUAGCGCAUCCCAGCCUUCAUUGGUACAAACCUCUAGACACUACACAUAUUUUUGGCAUAGUAGGUUGCAACUUGUGGGAUCUAAGGCAUGCCAAUUCUUAUUUUCAGGCAACAACUGCAAAGCCAUCAGAAGUAAGAAGAAUAAUCACUAUUGGUCUUCCAUUUACCUCUCAUCAUGGGGGACAGAUACUCUUCGGGCCAGAUGGUUAUCUUUACUUCAUGAUGGGAGACGGUGGUGGUCAAGGUGGUGAUCCUUACAAUUUUUCCCAGAACAAGAAAUCAUUGCUUGGGAAGAUUAUGAGGCUUGAUAUUAAUAACUUUCCAAGUAAGUGUUUAAUGUUAAACGUUUACUACUAUGAAGUUACUUCCUAAGAAAUCUUGGUUUUCUGUGCAACUGCUGUUCUCUAUGCAUUCAACCACAGCAGUUGGUGGAGACGGAAUCAGACAUUUUUUUAUAUAAUUGAUAAUGCCAUCAUCUUCAGCUCGACAGUUCUUCAAUAACUAAAAGUAUGAAAUUCCCCUCAUUCUGUUCUCAUAUCUGGAACAGGUCCAGAAGAUAUCGAUAAACUUGAUUUAUGGGGAAACUAUACUAUUCCUAAAGAUAACCCAUUUGUUGAAGAUCAAGGAGCACAGCCGGAGAUAUGGGCUUACGGUUUGAGAAAUCCUUGGCGUUGCAGUUUUGAUUCAGAAAGACCUUCCUACUUCAUGUGUGGAGAUGUUGGACAGGUUCAAAUCUCACUUUACACAUCUGUACUCAGAGGUUAAUUAACUCAUUAAUGGAUGAUAAAAGUAAAUCUCCAUAAUAAUUCAUUUAAAAGAGCAAAACAUAACACCCCCCAAAUUAUGCCGGAUGUGGAUGUUAUUAAGUUCCAAGUUUUACUAGAGUUUGAACAAACCUGUUAUUUCUCCAAGAACACAGUUUAACAUACAACGCUUCAAUUCACUCUACCUGUUCUUUUCUUACAGGAUCAAUACGAAGAGGUGGAUAUCAUCACAAAGGGCGGAAACUACGGUUGGCGCGUUUACGAGGGUCCUCUUUUGUUUGUUCCAAAUUCAUCCCCUGGAGGGUCCACACCUGUAGAUUCCAUAAAUCCAAUCUUCCCUGUGAUGGGCUACAACCAUUCUGCAAUAAGCAAGAAUGUAGGUUCUGCAUCAAUAACAGGGGGAUACUUCUAUCGAUCUAAGACCGAUCCGUGUAUGUACGGAAGGUACGUUCAUACACUUAUGUGCUCAGAGUUUCUGAAAUAACAUUGUUUAGGAAAAAAGAAUCAUUUUAUCCCAGUCUCAUUGUGUUGUUUCUGAGCAGGUACUUGUAUGGAGAUUUGUAUGCUUCUGCUAUAUGGGCAGGAAUUGAAAACCCAGAAAACAGUGGAAACUUUACCUCAGAUAAGAUCCCUUUCAGUUGUGCACCUGAUUCUCCUAUACCUUGUAGUUCCACUCCAGGCAGCUCUCUUCCAGCGUUGGGUUAUGUCUUCUCAUUUGGUGAGGACAAUGACAAAGACAUUUACCUUUUAACCAGCAGUGGUGUUUACAGGGUCGCUGCACCUAGUCGUUGUAAAUACACUUGCUCAUUGGAAAACGUGACGUCAACGGUUGGAAGUUCUGGUCCAACGCCAUCUCCUCCUCCGUCUCAUGCAAGUCGGUCGACGAACUCAUGGAGUAACCUGAUGCUCCUACUCACUUAUGUGCUACUUCUGCUUAUGACUUGUAGCUGAUUACAGUGUUAAAAGUUUUUGCCAAGUUUCUUGAUUAUAUGUAAGGUUGUGUAACUUGAACUCAAAUUUAAAUGUACCUAAGAGAGAACAGCCGCCAUUUACGUCGUAAGAGAAACAGCUUGAAGAUUUUCUCCAAUAAGUAUUGUAUGCCUUGUUUAAAACUAGAUUUUAACUUCUUUUAUCUUAGGAACAAGAAUUUAUUUCAUUCAUUAACCAUAUGUCCACUCGAAAGAAAUCGUUUAUUCAACGUCGGAACCAAUUUUUAAAGGACAUUGAUUGAAAGUAUAUGUUAACUUAUGUUUAAAUAUAGUGAGUAUAUCAGUCUGUUGUCAAGUUGAAAUCUAACUUGUGAAUUUUAAAGUAGCUUAACUUAUCAAAAUGUUAUAGAAUCGAUAAAAAGAUAGGAACUUUGAAUUGUUCUCCACAAACAGAAAAAAGCAAACAAAGAACUCUUAUGAAAUGAUAUGAAUUGAGAAUUGAGAAUGAUUAUGAAAUGAUAAAAAAUCAUUAUGCAUGUGAUUUUAGUUUAUAUAUAACAAUUGCAUUAAGGGAGUGUUUCUCUCAUUGUUAUUAUGGCAAUUAUGAGAGUUGUAAUUUAUAUAUGUAUAGCUUUUACUAUGAGUAGUAAGUCUUGUAAUUGUGAAUAUAUGAUCUCUUACUAUAGGCCAAGAACGUCCUAGAUGUUGUAUCAUUUUAUCGAUGGAUUGUUAUUGAAUUGUAAUUUAUGUUAUUAACUUACUUUAACGGAUUGAAUGACCAAAUAGAUAGAUAAACUCGACCAUUUACCCCAAGAAUCCAGAGUGUGGGAAAUUCAAUCUUUAUUUUAAGACUAAAUAUAAGCUUUUAGGGAGCCAAGAAGAAACUUUGACAAAAGAAGAAAAUGACAAACCCCAUAGUUUAGAAUAUCUCCAUCUACUAAUAAUUGCUUCAUUUCCCCCUUCGUUCUUAACCUAAACCAAUCAUUCAUCACUCUAAAGACGACUCUUCUUCCUUUACUAUUUCCGAUGGUCUCUCUUUUUCGUCGACUAUCUUUGGAGGCGAAGUCUCCUUUGAUUUCUCUUUCUUCUUCUCCUCCGCUACUCUCUUCGUCUCUUCCAAGCUUCCAAUUAACCUACGAAGCGCAUGCUCCUCCGCUUCUUCCCGUGAUUUCGGCAUGAGAUUCUCGGCGACAUCCGCCGGCGACAUUUUUACAUUGUUGAAAAGCUCUUUAAUCUCUUCAAAAAGCUCAUGUGUUUCAACAUUCAAGUAGUUCUUAGCCAACACUUUGAAAGCUUCAUAGCUACAAUAAGAAAGCUCAAUGUGUUUGUCCAUUCUUCCUCUACGAAUUAAUGCCGGAUCAAGCUUCUCCAAGUGAUUUGUUGUGAAAACGAUCAGUCUCUCUCCGCCACAAGCUGACCAAAUUCCGUCGAUGAAAUUCAACAAUCCAGACAGAGUUACUUUGCUUUUCACUUCUUCUUCUUCUUUCUUCGGUUCCUUAAUUGCUUUCUUCUUCUCUUUCUCCUCAUUUGAGCUUUUUUUUUCCACGAUUUUCCUUUGCUUAGUGAAUUCUAAUGAACAAUCGAUAUCUUCAAUCACGAUUAUCGAUUUGCUCGUCGUCUCAAUUAGAAGCUUCCGAAGCUCUGUAUUGUCCUUCACUGCUGUUAAUUCCAAAUCGUAAACGUCGUAGUUUAGCAAAUUCGCCAUGGCGGCGAUCAUCGUUGAUUUCCCCGUCCCCGGCGGGCCGUACAGAAGGUAACCUCGUUUCCACGCCUUGCCGAUUCGAGCGUAAUACUCUUUACUUUGGCUAAAUGUUAGUAAAUCUUCUAUAAUCUCUUGCUUUUUGAUUGGAUCCAUUCCGAUUGUGUCAAAACUUGCAGGAUGUUCGAAGUAAACUUCGCUCCACGUCGUUGACCGGUGAAUUAGCCAUCGGUUUCCUGUUCCGUUAGUGUAAAGCUUCCUCCGCCUCCGAUUCACUCUGAUUUCUUUUCCUUCCUUCAAUACAUGCUUCAGAUACGAUUCUUUUACAAGUUCUCGAUGCUUCUUGUGAAAUUUAAGCUGGUAGAAUCUUCGAUCGGUAUCUGGAUACAAAGAGAGGGAUUUCGUAGCCGAUCCGGCGAUUUUGCUCGAAGUCCACCAGAACUCAGCGUUUUCAUACUCAUCAGUAACUCUUUCGUACUCAUCCAUACUCAAUGAGAAGUUAUUCUUGCUUUCUCCAACUUCGGCUUUGAGUCUUUUAGCGUCGUCUGAAAGUUUAUCGCUCAGAUACGCUUCAACCGCCGCGAAGGCUUUGUUCCUACUGAAACGAUCACCAACGAAUUCGUAGAUAGCAAUUCGAACGUACGGACUAGGAUAGAUAUAAUCCAUGAACUUACUAAAAUAUGUCUGGAAAUAUUGGCGGAGCCCUUGAGGAGAGUACUGACGGAUGAUCGACCAGGCGAACAUGAUCGUCGCAAGUGUAGAGCUUGUUGAUGUUAAAAUCUCCGUCAUCGUCAUCGGCUUCUUUCUAGGGACCGCCUUGCCGUCGUUUCUGUUCAUCUUGUACUUUCUGGUAAUGGAACCCAUGGAAUUUUGCCCUGUCAACAGAAAGAAGAAGAAGAAGAAGAAGAAGAAGAAGAAGAAGCGAAAGUACGUUUAAAAGGCAAAGUAGUGUUCAUGGUUUAAAUCGUUACCUAAACAAAUGACCGUGUAACGUGGCAGCUUCUGAGUGGAUGAGCUUCUCUUUCGUUGACGCGCGGAGUCAUUCCAUUUCCGUUAUUUUAUGAUUUUGUUAGGACUUUUAAAAAAUGGUUAUUUUAAAUCAUACAAAUUUUUAUAUUCUAUAUUUUAAAAAAUUUAAAUCAUCUUAAGUUUGUAUUAUUUAAUUUUUAUUAAGUGAAUCAACAAUGGACGCCAAUAAUUAAUUUGGACUAUUCAUCCAACAUUGGAAGAAAUUAAUACACAUUUUUAAAGAUAAUUCAAAUAACCAUCAAAUUUAGUUGAAACAAUUGUGCAUUAACAAUUUUAAAAAGAUAAUCCAAAUAAAUUGUCAAAAUUAAUUCACCUUUGAUGGUAAUAAAAUUUAUUUUUGGGAAAAAAAAUGUAAUUAAUAUACUCUCACAAGUUAAGUUCUAAUUUGAUAUUAGUUCAUAAUUUUAUUUUGAUCUAGUUCAUCGUGGAUUCUCUAACAAAACUCAAUUAAGUCAUGAACAAAUUGCAAAAAUCAUUACUUACUUAUAUAAACACUAACGUUUACAAUUUAACCCUCAAAAGUUUUGGAAUGAAAAUCCGUGGUUUUAACUACCUUCACGCGGGAGUUAUUAUUGUAACAUCAAAAAAGAAUGAACAGAUCAUUGUGUUGACACCAUCUUUCUGAAGUUUGCUAUAUGUGAUUUUGUAUUUUGUAAUUUUUUUACUAUAAUUGUUUUGUUAUUUAUGAAAAGAAUGAUUUGAUCACUUUUAUUGAUUUGAUUUACUCUAUCGAAAGCAGGGUAUUACGUUCUUGAAGAAAAUACUGACUUAGAGCUUAUUGACCUGAACACUAUGGUCAAUGAUGUCAAUCAGCUGAAUUAAUCUUUAAUGUCUUGGAAGGUUGUUUGGUUUAAUGUGUCCUUAUGGACAUCUGAGCUUGUGAUUCUCUUGGACUUGAGUUUGUUUCUUUGGCUAGCACUGAUGCCAAAAUGCUGAAUGUGGCCAAAUGAUUUGAGUUUUAUGAUGGUUUUCAGAUUUAUAAAUGAUGGUAACAUCAUCUGCUAUCAUAAAAGAAAAUAACUAUUUCUUAUUCUGAAUUCUCAUCAAUUUCUCUGCCCCAAAACCCAACCUAACAAACACAAAGCAAAGACUGCUAAUUCAACUUAUAGACAGGGGCCUUUAGUUUAUCACUAAAGAUCAGUUGGUUAAACCCUCAGGAUUUACUUCUUGAGAUUCCCUUUCAACUGCUGCAGUUUUUACCCCUUCUAGAGUUUGGAUCAAUUUGCGAAGAAGUUUGUCAGGAUCAUCAUUAGGAGACUUGGGCAUGAGGUUCUCUGCAACAUCAGCAGGGGUGAUUUUGACACAUCUGAUCAAUUCUUUAAUUUGAUCAAAUAGGAGAUGAGUCUCUAGAUUCAAGUAAUUUUUUGCAAGCACUUUGAAUGCCUCGAAGCUGCAAUAAGAAAGCUCAAUAUGUUUGUCCAUCCGACCUGUUCUAAUGAGGGCUGGAUCAAGCUUCUCCACAUAAUUGGUUGUGAAAACAAUAAGUCUUUCCCCACCACUAGCUGACCAUAAUCCAUCAAUGAAGUUCAACAAUCCCGAGAGAGUGACUUUACUGCUGGUGUCGUCCUCUUCUUUCUUUGAGGAUUCUUUGGGGGAUUUCUCUUUGUCAUCUGUAGACUUUUCUUCUUUCUUCUUUCUCUGCCCUGUAAGAUCAAGUGAGCAAUCAAUAUCCUCAAUCACAACGAUCGAUUUACUUGUCGUUUCGAUCAAAAGUGUUCGAAGCUGGGUGUUGUUCUUCACUGCAGUGAGCUCCAGGUCAUAAACAUCAUAAUUUAGCAGAUUGGCCAUUGCAGCGAUCAUUGUUGACUUUCCUGUCCCAGGUGGACCAUAUAAAAGAUAACCACGUUUCCAUGCCUUCCCAAUUCGAGCAUACAACUCUUUGCUCCUGGUGAAGGUCAAUAAAUCAUCUAUAAUCUCCUGCUUUUUCUCUGACUCCAUUGCUAUGGUGUCAAAUGUUGCAGGGUGCUCAAAUACGAUGUGGCUCCACAUGGUUUGGCUGUAAUACCAUCUACCACCAGAGCCAUUGGUAAAAAGCUUCCUCUGCCUGUUUCUCACUCUGAUUUCUUUCCCUUCACCCAAGACAUGCUUCAAAUAUGUUUCUGUAAUUAAUUUUCUGCUCCGCUUAUGAAACGUGAGUGUAUAGUAUCUCCUAUCAGGAUCUGGAAAAGAAUUGCCUGAACUUUUCGACGAACCUGUCAUGUUUAAAACCCACCAUACUUUUACUCCUUGAAAUUCAUCGGUCACCUUUUCAUGAUCAUCCAUACUCAAUACCAAGUUGGUGCUAUCUUGUCCUAUCUCAGCUUUGAGUCGUGUAGCACUUUGGGAUGAAUUUUUGCUGAGAUAUGACUCAACCGCUGAGAAAGCUUCACUCCGCUUGAGGCGUUCACCAACAUAUUCGUGGACUGAGAUCUGGAUGUAAGGAUGGAAGUAGUUCAUGAAUCUCAACGAGUAUUUUUCAAAGUAAUGACGAAAUGCUCGGGGGCAAGAUUGUUGAAUCAUAGCCCACACAAACAUGAAACUUGCAAUGGUUGGACCAGCAGCUGCCCACCACCCUGCCAUGGAUGUUGCUCCCAUCCACAUUGUUGCAGUGGUACUGGUGUUCUGGUGGUGUUGCUCCCCAGCAGAGCUUAUGCUUUGUAAACCACUGAAAAGGGAAUACAUUUGUGAAAGAGUAGUAAGAUUGGAAGGCAAGUGAGAAGAAGUGGGAUGAUGUAUGGACAAUGGAAAGUAUCAUUAUUAAUAAGUGAGGACUUAUGAUGCGUGGCAUUGGGUCCCAACAUUGACUGCUAGCUUCGACAUGCGUCAAGAAUUGUAUUGUGGUUUUUCCUUCUUAAUCUAUUGAUUUCUCUAUUUGUAAUGACUAAACAGGCAACAGGAUUGGCAUUGGCAUACCCCAUGUGAGCUGAAUUACAAAUUUGGAUGACCUUGAAAGAAAACAAAGCACACUCUAACAUAAGGUACCGUCCAAAUUACUUUUACAUCUGAUUUUAGGCCUUGAACUAUGAAUUAAUAUUUUCCUUCAAGUGACGAACCAUAUAGUUUAAUUAUUUUAAUUCAGAAGAAAAGUUGUAUUAGGACUUAGGAAGGAGAAAGUGGAAGAUGACGAUAGAGUUGUGACAUGUACAUGAUUACGUCAACUUGAUGGACAAUAUGUAAUCGUCUAAAUCAAGGAAUGAGAGAGAAGGGUCAUGAAAUUACAUAGAAAGAUCUUUAAAAGUGAUUAAGUAAGCUUCGUCCACCCUACAAAUUUCAUUGCCUGAUUUCAUUUGUGCAUGUUUGAAUUUAUGGAAAACAAAUUAAUAUAAUUUUGUCUGUUCAGUUUAUGAAUAAGAAUGAAGUAUAUGAAAUUGCAAAAACCAAAUUAGGACAAGCAUGAAAUUAACUUUUAACUUGAUUAUUGAAUGGUUUUUAGUCAUUUAAUGUACCAAUCAAAUACCUAUCACCUAAAAUUUAUUGGUAAACAAACCUUCAACUUAAGUAUUAAAACAUUCCGUCUCAAGCAUAAAAGCGCUUGCUUAGGUGAGUGUAAUGGAGAGAGAGGUCGUAACCUCUACAAACAAGAGAUAUCAAUUAAGGGUAUGGAAAGUUCAAUCUCACACUUUUCCUAAACUAAUCAAUGAAGAGAAAAAAAAAAUUAAAAUGAGUCUAGUUCAUAUGAAGUUCAUAAAAUUUGUUUAGAUGACAAUUUUUUUAAAUGUUUUAUGACAUUUAUAAAGGAUGAUGGAGAUAUUAAUGUGUGGUUGAGGUUAAACAAUUGGAUGUACUCAUCUCUUCUUGUUUCUUUUUAAUGUUCGUUGGUUGGCUUCUUCUCCUCCUUCGAGCUAUUUUUAAAGACAAAUUAGCGACGCCAUUAUUGACUCAUUACCUAAUAAGACAUGCAUUGUGAAGGAAAAAAAUGAAAGAAAACGACUGUGGUACUUGUCAGCCUGUGAGUGGAUGAACUGUUCUUUCGUUCUUUCUAUUACCCUUUGCUUUAUGAGUUCGUUGAGAUUAAAAAAGUAACUCUUCUUUUUAAUUAAAAAAGGAACACUUCUAACAUAAAACUUAAUAUCAAUUGAUACCUUUAAAAUUUUACUUUGUAUAAUUCAAAUUUUUUGAAGUUAUUCAAAACAGUUCAUGCACCAAAUUACAACGAAAGAGAUAGCCUUUGAAUACUCCUUUUAGGCAAGGUUUCUAAAACUGAAUGUCUUUGAUUAUUUUCCGUAAAACAAUAUCCUUUCCCCUACAAUAAUUUCAGUCGGGUAUAGAGUUUUUUCCUUUUUCUUGAAUCUUUCCUAACUGCUCUUUUUGUGGCAGUGGCAGAGAUGAGAACCUGUUGAUACAAUAAUUAUGAUGGACUGGCUUCAAGGUUUAUUUCUAUGUCAGGGUAACUAUUGUUAGUGCUCUUCCUCUGCUUUAUUUCUAAUCCCACCAUAGUUGUGACUGGUUGAACUAGAAGGCUAUCACUAAUGGGCAAUGGUUUCUUUUAUACAAAUCAUACUCUUCUUUGAUUUUCCUACAUAUUUUUGAGAAUCAAGCACCAAAUCAAAUUGAAAACGAAGUUGAUUCAGUUUCUAUGAUUUGUUUAACAAACUUUUAAUUGAAGGAAGAGAUGUCUUAAAUGUAAUAUAAACUAACAAUUUGAACAUUUUUAUUAACUAAGAGAAUUCUAUACCAUUUUUAGACAGAAGAGCUAAAAUAUUUCCAGUAGCAUAAAUUUUCAUUAUCAGCCAUAAUUAGGAAGUGCUAAAUUCAAAUUGUAGAUGAGCCCAACAAGCACUAAGGAGAAAGUGCUAAAUUCUACUAGAAUACGAGCCUAACAAGCACUAUGCAGAAAGUGUUAAAUUGAACUAGAAGAUGAGCGUUCACCUUCAGUUUGUGACUGAAGAUAGGUUGUGGUUGAUUCCGCUGUAUUUGCUUCUUGAGAUUCCUCAACUAUUGCUGCUUCCUUUGCCUGUUGCAAAGUUUGAAUUAAUUUGUGAAUACGUUUCUCAAGGUCAUCUUUUGGAGACUUGGGCAUGAGGUUCUCUGCAACAUCAGCGGGUGUGAUAUUGACAUCUUCAAUCAGUUCUUUGAUCUGAUCAAAUAAUGGAUGAGUUUCGAGAUUCAAGUAAUUCUUCGCCAGCACUAGAAAUGACUCAAAACUACAAUAAGAAAGCUCAAUAUGUUUAUCCAUCCGACCAGUUCUGAUAAGUGCUGGAUCAAGUUUCUCUACAUAAUUAGUAGUGAAAACAAUAAGCCUUUCCCCACCACAAGCUGACCAUAUUCCAUCAAUGAAAUUCAACAAUCCGGACAAAGUAACUUUACUACUGCUCUCAUCUUCUUUAUGGGAAGAUUCUUUGGAAGGUUUUUCUUUCUCAUCAUCCUUCAACUUCUCUUCUUUCUUCUUCCUCUGCCCCGUUAAAUCAAGCGAGCAAUCGAUAUCCUCAAUCACGAUUAUCGAUUUGCUGGUAGUCUCAAUCAAAAGUUUCCUAAGCUCUGUGUUGUUUUUCACUGCAGUGAGUUCCAAGUCAUAAAUAUCGUAGUUCAGUAGAUUUGCCAUUGCAGCAAUCAUAGUUGAUUUCCCUGUUCCUGGUGGACCAUAUAGAAGAUACCCACGUUUCCAAGCCUUCCCAAUUCGAGCAUAAAAAUCCUUACUGCUUGUAAAGGUCUGCAAAUCAUCUAUAAUCUCUUGCUUUUUCUUUGCUUCCAUUCCUAUGGUGUCAAAUGUUGCAGGGUGCUCAAACACUAUGUGACUCCACAUAGUAUGGCUGUAACUCCAUCUUCCACCAGAACCAUUGGUAUAAAGCUUCCUUUGCCUGUUUCUUACUCUAAUUUCUUUCCCUUCACUCAACACAUACUUCAAAUAUGGUUCCGUAAUUAAACUUCUGUGAUUCUUGUGGAAAGUGAGUGUAUAAUAUCUCUUAUCAGGAUUGGGAUACGAAUUAUCAGGAUUUGUUGAUGAACCUGUUCUGUUUAAAACCCACCAUACUUUCACUCCUUGAAAUUCAUCAGUCACUUUUUCAUGAUCAUCCAUACUGAACACCAAAUUUGUGCUGUCUUUUCCUAUCUCAGCUUUGAGUCUUUUGGCUGUAUUGGAUGAAUUCUUGCUGAGAUAUGAUUCAAUUGCAAUGAAAGCUUCACUACGUUUAAGACGUUCACCAGCAAAUUCAUGGAUGGAGAUCUGUAUGUAAGGAUGGAAGUAGUUCAUGAGUCUACGCCAGUAUUUCUUGAAGAAACGAAGAACUGCUUGUGGGCAAUAUUGUUGAAUCAUAGCCCAAACAAACAUGAAGCUUGCAAUUGUUGGACCAGCUGCUACCCAUGAACCUGCCAUUGAAGCUGCCCCCAUCCACAUCCCUGUAGUUGUGUUGUGGUUAAGCUGUGCCUGAGUUGAGCUGUUCUUUAGACUACUGAAGAAGAGAAACAUCUGGUGGAGUGAGUGAGAUUGAAAGAAAUAGUUGAAUGUAGCGUGCACAAAUUUGACACUGGGAGUUAUAAGCAACUGGGCUGUGUCCCACACAGAUUAGCUUUCCCCUUCCAAAAUUUUGCUUGAAUAAGAAAUUUCUGGCUGGGGACCCAUCCACGAAGACUCCAAGUUUUGACGGUCAUUAUGUAUUGUGAUAUUUUUUCCCCUCCCCUUUUUAAUAAUAUCUUGAGUUGUUUAUUUGUAAUGAGUAAAGUAGGCAACUUGGGGUGGAGUACUGCCCACCCAUGUCGCCACAUAUUUGGAUGCAUUUGAAAGGAAAAUGAAGCGCACUCCAGGAUUACAUACCUUACCUCAGGUCACAAGCUAUUCACCUUCACCUGCAUUUGGUAACUAUUUCAUUUUUUUCAUAGAAGCAACAAGUUUCAUCAUUUUUUUUUUUUUUAUUAUUUCUUAGUAUGAAAUUCAAAAAACUAAACUUUUUUAGUUUUUAAAAAUUGGGCUUAGUUUUUAAAACAAUAUUAGUAACAUGUAGAUAAGGAAGCAAGAAGUUAGAGGUGAAACAAGUAUUUACAUCUUUAUUUUAAAAUAUCAAAUAGUUACCUAAUGUGUUUAAAUGACUACGAAAAAGACAUGAAUGAUUCAAGGAUAUUGAGAUUAUAUCAGUAGAAUUCUGAGUCGGCAGCAAAUGGGAAUUGAACUUUGGUACGAUUAUUGGACUUGGUGGGUUGAAUUGGCGUAGCAGUCAUGAUAUGCGAUGACGUCCAGUUCAUGGAAAAAGUAUUUUUAUGGGGAUUGCGAUGUAGUGGUGUGUGACUUGUGAGAGAUAGAAACAAUAGAGUUGGGAAGUUGCAUAGAAAUGUGGGUCACAAAGUCUUCGAAUAAAGUUCUUAGAGAUGGUGGUGGUGGGGUUUCAAAAAUGCUGCUUUUGGAGAUUGUGAUCUGGUGUAAGAAUGACUAAGAGAAGACUUGUGAAAUUGCCUAGAAACAGAUGGGAAGGAAGCAGGAAUGGGAGGGUGGGAAUAUGCACUCCAUAGUCCCAUGGACAGUGUUUCAAGAACCUCUCCCGAGUCGAGCGUGCCUUAGACUACAAGCUUAGGUCUGGCACCUUACCUUAAAAAGGCAAGUCUACGUCUUAAAACCAUGUGCAUUGGGACUUUUUCCAUGGUUUUGUUUUAAAUAAUGGAGAGUUGUGGGGCCAGUGAGGGUAUGCACAGGGCCCUCUCAGGUUUGGUCUUUGAUGAAGUUUCAUAUCAGUCUUUUGAAAUCACUCUAUUGGCAGUAUUUUGCCUAGUUGAAAUCCCUUCUUUUGUUGAAGGGCUGGGGGAGUGUUGAUUAUACACUAUAAUUUAACAAAAAUAUUUCCAUUUUAGGGUAUUCUCUUGUUAAAUUUUCACUUUAUGACAAGUGGAAUGUUAAACUAGAAGAUGCACCAAUUCUCCCCAACUUAAUUAUACUCCAUUUUCUCUCAAAAUAGACUCAAAUGACAACUCAAAUUAAAUGUUCAUACAUAUCAACCAGAGGAAGCUAAAUUCAACUUGGACAUUAGCCUCUAAUUAAUGUUCAUACAUAUCAACCAGAGUUGUUUCCUUUUCCUUGCAUCUUUCCUAACUGCCCUUUUAAGUAACAGUGCCAAAGAUUUCUUUGCUUUCUGAUUCCACCACAGAAUUCCAUUGUGUCAGGUUGAACCAGUAGGCAGCCACUAAUGGGCAAUGGUCUCUCUAUUAUACAAAUCAUACUCUUCUUAUAUUUUUCAACAUAUUCUUUGAGAAUCAAGCACCAAAUCAAUUUGAAAAUGAAGCUGAAGACUUUAGUUUCUAUGAUUUGUUUAACAAACUUGUAAUUGGAGGAAGUGGUGUUUUUAACUACUGAGCUAUACUACCAAAUAAUUAAGAGGGACGAUAAAUAUAUUGUAUUCAAGGACAAGAUUUCCACAUUUCAUAACCUCUCCAAUCACAUACCCAAAACGUAUAAUCAAAUUAAGAAAGGGAGAACAUCUUCUACUAAAUCAACAAACUAUAACAUGUAGAUAACAACUAUAAUUUUCAUUCCAUCGAGUCACACAAAUACUUUGUAUUAAACAAAACCAAAUUCUUCAUUGGAUUGAGGAACACAAAUACCUAUUUCAUACUAAAACCUUCUAUAAUAAGAUAUCUAGAAAUGAAGGAGGAAGUAACAGUUUAGUUAAAAUUUUGCAUGGCUUUAGGAUCAUUCAUAUCCAUUAGAAAGAUUGAAAAAUAGGAGUUGGGAGUGAUUUAUGGAACUAAAUUAAAAAAGGAUGUGACAGAAAAUCUAGAAGAUUUAGAUUUAUUAUUAGGGAUAGUUAGGCAACGAAAGAGUCAGUUGAAAUUCAAAGAGAUUUUUGUAUGGAUGACUUAAAUUUCAUAUUUAAAAUGUUUGUUUGAUUCAUAAAUAAUAACGGUUUUUUUUGUAUAAGUCACAAACUACUUGUCCAUGAUUUUCUUUUGUACGACUAGCGAGCGAGUGAGAGAGUAAGGAGUGCAAACAUAGGGGAGUCGUAGUGUACGAGAAACUUUUUAUUUAGAGCACACUGAUUGACACAAACAAAAUAUUUUACAUUCUUAUUUUUAAAAUUUCUUGGGUUAAAUGCAUUUUUACUAUGAAAUUGGAUAUAUCCAAAGAUAUUUAGAAUAUAGAUCCUAGUUAUUUUAGAAAACUUCCUCAACAUUGUUAGUUUGUUCGUGAUAUUGUAUUUGGGAUAGUUGUAAAUUUAGCAAUUAAAUUCAAAUUAAUUAAGUAUAUAACACAAUUUUAAAAAAUUUGCAAAUAUAGCAAAGUUUGUCAAAUUCUAUCAAUGAUAUAAGUCUAUCACUGAUAGACCAUGUUGCAAAUAUUGAUCUAUCACUGAUAUAUCAUAUGAAAUCUAUUAGCGAUACAAGUCUAUCAGUGAUAGUUUUGCUAUAUUUGUAAUUUUUUUAAAAUGUUGCUAUAUCGUUAAUUAUUGUUGCUAAAAUAGUCAUCCAUUGCAAGUUCCCAUUAUAUUUAUGUUGAUAUCUUGUUGUUUAACACAAUUUUAUAGGUUCGAGAUCCAUGUAACAAGUGAAUCAACAUUAGUGAUAAUGUAAUAUCUAGAAAAUAAUAAUAAUAAAUAUAUCAACUCAAUUUAAAAUUUUAAAAUGUUUAUUAACCGAUUUAAUAAAUAAAUAAAUAUAUUAUAACUUUUACAGGGAUAUCAUUUUCGUUAACAUUAAAUAUUUCUAUCCAUAUCGAUAUUUUAAACUUUUAAAAUAUUAAAAAAGAAAAACCUUUUUCCAGAAGAAAGAGAAAGUAUAAAACUCAAACUCAAAUGGGCUUUGUGAUCCACAAUUCCAAGGCCCAUGAACUGCCACCCCACCAGCCCCAAAAAGAGCCCACCCAAGAAGCAAAACCCAAACCAAAAAGCACAAGAUAGAGCUCAAGAAAUAAUGAAUUGAUAUUUGGAGUGAACUUCUUUUUCUUCUCUACAUGAACUAAAAAUUGCCUAAAACCAAUGCUUGAGAUAAUAUACAAGGCAUACAAGGCAGGAGAUUCAUGUACAGGCAAGUCAAAAAAUAGGCAUUGACUGACUGCAGCAAGGUUUUUUUUUUCUUUAUCAAGAACUUCAUCAUCUCAUAUUGCAACACUCAGGCUUCGCUUGCCUUAGUAAUUUGUUCCAAAGGCAAAUCAUUUGUCUUGGAGAUUGAUAAUGGGCUGUGGAAUAUUCUUCUAUGCAUCCAAAUUGACAAUAUUUGAAACUAUGCACAUAUUUCACUGCUUUUGAGCUGUUGAAUUGCUCCACCCACAUCCCCAUACUCACAUCUUCCAUCUUAAAUAACUGUCAAAAACACAACGGUUCUCUCUUUUAGUUUUUUCUCUCUCAAGUUUUAAGACAAAAUCAUUUGAAUUUUAACUGAUGUUCAAAGGGAAUGUAUACGUACCCUUAAUUUACGUCUCUCGAAGUUUGAUAUGACAAACUGAGCAAUAUCAGAUGACACUAUAUACCCCGGUCCAUUUGCGUAAGGCGGAUAAUCUUCUUCUGGCCAUUCCUGAAUGAAACAAUCCACCAACCCAACAUUAGAGAAGGAACCUAGAUAUGUAAUGCAAAGUCGAGAUAUAUGGGAACUUACCUCAUACGUGACAGCCCAUUUUCCGUAGCGCAGGGGCUUGUGGUAGUAAUUUAUGUUGCCAAUGUACACGCUCCCGGUGCCCGAUACGCUCUUAAUUUCAUUCAUGAUUGAAUCCACUUUUACAAACGUAUCGUCAUCACAUUUCAUAAUGUAUUUUGCAGACACAGCAUGAACCUAUGUAAAAGAUAGAACUCGAAGAUUAAUGAUAUAUCAUAAGACAACUUGUCUUGGUAUACUCGAAUCAAUACAUUAGCAGCAUCAUAUUAGUUCGGAAACUCACCCCAUGUUCACAGAUGGCCACAGUUUUCAAAACCACAAGGUCGUAGUUAUCCAUGUAAGGCACUAUAACUAUAUCCCCAAAAAACUCAGCUUCUUUCUUCAACUCAACAUUUACUUCCUUUCUUGCAUGCUGCAUAAGUAUGAACUCAGAAUGGUUAUAUACACAUAUAAGAAUGCAGAAUAACCUGGACUUGAAUGAAAAAAUAACUGUUUUUAUUAUCACUUACAAGUGCUACAAAAAAUCGAGCUACAAUCUUUGACGACCUUAUGAGUUUAUGUCGCAUCCACGACUUCCUUACUGCCAUCCGUUCAGCAAAGUGGUUGCCAGCAGAAAGGAUACCAAUAAAAAGAUCUAUCUCACCAUCAGGAAGAGGCGGUGCUUGCCAUCUCCUCGACAUCUCAAGGUGCUGCUGAGGAGCAAAACUAGGAUGUGAUUGUGGCAAAGAAGCAGCCAACACGGACUGGACAUCAAUGUCCCCAAUGACAGAUAAUCCAGUGGCAUCUUCGAGAGCAAAUCCCUACGAUGUUGACCAUUAGAGAAGGAAAGAAAAACUUUUGGCAAAGGCAUCUAUCAUUUCUAAAGUAUAUAUACUCACAGUGCGAUAAGGGAAAGAAACAAUAUGCUUCCCAUCAACAUUCACAUGGUAACCUUCAAAUCCUGCACUAAGUGUUAGGACAAAGAGCUUGUCUUCAGCAAAAGGAUAAGGCCAGUCAAUAUCCAUUCUUUUUGUUCGACCAAUGAGUCGGUUUAACCACCAUGUCGCCUUUGACCGCUCUGAGUUCCCUUCGUCAUCUCUGAUCCACUUUUCGCACUUCACCUGGCCGUCAACUGUAGAAAUCUUAAGAAUUAGUCAAAUUACUGCAGCCAUCACAGUAUUACAUAAUGAUUCAGCGUUCUCUAAGAAUGAUGUUCAUAAUGCUCUCAUUCUCAGCUAAGCAGAACAUUUCAAUACUCUAUUGAGUUAUAGACUAAAAAGUUAACAAAAGAUGAAAUGGAAGCCAAAAAGAACACAAUCCAUCAGCAUUCAAAGAUGGAUAAAAAGAAGCAUGUUCUACUCAUAUGAAGUCAAUAAAAUCCAAUGCUCUGGCCAGCUAUAAAACUACGAAGGAUGAUUGAAUUCUUCGGUCAUUUACCUGUAUCUUCGUUGGCCUUCGACUUCCAUCCUUCGCAGCGAUGCGCCGAGCCCCAUUGCAUCCUGUAACAUGUGUUCAGUUCAAUCACUGGCUUUCCACUCCAAUCCCCCUUCAACCUUGGAUUGAAAUGCAAAAUCCUAGGAGGGUCUUCACCCUCCACAGUGUUCAAGCCCUGCAACUCCAUUAUGAACUGUGAAACCAUAACCGACUCUUCACCAUUUUUCACCAUAGUUAUCUGAGGAUCGGACUCUGGUUGUGCCACUCUUGGCUUACCCACAAGGGUUAUAUGUGAUCCCAAUGUGAGUCCACAGGGCAGCAUCAUAACUCCACCAUGAGCCAAAAAAUCAUUCCCAGAUAAAGAAAUCGAAUGUGGGCAAGAGGAAUUUGAUCCUUUUUCAGCCUUCUUCUUCUCCAAAUGUUGACUCUUUCCAGAUUCAAGCUCAUCCCAGAAUUUCUUCCCAACCUCAGAAGCAAUUUUUGCAGACCUAUAAAACUCAGAAAUCGCAUCUUCACUCCUCGAUUCAAAAGCCUCCGUUUCCAAGGCCAACCCGGAGAUGAUUUUAUUGAACUGAUUCAGUCGACUAGGAGUCGGCUGUAACGAAUUUCUCGAGAUAUUUUCCAAAGGACGAGAUGGGGCUUCUCUUUCUUCCAAAUCUUCCUCGCUCUCAAGCGGAGAAGGCCGAGACAACGAGUCUUGAGAAACAACGCUGGACCCAGCUCUGAAAACAAGAGGAAUUUCUAAAGAAACCAGAAGAAGAUACAGAACCCCAAUGAUUAAAAGUAUUUGAAUCGAUCUCUGUCUAGUAAAAGAAACGAUCAUAUCAACUUUCUCCAAUUUCCCUCUCUUCAUCUCUACUAUGAAGGAGGGGAUUAACAAAGAAGCCCCAACCCCAACUCCCGAAAAGUAAAGAAGAAGAAUCUUCCCUAAAAGAAGACUUCAAAAUGAGUAGAUAAUCAAAACCCUUCAAUCGUUAAUCCUUCUUCUUCUUCUUUCUUUUCUGGUUUUAAAAAACCCCAGAUGAUCAGAUACACGAUUCAAGAUAGAGAUUGCUCUUGAUUCUAAAAAUCGAAAGAGACCCAAGUCUCAAAAGGGGCUUAAGAAUGAAAAGAGUUGAAAGAAAAAGAACUCAGACGAACCACCAAAAACACUUUCCAGGAAACAGAGAACUUGAAGAAUCAAUAGAAUAGAAUAGAAUAGAAUAAUGGGUUUUCUUUUUUCUUUUGAAAGGCAAUGACUUUCCAACGGAAACAGAAAAUAGAUCGAAUCUUCCAAUGAGAAUUUGAAAAUGAGAGGGAUGGACUUGGUCUCAGUCAGCUGUUCAUUACAGUGUUUCCAAUAGAAACGUUUCUCAACGGCUCAUCCUCGUCGUCGCUUUCAAUAAUUCCUCUCUUUUUCUCUCUUUCUUUUUUGAUUUUGUUUGGUGUCUUCAAAAGCCUCCCUUUGCCUUUUCUUUUUGUGCCGUUUGGUGAAUUAGAUUCAUAGUUAUAUGUCAAUUUGUAUAGUUGUGUAUUUAAUUUUUAAUUUCAUUGAAUAAAACCCAAAACUUUGAUUAACCUCCUCUCCCACUUGUUUAAACUAUUGGUUUAAUUUCAUAAUAACCUGAUUUCUUCCAAAUCACCUGCAAGUUCAAUAAAUUCAAUAAGUUGACUCUCAAUUUUAGUUUUAACCUUUUACUUAAUCUAAUCUCAAUCUCACUCGUGUUUAGUUAAUAGUUUCAUAAAAUUAUAAAUGUAAAAAGUUUAUAAACUUGAACUCAAAAAGCCGUAAAUAAUCACUCUUUCGCUAUCCUAAAUUUUCGUUCUAUGUAAAGCAACAUAACUUACUAUAAGUUGGAUGACUCAUUUUUAGUUUCAAAUAUCCACAAUCUUCUCUUUCCGUCAAUAAAAUUCAAGCUUGAUUGUCUCACUUUAACUCAUUCCAUCUAAACAAUUACCUCAUAAAUAGAUAGCCUAUAUUUCACACUAAUUAUUACUCCAUAAAUAAAUAAAUAGUCUUUAUUACUAUGAGUGUGGGAAAAUACUUACACAACACCACCAACAACAAGAUCACUCAAUCAUUAAGUUAGACACAAAAGAAACUUUGAUUUAGAAAAGAAAAAGAAAAACUCUUUGAAGAUAGAAUGAAUAGGGAAAACCCCAAAAAGAUAAUGACAAGAGAAACGUAGAGUAAAGCAAUUUAAGAAUGCUAUUAUAGGAAAAAUGUAGAGGGUAAAGGGUAUUAAUAUGCCUGAAAUGAUUAGCAUAAUAAAGAAAGAAAAGGUGGUUUGGAAACAUAGUUGGAAAAACCAAUUGGGUGUUGUUUUGUUGGAUGUGGUUGUCACCUGCCAGCAAAUUCAAAAGGGUUGUAAGAAUAUCAAAUCAUUGUGUUAUUCUUAUAAAUUAAUAUUGAUUAGAAAGAAAAAUAGAUAUGAACUAUAUAAAUUAAUAAAUAAUAAUUAUGAGAGAAUAUUCUUUUGCAGGCUUUUCUUCUUUUGUGGACAACCACAAACCCAAUUCCCUCUCUUCUCUUUUCUCUAUGCUUUUCUUUUCUUGUUUUAUUGUGAAAAAUAGUUGCAAUUUUGUUUGGGAGAGAAAAUGCUUUUUCUUUUUUCUUUUUUCUUUUUAUAUUUGAAUUACUUUUGUGUUGGUUUCUCAGUUUUGAGAGGGUUGUAUUUUUAACUUUUUAUAUUAUAUUAUUUGUGUUUUUAAGUUUUUGAAUUUAUCAUUCAUUUGAUCGUGGAAAUUUAAUAUUGUAACAGUGUGUUACUGAGUUAUCUGUUUAGGAUUUGAAUUUGACUUUACUCUCUUUCUUUGUGAGGUUCGAACUGCCAAACAUCUCGCAUGAAAGAGAGAAAUUGCUCGAGAUAGAAAGAAUCUUUCAUAGCGGUAAUUUCGUUAACCUACGGUAGGCAAGGUUCAAACAAUAUUGAGAAAGCCUAAUCAGUGAUUUUUUUAAAAAAAAUUGGUUUUAAGUCACGUUUUCAAAUAUGGAAAAAAAUGAACGAAAAUGUUUACAAAAUAUAGUAACCUUUUAUGUUUUAUUAAUGGUAAACAAGGAUAAAUUUUAUCAAUUUGAAAUUUUACUAUAUUUUGUAAAUAUUUUAAAUAUAUAUGAAAAUAAUUGGAAACUAAAAAUGUUAGGUUUAAAUCCUAUAUAUUGGACACUCAACUUUGUAUGUUGUUCUAUUUUGGACUUUGAACUUUUAAUCGUGUUUGUUUUAAUACCUAAACUUUUAAAAAUAACAUAUAUUGAUCCUUGCCGUCAUGAUUCUGUAGACUCUCUAUGGUGAGGUGGGCUUAAUAAAUAGAAUGACAGAUAUGAUAAUCACUUUUAAUAAUCCAGAGUUUUAAUUUUAGUUAAAGGCUAGAGGGUAAAUUGAUGUUUUAUCAAAUAACUAAAAAAGUUACCGUCUUUCAGAUUAUGAUCAUCAUCAUUUUGACACAAUGUCGAUUUAUUGAGGCAGUUCUUUUUUUCUUCCAUUUAUUUUUUCUCCUUUUUUGGAUGUUAUGAUUUAUCAUAGGAAUAUAUGUUCACAAUUCAUAGUAUAGUUUUUAGGGGUUAGAGGAGGGAUUAAAAAUAAAAACUUGACCUAUUUGGCCCCUAAACUAACUAAAAAUAAAAUUCAUUAAUUGCAAUGACUUCCAUAUUUUUCAUAUAAUAUAUGAAGUAUGAAACCAUCUAAAAUAUAUAAUUGGAAAAUUUAAAAAUGUGACCAUAAGAUUUGAAUAAUGUGGUUUAGAUAUAUACUCAUUUAUUUUUAAAUAUUUUGUAUAAUCGAUCGAAUCAUUCUAUUUCAUAACCUAAUUAAAAAAUUCAACUAUAUUUAUUUUUUGUCUUUUUCAAAAAAACAAAAAUAUCAAAGCAAAAAAAAUUCAACAAUAUUUCUCACUUUCAAUUGAUGUGUUUAAUGACACAUUUAAUAUAUUUUUUUCAAGAAUAACAUGUGUAAGAUUUGUAUCAUCCUAAUUUUUGCUAUAUUAUAUAAUUAUUUACUUAGGAAUAAAAAUUAAUAUUAAAUUACAAAAUAUAAAGAGGUUGAACGUUUAGACCUAUGACACCAUUUUAAAUUGUUAAUUUAGAAAAAAAAAGAAAAAAAAAACUAAAACUAGUGAGUAAAUUUAGAUUUAAUUAUAUAUUAUCUAAUCGUGUUUAUCGUGUUAAUAUAAUUUUAUUUUAAUUAUUAUAUUCAAAAUAAAUGGAUUGGACAUAUAAAAGAAAUUCUUUUAAAAAAACAUGAAAAUAGUUUAUAAUUUUACUUUUAUAUUCGUUGAAUCAUUAGAUUAAUUGAACUUGAAAUAAAAUAGAAAAAACGGAAUAUGAUUGGAUAUCGAAUAGGAUUUUAGAUUUGAUUUUUUUUCCAUUGUUAUUGUCAAAAUAACAAUUAAAUAAACAAAUGAAUAGACACAUAAAAUUUGGUGAUUAAAUGGCCAAAUCAAAUAAAUCUUCCAAAAAAGUCAAACUAUUUUUUUUAUAUUGCAUAAAUGGCACUGUUUAAAAUUGAGUAGAAUGACUCCUCAAAUCAAGCGAGAUAAUCGAUAAUUAGUUCUAGUAAUGAUAAUAAUGUGAUCGAGAAGAUUAAAAUAUUGCAAUAUCAUGAAGAAAUCGUCCUUUUGAGAGAUGCAAUAAAAAUGAAUAAUAGCAUUUAACAUACACGAAACUCAAAUUACUAUUUAGGAGCUUAAUUAAUAACUCUCACUCAAUGGAUCGUAUAUUUCAUUUCAGUAAAUUAUCAGAUUACUUCGAAUUAAUCACACACAAUAAUUGUUCGUAUUGUUUUCAUGCUCUUACGAAAAAAUACUAUUCCAAGAUUUAAGAAUUGGAUCUUGAAAACAAGUAAACAAAUUAAAGGGUGUUGUUAUUGUUAUUAUUAUUUUGAAAAUAAUUUGAAAGUAAUAAAGGACAACAACUAGGGAGGAAAGUACUCAAUCCAAAAGAAACAAAUUAAUAUGAACCAUUAAAUAUAGUGAAGGAGAAGGAAGAUUAGUUUAUCAAAAUCACCCAUAGUCAUCAAAAUUAUCUUUCAUAAAUAUAUGGGUGUGUGAAAUAUAUAAGGAUUGUUUUAUAAUGUUUACGAACUGCAAUAAAAUAUCAACCCGAAUCAUAAUAGUCUAUUUUGAUCUAUCAUAUACUGAUAUUUGACUAUAUUUGUAUUUCUUUUUUAUCAUUUAAAAUAAUUUUUCUAUAUAUAAUUAGUAUUUUGCAUAUUAUUUUUUUUUAUGAGAAUUCUAUAGUAGAAAAAAAUCGAUAGACCUCAUAUCCAUGUGUGCAGUGUAGUACAAUAUAUCAUCGUGGAUUGGAUUAGUCUUUCUAAUGAGCAUCCUCGAUUCUCUUAUCUCUUGAACCUCUUCAUUUUCAAUACGAAAAUGAAACGACCUUUCCUUCCUCUAAUUAUGUCGAAUUGCAAGACACGUUAAAAUACAAUAUAAAUCUUUAUAUUUAUGAUGGUGCAAGGUUUUGGUGUUGAUUUGCUUUUUUCACGAUGAAAUUUUCUGAACAUGAAGAAGGAUACAUGGAUGACUUAUAUUAAUUUUUAAACUUAAACAACCAGUAAACUCACAGUAUGAAGAUUUGAAAGAAAAGAGAUAUAUUAGGAGAGCAAUGAACAUAUCCAUUUUUUAGGGCAAAUAUGAAAAGAAAAUCUAAUUACGACUUUAUGAGAAUGAAUGUAAUGUACAAAGUCGGUGGCAUUAUUAUUUUGCUUCCGUGCAUUUAGAUCAUAAUAUCAUAUUUCCAACGUUCUCUUUCCCAAAACAGGACCAAACGCGGUAUUAGUUGAACUUCUUAAACUAAAAGUCAGGCCCAAUGGUGCCCCUCUCUUAUAGGCUAAAAUCAGGCCCAACAUGGCCCAAGUUUAUUAUGGUUUUGACCAAUAACAAAUGAUUAUAUAUGAGAUAGAUCACUCUCGACUUGACCUAUACUCGAACAUCAUCAACCCAACCCAACCCAACCAUUAAGCUUUUGGAUUUAGUUGAUUUGGAUUAUUGAGUUCACUUAUUAAAUUUGUGUCAUUGAAUUAAAAUUAACAACUCAAUCUCAAUUAUAAAGAAAUUUCUUUUCAAUCUCAAUCUAAUGAAGUUAGUAACCUAACCCAAGGUUGGGUUGGAUUGGGUUGAUCAAGUUUUCAAGUAAUUAAUUUGUUGACACAAGAAAACUGUAAAGACGUAUAUAACAUUAUUUGUUACUUUAUAUGUUAAUUCAUUUAAUACAUUGCAAUUGCCAUCUCAAUAAAUGUUAUAAGAAAAAAUAAUCUUAGUUGAUAUCUCUAACCGUUACACAAUCGAGUAUAGAUUGAACAAAAACUACAUUUUCUUAGAAAUCGUCUUUAACUAAAUGGCUACCGUGCACUUAAAAUCUAUUUGUUUUAUUUCAUAAUUAGAAUAAAUUAUUUUCAAUGUUAGACAAUGCUUGAAUUUAGAUCACGUAUAAGCAAGGUGCAUUAACAUUAAUGCUCAACACAAAAAAUUUGAUUUACAUUAUAAAUUUACAAUAUAAUUACUACUUGCAAUUUUUAUUUAAAAAAAAACGAUAAUUAGAUGGAAGCACAUGAAUCUGUUGCUAAUAUCAUCCACUUUAUUGUUGCAACAUUAACGUGUUCAUAACUUAUAUCGAUGAAAUGAAAUGUAUGAAGAAAAAGUUAAAAAGAAAAAAAUAAUAUAAAUUUGAUACAACAUUGGUAAUUACAAAUUGAAAAUUAAAAAGAAAAAUUGGUAUUUGAAUUGAUAAGUACAUUUAUGAUUAAAAAAACAUAUUAGAUGGAAAGAGAUUAAUGACAAUUGGUGGUGACAAAAAACUUGCAUUGGAAAUGUAGUUUAUGUUAAUUAGAAUGUAAUCAAGUGUUUAAUAUACUCGUCUUUAUAUAAUCAUAGAACUAACUAAGGUUUGUUUCAAAUUUCAACGACUUUAUUUUUAAAAUUUCAAAAUUUAAAAAACUCUUUACUUUAAUACAACAAAUGGCCUAAGGGGUUGGUUUUUAUUAUUAAAAAAAUCGGGUCUAAAAGGCGAAAAAGCAGAAAUAAAUAAAUAAAAUCCAGUCAAACACGUCAGUGAUCUAACGAACGUCACAGACCUCUCCUCGGCGUCCACGUCAAGGCGCACGUUAGAGCACAGCACAAAAUUUCACUGUUCAUUCACACAACACAACACAACACAACACACACACAAGUCCCCAUCAAGAAAAUGGCUUCCCAUCUCUCAAAAGCACAAAUCCCCAUUUUCUUCGUCAAACAUUUCUCCUUUCUCUUUCCCAUUUCUCUCACAGACCUUCUUCAAUGGCGAAACCCACAAACCAGCACCGUAGUUUAGCACCUCCUGACCAUGAUGAUUCUCCUCCCCUUAAACCCAUUUUCAGAGCUACUUCCUCUGCUUCCAUAGCUAACAAUCAUUCCAUGCUUUCAAAGCUUGAUUCCUCCAUAGCUGCUGUUCCUAAUCCUUCCUCCUUAUCCACCCAUAUCCCAUUUUCCACGCUUCAUAGUCAAACUGGGUUUUCAUCUCAAAGAUCAAAGAAUUUGAACCCACCUCCAGCUCUCUCUGUUUCUUCUAUGCUGAAAUCAAAACCCCACCUCCAAAAAAUUCCUUCUGGUGGGGAUGAGAAAUUGAGUAAGGUGUGUAGAGAGUUGGGUAGGAAGAAGUUUUUUUAUGAGAAGAAGGAAACCAAUGAUGGGUUUGAUAAAAAAGGUCUUUGUCUUGUGGUGAAGCAGAAGGAGGAGAAGGAGGAGAAGGAGGAGAAGGAGGAGAAGGAAUUGAAAGAGCCUCAAAAGGAGCAAAAGAUUGUCAGCUUGAGACCAACAGUUUCUUUACUUCGAAAGAGUGGGAGAAGGAAAUCAUUUGCUGUUUCACAAGUUGAAUUGAGUGAUAUUUUUGCCAAAAAUGGUGUGAAAGUGGUUUCUGUUGAUAUGCAACCAGCUAUGCAGAUUCAUGCUGUGGAUUGUGCAAGAAAAACUCAUGACAGUAUGGAGAAGUUCACUUCCAAAACUCUUGCUUUAUCUCUCAAAAGGGUAAUUAGUUUAAGGGUUAUGUUAUGUAUACAAAUCUGUGCAAUUUAUUGAAAUGAAUUAGCUAUUAACUUUUCUUGUUUGAUUUCUUGCUUGUGGUUUUCCAGGAAUUUGAUGGGGUUUAUGGUCCGGCUUGGCACUGCAUCGUGGGGACAAGUUUUGGGUCUUUUGUGACUCAUUCAGUUGGUGGUUUCUUAUAUUUCUCACUGGACCAAAAACUGUAUAUUCUAUUGUUCAAAACGUCCGUACAAAGAGCUGAUUGAGAUUGAAGUAGAUGUCCAAAACACAGCUGGGAAGUCCAAUAAAUUUGGCAUAUUAGAGUUUAAGAGAGGUAAAAGAGGCCAUCCAUCCGAAUACUUGUACAUUGAUUAUGUUAAGAAACACACCAACAAUACAGAAUAUUCACUACAAUAUGUUUAGAGAUCUCUUACAAGCUGUUUACUGAACAAUUUCAUUGCAAUUAUUGAGGUUUAGUGAGAGAAUAACCCUUACUUUUACAGCUCAAAGACUCGUUCUCUACAUCUACUUUUCGGCUUCCACUAAUCUUUCUGUUUAAAUUGCAUGUACACAAUCUCUCUAUUUGCUGCAAAGAUUGACUGAUUAAGGCUUAGUGGUCUGUGAUACAUCGAUAGCAAAGAAUGUUUUACAAGAUUUAAGGCUAAAUUAUGCAGUUUUGUUUCUUGAUAUGAGAUGUGUUUAUUAUAGAGCUUUCACUCCGCUACCUGAUUUUGUAAAAUGUAGCAAAUGUUUGGUCUGGACAAUUGGAAAGGACAAGGAGAGAGGUCUUUACCCCACUCUCCAUUUUUUCCAACUUUCUAUGUUAUAAAGUUUCUUUCUUCAGCUGGUGAUAUGAGUUAUUACUUUACUGAAAAUGAUGGUAGGCAGGCCCACAGCUUUUAUGUUUGAUAUUGGAUGCACAUUCUUCUUUGACCGGUACAUGUGCAUUCUUAUUUAUAGCUCCUUAUUUUGAAGAUUGGACUACUGAUUUUUGGCUCUUUCUGGAAGUUGGAAAAAAAUUAUCACUUAGUUUUGCAUUGUUAUUUAAUUUGGUGGGAGGUUGGGACCCUUGGGUCGGUUCUGUCCCUAGUCAAUAUUAAGCAUCUUUUAUUCAAAAUAUGAUGGCCAAGGACAAAAGUGACUAUUGUUAGUUGAAAUUCCUUUCUUGCUUGAACAAUUAAUGACAAAUAAAAAGAUAUCUAUCUGCAUUUAAAAAAGAUUGGCUUCUUCCCCUUCCAAGUUUUCAGUUAGUAAAAUGGGAUGAAACCAAUAAAAAAAUCCUUGAACUUGCUGUCACUUUUAAUAAACUCGAAAAGACAUUUAGGGGAGGGGAUUAUGACUUUAAAAGAAGAAGAAAAAUUCUUGCAUCAUGCAACACUAAACAUUUGUUUCAUUGUAAAUGGAAUAUGAAAGCCAACCAAACACCUUGCCUUUCUGGUUUCCCUUGAGGUUCUAUCAUUGAUCCAGCUAUGGCCUUAAAAAGAAGGAAUAUUAGCCUUUUUCUUUCCCUUGUUCUUUGGCUUUUUGAUGUGUAAAUCGAAAACCACUUUCUUGAACACCAUUUCCACUCUUCUAAAUUUGAUGGGUCAUCAUGGGAGAAACACAAUUAAGAGAAAAGAAAGGAGGGUCCUCUACACCCAUCUGCGAUAGCCAAAUAUUCUUCAGCUCUGUACCUGAAAAUUCAUAAAUUUUUGUUGGGUGAAGCUUUCAAAAGCAUUAGAGAAAGCUUUGAAAGCAACUGAAGAAAAAAUAAAUGGAAAGCAAGUCCCUCACUGCUAUGGAAGAAGUUAGCAGCUACAGAGCUUCAUGAAGCUUGAUAUCUAUAUUCAGCAUGUCAUACAACACUAUGUACAUCCUACAAAGAAUUAAACUGCAAGGAAAAAAAUACCCGCCUAUAAAUCAAACUCUCUAUAGUUGAAACCUAACUAUAAUUACUGAAUAAUUUACCAAUUUGGGAAGUUAAGAAUCGCUGUUCUCGUCGAGAGAAUUUUGAACUUUCCCUAAUUUGUGUGAAAUAUCAGCUAACAUUACUUUUCCUUCAUGCUUAGAGAAUUUGCCAUCUGCUUCGAGUUCUCUCACGAUCUCGUUAAGAUGAGAGAGCUCUCGGGUCAGUGCAGAAGUUCUUCCCUUUCCUGCCAUUUUAGAAACAGAAAUCAAACUUCUCCUAGAAAGUUUCACGUCCAUGGUUGAUAUAACACAAUACCUGUAUUUUCAUCUAUUUGAUUGACACUGCCAGAGCUUGAAUGUAGAGAAGAAAUUGCACCAUCUGAGGAUAAGUUGUUCUUCUUUGUCUUUUUCAAGCGGCCUAAAAGAUAUGUUUUUUCUCCUUUAAAGUUUGACACUGGUUCGGUUUGGUCUUCUCCUUCAACGUUCCCUAGGGAGAAUGGCAAAGCUACCUCUUGAUUGUUUGUACUUUCUUCUUUGCUAUUUACCCCUCCAAUCUUCAACGCAGGCGGUACACUCAUCACGUCAAAAUUGUUAAAAUUUUCCUUGUUGUUCUCUCUCCCGUUAAAACUAAAAGGCGUACUACAUUCAGAUUUUUCAUCCGAAGAUAAACAGGAUUGUGACUUGAAUUCUUGGUAAUCUUCAUCAGAUAUCUCAUCUUCCCCAAGAUAUCCAUAUUUUUCUCUGUAAACAUCAAGUUCAGCCUCUCUCUUAGCAAGCAAAUCAUUUGUAGCUUGUAAGGCUUCCUGAUCAUACUCUGCCUGUUCUUCCAUCAUUCUUUGGUACUGUAAAGCUUCCAUUUGAACGGCCGCUUUUUCAGCCUGUAAUCGAGUAAUCAUGGCCAUUGCAUUGUUUGCUGCUACAGCCGAUGCGCUUCUUUCUUCAUCCAGUUCCAUGUACAGCUCCAUGAGCGAUUUUCGAUCUAUCCGAACUUGUCUUUUCAAGCAAUUCAAAAUGGAAUCAUUGUCUCCUGGCCCCAUCAUAUCUGCUUCGUAAGUCUCUGCUGCAACCUCUGUUCUAUCAAGUGGUGAUUUUCUAGAGAUUCUAAUAGCCCACCUGGGACUAUUAUUAGCAGAAUCUGUUAGUGGAAUACCAAAAAAUUUAUUCCCUUUACCAAAAACAGGAGUCCUUGAACUUUCAUGCAUGUCCUCAGGUUCAGGUAACAAUGGCACUUUAACAGCCUUCGCAUCCUCCUUAACUGCACUCUCAUCAAAUCCAGAUACUACAAUUAUUCACAAACAAACCAAAUGAAAGAAUGCUGUAGUGAAAGAAAGAGAAAUUUUGGACUUACAUGGAUGAGCAUCAAGAUUUCUUCCAUGUAUACCUUCGUCGUCUUCGACAAACUCUGAUUCACUAUCUGACAAUAAUUUGAGUUCGGUGUAACGAAUGUGCGGCAAUUCCAAACCAGUUUUGUCGUCGUUUCUGAAAGAGGGCGUAAAUGAAGCUCGUGGCGAAGGAGCAGGAGCUUGUGAAAAGGUACUCCCAUUUUUCCCUUUUGAAUUGGAAGAUUUAACUUUCAAUGGCUCUCCACAACACGAACAACAAGAAUAAUUAACACCAAACCCUUUGUCCAUUGGCAGGCCAUCAUCUUUCUUCCCCACAGGCGGCAAGCUCACAACUUGACGAUUAUCAUCCUCAACAAAACAUUCAAGAUCCUUGUGCAAUAUCCCAACGAGGGAUUUGUAGGUAUUGCAAUCAGAUUCCUUUUCGGUUGCAAAAGAGAGAAGACAAACCUCACACAUCUUUCGAAUGUCGGAGAGUUUCUUGUGGUUGUGACAAUAUGCAAGAGAUGAAAUAUCCUUCUUGUGUCCUUCACAAAUGGAAUUGUUGUAAUAGAAAUCUGUAUUUUUGUUAACUAAAACAUGGUCGAUUCUUGUGCAGUACAAACAAGGAACUCGCAAUUCAAAGAACUUAGCGAAUUCGUUGGCCAAAAAUGUAACAAUCCCAUCAAUGAAAAGCAAAAUUAUGAGAACCCAUUCAAGAACUGCACACACUACAAAAUGUGGAAACUGUCCCAGCUCUUGUUCUACAAAACUGGUGAAUGAACGUUUUGUCGCCAUCUUUUUUCCCUUUUUAGUUUCUCUUCCCAAAAAUUAAAUAAUUUUUUUUACAAAUUCUAACCCAACCUCCCCUGUUUUAUGAAUUUGAAAUUGUUUUCUGAAGAUGAAAAGAUCAUGACCUUGGUGGGAUUGGACCAGACCUAGAUCAUGAUCUUUUUUUCUGUUCUUUUUCUUUUUCCUUUUCCCUUCCCCUUCCCCUGCCCUGUUUGUGUUUCCGAUCAAAGGCGACAAAGCAAGAGGUUAUGAGCUAAGUUAGGGGAUUUAGACUUUUUAGGAUUUAUUUCCGAUACUUUAGGGCCCAAUUGAGGUUGGCUUUUAUGACCAAUUACCUAAAAUAACGCUCAUUCCUCCACUUCCCAACCAAACAUUAUAUCACUCAAAUUAAGGACCCAAUUAACAUUUUUUUACCAUUUUCCUUUUUCUUUCUAAAGAUUAAAAUAUAAAACGUUUACUAUAUAUGUAGUUUACUAAAGAAAAAGACUCUAAAUUUUUUUAAUUCCAUUACAUUACAUUUGAUAAAGUUGAUGAGGAUUAGGAUGAGUCAACGUUUGGUAAUGCAACUGGAAGAUUAGAGAGGGUAUCCUCAAAGACCCAUGCAAUGAGCUUUAAAAAAUUGUUAGUCUGUUGUUGGCAAUAUCUUCAUCAUGAAGCUGCUUCAAUUAUUUUAUGCAAAGGAUUACAUUUUUUAUCACUACUUUAUUUUAUUGAGGAUCAUUCCUUUGCUUUGGGCUGUGGGUUGAACUUUUUAGACAUUAUGUAAUUGUUUAGCUUGUACAUACAUAUACAUAUAUACGAAAAUAACAACUCAAUUUCAAUUUAUAUAAUACAAUCUAAACAAUUACAAAUAGGUGUAUCGUUUUAAAGUGAAUAAUAAGUUCGAUUGGGUUAUUUUAUUGAACUCAUUAACCAAUCUAACCCAUAAGAUUGUUGUUUAUUUGAAGCAAACCGCAUUGAUUGUAGAUUUUUUGAACCCCUAGAUUGCAUUGAACAAAAAUUUCAAUUCUUUGUCCCUAGAAUACAAAUUUUAUAAGCAAAAACGAGUGAAGACUGGUUUCUUGAUAAAUAUAUUUACAAGUUAGUAUAACAAAAAUGUUUAAUGCUUUCAAUACUCGUCCAGACUCUAGCUCGUGGGUAGAAUGUUUGCACACAUGUAAGGAGAUAUACAUCCCUUGACCUGAAAAAAGGAAGAAUUAAAAACUUAAAACAACAAAAUUACACUAUCACUAAACAAAAAGAUAAAUAAUUUUGUAAAUUCUUGGGUUGGCAAUUUCAUGAUAUCGUUUUAUCAUUUGAUGCUGAAAACAACUUUUCUUUAGCAUAUAAGCAACAACGCUUCCUCUAACAGGUGUUUUUCAAUGGUCAGUUGGGAGAAUAAAAGAAAAGGAAUAACACCAUCUAAUAGCAGGCAUGAAAAUUUAUGUAAAUCUCAAAAGGAUCUAUUACCUGCAGUAAACAAGAAGGAAUUUGAAUAAACCCCUGCAAAAGAAGGUCGACCUUUUCCAAAGUGCCAUGGGGGACGGGUGUGAUAACAUAUAGGAGACCUUUAAAUGUAUCGAUGCCUCUAACAAUUCCUGUUCCACGAGAUAUUAGUUAAAGAAUUAAACUACACUAAAAUGAUGUUCUUAGGGAAUGACUUUAAGGCCUAAAGCAAGUAGGUAAGUCAAUAAUAGAGAUAACACAAUGUAAAAGAAGUAACCUACCAAGACCGACACACCACGAAGAAUUUUCAGAGUUGUUGGAGCAUGUAGCCAAACCAACAAUUGUUGCAUUCAAACUAUAGAAGAUCUGAUCACUUGGGACCUAUGUAGAUAAAUGGAGACAUAGUUAAUACCGGUACAUUGCAGGGGUGGUGGUUCGGUAAGAGAGGUGCAACAACUCAAUUAGUGAUAAAUAUUGCUGAUGUGUUAAAACUCAAUGGUAGGAAAAUUGAAGGGGAAAAGAAGAGAGAAAAUUGGAGAGUUUUGAUUUUUGAACCAACCUGACAGUGCAGGUGUCUAAUCUUAAUGCUUGAUAUUGGAACUUGGUAAGGAGGGUGAGAUGCCAGUGCAUUUGCAAGCUCUUUAAUUGUGGUAAUAUUGCAAUCUCUGGGAAAGCACUGUCUAAAAUAAGCCAUAAUACGCAAAUCUCGCAUAAGACUUGUAUCCUUUUGCACUAGUAUCCUAACAUGAUGAAGGAAGAGAUGUAAGAAAAUUAUCCAUUCAAGUAUAUUGUCACAAACCAAAUGUCUUUAUGAAACAACACACAACAUGACAAUAACUUUAUGAAUUAUGACUUUGUUCAAGAUGGCGCUAGAGCAAUAAGCAACAGCAGACCACAAAUACAAUAGAAAAGACAAUGUUUAGUUACUAAAAGAAUGGGAAGAUGAUAAUAAAAAUAACAUUAUCAAAACUAAAUAAAGCCAAGUCAUUCAGUGCAAAGAGAUCCCGGAAGGGAGACAAGAAGAUAUUAAAACAUCAGGAUCACAGUGAGGAUAUAUAUGAAAACCAACAAUUAACCUGCAUAAAUAUAUUCUUUUGAAACUAAAGAUUGCAAGAAACUUACGAUCGGUUAAACUCGUCUUGCCGAGCAGAACGAAUUUCUAUUAGACUGGUCGUCCCGUAAUUUUCCUCCUCUUCUAGCCAAAAUUCCCCAGCUGGAAGGUUCUUACUCUCAGCAGAUAUAUUUAUUUUGACUACAUGUGAUGGAGCAAUGUAUUUCAACAUGUCUACCAAUAUCUCAUAACCAAUACCUGGGAAACAGGGUCAACAUAAAUACGUAUCUCUGACCAAGCCAUCUCUCCAAAGCAAUUAAAGCAGGAAAAAGUAAUGUUUAAGCAGAUGUAGAACUCAAACGAGCAGGAUACCUUUCACCCAGCCAGGUGUAUUUACAAUAAGAGGUAAUUCAAUCUUCGCAAGUUCUUCGGUCUUGUUAAAAGAAUUGUACUCCUUGUGGUAAUAGUCAUACAAAGUAUUUGCAUAACUUAAGUAUGCUUUCGGAUCUCUUUUUGAGGAAAUAUCACCAAAGAAAAAACAUCUAAAAGAAGAAUAAAAAGAAACAGUGAGAAAGUAGAAUUUUCACCUUCACCACUUCAGAAAAUACGAAAGGGACGUAAGAUACAGUAAAACCAUCCUUGUUUAAAAAUUUUAAAUGCAUUUUUACAUUCAUUUAGAAAAAGAGAUUAAACGGCAACAUAAAAUAUGGAUACUUGUUAAAUGGAUUCAACAUAAUCUACCUUUCUGGCGUCUUUAAGCAGGGAGUCGACAAGUCUAAAAGAAUAAGAGGAAGAAAAUUACAUCAGUCGAGGGAGACUGUCAGUAGGAAAAAAUUUAUUGGCAAGUUCAUGAGAAUUGAUCAACAAGGCAAGGACUCUAUAACAUAAUUACCUGGGAUUAGUCUGUCAACCACAGUGAGGGACAGAAAACCCGGUGGAGUAAACUCAGGCUGUCCAACAUCUGAAUCCAGAUAAACCACUUUUUUAUACCUGAAAACAAUAAUAGAAGAAAUACAUUGUGAAAAACAUGGCAACUUGGGGAAAAAGAGAGGUACGCAAGCAAGAAAUUCAUAGUUCCGAAUUGAAAUCAUCAAUACUUAAAAGAAGAAUAAGAUCACCUUCGAAGGAAAACAUUGAGAAGGUGGCGUGAGAAAGUACUUUUGCCACAGUUUUUUGCACCACAGAUAAGAACAACAGGGGGCGGCGAAGUGGGAGAAUCAAAAACUAUGGAUUCUGCAGCCUCAGACCAUUCUUCAGGUAUAAAAAUAUUAGGAGAUGAAUUUUCAAGUUCUAAAAAAGAAGACAUGGAUGGGUUUUAUUGAGUCCACCCAAAUCUCCAGCAACUGUAAAACAAAUUCAUCAAUUCAGUGUACAAACAUAUAUGCACUUGUUCAAAAAGUUAGACUUCUGGCCCAUUAUCAUUAAAUAAUUUUCCUCAUCGUCAUUUUUCUUUUGUUCUCUAAACAAAAAAGAUUGUACACUCAACCACAGAAUAGAAAGAGUUGAUACCAAUGUGGAGAGAAAAGUUACAGAGAUCAGAAAAGUAGAGUAAAUUACUAUUAUGAUUACAUAUAAUGAGAUGAACUGAAAAGACGAACAUGUAGAAUCGCUGCCUUAACCUCCUCUGUGGAAUCCCUGGAUUUAAAUCAUUCCACUUGUUUGGAGGAAAAAAUUAAUAAAGUAAUUUGAAAUCAGUUCAAAUUUGGAAAAAUCCUUCUAUAUUUUUCUUUCCAUUGCAUUUUGCUUGCAACAAUAACUUCGAUCUUUUCAAAUACACUGUUCCAUUCUUUUUUACACUCAACUAAGCUAUAUGCGAGUUCUCUCUUUUGCAAUGUUCAUCUUUAUAUAUAUAUAUAAUCUAUUGAUUGAUUUGAAUAAGAAUUAUAUAUCUCAAUCUGUUUUUUCAUUUAGACUCGUUGAACAUUGGUUUUAUAAAAAAAAAAUUAAAAAAUUGCUUAUUGAUUUUCUUCUUUGGAGGUGAACAGAUUAAACCAGCGAAACAAAAUAGAAAACCAAUAGAAAUAAAAACCUUAGGAAUCUGAAAAAUGAGCAGUACCUCACAAACUCCAAGAGUUAGGGGCUGAAAUACAAGCAAAUUUGAUGGCGAGAUUUCGUCGGAAGGCUGAUACUGCGGGAGCUAAAAAUGCAGCAUGGGCGUCAGCAGGAAUGGAGGGCGGCGAAGAAGGGUGCAGUGGCGGGCAAUCAGAGGGAGGAGAUGGUUGAAGGUGAAGUAGGGUUUAGAGAGAACAAAAGCUCCGAUGAUUAAUUGCAAGUUUGGUGACAGAGUGAUGACGGUGCCGUUGUCUUCCCGCGAAGGAGCGGAAGAAGGGAUUUAGGUUAUAUAUAUAUAACCUAAAUUAAACGUAAAUUUAAGUUCAAAAUAUCCUAAUUAACGUUAAUUUAAAGUUUUAACCUAAAUUAAACAUUUACCCAAACCCAAACUUCUCCUUUUUCCUUUUUAAAUCUAAAAUAUCUUAAUAUAUUUAAUUUUGGCUAAUACUUUAAAAAUUAAAAAUUUUAAUCCAAAAUUUUGAAAACUGAUUUAAUUUAAUGUAAAUCUAAUUUAUUAGAUUUCAAACAUCAAUUUGAAAACCAAAUUAAGCCAACCCAUGGCUAUAUCCCAAAAUAAUUAAUAGUUACAAAUUUAAUAAUUAAAUUUAAAAUAAUUAAGUUUAUAGCAAUAUUAUAAAAAAUUUGUAAAUAUAGCAAAAUUUGUAAAAUUCUAUCAAGAUAGAGUCUAUCACUGAUAGAUCAUGUUGUAAAAAUUGGUCUAUCACCGAUAGAUCAUACGAGUCUAUCAAUGAUACAAGUCUAUGAGCGAUAGUUUUGCUAUAUUUAUAAUUUUUUAAAAAUAUUGUUAUAUCCUUAAUUAUUAUUCCUCAAAUGGUCAUCCAUUACAAUUACCCUAAAAUUAAAAUGAUUGAAAAUAACGAAACUAGUGAAAGUAUUUACAAAAUAUUAGAUUCUAUCGAUGUUUAUUUAAUGCACUGAUAAACAUUGAUGAAAGUCUAUCUAUGUCUAGUAAACUAUAAACAUAAUGAAACUUGGUUUGAUUCGUAAACCUCUAGAACAAACCUAAAAUUCUGAUAUUUGCUCCAAUAUCCUUAGUUUUACUAUUUCACUUUUUACUCUAAAUUAAAUGUGCAAAUUACAAUAAUAUUGCAGAAUUAAGUUAUUUAACACUGACGUAUGAAGUUAAUAAGCCGACACAUUUUAAACUUUUGCCUUACUUUUGCCUAGUUAGCAUACAAAAUAACAAAAAGUUUAAACUAUAGAUUUCAUAAUUACUUAUAUUCUGCAACAUACAGAUACAAAUAUCUAUAUAUCAUAAAAAAAAUGGAAAAACAUAUUCAAAUACAUUCAUAAAUAUGUAGCCAUCCAACCAAAGAUAUAUCCAAAAACUUUUUCACAACAAAUUCCCUAAUGGGAAUAGUUUGUCAUAAAAAGGUUUGGUAGGAUGGAUAGAAGGAAUAUCUACAUGCAAUGUGGCAUAAACUAUUUAUAAAAAAACAAACAAAAUAAUCUUGUCUUUGUAUUAAAGAAAAAAACCCCAACUUUCUUCAAUAUAUCAACUUGGCUACUCUUAAAACAUCAAGACAAAGUCAUGUUUAUUCAAUAUAAUUUUCAAUAGUUUCCACCAAAAAUUUUGAAAUAGUUACACGUGCGUGUAACACCUAUUUGUAUACAAUUUUAAAUCAUCAAUUGAUCUACAAGUUUAAUUUUUUUUUUAAAGUAUUGAAUUAGUAUGGAAUUGUCAUAUAUGUAUAUGCUUAUUAACUUUAUGCUCUUUAUAUAGGUACAUAAUCGGUAUGAAAUUAAUAUCAUAAUUAGCUAGUCAACUGACACAUAGAGUAAUUGUUUUUGUAGAUUCGUCGUGCUCUCUUGAGAUGGGGAUAUGCGUUAUUAUAUUAUAAUUAAGUUAUAAAAUAAUAUUAAGUUAACUAAAUAUCUUGAGUGUUUCAUGGAUUCUUCGUCUUCCUCCUCCAUCCACACACACAUAACGUAGUCUUCAGCAAGUGAGAAAGGGAUCUAUCCACUUGCAAAAGAAAUUAAAGUCCCAAAAUUAUUCUUUGAAAUUUUGAAUUAUGGAAUCUCCCUUCAAUCUUCUAAUCAAAUUAUGUCACUAAUCUCUCUCUCUCUUUCAAAGCAAAGAACCUCAACAAACACAGCUUAUAAACAUUAUAAAUCCAACUCAAUUUCCUCUAUGUUUCUUCAUUCCAUCCUUUUUUUUUUCUUCUUUUGCAAUUGAAUAAACAAAAAUUCAACCAAUCAAUCAAUUACCAAAGCUAUGAUCGGUAAAGAAUCAAGAUCCACGGAAUCGCUAUGUGAGAAGUCCAUGUUGUUGGUAGCGAAUUUAAUCAAGCUUUCCAGUUCGAUUUCUUUCGCUAGGACGGCGAAUAAUGAACCAACCGCUGGAUCAUCUACGACCACGCGACGGCGAUCGGGAGGAAAUCCAGCGGCGACGCCUCUAAUUCCGGGAAGUAAACGGCUGCAGGAGCCGCAGAGCCGAGCGAAGCCGAUAUACGUAACGAAGCCGGGCGGAGGUGGCUUCCAAAUCGGACAUGGAUCGCCGUCGCCGAGGUAUUCAUCGUCGUCGUCUUCUUCUGUGAUUUAUGAAGAGAGUGAUUUUGAUGAGGGGAAUGUGGAUGGUUGGGCGUCUGAGUAUAUAGAGAAAGUUCAUAAGAACAGGAAGGAUUUUGAACAAUCGACGAUGAAGAAGCCAAAAUCAAUGGCUAAAAGUCGAUUUCGUAGAACCAAUUCCUCUGUUCUAAAUUAGCUAUAGCUUCUUUCCUCUCUAUCUUUGAAUUUUAUCACUUUUUAAAAAAAAAUUACGAGUGAUGGUUCAUUACUAUGUGUUCAUCUUCAAGUUCCACCAUUUUAGGGUUUCGGAUCCCAUUUUUAACCUCUCAAUAAUGUAAUAAGUGUUUUAUCUAUUAGAUUAUGAUUAAAUUAGUCUAAUUAUUUAAUUAAUCGUGCUUAUACUAUAGCUUCCAAACACUUUAAUUUUUUUCAAAAUAAUGUAUAUUUUAAAUUAAACACAUCAUUAGUAUUUGUUUCGACAUGGUUGAAUGUGUCCAAACAUUUUUCUUUUCAAUAAAUUAUUAUACGUCAUUACUUAAUUUUAAUUUUUCACAACUAUUAAGGCAUAUACUCUUUGUAUUAAAGUUUAAAUACUUCCACUUAGAAUGUUUGGUUGAAUUAAGCAUAAUCACUACUUGGUUGUAUAAAAUAUUUUAAUACAUUUCAUCUUUGACAACAUUUAAAAAAUAUCUCGUUUAUAAUUUCAACAUUCUUUUGACGUAAAGUAAUUAACCAAUCAAUUGUCGCUAGCUUAUCGACUAAAUCCAUAUUUUUUUUAUUACGUUCAAAUAUCAAAUAUGUAUUUUAAAAACAGUUUUAGUUUUUCUCGGUUUUUAUGAUGUGUUUAAUUAUGAAUUAGAUUGUUUAAAUGGAAAGUGGUAACGAGAGAUACUUAACUUUUGAGUGUUGUCCAAGUUUUGAGCAGCCAUAGCAAUGGCAUCCCCUUUUGUUGAGAAUCCUUACUACCUAAGAAGAAAAGUACACCAUGGCUCUUAAUUAAUCAACCAAUAAUGUUCUCAAAUUAAAUUAAAUGGGAACUAAAUCCCACUUUAAUUAUUCACAUAUUUCUUUUAAUAGAAAUUCUCCCAUCAUUAUUUAAUUAAUAGUCUAAUUCUCACAUCAUUAUUUAAUUAAUAGUAUGUUGAUGUAAUAGUCGGUAAAAUUUUAUUAUAUUUAUAAAUAUUUUAAUUUAUUAUCUAUUAUUUAAUUAAAUAAAAUAAUAUUCAUAUUAACGUCAUAAAAUAUUAAAGUUAUAUAUUUUGAAUGAGCUAAAAGUAUUCGACGAACAUUAUCGAAAUAAAUUUAGGUCAUUAUUCUCGAAUGAAACAUUUGUAAUUCAAAUCUUUCAUUAUAUUUAAAUAUUAAAUAGCGAAGUUUAUCUUUAAUAGAUGAAAUUAUUUAAUUAUUUUUUCCACUUAUAUUUUUUGUUGGAGAAGAUGAAAUAGAACUUUUGAAUUAAUUAGGAUAAAGAAGUUGAAAGUAUAUAAUCUAAAUGGGGCUUUCCAGCAUGUUAGUGUUGAUAUUUUUUAAUGGUCUAAUUUUGAAGUACUAAUUACACUCAUAGUAAUGAAUUUUUGCAAUUGAAAGUAAAUAGUUUGUCUUUUCUUUAAUUUUUUUAAAAACACUUUUUAAUAAUUCGUAAAUUUGAUUAAUAUACUUUAAUAAAUCAUGAAUUUAAUCCUUUAAAUUAAACUUGGAUGGAAAUUGGUUGAAAUAAAAACCAUACUUUUAAUGCAUGGAAAAGAAAAUGUCUUCUUUUUAAUUAAAAAAUUACUAAUGAUUUGGUUUUUAAUUAAACAUAUAAAAAAUCACUUUCAUCUCUUAACUUUUUACUUUGUUAUCACAUAUUACCGUUAUUUUAAAAAUCAAAAGUUGGCAUUAGUUAGAAUUCUAUACUUCUAUUUCAGAAAAAUGGAAUCAUAUAAAUAAAUAUAGAAAAAAAUUAGUAAUUACCAAAAGAAAUAUACGAAAACCAACUUUUUAAAAAAAAAAAACAAUAAAGAAAUAGAAAUAGAAAAAGAAAUAAACUAUUUACCUCAAUAGAAAAAAAUUACUAAAAACAAAAUUCAUUAUCUACGAUGUAAGAAUAAUCCGACAACCCAAAUAACAUAUACUACUCAUAUUAUAAGGAUUGAGUUGAUUUGGUUUAAAAUUUAGAUUAGUUUUUUUUUUUCAAAUUGGGUUGAGUCUCAACUUGAGGUUUGAAAAAUUCGAUUCAACUCAACUCGAAUUAAUGAUAUUAUAUAUAUUUAUAUUAAGUUUUACAAUAUUAUGCUUUGAAUAUUUUUUUUAUUUUAGAAAUUUGGUUAAUAUUUAACUCCUUCUUAAGUAAUACUAAAUGUCAUAAAACUUUUUGUUAAGUAUUAUUGUAUUAACAUCGUACUUCAUUAAUGUUUUUGGAUGUGUGGAUUUAUGGAUAUGAAUAUAACGUCAUAAUGUUUUUUUAAAAUUAACAAAUAUUAGAAAUAGGAAAAAAGUAAUACAACUCGAUAAUCUAAUCCAAUCCUAUCCAACUAACCCGAAAAUUAUAAUUGGUUCCAAAAUAUCUCUAAAUUCAACCCAAAUUCCUUUACCUCAAUUUUUAGAGUUUUAUAAGAAUAAAAGGAAAAUUGCAUCAAAUAACAAAAACAUAUUUUUUUUAAAAAGAAGUUUAUGAUACCUAUUUUGAGUGAUAUUAUAUAGUAAUUAUAUGAUUAUCGACUUUUAAAUUUAUUACUAUAAAAGUAUAAUGACAUAAGUGUUAUUAGGAGAAAAAAAAUGCUAUUUUUGGAGGGCGAUGAUAAAACGUGUAAGAGUGGAGAAAGAAUAGAGAUUUAUUCGAUGGGGGAAAAGGGAAAGGAAGAAAGGAAGGGGGCAGGAGAGAGCAAUAAUGGAUGGAAAUAAUGUAAUCCGGAUCCUGAAAUGGAGCCCAACAAAUCCGCAUGGAACUGAUUUCUAUGUCCCACAUCACAUAACACCAUUUCCUUCUCUACCACUCACAAUCCCUUUCAACCCUCUCUCUAUCCCCAAUCCUUUUUCUCUCUUUUUUGUUUCUUAAUACUUCCAAACUAUUACUAUUCCUCUCCCUAUCAAGUGAUCAUCGUCCAAACGGUUCUCGAACUUUAAAUUUUCAUCAUACUUUUUGUUUGAUUUCAAAAAGAAUAAAGAAAGAUAUGUGAUCAUGAGUAGUCAAAGUAAUUUGAACUAUAUUAGUUUUAUUUUAAAAAACUCUAACUAAUUUGAACUAACUCACUCAAAUGGUUUAUGACUUAAAACAAGUUGAUAUCUAGAUAACUUUAGGAUGUUACUUAGGCUAUCGAGACCAACCCCAAAUAAGAGUAAAAAGAUCCUACAAAAGGAAACCAAACAAAUUGUGAAAUGAAACCUAUAUGAGUGUUAAGACAAUUUAUCUAAGCUUGCAAGCCAAAAAAAAAAAAAACUCUGAGAUAUUAAUUUGUAGAUAAUAGAUUAAAUCCAUGACAUUUUAGGAUAAUUUCUAAAAUACUAAUAUAUUUGUUAAUCAUGGACAAUGUCAAUAGGGCUACCAAAGCUAUAAAAGAAAUAAUGAGCAAGUUGCAAAAGAAUUCCACCACAAAAUAAUAUUGAAAUCAAGAGUAUGAGCAAUAUCAAAAUAUGACGGUAUAACCACCUUUGACCCACGAUCGAGGAUGAAACGCUAUCCUCAAUCACAAGAUGCACCAACCUAAUCUAAUCAAAGAUGAGGAAAUAUGAGGUAGCUACAUCACCAUAGCCCCUCCCUUAUCAGAACUUGAUAUUUUUCAUACUCAAAACCAAAACACAGGAAGUCCACAGAAAGAUAUCGAAGAAACCAAGUCGUUUUAUCAUUAAACUGAAGUGAGCAGAGACUGCUUGUUAGGUUCAGUUAUACAAACAAACACCAAACGAAGAUGAAUCUUCCAAAGGCAAUGACAUAAUAAACAAAGAAAACAACAAGCCAUGGCAGUUCUCUAUUUUUACUUUCUUUUUUCCUUUUACUUGAACCCUUCUUUAGGGGUAGGGGUGGUGGGGAUGUACAACUACAACAAACAACUUACGUUAGUCGCCUAAUCGCUUUGCGUUUUGGAUCAAUAUAUCAUACCAUUCAACCCUACAAAGUGAUUUUAAGCAACACUGAUAAUGUUAUCCCCAUUGCUGAUACUUGACAUUCCUUGGAAAGCAGAGUGUUUCAUUGACGAAUUGGUUGAGUCUGAAGGCAAAGCGAGGUUAAGAGAAAGAGCUCCUGAGUUUAAUGUCGAUUUUGAAUUCAAGUUAAACUCAAGGGUGGUUCCACUGAGUGGCAAAACUUCAGCACCAAUUGAUGUUGUAUCAGUUUCCAAGUUAAACUCAAGUGAUGCAUCAGUCUCCAUUGGAAUUGGUAUAGGUAAAAUUGCAGGGCAAACAGACAAAGGAAAAGUUGGUAUCAUGGGAUGAUAUACAUUUAUGUUACAAGUUUCAGGUGGUGGGGGUGGCAACAAGGAUUGUAAUUGGGAGGAAUUAUCUUGAACUUGAAUUUGUUCUUCCUCAGCAGCCUCUUUUACCUAAUGAACCCACAAAAGGAAUUACAAGUAAGCAUCCAUUCCAACUUACACUUGGUAAAGUAUUCUAUAAUUACAAGCAAAUGAUUAAACUCACUCUGAAACAUGCUUUGACACCAUGAAAAUCACAUUUAAAAGUGUGAUCGAACACUAAAUUAAUUUUAACCAAUUUCAAAUCACUCCUAAACAUGUUCUACAUCCUCGAAACCACUCAUCAUAUUAACUUGUUCGGUUUUGCCUAUAACUUUGCUGCAAGAAACUAGUGGUUUUCUUCCAGAAGAUUGAUCAAGAAAAGCUAGAACAGAGAAGCAAACUCAUAAAGGGGAUUCGUCAACUCAUGAACCAGUAGGCCAAAAUUCUAGUUAGCCACUAUCCCAAAUGAAUUCACUAUUACAACUUGAGAUCAAACUUGGCAACCCUAUGGAAUCAAACAACAGAAUGCACAAUACUUGAAAAAACCAAACCAUCCGUCCAUACAUACGUAAGUUAUGAAUUGAUUAAAGACGGAAGUUACCGUAUCAGUAGUGAUAUCAAAGAGGCUGGAUCUACGGCGGCGACGAUUAAGGUUGCUUCGGCGUAGAAAGUAUUUCUGGGCGUGGCUAGCAACCUGAGUUGGGGUUCGAGUCUUAACAAAAUUCCUCGAAAUUCCUCUCCAAUCUCCUUUCCCCACUUUCUGUAAUCCCAGCAAGAAAAGCUUGUGUUCUUCCUCCGUCCACGGUACACCUGAAAAUCAUCCCCAAUCAUUAACAACUCCAAAUUCCAAAUAAAUUCCACUAAUUUACAAGCUUCCAAGAUAAAACCUAACAAAAAUCGAAACCCCCCGCCGAUUAUCGGUCAUUUACACAACCACUCUACAAAUCACAUCUAAAAAAUCACUAGGUAAGCACCCAAUUCAAAGAAAAGCUAAGAAAAUCAAACCUCGCUUGCGUUCACGCUCGCGAUUCCCACCGGAAUUGGGAACAGCGUCAUCCGCAGAAGCAUAACCGGCAGGGGAAUCUUCCUUCCUGUCGGCGGCAGAGACAGUAGUCUUACAGUUGCUACUAUUAUCAUCAAUAGAAGCUUCAAGAGGAUGUUCAUACUGAGAGAGAUUGUUCAUACUAACGCUCUUCCUCAUCGGGUCAACCACAACUCUGACUCCAAACAACAUGAACUCCUUGGUGACGCCGGCAGCAUCCAUGACGGCGUCUCCGGGGGCCUGCAUCGGCAUGAUGGGCAUCGGAAAAAAGGAGAAAAGAAACGAAACGCACCGAAAUUAAACAACAAUAUCAAAAGACAAGUGGUGUGGUGAAGAUUUUGGUUCCGUCAUUAUAUAUAUAUACAUAUACAUAUACAUAUACAUAUAAUGCGGCGAUGACAAUCAUGGAGAGGCUACGGAAGUCAGUGUUUUUAAAUGCAAUACGUGUCAUUUUCUUAUUGGCUGUUCAGUUUUUUGUUUUUAUUUUUGUAUUUUCUAUUUGUCCAAUUUAUCAUUCUCUUUCUUUAUUUAAACAUCAACAAGAGAAAGAGAAGAUCAUACCAAUUUUGUAAAUAGGUGUAGUUUUUUAGUGGAAAUUAUUGAUAGUAAUUUGUGAUCAACUCAUACAUUAUUUUAGUUUAAUAGUUUAAGUUAGAGUAAACAAUUUUAGGUUUUUGUUAUUCCAUUUUAAUUUGAAUUUUAAAAGGUAAAUUGUAAAUUAAAAAUGAGUGAAAAUAUAAUUUAUCAUUAAGUGAUAAUUUAUUGUAAGACUAUGAUUAGAACACAUAAAUCAUAAAUAUUGAAGUGCAAGUUUAUAUAUAAUAUGGUAUUAGAGGAGCUUUCAUAUAUACUAAAUACAAAUUAAAUACUAUUCCAAGUUGAUGUUGUUAUAUUUUUCAAUGAUCAUACAAUAAAUUGCAAGUAAUUUAAUACAACCACAAUAUUAAAUUUUCAUUUACCAUAAAACUUUGAAUUUUACUAUUUUCAUUGUUUAACGCUUUUGUUUGAAAACAAUAAAAGUCUUAAUCUCAACUGUUUUUCAACAUUUAAAUGUUGUAAGACCAAACAGAUUGUUUCGUGAGAUUAGUUGAAAUGCGUUUAAGCUAAUUCAAAUAGUGACUGAAGUAAAAUUUAUAACACGUGAGGAAAGUUAAAUUGGAUUGGAAUUGUUUGGAUGAGAUUUUUGAAAGAAAACAUAGGAAUGUAAAAAGAUAGGGAAAAGGAAAAGGAAAGAAGAGGGGAAUUGGGGUAUCAAAUCAACAAAAUAUAUGGUUGAAAAUGCUUACACAUACCCCAAUAUGAGAUUUGUAGGACAAAGCAUUAAAUAACAAAAAUCACAUCACAUGAAGAAGAAAGACAAUUUCUUCUUUCUUCUUUCUUUUUUUUUUUUUCUUUUUUACAAUUUUACUUUGCACAUUGGUCCCUUUACUUUUUAGUUUUUACCAAUUAGUCAACACCCCAAGUUGUAUAUCAAAUUCUUCCCUUCAAAAACACAACUACCUUCAUUCAACCUUUUUUUUCUCUUCUCUUUGAUAUAUAUAUUUGGUCACAAUCACUUUUGAGAUUGUUUGGGUUUUACCAUAUGAAUUCAAAAAAGUAGAAGAAUCUCUUGUUUUCCACUUUUUAAAGCUCAAAAUUUUAUUUUAAACGACGUAAUCUCGAGUUUAGUAUGAUUAAUUAAUAGAGUUUAGUAUUUAAAUUAUUAGGUUCGGGUCUAAUUUAAUAUUAAAAUUUGAAUUUGCGUCAUCUAUUAAAUUUUAUUUUCAUUAGCUUGCACAUGUUGAAGUUUAUAAAUUAUAAUUACAUCUUUUUACAACAUUGUAUUUUUCAAACUAGUUCGAACGUGUUUAUCAUGUUCUACAAAUAUGAAUGAAAUAUAGCAAUGAUAUUCAAUCAUAAAAUUAAAAGCUAGAUUAUAAUUGCAAGUACCACGAUAGAAUACGUAAUUUUUGAGUCCGAUUAGGUUAUAGUAAUAAUAAACAUAUCCACUAAGUCCAUCCUCCACGGGGAGCGCAGGAAAAGGAAAAUCAUCGUUCUUUGGUUAGCAAAACGCCAAUAAAACCAAACUUUUUUGUUUCCUUUUGUACAAUUUGAUUAUGAACCGUUGGCUAAGCAUAUUCGCUUUCUGUCACAAAUGUUAUUAUAUAGUUUUUUUUAAACUUAUUUUCUUUCUUUUCUUUAUUUCACAUUAUCUUGUUUAAUAUUUGUUGGUGUUACUUUUAGUAAUAUAAGCUUUUUAUUUAUUUUAUUUAUGGGUGGGUUGCUUCUUGGAGGAUAAAUCAAGAUAAGGUCAUGUGGGGUUCACCCACCAACCAUUUUAGUUUUCAAUUCCACCACUAACUCAAACAAACUCAUCACUUCUAAUAACAUAACUUAUAUAUCACCUUUGAUUUUAUUGGGGAAUGUGACAGAAUACGAACAAUCAGAAUACGUCGACGUCUUAGUUGUUGGAUGGUAAGAAACUCUUGCUAUUCGGCAUAUAUUGAAAGGUUCUUUGGAUUGACUUUUGUGUGUUUAGGAACUUUUUUUUUUCAUGUGAGAAAAAUUGUAAAUUUGAAGAAACGCAAGAGUGUUGUCGCCUAUCGAUAUGAAUGAUAUAUUUUAAGCUAACUUAGUCAAUGAGAAAGUAUUAUUCGAUAGUGAUGCAUUGAGUCUAUUGUUUGUGUAUGAUUUAAAGAUACUAAUUAAUUAUCAUUCCAAGAUGGUUCGAUCGAGCGGUUGGUUUUUAAAAGUAGAUAAAUAAAACUCUAUUAUUUGCAUCUCGAAUUUCAAAAUGGAUGGACUUUAUGUGUCUAAAGAGAUUGAAGUUGUCAACUUAAACAACAAGUGGGAGUAUGAGUGUGAGAAAAAAUAAUGUUUUUAAGAAGAAAAAAAGAACUUAUUUUUAUUUAAACACUUUGGAUAAAAAUUGAUUAAAGCACACUUGAAACUAUUUUGAAUGCAUGUUGAAUACUCCAACUUCUUAAAAAAUGACUUGAUUUUUAAUUAAACACUCGAAAAAACAUUCCUUCAAACUCAUUUAAUAUCUCAAAUAAAAUGAUGAAACACGAGCACAUGUUUAUUACUAAUUUUGAGUUAUGUUCACUCUACCGUUUAAAUAACUAACAAAAUUAAAAACAAAAAGUUCUAAACUAAAACAGACAAAAUAUAUAUGGUAAACCCGUGGGUCCUUCCAUGUCUAUUUUCUUUUCAAUAUUCGAUUUUUUUCAAUGUUUUUGUUUUCCUCCUUUCCGUCCACCUUUUUCUAAUCAACUUAUCACAUCGUAAGAAAAUUAUAUCAAAAAAAGACUAAAACUAUGUUAGAUGAAUAAGAGAAAAUUAAAAAAAAAUUACAUAUUUGACUCGUAUCAUCAAAUAUCAUCAAAUUACACAUAUAACUAGAAAUUGAUCUUCUAUCAUAAGCACUUAUCAGCCGAAGGCUUCAUUAUAUAUAUAGAAUUUCAAUGAUUUAAGGAAUCUAACCAACCAAAUCGUACACAAAACGAUAAUUCAAUUUAAAAGAUCACAAUACAUCCAAUCAAGAAAAAUAUGUGAUUAUCUCUUGUCAAAAUCAUAUCUUAAAGGGAAGGGAAAAAUGAGAAAAGCAUCUUUAAGGAAAUGAAAUGUGUGUGUUUAUGGACAAAGCGUGAGAAAGGAACAUCCCAUCAAAGUACUUUUGUGAUGGCAAAAUAUCAAAGGAUCUUUACUAACUUUCAUCCACUUCAUAUCUUAAAAUAGUAUAAAAUAAAUUGUCCAAAGUAGGCUAAUUAAUUAACCCACUUUCUCUUUUUAAAAUAACCAACACUCGUCACACAUUAUUAUUCCAAAUAAUAAAUCUUUCCAUUGAUCUUGCCAAGGAGUUUAUGCAGUAUUUAGAAAAAGAAAAAAGGUAUUGCAAAGAAUAAUUUAUAUGUGACCUUUUUGUUUUUGUAUUAUAGAAGAUUAAUUAAGUAUUGGGUGUCUUACAUGUGUUUGUUUUUCUUUCUUAAAAGAAUAAUGAAUUAGAACAAAAGAACGUUGAAAGUCAAGUCUUAUGUUGGUACACUAAUUUUGAAGUCAGAGGUCAUCGUACAAUGAACACAAAUUUUUUUUCCUUUUCAAUUAUGUAAUUAUUGUUUUUUAUUCUUUUGAAGUAAUGGAUGAUUAAGUGCUAAUUACAUGUUUGGUAAAUUUAGUAAUUAUAUUGAGGGAUCUAAAGUAUGGUUUUCAUCCAAUCUUGCAUUUUAAAAUGGGAUAUAAAGUGUUACACUUAUCCAAUGAAUUUUGAGUUUAGUUUCGAUUGGAUCUAUGUUAGAGUUUGUACAGGAUUAGGCAACCUUUUGUGAAUUUUAAGCUUCUUCUUUUCUACUUCUUUUUCAUUAAGCUUCCAAUAGAAAAUCUCUCUUGCAAUCACUUAUAGGUGCUCGGUUCCCUUACCGGCCUAAAACGUAGAAGAGUAUGUAAAAUGGUAAAGGCGAUUCUUGCUAAUCCUUCAUAUUUUCUAUGCAUGUAGUUGUAGAAUUCCAAAUCUAAGAGAUAUGACACCUCCCUGACUGUUCUAACAAAUUACAAAUAAACAGCUUUUACUUUUCAAGUAAAGAAUAUUAAUUCUAAAGCUACAAAAACACCGACCUCUUUACUUGGGCAUGCAUCUUCUUCUUCCUUGAAUCGAUCAAAUUAGCCUCUUUAUAAGUGAAUCAUCGCAAGCAAUGUUGCAAGAAAACUUUGCCUCCACCUGAAUUCUGUGAUACUGUCAUUUCGUAAGUUCUUUUGAAGACGAAGAGCCCCAUGGAUCACAUCCUUCCAAUAAAAAUGGGAGGUGAUGAGUUUCAGAACUUGAAAAAUAGAUGUUCAACCUUGAAUUUCAUUCAAACAGUUGUAGUUAGAAGCUCGGUUCCGGUCCGGUUACUUGAUUUAGAAUCAACAUCUUUGUAUUUGUCAUUGUUUAUACCAGAUCUGGAUAUCUUCGCUUCUGGAAGAUUAAAUGGGGAAUUGUUUAGAGCAAUAAUUUCACUAGAUGAUGCUGUGAGGAGCUGCUUUAGUUGAGACUGUUGGCAGAUGAUUCGACUGUUGUUCCACCCAGGAAACGAGAAGGAUGAUGACACGUUAUCCUGUAGGAAUGAAUAAACAGCCCUUGCAAUAGGCAAGUUUCGUGCAGUUGAGUCUUUCUCCAACGACCCCCUGCUGAAAAUUUGAGAAUAUUCAGUUGACAAAAGAGUUUGGUUUCUCAAAACUUGGCAACUAGCUUUCAGAUCACGUAAAUUGAAACUAUAAACAAUAUGCAAAAACCUUGAGCAAACAAAAGAUAUCUGAUCUUGGAAACUUAAAAUUUGAGGGAAUUGCAAUUGUAUAUAUGUAAUCUUUGUUUUCAGGCUUACUUUCAACAGCAUCCACUUAAGGCUGUUUGGAGUGAGCGUAUAACAAGGCAUCAUUUCUUUUGGGAACUCUCUCCUAAUUAAUAUUCAUUAUAUGACUCAAAAACGAGUGUGCUAUUAGUUAAUCAUCCCCAAUGGUGCGUCCUUUGCAAACAAAAUAGAGAGACACAAAUCACAAGGACUCUUAUUCCUCACCUGCCCAAUUGCUCCAAAAUUUUGGGGGUCACUCAACUGUUUUUAACUGGACAGUGGCUUUGCCUAUUGACUUUAGCCAUCUAAUAUCUCUCACUCUCGCGGGCUGGCAUAUGGAUGGGAGAAAUCAGAGAUUAUUUGCUGAAAUUUGACAAUGGAAAUAUUGUACAAUGUAAUAUUUUGGUGUGCAAAUGUUCCAAGUCUUUUUCAUUCUUAUAGUCAUGGAAUACUUCUGUGAUCUGUUCAACUGGAGACGUUUUUUUGUAACUCCUUUGGAUUGAAGCUCAUUCUCCCAUAUAUAAUUAACCCUGAUAAUACUAUUUACAACUAAUUGCUAAUCAACAAUGGUCAGAAAUUCGUGGGGCUUCCAUGCACUCCUCCCUCGAAAUUAAGCAUAUCCAGCCAGUACCUUGUAAAGAACUACAUAAAAAGCUUAAUCUACUUUAAAUCCGUUAUCAACUUCCGGACAUUUCAGUGAUAACCUGUGUGUAAUUUAGGGUGCCAAACUAAAGAGAUUUUUUAACUAGCAUAUUAGCAACGUGCACAUUACAGCUUCACAGAAUUAGUCAAGUCCAAGAAGCUCAAAAGGAGAAUAUUGGCUUCAGCUGGACUAUGGAAACCCUUUUAUAAUCAUAUCCGCCUCCACCAUACAUGACAUUUUAUUUCAGAAACGUUAGCCAUUAUUAAAUUGAUUGCAAGACAAAUGAAACUUACCCAACUACAACAGCGGCAAGUUGAGGAAGAUCCUCUCCAUCCAUAAGCAUUUCAUUCAUUUUGUUAACCCAAAGUGAAACUGCGGUAUAUGCACCACCUUCCCACAUUCUGUAGAAAUGCCAGAAAUCAGUUUAGUAUAAACUUAAGCCGAAGUUAGCACAGAAGAUAAACCUAUUCUUAUCAUACCUAUGCACAUCCACAGACCACACAAGUUUGCUUUGGCGGAAAAGUUCAGGGAAAAGACCUCGCUUUGUUGCUUCAGUGAGAACCCUCGCAGCACGUCCUUUCUGCCCAAGCCACCAAAGUGCUUCUAGCAGUGUAUUGUAAAACCUCAUUCCAAAUCCACAACCUUCAGCAUUAAGUUUGUCAAAAACAUACUCAACCAUCUGCCAAUUAGAAUCAUCAUCGUAAUCUCCCUUGAUCAUCUGGCCAAUGACUUGAUGAAUACUAGAUACUCUGGUUUUAAUCAUCUCAUCGAGUAAUUCAGAGGCAUCAUCCCACCUGGAAAAAUGAACUCUAUGAUGUAAGAGAGAGCUUUAAAAUAAAGCAUUUGUAAACUCAAUAAACUAGAAGACCGAGUGUUAAAAAUUCAAGUAUAACGAAGUGGGAGCUUUGGGACUGUAAGAUUACAAACCAAAGAUCACUUCAAUUUUUCCAUGAUGGUUAAUGAUGAUAAUUUCCAGGGAUAUAAUCAAACAAAAAUGUUUAAUACUGAGGGAAAAUGAUGUUCAUACAAGGCUGUAAACAAACCAAUGUCAACUGAUAAACUCUUCCCUAUAACUCUGGCUUGGUGUACAUCUAUAAAUGACCAGUCUUCCUGGUCCAUGCAGUGAACUUCUUUCUUACACAAGGCUAAUAAACAUGCCAAGGACAUGACCAUGCAAUGAAAUGGGGGAUUUUAGAAAAGAAGAAUGUUUCAGAUGCAAAUCAGACUAUUUAGCUGACAUGGCAAUAUAGAAAGAAAAGGUAAAGGAUAUUUACUUUUCUUUUUCCAAAGUUUAUCUAAACGUUGCAUUUGUUGGCCUAUUAAAAAUUAAGAGGAUCUAUAUCUAUCUACUAGAACACUGAUACAAAUGCAACGGUGCAGAAUGCUUAAGCUUUUUCUUUACAACUUUAUUAAAUUGAUCGAGUGAGUUGUCUAUGAGUUAUCGCUGAAUGAGUGAGAAGAAAGCCCCAAUCCAAGCUAAGGAGGAUACAGGAAAAUUUCAAUCAGCACCGAGGUUGGACUAUAAGUUAUUGGGUCACCCUGUUGACUUUCCACAUCUUGGAGCAGUUGGAUGAAAACCAGAGGUUUGAACUUUUCCUUUAAAUUUUGCCUUGGGUGUCUAUCCUUCCAGACCUAUUUCCAAAGGUUUCAGAGAAAUAUCCGUUUUCCAAACUUCCAAGGCAUCAGAUUUCUACUCUUAUUAAAUCCCAAGUUUAACUUAAGGAAUUCCACGUUAUGCGGAUUUAGAGGCCAUUGAUAAUGGCGAUCAUAAAAAAUGCAAGAAAUAAUCUAAACAGCAGAAUAAAGAGUGUUUUCUGUAUCUCUCCAAUUGUCUGAGAAUUUGACAUUUCUUUGUUCCCAUGGCCACCACAUUUUUUACUCGAGGCCAAUUACUAUAUCUUCAGAUUGAAAACACCAAUUUAGGGCCCCUCAAGAAAAUAUAUGAUUUUUGUAGAUCGAAAAUUUUUCCAUGGAAGACAAGCGGAUAGUACAUCCACAAGCUUCAGAUGAUUAAUAUGGAGCGAGUUUCUUCCCAAUUCAGAACCCUUCUGAAUGCCUACAUUAAGUUCUCUUACUAGCAAUCAAGAAGCAAGUGAAUCUCAUAAAGUUUAUCGCUUGGCAUGCCAUUUUAGCCAUGCAACUUGAAGCAGAUCGCAAAAUCUUCUUAUGCUAUGCAAUAAAAUCAAAGCUGACUCUUAGGAAUAGACAUCAAAGACCUUACAUAAAUCUCCUAUGUCUUACAAGUUGACAAGACACUACACCCUAUAAAUAAACUAGCUUGUCUUACAUUUCCAUAAUGCAUCACAUAUUUAUGUUUAUUUUGACAAAGCAACAGUGUCAUUGAUAGUAUGAAGUUAUAAAAGGGAAGAUUCCAUGUGGAGUAUUACAAAAGACUUCUUCAAUUAGAGAGAGGGGAAGAAAAAUUCUAGUGGUGAAAGAUAGGGGAGCAUUUACAGCAAGAUACAGCCAACUUAUAUGUAUCACAACCUAUAAUUGGUAGUUUCAUAUGGUAAUUUUACGUCAUGAACCAAAAGCUUAUAUAGUAUGAACCAACCUCCAAGUUCUCAAGAUCAUAUAAAGGCUACAAAUAUAAUUCUUAGAGCUGAGAGAGAACAAAAUAAUAAAUGAUUUUUUAAUGAAAAUAAUAACAAUGAUAACUCAAUCUAUUUCAAGAUCCAAGUAUAAGUGUUUAAUUAAGAAACUUGAGUAUCUCUCUCUUGAGCCCACCUCCCCUCCCUGCGCUCUCUUCAUAUUUUUAACUGUUGGUCACUAACAAGUCCCCGUGAAAAACUCUAACAAAUUCCAACCAUCUUUUAUAACCACAUACAAUCUAAUUUCUAACUAACCAACCUCCAAUGCAUACAAAAUUCCAGACAAGUACCAGUACAGUUUAUACCAACAGGAAAUAAAAUUAAGAAAACAUAAAUUGAUAAUGAGCACAACUUACACAAACAACUAUAUAUACACAAAACAAUGGGUACCUGCCAUUCUUAGCAUAAACUGCCAGCAUCAUGCAAUAGCACAAUACACUUGGCAAUAUUCCGGAAGCUUUAAUUUCAAUGAACUGCUCCUUGCUCUCAUCCACAAGACCUGCAAAGCAAUAAACACCUAAAACUCCCUCAAGGGUCUGCUCAUCAAGUUCACAUCUCAUUUUUUCCAUCUCAACGAAGGCCUUUAUAGCUUCUUCAUACUGACCACUUUGCCUAUACCCUUCAAUAAUGCCACUAAAUGACUUUGCAUUCCUUGAAAUGCCAUAUUCUCUCAUUCUCGAUAAAAUUGCUUCGAACUCCUUGUAUAGUCCACCUCUAGCAAAUGUGUGAAUCAGAGAAUUAUAGGUAUCAAUGGUUGACUUACUUCCCACUUCAUUCAUUGUGUUAAAGGCAACGAGAGCUUCAUCGUACAAUGCAGCCUGUCCGUAUGCUUCAAUCAGUCCACUAUAUGCUUUAGAACUUGGAACGAUUCCUUUCCCAUUCAUGUGAAAUAAAAUUUUCUUGGCAUCCUCGUGCAGCCCUCCCUUUCCACAAGCAAAUACUAAACCCUCAUAUGUCUCCAUAUUUGGGUCAAUAUUCUCAUCCACCAAAUCAUGAAACAAAGUUACAACCUCCUUGAAGUAUCCACCCUCUCCAAAUACUCGUAUGAGAAUGUUGUAAGUAGUAGCAUCUGGCUCAGCACUACUCUCUUUCAUUUGAAGAAAAAGCUCACGUACAUCAUCAUACCUCCCAUGUUUCCCAUAUAAAUUCAGCAGAAUACUAUAAGUGGAUGCAUUUGGUACACACCCUGCUGCUUGCAUCUGCUUAAACACGUCCAUUGCCUCCUUAAUCGACCCUAAUUUUGCAUGUGCCUCAAUUAGCACAUUGUAGGACGAUAUAUCAGGCAAAUACCCUUCGGACUCCAUUUCUUUUAGGAGCAUAGCAACUUUCUCAAGCUUACCCAAUUUUCCAAAUGUUUCAACAAUAUAACUAUAUGUUGUUAUCUCAGGAACUAUCCCUCCCUCUAUCAUAGUCUUGAAGACCAUCUCUGCCUCAUCACCUAAACCGCGAGCAGCACAAGCACUAAGCAAGGUAUUAUAAGUAACAAGAUCAGGUUGAACCCCUUCAUGCCUCAUCUCAGCAAACAAUCCCAACAAUCCCUCCCAGUCCAAAUCACCUCUAGCACAAGCAUUAAUCACGGUAUUGUAAGUCAAUAUAUUAGGCGAAACUCUCUCUCUUUUCAUCCUUUCAAGAAGUUCAAGUGAAGUUUCGUACUGACCAUUGCGCCCAUAGGCAUUUAUCAAAGCGGUAUAAGAAAAAACGCUACGUAUCACUCCCUGGCUCGCCAUUUCAUCGAAUAUCUCACUACAUUUCUCCAGCAAUCCUUCGCGGCCGAGCAAGCUGAUAAUAAUGGUAUAGAUAUGCUCGUUCGGCUUGCACCAUAUCUGACGCUGCAUGUAUUUGAACAGGCGUAACGACCGCUGCCAGUCCCCGCGUGCCGCGAAUUCCUUGAAAACCAAACUGAAGUCAUUGAGCGAAAGCCUGUUCUUAAAGAUAUCGAGACACCGAGCUAUGCUACCUCGUGGGGGUAGGCUACUAAGCUUAUUAAUUAGGGUUUCAACGUCAUAACUGUACUUUCCUUUCUCAACAAUUACCGACGGAUUUCCAAGAACAAGAUCCUUCGCCUUCGCUCUAACCUUCCCAACGUCGGAGGACAAUCUCCAAUCAUCUGAGAAAAAUCUACGGCGAACACUGAAAUUGGAAAGUUUCGAAAGAAAUGGAAGUUGUUGACACUCUAAAUACCGUUUCUGAAACGUCGAUGGAGUUCUCAACGGAUUCGGCACUGAAAAAUACGGUGAGAGCGCCAUUACAUAAAUCUAGAUUUCAUUGGCCACUUGAGUACAUGAAAUAAACAAUUUCCAAUUUACCAAACGUAACGUUUCCCUUCAAAAACUAGAUUGAGAGAAACAAUUAACAUAAAAAAGAAGAACACAUUGAAAUCUAUAACAGAAACAACAACACAGAGAAUUGAAAUUUCAGAACCGAAUUCUCCGAUUUGCUUAUUGAUUUCACUGAGAGAGAGUUGCAGCAGGAGCGAGAGAAACAACGGGCGGGAGAAGAUGAGAGCUGAAAUUGGCUCGGUGAAAGCCACGUGGAGAAGUUUUGGAUAACAGUGACGUUUCAAGUUAAGAAGACGGAGCGAGUUUUCGAGCCGGGUUUGGUAGUCGGUUAUCUAAACCGACCCGGUUUUCCUUAGGGGGAAAUGGCGGGAUUAUAAUAUUAGGCGUAUUUUGACUAUAUGCUGUCGUUAAAGUUUCUUUGUUAAUGACUUCUUUUUUAUUGUUGUUUAAUUUUAUUUUAAUUAGAAUAAUAUUGGAAUGUUUUCCACAUAAGGUAUGGAAUAUAUAUUGGGCCCCUCUUUUUUUUGGUAUGUUCAUUUUCAUGAUAAUAUAUAUAUAUAUAUAUAAUUAUUUGACUAUUAUCUUUUUACUUGUAUUUCAAAUAUUUCAAAUAUUUCAAAUAAUAUUUUUUACCCAAAAGAAUAAAGUAGUCGAUACCACGAUGUGUCGAGUUGAGUUCGAGUUCCUGUCAAGUCAAUUACCUUUUCCUUUCUAAUGUUAUAAAGAUAGUUUUGAAAUGUGUAUAAAGUGCCCGUUUGAAGCACUCAAAUAGUAGAUGGGUCGAUGAAAUCUAGUGAAGGAAGCAAUCAAGAUGUUGUGAGUUUUGGUAAAUUACAAAUUUAAUUUUAAUAGUACGGAUAAUUGUAAAACUUGCUAAAUUAUAAUUCUUCUAGAUUAAUCAAUAGAUAUAGACAUUAAAGAAUGUGAGCUAAAUGACAUACAUUUUGGAAUCGAAAACUCAAAUUUUAAAAAUAAAAUUAUAUUGAAAUAAAAUUCGACUAAAUAGGUAAUAUUUAGUUUUUUUUGUCACCCAAUUGAAAAAAAAUGUUUUUUCCUUUAAUUUUGAGUCUAUCUUAAAAUGAAUUUAUGACAUCAACUAUUACCUAACAAAUCCAAUAGAUCAAUAGUUGUCACACGAAAACAACAAUAUGUCGUUUGAGAUUAGGGAAUUACGACAAUAAAAGAUUUGGAGAGAGGGUUGCGCCUGCAAAAAAAAAUUCAUAAACGCCAUAAAUAUACAAUAAAACAUAUUUUACAAGUUCAUGUCAAUAAGUUUUCAAAACUUUAAUUCAAUAACUUAUUUUACAUUUUGAUACUUAAAACUAUUUGAUGCAAUGUUAAAAGUCCGACAUCUAAUUUGCAAAGGAUUUCCCUAACCAAGAGCCCACGAGUGAACUAAAGUCAAAGAGAAAUAAAGAGGCGGGUCAUAUAUAGGAAAAUGCAAUCACAAAAUAGAGUUACGAAAUUGACAAAUAAAUAAUAUAGAAAGUAUAGAAUCUACACACGUGUUUACGUGGUUAAUCGAGAAUACGUUAGUUGCAUAUACACAACACAUAGAUAACAAUUGUAUUAAAAACAGUGUCACAUACGCAAAAGAAAAACUACAUCUACAAAGCUAGCUAGAUAGUUCAUGUAGUGCAUUUACCUAAAUCCUAAUCGUACUUCGUUACUAAAAGCAUUGUAUAAUAUACUCCAAUAAAAAAUAAAUCAAAAUCUUGAGUUUCCGUUAUAAAACUUCAUUCUCGCCAAAUAAUACAUAUACAAAUAAAUAAACAACCUUAAGAAUUGCAACCACCUGAAGAUCGUUAGAAACGAAUGUCUAAACAACGAGACUACAGAUAACUUCAUCGAGAACUUAAACAAGAAAGGUAAAUAAACUAUGAUGAAUGAGAGCCUUUAAAUUACUCUUUAUUGCUUAUUUGAAUUAUACAUCCUCACAGAUAUUGACAUAUGGUCACUAGUGAUGUAUACAUAUAGAUAUACAUACACACAUACAUGCAUUGGCUGAUGAUCAAAAUGUUUACCUAUAAAAGAUAUUCUCAUGUAUUAAAUUUAAAAGAAAAAACAUUAAAAUGCGUAAUUUAACUUUUUCCUUUUCUUUUUAUUUUCUAACUUAACCCAAAUAAAAUAAAAAGAAAAGAGGACUUGUUAGUGUAUUCGCUGCACACGGUAGACACGAAAUCACAGCCGUCCAGUAACGAAUCAGACGCAGUGUGAUAGAACCAACAACAUGCAUUGAAACGCGUGUCAAUCUGUCAGGCCCAAUAAGUCCACGUCAGCAUUCCACUCCGUGGGACCACUCGCAUGGCGCGAGCUCGUACGUGCGAGAAGAAAAAGGGGAAGAAAAUAAAAUUAAACACCGGCGUUGUUGCGGUUAGCCACUGAAGUGGCAGGUGGUGUAAUUACGCGAGGGUAAGGAGGGUAAUUUGGUAAUUAGGGUUGGACUUUAGUCUUUCAGUUCGUAACAGACAGCUGAUGUAAAAGCGAGGGGGGGAAACAGAACAAACCUCCCCCCUUAUUCUUCUUUCUCUUUUCUUUCUUCCUUCCUUCCUCACAACCUCGACCAAGACAAAGAAAUACUCCACGCUUCACUUAUAAUGGAAGACUCUGAGGUGAUUUUCCUUUUAAUCGCUGCUAUUUCUUCUUCCUUUUCUGAUUCUUGAAACCACUGCCCUUGCCGCUUUUUAACUAACUUUCUUUCUGAUGUUUUCCCUUUUUGUGUUGGGUGUUGUUUUUUUCUUUGAUUUGUGGCUUUUUUAAGGGGAAUGUGUAACUGGGGUUGAUUUUGAUCUUAUUGAAAUUUUUUUUACUGCUCUUUAAUGGGUUGUUCGUGGUUUGUUUAGUUUGAUUUUGUAAUGGGUUUUGCUUGUUUUCAGAAAUUGACUGCCUUGAAGAAGGCUUAUGCUGAUAUAAUCCUCAAUACGGCGAAGGAGGCUGCAGCGCGUAUUAUGGUUUCUGAGAGGAACGCUAUUCGGUGUCAGCAGGAGCUCUCCACUACUAAAGAUGAGGCGUUCCGGAUUCUGCUUAGGCUUAAGCAAAUGUUGGAUUCUAAGGUAUAAUGCUUUUUUUUUUUGUAUAAAUGGGGUUGAUUUUUCUUCUUGUCUUUUGUUUUCCCAUUUCUUGUUUGAAAUUGUUUUGUGUUCUUCUGAUCACGUUCUGAUGCGGAUUGCUUGGUGGUUUUCGUUUAGAUGAGGUUGUUGUUAACGGUUUUGAGAUGAAAAAUUUUCGAUCUUUACGCUAGUUGGUCAUCUUUAAUGUUGGAUAACGGGUGUUGUCCUUUCGUGAUGCUCAAAACAUUUCUUGUGUUUGCUUCGCUUGUAGCCAUUUGUUAAAUCAGGCAUCCAAUCAGUUGGUGCUGUUUGCUGGCUGUUUAUCGGUUAAUUCAACUAUUGCGUACUAAAUAAUUUAAGUCGGUAGUUGCAAAACAUCACCAAACAUUUUGAAAUCAAGUGUCAUAAGAAUGAGAUCAAAGAGAGCAAGAGCCCUUAAAGUUAAUGUUUUGCUCGUGAAUUUAUGAGGAAAUUGGGCAGAAUGUCUGGUUUAAGUCAUGUGAAAUCUUAUUUGAUUUGUCAGUUGAAGUCUCUUGCAUUGGUUAACUUCUUGAAGAAUCUGCUUCUGGACGCGUCACAAAAGAGAACUGUUUUUGCCUUAUCGAUUUUUCAAGGUUUCCACUUUAAUGCUCAUGGUCUUGCUCCCAUCAUUUUCGCCUUCAGGAGGGAAGCGGAGCUAAAAUUGGAAUUGAUAUAUCAUACUACUUUUGUAUAGCUGCAUAAUUAAAAGCAAACAAAUAUAGCUCUUAUUCAUUAGCCGUUAUUUCAGUUUAAUAGUGGUUGAGUGAAAUUCUUAACAGUUGUAUCUUUCUGAACAUAACCUUCGAAAGAACUUCAGUUCCCUCUUGUGCUUAUCUAAUUUUUGUGAACUAAGUGUGGAGCUGACUUGUGCCAUCUUUUCAGGUCAGUGAGGCAGAGAUUGUUUCUUUAAAUCAAAAGAAAAAGAUCGAAGAGCUUGAAGCUCAGCUUGAGGAAGCUGAGGACAUAGUGAGGGAACUUAGAGUUCAGUUGCAGGAAGUUCAAGAUGAAUUGGAACACGUGAGAAACAAAAAUGUGGAGCCCCAAGAUAAGCAAAACUUGGCCAAUAACAUUGUGUCUCCAGAGGCUUUUCCAAACUCACAUGAGAAGAUCGCACCUUAUGACAUAAGUUCAACAUUAAAUGGGACAUGCCUUGACAGUUGGCCUGAAAGUAAGAAUGACUCGCAGAUGGAUAAAGGCCAAGUUCAUAGGGAUUUUGCCUCUAUGGUGAUGAGGAGCAAAGAACCUGAGCUUUACAGAAAUGGCUGCACUCAGAGAGUACGUGCAUUUGAAAGAAAAUCGUUUGAUGGAAAAGUAUGUGUGACUGGACAAGCUGAAGAUGUCAAGAAUAAGGUGUGUAAUAUGGAUGAAGAAGAGGGUAAACUGAUGCGUAAAACAAACACUACCAAGGUUGAUAAUAUCAGUGGAGAAAGGAAAAAUUCUAAUGAGAUCAAGGCAUUGCCUAAGCUAUUAAGCAGGGAUACUCAAGUACCAAUUCUUAAAUCCCUCCGUCGAAAAAGAAAACGGGCUACUAGAUACAACAAGAAGAAAGUUUUAACUGUUCUUGAUGACACACCUAAUCAAUGCAAGUCGCCUGAUCUUCACUGCUCAGAAAGUCUUUCAGUGGAUAAUGACGAUGCUGGGAAUUUUUUGUCAAAAAAGGAAAUUGAUAGUCAGAAUGGUUUAAUUUUGCUUUCAACCCCCUUACUGUCUGAAAUUAAUGAAAUACCAACACCUUCAGGAUGUCCUGACGCCAGUGAGGGAGAUGGAGCAGUAAUAAAUGAUUGUCCUCUUAGGAACAUGACAGACCAUGAUACAGCAGUUGUAGGUAAAUCUGACUUCGGUAGCCAGGAAAGUUUAUGUGGGGAAAAUUUGGAGGCGUCUACUGAUAAAGUGGACCUUGAUCCAGUUAAGGAGUCAUCAAUCCAAUUGGAUAUGAAAAACUCUGAUGUGAUUGAUGAGAUUCCUAGUCAACAGUCAAAUAAUAAAGUUCUCAAGUAUACAUUCCAAAGAAAGCGAAAGAAGGAAUCUUUGAGCAGCCCUGAUGGUAAAUCAUCAGUUGAUGAAAGCAUAUCAAAGAAAAGGAUGAAGGAUAAACAAAGUGUAUCGUCAGAAUCAGACAAGUUUAGCUUAAUGACAGAAUCAUCACGAGACAACCGUCGGUUGGCUCAGGUUGCUCGGCAGGUUAGUUUUAUAUUUUCUUUAACAUGCCUAGUAUAACCUUCUGAUUUGUUUUAAAGCAUCUGGAAUUAGUUUCUCGCAUACCUGUGGCUGUGGUACUGGAUGAGGUCAUAAUAGUUGGUUUCUCUUAAAGAGUUAAGUUUUGUUGUUUAGUCCUAGAGGUUAGGCUGACAAUACAUCUACUUUAAUUCCAUGUUCAGAUAAUUUGCACUAUGUUACUUAGACAAACAUUGUCUGAACUUUAUUUUUCCAUACUACCUGCCACUGGCCAUUUGUCAGGAUUAAGUUUUAGGGUGCAUCUGCUCUUACCAAUUAAUAAUACCCUAUUAUGAUAUUAAAAGUUCCUGGGAGAGAUUCAUGUUUAGUAUGUGGAGGAGAUUCUAAAUUCUAGUAUUUACAAGCAUAGCUUCUGGUAGUAGCAUACAGUAUCUCAUUUAGCUAAGUAAAAUUAUUGUUCGAAGUGCAUAUCAUGUGGUACAUGCAAGUCCAUGUGAUAUAUGGCUCUAUCCCCACCAUUCAAAUUGUUUCUUCAUUGUUUAUGAUUCUAGCUUAUGGUUGUCGUUUUGGAUGACUUUUGGAUACCGUCCCUUCUUUUGAAAACCAUUAACUCUUAUUAAUUUCUCUCGUAAGUGAUGCUGAUAUUUGGGCAUGUUUCUUGGCUCUGAUGCUUUGUGUUUUGUGAAUAUUCGACUUCUCUUCGGUUUGUUAUCGUAGGCUAUAGAAGAAACACGUAUAAGUAGAUAGUAGUCCAUUAAAUCACUUAUGAGGUUUCGAACUCCAUUUAUACAUAUAUAUGUAAAACAGACCUCCUGCGGUCCUAGGCCAUUGUAGUUCGCAGCUCCCAACUCUGACGUGCUUUUCCCAGAAAUGCUUACAUUAGCUAGGCCGAAAGACUUCUUGCAACCAAGGAGGUGGCUUUCCCAUAACCAGUCUUUAUUGCAGUUUGCAUCUCUUUUGAAUAUUAUAUAGCUUUAGCUAACAUGCUGGUCCAUUGUGUUUGGUUUUCUUUCAUGUACGAGGAAAACGAUAACAAAAGUCUUUAUUUCCAACUCCCUCUCCACCAAAAAUAACAAAAGAAAUAAAUAUCAAAUCGAACCACAUUUACUUGCUCAAAUAGAUGACCAAAAUUUUUGAUAUACUAUCAAAAGGUAGAAUACAAUAUAAAAACCUUGAUGGAACUUAUUGUUGUUGUUUUAUUUGGGGAUCUUUGCACCCUUUUUUCUAUAUUCCGUUUCAACAUAUUUCAUGUCAAUAAAUGAGAGGAGCUCUAAUGCCAAAGCUUUCUUGUUUACUAAUGUAAUCCUGAAAUUAUGUUUCUGCAGCUCAUAUCUUUGUCUGAGAAGAAGUGGCGGUAGUAGAACUCUGGGUGUCCAGAAAUUCAUAUUUAUUGCUUGAGAAAUAAAACCAGCUGCAACAAAAAGAAAAAAGAAAACGCUGAAAUGGGCUGCUUAGCAAGAAAAUAUUGGUUGCACUGCACAGCGAAUGAAAUGUUUUUCCAAGCAAGUUACACAGGCCAUGAGCAAGUACGCCAUAUGGGCACUAUAUGUCCACUAACUUAUGAAUGUUUAUGUAAUCUUAAUAUCCUUCCCUUCGUCACUAUAUUAAAAACUUGAAUCUUGGCAUUUUUCUUUCCUUUGGGAAAGCUUAGUUAAAUUAUAUUCCAAUUUUCACAUGAUAUUAAUUUCUCGAGUCCUUGUGGUAACAACGUCUAUAAGAAAACAUGCUGCUGUUAUAAUAUUGAAAGAACCAAAUGGAAAGGAAAAGAGAAAUUCUAAAUUCUAAUGGUCCAGAGUUUCAACUAGUUCGUUGCCUUGUAAAGAACCAUCUUUGAAGCUAAAGGGCCAAGGCUUGCUCCAAUUCCUUUUGGAUAAAAUCCUCUUUUAGGUGAUUCCCAGCUGGUCUUUUUCUUGGCGUUUUGAUUCAUCUUAUAUGCUUUUUGGGCAUACUACCCUUUGAAUCAAGGAGUGAAGUUGAAUGUCUAAACUGUUUAGAAUAACUUACCUUAGAUGGAGUAUGGAAACCUUAUUUGUCUACAACUCUGUUAUGUUUAUUCUUCAAAAAGUAAUUUAUACUUUUUAACGUUUUAGACAUUUUUAUUGCUUGUUUUUUCCACUGUGCAUCCCUAAAUAUUGGGAUAUAAAGUAGGCUUAGAUUAGAUAUUCACCCUGACAGUGAUCAUGGUGAAUUACUGAAUUGUGAGAUAAGGAGAUGCUUUUUUAGGUGAUGAGACAAAUAUUAGAUUUUGAGUGCUGAACAAGUUUGUUGAAUCCAAAUAGUGGAGUCAAAGAAUCAAUGAAAUAGUCAAUUAGGAACAAAUUGACCUGCAGUUUGAAAAGUGAAGGCCUCCAUUAAUGGUGAAAGGGAAGAUAUUGAAUAAACAAGUCCUCGUCUUUCUCAAACGUUUCAAGCUUACAUUGGAAUAAAAAUUUGAAAGAAUGUUGGACAAAAAUUAGAAUCUACAAUGAACUUGUGGUCCUAAUCUACAAUGGUAUAUUGUAUUGUUUUGUUUUUCUAAUUAAUUACAAGUUUAGUAUAUUUGGAUUUUUGGUUUAUGUUUUGGUUAAUCUUUCUAAUGCAAAUUGAAAUGUUAAUUGGCUACAGUCCCCAAAAUUGUAUAAAGAUUUAGUAAUGUAUUAAAUACAAUUAGGAAAAGAUUAUCAACUAAACCACUAAUUUAAUGUUAUUUUUAGAAUAGAAAAUGAAAAUAAUUUAAAUGGUAAGCUUGUUUGUGGUUGGGUGAACUAUAUUUAAAGAGUACUUUCCUUAUUAAAUUUGUAUAGAAGCAACAAUUUAGUCCAUAAAUUUUGGUUUGUAAUAAAUUAAUCAUUGUACUUUUUAAUUAUGAAUUGAUUUAGUUUAGUAGGUAACGAUUUAGUUCUUGUACUCUAAGAUUAAUAACAAAUUAGUUUAUGACUAAAUUUUUUAUGUCAAUUUUUAUUAUGAAGUAUUUUAAAAUAAAUUAAAAUAUUUAUAACUAUAGCAAAAUUUUAGAUUAUAAUAGAAACACAUGUUGACUUAUAUCAUUGUUUAUCAAUGUCACUGAUAAAAGCAUAUUAGUAUCUAUAAAUGCUUGUUUUUUUAUAGAAUCUGAAAUUUUACUAUAUCUUAUUUUUUUAUUGAUCCAUUCCUAUGAUGUAGACUUUAUAUUCUAUGAAAUUAUUCAAUCUCUAAUUAGUUUGUUGGUUUAUUUUAUGCAAAUGAAUCUCAUUAUGUUUUUAUAGAGAAUUUUAUAUUUUGGACUAAAUUGUAAUAAAUUUUAAUGUAUAAAAAUUAAAUUGUUAAAUAAUAAAGUUGAGGGUUUAAAUUAGUAUCAACUAAAUCAUUACAGACCAAAAAUCAAAGUUUUUAAAUUAAAUUAACAUUUUUGUGAAAGUUUAAAGUGAUUUUUAACCAAAUUCGUUUUAGGAAUAUUGUUUUCUUUUUGUCCUCCACAUUUAUGUUUAUUGUUGUCCUGAAAAGGUCGUUUGAGAAUCAAAACGACGUCGCCGAAAGGGUUCUUGCCAUUUCCUUUUCUAUGCAAAUCAAGGCCGCACAGCUCAGUUCUUCUCGGGAGCGGUGAGGUCGGCGACGAUCAAAGCUUGGCUGAAGAUUCCAACGGCCGUGAACGGAGAAACGUUGAAGUCUCGGUGAAAUGGGAGCAGCGAGUAAAGCGGGCGAUUGGGCGUUCAAGGCCUUUACUGCCGGUCUCGGUGUCGCCACCAUUUAUCUCACUGCUACUUUCUCAGUCAACGUCUACAGAGGAUUGUCUUGGCACAAAGCUCAAUCCGUAAUAUUUCUCUACUUCGCUUUAUGCAUUUUUUGAUUGAUGCCCCUGCGUAUAGCUUAUUGUUCAUAAUUCCAUUCCUUCUUUUAUCAAAUGAUGUUUAGUUUUUAGUUCUUAGCUAAUUUAUCGCGUUUUUAGUAAUUCGGACUGAAUUUCGACAUUGGAAUUUGGGGUUGAGCCAAAACUUCGUGAUUGGUCCAAAUCAAUUGUUGGAAUUAAUAGAUGAUGUGGGGAACUUAUUGAAGUGAGUAUUGACGAUUAUGGUGUAAGUUGUUAGGUUCUGAAUGUUUCGUUCUCAUCAUUUGUUGGAAGCAGCUAAUCAGCAUAAUCUUAAUACUUGAACGAGGGAAAUGAUCUUUGUUAUAUCAACAUCGAAUCCAAAGCUUAAGUGGGUGGGUUCCUGUAAAUUUAGUUAUAUCUUUACUUUACACUCCCUAUCCUUGUGAGUUUGAAAAAUUGUAGGAGGUUCAACAAAUAAAGUGGAUGUUAGUUGGAGAGGAAAUGAUGUUGCACGAAUCACCCUUUUAACUAAAAAGCUUAAACUGAUGGAUUACAAUAAAUUUAAUUAUAUCUAUCUUUUAACAAUCCUCUUCUGUUUUAGGACUGAAUUUGUGUAGUAUGAAUUGCAGAAUUGAGUUUUUGUUUAGUGAGAAAGUUAAUCUAUGGUGGAUUUUACUCUUUCUAGUGCGUUCCGUUGUAUUGGUGCAAAUCUAAGCAACCUUUUAAUCAUUUGAGUCUUUCUUAUUUAGUUUCCAAUUGGGAAUCUCUUUGUUUACCUUUUUAGAUGCAUUGGGGUGUUUCCCCUUUCUUUUCUAAAAAAAACAAAAAAAGAACGUUAAUAUAUGGUUGUAAGAUGAAUCAGUAUUCAGUGUGAUUCUAAUAAUUUCGUAUGGGGAAUUAGUAAACCGAUACUUCGGAAUAAUAACUCUUAGUUUGCGGUAACUAAAUCUACAUGCUUGACAAGACUUUUCAAAGUUUAAGUCAACCUUUGACUUGCUCGAAUUUCAUGGUUACCUUAAUCUGGACUUUGUGCUACUUAUUUGAGGAUUUCUGGUGAUAAGAUAAGAACUUAUUGUCUUCCUCUAUAGGAAAAGCUUAAGCAAUGCCUCUUGACUAUCUGGUUUCAUGGACUUUCAGUUUUGCUAUCAUUCAUCUGCCUUAACACAUCAUUCUCUAAUAAUGUUUGUUAGAUACUUCAUUGGUAUUUAAGCACAUUCAAGAUUCAGAGGUCUGCAAAAUAUUUGCAUCAUGAUACCUCUUGAAGGACUAAAAGGGUCGUGGCUUCUUUUUGUGCAGAAAAUCAACAAUGACAAUACAAAUGAAGAGGCUACAUAGUUUGGAUUUUCGAGACACGGAACAUCUGCAAGUUCAACGUUUUUAUUUUUUUGUCUUCAAAUUUUGUAUGAUCAGGUUCUAAAUUGAUUUCAAUGCUUCACUUUAUACCUUAUCUUUCAUGGGAAGAGCAGGAGACUUUCUUUUUGGAUAUCUAGCAUAAUUUGGUUAUUGUAUUAAGGGCAUUAUUCAUACAAGGUCAGCAAUUUACUGCAGAUCAUUUCAACUAUUCUAAUUGGAAUGGCCUUAUGUGCCUUCUGAUGUAGUUUUUUCUUAUUCCAUACUUUUGUUGUUUAUCAUUUGAUCUUUUUUUAUCCAUGUGUUGCAUCUCAUUGCAAUGUAUAAGAUAGAAGAUUAGUACCCUAUUCGACAUAAUGGUUGUUGCUCUCUUAAGGAACACUUUUGAGUUAUAGAUUAAAUCUGUAUUUGAACUCGAGUCAUGUUCCAUAUGCUAUUUUAAUUUUACGAGUUACACUAAUUCAUAAACAUGCACAAACCAACACUAAACUAACUCAUAUUUUUGUCACUUACCAUGCUAAACAAACUUAUAUUUUCCUUUGUCACUCUUUAAUGCUGAAAUAGUAGCAAGCAUUUGUAGGAGCAACUGGAAAGUUUUGGUGCAACUAUCUUUGAGUUUGAGCUAUGAUUUGCAAGGGGAAAUCAUUUUGAAAAUGACCCUAAUCUUCGUAAAAAUAAUAGUGUAAAAGAUGUUUUUGGCCACUAGAAAUAUAUAGCAUUAGAAAGUCAAAUAAGAAGAGCAAAUAGAAGAUUUGCUUAGUAGUAAUCACUGACAUUUUAUCUCUUAAGAAGAGUAUUUGAUAUGAUUUGAUAAGUUAAACCCUAAAGAAGGAAGACUAAUGCAAGUCAAUCUAACCAAAUUUUGCCAUAUUAUCUUUUUUUAUUAAUUCAAAUAAUUGAUUAAUAACUAAUGUUUUUAGGGUAAAUUACAAAAAUUAGUUGUGAUUGGACUUUAAACUUUGGUAUAAUAAUAGUAAAGUUGAAGCUAAAUGAUAAAAUUUGAAUUCUCAAGCUUAUAUAAUCAAUUUAGUUUAUACAAUGAUGUAAAUUUGACUUAAUUUUUAAUCUAUAAGUUUGAAAGUUUAAGAUAUAAUUUGGUAAAUUUGUCAUAUAGUUUGUAAUUUUACACACGUUAUGUCAUUUUUAAAGAUGUCCUCGUGGCUAUGCAAUCCUCAUUUUCACGAUCCAAUUACGACAAAUUCGAACGCGCGAUGGAGUGGAAGCAGUUUAAGAACUUCAACUUCGUCGGAAAUGGAGUAACGACUUAACAGUUUUUUAUCAAUACCGUCGAUCGUUGUUCACUCUUGAUUCACACGGAUAAUUACUCUCAAAUCUCUAGUGGUUUCACAUCUUCAAGCACCCAACCAAAUUUGGAGCUGAAAUGGAGGAAUCGAAAGCAGCGGCGUAUUACGAUGAGCUCACUCGUAAAGGAGAAGGAGCAGCAAGGUUCAAACGAGGUCUCGGUUUUUCCGCCUCCGACUCCAACAGUGACGUGGUCUCCGCGUCCAAGGGCUCCGCACUGCCGUCGUCGUCUUCCUUUCUCAGCUCUUUUGUUAAAGCCUCUAGCCCUUCCAAGCCCUCCGAGUUCGAAAAACAAGCUCAGCUCGAGGCUAUUCAGAACAAGCUCAAGAAGAAGAAACCAAGCUCCCCCGAUAGACAAGAGAGGCGCUCUAGGGAUUUGGAGAGAGAUAGAAGGAAAUCGAGCCCUAGACGAAGGUCUUUGAGUAAAGAGAGGGAGAGACAUUCGCACUCGAGGAGGCGGAGUUCGAGUAGAGAUAGGGAGAGACAUUCGAGGCGGCGAAGUAGGAGUCGAGAUAGGUAUGGGGAUAAGUAUAGGGAUAAGGAUAGAGAGAGGAGUAGUAGGAGAAGAAGUAGGUCUAGGAGUGAUUCAGAUAGAGACCGGCGGCGUCGACGGAGUAGAAGCUUGUCGGUAGAGAGGAAGAGGUCGGACGACGAUGGUAGCAAAGGAGGGGGAAAACAGAAAGGCCGUAAAGUUGAAAGACAGAAGACUGAAGGUGUUGAUUAUUCAAGAUUGAUUGAAGGAUAUGACAUGAUGGUAUGCUUCAUACUUCCUAGAAUUUGAAUUGGAUAUUUCGUUUUUUUUGCAAUUAAAUCAGUUUCUAUGCGUAUCUCUCUUGUUGAUUAUGCAUGUCUUUUGAUCAAAGUGCUGAUUCUCGUCAGUCUGUCGUUUGUUUCUGCAUCAUUUACUGCUUGGAUUUUCCCUACCAUUGAAUUUUUAUACUAUAUUUUGGUGUAUAAGCAAGUAAGAGUCUGAUACAACACUUUUAUAUUCACAUUGACCACCUACCUAAAAUUUCAUUUCCUAGGAGUUUCCUUUGCAAAUAUUGUAAUCUUGUAAGGUAGUCGUGUUGGCCUGCGAGAUUAGUGGGGUGGGCAUAAGUUAACUCCGACACUCAUAGAUGUUUGAUUUUAAAAAAUCCUACAACUACAAGGUACCCAUAAUGGUUUCUGUCAACAUUAAUGGUUUCUGUCAACAUUUUUGCAUCUUGCGGUUUGUCUUGCCUUUGAUUGUUAUAACGCUAGUGUAAACUUGGGUUGUUGAACACACGCAGUUUCCAAUGGAAAUGGAGGUAUUCUUACAUAGAUGCUUUGUUUGGGGACAACUGUUGAGUCUUAUUUAAAUCUGAAAACUUGCAUUUGCAUUGUUAAGUAGGUGUCAGACAUGGUAAUCUUACUCUUCACUGUUGAAGUCUGAAAAUUACAAAUGGCACCAUGUAGCUUUUUUAGUUUACAAAUUAUGAUAUGUUAUGUUCUAACAGUAGUUUGUAAGGACCCAACACCUGUAACUCAGUAAAAUCCCAGCAAACAAUAGAGAAACAGAGACAGUACUCUGUAUUUAUAUAUUGAUUUAGUUAUAACGGAAGACAAGGUUCAUUUACUAUCCUCUAACAAAGGAAAUACCACACUAGAUAAUAUCAACAAGUAGAAAAUAACAGAGAUAAAGGAUAACUCUCCAGCUAAUUCGAGAAUGCUGGCCUUCUCCAAAAGCUGCGGCUGCUCUUUUCUCUAUGAUGAUGCCUCAGCAAUCCCAAAAACAUUCCCUUACAUACUCCGGUACCUUCCUGUCGGUUCCACAUCAGAAUAUUCCUUCCAUAAACCUAAUAGGUUAAGCUGCCCCCUGGUUAUUACCUUUUCUGCUUCUACGUUUGUAUGUGUGAAUGAUAGGGGGUCUAACAUAGUUUCAAACGUCCAUAUCAGUUGGAAAAUCCGACCUCUUAUGUUAAAUGUACCAAAUUGGUACCUGUGGUUUUUUCUAUAGGUAUGUUGCAUAUACCAAUUUCUUUAAAAUUAACUGAUAGAAGACAUGAUUUGCAAAGAUGCCUGAGACCGUUGUUAAGAUGUGAGAGAGUGGUUUACAAAGUAGUCUAAUUUGAGUGCAUAAUUUGCAAUUGUUAUUUGAAGUUAAUUUGUGCUAUAAAAGUUUGGUUUCCAGAUGAUGGUAUUCUAUUCGCGGUAUCGCAUAAAAACAAAGAAUUUAUCUAUCUCCUAGUAAUUCUCCUUAUAAUAGACAAGUGCUGCGGUACUGGCUUCCUUAAUGGUGAAUUGACCUGAACCGUGAUAUUAUUGCCUUUACUUCCCCAUCUAUGUCAUCUCUAAGCAGAAUUUUACCAAUGUAUUCUUUUAGUUGGAAACUGAUUUCUUUCUUUUGCUUGUCACCAGUCUCCCGCUGAAAGAGUCAAAGCGAAGAUGAAACUACAACUUGCUGAAACUGGUAACUUGUCAAUUGGUACUUAAUAUUUUGUUUCUUCCACACGUAGGUCGAACAAUGAGGUGCUCUCUCUGAGGUUCUGACACGGAGCUACACCUUCUUUAUCUAAGAAAUCUUAGUGAACAAAUCAUUGAUCCAAAUUGAUCUGAAGCUAUUUACAGUAUGAGUGGAGAUUACUCAAGAAUGGAUUAUGACUUCCAUUUUCAAGUUCUCCCUUUUCUCCAAUUGUAAUGGGGACUUUUAGCACACAAACAAAAAUAGACAUUUGAUAACUAUUGAAUCUGGCCCUUCAUAUUCAAAAUGCAGCCAGAAUGGAUGAUACAAAAGGCACAGGCCCAGGUUGGGAAAGGUUUGAGUUUGACAAGGAUGCUCCGCUUGAUGAUGAAGAAAUUGAAGGUAUAAAUUUUAGCAAUUAGGCUUCUAAUUUCUUAUUUGAACCAAUAGUUGAUUUGUGAACUGAAACUCGCAUUGCUUUUUAAAAGUAACGAUCUUUAUACCCACGUACUCAACAUUUGUUGUAAUUGCUUUUAUCUAUUAUUAUAUAUUAUCUUUUCUUAACUUCAAGCACCCUUUAAUGUUUCUUUGUGGCUUUCUAACUUGGUAUUGAUGAGACCCAUAAAAUAGUACCGUCGAUCAUUUAUCCUUCAAAAUGUCUUCUACCAAAGCUAUUUUGUGCACCUAGAAACAGCUUCAUAGAACCACCUCUAUGCAACCAUCUCACUCGAAUAAUGCAAACAUAUCUUUGCCUUUGGCUCUUAUCUUGCAUAGUAUGUUUAUCAACCUUCUUAAACCACGGGAAUAUCUACCAAACAAUCACAAGGCCUACUUUUCCCUUAAAACGUUUCCAAGCAUAAUUUGGUGUGCCACCAAAAUUUACCCACAGCACCUUGUUAAGCGGUAAAUUUGUAUUUCAAAUGUCGUAAAUUGAUUUUGCUUCUCUAGUAAUUUGGUUGUUAAUGACCUAGGAUGGAGAUUAUUAUAAUAUUAUCGAGUAAAUUGUAUUUCCUUAUAUGGCUGUCAUGAUGCUACCUACAGCUGCAGAAGAUGAUGCAACAUUAGUAAAGCAUAUUGGACAAAGCUUUCGAUUUUCUGCAAUUGAGGUUGUGCCUUAUUGCUGCUACCAAUCUCUUAACUUGUUUGACUGUCUCUUAUAUUAUAGCUGCAAUUACUUUAAUUGUUAUUUUAGGCUAGGAAAGAGGAGCAAAUCAAAGCUGCACAUGACGAGGCCAUGUUUGGAGCACCAGUGCGUCAAUUAUUAAGUACAACCGAUGAUGAGGACAAGGUCGAGGCCGAGAAUGAAAGGGUGAAGGAGUCAUGUGAUAGUGGUAUGGCAACAAAUCUAUUGAGUGAGAAGGUAUUUCUGCUUCUUUUCUCCCUCUUUAUUUGACUACUUUCGAAUGGGAGUAUGAUAUCCAGUCUUGUCUUUUGGAACUCAUUAUAGAUAAUUGCAAAACAACAAGGUUCUUGGCGUGACCGUGCUCGUAAAGCUUAGGUCAAACAAGCUCAUAUUUGGUAGGUUCCGAAACUAAACUGCAUCGAAAAUUUAUUGCCAAUUGCUUAUGAUGAUCUCUGUUCUUAUGGAUUUUGUUGCAUUGAUGAGAAUUGCGGGAAGAGAAAAUUUUGAUAGUACGGUAGUAUGUUAUAUUUCCAUAUUUUCACCCUUCAUUCUUUAUAAUAAUGUCUCCUAAGGUGGUAUUGGAUAAAAAACACAUUUGGUGCUCAACUUUUACAAAACUUACAAUUUGGACCAUGAACCUCGGCUUUUAACGGUUAGUCUAGUCCGUAAACUAUAUGUAGCAUUUUAGUUCUUGUAAUAGAUGUAUUUCUAUAACAAUAUUGAAUCUCUAGUUAGUCUAUAAUAGAUCUCAUCAAAACUUAAAACUAAUUUUUACUUUAUGAACUAAAUCAUUUCAAAUUUUAAAGUACUAGAACUUAACUGUUACAUGAUAAAGUUUCAUUUCACAGCUAAAUUGUUACAAACGAACGAAUAAAUUGUUAUUUCUAUUAUAGAAGUCUUUAAAUUAUUUUUAUUUUAACUCGCAAUGGGUUUUGAUUGUUAAAGGCACCCAGAACGUGAGAUACAAGUUUUGCCCAUAAUACUUAGCCUAGGGAAUGGUGUACUUUUUGUGAUAAAUGUCAAAUAGUGGAUAUUCGAACUUUUACUAGUGGCUUUAUAAUUUAUAUUAUGUAUAUUUGUCUCUUGUUCUGGUUUUAAGAGUUUGAAGAUGAAACAUGUUUUUUUAUUGAUUGUGAACAAAAAAAAUGAAAAUUGUGAAUGAUACAAUAAAUUAAAGUUCAUGUAAGCAUUAAAUUAUAGGAAGAAAUAUUAAGGAUUUCUCUACCAUUUUCCCUUACCAGAAAUUGAACAUAGGAUUAAAAAAAUUAAAGUUUCGUAGUCAAAUCGAUGAACCUAAAUGUUGGAAGUGAAAAGUGAUACCACUUCUUUACGUAGGCUACUUAUAUAUGAGGGUUGAAUUAAGAAAGUUUUUUCGUAUUCACCAUUUAAAAUCUAAUUGGUUCCACACUAUCUAACUCAAUAACUAAUGUAAGGUGAUUUGUUGUUGUUGGCAGCAUUUGAAUCCCUUCUAGAAUUGUGGUUAUGUCCAAUGGUAAGCACUCGUACUAAACAGAGUCAAUAUAGCUCCAAUCUUCAUUCUUUUGUCAUCCAACAUCCCAUGAAAUUCUUCAAUUCACUUCAACAAAUGCAUUGAUGGUACCUCUCCAAUAAACACAUGCAAAUUGUGAAUCUCCCAAAAUUGCUACAAUUAAUAUAUAGAUACAUAUAUAGCUUUGUAAUCUAUGUAAAGUGAUCUAUGAUGUCCUAAUUAUUCAUGUCACAUAAGAAAGAAGUCAAAUUUUGACUCGUUACAUUAUUCCAAAGAUCUUUAGGGAACUUGUACUUUUGAACUCAGAUGAAUUUUGUUUCAACCUCUUUGAGCAAAAAGGGAUACCUAAUAAGGUAAAAAAAUACCAGAUUAAUCAAAAUUGAGAGCCAACAAUAUAUAUAUAUAUAUAUAUAUUCAACCUUUUUUCUUUUUCUUUUUUUUUAUUUUAGUUAAAUUAUAGAAGCUUUGAAAAAAUUUAUUCGUGCUCUUGAAAUUCAAAGAUAAUUAAAUCAUCUAUAUAUAUAUAUAUAUUAUCACAAAACAAAUUACUAACUUCAAAUGAACACAAGAAGGUACCUUACGAUCCCGUGGCCGCAACUCAAACAUUUGUCCACUUGUCUGUUAAUAAUUGGCCGAAUGGGCAGUAAAAAGCCGCAUGCAUUUUUUUAUUGGGCAAAUAAAAAAUAUAUAUAUAUAUAAUCCCGAAAUUCUCAUCUUCUUCCCCCCACAAACUCUCCGAUUCAGCCGCGUCUCAGCCUCUUCGAUCCGCUUCCUCCGCCGAUAUUCAUCAAUGGCUCCGUCCUCCAACCUUAGUCGAUGGCUGAGGCCUGAGGUAAUUAACAAUCAUUCAGAUCUGUCCUCUAAUUUUUCUCCGGUUCUGUUUUGUUAUUGAUUGAUCUUCUUUUCCAUGCCGUCUAAUCAUUUCGAUCAAUUCCAUUUUUAGGUUUACCCUCUUUUCGCGGCGGUAGGAGUGGCCGUCGGAAUCUGUGGAUUUCAGUUAAUCCGUAACAUCUGCAUCAAUCCUGAAGUCAGGUCUCUCCUUCUUUCUCUAAACUUUAACUUUUCAUUUGUGUUUUUAAGUUCGAUUUUUUUUUUUUUUUUUUUUUUUUUUUUUUUUUUGUGGUUUAAUCUGCAUAUUCUCGUGGUAUAAAUUUAUUAUGAUUGCAGUUUUGAGGAUGAGUAAUACUAAGUUUUGAAUAUAAACCUACCUCUGACCCUUUGCUAUCCCUGUGAUUAGUUCCAAUAGGAUGAGUAUAGAUAAUUUGUUCGAUUAUAAUGCAUGCUUACUAUAAACCAGUGCUUAAAUUAAUGGAUUUAACCAGUCGAAUUGUCGAUUGCUGUGGCAUAGUAACUGCAAAGAAUCUUAGGGUUUUUUUUCUUGUAGUUUUUUGCUAACAUAGACAGUAGACCUGGCCAAGAAGAUAUGUCAAGGUGCAAAAUUGUUAUGAAACUAGUUUCAAAUCCCAAACAAACGAAAACGUAAAUUACCAAACUCUGCUUGUUGAAUUUGACUAGAAAUCUGAAAAACCUUAUUUUGGUAACCAUUUAGUUUUUUGUUUUUAGCUUUUGAAAAUUAAACCUACAAACAUCUCUGCACCUCUAAUUUUCUUGUUUUAAAAAAUCAAGCCUUGUUUUUUAAAUUUAGCGAAGUAUUCAACACAAAUUAUGAAAUUUUUUGAAAUAUACUUAAUUUUAAAAAAUAGUGAGGGGUUGUAUCACUGUGUGCCCUUGUCAAAAGGGAUCGAUUGGCUUUGAUUGAAAUGGGGUAUGUUUUGUUUCCUUCAUUAAGAGUUCUGUAAACUGAUUAGUACAUCGUUUUUCUAAUCAUUCGAGAAUCAGAGUUACCAAGGAGAAUAGGGCUGCUGGAGUGUUGGAUAACUUUGCUGAGGGAGAGAAGUAUUCUGAACAUUUCCUGAGGAAAUUCGUACGCAACAAGUCCCCAGAAAUUAUGCCAUCAAUCAACAACUUUUUCACUGACCCAAAUCGAAACUAAGAAGGCUAUGAAUGAAUUACACAUUAGAUUGGAUGUAGAUUUGAAUUUGAAUUUGAAUUGUUGGUGGGUUGGUGGCUGUAAAAGUUUAAACUAUGCUCUGCUUUUACGUUUGCUUUUAUUGUUCAUUUGAGAAAGUUUGAAAAACAAUGGAUCGAUAAAAAAUAAACCAUUCUGAUCCAAAAUUUAAUUUCAGAUAUCAUGAAAUUCUGACUUUCAUCUUUGCACAUUUUGAUGGAUAUGCGCUUUAUGUUAUAACUGUGAAAUGGAGCUCUAGAAUUUUGGACUUUUUGAGAAUAUUACUAUGAUAUAUUUGUAAAACUAUGUGUUUAGAUUGAUUUUCUGAAUGUUUAUAAACAUUUUUAUCGAUCAGUUAUCAAUUAAAUGAAAUUUGAUGAACUGAGGAAUCUAUCAAUCAACAUAGUCUCUAUACUAUGAUAUCUACUAUAUCUGCUUGUUAGUUCAUAAUUAUCUCCACUAACCCAACUUUCAAGUUAUGUGGAAGUCUGUAGUCAGUCUGUUUGAUCUAUCAAUAUUCACUCGUAAUUCCAAAUUGUAUGGGGCAAGAUUAAAAGAUUCUUGUUGCAUCAUCAUUUUAUUUGUUUUGUUAAUUUUAUAUCGAACGUAUUUUAAUACAAGGAUGAGGUUACACUAUUGUAUAUAAAUUUGCAAGAAUAUAUGUUUAAUUUUCAAUGGUAAUCUGGAAAGUCUGACGAUUAUCGUACGCAAGCCAAAAUCUACAAUUGAAGAAUUGCGCAUAUGUCACAGAUCUUGUUAUCAUUACCAAGACCUUGAACAGUUAUGAUAAAAAGAAAAAGAUACUAAACAAUAUGUAAGCAAUCUCAAUAGCAAUCAAAUUGCGUUUGUAAAAUACUUAGGUAAACAUAAUAAGAAAAUAAUAAACAACUAUGUUUACAAUUGAGGUCCAUUACUGUUAAUCUAUCAAAUAAUAGAUUAACUCAAAAUUUAGAGCAUGAGACUUACCCAAUAGAUCUACUUGUUACCAUUCCAAAAAAAUCAAUAAUUCAAUUGCACAUCUACAAUUAUUGAACUAAUAUACGAAGAGGGGAAAAAGGACCAGAAACGUGAUUAGAGAACUGAUUCCUAACGUUACCUAUGGCACCAUUUUAUCUCAAUGUGCAUAAAUUGCGCUACUUCUAUUGCACAUUGAAAUGAGAACAAAAAAUUGAUGUUUCAAAUAAUUAGAACGGUUUCUAGAUUCAGACUACAGAAAUUAAUAGACAAUGAUACAACAGAAAACUGAUUGCACAAAGGCAAGAAAUGCUCUUUCUACUGAGCAUUUCAGAAUGAACAGCCAACCUAAGGUGGAGUGAGAGAGAGUAAGAGCAAUACAAUUGAAUAAAACAUUGAAUAGUUGAAGACACCAAACCUUGAUGCUGGAACUUCAAAAAAAUGAAGAUCGCUGGGCCAAACACGUCGCAGUAUAUAUUGUUUGAUAUGGACCGACCUGUAUUUGUUUCCAAAUAUUGGAAAAAGAUGUUAGAAAAUCAGGUGUUGCAAUGAAGGAAAGUUAGGGAGGGAAGAGCUCAACAUCCAUUGAUGGAAAGCUAGACUGUGCUAUUCUCAUUCCCCUCAGUAAAUUCUUAGCCGUUUCCUUCUCCUGCAAAAAGAGAAUGGUUGUUGAGUGAGACUCGAAUUACAAGUUAUCCAAGAAAGAGUUUAACCAUCAAACACGCAAAACCAAUAAUACUCACUGGACCAGUGUAAUCCAGAAGCCGUGUACAAUAUAUUUCUGCUUCAUCGAAUUUCUUUUGUGCUUUAUAGUAUGUAGCAAGAAAAAGUAGAGCUUCAACCAUGUUUGGUCCUUCCCUCUCUUCAGCUUCCAUUCUUUCUAGAUCUUUUUUGUAAUAGAAUGCUGCCUCUUCAGACUGUCCCAAUUCAGAAUGCAGUUUAGCCAAUUGGUGAAGAGCAAUUGCUUCUCUAUCGUUACAAUUUGCAGCUCUUCUGUAACACUUGAUUGCAUCCUCCAGCAUUCGUAGCUGUUCGCUUUCGUAACACUGAGCCAUGGCAAUCCACAAUCUGGAAUCGUUUGGCUGCAAAAAUACAGAUUUCUUGAAGUAAUGGAGAGCAUAAAAAGGCAUGCCCAUCAUUUCAUAAGCUUGCCCUAACCCAUACCAAGCUCGAUAAUCACAUGAAUUUAUAUCUACAGCCCGUCGAUAGGCAUCAAUGGCAGCAGGAAUGUUCUUCAUCUCCACAAAUUCAUGUCCCAUCAGAGUCCAAGCAGAUAAAUAAUUUUUGUUUAAUUUGAGUGCCCUUCUGAAAUACACAACUGACUUUUCGUGCUGCCCCUUCAAACUGUAGUAAUUUCCAAUAAUGCAGCAAGAUUCAGGUCUAUAUUUAUCUGUCAUGAAAACUCUAUGAGCAAGAUAGCUCAAUGCAGAGAAGCAUUCUUUUGCAUAGAGCACAUUCGAGUACAUAUCCAUGUCUUCCACCCGAUAUGGAUCAUUCCUAAGAAGUUCUUCAAAUAUUGCUUCAACUUGAUCAAACUCUCUCAAACUAUAUUGGGCUUUUGCAAUUUGAGCUUGUAUGUAAUUACUAAAACUAAAAGUACCUUGUAAGUUCUCAUAUUUAACCAAGGAUUCAUUAUGCAUCCUAAGUUCUUGGUAAGCACUGGCAAGAAAAAAGUCCUUCAUCCAAUGGUUAUUGAGAUUAAGGCUGUUCAAUAUGUCAAUUGUAGUGCACAAGGAUUGCAGCUCUGACCACGCACUCCAGUUCCAAGGAUAGCUGUUCACCGACUCCACAAGAGCUGUACGAGCAAGAUUUUCACUGCCUUUUUGUUUGAGUACGAGUCCAUACAAAUACAGUCCAAAGGGGUCAAUCAUGCCAUUUUUUCUAAGGGUUGAUAAUUCCCUUUCCAGUGAAACCAGCUCUUGAUUUACAGCAUCGCUUUUACCCAAUGAUCCUUCAAGUUCUACUACCUCUUCUUCUUUCCGCUUCUCACCAGCCUACACGAAGCAAGAUGUUAGUUUUCAGCUUGGGCAUGGGGAUUUCAAGUUGACGAAAAAGAGAACCACAAAGUGAAGGAAGAAAAAAAAAUACAUAGAUGUGAAUUAUAUAGAACAUUGAACCAAGCAACAUCAAAACAUUCAUCAUAAAAUAGAAGAUGAGCAUUGAACUUUAUCUGCCAUAACGAAUAGCAGUACUUAAAUACAGAAAAGAAUUUCAUCAAUCUCCCCUCACCUCGUUUUUCCAAAAAGAUGAUUUCUUUUAAUGUGAUUCAGACGAAAGCCAUGAAUACCUAUAAUGAUAAAAAUAACAACUGAAGGCAAGUUAAGGGAGUACUCUCGAUUUCAAGUUAAUUCCUUGAAAUUUACUGCUUUUCAUUUUUUUUAAAAAAGUUCCAAAGAAAUUUCUACAUGUGUUUCUAAUUGGCCUUCAUUUUUAUCAUCAAAUACAUAAAUUGAGCCACUGGACUGAACAAAAGGAAAAUAUCAGUAUUAGUAGUCAUUGUACUCAAAUAGUUCGUGUAGAAAGCAUAUCUAACAUAAGUCAUCUUUCCCACCCACAAUCUUCAAAUUUCAUUUCUAGAAUUAAAUCAAAUAAGUUGUUUCACUUUUCAUGUAUCAAUUUCCUUGAUGAUUCUAUAUUAAUAUUAACAAUCAUGGACAAUGAAACAAUAAGAACACGUUCAAUGAGUCAAUGACAGGUUUAGAAUGUCUCUUCUCCAACAAAUCCCAAAGAGACAUUGAACCUCACACUAAGGACCAUGGUCUUUGGUAAAGUGCUCAGAACACUCACAAGUAACAAUCUAUUUAUGUGCAAUGCGUUUAAUCUGAAAAUCUAGGUGAAGCCUCAAACGCAAAAUAACAUGGGAAAGAUCACUAUUACUUAAUUGACAUUGAGAGGUUAAAUAUAUGAUUUUUUAAAAUCAAAAUAACCACUUACCCUCUCAUAACUAAAGAUCCCAAUGUAACGUAUCUGUAUUCUAGACUUUGGUUGCUUAGAUGAAUAUGUUAUUUGACCAUUUUAUUUCUGAUUGGGAAUCUGAAUUUAUGAACACACUCAAGGAAUUCCAAUAACAUUACAGUUAAGCUUCACCUCAAAUAUCCUUGUCUAUAACUUGGAACAUACCAUGAUUGUUAUUCUAACUUGUAACGUGGAAACUCAUAAUCGUUAAGUUCUCCUUAUACUAUCAAACUACAGUCUUUUCAGUUUGAAAUCUUGAAAACAUACGACCUUGAAAGGUUAAAAUGGCACGAAAGGAAAAUGUUUCGGAUAGAUCUCAUCAUUAAGCAUAUAGAAUAUGGAUAUUAGAAAAAAGUAACAAAUCUUUCGUUUACUAUUUUUCUAUGAAAAGCUAUACCUACGUAUGUAUAGAAAUAGAAUAUGCAAGGCAUUCCCAACACUUCUUUCAGGUAAAGAAACAUUCUCUACAUUUCUUCACUUGAUUUCAAAGUUAUCAACUAAACUGAACCAAAAAACUAGCCAAUCGGUUAACAGAACAAAAUUUAAACAUGUAGUGGAUAUAAUGACAACUGAACAUGUAAGGACUGAUGCCAUGCAAUCGAGUAAACUAGCCCUUAGCCUAUCUUAUCCAUCCAGUCUGUUUAACUUAUGACAAUAUAUAACAAAAACUUUAAAUCAAAAAGAAAAUUUAUAGGUGGUAAGGAUCAACGAACCAGAUAAAGAGCGUACAGCCGCAAGAACACGGAUUUCUUUCCAUUUUGCUCUCGAAGAACAUGAGCAGCCCUCUUGUAUUCACGGCAAUCAAAGUAUGAUUUGGCCAGAAGGUAAAAAUCACCAUCCACAACCUCGUCCUCCUCCAUCACUGGCGUAGAAACAUAAGACAUGCCAGCAAUUGGGGUCGAACUACCCUCAUUUGAAUGAAAUCUUCGACGAAUACUUGAACUUCCACGUUGAAACCUGGUGUUUGAAGGUGUGAACUUAGCUGGAUCUUGCUCGAUACCCACCAAUUGCUCUGCUGCCCUGUUGAGCCAAAUACAUGUCAAAACUUCAAUGAGAUCUUUUAGCCAUACAACAAAUAUACGGAGAAUAUUAAUUGUUACAAUAGCUUGCAGAUUGUCCAGAAACGAGAUACCAAGACUAGAACUCUGAUCAAUUACAACGGAUGCAGUUUAAAGUUCAACAUACAUUAAGUAUACGUCGAUUCAAAAUCACCAAUUCCCCCACUCCCGCUGCUUCCUAAGAAACCAUGAAACACUAACAUCUAAAGUUUAAAAAAAUCCACACCCAAUAUCAAAACCAAUCCCAUCAACCACGACUUGAACUCUGACCAAUUACAACGGCCGGAAUUCGAAUUUCAACAUAGAACAAAGCAAACAAAUACACGGUUCAAAACCACCAAUUCCUCCAUUUCCGCUACUUUUUCAUAAACCCACGUAACACUAACAUCCAAAACUUCAAUAAAACCCCUACCCAAUAUCAAAAUUAAUCACAUCAACCACAACUCAAGCAGUUGAAGCGAGAUUAAGCACAAAAAACAGAUCGGAAACAUCAAGACAGAGAGUGAGAGAGAGAGAAAAUUUAGGGCUAUGAGAAGUGAACCAUUUAGAAGCAGAGUAAAGACAACGAUCACUGAGCUGACGAAUUGCAGUACGAAGCUCGUGUCUACAAUUAUCUUUGGAAGUCAUUGAAUCUAUGGUAUGGCGCCCUUGUUGAGCUGUUCUUUGUUUGAAACUCAAACUUCAAAUAUUAGGGGGGUGUUGCUUUGCUAACAUACGCCCUUGCUGUUUGUUUCGUUUCGCCCCACCACAAUCGGAGGCUCCGCCUCCUGCCUGCCCGCCCGCCCAAACUUUUAAAUCAAUCAAAUAACAAAUUUACAACUUCAAAAUUCUUCUAUAUCGGCUCUUUCCAUGUUUGUGUAUUCUCUUUUCUUUUCUCUUUCUUUCUUUUGCUUUCUUUACAUUUAUGGCCCAAACUACAUCAAAGCCCACUUACUCAUUAAAGCCCAACCAUCAAAUUGUAAUUACUAUUUUAGAAAUAAUAACUAAUAAUAUAACAAUAUUUUUAAAAAAUUACAAAUAUAGUAAAAUUAUCGUUGAUACACUUGUAUUGCGAAUAGACUUCGUAUAGUCUAUCAAUGAUAGAUUUAUAUCAUUGAUAAAAUUUGACUAUCAUUGAUAAAAUUUAACAAAUUUUGCUACAUGUGCAAAUUUUUUUAAAUGUUACUGUAUACUUAAUUAUUUUGAAUCUAAUUGUUAAAUUUGUAACUAUAUUUUCUGAUAAUUGUACGAUUGACUCAAUUUCUCAAAGCCCAGUAGUUCUUUAAGUGGAUAUUAUUUCAAAUGAUAGUUGGAAAUGUAACAAUCAUAUUCAAAAUAAUUUAGUAUAUAUCAACAUUUAAAAAAUUUGUUAAUAUAACAAAUUCUAUUAAUGAUAUAGACCAGUAUUUGCAAUAAAUUUUGAUAAACUUUGGUAUAUUUUCAAUAUUGUUAAAACGUUACAUAUUUGAUUAUUUUGAAUAUAAUGGUUAUAUUUGCAACUAUCUCUUGUUUUAAUUUUAAUAGAAAAUAAUAACUUGUAUUUCAAGUAGUAUUAAUAUAGUUGCUUAAUAAUAGUUUGAAUCAGUCAACUAUUGUAUUAUGACUCAAACACCGUGUGAGCUAUGGUAAUAUGCUCACCUGGUUGAAGUGUGGACCAAAUAUUUUUAGCUUAUGCAAUGAAGAUUAUCGAAACAAAAUAUCCAUUAUUUGUUGCUACAAUCCAUACUAACACUUGUCGCUUAUUGCUACUUUUGCCAACAUUCAUUAUCGUUGUUUUUCAUUCAUUUUAACCCUGGCUAAUUUGGUUACUCACCCAUUUCAAUGGAAAAAUAAAAUUAUAAAACAUAGUUAGUUGAUUCCUUGAUUUUCAACCUCAUUUGUUGAUUAUCAAUCUAACUUAUUGACAACAUUUAUUUAUAGCUGCUCUAUGGUUUUCACAGUCACAUAAAAAAUUGUGCUUCUCGUUUUUCUCGAAAGAGAUGUAUCAUGAUUUAAAAUCACAUUUGUAGACAACAUAAAAUAUGAAGAUUUGACUCACAUAAUUAUACAUGGCUCCCAAUUAAAUAAAAGAGUUUGUUGCAUAACCUAGAAGUUACAUAGAAGAGAAACAAAUAUUGAAAAUUGACGAAGGAGAAAAAAUAAACUAUAGCUUCGAAUGAGCAUCGAGAAGUAAAUCACAACGUACAUUUUGUUACGUCGAUUUGAUAAUUUCAACCCCAAAUCAUAUAUGUUUUUAAAAGCGGGGUUAAAUUUAAUUUAUGAUUUAAAACAUAAACUACAAUUAUAUGCUUUAUUUGUAUAAAAAAUUUGAUUUGUUUUAGUGUAUAGUUCGAUAGUUAUUGAAAAAUAUUGGUAAAAAUUCCAUUUAGAAAAACCCUGGAAGGGUUAAAAUUAUUUUGUUUGGGCAGAAAGAAAAUAGGAGGGAAAAUCAAGAGGAAGAGGGAAAAAGAAGAUGUUUCGAUCAGCGGCAAAAGCACCACCAUUUUCGCUAUGCUUCGAAGAAAAAUCAAUCGAAGAGUAACCAAGACGAAGACGAAUACUGUUUUUCUCCAUCUUUCCCCACCAUUACAUAGAUUCUUCCUCUCAUGUCCCAACUUCAUUACCCAAUCUACCUCCGCCCUAGACACCGCCGCCGCCGCUACGGAUAUCGCCACUCUUGUCCUCGAAUCCGACCCUAAAAGCUUGAGGGGAUCCCUCCAUGGAUUACAACUUCAAUUUACCCCUGAACUUGUCGACAAGGUUCUCAAGCGCCUAUGGUUCCAUGGACCGAAAGCGCUGCAAUUUUUCAAACACCUUGAGUACCAUCCAUCUUAUGCCCAUUCUGCAUCUUCCUUCGACCACGCCAUCGACAUUGCAGGUCGUAUGCGUGACUACAAGACCGUAUGGGCUCUAGUAGCUCGAAUGCGAGCUCGCCGGAUUGGACCCAGUUCAAAAACCUUCGCAAUCAUAGCUGAGAGGUUCGUAGCCGCUGGAAAACCUGAUAGAGCGAUCAAGGUUUUCUUGUCGAUGCGGGAGCAUGGGUGUCCUCAGGAUCUGCAUUCGUUUAACACCAUUCUCGACAUUCUCUGUAAGUCAAAACGUGUAGAAAUGGCUUAUAACAAUCUGUUCAAGGUUUUGAGAGGAAAAUUUAAGGCUGAUGUUGUUAGUUAUAACAUAAUUGCAAAUGGAUGGUGUUUGAUUAAGCGUACACCCAAAGCGUUGGAGGUUUUGAAGGAGAUGGUGGAAAGAGGUUUAACUCCAACUAUUACUACUUACAAUAUACUUUUAAAAGGGUAUUUUAGAGCUGGUCAGCUUAAGGAAGCUUGGGAGUUCUUUUUGCAAAUGAAAGAGAGGGAAGUUGAAAUUGAUGUUGUUACUUAUACUACUAUGGUUCAUGGGUUUGGUGUUGUGGGUGAAAUUAAAAGGGCUCGAAAGGUUUUCAAUGAAAUGGUUGGUGAAGGGAUUCUUCCUUCAACAGCAACUUACAAUGCUAUGAUACAGGUUCUGUGUAAGAAAGAUAGUGUGGAGAAUGCAGUAUUGAUGUUUGAGGAGAUGGUAAAGAAGGGUUAUGUGCCGAAUUUGACCACUUAUAACGUGGUUAUAAGAGGAUUGUUUCAUGCAGGGAAUAUGGAUAAGGCUAUGGAGUUUAUUGAGAGGAUGAAAACUGAUGGGUGUGAACCAAAUGUUCAGACAUAUAACGUUGCUAUUCGGUACUUUUGUGAUGCUGGUGACGUUGAAAAGGGGUUGAGUAUGUUUGAGAAGAUGGGGCAGGGGAGCUUACCAAAUUUGGAUACGUAUAAUGUUUUGAUUAGUGCAAUGUUUGUGAGGAAGAAGUCUGAAGAUUUAGUGGUUGCUGGGAAGCUGUUGCUUGAGAUGGUUGAUAGAGGAUUCAUUCCUAGGAAGUUCACUUUCAAUCGAGUUCUCAACGGGCUUUUGCUGACGGGUAAUCAAGCUUUUGCAAAGGAGAUUUUGAGACUACAGAGCAAAUGUGGCCGUCUUCCUCGCCAAUUUAAGUUAUGAAGCUAGCAUCGAUUAUAAAUGAUGGUGUGAGUUUCAGUGCCUUCAUUUGACCUUGUUGUGCAGCUGGCACUUCAGAACCAGUUCCAUUCUAUCUGAAUACGUCAAACAAGAUUUUGAACUAUAUUUAUGGAUCUGUAAGUGUUUGAAUCGUUUAUGGAUGGGCAAGUUACUCUCCUUGAUCCCCUGGUUAAGAGGUAGAAUGAAGGUGAUAUCUUGAAGUCUUCUAUCAUGGUCUGUUUGGUAACCAUUAGUUUUUGGUUUUUGAAAAUCAAGUCUAUUUUUUUUUUUUCAAUUUAUUAGCAUGGUUUGCAAAUUUAUCAAGCAAAAAAGUUGAAUUUUUAGCCCAAUUAAAAAGAAAGAAACAAAAUUUUAAAGUUUAAAAAACUGACUUGGUUUCUGAAAGCAUAGGUAAUAAGUAGAUUACAGAGCUAGUAAUUUAGAGGUGAAAUUAGUGUUUGUGGGCUUAAUUUUCAAAAACUAAAAAUAAAAACCAAAUGGUUACAAAAAGGGCUCAACAAUGCAUUUCCUCUUUUAGAGAUUUCAGGUGUAGAGUACAAAGCAGCAGAUAUAAGUGGUCACUGGAGUUCAUUUGUUUCAAGUUGGCUUGCUAGUUACUAGCUCAUAUCAGGUCUAUAUCAGUUUUGAUGUUAAAAUAUGCUUAAUUUGAUUAAUUAACCAUAAGUUAUAAUCAUUUGACCUCAAAAUAUUUUCCUUGACAGAUAUCCAUACUGAUAAUGUUGGAAACUUUCAGAAGCAGAACAGUCGAAUGCCACAGUCUUCACAUAAAACAUGUAAGAUUUCAUGGACAUAUGCUAAUGUUAAUAUAAAACACUUGUAUAUUAAGUUGGAUUUUAUAAGGUCCUGUUUGAUCAUUAUUUUAUUUGUGGUUUUCUGUUUUUGAAACGUAAGCUAAGAAACACCACUUCCACCCUUUUGUCUUUUUGCUUUUCUACUUAUUCUUGAUCUGGUUAUACAAUCUAUGGACCAAAUCUUGAAUGAAUCUUGAUCAAGAAAGAUCGUUUGUAUUUUUACGAAAUAGAAUAUAGAAAUUGAAAUAUUUACCAGUAAAUUUUUUUUGUGUUUUCAGCAUCCACAGUGACUCUUGCCUAUAAAUAAAAAGACAUACUUUGUCACAUCUCCCAUUUUUAGAAAUUUGAUGGCACUUUGAGAGCAGAGUUCUUAUUGCCAUCCGUAAGCUAAAUGCCACCAAAUUUAUCCAGGAACACAACACCAUUGACUUGACAAGGCUUGGUUGUAUUCUGGUUUCGUAAGGGUUAAAAAAAAGUGUUUUCAAGCCCUUAGAAAUUCAAUUUAAACCACCCCAAUUAUAAUAACUAAGGUUAUUGCUCUGUUGAUGGUUUGGAGUGGGAAAUUAAUGUAUAGUUUUACUGAUUCCGUUUGGGUUUAUGGCUGUAAUUAAGUCCUUUGAUAUUGUAUUUAUUAGAAAUCUAAAGCUGUCUGGUUUCUAAUUUGAUCUUUAGACUGAAUAACUAUGAUGAGCGGCAAAGCAUUUCGAAGAUUCAAACUAUGAUCUACACGUUAGAGUCUUAGUGUAAUAGUUAUCCAGUUUUAUCCUUUUCUUGCAAUGCUGAGUUAGGGGUAUCUUAGUGUUUUUUGCUUUGAUUGAUGGUGUGUUAUUUAAAGCUUCUUGAACCUUUUGCAAUUCAUAUCUGGUAAGAUCAUUCUAUCUUACAAGUUACAACUUGUAGGUUGAUAAAUUCUAGUCUUGGAAGUUUUGAUCUUAAAGCAAUUCGCAUCUCAGCUAAAUCUUACCAAAUAGGUUUGGAAAUUUUAAUGUAUCCAAAUGGUUUCUGCUCGAAUUUCAUUAAGGUUCUAGAUCUUAACAAUUUUUAAGGGAGAUUUUCUUCUAUCAUGCAGGAGGUUUGUUGACAUCAUGAUGAAAGAUGGGAAUGCUGCUUGACAAUAUAAUGAAAAGUUUCCUAAAGAAAAAAAACAGUACAAUGAAAAGUCCUUUAAAACAUGUAAGAAUAAUUGUUUUUUAAAAACUAAAAACAAAUGUUUGCAUAAAGAUAGACCAAUAAUUGCCUCCAUAUAAUGACUAGUGGACUUGGUGUAAUACAUAUGCUUUUCACUUCAAAUUAUUUGCUGAGUUUUGUUUGAGUAUACAUUUCAAAUUUACAAUAUUUCUUUGGUUCGUUUUUUAGUUUAGCGACUAUGGGAUGAGAAAUCGAACUUUGACCUUUUGCUAUUCGUUGAAUUUAUACUUUCAUCGACUCUCUCUUGCAUUUAAUUAAAUGUUGAAUGUAAAUUUAUAUAUAGAAUGAGUCGUAUUAAAGUGAUUAUAUAUCACAUUUGGUAUAAAGUGGAGUACCCUUAACGCAACUCAUACAAAGUAAAUAUUGUAUUUUUGUUAGUAUCUAAUAAGUUGUCUUUUAUACAAUAUUUGUGAAUUAUGAAGCAUAUGUACCAAACAAAAUUAAUAAGAUUUUGAUAAAAACCAAUGCCAAAGCCUUUUUCUCAAACGUGUGAAGUUAUUUGAUGGUUGGUUUGUGUAUUAAUUGAAGUUAAAAUUAUGCAAAACAUGAUUAUUGUUGAAAUCACCUGUUAUUUUUGCAAUUUUAAAAAUAUUUGACAUGAGUUAUAUUAUCACAAUUUUAUUUUUGUUGUUUUUGUACAUUAAUCUUUUAUCUAAAUACCCAAAAUGGCAAUAUAUUGUAAAGGGUAAGUAAAACUAAAAGAAUAUAUCUAAACUAUAUAGAUUGUUUGAAAAGUAUUAUAAUUAUUAUCCAAACUAUACACAUAUUUUAAUUACUAUAAAGGAUCGUUAUAAACUAUAUCAAACUAAUAAUUUAAAAUAGUGGUCAUAUGAUCGUCAACAGAGUUGCUAGUGAUAGUAAAAUUGUUGCGGCAUGGUAUUCAAAGUAUGCAAUGAGAUGCAUAAAGUUUUUAACCAAUAAUAAGAAAUGAAAUUAUUUUUGCAAAAAAAUUAAAAUGAGUAGAGAGUGUUUAAAGAAUUUUGUUGUUUUUUAAAAUGACCCAUUUUCAUUUAUUAAAAAUGAUUGUUUUUUUGUUUGUAAUGAAAUAAAAAUUCGAUUGCAUUUAAUUUGAGAAAAAGAAAUGCUAAUAUCCACGUGUACCAAAAAAAUCUUUUUUUUGAAAAAAGAAGGGAUGAUAAUAAUUCACGUAAAGGCGGAGGCGCGUAAAGAUUCAACUUCCCGCUUAUUCAAAAAUAUUCGAAAGGCCAAAAGAAAAUGAAUAAUCCAAAUCCAACGAUCCAACGCUCUCUAAUUCCUUUUUCAAAAAUUACGAAAAACCCUUUCCCCCGCCUAAAGUCUAAAAUCUCUCAUCUCUCUCUCUCCCUUCUUAAUCUCAACGGUCCUCAUUCACUCUCUCUCUACCCCAUUUCUCUCUUCCCUCCAAUUCCCAACCUCACUUCCCGCAUUAUUUCCUUCACCCCUUUCUAGAUCUGCGGCGGCGGCGGCGGCGGCGGCGGUGGUGACGGUGACAGCGUAGGCUUCAUGGCGGCUCUGCCAUCCUCUUCCGCUUUACCGGAUUCUUCUUCCUCUAGACAUCAUACUUACAGUAGAAAGCAGAAAUCCCUUGGUCUUUUAUGCUCAAAGUAUGGUUGUUUUUUUCUAUCGGUUUAAUCGAUGCUUUUUUGUUUUAUGAUUCCAAGGUUUUGAUUUGUUUUUGGGUUUUGUGUAGUUUUUUGAGCUUGUAUAACCACGAUGGAGUUCAUUCGAUUGGGCUUGACGAUGCUGCAUCGCGAUUAGGUUUAAUUCUAGUUUGAAUUUGUAGUAUGAGAUGUUUAGUUAUUUGGUAUUGAUUAUUUUGUCUCCUUGAAAUUUGAGGGUUCUUUUUUGUGUACAGGUGUGGAAAGGCGGCGGAUCUAUGAUAUUGUGAAUGUUCUGGAGAGCGUUGGGGUGGGGAAUUUAAUUUGAUUUUUAUUGUUUUUUUUUUUGGUUUGUUUUGUGUUUAAUGAAGUUGUUUUGUGUUUAGUCUUAUUCUGUGUAUGUGCUAAUUUAAGAUCGUGUUUUCCCUCCUUGUUUUUUAGGUUCUAUCGAGAAAGGCGAAGAAUCAGUACAGUUGGAAUGGGUUUGGAGCAAUCCCUAAGGCUUUACAAGAUCUUAAAGUAAGUUGAUUUGGUUUUCCUUGGGAGAAAUAAAGUUGGGGCUGAUUUAAUUUCUGCUGUUGUCUCCAUUUGGGUUAUGGAAAUGGCGUAAUUUGUUUUGAAUUGUUUGAUAGGAAGAGGGAUUGAGGGAGAAUUGCAGUGCAUCUGAUGGUAACGAUUAUGCAAAAGUAAGAUAAUUUAUUUUUCUUUUUUUAGUUCAUAUUUCCUCAUUUCUUCCCAUUUGUUGCAUGCGUAUGGGCUGGAAUUUGACGUUUCCUUGUCCUGCAUUUAAUCACAUUUAGGUCUCGGAUGAUGAGGAUGAGGAUGAAAGAUUUUCUAAUCCAACUGGAAGCCAGACCUCAACUGCAGCUGUGCCGAAAUCAUCUUCAUCAUCGUUAAAAGCUGGUAUGCAUUUUCCUUGUUACUUGAAUUGGCCCUAAUUAUCUUUGGAAGUUGCCCAUCUGCCUUUUUUCAGUUUGGUUCUUUUGAUUGCUUGAAUUUAUUCUGUGUGUUUGAGUUGGCUGUCUUUUGCCAACAUUUGUAUGUUUGGAGUUCAAUUUUCAACCUUUAUAUUUGUUGUGCUAAAUAAAAUUGGGUUGCCUCCCACAAUGAGAUUCCCUUACACUUUGUAUUAGUAUCUGCAGACAAUAGAAGGGAGAAGUCAUUGGCGCUCCUUACACAAAAUUUUGUUAAGCUAUUUAUCUGCAGUCAUGUGAGUGAAAAAAUAAACCACCUUAUCUUUCACUGUUUAUGGAUGAGUCUCUGUGUGAGUUCUGUUGACUGAUAGAAAUUGACCUUACAGGUGAAUAUGAUUUCCCUUGAUGAAGCUGCUAAGCUCUUAUUAGGAGAUGGCCACAAUUCAUCAAUAAUGAGAAGUAAGAAAUCUUGAACUUUGAUAUUAAUUUUAGAAUGUGAACUGGAAAAUGCUUGAUAAUAACAUAUCUUUUAUUGUAUACAGCUAAGGUAAGGCGACUAUACGACAUUGCAAAUGUGCUGUCUUCUAUGAAUCUGAUUGAAAAGGUACUGCAUUACCCCAUAUUGCCUAGGGUGUUAAGCUCUUUAAGUUCGACAUCUACAGUAGGGGAGGGGGUGAAUUAUACUAUAAAAAGCCUACUGAAUAUAUAAGAACAUCACUAGUGUAGACAUAAUACUAAUAAUAAUAGUUUUAACUUGUUUAAUCAGGGUUAAAUGCUUAUUUAUUGAUUAGACACUUUCUUUAUAAUUUUUCUAAUGUCCAUUAUCAUCUACAUGAUAUCAAUAUUUUCCGUUGACACUUUCCUUAAAGUACUGGGCGCUGUGUUUGUUUGGUUUUUGUUGUUUUUUGCACAAGUUUUACGUUUGUUGAAAUUAUGGGCAGACUCAUACAACGGACACGAGAAAGCCUGCGUUUAGGUGGUUGGGAGUGAGGGGUAAAGUCAAGAAUGAGCCAACCCUUCUUCCAGAGUCCAGAAAAAGGGCAUUUGGAACUGACGUAACAAAUGUCAGUUAUAAGAAGACUAAGGCUGAAAAUUCUGCUUAUCAGGGUUUUAAUCAUUGCCUCAACAUGCAAAAGCUAGUGCAGUGCGAUAAUUCUUCACAAGAGGAUAGCCAGAACAGUCAGGAUCAAGAAUGUGAAAGAACUUCCAAGAGCUAUCAAUUUGGACCCUUUGCUCCGGUAUCAGUAGCUAAAGUUGGUGUCUUGGACAAUAACAAUGUGAAGCGGACUCACGACUGGGAAAACCUUUCCUCAACAUUCCGUCCCCAGUAUCACAAUCAAGGUAAAUCCCCUAAUUAAACACAGUUGAACAACGUGCUGUUUUAUUUUGAAAUGCCAUAGUGGAUUUAAAUGGCCAAUUGGUUGAAUGUCCAAACUCCAGUCACCUAUUCAUAUAUCUUCAGUACUCCCAUUAGUUUUCGUUUUCAAUUUUACUUCAGCACCGCUUCUCAUGCUUGAUAUUGUAACCUUUAUUGGUCAAUAUUAGGUGACAAGUUUGGAAUUUUUAAGAUGAUCUUCAAACUUGAUACAAACUAAUGUUGUGGUGUUUGUUCUUGGAAUCGUCAGCCUUAAAAGAACUUUUCUCCCAUUACGUGGAAGCUUGGAAAUCAUGGUAUUCUGAAGCAGUGAAGAAACCUAUACAAAUUUCUUGAUGUGCUUUGUUGCGUGCUCGAAAUAUUUAAUAAGCUUAUCUCGAUUAAGCGUUGUUUCUACUGCCGUUAGUAAAAAAAAAAAAAUGCAAGCUUGACCUUUUCCUUGGUUGCAUUUCCUUAAUGCACCAACGUAGUAUAAGGUCAUCUUUGAAAGUGCCAAACAUUUCCAAUAGGUUCUUGUUUGUUUGUAUUAUCCUGAAAACAAGCCUAACAUAGUUGUUAGUAUUUUUUUUUUCUCUCUUCUUUCCCACCAUUUUAUUUUAUUGUAGUUAUUUCUUUUCCCCUACAUUGUUCAAUGAAAUGGGCGACUUCGCCUUUGUUGAAAAGCGAUUUCCUAUUGGAAUCAAAAUGAUAUACAUAUUGGAAAUUUCGUCUGGAAAUCUUAUUGUCUUGCUUGUCUGUUCGACAACAUCCUAGGUUUCUGGAUGCAAUUCUUGUGAAAGUAAAUGAUUGCAAAGAAAACUUCCAAAUCAGAGAAGUUGGCUUAUCGAUUCUGGAUGAUCUUCUGGUACUAGUCCUCUAUCUAUAGCUUGCUGUCUGUUUCUUCCACUUGUUUCAUGCCAUAUAAUUCCUCAAGUCCCACAGGAUUCUUUUCCUAUUCAUCCUGCUGAACUAUCACAGGACAUUAAAUUUUGGAGAAAUCAAGGCAGUGGUUACUGGAAUGAUUCUCCUGAUAUCACUUGUGUUAACUGUCGAUUUAAACUUUUAAUCUCUUAAGAAACUUUUUGAUUAGUUUAAUCAUGCCUAAAUUGUCUCAGAUGGACGGUUUUAACCGAGGAAAUGCUGAGGUUGAAAUUAAAAAUCAAUUGUUGCUUCCAAUUUUCUCAUUGCUCAAAAUACUUCUGUCAUUGUUGGUGUUGUUACUGUCAGUGAUUUAAUAUAAUAUCUUGGAUUUAUUAUCCUUUUCAAUCUGUAAAGAAAGUUACUGGUGUUUUAACUCGUUAAACUUAAAUGAAUCGAUGGAACUAACUAAGAUAAUGUUGGGAUUGAAUUUUAUGCUAAGAUAAUGUUGGGAUUGAAUUUUAUGUAACCUAAGUAACCUCAAAAAAAUCAGAUCGUGAAUCUUAAUGAAUGAUAUGUUUCAUACAAAAGGAGAAACUCAUAUUUAUUGUAAAUUAACCUUACAUCAGAAUUGAUGAUACAAAACAAUUCUAGCAUCCAAUUCUCUUAUGGCUUAAAAUAUGUUCUUUGUGGUAAGGUUUCUCUUCUCUUGCCAUUGAAGGUGGUUUGUAUAUUUAUUUAGCAUCAUUGAUUUUGUUUCGUGAGAAGGUUAUUAUGUUUUUGACAAAUUCAACUAUGUUUGAGAUAGCUUUAUACGAAUUUGAAAUGUUAGUAUUGAGAAACAAUACGAGGGAUGAGCAUAAUAGAUCGAAAAACCAACUUGACUAAUUAAAUCGAAGUCAGUUUAUCGAAAAAAGUAAGGGUCGGUCAAGAUUGGUUUUAUAAAGUUUUAAUUCGAAAAUUUCUAAAAAGUAUUUUUUUAGUGUUAAAUCGGUUUAACUUGAUAAAACGGACAAAAUUUGAUCGAUCAAUCAAUCUUUACUCAUCGAUAUUAAAGUUAGUUUGAAGAUUUACUAAACCAAUUAAUCAAUUUGGGAUUAAUUGAUUUUGAUUGACAAGUUGCUAAUCAUUCUUGAUAUGCCUAACCACCACUCAUGACUUAAACACAAAAAUGACCUUACCGUUGGAUCCUAAUUUCCAAGAUGUCCUUCAUUUCAAUGUUGACCCUAACCUAGUCCCUUUCUUUCAAAUCAUUUAAUGCCUCAAUGAUGUUCCUUUCAUUUCGCACAUUUCUUUGUUAUGACAUUCCAAUACUUUCAAAUGAUAGUUUUUUUUAAUAAAUAAACGAAUAAAAACAAAUUGUUGAUUUUAUAUAGAUAUGGAUGUUUGACACUAAACUCCAUGGGCGUCAACAUUAGGUUAAAUUACAAAAACAAAUUCCAAUUUUUCUUAAAUUGCAAUUUGAAGAAGAAUAUCUACUAGAAGUUCUAAUUGAAAACUUCUUUAGUUUGAUAAAUGAAUGUUUUAUCUCUAAAGACGUACUCGUAUCUCAUUAUUGUUUGAAGUUCGAAUGAACGUAAUAAUUUUAAAAAUUAAAUAGUUGUUCAUGCAUUUAGUUAUGAUAAAGACAUUUAAUGAACGAAUGUCUUCUUUUCUCCUUACUUGUUAUUUUCAAAAUUUAUCCUUUUUUCUUCCUAUAUAUAUUUGUUGUUGAAAUUUAGUAGAUAAAUUUAUUUUUACCCCUAAAAAAUGUGUAAUUGUGAAGUUAACUAUGAACAAAGAGAGAAAGAGACCUUAAAAUUGGAGAAAUUUUGAUUUAAUUUUAUUUCAUGACAGUGAAAGUGAGAGUAGUUGCGAAAAACAAUUAUUUUGAAUUUUUGGUACGAAAGAGAAAAUUUCCCGGUUGUUUCUUCUUCUUCCUCUUCAUUUCCAUGUGGAGUGUUUCAUUAUCGACUACAGAUCGAGUAAAAUUUGAAGUAAAUUUUCACCAAUUUCCAUGUGAGUUUCUCUGUUUGUUGAUGCUUACGAAUUGUACUGUUUCAUUUUUCUGUUUAUAAUCAAACAUGUCCUCUGCAUUUUCUAGAGCCUAAUAAUCGCGAGAAAGAACAGAGUAGGUUAAAUUCGAACCGAUUUUAAUUUCUUAUCCCUUUCUUCUUCUUCUUCUUCUUCUUAUUCUUCAAAUCGCAGCUUGUGAGAUGAAAAAUCUGACAUGAAAUCGAAGGAUUUGAUGUAAAUUUUGAUUAAAGGUUGCUGACUACAUUGCCACUGUCAUGUAUGGGACCAACAUUCAGAAUUUGGAUAGGGAUUCCAAGCUGUAACCAAUUGGGCAUUGUCUGGUAAUCAAAUCUGAACUAAAAACCCCAUUAUUUCCAUAUCGCAUUUAAAAGAAAAAUUCAGAUCAUCUCAUCAUUUAUAUUUUAUCAGCAUUUUGUUAUCUUGGAAAACAUUUCUUUAGCUUUAUUUAUUCAUAUUACUGAAAAAAUUAUAAUAACGUCCAUCCUGUUAGCAAAUGGCUGAUGUCUGCAAUUUUUGUCAGUUGGAUACAUUUAGUCAAAAACUUGUUAGCAAAUUGGGGAUUUAGUGUUGAAUUAGGGUUUUUUUAGUGCAAUUAGGUCUGUAAGCUUGUUGUUGGUGGGAUUGUGGCCAAUAUCGAUGAUGUGAGGUUUUUUUCUUACUAUCCUCCCACUAUUUUUCAGGGUCUAGUGGUAAUCACUACAUACUUUUGCUUUGCAAAGUGUAUGAAUAGUUCUAUGCCACUCACACUGUGAUAGAGCUUCAAUUUUAGUUUUAAACUUUCAAACUGUUUAGUUUGUCAAACAGUUCUUUGUUUUCUUUCUUCUAGAAUAUUUUUUUACAAGCACAGUGAUUAUAUAACUGGUGAAGGUUAGUGUUCUUGUUUAGAUUCAAACUACUAUUCACAAAUCCUUUAUUUUAGGAUACCUAAACCAUAUGUUAUGGAUGCCAUUACAACCUCACAUGAAUUAACAGUCGAGAAGAUCUUAGGUAUAUAAGCAAGGAAAUUAACCCCAUUGGUAUGAUGCCUUUUAGCUAGAGUUCAAAAGCAAAAAUAUACAAGCCCAAUUCCAAGAUGAACAAUAUCAUACCUUUACAAAAAUGUGGGGACUCAUUAUCUUUAUACGUAUUCAAAUAUAUAAUCAGGAAAUUAUUGGAUAUACGUAUAUUUAUUAUGUGAGAGUUAGAUGCUUAGAUAUAUGCAACCAAGAAGAUAAAACGGUUGACUAUUUUGGUUAUGUAUCAUGAAAGUAUUAUAUAAAGGAUUUUAUGAGUCUGUGAAAUUAGUUGAAAGGGAAAAUGAGCUAAAAAGUAUGGAAAAGGAAUUUAAAAGAGCAGAUAUGGUGGUAUGUCAAUAUCCUAGAUAUUUCCUUGUCGUACUUUCACGUAAUUUCCUAGGUUUAAAGAUGCAUUCCUGAAAGGAUCACAUUACCUAUAUAUAUAUGUUCAAAUCUAUUCAUGAUGGAUCUUUUUGAAAAGAUGCGGAAGAAACAUUUGAUAAAAUGUCAAUAAUUGAUCCAACAAACACCAUAUAUCUUAUUUGAACAGUCUAGAUCUUUAAAAUUGAUUUAAUAUAUAUGUAUAUAUUUUAGUUAAUCCCUUUCUUUUGCCGGUGAAAAUUUCUAAUAUUAUAGAUCUGUAUCUGAAUUCUUGCCGUACUUUAAAAGUUUGCAGUGCAACUGUUAGGUGAGAAAAACUGAACCCUUGAUCAAAGUUGAUGUAAUCUAGGAUUUGUUUACGAGUACAUAGUAUAUUUUGGUAGCUGUAGUUCUUUUAAAUAUGCAUUUUUUCAUCGUAGUGAAGUUUUCUUCUCUACUUGUUACUUUUCCCGUAAGAAUUUUCUAGUAUAGUAUAUAUUAUUUGCAAUUUCCCUGUUUUAUCUUUGUCGAAUAUUAAUUUUCAACAGUGAAUUCCAAUUGUUUACCACGGAGAUCGAUGAGAAUUUAGGGACUUUUGAACAUUGAUUUCCAGCUUCUUCUUCUUCUUUUUUUUUUUUUUUUAAUUUUUUUAAAUGAGGUUUCUAAUCAUCCAUAGACUGUAGAGCGUUCAAUAAAGAAAGCAAGAACAAAACACGCCUAGGCUUGACCUGCUGACCCCAAGGACAUGAGCUAAACUAUUUGAAAAGUAUGACCAUUGUGCUAGUCUGUGUAAUACUAUAGCAAUAACCACCCUUGCCCGAAAUAUUGAGCAACAAGGAGUAAGGACUAAGGACCGUGCAAUCCUCGAUGGAGCUUAUUUAUGAUUUCGUAUCGAAGUUGGUAAACAAACAAAUAGGUGUUCAACGGACAACAAAGAUUAAUCUGGUUCGUGAAAUACUUUUCUUUUGUGAUCAAUAAUUCUGACUUUAAUGAAAGUGAGAGAGCAUACUACAGCUUCUCAAACGUCGUAGUCAAUCACUGAAAUGAAAGUCGAGAAGAACGGAAGGGGAGGGGUGAAACAACCUAACUUUUGGAACAUACUACAAUCUCAAGUCACAAUCUUUUCUUUCAUUUAAGUUUAGUAUAUUGGAUGGAAAGAAAGUUGAAACUAGUAAAAAGACUAGUAAUUCAUAACACAAUGUAGAGAAGGAAACUAGAGUGGGUUAAAAGUCUCGUGAUCUUUUGAGUAUCAAGAUGACCGAUAAACUAACUACAACAACUUUACUAAGUUAACGACAAAAUGAGUACAAUCUCAAAAGAGGGAAGCCAAACAAAUGUUAGUUGGGAUGUCUUAACAUCUCAUUAAGAACGUACAAACAUCCUUUUUCAGCUAUAUCUGUUCUCUUCUAGCUCCCUUAGCUUAGACUACUAGAUUUUAAACUUACCAUAAAGAAGGAUUCACAUUCUCUUUUAUAUUUUUCUUAUUAGUAAUCCUUCGGGACGAGGAAUGAUUUUGUCCUAAGAAUCUAUAAGAUCUAGAGAUGUAAUUUAACCUUUAAUUGAACUUUCUUCCUAGUUUUGUCACAGCAUGGUCCAGUAAUAAAAACCAGUUCUCCUACUUAUAAACAAAAACCUUAACCUAAUAUUGACCUAGAGCAUAGGAAAUGAAGACAAAACCUAUCUACAAAAUGAAAACCUUGAAAAGAAGCAUUAAUGUUAGGCACUCAAGAAGGGGAAGAAAUCAAGAGGAGCCAAGCAAAAAGAUAGAUUACUCUAGGAGAAAAGAGGAGCCAAACACUUGGCAGAAAAUGAAGGGUUCAAACUCAAAGAAAAGAAUGGGAGUGUCCUUUUGCAGACACACAGAGAGGAGGUGUUCAAAAAAGGAUCUUCGUACCAAAUACAUCUAACAAAUUUCCCAUUCAGUGGAGCACUUAAGGGAGCAGCUGAAAAAGGCCAAAAUGCAAUCUCUUGGAAAGUUACAAGCCUUGACCCAUGUGCUUUCCUCUAUUUCCAUCCUCUGCUGUUCUAUUAUUUAUCUCUUUUCUUCCUUUUUGUGGAAAACUAUUACCACUAUCUCUCAAAAUUAUAUCGAACUUUUUACCAUGUUCCUCUUUUUUUAACUUUUCCUCUCACCUUUUUGCCUAAUGUUACUAACUUUACCAUCCUCUUUUGCCCUAUAUUGGAGUAGGAUGGAUGUUUCCUUUAUUGGGUCACUGAGAAAGUUUUAAACUUGAAGGCUCAAAAAGGAUAUUUCUUUUCCCUAACAAGAAUCUCUAAUCAUUUUUUUUGGAACAAAUUGCAAAUACCACCUUCGAAGUAUGAUGGUAGUUGCAAUCACACUCAAGUUUUUUAUUGUACAAAUCGAUCCCCAAACUUCUACAAGUGUUAAAAUUAGAUCCUCAAACUUACAAAACUGAUAGAAUGGUAUGGUCAUCUCUUAUUUCAUGAAUUAGUCGAUAUUAUUGAACUAGAGUCAAGAUUUCUAGGAUUAAGUUCAUUAUGCCCGUCUAGAAAAUAAGGAAAAGAAAAAACUAAAUUAAGAUUAAAAUACCAUUCUAUCAGUUUUCUUAGACCAAGUCCAAAUUUUCAAAUCACAAAUACUAAUGAUAUUCUUUCCCCCUGAAUUUUUUUUUCAUGUUAUUCUUGUUCAAUUGUAUGUCAUCAACUACAAAAUUUCAUCCCUAGAUACGAAGGUUUAACUUUUCAGUGAACAAAUCAACAAAGAAAUUUACAUAUUUACUUUCAGUAACAAAAGAAAAAAAAAAUACAGUGACUUAUACCUUCGAGAUUGCCCUAACUCUAUGUUGAAUUCACCAAUUCUUUUAUGAAUUCAACAGAUCUUUUCAAAUCUUGGGAGAAACUAGCUUCUCUAAAUGAAAAGGAACAUGAUUUCAAAGGACCAUAAUGGAAUAAAGGGGGGUAAUGAAGGAAUAUGUUUUUUAUUUUUAAAAAUAAGGCAAAAUUAGGGGAACUUCCAGGGGAGGAGCGGACAUUUUUUGAGAGAAAAGAAAGUUUUAAAUAAUCUCAAUGAUUUCACAAAUACUUGCAUUUUAGCCUUUUAGGGCUGGCAACUUAUAAAGAUAUGUUCCAAAAAAGCAUAUGCCACAUAUGUACAUUAAUUUAGACUAUACCCUAUGGGUUUUUUCUUCUUUUAAUAAUAUUAUUAUCAAUUUUACUUUAGUGGGUGGCCAAGUAAAGAAUCAUCCCCAAAUCCUACCAGAAAUGACAUCAAAACAUUGUGUGAAAGAGAAAUAUCUCUUUCAGGUCCAAACCUUUUCUUUCUCCUUCAUUUCCUCUCCAAAUUUUUUUAUUGGAUGUGGAAUAUUAAUGCCUCUUUGCAAACCAAAUAUUACCAGUGUAAAGAGAAAACCACCCCAAAUAAAUAAAUAAUUCUUUAAAAAAAACCCAAUCAAAUAUAGAUCCUGAUUUACAUUGAGUUGUCUUCCACUUUUAAGGAGAAAACAAAAACAGAAAAGAACAAAAGAUAGAGCCACUUAAUCUGAGAUUAAAGACCAAAAUUUUCCUAGGAUAAGUCUUGAUUAAUUGUAUUUAUAAUUUUAAGUAAAUAGUGCGUUGUCCGUUUUCUGGAAGCUGAUUGUUGGUUCGUUCAUGGAGAGGGGCCCGAGCAAGCCGUCACUGUCAAUUAGAACCAAAAACAAAACCCCAUUAGUUUGUUUUCUCAGCCAAAAUGGAUUAAACCCAUCUUAGAUUUCAUGUUUUUUAUUCAAUAUUUGGUCGUCCAUCAGUUGGUAGAGAGAUAUAAUAUCUGAAUGGGAUGAGGUCAAAUUUGAAGAUGGUGAGUCUGUAUUAUGUAACAGUGAAAAAGCAAGUUCUGCUGUAGCUUCUAUGCAUGGCGGAUAGAAAUAAAAUCUAGAAAUAGAAGUCAAUUAAAGGCUGUUUAGAACCAUUUCCUACGUUUUACGUUCUCCAAAAUUAUACAGAGAAAGAACCAAAGUGGGCCAUUUCUUGUCUCUCCCACUUUUUGCCAACAGAAAGAAAAAAAUUCAUCUAUAAAAAGUUCCCCUAAGUCAUCAUCGGUCUUGAACAAUCACUGCUUCCAAAUGGGAAUUAUGGAAUACCAUCAAACUUUUCAUAAUUCUGAUACAUAUUUUGAUCAAUCUUACUCUUCUUCUUCAUUUUCUACUUCUUCGUCUUCUUCAUGUCAAACUACUUUCAAAGGCCAUUCUUCUUACAUCUCUUCUCUAACUCUCGCCGGAAAGUUUCUCUACUCGGGUUCCUCCGACAGAGAAAUCCGAUCAUGGAGACGAAACUUAUCGCAAAAUUGUGAAGAAAAUCAGGAAGAAUUCCAAAACAAUAUGGUUACAGCCGGACAUGGUGCAGUCAAAUCCCUUGUGGUUUCUUCUGACAAACUUUACAGUGCUCAUCAAGACCAUAAAAUUCGUGUCUGGAAAAUCUUUAAUGAUUUCGAUCACCAUCAAAAGUACACUCGCUUAGCUACUCUCCCGACGCUCGGCGAUCGGACGGCCAAGCUUUUGACUCCCAAUAAUCAGGUCCAAAUCCGACGGCACAAGAAAUGCACAUGGGUUCAUCAUGUUGAUACGGUUUCAGCUCUUGCUCUGUCAAACGAUGAGUCACUUCUCUAUUCCGUCUCGUGGGAUCGGACCCUCAAAAUCUGGCGAACUUCCGAUUUCAAAUGCCUGGAAUCCGUCGCCGGAGCUCACGAUGACGCAAUAAACGCCGUCGCGCUCGCCGGAGACGGUGACGUAUACACUGGAUCAACGGACAAGAGGAUUAAAGUGUGGAGGAAAAACCCAGAUGGGAAAAGACAUUUUUUGGUCCAAACACUUGAAAAACACAGCUCGGGAAUUAAUGCCUUGGCUCUCACCGAAGAUGGGUCGGUUUUAUUUUCCGGCGCCUGUGACAGAUCGGUUUUGGUUUGGGAGAAGGAGGAAGGAGGUGGGCUAAUGGAGUUGGUAGGUGUGUUGAGAGGCCAUUCGAAGGCGAUAUUGUGUUUGGCUGUGGUGUUGAAUUUUGUCUGUAGUGGUUCGGCGGACAAAACGAUAAGAAUUUGGAAGAAGGCUGUGGCCGGAAAUUAUGUGUGUUUGAGGGUUUUGGAAGGGCAUAACGGUCCGGUCAAGUGUUUGGCGGCGGCGGUUGAUCGGUUCAACCCAAACGACAGUUCGUUUAUGGUUUAUAGUGGUAGUUUGGACUGUGAUAUUAAGGCUUGGCAGAUUUCUGUUCCUCUUGCUUAGAUUCACAACUUUUUUUUUUUGGUUGAGGGAUUUGUGUAUAUAUUAUUAAAGAGUUUAGUUGGAUUUCAGUUUCCUUUGGUGUUUUUUAGAAACAGUCGCUUGAUGUGCAAGUGAGUGAUCCUUAUGCCAAAUUGGAGGAGGUUUGCCUUUGGAUCAUCUAAUAUGAAGAUGAUUAGUUAUUAGUUUGUGUGGUAUAGAAAGAAUAGUAAUAUUAUAAAUUAUGGUUGGACAAGAAAGUGAGUGUACGUCAAAAUGAACAUAACUUAAUUGACAUUUGAAUGUCUUCGUACAACUAAAAGUUUAUGGUUCAAAUCUAUUACUAAAACAAGUAGACAACUGCACAAAGAUAAGUGUAGCUCAAGAUGCAUUUAGACACUAUCUUAUACAUAAGUCGAGAAAGUUAGAAUAUAGUUUCUUAUAGUUUGAUAAAAUCCUCAUAGAUAGUUUUUAUUGAAUCAAUCGUAGACACUAUUUAUGAAUCUUUUAUCAAAUUACCAGAACUAAAUUCUAACUUUUGCAAAUUCAUAUAAUCAAAUUUACAAUUUAAUCUAUUAUAUAAUCGAUUUAAAAUAGUUAUUAUAGUUUGGAUCUUAUAAAUAACACCAAACCAAAAUAUCAUCUCAAGGAUCUAAUGUUUGAAUUGCCAAUCUAAUUUGGAUAAGUUAAUCCAAUAUUUUAGUUUCUUUUUAUUACGAGGAGAUAGCUUGUUUCUUUGUUCCUAUAUAAUUAUAUAUGAAGAUAUAUAAGUUUAGUUUUAAAUUUAGGAUUAUUUUUGCUUGUAUUUAAUAAGUGUUUAAACUUGUAGCUAAUUUGUAUCUAAUUAGUCAUUACAACUUUCAAUUUUUUUUUCCUUUUUAGAUAUUUUUGAGCAACUUACCAUUAUUAAAUCAUGUAUUUGUUAAAUCAAUUUUUGUAUAACAGAUCCUAACUUAUAUAUAUAUAUAUAUAUAUAUAUAUAAAGCACAUUGUAUAUAAAUUAAAGCAAAUGAAAAGGAGUUCUAAAAGUUAAAAUUUUAUUUAAUCCACUUAAAAAGUUCAGAGAACAGUUAGAUUAAACCUAUAAUUUAUCAUGUAGUAUUGUGUCUUUAUGGGACAAAUAUUGAAUUGAAAUUAAGAGAAUGGUUUCACACAAAUGUUUUUGUUUUUCUUUGUUAGAUAUUAUCUUGUUGCCUUUUCUUUUAUCCCUGUCAAUUGAUUUUGAUAAGACAAUAGAAUGAAAUAAAGUUUGAUAAAUGAUAAUCACUUUUAUGUCUUACAAAUAAGCAAAGCUUAAAUUAUGAAAUUAUUAACUUUUGGUAGUGACUUUAGGCACCUGUGGACCUGAUGCCAACUUACAUAAUUGGAUCUAUAGUCUAAAUGUUUAGUUAGCGUAUAACAUUGUUGUAUUAUUUAAUGAAAGUUUUAUCUAACGAGACAAAAACUAUAUUAGAAUGUGUUUGAUUUACAAUAUUAAUAAGUUCAAAUUUAAAUUUACAAACUUUUCAGAGUUAUUUUUCUUGUACAUGAAACUUCUCUUGGUGAAGGAUUCAAAGCUUUAACUUUUUUUUUUUUUUUGUUAGAUUUAUGUACCUUAAUCAACUAUGUUAUUUAUAAUAGUUAACAUUUUAUUGUGUAGUUUAUAUGUAUAACAUAAAUCUAGAAUAUUUAAGGUCAUCCAAUGCCUACUUUUUUAUUUUUACCAUAUUUGAGGCAUGAGAUUGAAUCUUAAAUCUCAAAGUUGAUUUAUACAUUGAUGCUAGUUAUAUUAUAUUCAUGUUGGCGUUGCUGGUCAUUUAAACUAUAUUCAACGCAUUUAAACCAUAUUCAACGAAGAUGUACUUUUGUUUCAAUUUAUGGUAUUUUUGUCCACUCUAUUUCUUCAUUUAGUAAAAGGUUCUAUUUAUUUUGGUUUAUUUCCAAUUAAUGUUGCAACCCAUGGGGAAAUUUGAACUUAAAGAAUGCUCCAUAUUUGUAUAAGCCCUCAUUUAUCAUGUUCUCACUUCCGACCUUACCUUUUCUAUGUAAUUAGCUGUGAUUAUGAAUAUGUUUAUGUUUAUACCUUAAUAUGGGAUAAAGUUUAAUGGGAUGCUUUUGAUUUAUAUGAUUUCUUCUUUAAAAAGUUAAAUCGUGGGUACACUUUUGUAAGAAAACUCAAUAAACCAUGAAACUCGUAUUAAUUUUUCUAUACUCACAAGCAUAUAGGCGUGAGGAAGAAGCUAAUAUUCUAAUUUAUUAUCAAAAUUGAACUAAAAAGUAAAAAAAAAAAAAAGAACAAACAAAUAGAAUCAAAAUACAUUGAAUUAUUUUGCACCAACAAAGAGAAAAAAAACGUGUCUAGAAUAAAAUUACAUAAGCUUCGAAUAUUACUCAUAUUCACAUUUGCGAAAAAUAAUUAUGUCUAAAGUAAUAAUUUAAUUCUAAGCAUAAAACAGUAACCAAAUUAAUAAAAAAAACGUGUAAUCAUGCAAAAAUAAAAUAAAGCUCUUAUUGCAAAAUUGUUUUUUUUUUUUUUUUUUUUUUCAUUUUGAAAAUUUUGCUUUUACAAUUCCUUGACAUGAUUUUUACCUCUUCAGAAAAAGAAAAAACAUCACAAUUAUUAGUCCUAAGCUAAUCUUUAAUACUCAUAAUAAGAAAAAAUUGGAAACACAAUGCAUGCUUAGCAAAAAAAAUUCCAAGGAUUUUCCAAUUUUGGUUUAGAUUUUGAAAACGUGUAAGAGGCAGAUAACUAUAUAUAUAUAUAUAUAUAUAUAUAUGUAUGUAUGUAUGUAUAUAUAUACUCUUAAAAAAACUCACGAUUAUAAUUAAGAUUCUUUAAAAAUCAUUGAGAAAGAGAUCAUAAUAGACAUAAACCUGCAUCAGUUCACCAUCUGUGGUUGCAAUAAUUUAGGAACAAAAUAUGUAAAAGUUGAAACUCUAUGCCUAAUUAGGUGGGUCCAAGCAAUUGAAGUGAAUGGGAGCAUGACUCUUCAUAACAUAGGUACACUUAAACACAUUAAAAAUGCUAUAAAAAUAAACCAUAUAACACUUAUAUCAACAAUCAAUAAAAUACUAACAAUGAAUAUUAUUCUUUUCAGUGAAACCUUCUACCAUUGGAAUAUAUGAUUAUAUGCAAAUUCACCAAAAACACCGACUAAAUACCAAACUAAAGUUUUCUUUUUCUUUAAUAAGAAAACAAUAACUUUUUAUCUCCCAAACUACAGGACGCAACUCAUCAAUUUGUAUAUUUGUUGAGAGGGUGAAGGGUCAAAUUGAAAAUAACAAUAGUAAUAAGAAGACGGAAGAAAAAAAAAAGGGAGGAAACCACACGACCCUUCUUUUGCAACACCUUUAUUUAUUUAUUUUAAGACUUUUCCCUUUCAACCAGACCCUUUUUUCUUUUUGGAAUUGGGUUAUUGAGAAAAAUUAUGCAAAAUAGCUUCUUUACAAACAAGAAUUAGUUGGAUUGUGGGGUUCUAUUGGUAAAAAAAGAAAUAAUAUAGGGGAUGGACCAUAAUUAAAAUACUAAUGCUACUGACGUUCACACCUAUAAUAAUAAUAUGAAUGAUCUUAAUUCUAAGAAGUGUCAACAUUUUCAGCACCUAUCCUCUUUAUCCUAAACAAAUAAAAUAAAAAAUAAAAAGAUAGAGAAUUUACCAUAUAACUAAUAAAAUGUUCACAUCAAAGUCCAAAUUGGAUGCAUUGACACAAAAUAUUUAAGGCCAAAGAAGAAAGUAAUGAACAAUAGAAGAAUUAUAGAUUAUAUUGAAUAAUUGAAAGAGGAGGUGACAUCAGAAAAGGGCUUUCUUAUAUUUUAAAAAGGGUUAUAAUUAUAUACUAUGCGCUAACGUGGCAGGCCAAUAUCAUAAAAAGAUCUAGUGAAAAUAUCUUCACCUGAAGCAAUAUGUUAUAAAAUUAUAGGUAGAAAGACUUUUGGGAACUACUUAGCAUAUUUACAAUCUACAAAGUCUGAUGUUUGAGGGAGGUUAGGAAAGGGUCAUUUUUCACAUAUCUACCUAAUUCCCCCCCUUUGAUUUUCCACUUUUUUUAAAAAAAAAUUCUUCUCUCCAAAAAGAAAGUACUCGGUUCUCACGAAACAACCUUCCUUUCUCUUUAUUUAUUUCAUAAUCUUUCUUUCUAACUACUAUCAUUAGCACAACUUGAGGUUGAAGCAUCCAUUCCUUUCCUUCAACCAUUUAAAUUCUCAUCCUAAAGCUGUUUGAUCUAAAUAAAUCAUAUUCUUCCAGCUUUAAGUACGUUUGACAUGUUUGGAGAGUACUCACACUAACAUACUCCAAUUCUUAAGUAUAGUUUCCUUAAGUUAGUACAUGAAAGUAUGAACCUGCAUAUUUAUUAAGUGACUUCUCCUUCUUAUUUUUUUAAUCAAUUUUUUACAACCAACGAUAAACUUAAUUUUACAAUUCUACGCCUCAAAAAGUACUUUACCAAUGCAACAUAUUAAUCUCAGCCUUGUUAACUCCAUUCAGGUGGCCAAAUGCCCCCUUAAGUGUUCAAUUUGGUUAGGUAUAGAGAGAAUCACUUGUCCAAUGAAGUUGGUGGAAUGGAAUGUGGCUAUUUAUAAGAUUCAUUCUUUCACUUUCUUUGACUCCCACUCAAAAUAUGUGCAACAGUGGACUCAACUCGAUCAUUCCUCUUAAUGGAGCUCAACCCAACGAUCCAAGGGUUUGAAUUUUCCUUUUGAGACAUGUGAAGCCCAUUAAGGUUUCGGAAUGCCAUUGUUCUUGGGGGCUACCUUGGGGCUUGGGCAACCCUAAACAGUAACAAACUCAAAAAUUUUACUAUUCAACUAAGUAAUGGAAUAGAUACACCUAUGUCUAGAAGAGAGAGAAAAGAAACUAUAUUAUCCUCACGAUAACUAACUUGAAAACCAAUAUUAGCCCAUGGGGGAAAAUGUAAUUCACUUACAAUAUAAAGACUAAUUGAAUACCUUGGAGUGCGAGGACUGAAAUGACAUGUUUAAAUCUUAUUUAAUCAUUCACCACAAAGUAAUCGACAAAAAGUGUAAAAAAACAAUACAAGAUAAAAGGAUGAACAGGAUUCUUCUAUAAAAAACCUGUCCCCUAAGCCUAGAAGAUAUUUGCAUGUAGUUUGAAAUAAACAAUCUUAUCUCCAACAAUAAAUACGUUACUUUUGACUAAAGAUAAUGGUGUAAAUUAAUUCCAAACUUGGCUGCUUAGCUAAAAUUCAUCAUCGAAUAAGACAUCGCAUCCAAAUUUCUAUUUAUUAACAAGUUUAAUUAUAUACUUUAAACUCAAAUCAGGUUAAUCUAGCAAUUAUAAGUACAGCUUAUAGCCUUUAUACCUGGCGACAUGGUUUAUCAACCUUUUCCUCUGAGCGAAUCUUUCCAAGCUGGGUUCAGCACGGUUUAUUCCUUUGUCGUUGGUGCAGUGCAAUAAUAGGUAACUUGACAUAAGAGAAACGAUUAGAUGGCAAAGCAACUUACAGCAUCGCAUCCAUGAAAAGCUAACGAGGAAGAUUAAGAAACGUCCAUCUUAUCGGAUGGUCAGAAGUCUUUACCUGUAAAAUAUUCCAAAAAGCAACUCCUCGUGCCUAAACAAGGAUUAUGGCAAGCAUAUGGCUAAUGAUUUAAAUACCAUAAUUUUAUAUAUUUUAAAUACUCACUUUUUUUAAGAACUCAAUUUAUUUUGUACUACUCUUGGAAAAAUAAUAGUUCAUACAAAAAGGUAAAUAUAGUACUAGAUUUACAAACCUGUGAACCCAAUGAUCUUGAAAGCCUCUAGUAGAUUAACAACAUUUUUAACAACACGUGGGGCAGAAGAAUCGAACCUCCAACAUUAAAGUCGAUGCUACACGUUUUAUGUCAGUUGAACUAUGCGCAUUUUAGAUUGUAGUCUUACAACUUAGAGCUAAAUACAUAUAUUGUCACCAGUGGCAGUAUACUUAGAGGAAAGACAACAAUAGAUAGAUUUCUAAAAAAUUAGUUAACAACAGACAAGCAAAAUAGCAGAGAGGGGUUUCACCAAUUGCCCCCUUAAUCAUGAGCUUCCUCAAUCAUAGUCAUGCCUAUUUUUGGAACUUUAAAUGGGAUAUAAAAUAAAUAGAGUUUACAGACUUAGCGAAGACUAGAGAAUUUGAAUAACUUGAUGAAGGUAUGUGGCGAGAUGGAGAAAGAAAUAAACGUGCGUGUACUCUUAAGCGGGUGUUGAAGGAAUAAAAUAUACGUCUAAACACAAAAGCAGGUGUUGAGGAAUAAAUGAUUAUUACCGAUUUAAUUCUGAAAUCUGUAAAAAAAAAAUUAUUCGGGGUGGAUCUAUGUUUUUCACGCACAAUAAACAACAUGAUUGCAGGUGAGAAAGGAAAUUUCUUGAAGCAAACGAUGAGGUGUUUUCGUGUGUGCUAAAUUUGUCUAUGUUCGGGAGACUUUUUUUAUUAGAUUUGCACAUUUCGAUAAACAUUUCUUUACCCGUUUGAUUUGUUGUUUGGGGUCAAGUGCUUUUGUAGUUAAGUAGAGUUUAUGCCCUAUUUUAGGUAUUUUAUUGAUUUGGUUCUGGAAAUUUUUUUAGCUGGAUGCGAUUGAGAGUGAUACGAAUUACACAUCCCUUCCUUUCAAGGGUGGAGUUAAGUAUGUCGGUGUAGAGAAAGAGAUGGACUUGAUGAGGAUAAUGGGGGGAGGGAGAAAAACCAACACGUAAAUCCAAAAUGGACGGUGAAUAAAUAAAUGCUUCAUAGUAGUUCAAUAAACAAAUGUCACUUAAGAAUUAUUCAGCGUGAAAUGACAUUUGAUAUGCACAACAAAUAAAAAGGUGCCUAUCUUAAGGUAAUAUAAUCACAUUCUUGAAGCAUUUUGCAUACUAAACAGCCGGUUGACGCUGUGAAGAACACAUGAAUUGAAACCAAAGUGAACGCCCACAGAAUCUAUUACAAUGGGGAUUUUGCUGGUGUACCUGGAUCACGAGGAUACUUCCUCGGAGUGUGCCGUUCUUUAAAACAAACAACGGCAGUUCGCUGCCCAUAUGGACUAUGUGAUUCCACUGCACAAGUAAAAAAGGGAUCAUUAGACAAUAUUUACGUAAUUACAACAUAGAGAUAGGAGGGUAAAGUUGAGGUAAAGGAUAAGUUGGAAAUACUUCAGCGAUGGAACUAAAAGUAAAAUUAUGAUUAGUUAAGAAAAUAGUUCUAAAUCCAACCUUGCCCAAGAAAAAGAUUUUCCACGAGAAUACUACAGUUUAGUAAGUUCCGUACAAAUAAGCCUUAAUAACCCAUAUCUUAUGAUCAAAGACAAUCCAGUCAAAUCAAACCAAAUACUAGAACAAAUAUUCAAAAUCUUUCAAACAAAACAUAAGCCUACUAAUAAAAUACGCUUGACGAAAUUCACUGCAAUGGGUCGAAAUUCCAGUUAAUUGACUGGCAAAUCCUAUAGUUUUUACAUCACGUUCAUAUAGAUUGUAGCAGAAAUUGGCAGCGUCAGAAAGUUUCUUGUAGUUCCAAGUACACAUUGGAAUAACUAAGUUGAAGUAUCUAGAAAACCAACUGGCUAUGGGGUAAAGUGGGAGUGUCUUUUCAGGAGAGAUUUCUGUACUAUAAAGCAAUCCUCAAGGAUGACGCGAAAAUCAGUUGACUUUAUUACUGUACACAUGAGAUUAUGACAUUGCAGGAAGACCAAUAAAAAGACAAACACACCAGGGCAUAUUUGCAGCAAGGAGGCACCCAUCAUUUCAAUUGCCUUUUCUGCAUUUGUGACUUCUGCCUGUCAAUACGAGAAAUUCUAGAAUGAAUAAGUCAUGCAACAAAAAAGUAACAAACUAAAGAUUCACAAGAUUAUUUAAAUUUAAAAUCAAAAGAAUACCAAUUACGCAAAGAAACUUUCUCAAAAUGAGUUAGAUAUAUUCCAACUCUAAACAAUUCAGUUCAGAGAAAUCUCCAAAAUCAUGAAGUAUACUAGAGAUCAGCUUAAAAUCAAAAGGAGUCUACUUAAAAAUUAAAAUGGUGGUAAGAAAAAUACAGUUACCACGUAUCUUUAUAUUCAUAUCGUCCAUGACAAUAUUUGUGUAGCACCUAUACUUAUAUCACUUUAGAUUGACCAUACAAAAAUGAAUAUCCUGUUGUGCAUUAUAACCUGUAAAUGGCUACUUUCAUAUAUGGAAAAGAAAACAAGAAACUGAAAAUAAUUAAAGUGAAAUGGGGAUUUUAACAUCAAAUGCCUCUGCCUCCAGAAAGCAACAACAGUAUCAAUGAUGGUAACGAUGUGCAUACAGUCCCAGACUCCCAAUGAAGUAGAAGAACGCAAUCAGAGAGUAGACGUUCACAAUGUUAACCGAUAGAGAACAUACAAGAGGAUCGUGGCCUUUGGCAGCUAAAAACAAACCGCCAACACGAACCAUAGGAAGACAAUAUUCAGCUGAAAGAAAAGAUAUCAAAGAAAAAUAAUAAGCAAGAGCAAAACAACAAAUGUCUUGAAGAUUGAUAGAAGGAAGCUAUAUAUAUCAAAUUCAGAUGGUACCUAAAAUUCUCAUUUCUGCGACAGCUCUAGCCACUACUACAUCAAAUUUCUCUCGUAAGGAAAGAUCAUGUCCCAAAUUCUGCCCUACACCGAGAUAUAUAACUGCCACAUUAAAUAUAAACAAAGAAAGAUUGGAGACAUGAGCAGGUGUUCUUCCCUCUCUCUCUCAGAAGAUAAUAAUACAUAAUAUAGAGUAAAUUUAUCUCAAGGAAAACCCUCAUUGAUGACUUCAACUUCUUAAAGUAUUCACAAAACAGUGAAUAUAAUGAUGAAAUCUAGCCUGCUGCCAGCUCUACCCUCGAGGAACUGUUGAACAUGCAAAUCUCUUUACAAUAACUCAAGCAAAAAACGUGUCCCUUCCACAUUUUUGAAAAAAAGCACUAUCGGUACAUCGCCAAAUCAAAAAAUUUUGAUCAUUAUCCAAUAAAAUGGAUACUAAUCACCAAGUAUAUGAACUAAUCAAGACAAGUGAAUCAAACUUGAAUGGCUAAAUAGACCAGGGUGUUUAAUUGCGUAAACGCAAUGUCCACUUACCUCUGCUCUUCCUCGCACAACUUGAACAUUUGUCAAACCGGUAUGACCCACUGCAUGCUCCAAGAAAAGACACCGCUUAUUCAUAGACUCCAUCAACGUUACUUGCCAUUCUAGUCCAUUCAAAUAUUACCAAGUUAAACCCCCAAAAUAAUAGAUAGGAUAAGGAAGCAACCAAAAUUGAAUAUUCGUUAUAUCACAGAAUAGUCCCUGGCGCAUAAAAUGCAUUUUCAUCAUCAUACGAUUCGAUUGUGUUCACCUGGGCAAGCAAUAGCUAUAAUCAAUCCUGGAAGCCCGGCCCCCGUUCCAACAUCAACAAGUUUAAUGUCAUCGCAUGGACUAGUCGAACAAUGCGACAUGUACAGAUUCCGAAUUGGUGGUAUAAUAGCCAGAGAAUCCUCGACGUGCCUUUCCAUCACUUCAUUUACUUCCGUAAUAGCCGUAAGAUUCAUUUUCUACCAGAAUUCAACCAUACAUCCAUCAAACUAAAGCUAACGACAAGAAACACAAAUAAAAUUUCAGGAAAUGAAACCAGCGUCAAAGAGAAACCAAGUACCUGGUUCCACUGAAGAAGAGCGUCGACGAAAAGAUGAACCUGGUCUUUUUGGCGGGAAGUUAGGGUUUCAAAGUGAAGAAAUCUGGAAGAAUUGCAAGUGACGGUGAGUCGCUUAAAGCUGGUCCGGAUAGGAAAACUGAACGGCGUUCGCUUCGGAAGAGGCGAAAACUGUUUGAUAAAAGUCCUCAAAGAGAACGAAACUGUGCUUGCCAUCUUCCCGCGCUCUUCGGCCUCUAUUCAGGAAACCCGUUUCUCCUUCGUGUCUUGACGACCUGUCGUUCGAUACAUUGUUGAUUGGGCCUUUUCACUUGGCCCACUUUCAGUCCAAUGAUUUGACCCAUUAAAAGCCCAAAAAUUCAACCCGAACUCUUGACCCAACAAAACCCGACCCACCGAACCGUCUCUUUACCUAUUGAAUAUUUGGUUUAAACACUCUUUCUAUAUGUAGUUUUAAAUGUAGGACCCUUUUUCUUGUUUUAAAUGCUAUAAAUACUGUCUACAUUCAUAAUACAAGUUUUAUUUUAAUUGAAGUACAUUCAAUAACUAUUCAAACAUUAAUUAUGGUAUUUGAUAAACCUAAACAUUGUUAAGUUUAAUAGCUUUAUAUAUGUAUCGGUAAAUGUCUAGAUCAUUCAAAAACUCAAAUUUUUUUUAGUUACAUAAUGUUCCUAGAUUAUAUAAUGCAUAGAUCAUAUAGAUCUCAUACUAGCUAGCAUGUUACAUCAAUAAAAGAAAAAGGAAGGGACCAAAAUCUUAGUGGACUAGCUGGGUUGUUUCAACACAAAAGAUUUUAUAACAUUUUCAAACUUUUUUCUCAAACAAAUAUUCUUCAUCCACUCUCUCAAUCCUCGUUUUAUUUCUCUUGUUCAACGAGAAUAACAAUGACAAUAACAAGUGGAGUUGCUUCUUCUUCCUCUAACAAUAAUACAUGGUGUUUAACAAGACAACAUACAAAGUUUUUCACAAGCGAAAAUAAACCAAAAUUCAGAAAAUGUUACGAAAUUCAUAUUUUUAUGUAGGUGAUGGAUAUAAAAAGAAAAGCAUAAAGAAGCAAUAAAAAUGGGAAUGAAGGGUAUGAAAAGUGAAUAGUGUAAUGGGGAAGAGGGUAUGUAAGGGAAAAAGGAAAAGGGGAAGAGUAAGAUAAAAAUGGAAUAAUACAUAGUGGCACAAAGGACAGUGCAGAACCCACACUUUCUACUUAGUAAUGAUGGUGACCCAACUUUACAGACAAACUCAACCUUACUAUUUUUAUUUUCAUUUAUUUAAUGUAUACAUCUAAUUUAAUUAUAAUAUAUAUAAACAUUUUAUAAUGUUGUUCUAUAGUCGUGGGGCCUCUCCACCUACAGACACCAGCAUUGAGGUGAGGAAUCAUAAAAUAAAGAACAGCCAUUGAGGCCCCACGAUUCUUUCUUUCAUAAACCAGAAAAAAGAGAGGAGAAAAAUCAAUUUUGACCAAUUUUGUAAGUUUUAAUUCGAAAAUCACCCUCUAUACAUCUUUACCGUUUUCAUAUCAAUCGUGAUAGUUGUCUUUAGCUAUGAUCAUUUCUUAGGUUGGUUGCAUUUUCAACAAUCAUUCUCUCUAACAAAAAGCUACCAAAUCUCCACUUAAAUACUCUAAAUUUUCUUAAAUAGAAUAAUACAAUCUAUGGACUUCAACUACAUACACAAAUCAUAGUAGGAUUAUCAAUUGGAAAUUUUACGACGUGACUAAGUUAACGAGGAACGUUGAUAUAUAUAUAUAUAUAUAUAUAUAUAUAUAUCAUCUAUAUACACCUAUAAUGGUAUUAUAUUGUCCUAUUUUAAAAUGUCAUUAUUUAAUUACAAACCCUAUGGUUAUUCUAUGUAUUUAAUUAUUGUGAGAGUUUGAUUGCAUUUUUGAAAACUCGUCCAAAUAAACUCUAAUUAAAUAUUUCAUGAAGCAUUUUAAUUAUUUUAGUUCAUUCAACUUUUAGUGGUUCCCUCGUUAAUUCUAUUUUCGGACAAAAAUAGGUGUAAACUUUUGUAGAGACAUUAAUUUUAGUGAAAUAUAAGUUUUAUCAAUACACAAUUUUGACAAAAAAAAAUAAAUUCACAAAUUUCAACCAAAAUAAUUAUUCUAAUUCUUUGAGUUUUAGCUCAUUUUUUUAACCAUAUAUAUGGGUAUGAUCAAACCUCUAACUUUUAGAUCAACAACAAAAGUACUAUGUCAGUUAAGUUCGAUUUUAUUCUUUAAUAAAGUUUUAAAUGGUAAUUAAUAUCUUAUAUAUUGUUCUAAAUAAGUUUAGGUUAAAGAAAAAGGACCCACACUGUUUACUUACCUCUAGCCAUUAAAUAUGGGUGGAUUUAUUGGCUGCAUAAACAAACAACAUUGUGGGGACUAUGGAGAUUUUAUUCUUUUCGAUCAUCUUCGGGUUUGAACUUUGUUUGCUUCUAAUUAUUAUUUUUCUUUUAUUUUUAUAAACAAAUAUUUAUAUGUGUAAUUAUAUGAGCGUUGAAAAUUUUCGCUUAAUUAAGAUGGAGUAUUAUUUACUAGAAAUUAUAAAUAUUUUGGUUCUGAUUAUAUAUUUUGAAACAAUUUUUUUUAGUAUAGUUUUUGUUUUAUAUCAAAACUAAUUAUAAUUGGGUCUUAGAUUUUUUUAAAACAGAUAAUUAAAAAGUGGAAGGAAAAAAGGUUGGUUGGUUCAUUAAUUGAGUUUUGUUUUAUGGGUGAGAUGUGACCUUAUGAUGGAAGGUCAACCAUUGGUGUGAUUACAUUAAUUAGGGGUUUUAUGGGGUAAUUAUAUAGUUUGUUUGAAUAAUGUAGACAUUAUUAUGUGUCUAAUCAUAGAUUUCUAUAUAUUACUAUUUUAAGUUCGAAUUUUGUGCCAACGGCCCAUUUUGAUUAAGAGGAAUUACUCGAGGUUCUAUUGUUAUGAACAAAAAUAUAAUUAAUGAAAGUGCUUUUGAAUGUAUUUAAUCAUUUCUGAACAGUUUAAUUUGGGUUGUGUUUUCAAAAAAAAUUGUGAAGUUCUGUCUCUUUUCUAAAAAAAUAAGAACACUAAUGUCCAUUAGUUCAGUUCUACUAGUUAACUUCACAGUAUUGAAUUAGGAUACAAGCAUUAAUUGAAUAAAGGAGUGGAUCAAUAGUAACUUUGGGAGUAAAAUUAAAGAAAGAUGGAUAAGAUUGGAGAAAAGAAUAAAUAAUUUAUGUAUGUAUUUAUAAGAGAUUAGUAUAUAAUAAUCGAGUAGUUUUAAAAUAAUAUAUUUAUAACGGUUAACUGAUUUAAUAAUCAUUAAAAUGCUUUUAAAUCUAUAACGUUAAAGGUUUAAACGAUUAAUGAAUUAAGAAAUUUCGAACGAAAGUGAAAGAUAUUAUUUUGAUAAAUUAUUUUUCUCAUAUUUUUAUCGUAAAAAAAAAGAAACAUUUUUAUUUAAAGAUCUUAACCAAAUAAUUUUAGAAUAAUUAAUUUGAAAAAAUACACAUUUCCAAAAUACUCCAUCUCAAUUCACACUAAAACUUUAGAACUAACACUCCAAAAAACACUAAAGAAAAAACCCACAACAAAACAAAACUAAUUAAAAAAAACUCACUAAGCAAGAAAAAACACACAACAAAACAAAACUACAUAAAACUCACUAAGCAAGAUUCCUUUCAUUUAAUGUUAAUUCAAUAAUUGAUGAUAAUAUAUAGAAGAGAACAAAAAAAAUUAUCAUUUAACAAAAAUAAAUUUAAACGAGAAGGCAAGUAAAGCUUGAUCAAAUUAACCAACUAGAGCCUAAUUUAACUGAUAUCAAAUUUGUAUUAAAUAACGAUAGAGUGUGUAAUUCGAAUCUUUUCCUACGUACAUUCAAUUAUUGUACUGUAAAAGCUUCACUCUAAGAGUAAUUUAUCAAAUUACUUAAAUUUAAAAAUUAAAAUAAUAACGUUACCAAUAAAAAAACGUAAAAAUCCAUCUAUAAAGUAGACAAAUAUUAUGUCAUAUAUUUUGAAAUUUAGAGGAGUUACUUUUCCUUAUUAAACACAACAACAAAUUUAUUAUGACCCAAACUUAAGCCAUGGAACCUCUUUUUAAAGGUAAAAAAAAGAUUGAUAAUAGUGAGUUCUAUCAAAUAAACAAAGUAUUUUACAAAAAUAGAGUUCACCGUAUGAAUAUAUCCAAUGUAUUUAAAAUGAACUAAUAGAGUUUAUCACUGUUUGAAUAGACGAUCCUAUGCAUGCAAAUCAUUGUUCAAAUAAAGUAUUGUAGGAGAGCAACAAAAAAUUUCUCAUUAGCUACAAAGAAAACGAAAUAAUAAUAUUAUAUCAAAAUCAUCUUAAUCACUCCAUAGAUGCUCAAUAACAAUUCAUAAACAUAAAAGUUGAUAUAUAUUUUAGUCAAGUCAUAAAAACUUAAAAGUCCAAACUAAACACACAUGAUAUAUAUAUCAUGCAUACCCAAUACGAUAAAACGUCAAUGGGAUCUUAUACCUACCUAUAUUCCAAACUUUUGCUUGCAUUAACUCACUCCCACACUACAAUUAGCUACUCAUUGUAUACUCAAACGGUUUAUUCACCCUAGGUUUUCUCUAAACCUCUUAACUAUUAACUUUUGAAUUUGAUUAUACAAGAAGUUUAAGUGUUAUAGGAGAAGAGAUUUAUGAUGUAGUUUUUUCUUUUUUUCUUGUUAAUAGUACAUAUACAUUUGAUGAUCUCAAUCAAACCUAGCUAUGACAUUUUGUUUUGGAAGACAAGGACGAGUAGGGUUUAGAUAAGGGUGUCUUAGGAAAUGACAAGUAGAAGAAAGUAUAUAUAUAUAUAAAUUUUAUUUAAUGGGAAUCUAAUAAUAAUUGAUUGUCCCCAUGAAGACCGAAUCAUUAUUCUCAAAUUGAUCAAAAAGAAAAGAAAAGAAAAGAAAAGAAAGGUGGGAAUUUUCAGUUCAGGUAAAACAUUUUGAGUACAAUGACAUUCUGUUUAUUCUCUAAAAACCCCUCGAAACUACCACUUCCACAGGGACAAACUACCACAUUCAUCCACUUUCUACAAAAUUUCACUUUCUUUUAUGUACUAUUUCCUUAUUUUUCAUUACUUCAUUUAUACCCACACACAAAAAACCCUAAAUUGUCGAGAGCUUUCAAUUAUGAUUCAUGUCCCCCACAUUUUUCAAAAAUUUUAUUUUAAAAAAUACGUGUCGACUUUUGAUAGGGUAUGAGUAUGAUAGACCGAAAAUUAGAGUAUAUUGAUCAAACAAACCGAAUCAAAAGGGUUUGGUCGGUGUUAGCUUGUGACUUUGGUUAGUCUGUUUUUUUCAUGGUCGGAGUUAGUUCAAAUGUUUACUAAAUCAACAUUGUAUAGUCAUUUAGUAGUGGUUUGAUAGAAAAUUUGAAUGGGACGGAUGGAUGCUUACCCUAAAUUUAGGAGGAUAUUUGGAGUGUUGAAUUUUAUUAUUUUAAUAUGUAGUUCUUUUUAGUGUAUACUAAUUCGAUUUGGAAAAAAGAUAACAAAUCUUGUAAUAAAGACGAGAUGCGAUAGAAGUAGAAAAUAGUGAAUAUGUAAUAAAGAGAGAUUUAUGGUAGUUAAUGGUAAAAUCUAUAAUAGUUGAAAACACGAAUUAUUAUAAUUAAUUUAAGUCGACGAUACAAUGUAAUAUUCACCCUACUCAUUUGAAGUUGGGGACUUAAACAAAACUUCUAGAUAUAUAUCUCUUUAUCUUUAUGUUUAAAAUUGAAAAAAAAUGUGAAAAUUGAUGUGAUAUGACAAUUGAUAUAUAACAAAUCCAAAAAAUGUCCGUGACAUUAUUUACGACCACGUAUAUAUUAUUAAUGAUAAAAAUCAAGAGAGAUUCUCUAUCCCUUGAAGACAAUUGACAAUAUAAUAACUUACCAAAUCAACACAAAAAAGGACAACAAUAUUUGCUGUCAAUUCCUCGUUAAUAUACUUCUCAAAUAAUAACCCAACGUAUAUUUUAAUUUUUAUACAUCAUUAGUUGUCACGUCAAUCUCCAUCUCGUAUUAACUAUAGAACGAAACUUUUCAAAAUCGUAAAUAAAUGUAGUUAAAAGUUAAAACUCGACCUUAUAGUUGAAUCUAUAUCUCUCUUUUUUUACCUUUACUAUCACAUAUUCCAAUUCCUAAAAGUGCUUUUAGUAUAGAAAUGUGUUUGAAUCUCCAUCAUCAUCAUUGUUUAAAGGACUAUGAUACACUCUUAGCUAUAUAUUUAAACCCAAAAGAACAGAGAGCACUAAACAUUUUUAAUUAAAAGGAAAAUCAUGCUUUGAAAAGCACUUAUCUAAACACAUAUAUAUACAUAAUUAAAAAACAGAAAAAGAGCUGAAAAGAGGUUUUGUGGUUUGUAAUGUUUGGAUAUUUGAAGAAUAAUGGAAUUUUAUAAUUAAUUUGUGUGUUUGUGUAUUUGUUUACUGUGUUAGUUUAAUACAAAAUUAUUCCAACUGCCAAAAAUAUUCCCUCUCUCUUUAACAAAACCCAAUAAAGCUCUCAAAAUAAGGAGAGAUUUCUUUUAUCUACUCAAGGAUAUAUACAGUCACAAACAGCCUUUAAGUUUUUCUUUCCUUUUUUUUACCAUCAUUAAUUAAAAUAAUCAAUAUUAAAAACACUUCGUUAAGUGAUUUUCCUUUUUUUAUAAAAAAAAAUUAUUCUUCCAAAGCUUUCAAUUAAUUUAAAUGGAAAAAGGAAAAAAAAAUGGAAGCUUUGGUGAAUCCCAAAGACUAUGCAUAUUCUCUUGACUCAUGACAUUUAUGCAGAGCUGAGCUGCUUGCUAGCUCCAUCCACCACUCUUUAUUGUUCUUCUUUUAUAGGUUAAAAAAAUUACCCUUUAGUGAAUUAAGUUUGAUUCUUUAAAAAAAAAAUUAGAAUAUAAUAUAGUGUUCUUCGAUUAUAGUUGUGUGAUUUUCUCGAAUAUGGAUUAAAAAGUUGUAUGUUUGAAAUAAUCACAUUAGAUGAUAAUGAAUUUGAAGUAUAUGUUUGGUCUCUCUUAUAUGUUUAAUGUGUUGAAAAACUGAUAAUUUGUUAAUAUCAUUAAUUUUUUCAAGUUGACACGUUUAUAUAUAAGAAAAGAAGUGUUUUGUGUAGAAUGAGAUUAUUCCACGUCCAUCUUUUAAAUAGCUCGAGGGAUGAAAUUGCACAGGAAUGAGUACAACCUAAAAUACAUUGUUAAAAAAAGUUAAUUUAUAGGGUGAGAAAUAAAUGCCAUAUAGUAUUGACUUAUACAAUAUAUUAUAUUGCUUUCUCUUAUUAAUUUCUUUUUCUUAUUAUUUUCAAAUAUAGCAAAUGAAUAAAAAUAUAGUAAAAUGUUACAAAAUCCAACUACGAUAAAUCGAGAGAUGGACUACCGCCUAUAUCUAUUUCUAUAAUGACAGACACAUAUAAUAGUUUAUUUUGAUUUAUAUCAUAAAUAUUUUGUUCAUAUUUGUAAAUAAUUUUCAAAAUUAAUUUUGUCAUUCAAAAUAUUUGUUUUUCUUCAACCUGCUUUUCAAAUUAGGUAUUUUAAAUUCCGGUCCAAUUGUCUAACCACAGUUUUUUACACAAACAUAGUUGCAACCCAGAAUGCAUUAAAACGUAUUAAUAUUGGUUUUCUUUUAUCUGAAUCUCCUCUCCAUUGAGAGAGAGAGAGAGUGCAACAAAAAGCUUCCACUCUUCCUUAUAAUGUCUUUCUCUCUCCCCUUUUGUGAAAGAGAGAGAGAGAGAUGAAGUAUAGGUAGACAAAAGGGAAAGAGGGUUAAUAAUCAAUCUCUGUUUCUCUUUCUCCUUUCUCUCUUUUCUCUCUUUUCUCUCUUUGUUUGUUCAAUUAAGAGAGAAAGAAUCAUCAUCAUCAUGGCACCAAAGGCCUUGGAUUUUUCUUCAACCUUUGAAGAAAUCACAAAGCACCCAACAAAAAUCAUCAUCAUAAUCAUCAUCAUCAUCACCAUCAUCAUGUCCUCCUCCUCCUCCUCUUCCUUCAUCAUCAUUACACCCUCACCCUCACCACCACCAUCACCAUUUCUUCUUCAUCUUCUCUCUCCAAACCCUAAUUCCCAAUUAAUCAAUACUCUCAUCAUCAAUGAAAAACAAGGGUUCUUUCUCUUCUUCUUCUUCUUCUUCUUCUUCACCAAAAGGAAGAAAAAACCCUAAUCUUCAUCUUCAUCUUUUUUCCUUUUAUGAUCUCUUUUAAUCAAAAAGAGAUCGAUCUCUCUUCAUCCAAAUCCCUCUCUCAACAAAAAGCUUGCUCUUUUGGGGAAUCAAGCAUCUUGGUCCGAUGAUUUUUGAUCCUUCAUUCAUUUGAUCGAUCAAAGUUCAAACACAACAACAACAGCCAACAAGAACAAUUAGGUUUUCUCUCUCAAGUUUUGAGUUUUUUUUUUCUUUUUUCUUUUUAAUGUCAUAUUAUGAUUAUUAUUAUUAUUGUUGUUGAUUAAUUACUUGUAGUUGAUUUUUAAUUUAGUUGUUAAAGUUUAUGUCUUUUUGUGCUAAAACUUAUCAAAAAUCCCAUCUUGGGGUUUAUCAUCAUUUAAUUUUGUGUCUCUUUUAUUAUUAUAUAAGAUAAAAGAUUUACACUGUUUUCUCUAUUCUUUUUCCCAUUUGGGGUUUCUGUCUUUUUAUGAUCUUAAUUAUUCACAAGAAUUCACAUAAUUUUCUUUUUUCUUUUCAUUUUAUUCAUUUGGGUUUUGCAGAAAUUAAACAAUCUUAUCAAUAACUUUGAAUCAUGACAUGUAUAAUCACUAGAAAAAUGCUUCUUUUUUUUUUUUUUCAUUUUCUAGGGUUUGUAAUUAUUAUGAUGGUAUGAUCUCAUUAUUAUCAAAUUUCAAUCAUUUAACUCUUAUGCCUUACAAUCUGCCAGCAUGACCAUUUUGAAUUAACAUGCAUCCACACAUCAAUCCUCGUAGUCGUACGUUUGUCCUUUUUUUAUAUCAUUUCUUUCAAUUUCUUCAUGUGAUAUCGUCUACAAUAGGUCGUUUAAUCCAUUGCUUAAAUAACUAAAGUGAGUUAUAGAUUAAAUACAAAUUUCUUGUUCAGACAUGUUAUUGAUAAUCAUAUCCUAACUAAGAUCGAGUAAUUAGUUUUUAGCUUAAUAUACAAAUGUUUUAACCAAUUAAGUUUAACACGAAACUCGAAAUUGAAUUGGAUGAUGAUCAAAUGCUCCAAAGUUAAACACUUUAGGUGUGGUUGACUACUAUUACUUUGAAUGAUAUUUUCUUGAGUUGGGUAUUUUUUUCUCUCUGGGUAGCUAGCUAGACUACAAGUCUAGAAGAUGUAAAUUUUUGUAAGGAUAUAAAGAAUCCCAUUUUAAUAGUAAAGGAGAAAUAUAAUGAUGGUACUUUUGAAAGAAGUGUGUGUGUGUUUUUUUUUCCUUUCAAAAAUCACUUUGAAAAGUAGAAGAAAGGAAAAUUUUCUCAAAGGGUUUCUGUUUGUUUCCUAGGAAAGUGGUUUGGUGGUGGGAGCUCAUGAUCCAAAUGCUUCACUGUACUUUAUUAUUAUUAUCAUUAUUUAUUUUAAAUUUUUGAAGAGGGUGAAAAAUAAAAUUUAAAAAACAAAAAAGUAAGUUGAAAGUAAGAGAUGUAGAUAAGUCGUCUCGUUGAUUUCUUGGUAUAUUCGGUUAAUGACAAAAGUGAAGAACUUUUUUUAUUUUAUUUAUUUUAUUGUUUUUGAAUUUUGAAUUUUGAUGAUAAAAGCUGUCUUGUUUCCUCAUUGUUAUUGAUGAGAAAUGCACAUGCAUUUUUAUUAUUGUUGUUGUUGUUAUUAUUUGGAAAUAUUUUGAGAAGGAGAGAGAGAAAAAAGAAAAAAAAGGAGAGAAAUAGUAAUGUUUAAUUAAUUAUAUUUAUUUUGUUUAAAGGAAUUAUAUUAUUAUUAUAAGGUAUAGCUUCGAUUGAAUGCAUAUAUAUUAUACAGAAUUUUUCUUCAGAAGGGGAUUCUCUUUUUUGAUGGCCUGCUUACAUUUUUGUAUAAAGUUGUGUUGGAUAAAAAAUGUCAAGUUUUUUAACUUCCCAAUGGAAUUUUUGACUUUGAAUUAUAUAAACAUGGAAUGGGUCAAAAGGGGUUUUUUUUUUUUUUUUUUUUUCUCCAAAUGGUAUCAUAUAAUUGUUGUAUAUGAAAAAAGGUUAGUCAUUUUUAUCUUGAUUUAAUUUUUUCGAACAAAUUUAAUUUAAAUGAGUUGCGUUUGUUUUAUCUUUCUCUUAAUUAACUAUGUGGAUUUACUUUGUCUAAUAUAUAUACAAACCCUAAAGUCAUAGUAUUAGUUUGAAUUUUAUAGAUAAUUUUUUUUUUUUUAGAAAUUGGAUUUUAAUAUAUGAAUUGGAUUCCAUUCGAUAAUUAACUUUAUAAACGCUACAUUAAUACAUAUAAUUUUUUAUGUAUUUUAUUUAAAAAACAUGUCAAGUUUUAAAACUAAAAGAACGUUUUUUAAAAUAAAACAUGAAUUUUUUUCUUUUUAAAUUUAACUAAAAAUUUCAAGUGAUUUGAAAGCUUUCUUUUUUUAAUUCUUUUGUUUCUUUUCAUGAAUUUAGAAAUAAGCUUCUUUGUUUAUAAAAUAAGAAUGAAAUAAUUAACGACGAAAUACGCUUGUAUUAAUUUUCAAAAAUAAAAAAUAGAAAAUGUAUAGAAAUUACCAAGCAUGAACGUAAUUUUUUUUAAUGCAUCAUAUGAUUUGUGAUUUGACAUGAUAGAUUAGAGAAGAUAAGAUUCCUUUUUAGACUAAGGAAGAAAAUUUAAUUAGUGAAAAAAAUUAAGAGAAAGAUAAAGAGGCAAAUUAGAAAGAGUUGAAUCUAAAGGGAAAGUGAAAAACAGGCCACAAGAUUAAGAAAAAAGCAAAAUAGAGAAGAAGCUUUUGUUUUUUGCUUUUUGAAAUAUUACACAAAGAAUCACUUUCCAAAGAAAAUUAUCAAAUUAAAGUUGAAAAGAGAGGAUUAUUGAAAACCUUUAUAAAUGGGUCAUUAGGGUUAUCGUACACUACAAACUAAAGACUUAAAAUAAAACAAAAGACGAGACCAACAAAAUAAAAGCAUAUAGUUCAAAUGACAUUAAUUAAAUAUUGUACUAUCAAUUUUCGUAUUAAAAUGAAAACAUUAUAUUUAUAUUAAUGAUUUAGGUUGGGUUGCAUGGGUCUUUUGAACGGAUUAUCAAUUUAUACAUGCCAUAUGUCAUUUGUUUGUAGAAAAAUAUUUGUUAUGUACUGUAAACAAAACUAUUGUCCAGAUAAUUUUCAAGUAUACAUUUUUAUUCCAAAACUUUGAGCUUUUAUCAAUUAAUUAUUUAAAACCUUUCAUAAGUUUAUUAAUUUACACCUACUAGAGUUAAUUACACUUGUUUAUGAGUAUUUUCAUAAGUAAGUCAACUUACACCAUUUAUGAUUGUCCUUAAAAAUCAUCAAUGCACUGGAUGAACUCAAAUAAGAUUCCAUCCAAUUUUGUUCAACUAAUAUUAUUGUGUGAAACUUAAGAUUUGUGUUUAUUAAAUUCUUAAAUUUUCGUAAGUGAGUAUGACGAGGAAAGUUGUUUAGAUCACAACCUUACAAAAUAGACAACUAGAAUAUAUGCAUGGACGAUUAAUAAAAGUAAUUUUGACUAAAAGUCUAAAUUGAUUUAUUUAUAAAAGUUAUAGAAAUCUGAUUCAUACAGCAUUAUAAAUUUCGGUAUAAAUAUUUACGGUCACGAAAUUGGUUUAGGGGAAAAAAUUUGAAAGUCGCAAACUGGUCUCUAGAUUGGGCAUUAGUAUCCUGCCUCCUUUACCUAUUUGAUAUUUGGGCCUAAAGCCCAUCAAAAUACCAUUGGUGGGCUCUUGUUCGGCCCAUUAGUUUCUUUGUUUUAAAAGGAAAUUUGUUUUCUUUCAAAUGUAAAAUUACUUUUUUUUUAAAAAAAGUCAUAACUAAAUACUUGUGCUUUUUUUAUUUUUUAAAAUUCUUAAAUAUACAAUUUUCAUAUCUAUGAAAAAACAAUAUUUUAAUUCAAUUACAAAAUUCUAAAAACAUCAACAAAUUAUGGAUAUACAUAAAUAUAUAUAUUAGCUUUAGCAAAUUGUCUUCUCCAAAAUUAGAUACCAACAAACAAAAAGAAAAGGUCUAAUUGACUGAAGUAAUAGUAUUGAUCUUCUAAAUAAAAUAGCAAAAAUGUAUUUGGAUGGACCAUGUUUUCAUGAUGAAUAUGUGAGAUAUUACGAGUAUACAUUAUUAUUGUUGGUGAUUUUAAACCCAAAUUAUAAUAAUUGGUAAAUAAUAAGAUUAAUAAAAUAAGAAAGGUUAAAAAUGGCAUCCCCUAAAAAAGCAAAAUAGAGAAGAAGCUUUUGUUUUUAGCAAACACCACACCAAUAUUAUGUACAAAUAAUCUAUUUUGCACUAUUUCUUAUCCCUCCUUCAAAAGUUUACAAUUUAGUGUUACAUGAUAAUGUAUGACUUAUGUGGUGAUGAUGAAAUAAUAAUAAAUAAAUAAUAACAACAAUAAUCUUAUUUAAUUAGCCUACGUCAUGGCAGAUGUCCAAAUCUUAUGCUUCCUUAAUGUAUAGCUUCAAUGUCCACUAAUUGGAUUAAUUAAAGAUAACUAAAAUAUAAUUAUUGACGUUAAAGCUUGCAAAUGAUUAAAACAGUUAUAUAUAUAUAUAUAUAUAUAGUUUAGCCAAGUCCAAAUCAAUGGAUAAUGCCAACUAUAUUAAACCUUAUUAUUUUUUUCCUUUUUGUUCAUAUUGGCCUUUGAUUAUUAUUAUUGUUUAAGUAUUUGAGAUUCAGCCAAUAAGCAUCAGCUGACUAUGCCAAACACAAGAUAUGUGUAUACAUAUAUAUAUAUAUAGGUGAAACGAUUGUAUUGACAUUAUUUUUAUAGUUAUUGUUUUCUUUUUAAGAUCAGAAACAGAAAAUAAUUUUAAGUUAUUUAAUGUAUUAUAAUUAAAGUUAUAAAGAGUGAUGUUAGCUUAUAUUAAAAACAUUCCCAAAAGUAUUGUAUGGAUAUUUAAUAAAUGACUAUAUAUAAACAUUAUAUUUAUUGAGAAUAAUAAAUUUAUAUUUAUAUAUAAUUAAUCAAUUUCAUAAAUUGGUAUUUUAUUUAUUUUAUAAAAAAAAUGCGAUUUUUUAGUAUUAUAGUUUAAGUAUAUAAGAGGGUGAGAAGAUUUAUUUUUAAAUAGACAAAUAUUUGAAUAUUACAUAUUAACUCAUCAACUUUAUAUUUUAAAGAAAUGAAGAAAAUUGUGUAAUAAGAAUUACUCUUCAAUUUAUUAUAAUAUGGAGUGACAUAACCAUUUCUUAAUCUUCAUAUUAUACUAAAACACUAACAAGUGACAACGAAAAUUCCUUAGUUGAUUGACAUUUAUUGUUUUUUUUUUUCAAGUUGAAAUUCAAUUUCAAUAUUUUCCAAAAUCUUGUUAGGGAAAGCUAUUACAAGUUUUCACAUUUUACUAGUAGAACAUUUUGUAGCCAAUUAUUUAAAUGGUUAGUUCAAGUUCAUCUAACACACGUAAUAUUAAAAAAGACUACGUGAGAGUACUCAAAGAUAUUAAAACAUAAACAUUAAAAAACUCUAUGAGUCAUGCAAACAAUUGAAAGAAAGUUAUAAAAGGCUCCAUAGUUUGGGUGUGUCACUAGAAGAAGCUAAUUUUUGUUUGAUCUAGAUAUCGACUGUAAAUGAAAAUGUACCGAUGAGCCAUGCAAAUAAUAAUUGACAAACAAAAUUUAUUUGUAAAAUAUAAAAUUUUAAAAUUUAUUUCUAGUAACAGAGAAGGAAUUAAUAACAUUAUAUUGUCAUUUAUAUUUAUUUAGAAAUGUUCAAAUAAUGAAAAUUAUUUUGAAAAAUACAAACAUAAAGAGUGGGAUGAAAACGUGGGUGUAGCAUAGGAAUUAUCUUAUAAUAUCUCAAUAUGUCAAGUUUUGUUAUUAAUUAGAAAUUUAAAAUAAGAUAGGAAUAAAUCAUGGAAUUAAAUUAAUACAUAUCAUGUCUAUUAAACUAAUACCAACUUGUUUCUCUUAAUUAGACUUGAUCCAGUCAGGUUUCAUUAUUUUUUCCCCUAAAAUUCUUUAAUUAUAUCAUACUUAAUUAUCAUCAUUUUCUCUAAUGAUAUCAAAGUAAUCUACGCACGUAUGUAAUUACUUAUCUCAUGCUAUACUAUUUUAGUCUAAACAUAUAUAAAAUAAUCAAUAUAAUAUCUGUCAAAAUGUAAUAUACAAACUGUUUAUAAAUAAUAAAUGAAAUAACUAAAAUAAGUGUAGCUCAACGUUCCACAUGCUAUAAACAUAUUUGAAAUUAUUUACAAAAUAAUAUAGUAAAAACUAUCCAAUUAUUUGAAUUUUGGAUUUUUGUUUUUUUUUUUUUGGUUAUACUUUGUAAAAAAACAAUAAAUUCAAUGAAAAUUGAAGACUAUAUUAGAAAGCCUAAUUUAAGUUCGAGAUCAAAAUAUAUUUUAUACACCAUUAGGGAUGUUUGUAAAAUAUUUGAAAAUCGAACCGAUUUGACAAACCAAACCGAAACCAAUUGAAUUCAGUUUCAAUGCGCGGUUUAUGUUAUGUUGAAACUACUUCUUAUGCGGUCAAUUUUGUUUAAUGUUUUAUAUUGAUUAUAAAAUCGAACUGAAUCGCACUAUUUAAAAAAAAAACUAAAGAAAUAUUCAUGAAGGUAUUGUUUCUAAAACUUGGUUAAAUAUGUUGACCCGACAUGCACUGAUAUCUAAAAUAAAAUAAAAAGUACAUUUUAUAGAACUCACUGCUAUUGUUGUGGUUUGAGAUUGUUUGGAAUUUAAAAUAGAAAGACAAUUUUUAUCGAACUUGAUGCUUUGGUAGACAUAUAUUCUUCAUGAUUUACACAGACAAAACAAAACUGCAUAUGCAGUUCGGUUUAAUUUUUGUAUGAGAUUUUUUUUACAUUUUGCAUUUGGUGCGAUUUUAAUUUGAAACCGAACCACGAACACUCCUAUACACUGUAAAGAUUCAUUAAUAAAAAAUAUACACGAUAUUUGAAGAAUUUUUACAUAAACUUCCUUCUAAUUACUAAUUUUAUUUAAAUAUGGUUUGAAAUAAACAAAUGUGAAAGAAUUGAAUUAGGGAAAAAAAGAUGGGAGUGAAAAUGAAGGAAGGAAGAGAGUAUAUGUUGAUAAAAUGUCUACUCUUACGCGUACAACUAUAAACUAAAAUAAUAUAUAUUGUUUAUAAGAAAAAGUAAUUGAAAUUUAGUUAAUAUUUUCACCAAAUAAUUGGAUUUGUUGACUGUUGUGAAGGCCAUCGUCGCAUUUAACGGUAACGGGAAUACGGACUCCCAAAAUAAUUAAAUCAUUAAUAAUUGGAUGAGACCCUUCACAAUUAUUCUGACGUCACCUUCAUUACGUAUUGUGUUAUAAUGUUAUAUUCUGCAUCUCAACUAUAAGUUAUUAUUAUUUAUUUCUUUUUCAAAUAUCCAUUUAUAAUUAGGUUAUAUCAAUUUAAAUCUUAAUUUUAACUAUUAUUUUUAAAAGAAAAUUCAAAAAUAGAAUAGUCACAAACUAUUUACACUUUUUCUUAAACAAAGUCAUUAAAAGAGACCAAAUCCCUAGAAUGGUAAAUAAAUAUAUAUAUAUAUAUUUGAAAAUAUAAGUAGGAAGAUUUAAACUCAGAGUUGAGGUUGAGGAUUAUAAAUAUAUAAGUUUUACAAAUUGUGAAUUCAAAUCUGGAACAACUAAAUUUGUAAAAUGUGUAAAUAAAAUUAGAAACUGAUUUCAUAUGUUAUGCACAUUUUUAGAAAUAUAUACAUUUAUUAAACAAAGAGGACCUUAUACUUGACAGUUUAACGGCAGGGGGAGGCAGGUAAAUGCCGCCGCGACGGUCGGCGGGAUGUUGAUUCACCGAUCCUCUUCGCACAAAAUAAUACAAAGAUUCAUUCAUUCAUUGCAAAGUCAAAACUCCAUUCCACUCCCAAUCUCCGACCCAGUCUUCAUCCAACCUUCAUAAUAGAAAAAAAAGGCAAAAAAAGGACAAAUCUUCUCUCUCCGCGCAGACUUUUGCCAUAAAUCAAACUCCCCAACACUCAAUUUCAUCAAACCCAUCGGUUCUUUCCCUCUCUACAUUUCUGAAUUUUGCCCUGUUUUUGGCUAAGAAAUGGUCGGCCAUGGCAACCACAGGUUGAAACUCUCCAUCUUCCACCACCGAUCUUCCUCCGAUCCCAAACCUCAACGCCCAAAAGACUGUCCCCAAGAAUACCUUUGCCCAAUUUCCAAGUCUUUAAUGGCCGACCCAGUUGUCGUCUCCUCCGGUCAAACCUUCGAGCGUCUCUCUGUUGAAGUUUGUCAAGACUUGGGGUUUUCCCCCAGGCUUGAAGAAGAUGACUCAAGGUCCGAUUUCUCCUCUGUUAUAACCAACAGGAACAUAAGAUCUACCAUUCUCAAAUGGUGCGAUAACAACGGAAUCGAACAUCCCCAACCACCGUCUUACACUUCCAUUGAACUCGUUGUUCGUCAAUUAAUGCAGAAGGAGGAGCAGGAGAAUCGAUUCGAGGUUUCUGAUAGCGCGUUGAUUAGGGGCGUCGCUGAUAAACCGACGGGAGUUGCGGUUCAUGCUACCACCGAAGUUGGGUUGCGACUGAACCGAUUUCAACUCAACUCGCCGGAGCAGACUGAGGAGGUCAUACGGGAGAGUACUCUCUUGCCUUUCAAAACACAACCAUCUAGUUAUGCUACCAAUUCUCCUUCCUCUUCACAUGGAGGCAUCGAUAGAGAUUCCAAUCACAGAGGAUAUUCUGAUUCGUAUGCCCCAAAUUUAGAGGAAGAAUCUCGACUCAUUUUGAAAUUCAGAAGCAACGACGAAUUCGAGCAACGAGAAGGAGUGAUUUCCCUACGAAAAUUAACGAAAUCAAACGAAUCGAUUAGGGCUUCUUUGUGUACAAAAGAAUUCCUCGCCGCCUUACUUCCUCUGAUUUUAUCCCGAUCUACAAAUGUCCAGAUCAACGCAGUAGCUUCCGUCGUGAAUCUCUCUCUCGAGAAAGCGAACAAAUUGAAGAUCGUACGCGCAGGAUUUGUUCCGCCAUUAAUCGACGUUUUAGACGGCGGAAACACCGAAUCUCAAGAACACGCUGCCGGCGCUUUGUUCAGUUUAUCAUUAGACGACGAGAACAAAAUGGCGAUUGGAAUUCUCGGCGCGUUACCGGUGUUGAUGAACACGCUCCGAUCCGACAGUGAGAGAACGAGGAACGAUUCAGCUCUUUGUUUGUAUCAUUUGACUCUAAACCCCAGCAACCGAGUCAAACUGGUGAAACUCGGUGCCGUUCCAAUUCUGCUAUCGUUGACGAGAAUCGAAGGGUGUACGAGCCGAAUAGUACUGAUUCUAUGUAACAUUGCGGUGUCUGUGGACGGGAGAUCGGCGAUGCUGGAUGCGAAUGCGGUGAGUUGUUUGGUGGGGUUAUUGAAGGAGAAGGAGAUGGAUUCCGAGUCGACUCGGGAGAAUUGUGUGGUGGCGCUUUACGCACUGAGUCAAGGAGGAUUCCGAUUCAGAGGAUUGGCGAAGGAGGCCGGCGCGGUGGAGGUUCUGAGAGAGGUUGAAGAAAGAGGAAGCGAGCGGGCGAGGGAGAAGGCUAAGAGGAUCUUGCAGAUGAUGAGAACCGGUGGGAGCGGCUCGGUCGAGAUUGAAGGUGUCGUCCAACAUGGUCUUGAUAUGGGUGGAGUCAGCUGGACCGGUCGGGUUGGUACCGGCUUGAACCGGUACUCUACAAAUACCACUAAGUUUUGAUUUGAUUUUUUCUCCUCUUUUUUGAAUGUGAAUUUUAUUUUUAGGACUUAGUUAUUUGUAUAGUUAUUUAUUGAUGUUCAAAGAAAAAACACGCAUUGCUACAUUCAAUUUUUUAAAAUGUAUUAUAUUUGAUAUCAAUUUUGUUUUAAUCCACUUAAUUUUGGGUUUGUUCUUUCACUAAUUUUUUAGAAAAUAUUUGUAUUCAAUAUUUACCGAGAAAAUGCAUGUAAAAACAAAUUUUUAAUUUAUAAAAAUCUUAUAAUAAAACAAUCGAGAGAGCAGAGUAGUGUCUAUAAGCUUAUUUUAAUUAAAAUUAAAGUAAGAUAUUGAAAAGUGUAUAUUUGUUUGGUAAUCUUUUGGCUUUUAAAAUGUGAUAUAGGACCUUUUUAUAUUAAACAAAUCGUUGAAUAAUUUUUAAUUUUUUUAAAAAAAUUGUGUAAAUAUUUAGAAAUCACCCAUAUUUGGAAUAAUAAGUUAUAAUUUUUUAGCUCAUCUUUCUAUCCAAGAAAAUGUAGGCUUUACGACUAAAAUUAAUAAUUUUGUGUUUUGUUGAAGUAUACUGUACGACUGGACAAUGCGUCUAAGAGAUAGAAAAUAUGAUCUCAAAUAGAUUUUGCCAUGUAUUUUAAUGAAGUAACAUAGUCCAUCCGAUAUUUAACUAGUUUCAUUUUACAAAUAUAAAAACUAACAUGUAUGUUUUGAAACAUAUACUCUAAAUACAUAUAAACUUUAAAUUUGAAUACUAAAACUAUAUUUUAUCCCACAAUUUUCCUCUCACACCAUCAUAUCCAUUAUUAAAUUCACAAGAAAAACGAAGACAUAUCAACCAAUUAAAAAGUUAAAUAAUUAAUUAAAUUUGAUGUAAUCACCACAAAAUUUGUAAGGAGCACCUUUGAACAAGAAAAAGAAGAAGCCAAUAUGAUUCAUAAAUAAUGAAUAAGACAAACUUACCUUCCUUCCUUUAUAAUAUAAAGUUCAAAUCUUCCAAAUUCUGUACACUCAUUUGAUCAUGAAGACUUUUUUUUUAAAAAUUUGUUUUUAUUAACUAAAAGAAAAACAAUUAAUAAGAUCAAUAUAAGGUUUGGUGAGGUGUUGACCGUUGACCAAGGAAUUAAAAUGGUUCUCACAUUCCAUUACAUUACAUGUGUGACAUGUCCUAAUCUUAGUAUUAAAUUAAAAAGAAAAAAACUAAGAUUCUAAUUUUCUUUGUCAAACUUUCAAAGGCAAAUAGACAAAAUCACAUUUAUACAUCUAUGUCUAUAUCAUCCUUAUACUGUUAUUAUUAUGUGACGAGUUUCCAUUAAAUUAUGCUUGAAUAGCCUUUUCAAAUGACAAGACACCAUUUAUCAUUUAACAAUAAAUCUUCAAUGUUUACGUAGGUUGCACAUUUAGUAAAAAUAAUUACUGUUUUUGUGAGGGUAAUCUAAGAAGGAUUGAAUCUUCCGUGUAGAUCUAAGCCAAAGAGGUUUUAGGAGAGAAGGUCACACGUUCUGAAUAGGAAAAGCCUUUAGCUUGGAAUUUAGGCAAAGUAUUUACCACAAACCAUAAAUAUUGUACUAAUAGAAAAUAUUGAAUAAGAAAAAUAUGAUAUUUUUGCUUGCUUCGUGUAUUAAAAUCUCAUACAAUAUUUUCACAAUGACACUAAUGAUAACGAAAAGUUAGAAUAACGUAGUUGACUUUGACCACCUCAUCCGGUCAAGUUGUUAAUAAGCAUAUGACAUUUGGGAUGGAGGUGAAUUUUAUAUAACAUUAUAUUUUAGAAGAUAGAAAAUUUAAAAGAAUUAAUGUACCAAAUAAUAUUUUAUAAUGUUUGACCUAAAUAGUUGUAACGUUUAGUUAAAAGAUAAAAGACAAAGUAAGAAUUUAAGAAAAAUAAAAGUGAAAAGAUGUGAUUGUCCGUUCAAAUAUAUCUCCGUUGUUAGAUAUUGAUGUUUCGUAUCUAUGGUCCAAUCAUGUCUCCACUUACUUGAAUAAUUGUAACAUGUCAAGUGAUCUGACUCUAUUCAAUUAUAUUAUAGAGUUGUGAGAAGAAAAAUAAGUGUAAAUUAUGAAAAGUUGUAAGGGAAAAAAUGAAAACACAAGGAUUUCAUCUCAAAGUAUACACAAAUUUUAUGCCAAAAUCCAAAUAGGAGACACACCUGAUCUUGACAAAACAUAAUAGUAAAUUUGUUUGAAUAGAAAAAUGGUGGGACUUGAAAAAUAGAAAAGUUGCAUACACGAAUUUGUUGUUUAAGUUAGAGACGGAGAGAGUGGAAGCUAUUGAAUUUCAAAGUAGGAGUAAAACUACCUUAUUUGAAGUUAUAAUGAAGUAUUUUAUGGAAGUGAUUGACCUAAGUUAGAGUACCAUAAUCCCUAUAGAAUGAUUAUAUAACCAAUCAAAUUGUUGAGCAUAGUAGAUCUCAUGUUCCGCUAAGAUUUGUAAUCUUGGUUGUGGCUGAGCAUCUCCUCUCAAUUCCAUUUGGGUCCAAAAGUGAUUUUAGGGACGGAACGUAUGUAAAACACGUCUCAUUAGCUAUUUUUCGAGGGUUAUUAUUGGACGAGAUUGAAGGCAUAAAUUUGGAUUUUGACACAAACGUCUUUCGAAUUGUUUUUUAACCAAACUUUGUCAUUUUCUCGAUUUUAUUAGUUCUCUUUUUAUUUCAUGUCAAUUAUGUGAUUUGAUCUAAAAUUAUUUCUUAUAAUAAUUGAUAAAGGAAAUAAAUUGAGCCAAAAGAAAAGUCAAAUUCGUUGCCAUUUAAACAAAUGGGCCGUUCACGAAGCCCACGCUAAAGAGAAGCCCAAAACAGGGAUCCAUAUGAUGAAGGAACGAAUCGGCUUCGAAAAUUGACGGAACGAUGAAGAAGACGACCGGUAAGAAGAGGCGUCUUCAAAAACCAGAACCACCGGCCGAUUCUCACUCCGAUGGACCUCAAUUUAAAUCAAUCAGAACUGUUAAUGGCUUCAAUUGCUCGACUAUUGACCCGUAUCCAGCUCAUUCUUCUCCCACUUCGGACGAAUGUCUGUCCGUGAGGGAUGAUCUGUUGAAUCUUCAUGGCUUCCCGCGAGAGUUUCUUAAGUAUAGGAAGGAGCGAGAGAGGCUGAGCGAGUGCUGCUCUGUCGUGGACGGCGUCCGCGCUGAGCACCGGGAUAAUGUGGAGUCGGAGUUCGUCGAUGAGAAGGAAAGCGUUUUGGAUGGAUUGGUGAAAACUGUGCUAUCGCAGAACACUACGGAGGCUAAUUCCGAGAGGGCUUUUGCUUCUCUCAAGUCCGCCUUUGCUGCUUGGGAGGAUGUGAGUCUUCUGCUUUCUUUGAUUGGAUUACGGCUGUUCUUUCUUUUUAUGUUGGAUGACAUGUUCUUAGGACAGAUUUCUGUCAAUUUCUUUUUGCAAUGGAACGUCAAUGAACAGGAUUUAGAAAAAUGGAAACUGAAUUCUCUUAGUUAGUUCUUGUUUUGUCAAUGUAAUAUUUUUAUCCAAUAUCAUUAUUUAGUAGUUUUUCUUGUGUCGUUCUUGCAUAAACCAUAACCAUGAGUCAAUUCUGAACUUGAACAUCUCUACUUUCUAAUCUUUUGAAAGUUAUCUUUCAUAAUAAAUCUUAUAUUUAGUUUAAGGGCAAACAAAAUUGCUAUCUGAAAUUCAAAUUUGGACAAUGUGAUUGGAGAGUUGGAGUAUGUAGGACAGACCUUCAAUGGUUUUUCCCAGCAAUUUUGAUGAAGUGUGCCUUUUAAGAAAGGGGUUUUGAUUUAUCAUUUAUGUACUCAUAUUUGAAUGUAGGUUCUUUCAGCUGAAUCCAAAUGCAUAGAGGAUGCCAUAAGAUGCGGAGGAUUAGCAUCUACAAAAGCCUCUUGCAUAAAAAAUAUAUUGAGUUCUCUGUCAAAGAGAAGAGGCAAAUUAUGCUUGGAGUUCUUGCGCGAUUUAUCCAUCGAUGAAAUAAAGGCAGAGCUGUCGACUUUCAAAGGAAUUGGCCCCAAAACGGUAUUGUUUCUCAAAAAAAAACAACUUCCUUUGUAAUCUAAUUUAUAUUUUAACAUUUCAGAUUUUGUCAGUUCAUGGAACUAUACCACCCAACUUUUGUAUCCUAUAAAACACAGACACUGACGCUCCUGGCACGUCUCUGUCCAUUUUUCUCUUAAUCUUAGGGGUUUUCAAUUCUCACCCAUUGAUUUUUCCAUCCUCAAAACCCACUGGCCACUUACAUGUAACGAACGAACGUUCUUUUAAUCUUCAAAGCAAAUAUUCACAGUUUGUUCAAAUAUUCACCCGUACAUUUAUUGUUGUAAGAAAAACAAAGUGUGUCCCAAACAUGUCGUGUCCUACAUUUUAAAAAUUAACAUGUUACCGUGUCAGCAUUGCAUCGUGUGUAAAUGUUUAUGCUUGUGUCUUAGCCUUUACCUAUUGGGAUCGUAGUUUAAAGGCUUCUACUGUUUUUUUCUCUUUUUUUUGUGUGUAUGUGUUUUCAUGGUUAGCUAUGGCUUGCAUUUUUCAUAAAAUUCCUCGAACAUCUUGGUUGCUUAGUGUUAUAGCAUCAAUAAUCAAUCAUACAAGUUAUAAAUGACAGGUGGCCUGUGUCCUGAUGUUCAAUCUUCAGAAAGAUGAUUUUCCAGUGGACACUCAUGUGAGUAAUUGAAUUACUCUUUCGGAUGAGUUUGUGAUCCGUGUUCUCUAAAGACCAUUGAAAGGUUUUGAUUCUCCAACGACAUGUUUGCAGGUAUUUCAGAUUGCAAAGUUUGUGGGUUGGGUCCCGGAUGACGCAGACAGGAACAAAACAUAUCUUCAUCUCAACAAAAGGAUCCCAAAUCAUCUCAAGUUUGAUCUCAACUGUCUUCUUUAUACUCAUGGAAAGCUCUGUUCGAAAUGUACGAAGAAAACAGGCACCCGACAGCGAAGGGGAUCUGAAGAACAAUCUUGUCCUUUGUUCAAGUACUCCUAUAACCCUUAAAUCUGUGAAUAUAGAUGUAUUUACCAAAAGUUUAUUUAUGAAAGCUUCUAAUCCUUUUUUUCUGUUACUGUCUCUUUCUUUUCUUUUGUUCCUACAUUUUUAGAAAAAUGCCAUGCUAAUGUCCACAAUUAGGAAUGCUUUUUCUGUAAGAAAGUGUUUCAUUCAAGGCCAUUAUUAUUAUUAUUUUUAAUUGAAAAUACCUUGGACUUUGCCAUUGGUUAAAACAAUAUCUUUAUUCUUUUAAAAAAUGUAAGAUUACUUUGAUGUCUCCUUAAAGCAUCAAAUCCAUCCUUAAAAGUAGAAAUUCAUUAGGAAGUUGGACAAAAAUUAGGAUUUGGAACAAUGUGAUAUUUCAAGCCGUCCGUACACCUGUUUUGAGACUUAUUUUUCAUUCGAAAUUCUAAUGGGUUUUUAAUCUAAAAGUAAUUUUGAAACGAUUUUAAAAAGAUAAACGACAAUGUUUCAUCUUUUGAAAAAUAUUAAUGGGCAAAGUUCUUCAUUUUUGUAAUAAAAAAUUUAUAAUACAUUUACUUAGCUCUACAUUUUGAGAAGCACAUAUAACUAGAGAUGUUCAUUUAACUCAUAGAACCCGCUUAAGAUUGUAUUAAUUUGAUUAAUCAUACAUAAUUUACGAAACUAAAGCUGAGAUAGAAUAUAUUAAAAAUAAAUAAAUGAAUAGAGGUAUAGGAAGUAUUCAUACAAUGGGAAAUACAUAUCACUAUUCCCAUUUUAAGAAUGAAAUUCAUAACAAACAAAACACCCAGUUCCAAAAUUAAGAUAAAAAACACAAAUAAAAAGAAGUUCAAGAAUUCAAAAAUAAAAUGCAAUUUUUUUCCUUUGUUUCUUUGUUUUUUUUUUUCUUUUUGGCUCUUCUUCUUCCUAGAAAAUAACAUUGAUUUGCAUAUGAGCAUCAAUCCUUUUCCUUCCCUUCUUCCUUUUUGAUUUGUUUAUUUUUUCUUUUUUGGUAAAAAACGAAAUAAAAAUUAAAAAAAGAAAAGAAAAAAGAAAAAAAAUAAUAAAAGAAAAGAAUUUCUCAUGUAUUAAUAGAAUUAAAAAGGUCACACCUUCGUCGAACCUCCCCCUUUCUUCCCGUUUUAACGCCGUGAACACUGAGCUUCUCCAUAGCGCGACCAAAGUCGUGAAAAAACGCCGUUUGGUUAACAGCGUAAAGAUCCACAAAGGGCUUCGUCCUUGGAUCCUUAUCGAGGGCGUUGUCAGUGGCCAGUAGGCCUAGGCCACGUGGAAGAUUCUGGUAGAACAUAUUGUCGAAUUUGCCAGGUGUUAUGACGUCGUUGAAAGCUGACAUGGCGGUGUCUUUUUCGUAAUUGGCACACAUGGUCUUUAGCUUUUCGGCGAAUUUUGGGUAUAUGUCUGGGUCGGUGGGUGACGUGGGACUAUGGUGGAAGAGUCGGUCGGUGAAUUCCUUGCAGUGGGAGAAACCGAUGGUGUGACCGCCGGAGAGGGCGACCAGUUCUUGGACGGUGAAGCCUCUUUCAACGAAGUAAUCGAUGAGUUUGUCCAUUGUGAAGUUCACUGUUGGGAGGUUCCCUUCCACAUUGCCUGCUUUUGAUAUCAUUCCGUCUUUUCUCCCCAAUCGAACGUUGUAGAAUGGUCCUCCCACCAUCACUACUAGAUCUCGAGUCGCCUAAUUAUUUGUCAUUCAUUAUUCCAAUUGUGUUAGUUUUUAGAUAACUGCUAUCAAUGGUUGAUCAUACUGUUAGACUAAUAACAAUAAUAAAAAGAUCAUAGAUGCAUGCAACACCCAAAUCUAUCUUAUACAAUAAUUAAGCGAUGAGAACGAAUGUAGUGUUGUGCGGAUCCAAUUUUCAUUUUCUACAUUAUUUCAUGUUCUAACCAUUGUCUAUAUCGUUACUUUUAGAAAAGAUUGUUGCCUAAAAAAAACUAAUAAAAGAUUGCCUGAUGUAUGUUUUAGUGAAAACAAUUCAUAUCAUUUACACUAUUUAUUAUUAAUGAUAAUUUUGAAAGAGGUGUGAUGGGAAAUAUUAUAACUUUGAAAUGAUAUGAUACGUAAGAAAAAGAAAAUUAAGGCGUAGCUAGAAGGUUAAUAUAUUAAGAAAACUAUGAUGAUUGAUUGACCUGUGCCAAGAUGUCAGAACAAGACACAAUGCCAGGGCAUGCGAGUUCGAGGUUGGUCUUAGCAUGGACGACGACAUCGAAGGCGUCACCAGAAAGGGAGUGGUUGAUUUCAGCCUCACGCUCAGCUUGGUUGAAGGAGUUGGAGGAAAUGAGAACGGAGGCAUCACAACCAUCAACCAUACAGUCAUGGAAGAAGAGGCGAAGGGUUCCUGCAGCGGUAACAGGACUGGUUAUUUGUUUAUUGGUGACAGUUUCACGAAUAAUCUUCUCAAAGUCGGGACAUGUUUUUUGGUAAUAACCGAGGGAGAGUUUGGAAUGAACAAGAGAUGGGAAAGGGAGGAUGAUGGUAACGAGGAAAAGUAAAGGGAAAGGGAAAGGGAAAGCCAUGGUGGGUUAGAGGGGAAAAGGAAGAGGAAAACUUAAUGGCUUCCUCCUUAUCUAUUCCUCUAUGGGGAAGCCUCUUCCAAUGGAGGGCAAUGAGGAAUAAGAAGAGGAAGGAGGAAGCAAUAAUUAAAAAAAAACAAACAUUCCUAAAUUAAUACAUUAAGAAAUUUUGGGAUCUCCAUCAAUUUCUGUCCAUUCGACAAAACACUUUUUUUGGGGUUUUCUGUUAUAAAUCCAAUUCCAAAUCAAACCAUUACCUCUCUUUUUCUAAAUUCUAUUUUCUACUGUUCUCUAUUCUUCUUCCCACUUUUUUCUCUUUUCUCUACCUCCCAUGCAAACUUUCUAUAUAUACAUAUAUAUAAUAUAUAUAUUACAUUUUUGCAUGAAUCUAAUUCUUUUUAGGUUGUAUUGUAUAAAAUGACAGAUAGAAUCAUACUGCUUAAUUGGUUAAAGUUACUUGCACCUAUCUCUAUAUUGAUAAAAUUUACAUAGACUUGUCACUCGUCCAUUAGUUUUGACCAUAGUAUCAAACCCCAUAAGAUAGCACAUGAGUAUUCAAAAACACUUCAUACAGUUUUACGUGAUGUCCAAUAUAUGCAUUUGCAUAGAUGGGGAAUUCAAUUCCCAAGUAAAGUGGUUUCUGUAAGUUAGUUUCAGAAACUUUAUUGUCGUUUUUAUUAAGAACGAAAAGUAGUGGAAGACAGCUUUGUAUGUUGGAGGUGGAAGCCUCUUCCAAGCUGGUUUCCAUUUCAAUAUUACAAAAUUCCCCUAAACCCUGAUCAUCUCUUCACUUUUAUCCUUUCCAUUUUUCUCCUCAAUAAUAUAAAUCACUGAAACUUAAUCAAAUUUCUUUGAAAUGUUAUUGUUUUCUUUUUAUGAAAAUUAGUUAAAUGAAUUCAAAUAAUUAAAUAAAACUUAUCAAAAUAAUAAUAACUUAUUUGGUGGAUGAAAUAAGAUUUAAAAUUUACACAACUUGAUAAAGGUGGUCAUUUUAGUUUCCUAAUUCCUCUAAACUUUUUUUCUAUUUUUAUCCUUAGAAUAAUAAUAAUCUUACACCAUUUUAUUUGUUCUUUUUAUUAAAAAAUAAAUCAUUUUUUUAUUUUAUUUAAAAAAAUUCCAACCCAAAAUCCUAUAUAAAGAACAACAAAAUAAUAAAAUUGAUGAUAAUAUUUCUACCAUUUGAUUUUGACACAUUUAAUUGAGUGUUAAAUUAUGAUGAGGUUGAAGAUGCCAUUUGGCUUGGGAGCAGGUUUGGAAUCAGAGUAGUCAGUGGCACCCUUUUUUUCCUUUGUAUUUUUGUAUGUGUUGUCUCCCAAAUAUGUCCCCACCCCCCACAGCCUUUCCAGCUCAAGCAUUCCCCAUUUUUUUGAAAUUUACCCCCACAAAUCAUGUCCUUUUCUGGAAUUUCACGCUUAGUCGUCUCUUUUCUCUUUAUAUGAAUGAUAUUAGAGUAUUAGUUGCAGAAUUUAUGAAAGGAAGCCAUGGCAGUCCGUAAGUUCCUCCUCCUCCUCCUUCUUGGGGUCUUCGUUUUCCUCUGCCUUUCACAGGUAAAGCUUCUCUAUUCCUACCUCUUCCUACUGAUCUUCUGCCCUUCGCAACUUUUAGUAACUAAUUGUUUUUUUGUUUUUGAAUUUUGAAUGAGUCUAUUUUCCCUGGAUUUCUUAUGAUGUAUUUGCAUAUUUCAAAGAUCUAAGGUUUGAAUGCUUAGCUAAAUUUUAAAUAAAAAUAUGUAUGUAUAUUCUUUUAGAUUUUAAGUUUUGUAGAUAACAAGUAAGAAAUUUAGUGGGAAAGAUGUGUUUAUUGCUUAUUUUUUUAAAACUAAAGACAAACCAUUUAAGGUAUUGUUUCGUAGUUAAUUGAUUUUUUGAUUUUAGUUUUUGAAAAUCGAGUUUACAAAUACCUCUUUUACAUCUAAAUCUCUCAAGUUUUCAGAAAACGAAGCUAAAAUUUUAAAAAUGACAGAAAAAAAAGUUUACUUAAAAGAAGGUGAAAUAGUAGCAUAGUUUAAAUGUAUUUUUUUUUUUUUUUUUUGACUAGGUUCAAAUGGUUACUAAACACAACAUAAAUGAAAAAACUUGUUCUUAUUUUUAAUAUUUAAUUAGAAAAAAAAAAAACGAUAGUUAGACAAGUAUUGAAAAAAAUCAAUUACAAUUUUCUUAAACUAAAAACCAAAAACAUCCAAUGGAAUUUGUUUUAUAAGUAGCUAGGAGAAGUAUAAUAUAGUUUUGAAAACUUGUUUUUAUCUCUAACGAAAAGUGUCGUAUACAAUAUGCAAAAUUUUAAUGGUGUGUCUAAUAGAGGGAAGGUUGACCCAUUCUAACAUUUGAAAAGUAACAAAAAAAAAUCUACCGAACAUAAAAAUUAAACAUUUAAGAUUCCAUUGGAGUAUAUAUAUAGUAAACACACAAUUGAAAGUUCAUAUUUACUAAGGUUAUGUAGGACGUAACGCAGGUAUCUUCCAAUGGCUACGAAGAAGAAGGGAUGAAGGAGAUGGAAUAUGAUGAAAAAAUGAUGAGAGGGGCAAACAGAAGGCUAAUGCAAUACAUAGGUGAGAGAGAAAAAUAGACACACUGGUGGUUUUUUUUGUUUUUAUAAUUUAUAUGAUGCGUUUAUGGAAAAAAUGAAAGCAAAACAAAUUGGGAAUUAUAUUAUUACACAGAUUGUGGAGGGCAAUGCAGGCGUCGUUGCGGGGCGCACUCGAGGCCAAACCGAUGCAUAAGAGCGUGCGGGACAUGCUGCCGGCGCUGCAGAUGUGUGCCGCCGGGUACGUCAGGUAAUCGCGAGAUGUGUGGCACUUGCUACACGAGCAUGACCACUCAUGGGAACAGAACCAAGUGCCCUUAAUUAGCUAUACCCAAAUGCAUCAUCAACUAAACUACUACGUUUUUCGAUCUUUUGAGUUAAUUUUUCGUUUCCUUCUUCUUUGAUGUAUGUUUCGAAUUGGUUGCAAAAAUUUUCUUUAUUGUUUUGUAUUUCCAUGUUUAUGCUUCCAUUUACGUGCUUAGUUUUUUAAAUUACAUCUUGAUCAGUACAUCAUAUAUUUCUGAUUAAUUAGGUGAAAUUACUAAUUGGGUCUUUAGUUUGAGAAUUUUCUAUGAAGGUGGAGGGAUUUAGAUUAUAGUUUCUUUGAAUGCUAACACAUAAUUAUAGUUUAGUCUAACUAUAUCUUCACUCUAAUUUUUAGUUUCAAAGAUUUAUUAUUUAUCGUUUAGUUAAACUUUAUAGAAUUAUUGUUCAAUUAUUUUUAUUCACCAUUUUCUAAAUUUAAUCAUUUUCUCCUAUUUGCUAUUGUUGAUAAUUUUUCUAAAUUUAAUAUAGUUGCCAAAUAAACAAUAUCAUACCUAAGUAAUAAAUUAUUUGUCUUUUAUUUUUUCUUUUAAUCUUUCCAUUUAGAUUUAGUUAGAGAAACGUGCGGAUUUAUAAUUGAUCACAAGUUUAAUGGUUUAUAAUUAAUUUUACCAUUCCUUGAUCCCAAACUAAAUAAUAAAAAUAAUGGUUGAUGCAAAAAUCAGAGAAAGAAAACAAAUCUUUACUUUGAGUGAAUUUUUACUUUUAGAAAAUUUGCACACAUCUACCUUUAUACAAAUGUCUAAAGUAAUUGAAGUUACCUCAUAUACCUUUAUAAGUUACCUCAUAUACCUUUAUACAAAUGUCUAAAAUAAUUCAAGUUACCUUUAUACAAAUGUCUAAAAUAAUUCAAGUUACCUCGUAUGAAACUAUAAUUAACUAUUUAUAAAUAGGUUAACUUUAGGUGUCCUCCAGUUCAUUUUUGUAAUGAUAAAUUGAUCGGAUUCUAUGUGAUUUUUUUUAGUUAUAUUCGAAAAUUGGGCUCCUCCCUUGGCCCAUCACGAUCUUAUCUUGGUCAUGGGCUCAAUUACUCUCUUUAGUAUUUGUUAGAUCUAAGUUUGGUUCAAAACUAUUCCUUAACAUUUCUCUUGAGAAACUAACAUAUUCCAGAAAAUAUCAUUUUUCGUCAUUUUUGGUGAAACAAAUAUUUGGUCAAACUUUAACAAAAAAAAAUUUACUAUAUUAAAAGGAAUUAGACCUUAGAGAGAUGCCGAUCCUAAUAAUGAAAAAGGAGUAGUUGAUAAAAGAGAAUUGUUUCUUUAAAAGCAAGCAAAGGUCAAGUGGGAUCCAAUAGUAAUGAUAUCAUUUUAUCAUUUUAUGGGAAUGGUUGUCAAAUAAUUUGUGCCUACUCCUAUGCUAUUAUAUGAAACCAUUAACCCAAGUUGAUAUAUAUAAGAAACAUAUGCAUAUAUAGGGUAUUUAUUUCCAUUUUGUGGGAUUUGAUUGUAUCAUGAAUGAAUUCUCUAUGAACCUUUAAUGUGUAAAUAAAUUAUAUGGUCAAAUCUUUGUGCACCAAUUGAUUCAUAUUAUUGCUAUUAUAUAGGAUAUAUUAGGGUUAACAUGACCAUUUUAUAGGUACAAAUUAUUUGCUCUAGUCUAUAUGGACUUUAGCCAAUUCUUUUUAUGAUAUGAAUCAAAGUGCAUCUCUUUUGGCAAAUUCAUCAUUUUAACUUCUUUGACCUACUCCAUUCUAAAUAAUUUCCUACUUAAAGCAUUAUGAUAGAAAAAGAAAAUCUCUUUCAAAAGUUCUCAUUUUUAUUGCUUUGGAAAUUAAAAAAAAAAAAAGAAACUUGUAUUGAUUAAUAUUGUUAAAAUAGCAAGUUUUAAUAUAUACAACAAAUUUCAUAUUUUUCAAACUUAAGUUGGAAGUAAAUUUACUUUUUGACGUUUUUGUUCUUUUCAAAUAUUUCGAUAUAGAUUAUUUGAGAUGUUGUUACUCACAAUUAUCUUACAUUUUUAAUUAUUUGCUUUUGUUAAAACUAUUGAAUUAGGGACUUAGAUUGCACUCAUAUCUUUAAUAUAAUCAUAUCUUUUGAACAUCACUUCUUACGUACGUUCUAUCCUCUUUCUUAUACACAAACUAAGACUAAAUUACAAUUAUUUAUCGAGUAGCAUAUGCAAUUUUUCCAUUUGCAAGAGCUUCUAGACAUACAUAUUACACAUACAACAUAUACAAUUAAUAAUGAUUCAAGUGAAAAAAACUGCAAACAGAUGAAUGGUAGGAAGAAAGUAUAUUGGGUAUUGUUUUUUGCUUUCACGCCACGUGUUACUAACAUUUUAAUUUCUAUAUCUAUAAACGUUAAACGUUGAAGAACCACAAUAAGUAAAAUAAAUGAAAACAAAUGAAUUUUGUAUUCGAGGUGCUUAGCUAGGAUAGGAACAUGAAUGAAUACACAUUAGUUAAUUAUUUUAUAUGUUACGAGAUGCUGCAAACUAAGCACAUAUUCAAAGAAGAUCACAGUAAAACAUGUAAAGAUAUAGUCAUUGACAACCAUCAUAAAAACUAAACAACAACAAAAAUCAAAUGUGUAAUAAUAUGAUUGAAAGAGAAAUUUAAUAAAAUGAUGAUGAAAUGUCGUGAAUAUGAAUACAGGAUGACUAGAGUAAGUCAAAAUUUGUCCACACACUUUGAUGCAUGAUGAGGCCAAAUAAUGAAUAUUGAAUUGAAAGUGUAAGCUUAGGUAGAAACAAAAGCAAAAGGGGCAGCAUGUUUUUGCUUUGUGUAUUUGAAAAAUGCAUAGUGAUUGGUAGUGAUGGAGUGUGUUUUUGAGCAUGCUUUGUGGCCAUGCAUGGCACAGAAAGACAAGCAAAAAGAGCAAUGCAUUCUCUCUUUCUUUAACACCUUUGCUCCCUUCCACUCUCAAUGGCCUCAUGUGACUUAUUGCAAUCAAUUCCUUUUCUUUUCUUUUCUUUUUGGGUCAAAAUCUCACCCUCUCUUUACAUUAUUAUUUCAUUUGCUUAAACAAUCUCAAACAUUACAUGCCCCCACAUUCAUUCCACUUUUCCAUUCCCUCUUGUCUCAAAUGUCCAUCAUAAUCAAAACCAAACAUUAUAUAUGUCUUGUCUUACGUCACUCACCUUGAAGAUCGAUGUAAAUUAAACAUACUCUUUUAUUCACUAAUUACUAUUGACAUGAAAAAAUUAUUCAAUUUGAUUGCUUUAUUUCAUUGUUGAAUGUAGUAGAAGAGAUGUGUACCUACAAGAUUGCAUCCUCAAAACCACUGCAAUCCUCAUCAACAACACCUUCCAAAGAUUAAGUUAACCACUAGAAUAGUUACGUAACAUAUCUUCAUACUUAUACCUCUUGAAUGAUUUGACUGAAACUACCAUAACAUUUUUACACUGUUUGUGUUAGUACAACCAAACACUUUUGGAGGCUUCACUAUCUUUUCCAUGUCAAGGUUGCUCUUUCGCUCGACCAUUAGAGCCUUUAGAUCUUCACCAACUUAUUUUUGGAGGCACUCUAAAUUGUGAUACCUUAUGGAUAAUAGUUUGUUAUAUCUAGAAAUAUCGAUCUUGAGAUAACGACACAUGGGGUGAGUAGGGCCAUGAAAAGAAAUAAGAUAGAUUGAUGAGGGGAUGAGGGAGGGAGUGUGGGGUGGAAAAGGGGAAAAGUAACAUUCUAAGAUUUUCAAAGUGUAAUUAUGAAUGUUGUGUUUUUAAAGUGAGAAUAGAGAGGGAGGUUGGGUUGUCUAUGUCCAACGUUGGCAUUGGAAUGGUCCCAUUGGUUUUCUUUGCCAAAAAGAAGGAACACCAAAUUGAAUGUUGGAUAUCAAAUUAUGAUGUGACUCAAUCUCAAUCUCAAUCUCAUUUUAUUCUUCUCUUUCUCAAUUUGAAUUUUACAACCCUUUUCUUUUCCUAAUGUCUCUAAAAAUUGUUCACGCUUCCUAUUAAAGAUUAGGUGCAACUUCUCUCAUACAAACUUAUAAAGUAUUUCGUGAUGCUUUUGAAGUUAAGUAAGUAAUUGCGUUUAAGUAGCCUAAAUCACCUUAAUUGCCAUAAAACUUCCAAUUUUAAGAUUGAACCAUAUAUUUAUUUUCAUCAUUUUAGGAUAAAAGAAAAUAAAAAUAGGAAAUAAUGCUAAUCAACCACAAGAGGAAACAAGUAGGAAUGGUUUGAAUCUUCCAAAACCCAAUUUCAAUUCCUUAAUAUGAAAUUCCAACUACAAUAUUUCAUAUUUCAUCCAUCUUUUGUUUUUCUUUUUAUCUCUCCUUCUUUCUCUGUUCUGUUCUAUAAUUAACUACUCAUUUUCUUAUGCACAAAUCUCACUCUAAAAACUCCCCCCAAAAGAAAAAAAAACCACAAAUCUGUGUUCAUUGAAUCGUUAUUAUGUUCUUAGUCUCAAAUAUCAAAUCCUCAACUUCCCCCUUCAGAAAUGCUCUGCAGUGAUGGCUGCCACCCUCUCGAUUUCGCCGCCGUUGAUACUGUUGAAUUGCAUUUCUUCACUCUGUUUCUCUCAUUCUUCAUCCCCUGUAACAAUUCAAAACAUAUAUAUUCAGAUUCAUUCCACCCAUGAAAAUAAAAUUUAAUUUCAAAAGAUAAUGAGAGAAAAAAAAAACAACCCACCUGAUUAAUUUCCCCUUCAGAUCCCUUCUCCGAGUUCCCCAUUUUUCCUUCAAACUCCAACAAAUUCCUCUUCUUUUUCGCUUCCUGUUUCGCUUUCAACCCCUGCAAAACAUCUAACCCAACACCACCAAUUUCAGAACCCGCUUGCCAAAUCAUACAAACUCAUUAAACAAAACGAAGAAUUAAGGAAUUGAACAUACCUUGGGUUGUGACGAGUCGGUAAAUUUGGCCGAGAACGAGGGAAUCGGUAGGCUUCAGAAGCUUGAUUCGGGUCAGCCGAACCGAGUUGAAAUUUGUACUGUUGGUUUGAGUAUCGUUAUCACGACGACGAUGGUGGGUGGAUGUGGUUUCCGAUUGGCAAACUUUUGUGGAGAUGAGAAGAGCAACGUAAUGGCCGGGAUUUGUUUUCAUGAUCUCUCCGGCGUUUACCGGCCAGUAAAGUCUGUCGACUUUUCCAUUUGGGUGUUGGAUUAUUAGAGAAGCUGUGUCUAUGGCUUGGCAAUUUCCCAUGAGGUUCGUUUCUCUCUCUACUGGUAAUCAGUUUUUUGUCUCUCUAAACAAGUGGAAGCUACGGCGGCGAGGUCGAAGAAGAAGAAGAAGAAGAAGAUUGAAUUGGAGAGUGAAUGGAUGAAGCACCGACCUCUUUUAUAGCAUAUCAUUUGCUUGAAACGGUCCGUUUUAGUUUCUAUGGCUAAUACGGUAAUUUCAUUAAAGGAUAAAUGCGGCUUUUCACUUUGAAAAGAAGAAAAAAACGUCUGCUCUUUUUUCCUUUUCUAGUAAGUAGUAAUUAAAAGGUUAAUUUAAAACAAUCAAAUAAUUAAUAUUGAGAAAAUUAGCUUUUUCAUUUUUUUAUUUAUAGAAAAUUAAGAAUAUUAGCAUUUUUAUUUAAUACUUGAAAUGGACAAAAACUUUAUUGUUAUUAAUUUCUAUUACUUCAAUAGCCUAUAGAUUUAAGGGAAUAAUUUGAUUUUGAUUUUGAUUUUGAUUCCAUCAAUUCAAUAGGUAGAUUUUCAAAUUCAUUAAAUUACACUAUAAGUGUUACAAUUUAUAUCUUCCAUUUAACUUUUGAUAAUUUACAAGUUUAAUGUGAAAUUUUGUCAUGAUUUCCAAAUUAAUUAUAAGAUAGCUUCAUGUACCAAUACCAUCAUAAAUUUUAACCCAUUUUUUUCUGGUAAAUUUCUUCAUCCAUAUCUAAUCCAUAUUUAUAAUUAAUUAAACAUAUAAGAUUAAAAAAUUAACUAUUUACUACAAAAAAAAAAAAAACAAUGGAGUUACACAUUGUGUUUAAUUAAUUACCUUCACAUUUUUACCCUUAGAGAGUUGACCAACUUCCUUUGUAUGGAUAAACAUUAAAUGCACUAUGUGACAUCAAUUAUCUUACUUCUAUGUUUUGCAAUUCCCAAGCAUAAGGGCAUGGGAUUUUCAUGGCAAACAUUUAACUCAUUUAUACUAUUUAAUUUUAAUUAUUUCUUUUCAUUUAAAUUCGAAUAUUUUUUUUUUACAAAUGUAUGGUAAUAAAUGCUGGACGGAGAUUUGAACCCAGACCUCUUGUCCACAGGAACAUACAGCUCAUGUUGGCAAUUCGGAUAUAUUCAUCUACCGUUUUUCUUUAAUGUCUACAACAAUUAGUGUCGAGAGAUUCAAACCACAAAUCUCAUAGUUACUAUUACUAUAUAGCGUCAGUUGAAUUAAAAUUUUGUUGGCUUAUUAUCAAACUAUACUUAUUUUCAUGACUGAACAAGAAUAACAUGAAAAAAACUUCGAUCAUGGAUAAUAAUCUAAUAUAUAACAACAUUUUAAAAAGUUGCAAAUAUGGCAAAAUCUAUCAUCGAUUUUGUUAUAGUUACAAUUUUUUAAAAGUUUUGUUAUAUCCAUUAAUGUUUUGAAUCUAAUUAAUAUAUUUAUAAAAUUAAUAUCCACUUUAAUUCUAAUUAAUAUAUUUAUAAAAUUAAUAUCCACUUUAAUCUAUAACUUUCUUGUUUUAUUACCUAAUUUUUAAUAAGUUUUUUUAGAAAAAUCAAACUAGAUCAUAGAAAAGAAAAACUAAAAAGUUAGUGAAAAUUAAAUAAAACAAAAUUAUUAUUGGACAAGGUGUUAUCUAUUUUUUAAUUUAGGUAUAGUUUAUGUCUUUUAUAAUGUUUAUCCAUUCAAACUUCUAUACAAAGUCAUUGAAGUUUUAUUAUUUUAAAAAUUUUGUGGAAGAGAAUAUUAUUAUUAGUUAAAUCAUGUAACGUUUUAAAGUCUCAAUUUCCCAAAUUUAUUUUGAGAGUGCUCAAAUUUGUUUUUUCAUCUUUUAGAGAAAAGGAAUUCAAUAGUAUAAACUUUAAAUGUAUUUAAUAUGGUGUGUAAUUUGAUCCAACUUUAUCUCUAAUUUUAUAUUAGUUUUGUUAAUUAAUUUGAAUGGAAUAUUUUUAGAGGGAAAAAAAAAAAGAUUAUGAGAACCCCACUUAAACUUUUAUGACAUGAUUUCUAUUACAUUAAAUAUGAAUUAUAAGACCAAAAUAAGAGUCAAAACGUAUAAAUUAAACUUUAAUUUGUUUUAGUUGGUUUAGUCAUGUGAUGACAAAUAAAAAAAAGUAUAUAUUUCAUAUGAUAAUAUUAUAUUGUCUAUUAUUUAAGUCUAUGCUUGAAGUUGAUUAUAAAUUAGGUCAACAUGUUAGGUUCUUUUAUUUUCAAAGACUAUACAUUUGAAUCACCACCUUUUAGGUUAAUUAUAUAUUUCAUUGUUCCUUUCAUAAUCUCUUUAGUUUUUGUAUAUAAUAUAGUUUUUUAAUACUAUUAGAACAAAACCAUGAAUUUCUUUAGUUCGCUAAUUCUUAUCUAGAUAAUUAUUCCAUUUUGGCAAAAUAUUAGAAUAAUAGCCGUCUCACCAUCGAUACCACAUGUUAAAAAAAAUUUCCACUACUAUGACAAUAAUAAUUAGAAAAAUUGUAUCAGAUGACAAUUUUUUAAAAAAUAAAAUUCAUGUUGCGAACGAAUAUGACAAGUAAUUAAUUAUAUCAUAAAACUAUUAGAGGGUUAUCAGGGCUAUCAAAGAAUUAUUCGUUUUUUUUUUUUUUUUUUGGUAUUUUUGCAAUGACCUCUAAUAAUUAAGUAGAAAAGUUAAAAUAAAACUAUAAGACUAUGAAUACCUCGUAUUACAAAGAAAACACUUUCUUAAAGCAUUAUUUAUACAUCUUAUGUAACUAAGUUAACUACUAUACCUAAACUUAAACUACUUAAAAAUCGAGAUAUUGAUUUGAAUCUAAUGGCACAAUUAAGUUGUUUUAUAGUCUUUAAAGCUGGAUCGAACAACUAGUAAUUGUAAAAUGUUUUAAACUUAAACUAAAAUCGUAAUGGAAGAAGGUAAUUUGAUUUAAAAAGUGGAUGUGUCCCUAUGUAUGAAAGAAAGGAAGAGGAAGAGAAAGUGAUAGUAAGAAGGGGUGAAAAGGGGACCCAUUGAAUAGAGUUUGUAGCAAACAUUGGGAACCAACAAACAAACAUUCAUUAAGAAAUAUUUAAUAUCACAAAGUCCACUUAACCAACACAUACUCACUUGUCUGAUUUUAUGUCUUCCCCAUAAUCUUCAUCUUCUCUUCAUCUCUUCAUCUCUUCAUCUCUUAUAUAAUUAAUAUGUGUAUGUAUAAUAAUAAACCCAACUAACUAAUCUCUUUUAUUAAGAUCUCAUUAUAUAAAGUUUAGUAUCAUUGCAAAAAUUUUGAUACCCAAAUCCCCAACCCCCCCUUUUUGCUUCAUUAAUUUUAUAUCAUGCAAUGCAUUGAACCUAAUCUCUCAUUUUUCUGUCUUAACUUAUAUAUUAUUAAUCUUUUAGAUCCUUCAAGUAGUACAUAGUAUUUGCACUAUUUCAUUGUUCCUUUUCUUUUCCUUUUUCCCUUUGUUUCUUUUGCUUUCUUAUUUUUUUUCUUUAACUUUAAGUUUAAAUUGCAAUUUACUUAAAUAAUCCAUCUUUUCAAAACCUAUUAGUAUAUAUAUAAAAAAAAUAUAUAGUUUUGACAGAGUUUUGAUAUUGUAAUUAUAAUUCAUGGUACGAUUUAGGAUGGUUUUUAUUAAUUUAUGUUUUUUUUCUUGAUUCUUUUUUAAAUUUAACUAACAACACAACUCUUUAAUUUAAAAAAUUUACGCAUGGAAAAAAAAAUGUAAUUUUGAAAAAUAAAAAACCAAAAAAUGUUAUAAAAAUUACUAUUAAUUUAACUCCACACAUUUGAUAAAAAUACAUAAAAUUGGGGUAGUGUUAGUUAGGUGCAUAAAUUAGUGGGUAGGUCUCUAACAACAAAGUCCAUUAAACAUUCUCUGGCCAUUGUACCAAACAACACAUAUUAAGUCCAAAAAUUGGUGACACACACCACAACAUCACAACCAAAAAGGGGAUUUCAAAGUUGCCAAAAUUUUAUUUUCAUUCUGCAAUUUAUUUUGUAGGUCUAACAAAGGACAGAAGCCCACAAAAUGGGUUUGUAUUCUUGUGCUGUAAAUGUUGGUAUUGCAAAAAAAAAAAAAGGAAGAAAGAAAGGAAGAGCGACCAAUAAACAAAUGCCCAUAAAUUGGUUUACAAAAGCCUGCCAUUACCAAAGAGCAAAGGAAUCUCCUUUUGCAAUUUGCAAGAGAAUGUUGUUAGUAAUAAGGCCAAAUUCUUUCUGAGCUGCUCUUUCUUUCUUCAACUGUCUUGUAUUAUUGUAUUCCCUUUUUUUCAUAAAUAUAUACCUCUUUCUUUUGUUUUACCACUACACAUUCUAUUCUGUCUCACUUUAAAACUUACCACAAUUAUUAACUUUGUCUCCUUUCUAAAAAUUUAAAUCUUAUUGGGUAGAAAGAUGAAACGUUAAAAGAGAUUGUUUCAUAGUACCUGAUUGUAGAUUUUAAAAGUUAGUUGAGAAAUCGACAAUUAAUUGAUCAAUAAAUUGUGCAAAGUAGAAAGCAUUUGAGAAAUUGACAUAGAGAUUUUUGUGGUUUACUAAUACUUCGUUGAUUACAUCCACAGGAAAAGGAAGAGAGUAGCGGCACUUGUUAUUAAAAAGAUUAAGAGGCUGCACCAAUAGGAUUAAGAAUUUGUACUUGGUCAUUGGAUUACCAAAUAGCAUAUACAAUACAUUAUUCUAACGUUAAUGAUCAUUGAAGAAUAAUAUAUGAACGCAUUUUAAAAUGCAUCUAUCUUUAUACAUAUCAAUUUGAUAGUACAUAAUAUUUAACUUUAAAUACAGAUUCGAGAAACUAUGAUCAGUAACUUUACAACGGGACGAGGACAAAGUUGCUUUUCGUAAUUUUUAAAUUUUUCUAAAAAUAAUUUCUCUUCGAUAAUAUUAUAUGCUUCUAGAAUUUUGUUAUUUUCGGUUUGUUUUCACUAUUUGGUGUGAAUGUUAAUGUUGUUUUUUCCUUAAUUUUCUAGGUGAGAUUGAGUGAGUUUUGUGAUGUGAUGUUAUAUUUCGUAUAUUUGUUGGCAAAGAAUAAUAUAUUCCAUAAUUAAAGAUGGAAGAUUUCUAUCUUUCACUUUACAUUUUAUUAAAAGUUAAAACUCAAAAAAUGAAUUCAUCAUUCUUACGUUAACUUGUAGUUUUAAAUUUUGAUAAAACGAUAGUUGAAAUGCAUAUGACAAACGUUAAACACGUUACUUUUUUAAAAAAAUUUAAUAAUAAUCUUUAAGAAAAUGUUAAAAAUGAAGAUAAAUUAUUAUAGAAUCAAAUAUGUCAAAAGUAAAUAAAAAAAAUAGAUAAAUUAUUUUUUCGAUGGAUUUUUAGUGGCUUGUUUAGCUCGUUUGGCUCAAUUGUUAAUCGUUUGAUUUUAUUCGUUUUACUACAUGUUCCAUAAUCCAUAACACAAGUUUGUUGAGAAUGUGUGAAAGUAAGACCCAAGUCCACAGACAUCUGGGUAAUUCAAGCAUCCCAAAAGAGCUAAUUAUGCAUCAAGCCUUUGGUUGGUGAUCUAGUCAAGUUUGUUUAAUUGUUUAAACAAAAGAGAAAUAACCAAAUCAAAAUCAUUAGCAAUAACGUACAAUCUCUUAUUCAAUACCUAUGUCAACACUGCUUGAUAUUGUUACGUGUUCUAGAUGGAUGUUAAACAAUGGACUACCUCCACCUCAAAAAGGUAAACAAAAUUUUGUGUGUUUACCUAAAUUAAACGUUCGAAUACUAACUUAAGUUAUGUGUAGACAUUUUUUAAUUAAAAUAUUUCACGACCAUUCGAAAUAAUUUAUCAAAAUAAAUAUCUUUUUUUUUUAAAUCAUCCCAAUAAUUAUUUAAUAUGUAGUAAUCUGUGUUGUUGUUUAUUCCUUUUGUUAAAAAAAACUUUAAACAUUGUUGAUGUGGAAUGGGCCUCCAGCUCGCGAUUGAUUAUUGGGCUUGUUUUCUGGACUGUGGGUUACAUAAUUGAGCCCAGUGUAGUGUACUUUAGGGCCUGUUUGUUUAGCCCAAAAUUUUAACGUUUUGUAUGUGAUUUUCCAGAAAAUUAGAUUUAAUAAAAACUACCAUUUUAGAAAUAAUAAUUAAAUAUAACAAAAUUUAUUAGUGAUAGACUUUUAUCGCAUACAUAAUCAUAUAGUUCAUUAGUAAUAGAUCAAUAUUUUCAUAGGACUCCUAUCACUCAUAAAUUUUGAUAGAUUUUGUUAUAUCUAUAAUAUUUUAAAUGUUGUUAUAUAUAUACUAAUAUUUUGAAUAUAAUUGCUAUAUACGAUACUUGUUUGAAGCUAGAGAGACUUCUUGAUCGGAUUAUUUAAAAGUUAGAAGAUAUAAGUUUGAUAAUAGAUUGAUAUAUUAUAAACUUACGGCUACUAACUAACUAUGUUUACUUACUAAUAACAUCCACAAUUCGACAUCAUUGCAAUUUGUUGGCAUUUGAUAACGGUCCCUGUGUCUUUGGAUAUUGUUGGUUGGACGCUCUUUAUGGUACAUUUGUUUGAUAGCAAUACUAUUGGACCAACAAUUACAAUGUAUCUAAAUGUUAGCUUGUUCUGUAUACAUAACGACAAAAAAUAAAUGAUCAAUCAUACUCUAAUUAAGCAACAAUCAAAGUUUAAUUAAUACAAUUUUUUUCAACAUUUUAUAAAUUUCUUAAAAAUUUUCAUAUCAUAAAAUUGAGAUCUUAACGUUUUUAUUGACAUCACAUUUAGAAGACUGUUAACAUGUAAUUAUAAAAUUGUGUACAUUCCAAUCUUCGACGAUCAAACGUGAGGAUCUAAAAUUAGUAAAUUAUUUAAUUGAUAUCCAACUUCCGAAUAACAUUGACACAAAACAGUAUAUGAAUAUUAGUGAAUUGCAAAUAAAAAGACAUAUAGUUAAAUUGUUACAAUAAGAUCAUCACUUUAGUACAAAUUUAAUAUGUUUCAGAUCUUUCUCUUUCAAAUACACAAAAUCUUACUAUAAAAUAAUAUUCAAAUUGUUUUAUUAAAAAACAUAAAGUAUAAUUAUAAAACAUAGAAUGAUGACACGUGUAAAUACAUUAGAAAAUGACAAGUUUGCAAACAAGUUAAUUUGUUUAAUUUAUUAUAAAAAAUGAUAGGUUAAAAAGAGACUCAAAACUGACCCCACAUGCACCAAAAUUAAAAAUUAAAAAAGAGCCAUUAAUUAAUUUUAAAAUAUAAUUUAAAAAGAUUCAAAAUAGGCAAAUAAUUUAAAAUAUUUAAUAGUUUAAAUUUUAAAGUCAUUAAAAAAGAGUUUUUCCAAAAAAAAUGUAUUAUUAAAAACAUUGUUUUAGAAUGAAAAUUAGGGUAAUUUAGAUUGGAUUCGGAUAACUAUUUAGUUUUCUCUCUAAAAGAAAUUUAUUUUUACGGGUUGGAAGGGAUUGUUGAAUUUUUAACCAAAUUUCAAAAUUUCAAAAUAAUUUUAGAAAGAUGGGGUUAUUUUAUUUUAUAUUUUUAAUUAAGUUGUUUUGUUUUAAUAAAAAAAAAAAAAGUUAGAAAGAAGGUGAGAUUAUUAUAUUAUUUUAUAAAAAUGGAAAGAAGUUAGAAAAGGUGUUUGAAGGGCAAAUUUGUGUACUUUCAUUUUAUUCACUUUUUCGCCUCUCAUUGUUCAUUUUCAGGACAAAUUGAAAACCCAUUUCUCCCCUUCCAUAAACCCUCAAUUUCUCCAUUUCAAAUUCAUCCGAAAUGGGAGAAAUCAAACGUAAAAGAGGCCGAAAAGCCAAAGAUUCCAAGCCGGAGGCCCUAGAUUUUCCUCCCCCCACCACUGCUACUGCCACCGUCGCCAUGGAUGACGUUUUUUCAGUUAGCAACGUCGAGCUUAUGGAACCAGCAUCCACUUCUAAGCACCAUCAGAACCGCCGUGGGAGACCUAAGAAGCUUUCCAAGCAUGUCGAUAAUCCCGACAAGUUCCCGCAAUUGUCUCCGUCUAGACGUGGCCCUCGCGCUGUCGAAAAUGGCGAAUUUGCAGCUUCCGGCGAUGCCUUGCCGUCUUCUAUCGUUUCGGAAAGGGUGCAACCGGAAUGGCCAGGCAUGGCGAGAGUCAUGCCGGCCAUGGACGCUGUGGUUAAGGUGUUUUGUGUCCACACGGAGCCCAAUUUUUCUCUUCCUUGGCAGAGAAAGAGGCAAUAUAGUUCGAGUAGUAGUGGAUUUGUGAUUGGUGGAAGGAGGGUUCUCACGAAUGCGCAUUCCGUCGAGCAUUAUACCCAGGUUAAGCUUAAGAAGCGUGGUUCAGAUACGAAGUAUUUGGCGACCGUACUUGCAAUCGGGACUGAAUGCGACAUCGGUAAUGGGAUCCGUUGCCCUUGGGUUUUAAUUUAAUUUGUGAUUCUUGGAUUUGAACAUGACGGAUAAAUUUUCACCCUAGAUUAUGCUACGUUCGACCUUUUCUCUAUGUUUAUCUCAAUCUGCAAUUUUGGGGACGUUAUCAUGCGUUCCGGUUGUUCAAGAUUGUAUUGUUUCUAGAGUUGAGAAUCCUAGUCAUUUCUUAGUGGGGUUAAACUUCGCACAAAUUCAUCAUUUAGACUUGGGGAAAUUCCUCGUAGUCAUUUGCAUCUUGAUUUAGCAAAUGGGUUACUUUAGAUGAGAUUCACUCUGCGCAUUUAUGUUUGGUUAUUGUUACGAUGGAUAAAUGUGAAAACUUUGUAUGUAAUAGGAAGACAAGGAUUGAUAAAUCUGUCUAUAAUUAAAAAUGUGGAUGGUGGAAAUGGAUCACGAUUUAUGUAAUUAUGGUUUUACCUACCAUUUUUCUCGUUGCAUUUGCAUGGAUUUAUGGUUCCAUACAUUUAUUUUUUCGUCAACUUAAAACAUUAAGUAUUAUGAUGUAUGAUAAUGCAGCAAUGCUUACUGUUGAUGACGAUGAGUUUUGGGUGGGAGUUUCGCCGGUGGAAUUUGGGGAGUUACCUGCACUGCAAGAUGCAGUAACUGUUGUUGGUUAUCCAAUUGGAGGUGAUACAAUUUCUGUCACAAGUGGGGUUGUAUCGCGGAUAGAAAUCCUUUCUUAUGUGCACGGGUCAACCGAGCUUCUCGGUCUACAGGUUUUGCGCUUUGAGCCUUGACGACAUUACUGCUUUUAGUUUUUUGGAAUAGGGAUAAUGGUCGAUGCUUUACGUCAACUAUUUUCUACUGUAGAUAGAUGCUGCUAUAAACUCUGGUAAUUCUGGUGGGCCUGCCUUUAAUGAUAAAGGCAACUGUGUAGGCAUUGCAUUUCAGUCACUCAAGCAUGAAGAUGCAGAAAACAUAGGUUAUGUCAUACCAACACCAGUUAUCUUGCAUUUUAUUCGGGACUACGAGAAGAAUGGAGCAUACACAGGUAUUUGGGCACUUAGAGUGGGACGAAUAUCAGACUGUGGUCCUUUUAUGUUGUUUUCAUUGAUUGAAUUGGCCUUUGUUAUGAUUUUCUUUGUUCUUUACUUGAAGCAAUAAAAUUUAUUGGAUGCCAGGCUUUCCAAUUCUUGGUCUUGAGUGGCAGAAAAUGGAAAAUCCUGAUCUUCGUGAGGCUAUGGGUAUGAAGCAAGAUCAGAAAGGUGUCCGUAUUAGGCGUAUCGAUCCUACCGGCCCAGAAUCCAAAGUUUUGAAGCCAGCAGAUAUUAUUCUCAGCUUUGAUGGGGUCGAUAUUGCAAAUGAUGGAACAGGUAAAUAUGUAUUUUAUCAUUUUUACAUGAUGUAAAAGCAUCAUCCUUGAACUGACAACCAUCUAUUGACUCAUGUAGCCUCUUCUUUAAUAAUACUUUAUAGUAAUUACAUACUUUGAUUACUUCCAUAACACUGAGAAGAUUUGCAAAAUAUACAAAGAUACAUAUAGUUCACUAGCUACCAAAAGUAGAAAGAAAGGUAGACACACUAACCUAAACCACCAAUGAAUUGAGUAAAAAGCUCUCCUAUGAUAGAAGGCUGAAUGAGGUUAAAGCAUAAUUGCUGAGUACUGUUGCUUGCAGCAAUAUGUUAAAAAAGCAAGCCUGCCACAUCUUUGUUUUUUCUUUUCCUUUUCUAAAUACUAAAUGAGAAAAAUGUUUCAUGCCUAUUUCUUUGGAAGAUUUCUAAUCUCCUUUCUUCUAGUUUCCUUCAUGUCUGUUUCAUUGCACAAUAAUUUUGAUAAGUUUUAUAUUUUUUCUAUCCCACUUCCCUGAAGCUGGGUUUAUUUCCCUUGCAUCUUGUGUUGACUUAAUUUCCAGAGGCUAUUGAGCACUCAGUAUAUUUGCGGGCCUUUAGAAAAACACUGAUUUGCUGGUCUAAUGCGAGUGCAUUUCAGAAUCUAAUCCUUGGAUUAUUUCUUCUGUGUCUGCACAAGUUAUAACCUUAUUUUGGAAAGUAUGUCUGUAGAAGCCCCUUCUUUCUUAUUUGAUAGCCCACUCUGUCACUAUUUUUUGCAGUUCCUUUCAGGCAUGGUGAGCGUAUAGGAUUUAGUUACCUUGUCUCUCAGAAAUAUACUGGUGAUAGUGCAACGAUAAAAGUUCUGCGCAACUCUGAGACACUUAGUUUUAACUACCAGCUUGCAACUUAUAGAAGGCUCAUUCCGGCACACAAUGAAGGCAGACCCCCUUCUUAUUACAUUGUAGCAGGAUUUGUUUUUUCCACUGUAUCUGUUCCUUAUCUUCGUUCUGAGGUUUGUUAACCAACAUACUUUUCUCCUCCCUCCGCAUUCUAUAACUAAGCUUCAGUAGUUGCUUUGAUUUUCUCUUCUAUGUUUUAUUAGAAUUUACAUGAUGGAUUAACGUGUUUAAAAGUUUGUUGAACAGAAUUUACAUAGAAUUUUGUUUAGUGGUUAUAUAUCAUAAUCCUGUUAGGCAUGAUUCUCUUAUUGUCUGUGCAACGAGUAUAGCUCUCGGGUAUCUAGCUCAGCUUUUACCUGCUUUUUGGUACUAUUUGAUUCUUCUAUUGUAGUAUUAUGAGGGCACUGUAAAUGAGAUUAAAACUUGUACAGCAGCAUCCUCAAUGACACUAUAGCUGUGUUAAUGUGUCAGAUUUUAGGCCUAUUAACUUUGCCUCUAAACCCUAAACUUAAAAUAGAUCCUCCAAAACAAAGUGCACUGUUAGGUUCUACAUUCUUCAGUGAGUCAAAGAACAUUUCAUCGGUGGAUCUCAUUCCAUUCAGUUUUGGAAUGUAUGUACCAUUUAAUUUCUUAACCAGCUUAUGUUGAAGGUCGAGAAAACAUAGAUCUCAUUUUGAUCAUUAGUGGAACAAUAGAAGACUGGUGGGAAGAAAAAGAGGAUUUGUUUUCAAGAUGUGAAAUUGAGACCGGUUGAUCUUGGAAGCCAAUGCUGUGAGAAAGUGUAUUACAGAGUGGAUUGAAAUUUCCUUGAUGUGGCCUGCGUUAUGAAUUUAGCUAAGUUAGUUGUCAACUAAACUUAUGUUUAUUUCCAUUGCUGGAGGGAAGGCUUUCAGGUGGGAAGUUUCCUUAUUGUUUAUAUUUGUGUUAGAAAUACUAACAGGAAAAUAUUAGAGACAUAAUUAAGCAUAUUUGGAGGACUAUUUGCCAUCAACGGGAGUUGGCGAGUAUGUUGUAUGUAGGGCGAGUUAUUAGGAGGUUUGGAGGAAGGCAGAAUAUGGGAAGAAUAUCUCUCCCCAGAAAAGAGGUUGCAAAUGGCCUCUCCAAUUGAAGAGGAUUGAAGAGAAGAGAGCUACAGAGUUGGAAAAGAGGGGAACAUUUACCGCAAUUAACCCCCUGAUUAUAGGCUUAAAAAAAUUAUAAAAGGAGAGACUCAUAUCUUGGAAGAUACGCUUAUAGCUUUCUUGCCAAGUAUUCCAGUAGAAAACUGUUUUAAGAUUCUCCCACAGAGCCUUUUCUUCAAUAUAUUGUGGUACACAGUUAUGGAAUGAUUCUACGUGUUUAAGCUAAGAAUUUUUAAAUCAGCAGUGCAUACUGAAUGUUGAUAGCAUAGUAGAAAGAGGAAUAAAUUUGAGUAGAGAACACUAGCAUCACUCUUAUUCAUAAACGUCCAUUUCUACAAGCUAUGAUAUAUAUAUAUAUAAAGAUUGUAGUUCGAAUUUUGAAGUUCUUACUGAUUUGAUGUUAAGUUUGCGUAAAUCAUGAUACUGAACUUUCUGAAAAUGCUUGGAAUUGUAGUAUGGAAAGGAUUAUGAAUAUGAAGCUCCAGUCAAACUCUUGGACAAACUAUUGCAUUCAAUGCCCCAAUCACCAGAUGAGCAGCUAGUGGUGGUUUCCCAGGUUCUCUCACUUACCCUCUUCUCUUCAGUUUAGUGUGCUAUAUCUGUUGUGUAUUAUAGCAUGUUUGGGAGUGAUUUUGAAAUUGUUAAAAUCACUUUUAUCACGUUCAAGUUUGCUCCACAGCAUGCUUUUAACAAUUUAAAAUCAAUAUCGAUUGUAUGAAUAUUGGAUUUAUAAGUGUAGAAUCAAAUAUUACAUUGAUUUGCAAUAACUAAAUGCAUAUUAUGGAGUUAUUUUGAACCUGUACUUUUUUUGGAUUCUUAACCUCAACCGUUUCUUGUAAAUUUCUUGCAGGUACUUGUGGCUGAUAUCAACAUUGGGUAUGAAGACAUCGUUAACACCCAGGUCUGGAUUAUAUCUUGCUAAUCCACUAGAACGACAUCAUUUUGACUGCAAGUUAUUAAUAACUCUGCUCAAUCAUCUUUGUGCAUGAUAGGUCCUUGCUUUCAAUGGUAAACCUGUGAAGAACCUCAAGAGCUUGGCUAACAUGGUCGAAAGUUGCGACGAUGAAUUUUUAAAGUUCGAUUUAGAAUAUCAACAGGUUCUGCCCCCCCUCUCUUAAGGACUAUCUCUAUUUUUUCUAAUGAUAUCUUGAGUCUCAUUUUCUAUCUGCUGCAAUCUUCCAGAUAGUUGUCCUCCGCACAAGUACAGCCAAAGCAGCCACUUCAGAUAUUCUGGCCACACAUUGCAUACCCUCAGCUAUGUCUAACGAUCUCAAGACCUAACUUCAGAUUGAAAUUUUUUUAGGUAUACGUGUAGUUUAUUGUACUCGUCUACCGCCCUGCUGAGUAUGUGAAGGUUCUGAAAGGUUUCAUUUGAAGUGUGUGUAUGCUUUCCUUCUUCAUGACGUUGGGUUUAAUACGAAUGGUAGGAGGUAGAUUUUCAAAAGGAUUAGAAUGAAAGAUAGAAUCGAUCAAGAGUUAAAAACUGCAUUGUAUUGACUUCUCAGCUCUUGGAAGUUUUGAUUAAAUGAUAUUGGUAGUUGGUUAGGUGGAUUUGAUGACUCUCUAUCCCUCACUGAACCCUACUUGUCGAAACUCUUUACCAUUGAUAAUGUGAUGAUAACUAGCUAACUUAUGGUGCAGUUUCUUGAAUAACUGCCAACCAUUUCAGCCGUGACCAAACCGUUGUAUGUGGUUUUGCUUUCAUAAUAAGGGUUGUGUGAAGUUGAACUAGAACCAGGUUUAGGCAAUUUGGUUCUUCACCUCUGCUGGGACUGUAUUGGCUUCCUUCCCUAACCCUUUAGUUGGUUAGUACAGAAGUGAACAUGACAAUGUUGGGUCUAUUUAGGAUGAUUUUCUAAGCGUUUUCAAACCUAAGUUCGAAAUUUUUCUCAAAACAACCAUGGAAAGCUUUUGCUAUGGAAAAAAAGUUUAUGUUUUUUCUAUUUAGCGCAAAAAUAAAAAACGAAAUAACAAAAAGUAUAAGGCAUAAUAGAGUUGAAUGGAGGGAGACGAUGAAUAAUAUGUAUAGUUUUUAAUUGAAGUAAAAAUUAUUUUGGAACAAAGUUUAAAUCUGUGACUUUAUAAAUGAAAUCAAUCUAAACUAUUAGGAGUUUUUCUUUAAAAAGAGAAUAGUGAUAAUGAUAAUUUAAUUUAAGCUUGAACUCUGCCAUGACUAAAAUGUUGUAUGGGCCCCCGACCCGCUGAUUCGUGCCCCAUUUACAUCCACAACUGAACGAAGUCGAACUUGUACCAAGACGAAGAAGGCGGCAACGAAGCAACCUCUUCCUUCCUCCAAACCAAUUCGUUCUUUUUACUUUGUGGGUCGCUUAGUCUUCUUGCGUUUUUCUCUGCUUUUGAUCUAGAUUCAGCUCAUCCCUUCUUCAAUCAACCAACAAUGAGCUCCGACGAACCCAAUUUGGACGAGUUCUUCGUUGAGAAAAAGCGCGCUAGGAACCCUCUUGUCCCCAUCGGUAAUUUCCCCUAAUUUCUUCCUCCUUCCUAUUGCUGUUGCUUCAAUUUCAUUGAUGUCUGUUGAAUGGUUGUAUUGGACGUCUCCUUGUGUGUAUAUUUUCUUGUUUUUUCUUCCCCUUUGUGCUGUCCGGCGUCCGAUUAUAAUCAGAAAUGAAUAUGUUUUGGUUUAUAUGUUUACCCUUUUGGCGGUUAGGUUGCUACCUGAGUUAAUUUCAACUAAACGAAACGAAUUCUAGAGUGAUUCUAUCGAGCAUCUGAUUUUGAGCAAAUUGCAGGAAGUGGGGGGUUUUCCUUUUUCAAUACUGCAACACGAAGGGUUUUCAUUUUAGUGUUGUAUAUGAGUUAAAAUUGCUUAUGAGAGUCGGUGGUUUGUAAUUCUAGAUAUAAAGUUGUGUUCUUUUUUCUCCGUUGGUUUGUUUGUUUGAUAGAAUUCGAUAUUCAGGUGCACUUGCCACUGCUGGGGUUCUCACUGCUGGAUUAAUAAGCUUUAGACGAGGCAACUCUCAAUUGGGGCAGAUGUUAAUGAGAGCUCGUGUAGUUGUCCAAGGUGCUACAGUAGCACUGAUGGUUGGCACGGCUUAUUACUAUGGAGAGAAUCCUUGGCGGUCGAGUUAAAACGUCCAUGUACUGCUCUUUAUGACUUUCUUUUCACCAUCUUGUUUUACAUUGCGACAUUUCAGUAAACAAUGAAAGAUUUGUUGUCUUGCUAUCUUUCUUUAGGUAUAAGCCAUAACAAUCUUAUUCUGUGAUUCGGUAACGAUAUUUAUAUAUACUCGAAAUAAUUCUUCAGGGGAAGGAAGUGUAAUAUGUAUUCAUUCUUGGGCUUAGGUGUAUUGCCUUUAAAGAUAUUAAUCUUGGUGUAUUAUUGAUUUUUUUUUCCUUAUCUUUUAUUUGAAGUUCAACGCGUUAUGUUGGAGCAUUAACAAUAUAACUGAGAAUCAUUGGGCCUAUUCUCAAUGUCUUCAUCUUAGUUCGAUGAGCAUCCAUAUAUUAUAUUGAUAUAUAUAUUCCCCUUAUGACAUAUGAUGGAGGAGCUUACUCAUUCUAAUUGUCUUCUUCUCUCCUUUAUGUUGGGCAUAUGACAAAGUUAUUUGUACUCUGCAUUAAUAGAGAUAAGGGGAAGGGAGAGACAAGUUAGAAGUUAGGCAUGUGGAUGUUUUAUUUCCUUUCUUCCGUUCUUUUUGAUUCCACAUGGUUUCUAUUUGGCAGCAUUGAAGUUGUGGCUGUAGAUAAGCAAAUUCUAAAUUUCAUUUUCAUGUCUAAAUCAAUAGUUAUACUUUAUUUUGAAAUUUCAACUUGAGAUCUGUCACUGCAUUUCCUUUAGAUUCAACAAAUAGGAAUGUCUCAAUAUGGGGUAGGACCCUGCUUCUCUCCUAAUCUUCUCCGCUUUCUCAUUAAUGUUAAGCUUCCACCUGGUUACAAAUCAUUGGGGGUGGAAAGUGCAAAUCUUCUUCUCCACAUGUUCUCAUCUGCCAGUCCUUCGAGCGGUUCUAUAUGUUUCUCUAAUUACUUUCAGCAUUGAAUGGAAUUUGUCUAUGAAUUCCAGUCUUCAGAUGUAUUUGUGCAGAUGAAAGAAAUAUGGUACAUGUGCAUUGUAUAAUUAGAAAGUCCUUUAUGACUGAACUAUAAUUUAAAUAUUCUUGAUCAAUAAAUCUAUGUUCUUGCCUACAAUAUUAUAAUUGGAAUUGUUUUAGUUCCAUCCCUUAUGAAUCUACUAGAUGCCAUAAUGUUAAUUUAUCUGUAUUGAUGUGGUUUACUGAUUCUGGUGACAAGGAAAUUUAGUAUGUAAAUGAAUACUGAUGAGAAUGAUGACUUUUAUUAAUUUUGCAAUGUUAUCUUCAAAAGUUUGCCUUAUGCAUCAGCCUUCAGCUUUUUGUAUAUUAUGGAGUCAGAGAUGUUGAUUUUGCUCAUCUUUCAACUUUGACUGAUCAAUUUGAUGCAGAAUUAGCUUCUCUUCAAAACGAAAUUACUCUUUAAACUCAAAUAUAAGGUGAAGUUAUUUGAAGUUCGUUCAACCAUUAUCGAUAAAUUCAGAAGCAAUCUUCUUGCUGAAGUAAUGUAAGUCUCUUCCUGCUUCCUUCAUGAUGAUAACAAGACCAAUACAUAUAGAAAGAUCCUUAAAUUUCUUUAUUCUGAAGUUCGUUGUUCUUGUUUGUUUGUCCUUUGUUUUCUUUGUUUUCUUUUACGUUUCUAUUGGACGCUUGUAUCUUUGAACAAUUUUCUUUUCAUGUGUCAGUUAAAGCUGGAUCUUGUUCUUAGAACUCAGGGACAUAGUGAUAUCCAGUUUGUAAAAGUUCUUUUUUGUUAUGUUUUUUAAUUGAUUCACUCAUCUAUUAUUUUACAUUCUUUCAUGUGUUAACCAAAUGUUUAUACAGAACAGAAUUCCACUUCCCUUCUCUUCAAGGAAUUGGAUAAGCCACAGCAUGUGGGUGACGUUAGUAGUCAUUGGAGAGCAAAUAAUCAGCACGUGAGCUGAAGGACAGGUGUCGGAAUGCUAGGGAAUUUAGUGUCAGUUGUCUGUCAAUUUCUGGCAAACAAAAACUAGUGGACAUGAUUUUCCAUCCAAAAUCUGCCCGCCACGUGUACAGAACCCUCCUUCCAUACCCAUACAAUGUCUCCAACUGUUUGCCCACAUGGAAUCACAGUUCCCCACCUGAAACUCAAUCCUUCAUUUCUCCAUAGAAAAACUCAAAAAACCCCACCACCCAAUUGAAGUUUCUCUUCUUAUAUAUAUACAAAACUCAAAGCCAUUCGCACAAGUCAUCUCUUUCCUACUCCCUUCAUUAAUUACCCUUUUUGUAUUGGGUUUAUACUUUUCUCUCUAUGGCUUUAGCAGAUUUGAUGGCUAAUUCUAGUUCCUCUUGCCAUCACAGUGUGACUGCUUCAAGCUUGAAGAGGAAGAGGAGAGAAGCACGAGAAGUUCGCCGUAAAGUUCAGAAGCUCCGGUGGGUGAUCCCUGGUGGUCGAGGGUUGCAGCGGGAACAUCUCUUCGCUAAAACGGCUUAUUAUAUAUUGCAUUUGAGAUUGAAAGUUUGUGCUCUUGAAAGCGUUCUCAAAUUGCAGGGAGAGGCCUAACUUAUAGUCAUAUGAUAUUAAGGCUCUUCUUUGUCAUAUAAAUUUUCUUUGUUAUUCUUUAAUUUUGUUUCCUGUGUUUCUGUUUGACAUUGUGGGGGUGUUUAUUGUAUAUUUGUAUUGGUAAAUAUGUAUACAAGUUGAGCAUCUUUAAGCUUAUAGUUGGGUUCGAUAAUCUCCUAUAUAAUUUUCAUUUGUUCUUUCGGUUUCAAAAUGUUAUACAUUGAAAGGUUUUUGGCUUAAGUCAAUAUUCACAAUAACAUACAUUAUUGAAGUUUGCCGUCCAACUCAAAUCAACUUUAAAUUCCAUAAUUUAACUUAGCACUUCAAACACCCAAGCGUUGUGUUUGGUUUCAUUUUAGAUCUAGUUUCUAACUUUCAAGAUCUUAUGUUUACAUUUGAAAUCGAUCUUAUGUUUACAUUUGAAAUCGGAUAGAGUAUCAUUGGUUAAGUUAAACAACAUUCAAAGGAACUAAAGAACGUUGAAAACAACUUGAAUCAUUACGUAUUUAUUUCAUAAGUAUUCAAGGAAUAAAGUAUUCAAGAAUUAUUCAAAAUAAUAUAAGUGGAUUUUAAAAGAAUGUUGUUAUUGGAGUUUUAUACCAUUCUAGUGCUACAAAGUUUCUUCCAUAAAUAAGUGUAAAUCUUUCAUGUGGACUGAGAUUAGGUGUCACUUCGUUUGAAGUGAAUUUCUCUCUUAAAAAAAUGCCUUUGUUUUCAAACUAUUUAAUCUAAGGAGAAGAAAGAAAAACCUCCGAAUGUUAAUACUCAUAGCCAAUAACACUUUGGCAAAUGGAACAAUUGUGGCUACAAUUUUGGCAUCUUUUUUGGGUAUUGACUCAUUUUCUACUAAAUUAUCACUGACAAAAGUACUCACAUAUCAUAACUUUUUUCUACACAAAAUCAAUAUCAAAGGACAAAGAGUGUUUGAAGUAUGCCAACUUCACUUAGAGGGUGCUCCACAAGCUCACUAUGUUAAAAGAAUAUAAUAAUCACGUCUAGGUGUUUAUAAAUAUUAUUUUGUUGUUACUAGUUACGUAUGUCUCAAAUAUAAACUAUUGUAACUAUUGAUAAACUCUUUACUUACAAUACAUUCUUAAAAAGUCAAUCCAAACGUGAUUUUAAAGUUAAAUUAUAUCACGAUUAAAAUGAUAAAACAAACCUAACUUUUAAUCAUUAAAUCUUUAGAUAUUGUUCCAAGUAACAAUAAAUGGAUUAAAGGUGCUGCUAUUUAUGAAGGUACAAUUUUUUUUUUUUUUUAAUUUUCAUUCAAACCUUGGAUUAUGUUAUUUGAUGUAACAAUUGAUAUCUUUUUUAUUGAGUUAUGUUUAAACGUGGAUAAAUUAAUAGACUCUUGUGCUUAUAUUAGUCAUAGGUCAUAUAUAACACAAAUUGAAACAUGAAAGAUCUACACUAACAAAAUAUAAAAGACAAAAAUUUUGAUGUGGAGGAUGAGAUUUAUAGUGACACAAAAUGCAAUUGUAAUAGAAAUUUAACAUGGAUUAGUCCGACUCAUCCAGAUAUAUUGAGGAAUCAAUUUUUACCGUCCAAAAUUUGAAAUUGUGAGGAUUUCAUAAUAAAGUUGAAAUUGUGAGGAUUUCAUAAUAAAGUUUAAAUCUUGCGAUAUGCCCAAAAUUUUACUGUACAUUUGAUUUGACAAAGCAAUUUGAUGGCAUUGAGAAAAAAAACUGUAUACUUUUAAAAUUUUUAAGAACAAAAAUUCAAUCCAAACAUUUUUAAAACUCUGAAACCAACACUUUAUCCGACUUUUGGUAUUAAAAAUUUGGCUUCUGAUCUAUGUGUUAAUAAUGAAAAAUUGAUUCCUCCUCUCUCCCAUUUUUGCACUUUGUUCUUUGUUUGUUGCCGAUGAAACCUUUCUUCUUUGGCAUUUCAGAGUUUUCCUCUUGUUUUCUACUUCUGGGUUUUCUUCAUUGAGCUGGGAUUUUCACGCCAUUGCGAUCCUGUCCUUGUAAGAAUCAACCCCUUCCCUUUUCCCUUUCUCUUUGGGGGAAAAGAACCAUUUUUCAUUCAAAUAUUAAUAUUUGGUCAAGUGGGUAGGACGUGGAUCUUCAAACAACUCCUGUUUUAGACCAUAUCGAAAGGGAUUAGAUUUUGGGAUGUCUGUCUAAUAUUAUUUCCUUCUUGUUUGGUUUGAUAUCUGGUGAAUGCUCCUAUUUGGUUGAGUGGGGGAGAAGGAAAAGGCUUAUUUCUUUAUUUAUUCUUGUCGGCGUUGUCCUUUUCUCCUUGUCUAUAAGUUAAAAGAGGGGCUAUUUGUUUAGAAAUAUUACUGUGGAUGAUGGAUUAUACCCUUUGAGUAUGCCAUCGCUUAGGCAUUGGAGUCAUCUAUCAGACAACUUUAAAUAUUAUCUUCUUCUGUAUAUGAUGUUAAGGAUUGAACUCUGAUCCUCCUGUUUAAUCUAGAUCUUAAUGAACAAGGAGAUCUAGUUUCUUGUAAGGCCUUGUCAUUAGAUGGUUUAUUUCAAAAUUUGUAUAGUUUGUGGAGUUGCUUAAAAAGUUGUAAGUUUGCUUUAUUUGUUUCUGUGGAUGCAUUGGCAACUAUAGUUGUAUAAUACAGCCCCUUGAUUAUCAUGUUCUUUUGUUUAUAUUGUUAAAACUCUGUGGAAGUCUUGUUUCUAUAGUUUGUCUAUAUAAUUUGGUUUAUUUGGUUGAUGCAAAAUUUUCUGCUUAUUGUGGAGCAUGUGGGUGAGAUUAUAUGCUGUUAUAGUUUUACUUGUCUGACAAGAGAAGUAAUGCAAUUGAGCAAUUCUUGGCAGGCUUUCUCUUGAAAUAUUUGAGGUGUUGGAAUUUGAAAUGUCGUCUCCAAACAAGCGGAGAGAUAUGGAUGUCAUGAAAUUGUAAGUUGAUUGACAAGUGAGGUUUUCUCUUCGGUUUCUUAUUGAUUGCUGCUACAAUCAGUUUUAGUUCUUGCAUGUAUGAUAUGUUCAUACUAUGAGAUCAACUGCAGAAAAUUAAUGGAAAACUAUGAGGAAGGUGCUGAUACCUGAUCUUGAGAAAUUAUAAUGUAAUCCAGGAUUUUGGGGUAUGCAGUUGAAGGACAAGAAGAAUCAACUGGAAAAAAUAAUCUUGUUGAAGUGUAAUGACUGUGAAACUUGAAAGUAUGCGGUGUUGGAGCUAAUGCUGAAGUUUUUCUUUUUCUAAAUAACGUUGUUUUUUUGACAGUGAUAUUAAAAUGCUGAAACUAUUUUCCCUUGAUGAAUUGUAAGAGAAAUUAAGGAAUGAUUUACUUGCUUAGGGCUGUCUGGCCUACCAUUAUGAAGUUAGACGAUCCUAGGGAAGCUUAGUUUAGACAUAAUUUUGGAGUAGUAAUCUACUUAAUUUUCAUUGUAUUUCAUCCAUGAUUAGAAAAUCAUGUAAUUGAUGUUUCGGAUGACCAUGAUUGAAUUGUUUUCGGACUUCGCCAGUUUAUCUAAUUAAUAGGAGCUCUCCUAUGCACUAAAGGUUUUCAAUUCUCUUUACAUAGAUUCCCAUUGUACUUUCUUAAGUUGAAGGUGUUGAUUGUUGUUUCUUUGUUGAAAUUUUCAUAUAUUAAAUCCAGGAUGAUGAGUGAUUACAAAGUGGAGAUGAUCGACGAUGGGCUUAGCGAAUUUAAUGUUGAAUUCAACGGUCCAAAAGAAAGUAUUCCCUAUUCUAAUUUGUCUGCUUCUAUUACAUGUAUUUCUAGUUGCUUCAAUGUGUAGGGCUGGUGCUGAGAAGUGUAUUGCAGGUUUCCAAGUGAUUUUUCAUUUUCUUGAGAGCUUUAGUUUCUAUGAAUAUGCAUAUGGAUGAAUAGCAGAGUUUUCCUCUUAACUAGCUGUUGAACUUCCAAGUGAUGCUACCUUGUUAAGUUCUUUUGGCACCAAUCGUUUCAACUCUUAAUUUAGUCUCAUUUAGAAUGUUAAAUUACGUGGGGUAACCCUUGAGCUUUAAAUCGGAUUCAUAACAUCAAAGUCUUAGAAUAUUUAACUUUUAUGGUGAAUUCUAGUGCUGAUGUAGUUCUCAUCUAUUCGCUUCAUAUACAUUACUCAUGAGCAGUUUAUCUGCUUGAACAUUCUGAUAUACAAAAUGGCUGCAACAAUGACAGGUGUAUACGAAGGUGGAGUUUGGAAAAUCCACGUUGAACUUCCUGAUGCUUAUCCGUACAAGUCCCCAUCUAUUGGGUUUGUGAACAAGAUAUAUCAUCCAAAUGUUGAUGAACUGUGAGCAACCUAGACCUCACAUAGUGUGCCUCUCAACUUGUUUAAGAUUGUUAUGUUUUCACUCUAGUGCACUACUAUCUCUUAUUUUUACAAGGUAGAAGUUUCUCAAUGGUCUAAAAUUUCCUUUCCACUUGCAGAUCUGGUUCUGUCUGCCUGGAUGUGAUUAACCAAACUUGGAGUCCAAUGUUUGGUAACUUUAUAUCAAUUAUCAUUUUACUUCUUCAAGCUCAAAACCUGACAUGAAUGUUGACUGACAAGCUUUUUUUCUUUACUUUUUUGUUGCAUAUUUCUGUUUUCCAGACCUAUUGAAUGUUUUUGAAGUUUUCCUUCCACAGCUUUUGCUAUAUCCCAAUCCUUCAGAUCCCCUUAAUGGCGACGCAGCAUCUCUAAUGUUAAAAGACAGAAGCCAAUACGAUCAGAAAGUCAAAGGUACGAGUUCAUUCUGCAAAUUCUCUACUAUGGACUUGAGGUUUAUGUGUUUUGCAUAAAAGUAUACUUUUAUCUUUGUAUUUAGAUUUAGGUAUCACAUUUAGUAAGAAUAUUGCAUAGCACAAUGGAGAUUUGCAUUUGAAACUAUUAUUAAUAUGUUGAAUAUGUUAUCUGAAACUCGAGUGAUCAACAAGUUGGAAUCCAAGGUGAAGUACUCUGUUCUUUUUGUUGUAGCUAUAAGCUAACACGCCAUUGGUAAACUACAUAAAUCUGCUUGUCGAUUUUCUUGCUUGAUUCGUUCUUCAUAACAUAAUGGAUAGGGUUUCAAUUUGAGAAAUGAGCAUUUAGAAUAUUUACAAAACUGUGGAAACAAAAAAAACGUAUGGAUGUACAAGACAAGGGUGAGACCAAGUCCUCGAAAGUGCGAAUUGAGUAAAGUUUUGAUGAGAUGUAAAUGAAAGUACAUAUUGUUAGUGUGCUGUUUGGUAUGACAGAGUACUGCGAACGCUAUGCAAAAAGGGAAAACGUGACGAAUUCAGGUGCAGAAGAUGAGAGUGAAGAAGAUGUAAGUGAUGAUGAAAGUGAUUCAAGCGACAAUGAUAUUGCUGGUCAUGUUGAUCUCUAAAGGCCUUACUAGAUUCACACUCUCUCAUUCAGACAAAAAAAUGAAGAAACACAUGAAAUGAUGUGUUCCAUUACAUGGUUUGUUUGGAAUGAAUGGAUAUUUCUGUUUGUUUUUGCCAACUUACAAUUAGGCUGUAAAAUAAUGAAUGGUUUUCAUGUUUUGGGGGUAAGUGGAAGUACACUCCUAUAUGAUGUUGAAAUGUUAGUUUGUAUCUUAAAUUAAUGCCACAAACUCUGUUCGCUACUUGGUGCUUUGAAUCCUUCCAUCAUAGAGUUUGUGUAUCAUGUGCAUAACAAUAGUAAGGUAAUCGACAAAAAAAUUUAUCUUUCAAACUAACUCACGCUCGAGCUAGAUAUUGAUAAUGAUACAUUUUCCUCUACAAUGCAUUUAGAAUAUAAAUGAUUAUAUACAAUCCCGAAUUCUCGUAUGCUUAAAAUACUUCUAUACAAGCAUGAAUUAAAAAUAGUGAUUUUUUUUUUCUCUAUUUCCAGUAGGAAUUACUAGAUAAAUUUUCUUUUGUACAGUAACUUUGUUUAAGUGAUUUGAAUAAUUUGAAAUGAACUACAGUGACAAUAGUUGUACAUCACUCUCAAAUAAUCUAAAUUGAUAAACUCCCAAAAGUUUAAAAAAUUGUUUUGGAAAAAUUGAAAAUGUUUAGUGGAAAAUAAGGAUAUAAAAUUCCAAAUAAUAAACUGAUUAAGUUGUAAAAAAAUUCUAAAUUCUGAAUAAAGAAAAAGAAAAAUGAUGUAACAAAGUUUAGGAGAGUAGGCUUCAAUUAUGCACUUAUAGUCUCUAAAUUCUGAUUUUUUUCAAUUAUGCACUCAUUUUGCCUAAAAGAUUCAAGAUAAACAAAGGUAAAAUUUUGUAUACGAGAAUUAUGUUCGAUCUCUUGUUAUCUCGAUUGCUCGUGAUCUUGCUUGUCAUGCCUGUCAACACAAUUGGAAUGAAACUUCGUUGGAAGAUCGAUCAACCCACGGGUCCUUAGCUUUGUGCACAUUGAUGCUCUUUUACGAUAAUUUUUGUUUUGUUUUUUGUUCUAAUACAUAAAUGGUGGACCUCGUGACUUAAUUUGUUUUCUUUUCAAUAUGUAGAAAAUUUAUACAUUCGACUUCUUGAUCAAUAAAUAUACACUAAACAAUUUCAAAUAAAUGUCGAUUGAUUGUCAACGUAGAUGAAUUAUAAAAAUUAUAUUUUAAUUAAUAAAUAGAUAACAUGAUUUUUAAACAAAUCAAUAAUGUAUACUAUAUUUACAUUAUUAACAUUCUUUUUAUGUGUAUAUUGUGUUUAUAGAGUUUUUUUUACGAAAUAAUGAAAAUGUUGAUUCACUUUUGUGCAAUAUCGAAUACAUCCACGUAAAUGUAAAAACGUUAACAAAAACAUACCAAUGAAAAAUAAAUACAAUUGGAAUAUAAACGUUACUAUGACUUGAAAAUGUGACGGAGUAUUUAUAUAAAAUACUCAAAUUAAUAAAAGUUCGGAUGGUUUUGCAAUCAAAUUUGAUUAGGAAACAGCAUGAAGACCAAGAUAUAAUAUUUUAAUAUGAUAUAGUGUCAUUAUGAAAUAAGCAUGAACACCACAAAAAAAGUUUCCAAAAAAGAGAAAGAAAGAAUGAACACUAAAAAGACCAGAUUGCAAGGCAUUAAAGGUCACGUCCAAAUCAUUAAACUUCUAUGGCAUAAUGAUAUUUUCUUUCUCCAAUGAAUAUGUAUAAUAUAUAUUAAGACAAAAACUAAUAAUUUCUUUGUAAUGAAGAAGUUUGACCUAUUGAUUCUCACGAGAUUUAUACCAUCGAGUUCAUAGAAAAGCCAAAAGUUCUGCCAAAGGUGGGGUGACCUAAUUAAAGAAUCCCGAGAAACCAACCAAACCUUUUCAACUUGGACAAAUCCCCCCUCUCUAAUACACAUUUUAUUUUAACAUAUGUGGUAUUUCAAGUCAACCUACAUCCAUCCCUAAGUAACUUUGAAGAACAAUUUGUCUAAUCCUAUGAUAUUUGUUAGGAGUACAAACAAAGUUAAAAUAUUUGUUAGAGACGAAAAUGAUAUGAGAAUGUUAGAACAAUUAUCUUUAUUGGUAUAAAACAUUUUGGGUGGUUCAAGAAGUAAAGUUAUGAGAACUCAUGUCAAAUGUAGACAAUAUCAUAUCAUUGUGAGGCAUACAACGAUUUCAAACCAUAGUAGCAAGUCUUAUGGAUAGGUAUGAGGCCUUUUGGAUGGUUCAUAAAUAAAAUUACAAAGGUUUAUGUCCAAAGUAGACAAUAUCAUAUUAUUAUAGAGAUAUGUGAAAGUUUCAUUGUUCUUAUCAACAUUUAGGUGUCAAAGAAAUUUACAAGGUAUUCAUAAGUAAGUAACCACGAUAUAUUCAUCCUCAUUUCUUUUAAGUCCUUUAUUAUACAUUUAUGCCUAGGACCUUUAUUAAUCACUAGGACAUUCAUGAUAGUUAGGAGUAAACGAGUCUCUUGUUGGGUGUUAGUGAUAUUAUUCACUUAAAGUCAAGUUUGCAUAAUUUGACUUCUGAAAUCUACCAAAUGAUUCUACACUAGUUAAUAUAGGAGGUUCUUUCUUUAUACGUCCUGAGUCGGUGAUAUUCUCUACUUCUAACGAAUGUGAUUAAGUUUUGUAUUUUUAACAACAUUUUUACCUACCAUAGGUAGAGACAAGCGUGUUACAGGAAGACGCAUGGUGACGGGUGUUUGAAUGGUCAUAAUCAAAGAGGGUAUUCUGAAGCCAUGCGUGCAAGGAAAAGUCAGCAAAGACCCCACAUAUCACCCAUUCUCUAAGCCCUUAAUUUUAUUCCUUUGUCAUAUUGCUUGAGUUUUAGUGACAUAUCAAUCCAAAUUCUUCUGUUCUAUACGAUACUUUCAAGUCUCUGCUCUGCCCACCUCUCUCUUUCUCUUUGUCUGGUCAUUUUCCUCUUUGCUCCUUUCAUUUUCUCCUCUCCAAUUAUCCCUUUAGGAUAAUUUUUUUGUUAGUUUUUGACUUUGUAUUAUAUCACAUGGAAAUCAAAGUAAAGAAGUUUCACUUGCUGACUUUAGAUUUCAUCUUCUCAGUUAAUGAUGUUGUCCAACUUCAAGUCACCAUUAGUGGAAAGAAUGUUUUGGUUAGCAGGCUAUUAGACAGGGAAAUAUCAUCAUUGAAGGUAGAUAUAAUUUUUUUUUUUGUUUCUGAUAAAUAAAGAGAACACAGGCUCCUGUGGGUAAUCAAGUUUCUAUUUUAAUGGUGGACCUCUAAACUCACUCAUUCCAUAUUCUUUACACAUCUUCACCUUUUUCUACCAUUCUUUUCUCUAAACUCUUAACCAAAAUCUUUGACAUAUACAAGGAAACAAGAAAAAGAAAAUGACUGAAAUAUCAGGUAUUUGUUGAGAGCAGGUGAAAAGAAAGUUGUACCUUGUGAUAGUUUGGUAGAAAAUGGGCCUUCAAAUUGGAAGUUGUUUUGUUAAAAUGUAUGGAAUUCUCAAGUCUCUUCAUGCCGCGUUGGAGCUUUGGUUGUUACAAUCACUGUAGGGCUCAACUGCCACCUUGAUGGCCAAUCUCAGCCUCACCCACCUUGUCUUUCACACUAAAAAAACCCAAUCAAAUCCUAACCCUCUUCCUCUACUUCUGUGGAGAAUAAACAAUGGAAAUCUGAAGAUCCCAUCUUCACCAGCCAAAGACUCUCUCAGUUUUUUAAUGGCUUCCUUCAUUUUCUGCAUCAAAUGGUAGGUAGGUACCAUGCAACCACCUCCUUCAACUUAACAUAUUCUUUCUUUUCUCUCUUUCUCUAAUCUCUUUCAGCUUUUUCCACUCAAAAAGCAGAAAGGUUCAUCCAUUACCUGGAAAAAGAAGAAAAGGAGUGAGUGGUUAUUGAGUAUAGUAUCUCAUUUCCUGAGAUGCCAAGAUUUUUAAAUGAAAUGAAGCAAAAGGAUGGUUAUCUGAUAUACCCAUCUCCCCUUUCACCUUUUGAUGGUGGCACUGAUCCAAAAUCAAAUGAUUCUACACCAUCGCCAUCAUCAUCUUCUUCUUUCAGCAGUAUCAGCCCAAUCCUUCUUCUAGUUAUAGUGAUUCUAGCAGUCAUCUUUUUCAUCUCUGGUUUACUCCAUUUGCUCGUUCGAUUUCUACUAAAAAGAUCUUCCCCAUCAAUCUACCAAUCCAAUCGAUACGCAGAACGGCCUGGAUCUCACACACUCCAAAGACAGCUCCAGCAGCUCUUUCGCCUUCACGAUUCAGGCCUCGACCAAACCUUCAUCGACGCUUUGCCAGUGUUCUUGUACAAAGAUAUCAUGGGUUUAAAAGAGCCAUUCGAUUGCGCCGUUUGUCUCUACGAAUUUUCCGAUCAGGACAGGCUGAGAUUACUCCCCAUCUGUAGCCAUGCUUUUCACAUCAGUUGCAUAGACACAUGGCUACUCUCAAACUCCACAUGUCCACUCUGCAGGGCCACCCUUUUGGGCUCCAGUUUCCCUUCCGAAAACCCUAAUCUCAACGAGAUUUUUGGGCAAGAACACAAUUAUCACAGACAACCAGAAAACACGGUUUCUGGAAAUCAUCAGAAACGAGUAACAACAACAAUGGAGGAAUCUGCAGGGGAAAUGAGAGUAUUGUCUGUGAGACUCGGGAAGUUCAAGAAACUAAACAACGAAGAAGAAGAAGAAGAAGAUGAUGAUGAUGAUGAAAUAGAAGAGAAAGGAGAAAGCAGUAGUCAAAAUAACCUUAACGCGAGAAGAUGCUACUCAAUGGGGACUUACCAAUACGUUGUUGGAGAAUCAGAUUUACAGGUGAUGAAGGAGAAGUUAAACAUAGAGAAUGUAAGAGGAAAUGGGGAAAUGGACGGGAAGAAAAUCAGUGGGAGAAGUAAAGGGGAAAGUUUCUCGGUGUCGAAGAUUUGGCAAUGGUCGAAGAAGAGUGAGUUGCCAAUUACGAGCAGCUCCAACAGUGAAUGGAAGACGGCAGUUGUGUGAAAUGUUCAUCAAUGGAGUUCCGAAUUGUAUCAGACAAAUGGGAUCAAAAUGAUUGUUGGUUUCUUCUAUUUGAUUGAAUUCAGUUUUCUGUUAGUAAGGAGCUCUCAAGUUGUGUGUAAAACUUGGAACAAUGAAGAACACAAUGGUAUCCAAUUACUCGAGUUUUAGAUCUGUCCUAACAAUGGCGAAUGAUGAUUUGAUCAAAUAUGGAGUUUUUCAAUUUUACGGAAAUGUCAAUCAUUUUUUUUCAGGUUCAAAUUAGUAAAAUUAUAUAUGAGAAUUUUAUUUUUGAUAUCAACUCUCCAAACAUAUUUACAAUUAUUUGCAUGAUUAAAAAUAUUUAUCCUUACUAGAAAAAUGGCUAAUAAAUUACUAAUAAUUUUUCAAUUUUUUCAAUUUUUUUUUAUUUUUAAAAACAGUUUAUUUAAACUAAAAUCUAAUUUACCUAUUUAAAUCAUAUUAUUGAUGCUUUAAUAAAUUUCUAAAUUAAGUAGCGUUACUUUCUACUUUAGCAUUAUGCCUUACCAUUUCAUGGUCAAAUAUAAUAGGAAACAUAAAUAUUUUCACUCUCAAUUUUGGUAUAUUGACAAAUAAGAGAUUUAAAAUUCACUAUUUCUGUGUUUAAUAAUUCUCUAAAAAAAAUUUAAACAAUUCUGAUAUUUAACUUUAAGAUGAAUGAUAAUGCUAAUUAAUCUAUAUUUUUUUAUUACUUUUUCACAAAUAUUUAACACAACUUAAAUCUAAUUUAUUAAUUAAACCUAAGUUAAAAUUUAUGUUUAAUAAGACAACUUCCAAAAUUUUGUAUCUAAUAUACUUCAAAUAAUUUUUAGAAAACGUUGAGUAAUUCGAAUGGCGGUUGUGAAAGUCCAAUAAGUUCUUAGAAACUUAUUAAACAAACUUCUUUUAGAUUUAGACGAUUGUGUAUAGAAAAAUAUUAUGAAGAUGUCAUUCGUAAAAUUGAAUUCUAAUUUGUAUAUGUUUUAAAUGCAUACAUUUACUCAAUCAUCAAGUAUUGGAAGGAUGUAUAUCUUUGGAACUAAUAUGUUUACUUCACUUUCAAUUAAGCCCACUUGUAAACUUGUAAUUGGUCCAAAGACUCGAUAAUUUGUGAUAUUGUCACUAAUUAUUGGUCGGAGAAAGACAAAUAAUUUGUGAUGGACCCAAAUUUCAUACUCAAUUGAUACAUUAUUUACAUAUUGUAUAUUUUAAAAUAGUUUAUUGCUUUAUGAGAAACAAAACUAGAAGUACAAACAAUAAUAAUUAAACCUUUAAUUCCAACCAUAUACAUUUUACGAUAACAAUAAUUUAAUUGGAAGAAUACAUAUUACCUAACUCGAUUUUUUUUGUUUAAAGAAAACAAACCCAAAAAGGAAAGAAAGAGAGAAAAUAAAUACACACUCUAUCGAUUAAUAAGAAUUUAUAUAAAUAAAACUCUGUGAAAUUUGGAAUUAUACAAUUUUUAAUUGGAAAAAGAAUAAAACAAAAUUAUAUCAACUAUAAGAAUAUAAAGACCCACCCAAUCAUUUAGCUACACGUCAUCCCAUUAAAAAAAUAGUAAACUAUCUUCUUUAACACGCGUACCGACGCCAUUGGCGCCUCCCUACUACUUCAUCCAAAACAGUCAAUUUCCAGCUCAUCAGUUGAAAAAUACCGCCCGUUCAACUUCACCGGAGAAGACAAGACCCAUCACCAUCGCCUUCGCCGCCGUAUCCUAACCAUUCACCGCAGCAGAAGAAGACGAUUUCACAGGCGCCGGAGGGAUGGCAGCAAACCGGUCUGAGAAGUUCUGAAACCCACCACCAGUAUUGUAUUCAUCCCCAUCAAAAUCCACAUCCCCAUUAUGCCCCUCGUCGAAAUUCAAAGCGUAACUGAUAGGGUCAUAUUGGAAUUUUCCAAGCUUAACAGUAGCCGGACGGUUCCUAUUGAACCGACGAAUAAACGUCUUCCAUCUCGGACCGGCGACGAUCUCCGACCAUUCACGAAGCUUCUUGAGGGAUCUGAUUCCGCCUGUCCACCAGUGAUGAUCUUCGCUAUCAAACUUGGUGGAUUUUGCUUUCGUCUUCACCCGUUCCCACCAUGAAAGCUCAUCGGAACCCGACCGACUUGGUCCAAAGCAAGGGAAACAAAAACAACUGUAGCGUUUAGAGGUUAAAAGAGCAUCGGCGCCAUCGAUUGAUUCUAAUUCCUUGAAAGCUCCGUCACGGUCUCCCAUGGCCAAAGAAAGAGAAAGAGAAAGAGAGAGAAAGAGGAAUUAGGGUUUAGAGAAAAGAAUAAGAGUGUUGUAUAUAUUGCGAACGGUGAGUGACCGGAGAGUGCCGGUAGCCGGUGGUUGAAUUAUCCGAAAGCUAAAGAGGCGUUUUAAAAGAAAAAGAGAAAACGGGUUUAUUUAAUUAAUUUUUUUAUAGAGCCGUUGAGUGUGGGAGAGGGAAUGAUCUGGUGUAUCGCGGAGAUGUGAGAGAGAGUACAAAGAAAAAAAAAGGAAGUGGGGCCCGGGGGAUGAGCUGGCAUGAGUAGAUUAGAAAAAUGAGGCGAUGAUUAGGGAAUGUGGGGUCCCACUUACGGAAUCUUUAUUCGCUGGCGUUUCUAUCCACUGCCUACUGGCACUAACUAAUAUUCACUAUUUUCUUUUUCUCUUUUCUCUCUUCUUUUCUAUUUUCAUUUCAUAUUCAUAUUUUAACUAAAACACAAUUAUACAACAUCAAAUAUGGAUACAAUAAUGUUGAUUUUUCAAAACAAUCAAAACUAUUUUUUUUUCUUACAAUCUAAACAUUAUUUCUAGACUUCCUGUACAAUAUUUGUACAUUUUUCUUUUUUCUUAGAAAAAGGGUCUAUGUUGUUGGUAAAUUCAACGUAAAUAUACUGAAUGUAAUUAAUUAAAUGUUUAGAGUUAAUUACAAUAACAACCAAAAUACAAAGAAGCAACAAAAAAUACAUUGAAGAGUGCAAUUGAAAAUGGACUUGAAUUGAUUAGAGAAAGAGGAAGAAAGGAGAAGUAUGAAGAUAAAUAAAUAACAUUUUCAUUGAAUUGUUAGGAGAAUGUUCAAGUUAUGAUGUAUUUUGCAAGACUUUGUGGAUACUCAAACGUGAAUACGAAGAAUUGAUUGAUCUAGGGCCUUUUAAAUGGAUUUGUUAGUUUUAUGUUUUAAAAAAACGAGACAAAAAUAGAUACAUAAAGUCACGUGUUAGCUACGUAAUUUGAAAAUAUCUACAUUUUAACAAAAUAUCGUUAUCUAACACGUAUCGAAGUAUGAAUGCUUCGUAGAUAGGGUUUUGAGGGCAUUGACUUUUUUUUUUUUAUCUUAUUUAAAAUAAAAAGUGUCCAACUAGGAGUAGUGCUAUAACUCAAUUUUUUCAAAAAGAACAAAUAAAUAAAGAGUAUACAUCAGAUGGACGGUUUUUUGUUCUUUAGAAGUAAAAAAGAAAGAAUAAAGUGGACGGUUUUUAUUUUGUUUAUUUUUCUCUUUUCUAUUUUGUGGAAAAGUGGAGAGAUUCUAAAUGUUGUUUGUUUUCUAUUAUUGGUGAUGAUGAAAACAAUGAACUAUGAAAAGAAAAGGAAAAAUUGUUAAUAAAGUGGCAAAAAGUUGUAGGAUCUUUUGGAGAGGAUGGGAAGUUUGGGCCGUGGGCUGGGCUCUAUUGAGUGAGAGAAGUUUUGGGUUCUUUAACAUAUUUAGUUGGUAUUUACCAUAAAGAAACUCAUCGACUGGCUUCCUAUCCCUCUCGGCUCUAACGAAUAUCCAGAUCGGCUCGGAAACUUGGGUUGCGACGGUGGUCGUUUAGACCGAACCAUGCCGGGACCUGGGCCUCACAUGCUCUACGCCAUGGGCUCCGGCAUGGCUCUGACCACUCUCUCCGACGGCCGAUUCAGCCCCCACCAUACUCUCUUUUACACCAUCAACGCUUUCUUCGGCCCCGACAUCGGCUCCUUCUCCGAUUGGCUGUCCUCCGUUCUUGGUUUCUCAGCAUCUUCUGUUCCCGACGUUAUCCAUCAUCCCGUCUUCUACAUCCUCAUUCUGGGUCUUCCUCUCUGCCUCUUCUACUCCUGGCUCUCCUCUUUUCUACUCCAUAAGGGCCUCCUCGAUUCUGUCUUUGGGGUGAGUCAAUUCACUCCAUGAUCGGGGAGAUUUUGGAAUUCGGUAUUUUAUUUUUUGGAUCAUUGUAUUUGUUGUUGGUUGCCUGAAUCUGCUGAAUUAUGUGGAACACCUAAUUGGAUCGCUCGUUUUCCUUACACGAUUUCACUUGUUGUAUUGGUUUGACUUCUUUACGGUUUUCCUUGCUGUAAAAUGAUUAUUAAGUUAGAACGAUGUGGUUAUUUGCUGCUUCUAGUGAAAAGAAAUGAAAAAACAUUGUGAAUCCUUUAUAAGAUUGUUAAUCUUCAUCCUUGUUCCUUUUUUUCUAAUGAUGUAGGUAUCUCUUAAUAGAAGGCAAUGCUUGUUGUUAAUUUCAGCUGGUUCUUUUUCACACUUCUUUCUUGACCAUUUGUUUGAGGUAAGCUUUUCAUUAUCGAGAAUUUAAAUUGCCCCAUCACCUACAUUCUGCCCCUGUAAGUUCUUUGCUCCUUUUUAAAAGUAAACUUUUUUGCUUGAUAUACCAAUGUGUGAGAAUACUAGUUACCGGUGUAUGGGUAAGAUUCAUAGGAUAUUAGUAAGUGGUGUUUUAGUUAUAAAUAGGAGCAGUUGGGGAUCUUAAGGGGGUUUGAAUCACUUUGUUGAAAGUUUCAAUAGUUGACUUUGAGAGAGACAUAGCCCUCUUUGGCUAUUAGUAUAAUGUAAUGUCUCUUGAUAUUGCAAUACAUUCCUAUCCUUGUGUUCUUUGUAUUUCUUUGAAUUUUCGUUAUGUGGUAUCCUAAUAUAUUGCUGCUAAAGCAUCUCCUCAGGUAAAGCACCUGUCAUGAAGAGAUGUGAUGUGUGUUAAAAUACAAGUUUUCUUAUUAUCCAAGAGAGUGCAAGGGAAAAUAAACCUUGUUAUUACCAUCUAAUUAACGAUGCUUGAGACCUUUGUUGAUUUAACUGAGUUAGUUGAAAAUUUUUCUCAGAUGAGAUGAGAAGUACUAUGAUAUAAUCUUAUCAGGAUGAAUUAGUUCAUCAAUUUUUUACUUUCUCUAAGUCCUGUGCAUUUGGAAUGGGAUUGUUCUUUCCUGUUUCUUGUUGCCUAGAAAGCUAUGUUAUUAAACAAGAUGGGUUGUACAAUUAUAUCUGUAUCAUCAAAUUUGUAGGAAAAUGGGCAUUCAUCAACGUACACUUGGAUAUUGAGCACUGGUUGGUGGGAGAACCGAGCACCAAUCAAUCCAGAUGCUGUUAUGGUUGUUGGAUUCUUGUGCACUUGCUUAAUUGGUGGUUUUGUUUACAUUAACAGGUUCGUGAAUACCAAUUAUAUUAAUUCUAUUUGCUAUUUAAGUUCUAUUUAAACUCAAUAUAAUACCAUUUUCAUGUUCCUUUAUGAGACAGGGUGAAGUCUGGAAAGUCAAUUUCGAAACAAUCGUAUCAGUCGGUAAAGCUUAUGGUAGUAGUAGCUACCCUAUAUUCCAUGUGGUGCGCAAGCCAGAUAUACUGGGCUAGCCCUCGUCGACCAGCUGUCGGUGAAGAAGCUGAUCUUGGAGUUUUAGUGUUUCUGGUUUUCUAUUUUUUUCUACCUCAUUAUCUUUGUAUAAAGUCCAUGCAACCAAAAGAUUCUGAAACGAAACAUCUCCCAUUGUGAUAGAUGAGUUAUUCAUUUAUAUUACAAAAAGUUCAAUAGACAACAUCAGUUUCCUUUUUUCACUUUGACAUUACAGCCUGCAGUUGAAGAACCAUAAUCUGUUCAUAUACGAGUUUAUCAUUCGUAUUUGGAACCCAUUGCCGACUUUGCGAACGCAGGAAGACUAAACGCAGCAGUAUGAAUCUAAACAGCAGAAUUGAACAGCCAAAUUAGUUGGAUCUUAUAAGGGGCCUAUGAACAAUUGCGAGCAAAAAGUAAGAAGAAAUCACCUCUGAGUUGUAGAACUUGGGGGGUCCUUGCGCAACACCAAAAUUACUUGGAUCCAGCGGAUUCACCGGGCGUUUGAAGUCGACUGAUGGACCGGCAGUUGAACAGAGCAUGAAGCCAAUCGAGCCACUGAAUUUGGAUCAUUUAGCAGGAGAAAAAAAGCAAUCAGAAAAGUGCAGAUUGUGCAAAAACAUAAACAUGAAGAAGUUUGGAAAUGAAACAAAGGGUUCAUUUUGAAUGGGUUUGCCUUGCAUAUGAAGGGACAGAGGUCCAAGCAUAGUUUACAGAGCCUUUGAAGAUGUUACGACAGAGAGUUAUGGUGUCUUCCAUGGCGAAAUUGUUCAGCCAUAUGCUGUCAGCCGGAGUCGACAAUACUCCACCAGGCUUCAACGCCUUUGCUAUUGAUUUAAGUAAAUCUUCAUUUGAAAGCUCAUUUGCAUAAACCCCUGAUAUCCACAUUCAAUUAUAUAGGCAUCAACUCCUCAUUAGAACUAUACAUUAAAUUUAAAUUUUAGAUUAAAACAACGAGAAAACUAUAAGAUACAUACCCAUGCCUUGAAAUGCAUCAAUUAUGAUAGCAUCAUAGGUUGCUGGAGGAACAGAUUUGAUGAAAGCCACACCUAAAACAACAACCAAACAAUUACACGAAAGUAACAAACAUAAAAGCAACAACAAUCCUCAAAACGAUGGGGUGAAAUGUAACAAACAUGGUAGUUCUAUGUUUCCUACCGUCGCCUAUGUAUGAAUUCACACGAGGGUCCUUGUAUCCGAUAGCAAUGUUUGGGAAGUGCUUCUUGUAAACCUAAACCAAACAACAUCAUAUUUAACAAAAUUAAUUAUGACUAAGUUCCAUUCUUAAUUUUUUGGAGUAUCACUGACAUCAACCACCAUCUUGUCGAGAUCACAAAUGUCGAUUUGCUCAAGGCAAGCAUGUCGAGAUGCUUCUCGAAGAAUCCCUCCAUCUCCUCCUCCAAUGAGCAAGACCUAUGAGGCAAAGUAUUAAUGUAAACUCAUACACUUGAAACUUUAGUAUAUAUACACAUUAUAUAUGUACGUAUGUACGUACGUAUGUAUGUAUGUAUGUAUAUACGUAUGUAUGUAUAUACGUAUGUAUGUAUAUAUGUAUGUACGUAUGUACGUAUGUGAAGAAGAUAACGACCUUUUUGGGAUUGGGAAUAGAACAAAGUGGGAGAUGAGUGAGCAUUUCUUGAUAAGCAAAUUCAUCCUUCUCUGUUAGUUGAAGUGACCCAUCCAAAAUAACAACCUUUCCAUGUGUUGAUGUCUAAAAUUUAAUAUGGAAAAAAAUUGAACUGAGUAAAACUAAACAAAAUAACAAUUAAAUAAGCAAAUUAAAAUAAAAGUGGAAAUGGAAAUGAAAAAAAUACCUGAAAAACAAAAAGAUCUUGAUACUGGGAUUUUCCUUUGAAUAUGACCUUCUCUAGCUUAAAUACUUGUCCGUGAUCUAUUAAUUUAAAUUACAUAGUUAGAUUGUGGAUAAUCAUAGAUUAUGAAUACUAUGCAAAAACAAGGCUACUAUUAUAAUUUAGCUCGACUUUGAAAUUUGUUCAAUUUUCGUGUUUAUACCUUCAAAGUAUAAAUCAAGAUAUAUAAUAUUUUAUGUUAAAAAAUACCAGGAUAGAAUGGGGCAAUAUCGACAUAGCAUCCCGGAAAGGCAGGCGAAAAAGAAUCUCCAUUUUGGGUGCCAUUUUGAAUAGGAGAGAAAGAAAUGAUUUCAAUAGGCUCAUUAUGGUUGGUUUCAAUGGUAGGGGCAUGGAGCAUAGCUUUAAUGGGAGAAGAAGAGACACCAUUUUGAAAUGUCAUUUUUGAUAUAUAUAUAUAUUUGUAUGUAUAUAUAUUGUGAUGAACUAAAGAGAGUAUUGUGAGUGAGUUUUACUAUGGAGCAAUGAGAGUUUAUAUAGGAGUUGAAAGCUUUGGGGAACAAUACUUUGGAUAGAAAUGAUGGAAAGUUUCCAAUGCAUGAAAUGAGAUUGGUGGAUUUCUCCCCUAUUCAUUCCCUAAAAUGCCCUAAGAUUCUUAUUUUUUCUUCAAGGUGAAUUGUACCCACUUUGUUCUUUGGACUAAUUUGGCUUCUUAUGCUAUAGCUAUGAGAGGUUUCUCUCCUUUUUACCCCAUUUUAUGAUCCCUUUGCUUUUGUGGUUGGUGGGAGGAGGAGAUUUGGGAAAAAGUUGUUUGUUUAGUUGUUGUAAACUAUGUUAAUGGUUAAAUAAAGUUAUACCUUUUCUAUCUUAUAAUAAGUGAACUGAGAGAUUCGAACUUCUGACUUUUUGGUUGACAUCCGUACAUCUUAAUUGUACUUCAGUUAAACUAUGAAAUUAAAUUAUUAUAUAAAUUUAGUUGAAUUUAAAACAAGAAAAGACAAAUGGUGUAUGUAAAAGUUGUUGCAUGCAAUGCAAUGUUGUUUAAGUCAAAAAUUGCAAGUGAUGUGUAUCUAAACGUUCCCUUCCCUUCCCUUCCCUAGGGAACAACCCUACAAAAACAUACCUAUAUGAUCCUAUUUACACGUUUCCCUAUUACGAAUUAGGGGCUUACACUUUACACAUUUCUUACAUGCAAUUAACUAUGCUUGAAGUAUUAUCCAAUGAUAUUGAAAAAAAAUAAUAAAAAUUGAUCGUUCGAACACAUAUUUGAAAAGUUGAAGGGUACAAUUUUAGAAUUUGAAUGAAUGUAAGUGUUUAGUUUUUUAUUUUAAAAGUAUAAGAGUAUAAUUGUAAAUUUUCAUUUGAUUGUAAAUUAUUAUGCAAUUUGCAUUUCUUUAUACAAUUUUGGUAGAUAUAUUAUUUCCUAAAAAAAUUAACAAAUUUAAGUUUACGAACCAUACUUAAUUUAUUUUUCUAAUGUUAACAAACAUCAAUCUAAUUUUCAAAACUAAAUAAAAAAAUAAGUUUUUUAAAAAUAGUUUAUUUUUAGAAUUUAACUAGAAAAUUAACUACAAGUAUCAUGAGUUCAAUCUAUGGUGGUCACUUACUUAAUAAUUAAUUUUGUACGAGUUUUCUUGAUAUCCAAAAGUUGUAUGGUCAUAUGGGUUGUCCUAUAAAAUUAGUCGAGGUUGACCGACACAUUCACAUGUCUAAAAAGACUAGAAAAUUAAGUAUUUCUUAGAUGAAAACUAAAAUUUAAAAUUAAAGCCAAGUACGAAACAAACAUAAAUAUUUAUAAGAGAAAUUUUCAAAAAUGAAAAUUUUGACAAAAUAUAGCAAAAUUUUAGAUUUUAUCGAUGACAGACAUUGAUAAACAGUAACAGAAGUUUAUCCGUUUCUACAUUUGAUAGAAUCCAAAAUUUUGCUAUAAUAUAUAAAUAAUACCUCAUAUUAUAAAAUUAAAAAGAAAACAAAAAUUGUUAUCAAAUAAGGUCCGACAAUAGUUUAGAUUCCUUAAAAACAAAAAGUUCCUCGUAUACAAAUCAACAUAUAGACAUUUUUUUCCCAAAAAAACCAUAAAUUUUAAUUAUUUCUAUUUUCACUUUUUCUUUAAAAUAAGAGAUAAGGAAAACAAAGUGUCCCAUAUUAGGUUUGAUAGUACAAAUUAUAAUAUUUUUUCUCUUUAAGAAAUAAUAAAAAAAAAAAGCAAAAUGUAGUUCGUUAAUUGUUCUAAUGUGAAUAAACUAAGUAUAUAAACGCGUUUUGAAAUGUCAAAAAAGUAUUGGAUGAAAACAUAAAAUAUGUUAGGUUUGUGUCAUAGCUAACAUUUGAUUAUUGAUUGUAAUUAUUAUUAUAUAGAAGAAAAAGGAAGAUGAAGAUUGUGUUAUAAUCAAAUCAAUGCUACCAAAUUGAGGGACUACAUCCUAAUGUUAUUAAAUGUAUUAUGAUUUUAAUUGAAAAGGAUAUGGCCAUGCAUAUUAAGCCACAUAUAAUAUGAUCACUAUGACCCACACACUAUGUUAUAUAUAUAUAUAAUGAAUCUCUACACAAAAAUAUCUUCUUUUAAUCUCAUUAUAUUCCACCAUAUAUCUCUAUAAUUCUUUUUUUUGUUUUUGUUUUUAUAUAAUAUAUAAUAUAUUUAUUUUCUUUAGAACAUUAUAAAUUUAAUUAAUACACUUCUUUUCCUAGAUGCUUCCUAAUGUGUUUGUUGACUUUGUCAAUCUUUUUCUUUUCUUUUCAUUUUGAAUGGAAUUAAAAAAUAUCUUUAGUUUAUUUUGAAUUUAAAUAAAUGGUUGGUUUUUCUUCUCCCCACUUUAAUAUUCUUAUGAAAAUGAUGUAAUUUUCUAUUUUAAAAUGGUUUUUCUUAUCUAAAUAUAAGUGAAAUAUUUAAUUUUUAGAUAGAACAUCUGAAACGUAAAACAAUGCAACAAGUUUAUUUAUGUCUAUUUGAGAUAGACCGUGAUAACGAUCUAUCACUUUUUUAUCCUAAAUUAUCAUAAUUAUAUAUCAAGUUUUUAAAAAUUCUUACUUUCCAUAUAAUAAACUGACAGAUAGAUAGAUGAACAUGAGGAUGAUUUGAAAACAUUUGAAACCAUAAAGUUAGAAACCCUCAAUACACAAUUGUUGGCUAUCUGUAAAUCUUUUUUUUUUCUGAAUUUUAAAAUUUGAGAUAUAGAUAACGUAGUUUAUCUUUAGUAUAAAAUAUAGAUUACUAUCAAAUAGACAUAGACAAUGGUCUAUAAUUAAAAUUUAAAAUUUUAUUUUUACCUUUAAACUUUUCUACUAUAAUUUUCUUUCGUAUGUAACACUAAUUCUUAAUUAACCAAUUAAGACGGGAUAUCUUUUAAUUAAUCUUUAGUAAAAAUGGAAAAUUAAUGAAAUAAAUUUAAUAAUCAUUAUUUGGAUUGUUUUUAAAUUAAUCAAUAACAUUACCUCCAAAGAUUAACAAUGAGUAUAAAAUUAAAUUAAAACUAAAUUUAGAUCGUAGGGACCAACUUUUGAAAAACUUCAAACAAGACCUAAACAAAAUUCAAACCAUAACUAUAUCAUACAAGUCAAAAUUGAAAAUAUUGGAAAAUCAUAGAGUCUAAAUUGUAGUUUAUUUAAAUAACGAUGUUUAAUAUUAUAUAGUCUUUGUGUCCAAAUCUAUCUAUAUAUAUUGGUAUAAAUUAAUGGAAUGAGAUAGACCAGCUGUGUCUUAGACAAACUGAUGAACAUAUUCAAUUGUAAUUAAUUAUUAUGAUUUAACUGCAACUAUAAUUAACUUGAAAGCUUUUAAAAUAUGACAUUAAUUUGUGGUUUAAUGUGUAUAUAUAUAAAUAAAUAAGCACUUUAGACUUUUGGUUUAAUAUUUCCCAACCCAUUACCUACCGACACCUUAAGUUGAUGGAAAUCUAAACCCUAAUCCUAACUCUUUUCUUUAUAUAUCUAAUGAUCAAUAUUGAUAUUAUUAAACUAAGACACUGUUUAAGUCAAUACUCCUCACGAGAGGAUAUAUAAAUCCAUAUUUGCUUCUAUAUACCAAGAUUCUCGUGUCACAUUUUACCUUGUUAUAUUUUCAUUCAUUUAUCUUUUCUUGUUAUCAUUAUUCAAUUGGGUUUUAGAUUUUACAACUCCUAAUGAUUUAGUUUCUAAUUGGGUGUAUACAUACUGAGCAUCACAUGGUAUAUAUAAAUAUAUUGCAACCUAUUAAAAUUAAUUUUAAAUAGAAUUUAGGGUUUAGAGUUUAGUAUUGAUACAAAGUUAAUGUUAUUUUUAUAUUUAUUUUUAAUAUUUCGUAAAUUUCUUUUAUGAUGUAAAAGAAAUAAAUUUUAGAAGAGAAAAUGGAAGACAAAAUCUGGAAAGUUCCAAAAGCAAAGGAAAUUCAAACUAAUUAUUGUUAUUAUUAUAAUGAACAAAGAAUUCAAACUUAUUAGUUUCCUUCAGCAUAAAAAUACUCUUAUGAAAAUUAAAAAGCCUUAUAAUAUUUUGAGGAUAACAUUAAUUAUAAAUUUAUAUCAACAUAUUAAAGAAAAAACCUUAAUUAUUUUCUUAAUGAUUAAUUAUAUUAUUAAAAUUAAGUAUAGAUUUGAUAAAUUAUAAGAUAAUAUUUAAAUUUAAUUUAAGGUAAACACGCGUCCAGCCACGAGUCGGGUCUGACGUUGCUUAGACCGAGCUGACAAUACCUUUGCCGCAAGUAACAUGUCAUCAUCUGAUUCGUCCACGUUUCUAGGUCGGUUCGUGGACCCCUAAGGUUUAUCCGUAUCGGAUUAAGAACCCGUACCCGAAGUCCGAGCAGGAUCCACGAAGCAACACAUGCCCAAGCAAAACCUUCCACGUGUCACCUUACACGUGUUCAUAUUUUUCGCGGCAAAUCCUUCCCACCACCUCCGUCCUUUUCACUUCAAUUGAAACUUGAAAGAUCUUCAAUCCCUUUGAUUCUCCAUUUCUUCAAAUUUCCUUCUUUGAAAAAAGUUAGUCCCAUUCAUUCGUUUUGAAAUUCUUCAAUGUUUCGAAAUCCCAAAUUAUCCGAUCGUCGGAUUCUUACUUUUCCGGCGGUUCAUCCAUGCUCUGCUAUUUCACCGGCCACUCUUUUGGCCUCCUUGAUCGAUCUUUGCCGUCAAAUAUGUAAUCACCAAACGAAAAGUUUCGUGACCCAGAAACGAAACGCCCGAGAAACCAUUCGACAAAUCGGAAUUUUAUUGAUAUUCUUUGAGGAACUUCGCGACAUGUCGUCCAAUCUUCCGGAUUCUGUUGUGCUUUGUUUUUCAGAGCUUCAUCUCACGUUUCAGAAAAUUUUGUUCUUGUUUGAAGAUUGCUCGCGUUCUAAUGCGAAGAUUUGGAUGUUAAUGAAGUCCCAAUUCGUGGCUACUCAGUUUUGGGUUUUGAUUCGAGCGCUCGCUACGGCUCUCGAUGUGUUGCCGUUGAGUCGGAUUGAUACGAGCGAUGAAGUGAAAGAGUUGGUGGAAUUAGUUGCGAAACAAGCAAGAAUUGCGAAGUUUGGGCUGGAUAAAGAUGAUGAAUUGACGGUGAAGCGUCUUCAAUCGAUUUUGCUGCAAUUUGACAAGGGGAUUGAGCCGGAUUUGACCGCCAUUAAAAGGGUUCUUAAUUACCUUGAGAUUCGAAGGUGGAGUGAUUGUAAUAAAGAGAUUAAAUUCUUGCAAGAGGAGAUUGAUUUUCAGUAUUCGGAUUUGAAAGAACGAGAUGUUCAAAUUUUGAGCAGUUUGGUGGGUUUUAUGAGUUACAGCAGAGUAACUCUGUUUGAAGCUUUGGAUUUUCGGGACAAAAAUCAAGCGGAAUUCAAAUGCAAUCCCGAGAUUCUUAGUUGUUUGAACCCAGAUGAUUUUCGAUGUCCAAUUUCUCUUGAACUUAUGAUUGAUCCGGUUACUGUUUCCACCGGACAGACUUACGAUCGAGCUUCGAUUCAAAAAUGGCUUUCCGCUGGAAAUUUCAUCUGUCCCAAAACUGGGGAGAGGCUCACAAGCUUAGAGCUGGUGCCAAAUUCGAGUGUCAAAAAGUUGAUUAAUCAAUUUUGUGCCGACAAUGGAAUUUCCUUGGCCAAAUUCAACGUACGAUCUCAUGACAUAACUCGAACUAUAAUUCCGGGGAGCUUGGCGGCUGCGGAAGCGAUCAAAUUCACUUCGGAGUUUCUUCUCCGGCGACUGGUUUUUGGAACGAGUACAGAAAAGAACAAGGCAGCAUAUGAGAUUCGUUUGUUGGCGAAAUCGAACAUCUUUAACCGGUCUUGUUUGAUUAAAGCUGGUGCAAUUCCACCAUUGUUGAAUCUUCUCUCGUCAUUCGAUAAAUCGACCCAAGAAAACGCCAUUGCUGCAAUUUUGAAGCUUUCAAAGCAUUCAACUGGUAAGAUUUUGGUGAUGGAAAAUGGAGGAUUACCGCCGAUUCUCUCUGUUUUAAAAUCCGGGUUUUGUUUAGAAUCUCGUCAAUUAGCCGCCGCCACAUUGUUCUACCUCUCAUCGGUAAAGGAAUACCGGAAACUAAUCGGCGAAAUUCCUGACGCCAUAGCAGGCCUAAUCGAUCUCGUCAAGGAAGGAACAACAUGUGGGAAAAAAAACGCAGUAGUUGCCAUCUUCGGGCUUUUACUCUGUCCCAAAAACAACAAAACCGUUCUUAAUUCCGGCGCCGUUCCAAUUCUUCUUGACAUAAUCGCCACCUCCAACAACAGCGAAUUGAUUUCCGAUUCCCUGGCAGUAAUAGCAGCAUUGGCUGAGAGUACAGAAGGAACCAACGCGAUUCUUCAAGCAUCAGCUCUGCCUCUGCUUAUAAAGACUUUGAAUUCGGAAAGUACAUUGGCCGGAAAAGAGUACUGCGUUUCGACUCUGCGUUCUCUGUGCAGCCACGGCGGCGAGGAGGUGGUGGCGGCACUGGCUGAUGAUCGAACCAUUGCAGGGUCGCUUUAUUCGGUUGUGACUGAGGGAAAUGCUGCGGCAGGGAAGAAGGCGCGGUGGUUGUUGAAGAUUUUGCAUAAGUUUAGGGAAAACGAUGUGGCGGUGAACACGGCGGCUGAUCAAGAACGAUCAGUUGAUGUUUGGUAGUUAUAUUAGGUUAGGAAAAAAAUUGAAUUACAAAUGAUUUGGAGAUUUGAAUUGUUUGUUGUUAAAAUUUUGAAAUUGAGCUCGGUUUUUAUAAGAGCUCGUUUGAUUUAGUUUGGAUUAGGAAAAUAUAAAAUAGUGUUUACAUUAUUAAAUACUUGUAUAUAGAAACCAUACUUUAUACUUAGAGAUAUAAUCUAUAGUUUGUGAAUGUGUACAAUAACAUCAUAUUCUUUUGUAAUGUAACGUCAAUGUGUAUUGGUUAUCUGUAAUUCAAAUUAGUAUAAUAUAUGGUAAUUUACUUUAUUUUAUAACUUUUGUUUUAUUUAAUUGAAUUUUCAUAUGUGAUGCUUUCUUACCUUCACAAGAAUUUGUGUUUUAAAGUUUUUUUCAUUCACCUUUUAUAAAUAACUUCCAAUGAUUAUUAUUAUUUUUUUCCUUUGGCUUACUUUCUUCUUGUUUUUAUGCUAUCUUCUUCUCUACUCAAUUUAACGAUCAUUCAUGUUCAUAUUUAAGAUUUUUGAUCGAGAGUUUAUCAUCACAUUUGUGUCUACUAUCUUAAAUGUCUUGGUCGUAGAUCAAAAGUCUCUCGAAUAAGAAAGAAUUCUCCUUCAAUAAUUAAAAAGAAAACAAAAUAUUUACUCUUUAUUAAAAAAAAUUAAAACACAGGACAAAAGAAAAGUAAAUGGAAAAUAUUUUAAGUGAAGAUUUCAAGAUUCGAACUCCCAACCGCAGCCUCAGCGCUUUGAUCUCAUAAUUAGGGCUAAAAAUUUCAUUUGCAAAAUUCUUCAGCUGGCUCGUCUUCUUACUCAUCUCCCCGACUCUUCCCUAUUACCUAAUUCGACCCAGGUAAUCUUCUCCACUGUUCUUCUCUCAAAUCUAAAUCGAUUUACAUUCUUCAAAUUUUACGAUUUCUUUGGGUUUAGAUCUGCAUUAUAUUAUGGAGUUCUUCAGUAAUUUUAUUCAAUAUGUUUUGCUAAUUCAAUCUCUUUAUCCCACAAUUCAUCGCUUCCUGAUUUUUUUUUAUCUUUGGUUUUAAUGCGAACUCGUUUUUGAGUUUCUGCGAAAAAUAUCUGUGGUUUGGUUUCUUGCUUGAUUGGGAUCUUAGAUUGGAAAAGCUAGGGUUUCACUACAUUUUAAUUUCUAUUACUAAUUCGUCAUUUAGAAUGCAGUACAAUAUGACUUCUGGUUAUUUUUCAUUUUUUAUUAACGUGAUUGUUGCUGAUUUUUAUUGAAUACGACAUCUGUAGACUUAAAAUUUUUCAUGGCGACUGAAUCCAAGACUGCGACUGAGGAAGUUAAGAUUGACCUCUUUGAAGAUGAUGAUGAGUUUGAAGAGUUUGAAAUUAAUGAAGGUACAAUUUACUGUUAUUCAUUUGGGAAAAAAAACCAUCCCCUUAUUUGGACUUAUUCACUACUGUUUACAGUGUAUACUUGUUUUUCAUUUAUGGUUGGCCGAUGUGGAUUACUUGCUUGAUGUUGCAUACAAAAUAAUGGAAAUAAAAUAAGGGUCUUCAUAGUCUUGUUACUUGCCUUGGCGACAAAUAUGAUCUGCUAUAACAGCAAUAUUAUUCUCUAGUUUCGAUCAGCAUACUCUAAGUUUUUAUUGUUCUCUCAGGAUUAUCAUUUUAUAUUAUUUCCAUCUGAUACAAUUAUAAUCACCCAUACCUUAUAAUGAGAUGGACUUGCAUUCUCUACUAUUAAACCGAUCAAUUAAAGAAACUAUUAGUUAGAGAAAAAAGAUGUGAGAGUUACAUGCCUUUUGGCUUCCGAGGAAUGUCCUCACUAUCUUUGGGGGUUGGCAUUCCCCUGGGCCCUGUUAGGAUUUGAGAAGUCUUUAUCUUAGAACUCAAGGACAAAGUCAUAUUUUGUUCAAGUAAGCACAUUGGAAAGUCUUAUCUAUUAAAGAUUUUAUGAUAUUUGGAACGAGACCCAUAAAUUGAGAAGUCUUUAUAAUAUUAGUGUGUGCUAAAAAAUACUAGGAGUUAUUUUUUUGCUAACAUGAGCAGUUGAGCUGACAUGUACUUGUACUAUCAAUCUAGAGUUUUGAGGUUUGGCCCCCCACCCCACAUAUUAUAAGAGAAAAUAAAGUAAAAAUAGUAGGGGUAUGAGUUUUGGUUGAAUAUAAGGACAUUGGAGGGAUGAUAUUGGUGGAACAAAGUGUAGGAGAAAGAGACAAUCUUUUUGCAGUUCAACCAUUUUGAAUUGCUGUAAAUCAAAUGGCCGAUAUGCAUUGAUCUUGAUACAUUUAGGGAAGAAGUAGAAGUUUCUGUUAAGUAGUUCCCCACUUUUACAGGUGAGGGUGAAAAAGCAUGCUCUGCUACUUGAUUUGAAUCCUCCUAUGAGCAAUGCAACAGUGUUUUUAGGAAGGAAAUUAGAGUCCUGUGGCAAAGGAUAAGGAUUUUCUUGUCUAAUCUGCCACAAUCUAAACCUUUCUUCUUCUUUCAGAAUAUAUGUUGAUGUCUUGAAGUGAUGUACUAUUAGCACAAUAACACCGAUGGAUCCAUUUUUUUGAUAUCUUUCCCACUGAAAGAUCAACUCAUAAAUGGUAGAACAGCAUGACACUCUGAUAUAUGUGUAAUCCUAGAAAAUCGGUUAUUGUCAGUAUUUGUUUCUCGUGGCUUCUUCUUCUUUCCCCCCCCCCCCCCCCCCCCCCCCUACUUCUUUUUCUUCCUGGUUUUAUAGAAAUUUUGAGAAAUUUGGUUCCAGAGGGGUCAUAAUCUAAUCUGAAACACUCCGUUAUCAUAGACACUUCUAAUAUUGUUAUGAAUGACCACAUCAACUGUGCAGAGUGGGAAAUGAAAGAAGAAGGCAAAGAAAUUACACAGCAGUGGGAAGACGACUGGGAUGAUGACGAUGUCAACGACGACUUCUCUCUGCAGCUUAGAAGAGAAUUGGAGAGCAAUACCGAGAAGAAAUGAGAAGACUUUUUUUUAGUGUCUUGAAUGUUUUUAUCUUCUAAGAUGUAUGUUUAAGUUAGGUCUUUUGACCCCAUUGUGAUUUUACGCCGUCUUAUAUCCUUGUAAAUGGUGGUAUUAUGAACAUACUUAGUAGCCUCAAACAUCGUUUUACCUUUUCAGAUCAGAUGAUUGGAAAUUUGUGAAACGUUUUGCUCUGAAGAAAACACUGAUUAUUGUUGUAGCAUCUUCUUCUUUUUAUUUAUUUUUAUUUUAUUUUACUUAUCUUCUUUUUUCCCUCAAAGGUCACAUAUUCAACUUCUUCAUCUAUUUUAUGAAAUUGUUUCAAUUAAGUUUUCUAGGGCUUCAAUGGCUCUAAACAAAAUUUCACAACAAGCACUUUUGUGGCCAUUUAUUUCAAUAGCUCAUCUCAAUCAAUCUUUUAGCUAUAGUUAACACCAUUUCUCAAAACAUUCAAAUCAUCACUGAGAACCCUUUAAAAGAACAUUCUAAGCAACAGUCUUAACAAAAUUAUGACACUCGACUAAACAUGUGCUCUUGAUAACAAUUUUUUUAAGCCAUCGCUCCUUGUGUUUUCCAAAAUGGAGUUUUAGAGCGACGAAUCGUAUAAAGCAAAACAAAAGAUAGGAAAGAAGAUUAAGAGAAUUAGAAUAUAGGAAAGGAGAAUAAGAGAAUUUGAAAAUACAAUUAGCGUCUCAUUUGCAUGAGAUUCUAUAUAGUUUGUACAACUACAUCCUUGAGUUCUAAGAAUUAAAGAACAAGAUCGAAAGAAGAAAAAAAAGAUUUUUGACAAAAGCAAAAUGCUACAAAUACGACGAUAAAUCCAGUUCCAUAAAUCCUCAAAUCACAAAAAACUGAAGAAAAAUAGUCCACUUUCUUAUUCAUUACGAAACUGAAUAAUACAAAACAAUAGAAAGAAGUUACAAACAAGAACAAUAUUCCACAAAAAAGAGUUCUUCAUCUUCUUCUUCUCUUAGCCAUACUCUGCAACUUUGUCACUGCAGACGUUGGGGCUUCUUUUGAACGUCGACUUCCUCCGGCCCGGCCACCACAAUUGGCAGCAAAAUCAGAACCAUGAACCAAAUCAAUUCAAUUGAAUCAAUGAAAUUUUGGGAAGAACAGCAGCAAAAGUUCUACAAAUUGGGCAAAUGGGUUUGUUCAAAAGCCAAGAAUCUAUACAAUGAACAUGAAAACUAUGAUUACAAUUAGGCAGCAAUCUGCAUCUUUCCCCCAUUUUGAAAUUCUCCAAACAAAUCACACAUUCCAUUUCAAAAUCCUCCAGUUUGUUGCUGUACUCAUAACAAGGAAUCUUCUCCAAAUCUUCAUUUGAAAACCUCUUCAUUCCAUAACUAUUGUUAUUAUUAUUAUUAUCACUUCUCCAAAUUCCUUCUUCUCUUAAAGCUCUCCCAACAAUACAAACAUGAAUUACAACUAAAACAGCAAUUCCAACCACUAACAGAACAGCUGAUACAACAAUCUCCAUAACCAUAAUAAUCUCCACAAUAUGACAAACCCCUUUUGUUUUGGUUUUCGUUCUAUUCUCUAGAUUCACUCAUUUUGGAUCUUCAAAAGGAAGAAUUUUGUUGGGGUUGAGUUUUAAAGACACACAGAGACAGAGAGACAGAGAGAUGAAGAGGAAGAAGAAGAAGAAGAAGAAAAAGAAGAAGAAGAAUUUGAUGAUGAGUGUCCUUCUGGCUUUUGUCUCAUUUGGGGUCCAUUUUCACAAAUUUUCCAAAUUUUAUCAAACACCCUUUUGGAACGGUCUUUUGUUUGGAUCAUUAGAAAGGAAAUUACAUAUAUAUUGCAAUCACUUCAUGCUCAAUCUCGUUUAAUAAUUAUUUAGUUUUUGAAAAAUUUAAGUUUACAAACAAACAUUGAAUCUUUGACUUUUUUGCUUUUAUUAUCUAUUUGUUUCUACCACAACCUAAGUUUUGAAGACUAAAAAAAAAAAAAGAUAGUUUUUGUUUUUUGGAUCACAUACAUAUAUGUUCUUCAAAUUAAAAAGUUGAGAAUAUUCCAUUGUGUUUAUGUCUAAUAAAUUUUUAAACUUGAUUUUAUGAUUAAUAAGCCCUUAAUCUAAACAGUAUCAUAUCAAGAGGUUUUUAUUUUUCUUUGAAAUUUAAUCAAAUGUAGUGGUAAAUUGUAUAAAGACAUUGAAAGACAAGAGGUUCAGCAAUGAUUGGAAUUGUCCUUUUCAAAUACAAAAUAUGAACUUAAGGAGGAGAGAAAAAAGAAAGAAAGAAAAAGAAUUGGAUGCCAAAUUGAAGUGCUUCAUAGGCCAUUGAUUUAGUACCAUAUUCAAUAACCCCACAUGACAUGAAUUGAUUGGAAAUCAAAAACCUCUUUUUUCUAUUAAAUAUACGUUCUAAAUUAUUAGGAGAAUCUAAUCAUGUUCAUCUGUACAACAAAGUCUUAUGAUUGAGAGAAUCCAAUCAUAUAUAUCUAUAUAUUAAUAUUGUACAACAAAUAUUUUUAUCGUCUCUUAGGUCAUUUAGUGCCCUAAAUUAUUGAAUUUUAAUUUCAACUUUUUGUAGUUGUACAUGGUUACCAAUUAGAGGAUAUUCAUUUCCUUUUAAUUGUUUUAGAAUUUUGAGUGAAUAACAAUUAUUAUUUUAGAAACUAAAAAGACUUAAUAUAAUCCUUUUAAAGAAUCAAACCUUUUUAACUUCCAAGUCAAGACUCUAUUUCAUACUUGUUCAACUUAGAUACAUCAAUAACUACAAACCUCUAAUUAGUUAACAUAUCCACACAAAAACAAUCUUAAUUAGCAUCUUAAAUCAGUAUGAAUGGAAGACUAAAUCCUAAUUAGUCCUUAAACAUUGUUUAUGUUUUUACAUAUCCACAUGUUAAUUAAAAUUAAAUUCCUAAAAUUAGACAAGAAAAAUGUUUUUGACUUUGUCUUUAGUCAAUAAGAAUGAUUAUCAGUACUCUUUCAGCUAUUUACGUUUAGCCUUAAAAAAGAGUUCCAAACCAUUGACAUAUAAACCAACCAAAUUUAGCCACAAAUUUCUUCACUCAUCUCUUUUACCCACACCUCCAUUAUAUAUACAAACCCACAAAAUUUUUCUUUUUUCAACCUUUUUUUUAUUUAUUAAUAUCUCAAAAAUAUUUAUUAAAAAAAACCCACAAAAAAAAAAGGAGAAAAACCCACCCAGAAAAUAGACAAAAAAAAGAAACCUUUCUUUUUCAAGUUUUUCAAACCCUUCUUCUUCACUACUCUUAAAAGGGUUCAUUACAAAAGGAAAAUAGUGUUGUUUUGAUUUUUGUCACAAUGGUGAAUACAGAGACAGCAAGAACAGUGAUUGGCAUUAUAGGUAAAGAAAAAAAGAUAUCUAAUCUUUGUAAUUUUAGAUAGACAAAAUUGAUUGUUAUUCUCUUUUUUUUUUUUUUACAGGAAAUGUCAUAUCUUUUGGUUUAUUUAUGUCACCAAUGUAAGCUUAUUCUAAUCAUCUCUCUUUAUUAUAUAUUGUUAGUUUAUUACUUUUUGUUGUGUUGAAUUUUUGUGAUGAACAAACAAUUUUGUAUAGCCCAACAUUUGUCAAAAUAAUAAAGCACAAGGCAGUGGAAGAUUUCAAGCCAGAUCCUUACUUGGCUACAAUUCUUAAUUGUGCUAUGUGGGUGUUCUAUGGAAUGCCUUUUGUUCAUCCCGAUAGCAUUCUCGUCGUUACUAUCAACGGUAUCGGUUUUUUCAUCGAAGCCGUGUACGUUUCCAUCUUCUUUAUCUACUCUCCAUGGGCCAAGAAAGUAAGUUUUGAGAGAAUAAAGUUUUUAACGUCUAAAUUUUUCCUACGGUUUUGUAAUUAAUUAGGGUUUCUUUUGAUGAUGUUUUUUUGUGGAAAUUUUUUCAGAAGAAGAUGAUGGUCAUUUUGUUGAUCGAAACUAUUUUCUUUGCUGUCGUCGUCGUUAUUACGCUUCUGGUUUUCCAUACCACCACAACUAGAACUUACUUUGUUGGCAUUUUAUGUAUUAUCUUCAACAUUGGAAUGUAUACUUCUCCAUUGACUGUCAUGGUAUUCAAAACUAACUCAAUCUACAACAAAAAGCUUUUUUCUGAUACGACGAAUAUUGAAUUUUGUUAUAUGUAUGUGUGUGUUUUUUUUCUCAGCGACUAGUCAUCAAAACAAGGAGUGUGAAAUAUAUGCCAUUUACUCUCUCCCUUGCCAACUUUUGCAACGGUAUUGUAUGGGCCAUUUACGCUAUUCUCAAGUUCGAUCCUAACGUCUUGGUAAGCCAUUCGUUUCGUAACCAAUUUCCAUCUAAUAACCAUUUGAUUUUUAGUCUAUGAUUUAUUGAUAUAUAUACAUACAUGUACUGUCAUUUUUGUACAGAUUCCAAACAGUUUGGGAGCACUUUCUGGGUUGAUACAAUUGAUUCUAUAUGCAACUUAUUAUAAAACUACAAAUUGGGACAGUGACGACUCAUCGCGCUCGAAGAGGCCAGAGGUGCAAAUGACAGAUAAUGUGUAGUCUUGGGAGAGGUUGAAUUGAAUACUUAGAUGAGGUCGACAUGUCGUGUCUAGCAAUUUCUUACCCCUCCUUUUGGAGCUUCAUUAUUGAAGGCUCAGCUAAAUAAAUUACUUGGUGUAAUUUUUUUUUCAUUCAUUGCAUCCACAUAAAUAGCUUUUUGUUUUGCUGUGUACUUCUAAUUCUUUUUCCCCCACACCAAAUUUGUUCUCUCUCAAUAUUCUUUUUGAAAUAUAGUCUUACUUCAUUUCAUCAAACUCUUCCAUUUAAUUUCCCUACUCUCUUCCAUCCUAUGAUUGGGAUUCGAUUUCAAUUAAUUGUGGCUAACUUUGGUCGUUAAUGUUAUUGUCUACUCGGAUUAUUCUUAUAUCUCGUUAUAGUAUAGAUUUUGUUAGAUAACUUAUUCUCUAUUUUUCUUUAUCUCCUCCUCUAGCUUUAUAAUUUGUAUCUCUUUAACUACUUUUUUUUUUUUGUUUACUUAUUUUCUCCCUAAUCCACUUUAGCACUAAUACAUGAAAAGAUGCAUGCAAUAGUAUUACUAUCUCGUUUCGAACAAAUACGUGAUAUCCUCAUGAACAUUCAGUAUAUCUUUUGGACUUACAAGAAACGUCUACAUACGAACAAUCAAUUUCAUUAAAGAAUAACAAAUAAUUUGAAAGGCACCACGCAUGAUUCAAAUGGUUGUAACACUAACCAUCUUGAUUGGACAUACCUAAAAUCUUCUUGAUCUAUUCCAUGGGUCAAGAGAGUAAAGCUAAGCUAAAGACCAUAAAAGUUUCUAAUUUCUCUUCUAAAAUUUUUCUCUUCGUUGUCAUCGUUCAGCUUAUCACACUUUUGGUUUCUGACAUUACCACAAGUGGAUCUUACUUAUAAACUUAAUUUUCAUAAAAAAUAAGAAAAUCAUCAAACGAGAUGAAUAAAAAUUCAUCAAAUGCCACAUAAAAAAACCCCAUCAGUUUAGGAGUAUAAUUGGUUUCCUUUUGUUUUCGGCAGAUUACGAACAGUUUGGGAGCUCUUUCAGUUGAUUUUGUACGCAACUUAAUUACAAAACCACUAAUCUGGGAGAGGAUCAUGACGAUAUGUCGAACUCGAAGAAGAAGCCAAUGGAGCUGGAAAUGAACGACGUGUAGUAAUUAUGGGAGGUGGAUGAUGGUGUUUCUUACUUUCUUUUAGAAGCUUCGUGUAAUAUACAAUUCAUUGAAUCCAUCCUUUUCUUUCUUUUUUCUUUUGCUGUGAUUUACUUUAAAAUUUUUCCCUCUCAUUGAAAUUAUUCUUUAUUGGAUAUUCAAUCCAAUUUCAAUUUCCCUUUCUCAGUAUUCUUUACUUUUCAAUUCACAUGUUAAAUUUAUAAAAUUAAACUAUUAUAACCUAAAAUUAAUUAUAAUAUUAUUAUUUCAAAUACUUUUACGAUGCUUAUAAUUAUUACCAAAGCAAUAAGUUUUGAUUUGGAUUUAACAAAUGGGAUAUAAACCAAAGUCAAUGUGUCAAAAUUGGAUGCUAAGGAUGAGAUAGAAAUGUACAUCAACCCCAUAGUUUUUGAAGGCUUUUUCAUUUGCAUGCAUUAAAUGUGGAAGUACCAUUGAUUAUAAUGGAAACAAAAUAUGCUUUUUUAUAUGUCUAAUUAUUUGACAUCAAAGCCCAUUUCUUUCGUCAAUUUGUUCAUGUCUCAUUAUUAUUACAUUCAUUUUUUCAACCAAUUCACAUUUUCUUUAAUUUAAUAUAAAUGGUAUACAUUUUAACUCGUUAAAAAUCUAUAUUGUUUUGAUUUAUGAACUAAGACUUUAAAAAAAAAAUCAAAAAAAAAAAUCUAUUUCCUUUAUUUACAUUUAUUUUUUAAAAUUUGCAUUAUAUUUUUAAUAAAUGUUUUAAAUAUUUGAUUAAAUGAUACAAAGGAAAAUUAAUGGUAAAAAAAAAAGGUUAAAAUGAAACCGUGUGAUUUUAUAAAUUGAUGUUUACGUCAAACUUCAACCUAAAAUUCAGAUGAAUAAUCAUCAUAUCAACUUGAAAAAUAAGGUGUCCAUACUUUUCAAAACAUAUAGAAUAUUGAUUCUUUUUUAUGUCACAUUUUCAAAAAAAGAAAACUAAAUGGUCCUAGAAAUCUUAGCAUUUAUGAAAUGGUCCAUUUGCAUAAGUACUGCUGCCAAUUUUAUUAAAGGAUUAGGCAUUUUCUAAAAUAGGGUUGGACGUUGAAAUUUCAUUAUUGAAAUGUUGGACACGUUAUAUAUUCAAUGUUCAUUUAACAUAUUUGGGUAAGAGCCUAGUUGUGUUACAUAUAUACAUUGUACGUGGACUGCCUCUUUCACACAUGAAAAUAACAAAUUAAUCUAUUCUAGAGAAGUGUAUAUUGAUUGAUUGGAAUCAAUUUUUCAAUAUGGUCAUGCGUGAUGGAGUGCAAAUCGAUCGUUGGUCCUUUUGGGGUUGAUUAAAGCCUUUGGAAUUUUUUACAAUGUUGUUUGGAUUUUUCUCAAAUUGACACCUUUAAUCUUUGGUUGACUGCUUUUGGAUUGGUUGAUUUUUGGUUGAUCAUCUCGAUUUUUUGGUCUAUCAUGCUCAACCCUAUGUUCAUGCAUGAGUGAAAUAUAAGAAGAAAAUAUCAAGCUAUAGAUCCAUCGUCUUUAGAAUUGUAUAUCACUAAAACGCUAAAACUCUUAAACUAAUAUUAAAUUUGUCUUCAUAUAUUAGCUUAAGCUUUUGAUUUGGAUCGGUGAUUAGCAUCGAAUAGGUUAAUUUCUAGAAAGAUUUUGGUGUUCAAGUCUCUAUCACUGUUGUUGUUUCCUCUCCACUUUUGAGAGGAGUGUUUAGUAUAAAUAGGUGGCUAUAUUUGUAUAUUUGAUUAAAUACUUAUUUUAUUCAAUGAAAGCUUAGUUUCUGUCUCAAUUAUUCUUCUCUCACAAAAUUUAACGAAGUUAAUUAAGGACUUCUUGCCCUAAUAAUUUGUGGCACAAAAUAGAAACAUUAGUAUAUUUGCUUUUACAUGCUACAAGACAGAAGUACACUUGUGGUCGACUCAUUUGGGGUCAAUACUAUUCCCCCUUUUUAUAAAAUAUAUUAGCAACAAUAAAUAUAUUAUUUAUUUGUUCUUAAAAUGUUAUACCAUUACUAUAUGAAUGGACCAUGGAAAUACAAAAUCUUACAAUUUUCAACUCUCUCUUGUUCUUUUCUUUUUGGAUCUUCAUUUAGUUUUGCUUUUGGUAUACCAAAUUCAUCAAUCGUCGUUUUACUCUUGAAGUCUCUAUUCCAAUCCUCGAGAUCUUAGCCUACAAAAAUUAAGAAAACGUAAUUGAAACAUGUGUCUUUGAAAUGAUUUUUUGGAAUGUUUUUAUAGACGGUUACUUACUUCGAUGUGGAGGGAGUGAAAGACUUUGUUGCCGAUAGUGGAUAAGCUAGCGUUGACAACUUGGCCACCUUCCUCUUCAAUGACACUAAUAAUUUGGUGAAGUGUGAAGCUUCUAUUGAGGCUACUAAUAAGCACUAUAUGAAUAAUGUCAUUACCUAAGUCGUUUAUCUCAAUUAGAGGCCAUGUAACAUCAUUGACAAUGUUAUUGGCUUGAUUGUGAACAUGUGAAGAAUGAGUUUGUAAUUGUAAAGCUUGUUUCCUUUUCUCCAAAUUCUUCACUCUUUCUUUCAAUUCAUUUAUGUACGUAAUCACAUAACAAAUUUGAUUUUGUUGUGAUAUCAAUUCCUGCAAAACAAACAAAUAAAAAAUACACGCGUGUACAUCCAACACAUUAAUAGAAAAAAAAAAUGAUAUCUAUGUACAUAUAUAUCUAUAUGUUUUAGUACUUCUUUAAUUUGGCUGAAUUUUUUUAUAUCAAUCAACUUUUAUAACAUUCAUCUUUUCAUUUCUUUUUCUUAUUAUUACUUAUAAGAAUUUUAAAAAAAAAAAGACUUUAGACUAUUCAUCGUAAAAGCAACAAAAUUGAAAAGAAAAGAGCGUUGAGGAUCCAAAUAGCUCAUAUUAUGUAUCUCAUAACCCAUAUAUUGGUUUUGAGAUAUAUAACAGGUAUGAUUAGAAAGUUAAGAGAAAGGGAAAGAUCAACCUUAGGGAUUUUGAAAUGGGAGGGAGGAAGAAGAUUAAAAAGGUUAGAGCAGAGAGAUUUCAUAUGAAUUCUUCUAUUUUUCUCGAUAGUCUUACGAUCAAGUUUCGAAGAAGAAGAAGUUUCACCAUGGGCAAGCUUAGGCAUAAUUAACUAACUGAUUAAUUAAUUAUACCUAGGAAUUGAAAGCACACAGAAUAUAGAUAUUACAGAAAAAAUUGAGUGUAAAGAAUGCUGUAUUUAUAUAUAUAUAUAUAUAUGUCCAUGUGGAGUUGAUGAAGAUGAUGAGAAGUAUAGAGGAAGAUGGGAGAGUCGUUUUCAAGAAUGGGGAAGGGAAGAAGAAGAAGAGGUGCUGGGGUGCCGAUCACUUGUAGGACAGAUCAGAUAUGCAUGCAGCCCUGUUGGGUGACUUUACCGACGUCGUUUUAUCCUGCCCGCGUUUUAUUCUCUUCUCAGUCUCACCGACCAGUAUUUUCCUCUUUCCUUAUCUUUUCCUUUGUUCUUAUUAUCAAAUAAUUAACCUUUUACUUCUUUUUCUUUUAGGUUUUAAAUAUUCUUCUUGUACUUUCGGUCAUGGCCCUACUCAUCUCUUUGAGAUUAUUACAUGAAUGUCCCAAAGCGUGUAAUAAAUAAAACAUGGUGAUAGUGAUCAGUAAAAUUAGUUAUACUAAAAAUGUUCGAAGGGUGUUGGUUUGGGAAAAAUCUAAACUCACAACAUUUUAAAAAAAAUUCAAAGGCUUAAUUGCUAGUCGGAUUGUAAGUCAAUUUGAACCAUUACUAAAUUGGUCGUCCAUGAAUUUGGUGUUGGUUAGAAGAUCGACUUUGAGCAACCAAAUGCUUAAUCGAAACUGAUGUUCAAUCAAAUUGUGAGUUUAGGGUUACACAUCCAUCAAAAGCUUAACAAGCAUUCUAUUCUUUAGGAGGAGUUUAAGAGAACAAGUAAAGAAGUGGUUGUUAGAUUUAAUUGUUUAAUAUAUUGCUAUAUUAAUUAAUUAUUUAAUUGCUUAAAUAAUAUUUAAUAUUUUCAAAAUCACUUUCUCAUCAUUCAUUGGCCAAUACCAUAUAUAUAGUAUUGAAAAGGAAAGGAGACUUUUGACAUAUUUAAAAUUGAUACAUUCCAAAGUUUUGUUUCAACAUUUAUUCUCAACUAAACAAAUCAAAUAAUCAGUUCUAGAGUUUCAAUCAUUUAAAUCAAACAUAGUGGAAGUUAGGGUUUUGAUGAUAAAGAUUGGUGUAAUCUUGAAGAUUUAAUGUAGCAAUAUAUAAGAGACGUAAGGGCAAACGUCAUCCACCUCUAUAACAAAACAAUAAUUAAUAAUAAACUCUCUAAUCAAAACUAAUUUAAAAAUUAAUAAUAAUUUCCAAAGAUUUAGGGAUUCUUUGUUUUUUCUUUUUACUAUUUCUAAAUCAAUUAAAUUAAUUUUUUUUUAUUUUUUUGGUAAAAGCAAUUUUAUUUUAUUUUUUAGAAAAACUUAAAUUAUAAUAAAAACAAUAUUAAUUUUGGUAAAAGUAUUAUUUCCAAUUAGCUUCUAGAUCCUUUUCCUCUUAUUAUUUUUCCAUUUCACAUAUUCUCUUGGUCUCCUUUUCUCUUUUCUUUUUGGAUUCUAAAAAAUUCUCUUUGAAUAAUCACUCGGUUAUGUUGGAUUAUUAUUAUUCUGCUUUUUCUUCUUUUUCUACAACAUCUUUUAUC
rnacentral:lncRNA from 1 species